rnacentral:lncRNA from 1 species
UUCAUGUAUUAGGACUAUGUUAACGUAUACGUACCCUUCGCUGCAUAGUACACUUCAAUUUGUACAAAGAAGGCAUGCAUUUAGGUGUAAAUGUAUUGAUGGGUUGUACCUUCAAACUUCAUUUCCUUUUUCUACCGAUUUGAAUUUGUUUUGCAUUUGUUCUUGAUUUUAAGCACUGAAUCACGCGGGGGUCAUGGAUCGUGCGCCAGAGUGAUGGAAGCACCCCUUGUUUAUUAGGAAAAGCAGUUGAUUGUAACUAUAUCCACGGUCCUAAGUACUUGGAAGUAAAUGCUCUUCGAAUUCCUAUAGUACAUGGGAUGUGUUCCCUUUCAAAUAGCUUGUUCAAUAUGAUUAACAUGGUUUAACAUUGUUAAUCUUUCUGUAGAUUGAUGUUGACAUGUUCUUGUAAUUGGUGUAAUUACGGCAUUGGUGGUUGACAUGGCUUUCCUUGUGCAGGUAUGUAUGAUUGUUUUUUUCCCCCAGUUCUAAAUGACACAAGGGAAAAGACAUGAUUUUGAGAUAUUGUACUGCAAUUUGCAUAUUUGCAUACUUGAAUGUUCUCAGAAUGGUAUAAUGCUUUGUGUAUGCAGGCAAAUACUACAGAUGAAUUACCGGAGCGGCUGAUUGGAGCUGUACGUGUUUCUUAUAUAGAACUCAAGUCUGCUAUUGUCCCAAAGUUGGAACCAGAGACAUCAUGACUCUGGUUUCAUUUCACCUCAACUGUUUUUUUUUUUUUUAAUUGAAAAAAAAAUCAUUUGUUUUAGGUAUACAUACAUGUAUUUUGAUCCCGUUUUCAUUGUAAUUUCUCAUUUACUUUGAAAGAAAGUCAUUGGUGUUUUCGAAUGGGAAUUUUGCAUUAAAAAAUAAAGAAUACUUAAUAGGAAAUUUCAUGAUUCUUUAGUUACUAUUUUUGGAAUGAGUGUAAUAGUAUUAAAGUUGGUUUCUACUCGCAAACAAGUGAACUACUCGAUCCCCAACUGCGACCACUACUUUUAAAACUCAACAACUAACAAAAAUACUAAUAAAAAAAUGAUUUUCUUAUGAUGCUGUGAAAACAUUUAUGGGUUCACUUAUUUCCACAAGAUCUAUAAAAUGGUAUUGACUUCACGAAAUUCUUUUAAUUUAAAGGGUGUUGGUCUGAGAAAGUCAGUGUGACGGAUUAAUUUCUUCUAAUAAUGGUCGAUUUAAUUUUACUAUGCUCAUAAAACUAUUCUUAUUCUGAUAAUGUCAUAAAUGUUAUGAUGUUUUCUUCGGCUAAUGAUCUUCUAUCAGGACUAGUUAGAAAUCAAAUGCUUAAAACACCAAUUGAAUGAAUAAUGCAGAAGUUUAAACAGUAUCUAAUUGAAAAUUGCAUGAAACAUGAAACAUCAAUUCAAGUCCUUCCUUAAACAGAGAAUGCAUCAAACAAAUCCAAAGUGUCUUGCAAGUCUGUAGCAUGACUAAAAAAUUGUAAAUGCGUUUAGAACCAAAUUAUUCAAGUACAGGAGAACGAGCAAGUUGAAUCAUGUACAAGAGAUUGGCCUGGUUCGAGAUAGCUUCUUCACUGUACCUGAAGGGUUGGCUCAAUCUUUUCUCUAGAAUUCUGCACAUUUUGUAAUUACUCGUGUAAGCAAGCAUACAUUACAACCAUAAUAAUAAUAAAGCAAGAGUAAUGAUACGACCACAACCUCUUGUGCACAAAUAAUAUUGUACAAACUAAUAUGACAUAAUAUGAUUGAUUAAACAAAAACAUAACAUGACCCUCAUUUUUUUUUUUUAUUUUAUGUUUUCAGUCAAGCAACCAUAUUAUGCCACGUUAAUAGCUAUAGAAAUAAUUUGCUAGAUAGUGCCAACACUUCAUUGAUACUCACCAUUUCAUUGAACAAUUUUUUUAUGGUGUCAUUGAGGUUUCCUUCCCAACAUCCUUCAUCAUCACCAUCUUCUUCUUCGGUGGGUUUCACUUUGUUUAGCUUUGGUGCGUCUACGACUCCUUGAGAGAAAAUCUUCAUUGUUGGGCACUGUCUCACAACUACGUGUUCCAAGGACGGGAACUCAAGAGCGUAAUUACCCAAACAAAAGCUUGUUAGGCUUGGCAAGCAAUCAAGUCCCAAGUACUCCAAUUUCCUGAAAACAAUGCAAUCUUCCGCUUCUUCUCCAACCUGCAACUGUAUGAUUUCUUCUAUCAUUUUGCAAUCAGUUAUCUUCAUUAUUCCGAGAUUCAUUAGACUUUCAGAUGUUGAGAGCAUCAAUAAAUUUAUCAACCCAUGACACUCGAAUACUUCCAGAGUCGCAAGAUUUUCCAAAUGCCACGAAGCUGGUACUAAUUUCUGCAACUUACUACAUUCAAAUAUUUCUAGACUUUUCAAGUUUGCAAACACUUUGUUGGAUUUGGCAUUUUCCUUCCAGAGAUGCUGCACUUUGUGUAAUCCAGAUAGCUUUAACUUCAUCAAUUGAGGGAAUGCAACCUGAAAAUCAACAAAAUUAAGUUGUAAAUAAAAAUAUGUAUCCAAGCUCUGCAGUCUUCCCCUGCAUAUUUUAUGGACAAGAUUAAUCACGACAUUUUAUAUUUUUUUCCAAAUUAGUAUGCUUUGCAGUAGGAUCCCAAAUAUAAGUAUCAAAUCGAUUACCCUUUGAAACACAUAAAUGAAAUCUGAUCUUAAAUCCAAUAUGAAUUAGCUAGGAAAACAGAGAUGUAACAUGCAUAAUCGAUAUAGUUCAUCACCUCCUGUCACUAGGGAUCUAAUUAAUUUGAGACAUUUUUAUAAUUCAUACUAUAAAGUUAGUUAAUAACUACGGUUAUAUUGUUAAAUCAGAUAUAAAUUAAGACGACGUGCAAAAAGAUGAGUCAUUAAAUUUGAUUUGAUUCUAAUGAAAUUACAUUUGUGCGAACGAAAGUGAAGGGAAAAAUAAUAAUAAUGAUUACCUUUUCAUCGAAGAGAUGUUGUAUGUGAUUAGCUACCAAGAGGUUCUCUUCUGAUUUUAAUUUUUGAGGUUCCUUAUUAUCGGCUGUCAUGUGCGGUAGAGGUGUAGAAUUGGAUACAAAUGUUUCCAUAUCAGGGCAAUUCUCAAUAAUUAGAUAUUCCAACUUAGGCAUUUCAAUUAUAUUCCCAGUGAGGUUGCAGAAUCUUUUGAGUUUUGGAAGAUCAAUGAGCCUUAGCUCAAAAAGCAUAGGAAACAGGGGGCCUAUAUGUACUUUUUCAGCAUUUAGCUCUUCCAAAUGAAGCACCUCUUCUAGUGAAUCACAAUUGCUCACUUCCAGCCGUAGCAAAUUGUUAAAGCACCGUAGCAGAUUGGCAGGAAUAGCACUCGAAUAUUCGUGCAGUCAUCCACCACCAGCACUACUAAAUUGUUGAAGAAGCUGACAGGCAGUGCUUGGCCAUGCCAUGUUUCUUUCAAACGUGGAAAAGGUGAGAGUUGCAAAUACCAUAUGUCACGGAAUCCAAUCUGCACAAACCAAAACAAUUGCACUGGAUAUAUAUAAACUAUUUUUUUGAAAGGCAUUAGAUAUAUAUAAAAUAUAUAUACAAGGCAGGUGUAUAUGUUCAACGAAUCGAUUUAACACAUACCAUUUCUUUGUAACACUUUUGUAUAGUGGAAUUAAGGUUGCCUUCCCAAUGGCGCAAUUCAUCCUCUUUCUUUUCAGUCACCUGCACUUCGUGCAGCUUUGGUGUGGAUACGAUUCCCUGAGAAAAAGUCUUCAUGUUCUGACAAUGUGUCAUAGAAACUCGUUCCAAUAAUGGGAAUUCAAGAGUGUAAUUCUCCAAACAAAAGCUAGUAAACCUUGGUAAAUAAUCGAGUAUCAAAAGUUUUAAUUCCCUGAAAGCAAUACGAUUCUCCUUCACUUCUUCUCCAACAUGUCCUAUGAUUUCUUCUAUUUUUUCGCAGUGUGAGACAUUAAGAUUCACCAGACUACUAGGAAUUCCAACCUGAAAAUAAAGAGUAGCAUUCAACUAUAUUCAAAAUAUGUCUAAAUCAUACAAUUGUUUUAUGAAAAUAACAAACCAUGAAUGUCUACUAGAUAUUUUUUGUUAAAGAAAAAAAGGAAAACAAUAAAACAAAAAUAAAUAAAUAAAUAGAAAUCCAAAAAAACAAAGAUAAUGAAAAUGCAUUUAUGCUAUUUAGUGUUAGGAAUGUAGAAAGAAUUUCAGGUAAUUUUUAAAUAUUCUAAAUUCAUUUUUCAUCUUGAUGCUAGUUUUUAAAAAUUUUUAAUUUUCAAACAUGCCUAUUUUUAAAAUAACUAAACUAAAACGCUGUAUUUCCCAUUUUUUUUCCUGAUGUUUCCUGCUUUUAAAAAUGGAAAACAUUUCUGGAAAACACUUCCCAACGCCAUCAACAUGGGACUGUUAUAGAGUGAAUAUUUGAGGAAAUUUUUUAAUCAACGGUCGAUUCAAAAUGACCAUCAUGAAUUUGUGCUUAAUCAAUGGCGUAAUCAAUUCAUAACUAAACUAGAGAUAUUAACUACAUUUGAACACUUUUCUUUUUUUUUUUUAAAUCGAAAUCUAAAGACCCAAGGAAAAGAGAAAUAUAUAUGAAUUUGUGAACUUAAAAGCUGAGUAACUAAGUAUCUUUUAAUUUCUGAAAAUCUUAUUUAUUAGGAUUUAAGAAAAAAAACAAUUAAAUUGAAUUAUAUUAUGCUGUUAAAUCGUGUUUAAAACAAUUAUAUUGUUGACUUUAAUGCAGGUGAACCUAUAAAUUAGAUUGAAAAUGCAGAGUUCAGAAUGGUGAUUUGAAGUACACUACUUUUUUUCCCUCCACAAGUUUGAAGUACAAUAGUUGCAAUAAAUAAUUUGUGAAUGAAAAUUAUUUGUAAACACAAAAAUGAUUAAAAUAAUUGUUGAAUGUUAUUUGAAAUAAAAAUUCAAAAUGAAUAUAGCAAUCUUACCAAUGGAGGAAAAAUAUUCAGUAGAUUAUUACACCCAGAUAUCUCCAAACUUUUCAAUUUGCUAAAAGAGUCUAAAGCAAGCUGGUGGUGCCAUAUUUUUCUCAACUGAUCCAUCGAGCUAAUAUGCAAUACCUCCAGACUUGGGAGUCGUACCUGAAUUUAAAAAUUCAAUGCAAUUAGAGAUGGAUAUUAAUUAAAUUUGAAGACUCAACGAUAGAAGAAAUUAACUAUUAAGAAUAAAAUUAAUUAAAAAAAAAAACCUUUUCAUCAAAGAGAGGUUGAGGUUGCAUUUCAGAAUGAAUGGUGUCUUCUGGUGAGGCAAAGCUACUUAGUUUUGGAAGACCAUCGAGCUGCAGGGAGUGUAGUUUAGGAAAAACCUUUAAUUCAUCUCUUCCUCCUAACCCCGUGGUGUUGACUACCCCUUCAAUUGACCGGCAAUUUCGAAUCUCAAGAUGUUGGAGUUGCAAAAGACUAUUAACCAUAGAAUAUGAAAACGGAUACUUCAGACGAUGACACCUUUCCACGGUCACUUUUGUCAAGUUUUGACAACAAUACAUUCCCUGAAAUUGAUCGGGCCAUAAUUUUUUGAUGCUUAUUAAACGGUCAAGUUUCAGUUCCUCCAAGCGUGGAAAAGUAACCUGCAAAGCAAAACCGUACAUUCUUGUUAAUUAAUUAAUUAUUCUUUCGAUGAUUGAAGAUCAAUCGUGAUAAUAUAUUAAUUAAUUAAUUAUUAAAUAGAAAAUUAUUACCUGGUGAACAGGAUCAUCCUCUGCAUUGAUUUCUGUGAAUCCCUCAGUAGUUGUUGGUUUCUCCAUGUCGGGCCCUAUAAAUGAACAAAAACAAUAUAUAAUAAACAUCCGUUGUUUUAUUCACCAAAAAAAAAAAGAAAAAAAGAAAGAGUCAAUGUCAAUAAUCCUACCAAUAAUUAAUUUCAACACUUACCAAUAAUCAUUUUCAAAUCAUCGCAGUCUUCCACUUUUACUUUUUGAAGCCGCAAUAGGUUUUUGGCCAUAGAGAAUGAGAAGAGAUGCUUCAAUUUGUCACAAAAAGCUACUCUUAUAAUCCUUAAGUUGCUGAAAGAUUGAUCUUCUCUGAGUUGGCUGUAGCAUAUCGUCUCCAAAUUAGUUAAAUCAAUAAGAUCCAAUGACUCCAGCAAGGGAAAGACUUCGCAACGAACCCGUCUAACUGAACCGACAAUAUGUACAAUCUCAUAACAACUUUCUACAUGAAGAUGCUUCAAUCGUGGAAAACCUUCCCCAUCGUCUAAUUCAUGAACAACAUUCUGAACACCCUCCAAUUUUACUAGCCAGAGAUCUUCAGUUCUCUGCAGCAACAUUUUCGUCCCAUCAUUCUCCUGGAGAAUGCUAACUUUUUCUAGCCCCUUGAGCAUCAUCAAUCUUAAUGCUUCAGAUUUGACGAGCAAUUGGUCAAUCUCAUAUUCGAGCUUAUCUCCUAUACGUAUCCUAUAUCUUUGCAAUUCCACAGAGACAAAAUCCGGCAACAGAAUUUCGGCAUCCCGAACUUCUAUCUCCAAAGUAGUUAGCUUUGUCAACCUCUUCAACUCGACAAGACUGGCAUUACUUCCUCCUUCAACCUUCUCCCACCCUGAAAAGCUGUUAUCCAUAUACAAUUCUUCUAAUCGAGAUAAUUUUGAAAUGACAUUUGGUGCUAUCACCUGAAGGCUCCAACAAUUGGUCAAAUCUAACAAUCUUAACCCCGUCAAUUGUCCAAUUUCAAGUGGUAACUGCUCGAUAUUGGAAUCUGCAAGGUUGAGAAUCUCUAAUUUCUUUAGCUGUCCAAUUGCCGCUACAUCUUCUAGUUGGCACCAGUCUAAACACAAUGUUUGAAGGUUAAUGAGGCGACCAAGUGAUGAAGGUAAUGAAGAGAAAUGAAUUCCGAUAAGACUUAAAACUUUGAGUUCUUCUGUUCCUUCAAAAAAGAGGUCUGAAAUUUGCACGGGGCCAUAACCCUGUCUAAACAACAAAAAUAACUGGAGAUUGGGACAUUGCAACCUUUCAGGGAGCUCUUGAAUAUUUCUCUGGGGUAAUGAAAUGGCAAUUGGAUCUUUCCGUAUUGUCUCUUCCAUCUUUUUCUCCAAGUCGGCAACAUUUGGGAUAUUAAACAUGCGCGUCUCUGCGGCAACUGAUACGGCAACAACAUGAAUGAUGUCAUGCAUUUUAACUUCAUCUUCAGCAUCACCGUCCAACAAUAAGCAUGAAGAUUUGAGAUUGUCGAUCAACCGAUGCACCCUACUCCUUGCUUCUUCCAAUGUGUAAACAUUUUCAAACAAACCCCAACCCACACCAUAUCUCAAUAAGUAAGGAACUGGUAUAGCAUGACCUUCACUGUAUAGACCACAAAGACGGAACAUAGAUUUUGCUUCCUCACUUCUCAAGAAGUCGUAACUCAAUUUUAUGGAGAGGUACACAUUUUUUUCCAUUCCAUCAAUUUCUUUUGCAUAGGAACUUCUUAGCUGACGCAGCACAUCUUUCCAAGUGUCAAGGCUCUCAUUUUUCAAAGCUUUUGCAAGUGUAAUCAGUGCAACCGGCAGUUCUCCGCAUCUUCCGACGAUCUCAUGUGCUAUAGGUUGAAAAGCAGAUGUUUUCAUUGAAUCACCCACUAUCUUCUGAAAUAAAUGCAAUGCUUCUUCUUUUGAUAAAGCAUCGAUCUGGAUCUCUUUCUGAGAAUUCAUAACAUUGCGCAAUAAAUCUUGACGUCUAGACGUCAGUAUUAUUGUGCAUCGUCGCUGAUCAUCCAUUCUUUCUUUCUUAACAUCCCCGGAAGGAAUUCCAACUUCAUCGAACUUCAGUUCUCCCCAAAUAUUAUCCAAUAUAAUGAGAUGCCGCUCCUCGUUCUUCAAAACUCGACAUAGUCGAUUUGCUCUGUCGAAUAUACUCUCAUUCAACUCAAACUUUAUGCCUAAAUCAGAAGCAAGUUUGUCUUGAAUUUUCUGAUGAUCUGGGUUCUCUGUUACCUCAGCCAUAGCGACCUUAUCGAACAACUUAUCUUUUUCCAUCACUCGCUUUGCAACUUGCUUGACGAGCGUGGUUUUACCCACGCCGCCCAUCCCGUAGACCCCAAUAAUGUUGAGCUUAUCAUCCUUCAACGCCUCCACAACAUCUUGAAAUACUUUCAUUCUUGAAUCAAAGGCCUCGUAAUCUUUCACUUGCAAAUGUUCUGUACUCUCUGGAGCAGGAAGGUAGGAAACUUCCCUGAAGUCGCCUUCUUUUAUGAGACUAUCGGCUGCUUCUUUGUCCAUUGCAGCUUGUUUACUAACCCUGUAACGAGAAAUCAAAUUUGGGCACAAUCCAUCUUCAGUAUCAAUGAUGGGUUUUUCAAUCAAUCCAUCAACUUUUUUAAGCCAGAUUUCGACGUCAUCAAAAAUCUUAUCUCCUUGUCGAGUAGCCUGAUCAACGGCUUUUUCCACCCUUUGUCUUUCUUGUUUCAGCUUCUCCACUUGUUCUUUUAGCCCAUCGAUGUUGCUUUUGUACUCUGGCACAUAAGAUAUUGGUCGUAUAAUAAGUUCGAACAAUGUCUUUGCACCACCGGAUACAAUGCUGGAAAUAGCAUUGAGACACCCUUGUGCAGCCAUUGCGAGACACCCUUCUGCAGCCAUUGCCUGUUGCUAAACAAUAUAUAUAUAUAUAAAUAAAAGUGUCAAAGAAAUGAAUACAAAUAAAUUAAAAUGAACUAGAGGGAAAGACAGAGAAAGGAAAGACCGCAAACAACAUCGCGAUAUUGAUAUUGAACCAACUGAUACCUAAAUAGAGAAUUUCUUUUUCCAUCUUAAGGAUCAGAGGUUUCGCUAUUAACAGAAAGGUAUCCUUCAAGGAAAGUUGAUGGAAAUUAAGAAAGAACCGCUAUCAAUAUCAAGUAUUCUGCUACUAAAAAUAAAUGAUAUGACUUAAGAAAAAUAAAUGAUAUGAUUAAGAAAAACCAGAGAAUUUUUUCCUCGGAAAGUUGAUGGAAAUUAAGAAAAAACCGCUAUGAAGAACAAGUAUCAGAGAUUCUGCUACUAAAAGAAUAUUACAGGUUUUAGAACAAGUGCACCUCUUUACCUGUCUCGGAUCAGAGUUGAUGAGCUGCUGUAUUCACCUUGAAUAUAGAAGAAAAAUUUUAUUGAGCAAAAGGAUCUCUGUUGACUAAAGAGGAAUGCGAGUAACGAGUUGAUGAGAGUAAUAACAAUGAAUUUCCAAAAGAAGACGACUUGAGCAUUAAGCACGCAUCCCUUUUUCAAUCAAAUACUGGUACGUAUGUCCGUAGGGACCAUUAUGCGUAUACGAAGUCUAUUAGUUGCAAUCAGAAGCCCCGGCCCAAUUUAAUUGACACUCGAUUUUUGAUAAGAAGAAGGCAAGGAUAAGGAUAAAGUCAAUCAAUCACCAACAGUAAUUACUUCAAUCUUUGUCAAUAUACUUAAAUUGUCGAUCAACAUGAAAAUUGUUUAAAUUGAUAUUUGUAAAUGAAUCAAUUUUCUAGUUACUAUGAUUAUAACGUUUCACCUUUCAUAUUGGAUUUUAUCUUUUCAAAAGUUUUCAAAUGUGAGUUUCAAUAAUUAUUGAGACUCCAAGCCGUGCUCUCAAGAUUGUGCUGACAAAUCACCAUUAGCUUUAUUUAUGCAUAUUUCAAAGAAAAAAAAAGUUAUGGUUUGUAUUGCCAGCCCUGCUACUUUUUGUUUUUUUUCAUUUGUAUUAUUUACGAAUUAUUUUUUAACAGAAACAUGAGAACUCUUCAUCGUACAAAAUUGCAUGAAAAAACCUUCAAAUUUAUAAAAGUAAAUUUCAUUGACAGAUUGUGGAUAUGUUUGCAAGAAUAAGGAUAAGAAUGAGUUAAGAAAUUAAAAAAAAAAAAAAAGAUAGUGUAAGUAAACAAUGUUUUGGUACAUUUGGUAUUGUUUUCAAAAUAUUUUGAAAAGAAAAAUUUUCAAUCAUCCACCUAAAAAUUAUCUUAUUAUCCAAAAAGUUAUAAAAAUUUAAAUAUACUUAAUUUUAUACCCAUUAUUACAAUGUGUAUAACUGUUUACUAAAAAUUUAAAUAUACUUAACGGAUGUUUAAUACAAAUUGCAUACAUUGGGUGUAAAAUUAAAUAAAUUUAAAUUUUAUAAUAAUUUUAAUAACUGAAUAAACUUUGAGUAAAUGACUGAUAAUUUUUCUUUUAUAAGCUAUAAGAAGUCAAAUAAAAAAUAGGAUGAUAAUUUCUGAUGGGUGUCGAAGCCAACAAAAAUAAAUUCCUACUCUAAAUAAAUUGUGUAUAGUGAUUGAGCAGGGUCGUGUCCACAGAGAUCGGUAAUUAUUUAAAUCCUUUUGAAACGUAAAACGUAAAAUGAGGGAAUUGUUGACAAUAAUAAAAAUCAAACUAAAAUAACGAGAAUGUAAAUUAAAGUUGUGAUUCAAAUUGGAGAAAGCUCUGGUUGAAGGAAUUAACUCAGCUUGAUUCGACUACUGAUCAUUGAUUCAAAUAUAGAUUAUUAUUACUUAUGAAUAGACCGGUUAUAGCUACUGAGACCCUCUAAUAGCCAAUCUCUCCUUAACUAGUCGAUAACCAAAGUACGACCGUUGGUUAUUUCCCUAAUCAAUAGACAACCCUAGAUACGAUCAUAUGAUUUAAUCAAUUGACAGCCUGAAAAACCAGAGAGACCCAAAUCCUAAUCAACACAUAUGAUGAUUCAUUUAAAUUAGAUUGUUUAUUCUCACAACACAACUCUCUGCUAUGUUAUUUGUCACAAACAUUAAAUUCUUCAUACGAUGAAUCCUUUAAUUGACAAUAGAUUAAGUUGAUAAUUAAAUAGUGGCCAAUUACCUAAUUAACAAACAUAAUCAUGAAAAUAAUUCAGAGAAUAAACAAAUACCCAAAAGCAAUAAAACAAUUAAAGCACAAGAAAGAUCUCACAGUACUGAUGAAUCAAAGCUUCAUUAUCCUUCAACCAGAAAAAUGGGUUUAGUUCCUCAUAGAGAGAAGAGAAAAAUUAGAUCUAGGGUUUCUUUUUCUCCAAUCCAAAAAUCCCCUUUUUUCACAAUAGAUUCCUCCCUUAAAUACUCUCUCUCUCUUCUCUUUUAGAGUUCUAUUUAAAAUAAAAUACUAAUAUCUGAAAUAUUAAAUUCGUAAUUACAAAAAUAGCCAAAAAUACAAAACACGUUAAACUCAAAACUGCAGGUUCGCAGUUGACAGCACGCGCCCACGCCUUAUCAACAAAGUUCUUCUGCCGCUCAUAAUUUCUCCAAGAGAACAAUCAUCCUUAAACAUCAUCUUAUAGCUCAAUUUUAUCACCAAUUAAUAGAAUUGCACCUACAAAAGUAAAACACAAGUAAAUCACUAUUAUUAAGUGCAAAACAUCGAUAUUAAGGGAAGUAAACAAUGCAAAACUAGUGCAUAAAUUGCACUCUAACAAUUUCUCUUUUAUAUUGCUCAGAUGAUUUAUUGUUUGGGGACUAAGAUUUUAAGUAUUCAACUUAAAAGAUUAAUAUAUUAUAAAUUGAUUAAUUAAUUAAUCAUUAAGCAACUAAAUUGGGUCCCUGGAUGUCAAUUCCUUUAAUAUUGAUGCAACAACCUUUUUUUGGCAAAUAAUUGUUAAUGCACUUACGGAACUUUUGCGUGUCUACACAGCGAGUUCCAGGACAUUUUCGCAUUGUGCAACAAUUGCUAAUAGCACCUUUUUACGAUUAAUUUAUAAUAUAAUUUCAGUAAAGAUAGAAAUACAAAUUUUAUAUAAAUUGAUAUGAUAUUACUUAAAAACAUUUCAUUGCUCACAUGAGUUACUGCUGAAGCCUAUGAUUUUAGAUACUCAACCCAAAAGAUUAGCCUAUUGAGAGGAGGGAGGUCUAUGAUUUUAGAUACUCAACCCAAAAGAUUAGCUUCUUGAGAGGAGGGACCACUUGUAUUUAUUAGGAAUGGGCAUCAGAUCAGAUUUGGGUUGAUUUGAUCCGAUCCGAUAUGAGCUAAUCUUAUUUGGAUUGGAUUCGAAUUUAGCUCUAAAUCUGAUGGGAUAAGAAUGUUGCAAUCUGAUCAGAUCCGGAUCAAUACGAUCGAUUGCACUUACAAUUAAAAAGAAUACAAAACUUAAAUAUAAAUAAGAAAUAAAAAUUAAAAGACAACCCUAAAUCCCUAAAUCCUUAAAUUUCCCAAAUCAAAACAGAAAGAAUCAAAAAAAGCAACUCAGCCGCAUGCCGACAUUAGCGACGAACCCAGCCAUUCUCUUGAGAAAUAGUUGGCCAGUGUCACGAUCGGUUCCAAUGGCUUGACCACGUCCCCUUCCUCUAGCUCUUCCUCGAGCUAUGUUGUAGUGGCAAAGAAUAACGAUGGAGAAAUAAUGAUAGAACAGCUAACAAAGAAUUUAGUUUGAUUCUCAAUGAUCCUUUUAUUGAAUAAAUUAUGCUCAAUUUAUACACUACUAACUGCAACUUGACAACAAAAGCGCAACUCACAACCAGAAAAUAGCAACAGCAACUAAGAAAUAGCAAGUAAAUCAGAUUCUUGCCUAUUAUUCGGACUAGUGACCCACUACUUUGACUGACUCAACAAAACAAAUAAACUAAAAUGCUGACUCAUGACAGCCAGUUGCAAAGCCGAUGAUGCCCGAGCUGCAUGCCGAUGACGUCCCAGCCGACAGCUGCUGGGCCAGUGACCCGUACAUUGCAAAAGUCCUAAACCUAGUCGUUGCAUUUAUUUGUUUGUUGCAAAGGUUUCAAAUGGAGUCGGAUCCAUUAAAGCUUUUGAGGUGCAGAGGUUAUAAAAAUAGAAUAGAUACUUUGAAAAACUUGCAGAGGUUUGCGUCGUUUGAAUUGCUUGUGAACUUAUUUUUGCAUGCAUGUUAUUCUCUAUGCUUUUUGGUGAUUGUAAAAUUAAUUGUUUGAUUUAGCUUUCCAACUUUUGGGAUGCAAUUGUUACUGGUGUUCUCAACAAAAUAAUUGAUGUGAAAAUGGACGAACUUUCAUUUUUUGUCUUUGUUCUUCCAUUUGCUAGCUUGCUGCAUUUUUUUCUUAAUUUCUAUGAUUUUUCAAUUUUGUAUUUCAACUUGCAAGUGAUUGAGAUUCAUCUGAUUUAUUCGAACACAUCUGAUUCCAAUUUCAGUAUGAUAUUAUCGAUCUGAUCCGAAUCCAAAUUAAUCCGCACUAUUCAUCCAAUUUGAAUGUGAUCCGCACAUAAUCGGAUUGGAUGCAAGUUCAUAUUGCAUUCAUAUGACUUUUUAUCAAUUCGAACAAUCCAAAAUCUGAUCGUAUUAAUCCGAAUAUUAUCUGCAUCCAAUUUUGCCCAUCUCUACUACUUAUAAGCCCAAGUGACUCUCUUUUACUAAUUAACUAGAAAAUAGACCCGCGUUUCACGCGGCUUUGAAAAAAGAAUUUACUAUUAUCUUUUUUUUCUUACUUUACACUUGAUGAAAUAGAUAAAAAAAUAAGAAUUGAUUUUUUUUUAAAGAUGAGGCAGCCUUAUAAAAAAAAAAGUUAUUAGGUAGUAAUAUAAAUAAAGAAGCAACACAAGAUAAAGAAUAAAAUGAGAGAAUAUAUUAUAGAGAGAUUUUAUUCAUUCCAAUUGUGUGUGUACAAAAUAAAAAGAUGAGCUCUCCUUUUAUAGUUACAUAAUCACUCCAUGAAGUUAAUGAAAAAUUAUGGAUCAUAAUUUCUUGUGAGAUAGUGGGAGUUAUAGGGAAGCUAAAGGUUGCUAAUGGGAGAUAGUGGGGAGACUAAGAGAUAUAUGUUAUGAACAUUUAUAUUUAUUUUAAUAAAUUCAUAACACUCCCCCUUGGAUAUUCAUUACAAAAAAUAUGCAUCAUUAAAAUUUUUACAUAAUUGUUAUUGUAUAAUAACAAUCAAAUUAAUUAUGAGAAGAUGAAAAACCAAAUCUAAAAGAAAAUUUCUCUAUUUAUUAGAUAAUAGAGAAUAUACAAAGAAGAGAAAUGGUGAUGCCACAUCACCUCCUCAAGUCCCAACUUUAUAUAGAUAUAUAGAUAUGGGACAUUAUUUAAGAAUUCUUUCUCAAAUGAGGAAAAUUAUCAUACCAUUUUUAUCCAUUAAUUUAGAAUAAAUGCAUUUAUCAUCAUUAUUAUGUUUAAAUCCAUGCAACAUGAUCAUAGAAUCAAAAUUUUCAUGUUGUUGCGUUAGUGCUUAUUUAAGAUCAUAUAAUGACUUUAUUAAUUUACUAAAUUUAUUUUGUAAAUUAGUAAAUUUAUUUUUUCCUUUCUUUGUUGUAAAUCAUUUUGCAUCCAACCACCCUCUAAAGGCUUGGGCCAAUGUUUCAAACAACAAUGCAUCAAGUUCCAAUCUAAGUUAAGAUCCUGCUGAUGCAUCUAGUUGAUUAGAUAAUAAUGAGUCUAUCUCAUUACUUGUUGCCUCUUUCCACAAGGCUGCAUCUGUUGAAGCCAUAGCCUCACUGAGAGUUUAAAGAUCUUCUUCCAUAUUAAAUAGGGAAAUUAUCAUUCUACCAUCUUUCUUUUGACUUAUGUUCAUUUAACCACCACUAAAUUUCAACAUGUUUUCUGCAAUACCUUUCUUUUUAAAUUUGAAUCAAUUAGCCACUUUUACACUAACACUGUUAAAUAAUUUAAACAAAAUGAUAAUUUUACUUCUAAAUAAAUUAAAAUGCCAUUUUAUCUUAUAAAAGCUUUGAAAAAUAAAAAAAUUUUACUUACAAAAUAAUCCAAAAUAGAGGUGCUCAGCUUAUUUUUAUUAAAAAUUUAUAAUUUUGUAAAAUUUUAUUAAAAUAACUAAAUUUAUUUAUUAAAAAUAAAUCCCAAAAUUUUAAUGUUUUAGGGGAUGUUUAUUAAAUCCCAAAAUUUUGCAAUUAUUUUAUAAUUAUAAUUUUUAUUAAAAUAAAAAUUCUAAUUUGGGGAUUUAUUUCUUUAUUAAAUUUAGGGGUAUUUCUAUAAUUAUAAUUAUAAUUUUUUAUUUUUUAUAAAAUAAAAUGAUCUUUUAAUUUAUUUAGGGGUAAAUUUAUCAUUUUGUUUAAAUUAUUUAAUGGUGUUAGUGUAAAAGUGACUAAUUGAUACAAAAUUAAAAAGAAAAGUAGUGCAGAGAACAUGUUAAAAUUUUGUAGUAAUUGAAUGAGCAUAAGGCAAAAGAGUAGUGGUGAAAUGAUAAUUUUCCAAUUAAAUAAAACGGGUGUUCGAUUAAGAACUCUAUCUCUAUCUCCUCGUCCUAUCAAAUAACGUCAACCAUCCAAAAGAAAAAAAUAAAUUGGAAAAGUCCACGGGUAGCAAUAAUUUCUGGUCCGUUCCUGGACCUCCAUUAUCUGGCACUAUGAAUAAUGAAAAUGACAUUGCAAUCGUUAGGUAUCUUGGAAAAAUGACGAAAGUUUUUGGAGGGAGGUGGGGGAAUUGUCAAAAGUUCACACAAUGCGAAACAAGUGUUACAUCCAAUUAAAUUUUAUUUCAUUACCUCUUUUGCCUCAUAAAUAAUAGGAUCACCACGAGAUAAUGAUAAUAUCAAAUAAUGACAACCAUCCAAAUGUAUGAUGGGUCUUCCAAAUUUUGAAAAUGUCGUCAACAUCAAAUCUUCAAUGCCGAAGAAGGUAUAUGCCCAAAAAAUGACACGCAAGACCCACUCCACAGACUAAAUUGUCCUUGAUCAUAUGUAACAAACUUUGGCCUUAUGUGCCUGUGGUGACAUUAGACUGUUCAUUUUCAUUGUUUCUUACCUUCCAUUUACGCCCACUGUAGUAUUAUUUUAUUCACCAUUUUAGCCAUUUAAAUGAAAUUUUAUUUUUGUCAAAAAAUGAACUUUUACUUUUGUCAAAAAUAAAAUGAUACCCUAAAAAUUUAGAAAAAUAGUCACGUAGACCUCAAAUUUUUAAUAUAGGAUACCAAUACCCCUUUUGAUCAUAAUACUACUCUUAGUAGAUGGUAAAAAAAAAAAAAAGACUUCAAAAUUUUUUAUAAAAUUUAAAUAAUUAAUUUCAAUAUUAAAUUUUAAAAUGUGAAUUAAUAUAUUUGUAUCUAUAAAAUACUUGUAAUUAUUACAAAAAAAAUUUAAAUGAAUCCUUAGGUUAAAUAGAUUUUACAAUUAAUAUAAUAUUUCUCAUGUAUUAAUAAUAUUAAAAUUAUUUUAUGUGAUAUUGAAAAUAAUUUAAAUUUUUAUGUAUUUAUUUGAAUAUUAUGUCUCUAUUUAUUAUUAUUUGGUUUAAUAGAAUACGAGAUUUUAAAAUAUUAAAAUAUUUUUAGAUAUUGAAAUUAUUUUAAUAUGUAUACAUUAUUAUAUUCAUUUUAAUAUCCUACUUAUAUUUAUUAUAAAAUAUGAGAAUUAAUUUUUUUAGUUAAUAAAUUUAAAAAAUACUAUAAUAAAAAAAAAGGAUCUUAUUGUCCGGUAUUCACGACAUGAGGUACUACAAAAUUAUUUCCCCGGACGGGUGUGCUUUUCUUAUUUUUAGAAAGAAAAAUAAGUCAAUGGGUUUCAACAAUUUCUAGUCCUAUCUGCCACUAUGACUAAUGGAAACGACAUUGCAAUUGACAUUGCUUUUCGCAAUAUGACUAUUUUUUGGAGAAUCGUCAAAAGUUCACUCCACUAGAGAGUUUUAGGUGGGAGAAUUGUCAAGAGUUCACACCACAUGAAACUAAUGAUAGACUUAAUUUCGCUGUCAGUUCUUUAUUUAUUUAUUUUAUUUAUUUAAUACAUUAUUGUCUUGUUGGUAUUGUGUUGUAAAGAUAUAAAAGUAAAGUAAAAUAUUAAGGGUGCUGUUAAGUUACAACUGAUGUAACUUACAGUUUUUUAAAAAAUAAUGUAAAAAAUUUAAUAGGUGGUGGGACUCAAUUUUUUUUUUUUUGAAGAGAUCAUAAGUUACAGCACUUGUAACUUAACAAAAUCCAAAUAUUAGACAAUAAUACAUAUUAACAAUGCAUAUAAUUUGGGUCUGAUUUUUAAAAAAUUAUUUGAGUACCACCUAUCCUUAAGAUAUUAAUGUGAAUGUAUUUUAAUAGUAAAUAAUAAAUUUUUUUUAACUAUUAUUUGUAUUUCAUACAUUACAUAUUAUAUUUGUUUGAAUUUUAAGUUGUUGCUAAUAAAUAUUUAUGUUGUGAAAGUCGAAUUCAAUAGCUACAAAAGAAGAGAUAAUGGUAUUUUAUAUAGUUUUUAAGAAUACAAGGAUAAGCUGGAUAAUUGACUUAAGUUCUAAUGAUUAAAACAACAACUAUCCCUUAAAUUAUAAUGUCAAUUUCUUUAAUUAGAAUUUUUUUCAACAAUUGCUACAGUUUUUUAAAUAAUAAUGGGAGUUAUAAAUUAUUUAUAUAAAAUUUGUGUAGAAACUAAUGUAACCUAAAAGUGGUUGCUGAAUAACAAUAUUUGAAACUUUAGGUAAUUUUCAUAUCAGCCCUUUUUAUAUUCAGCAACUUUAGAACUUAAACAAACUUGCCCUCGAUCUUAAUUUAUUUACCCCAUUUAAACCCAUGAUGCAUGAUGACAUAAACAGAUUCUUGUGUGAUGAAAACAUCAAGAAAAGACAUCUCAUGUUUUAAUAUAACAGAAAAAAAGCGGUCCAUAAGUCUAUCCAUUAUUUUAUUUAUUCAGUACAAAUGGCCAACUUUAAAAAAUGAUAAAAGUCACACAACGCUUAAGUGAAAAUUAAAAAUGACAUUUUUUAAUACUCUCUGAGUCUCUCUCUCUCCCCCUUUUUUUUCUAAAUAAACCUUAGUUUAAAAUUAGAAGAAUUUUAGAUAUAAAAAUUUGUCAAUCACUUAACAGAAAAGUAGGGGAAUGAAAACAAAGGAGCCCCUGUUAUUAUUGGAAUAUUAAUUAUAGAUGUUAUAAUAUCUAUAACUUGUCGUGGUUCAUUGUAGCAUUCUAAGCCAUAUUCUAAAACUAGGAAAUAGAACCGCACUUCGUCCGGCUUUAAAAAAAAUUAGUAUUAUUUUUUUAUUCCUUUGUAAUUAAUGAAAUUGAUAAAAAAUAUGAAUUAUUUUUUUAAAAGAUGACGCAGUCUUAUAAAACUAAUGUUAUUUAUGAAAGUUAAUUAUUUUUUGUUAACAUUAAAAAUAUAUAUUAAUGUGUAUAGUUAAGUGUACACAACCUUUUCAUCAAUAAAAAUUAUGUUCACACUAAUCAACUCUCCAUUUUUCUUGGUAUAAAUGGCAUUGUUGAGGGAAGAUGAUGAAACCUUCCUUCUUAUAUUAAUUAAUUGAUGUAUUUUAAGCCACUAAAAUUUAAUUGUUGGCAUAAUAAAAUAAAUGAAUGUUUCAAAACUCAUAAUUAAUUAUUAUUAAUGGUUACAUAUUGUUGAAUUUAAAUAGAAAUAGGAAAAGACAUGUAAUCAUUUAUAAUUUAAUAAUUAUUUUAUAUUUUAAUAUUUUGUAAUGUAAUUAUUUUUUAAUUUCAACCAAUUUAUUAAAUAAUAGACAAUAUGAAAUGAUGAGAAAUGGUGAUGCCACAUCACCUCUUGUAGUCCCAACUUUAUAUAUAUGUAUAGAUAGAUAGAUAAAUUAAUUCAUGUAUUUUAUGCCACUAAGGUUUAAUUGCUAGCAUAAUAAAAUAAAUAAAUGUUUCAAAAGACUUAUAAUUAAUUAUUAUUAAUGAUUACAUAUUGUUGAAUUUAAAUAGAAAGAGAAAAAAAAGUACAAAGAAUAUUCACCAAUAUUUUAGAUAUUUUAUAUAAUAGAAAAUAUAAAAAGAUGAGGAAUGAUAUAUAUUAAUAAAGUUACUAUUUAUUAAAUGAGUUAAAUACAAUCAAAUUAAUUAUGAGAAGAUGAAAAGACAAAUUUAAAAAAAAAAAUAUCUAUUUAUUAGAUAAUAGAGAAUAUACAAAGAAGCAAAAUGGUAAUGCCACAUCACCUCCUCAAGUCUUAGCUUUAUAUAUAUAUAUAGAUUAGUAGAUUUGUUAAGAUUUUUAUUAUUGGCAUCAUUGUGUCAAUAUUAUUAUAAUUUAUUCAUUCUAUUGUAAUGAAAAUUUGUCUAUUCUUAGCUACUUAUUAAAUUAUCCUUAAUUUAUUACGAAUAUUUUUGGAGACAAAAGAAACACGUGUAUGUAGGAUUAAUGAUUGGAGAGUUGUAAGUAAAGGUGAUUGCUUCAUUGAGAAGCAUAUUAAAGAAUUAUGGAAAGUUGCACUGUUCCAGAAGCAUAUAUUUAUACUUCCCUAUUUGGACUUGUGAAGUGAUGAUCCGGCCGUAACUAUUGUGAAGCUUUCCUCAAGUAUUCUCAUGCAUACUUGAGGAAAGAUACAAAUUGCAUACAUGUCUAGGAGCCUUAUCAAAGGCGUUAUAUAACUUGUCCAAUUAAUUAAUUCUCUUAAGGGUCAUACCGUGCUCACUCAUUUCAAAAGCAAUUAAGGAUAAGAACUUUCAUCAUUAAUUGAUAUGGCCAGUGUAGAAAAAAUGCCAAGAUCAAAGCACAAGGAUAAGUUUAGAAUUACACUUUUUAAAUUUUGGUUAAUAAAUAAACGUCUAUAUGAAAAUGGAAAAUCUUUUUGGAAUAACUUUUCUUUUCUUUUCUUUUUUUAAUGAAUGUGGAUAUAAAAUUUUAAAAUCGCCAAACCGAAAAGAAAAACAGGGGAAUGAAAAGAGGGCUCUGUUUCUCCUCUGUUUCGAUUUUUUUAUUACUAAACAGGGGAAUGAAGAGAUCAGCUCUUGUCGCAAGUGCAAAUGCAGUUGGUUAUUCUACUUUUGCUAGUGAAGUUUUGGGCCUUGUCGUAAUUGCUGUAAUUGCGACAUCGGUGGUUGACAUGGCUUUCCUUGUACAGGUAUGUAUGAUUGUUUUUUUUUUUUUUGCACUUCUAAAUGGACACUGUUGAAAAGCUUAAAAUUGAACUGAUAAUUUUGUUUGGAAGCUUAGAAAAUUCAUGAGAAAGUGAAAUAGAAUAUUCUGGAUUUCUUACAUAAAAAAAAACAGAAUUAAAGCAAGGUACACAACUAUAACAGAAUCAAAAGCGUGCUUUACUAAUUGGCUGAGCUGGCAUAUACUUCUUUAACUAACAAUGCUGCUGACUGGACUUUAGCUCACACAUGCUUAUUGUGGAGCUACUCUUACUUCACACGUGCUCAGUGUGCUUCCUUAACAGACACAAGGGAAAAGACAUGAUUUUGAGAUUAAUUUAUACCAUAAUAAUAAUAAAGCUAGAGUAAUGAUAUGAAUCAUUAAUUGCUACAAAAUAAUUUGCUAGAUAGCGCCAACACUUAAUUGAUACUCACCAUUUCAUUGAACAAUUGUUUUAUGGUGUCAUUGAGGUUGCCUUCCCAACAUCCUUCAUCAUCAUCAUCUUCUUCAUCCUCAUCAUCUUUUUCUUCGGUGAGUUUCACUUUGUUUAGCUUUGGUGUGUCUACGACUCCUUGUGAGAAAAUCUUCAUCUUUGGGCACUGUCUCGCAAUUACUUGUUCCAAAGGAUGGGAAUUGAAGAGUGUAAUUACCCCGAACAAAGCUUGUUAAGCCUGUCAACCAAUGAAGUGUCAAGUAGUUUCAUUUUCUCGGAAGAACAAUGCAAGCCCUUUCACUUCUCUCAACCUGCAAUUGUUAUGAUCUUCCUUCUAUCAUUUUGCAAUCAGCNNNNNNNNNNNNNNNNNNNNNNNNNNNNNNNNNNNNNNNNNNNNNNNNNNNNNNNNNNNNNNNNNNNNNNNNNNNNNNNNNNNNNNNNNNNNNNNNNNNNUGAGAGUGUCACACAUUUAUCAACCUGUGACACUUCGAUACUUCUAGUCCCCACAGAUUUUCCAAAUGCCACGAAGGUGGUACUAAUUUUUGCAACUUACUACGUUCCGAUAUUUCUAGACUUCCCAUGUUUGCAAACGCUUUGUUGGAUUCGUCAUUUUCCUUCCAGAGAUGCUGCACUUUGUGUAAUCUAGAUAGCUUUAACUCCAUCAAUUGAGGGAAUGCAACCUGAAAAUCAACAAAAUUAAGUUGUAAAUGAAAAUAUGUAUCCAAUCUCUGGAGUCUUCCCCUGCAUAUUUUAUGGACAAGAUUAAUCACGACAUUUUAUAUUUUUUUUCCAAAUUAGUAUGCUUUGCAGUAGGUUCCUAAAUAUAAAUAUCAAAUCGAUUACCCUUUGAAACACAUAAAUGAAAUCUGAGGCUAAAUCCAAUAUGAAUUAGCUAGGAAAACAGAGAUGUAACACACAUAAUUAAUAUAGUUCAUCACCUCGUGUUACCAGGCAUCCAAUUAAUUUCAGACAUUUUUAUAAUUCAUACUAUAAAGUUAGUUAAUAACGGAGGUUAUAUUGUUAAAUCAGAUAUAAAUUAAGACGACGUGCAAAAAGAUGAGUCAUUAAAUUUGAUUUAAUUCUAAUGAAAUUACAUCUAUGCGAACGAAAGUGAAGGGAAAAAUAAUAAUAAUAAUAAUCACAUUUUCAUCGAAGAGGGGUUGUACUUGAUGAGCCAGCAAGAAGUUCUCUUCUGAUGUUAAUUUUUGAGGUUCCUUGUUAUCUGUUGUCACGUGCACUACAGAGUUGGAUAUGAAUGUUUCCAUAUCAGGGCAAUUCUCAAUAGUCAGACGUUUCAACUCAGGCAUUUCAAUUAUAUUCUCAGUGAAGUUGGGAAUCUUUUGAGUUUUGGAAGAUCAAUGAGCCUUAGCUCGAAAAAGCUUAGGAAACAGGGGGCCUAUAUGUUCUUUGUCAACACUUAGCUCUUCCAAAUGAAGCACCUCUGCUAGCGAAUCACAAUUCCUCACUUCCAGGUCCAUCAAAUUGUUCAAGCACCGUAGCAGAUUGGCAGGAAUAGCACUCGACAUAUUCGUGCAGUCAUCCACCACCAGGUGUCCUAAAUUGUUGAAGAAGCUGACAGGCAGUGCUUGGCCAUGCCAUAUUUCUUGCAAACGUGGAAAAUGCGAGAGUUGCAAAUACUUUAUGUCACGAAAUCCAAUCUGCACAAACCAAAACAAUUGCACUGGAUAUAUACAAUUUUUUACUUUUUGAAAGGCACAGACAUAUAUACAUUAAACUUACAUGUUUUGUGCUUAAAUGUGCAAGUGCAAGGGAGAUGCAUGAGCAAUUUUGAUGAAUCGAUUCACACAAAUCAUUUCUUUGUAACACUUUUGUAUAGUGGAAUUAAGAUUGCCUUCACGAUCGUGCAAUUCACCCUCUUCCUUUUUAGUCACUUGCACUUUGUGCAGCUUUGGUGUGGAUAAGAUUCCCAGGGAAAAAGUCUUCAUGUUCGGACAAUGUGUCACAGAUACUUGUUCCAAUGAUGGGAAUUCAAGAGUGUAAUUCUCCAAGCAAAAGCUGGCAAGCCUUGGUAAAUCAUCAAGUAUCAAAAGUUUUAAUUUGCUGAAAGCAAUACGAUUCUCCUUCGCUUCUUCUCCAACAUGUCCUAUGAUUUCUUCUAUUUUUUUGCAGAUUGAUACAUUAAGAUUCACUAAAAUACCCGGAAUUCCAACCUGAAAAUAAGCAAAAGAGUGUGUGUGUAUUAAAAAAGUAAAAAUUAAGAGUAUCAUUCAACUAGGUUCAAAGUAUGUUUAAAUCAUACAAUUAUACGUUUUAUAAACAUAACAAACCAUGAAAUGGCUACUAGAUAAUUUUUGUUAAACAAAAAAGGCAACAAGAUAAGUAAAUAAAUAAAAGCCAGAUAAACAAAGAUAAUAAAAACGCAUUUACACUAUUUAGUAUUAGGAGCGUAGAAAGAAUUUAAGGCAAUUUCUAAAUAUUUUAGACUUAUUUUGCAUUUCGAUGCAAAUUUUUAAAUAAAUUUGAAAUUGCAACUAUUCCUUUAAAAAAAAACUCAACCAAAAUGCUGCUUUUUCCAUUUUCCUUGGUCCCUUUUUUUUAUGUAUAUUAAAAAAUGCAAAAAAAAAAUGGAAAAGACUUCCCAAUACUGUCAACGUAGGACUGUUGUAAAGCGGGUCUUUAUUAAGUACUUCCAUGAAUUUAUGAUUAAUUAAUGUCAUAAUCAAUUCAUAACUAAACUAGAGAUAUUAAUUAAAUUUGAAGACUUUUCUUUUUCUUUUUUUCCAAACGAAAUGUCAAGAAUUAAGGAAAAGAGAAAUAUAUAGAUGAAUUUGUGAACCUAUAAGAUGAGUGACUAUCCUUUAAUUUUUGAAAAUCGUACUUAUUAAGAUAUGAGAAAAACAAUUAAAUUGAAUUAUAUUAUGCUGUUGAAUCGUGUUUAAAAAAAUUAUAUUGUUGAUUCUAAUAAUGGCGAACCUAAAAACUGGACUUAAAACGUAGAUUUCAGAGUGGUGGUUCGAAGUACAAUACUUGAAAUAAAUAAUUAGUGCCUGAAUAUCAUUCGUAAACACAAAAAUGGUUAAAAAAUUGUUGGAUGUAAUUUGAAAAAAAAGAUUCGAAAUGAAUACAGCAACCUUACCAAUGGAGGAAAAAUAUUCAUUAGGUUAUCACACCAAGAUAUCUUCAAAUUCUUCAAUUUGCUGAAAGACUCUGAAGCAAGCUGGUGGUGCCAUAUUCUUCUCAAAUUAUCCAUCCACCAAAUAUGUAAUUCCUCCAACUUCGGAAGUCGUACCUGGCAGUUAAAGGUUAAAUAACUAAUUAAUCGGCAUAAUCUAUUGAUAACCAAAUUAGAGGCUGAUACUAACUAAAUUUGAAGACUCAAGGAAAAGACAAAUUAAAUAUUGUGGCUAAAAUUAAUUUAAAAAAAAAAAAAACCUUUUCGUCAAAGAGAGGUGGAGAUUGCAUUUCAGAAUGAAGGGUGUCUGCUGGUGAGCUCGUAGAGAUGAAUCUUAACAUAUUAUUGCAACCACCAAUCUCGAGGUUUAGUAAAGAAGGGAAUUCAACAACUAAAUCUGAAUGAAUAUGUCCCGUAUUGGCAAAGCUCGUUAGUUUUGGAAGCACACAAAGCCGUAAGGAGUGUAGUUUAGGAAAAACCUCUAACUCAAUCAACUUUCCUUCAUCUCUUCCUCCUAACCACCCUGUGGUGUCGACUACCCCUUCCAUCGACUUACAAGAUCUUAUCACAAGAUGUUGGAGUUGCAAAAGACUAUUAACCAUAGAAUAUGAAAACAGAUACUUCAGACGAUCACAACUUUCCACGGUCAUUUUUGUUAAAUUUCCACAAUAAGACACUCCCUGAAACUGUUCGGGCCAUAAUUUUUCAAUGGUUGUUAACCAUAUAAGUUUCAACUCCUCCAAGCGUGGAAAAAUAACCUGAAGCAAAACGGUACGCUUUUGUUCCGUCAAUUACAACUGUCUAAUAUAAUAAUCUUUUGAUGAUUGAAGAUCAAUCGUGAUAAUAUAUUAAUUUAUUAAUUAUAAAACAGAAAAUUAUCACCUUGUGAACAGAAUCAUCCUCUGCAAUGAUUUCUGUCAAUCCCUGAGUAGCUGUUGGCUUCUCCAUGUCGGGCCCUAUAAAUGAACAAAAACAAUCUAUAAUUAACCUCUGUCCUUUUUUUUUUAAAAAAAAGAGAAAAAAGAAUGAGCCAAUGUCAAUAAUCCUACCAAUAAUUAAUUUCAACACUUACCAAUAAUCAUUUUCAAAUCAUCGCAGUUUUCCACUUCUACUUUUUGAAGCCGCAAUAGGUUUUUGGCCAUGAAGAAUGAGAAGAGAUGCUUCAAUUUGUCACAAAAAAAUACUUUUAUAAUCCUUAAGUUGCUGAAAGAUUGAUCUUCUCUGAGUUGGCUGUAGCAUAUCGUUUCCAAAUUAGUUAAACCAAUAAGAUACAAUGUCUCCAGCAAGGGAAAGACUUUGCAACGAGCUCGUCCAAUUGAACCGACAAUAUGUAAAAUCUCAGGACAGCCUGCUACUAGAAGAUGCUCCAAUUGUGGAAAACCUUCCCCAUCGUCUAAUUCAUGAACAACACUCGGAACACCAUUCAAUGUUACUAGACGGAGAUCUUCAGUUCUUUUUAGCAACAUUUUCAUCCCAUAAUUCUCCAAAAGAAUGCUAACGUUUUCUAGCUCCUGGAGUUUCAUUGAUCUUGAUGUUUCAGAUGUCAAUUUUUCUAGCUCCGUGAUAACUAUGGAUGCUGAUGCUCUAGAUGUGGCGAAGGACACAAGUCCAUUUCGUUGCACUUUUCCUAUACAUAUCUGAUACCUUUGCAAUUCCACAGAGACCAAAUCCUGCGGCAGAAUUUCGGGAUCCGGAACAUCUAUCUCCAAAGUAGUUAGCUUUGACAACCCCUUCAACUCGACAAGACUGGCAUUACUUCCUCCUUCAACCUUAUCCCACUGUGAAAAGCUGCAACCCAUGUACAGUUCUUCUAGUCGAGAUAAUUUGGAUAUGAUGUUAGGAAAUUGGUGGGUGCAGCAGGACCGCAGCUAAAAUAAAAUUGGAAAUAAAAUAAAGAACAAGCACACUAGAGGACACAAGAAAAUUACGUGGUUCGGCUUUUAGCCUACGUCCACGGGCGAAGACAGAAGGAAAUAUUUUACUAGUGAAAAGGAGUUACAAGUAUUGUAGUAUUUUAGCUCACUUCCCAAAAUCCCAAUACACCCAAACUCUCAAAACACUAAACACUCAAGAGUUUAUUAAACUCUUAAAACUCUCAACACUCAAAGAAAGCAAUGCUUCUCUCUCGAUGGAAUUGGAUGAAAAUGAAUGAGGAAGCUCUUCCUUUUAUAGCCAAAAAAUGGCUAUUAAAUUAAUAUAUAUAUGUAUAUAUUUCAAAUGUAGUUACCAACUUCUUCUUUUUCUCCAUUUGGAUGGCACCAUUUUCUUUGGCCGGCUGCACCAUUUUCUUCUUUCAAAUGUCAAACCCUUCUAGAUGCAGCCAUGCCAAACACUUCUAGAUGCAGCCAACUUUGACAUAUGACAUUCGGUGUUAUCACCUCAAGCCUCCUACAAUUGCUCAAAUCCAGCAACUGUAACCGCGUCAAUUGUCCAAAUUCAAGUGGCAACCGCUCAAUAUCGGAACCUCGAAAGCUAAGAAUCUCUAAUUUCUUUAGCUGUCCAACUAUUACUAUAUCUUUUAGUCGGCAAUAUUCUAAACACAAUGUUUGAAGGUUAAUGAGGCGACCAAGUGAUGAAGGUAAUGAAGAGAAGUGAAUUCCAGUAAAAUUCAAAACUCUGAGUCCUUCCGUCCCAUCAAAAAAGUGGUCUGAAAUUGGCAUAGAGCCACCACCCUUUUCAAGCAACAAAAGUAACUCGAGACGGGGACAUUGCAACCUUUCAGGAAGCACUUGAAUACCUCUAUAAGGUAAAGAAAUAGCAAUUGGACCUUCCUGUACUGUCUCUUCCAUCUUUUUGUCCAAGUCGGCAACAUUUGGAAUAUUAAACAUGAGCUCCUCUUUUGCAAUUGAUACGGCAACUACACGAAUGACGUCAUGCAUUUUGACUUCAUCUUCAGCAUCACCGUCCAACAAUAAGCAUGAAGAUUUGAGUUUGCUGAUCAACGUAUGCACUGUACUCCUUGCUUCUUCCGGUGUGUAAACGUUUCUAAAAUAGCCCAUACCCAUACCAUAUCUCAAUAAAGAAGAAACUGGUAUAGCAUGACCUUCACUAAAUAGACCACAAAGAAGGAACAGAGAUUUUGCUUCCUUAUUUCCCAGUAAGUCGUAACUCAAUUUCAAGGAGAGGUACACAUUUUUUUCCAUUCCAUCAAUUUCUUUUGCAUAGGAACUUCUUAGCUGACGCAGCACAUAUUUCCAAGUCUCAAGGCUCAUAUUUUUCAAAGCUUUUGCAAGUGUAAUCAGUGCAACCGGCAGUUCUCCGCAUCUUCCGACGAUCUCAUGUGCUAUAGGUUGAAAAGCAGAUGUUUUCAUUGAAUCACCCACUAUCUUCUGAAAUAAAUACAAUGCUUCUUCUUUUGAUAAAGCAUCGAUCUGGAUCUCUUUCUGAGAAUUCAUAACAUUGUGCAAUAAAUCUUGACGUCUAGACGUCAGUAUUAUUGUGCAUCGUCGCUGAUCAUCCAUUCUUUCUUUCUUAACAUCCCCGGAAGGAAUUCCAACUUCAUCGAACUUCAGUUCUCCCCAAAUAUUAUCCAAUAUAAUGAGAUGCCGCUCCUCGUUCUUCAAAACUCGACAUAGUCGAUUUGCUCUGUCGAAUAUACUCUCAUUCAACUCAAACUUUAUGCCUAAAUCAGAAGCAAGUUUGUCUUGAAUUUUCUGAUGAUCUGGGUUCUCUGUUACCUCAGCCAUAGCGACCUUAUCGAACAACUUAUCUUCCGUCACUUGCUUUGCAACUUGCUUGACGAGCGUGGUUUUACCCACUCCGCCCAUCCCGUAGACCCCAAUUAUGUUGAGCUUAUCAUCCUUCAACGCCUCCAAAACAUCUUGAAAUACUUUCUUUCUUGAGUCAAAGGCCUCGUAAUCUUUCACUUGCAUAUAUUCUGUACUCUUUGGAGCAGGACGAUAGGAAACACUAGAGAAGUUGCCUUUUCCCACGAGAUCAGCAGCAUCUUUUGCGGCCUUUGCUGCUUUUUUACUGAGUUUGUAACGAGACAACAAAUUUGGGCACAAUCCUUUGAAGCAAUACUUCUUGGCUCCAUUUUCAUCAUCAAUAAUGGAGUUUGCAACCCCUUCACUGAUGAAUUCAUCAACGCUAUGUAGCCAAUCUGCGACACCCUCAUAAAGCUCAUCCCCUUGUAGCCUAGCAUGAUUAACUGGUUGCUGCACCAUUUCUCUUUUACAUCCCAGCUGCAUUACUUGAUCUUUUAGCUCAUCUACGUAGCUCUGGUACUUGAACACAUAAGAUAUCUGCCGUAUAAUCGGUUUGAACAGUGACUUUGCACCUUCUGAUACGAUGCUUGAAAAACCACCGAGACAGAAUUCUACAGCCAUUGCCUGUUGCUUAACGAUGUAUGUGUAGUUUUUGGCUGUUAAAAAAAACAAAAAUUGGAUUCAAAUAAAUUAAAUGAACUAGAGGGGAAGAAAAAGAAAGAAACGACAACAAACAACUUUUUAGAGAAAGGUUGAUAUUGUUACAGAACACAUGUUCAUUUUUAACAAAUUGAUCAAUAACUCUAUUCGCUAUUUAAUUGAUAUUGUAACCAAUUUUAAGAGAAUAUAAUAAUAAUCCUUCGAUGCAUAAAUUUAGAAUUAGAUUUUUUAACUUUUUAUUUAAAUAUAAAUCUCAAUGGAAAAUUAUAAAAAUUUAGAGAUAAAAUUUUUCAAUCACCAAACGGAAAAACAGGGGAAUGAAAACAGAGGAAUCUUGUUUUACCUUUUUUUUUUUUUAACCUUCACUCUUGUUCUUAUAUAAAUAAUCUUGUUCUGAUGAUAGUGCUCGUGACUGCAGGAAAAUUUCUAGUGGAAACAACUCAAUUUCAGAAGAAUUUAUUCAAUUGACUCUGUACUUGAACUCGUUGGAUUGGUUGAUUUAUGAUUGACUGAAUUUAUUCAAUUCGGCCUAAAAGAUCUUUAACCAAAGUUUAAUAGCUAUCAUCUACUCCUUAAAAAAAAAUAUGUAUCUUUUUUAGAUUUGACUGAAUUUGAACUUGCUGGAUUGGUUUUUUUUAGAUUAUUAAAAUGGGGCACUGCAAAGUAAGUAUUCUAAAAUCUGUAUGUUGCUUUAGAAAAAGGGCUUUUCCCACUGAUCUUUAUUCUUCAAGUAAACUUAGAUACAAAGUAAAUCUAAAAAAAUGACAAACAAACAAUGAAAUAAACGACAACAAACUGGCAAUUUUGACACAAAGCCAACAAUUAAAAUUUAGGACAUUUUUUUUUCUUGCUUUCUUUUUUUGGAGGAUUAGAGAUUUUGGUAUUACCAGAAAGGUUUCAAGGGUCUGAGUUUCAAGGGUCUGAGUAGAAACCUAUAAUCUUUUGAAAAACUUUGUUUUUUUUUAAAAAAAAAUUUGGGGAAAGGAUGCAAAUUAACCAAAGGAAAUAAUAAGAGCACAGGCUUUAACAAUGAACAAUAACUUAAAACUCAUGCAAAAUAAAUUCAAUAUUAAAGCAAACCAGAGAAAUUUUUUUCUUGAAAAGUAGAUGGAAAUUAUGAAAGAACAGAUGUCAAGAUCAAGGAUCAGGGAUUCUACUACCCAAAAAAAAAAAAAAAAAAUUAAAGGAUUUGGAAAAUGUGCACCUAGAGUUGGUGAGCUUCUCUCUAUUCACUUGAAUAUUUAAGAACAGCUGGGGAAUGUGUGAGAAAAGAGUUGACGAGAGAAAUAACAAUGACUUGCAGAAGAAAAACCAUUAAUCAAGCACACCUUUUUAUAUCCUGUAUUUGGUUAUUGUUGCCCUCUUGACGCAUGUAGAGAAUAAUUAUGUGCAUUUUUGUUUUUAAUCCGCAUGCACUUUAAUGAUUAGUGCUCCUUUCAUAAAGCAGAUACCGGAAACACACAAAUAUCAUUUGAGAGAGAAACUAAACAGCAAAUCAUCAAAGUAAGAUCAAUAAUAUAUGAUUUGGUUAAUGCAUAUUCAAGAACAAAAACAAAAAUAAAUAAAUAAAGAAGGUUUGAUUUUGUUUUGCCAACGCUGCUUUUUUGUUAUUUCUCACUCAUCUUCAAUCCUCAAGUAAAAUUAGGUAAAAAGCAAAUAUAAUAAAAAAACAAACAAAUUAACAAAAAAAGAAAAAAAAACAUUGAUCUUGAGACAACUGAUACUUAAACAGAGAAUUCUUUAUUCUUUUUUACUUCCCCUCCCCCCCCCCCCCCCCCGGGCUCGAGGAUUAGUUUUUGCUAUUAACAGAGAGGUUUUAAGAGUCUGAAUAAAACCAGCGCUUUUUUUAAAAACCUCUUUUUUUUCUUUUUUCUUUUUUGGGAAGAUAGAUUCAAAUUAACCAAAGCUAGUAAUAAGAACACAGACCUUACAAAUGAACAAUAACUUACAACUCAAGCAACAUAAAUGAUAAGAUUAAAACAAACCGGAGAAAUUUUUCUUGGAAAAUAGACGGAAAUUAAGUAAGAACUGCUGUUAAAAGAAAUUAUUAGAGGAUUUAGGAGAAUGUGUACCUCUUUAAUUAUUUGGGAUCAGAGAGUUGAUGAGCUCUCUAUUCGCCUUGAAUAUUGAGUAAGAACUGGUAUUAAAAGAAAUUAUUAAGAACAAUAUUUUAGUGAGCAAAAUAUCACUGUUAACUGCAGAGGAAUUUUGUGAGUAAAAUGCUGAAAGAGCAGUAACAAUGAAUUGCAAAAGAAGAAGACUUAACCAAGCACCCCUUCUAUACCCGAUUUUUAAGAUUUAAUUUUGAAGUUCAGAAUCAAGAACAAAGACGAAGCUUUAAUAAAGCAUGCAGUGAGAUACAAGAAAUGGAUCGGGCAAAAUACCUUACGAAGCGUUUCAUAUUUUCUAAUGAAAUAAUUUAGUUGAAGUUUUCGACGAAUAAAUACCUGUUGUGCUUGAAUAAUUUUGGCAUAUACAUUACUUGUAUCCGGCGAAAUUGAAAAGCACACUCAUUUACAGAGCUUGUUAGUGGGGAAAAGCUUCGUAAGAUGCCUGAUAAAAGAUAAAGCAAAAGCUUGAAUGAAGAAUGACAUUUUAGAAAGAAACUAAAGUGCAAUCAUCAAAGUAGGAUCAAUAGUGAGUUGAUCAGUUAUGCUUUUUGUUAUUUCAAUUGUCCUGUCCACAAAUGAUGCUUCGUUAUUACUAAUUCCACAUGGACAUUAUUUAGAAACUGUUCUUAUGUUUAACAGAAAAAUGAAAACUCGUCAUCAUACAAAACUGCGUGAACAAAUCUUCAAUUUGAUUAUUAUAAAAUAAAGAAGUUUCAUUACUAGAUUAUGCGGACGUUAAUGUUAGAGAUUUCAUCAGAUUAUCAUAUAAUUUACCAAACGCUUUGAGAAGAACAUGAAUUAAUUAGUUAAAAAUUUAAAAAUAAAAUAAAUAAAGAGUACAUGCAAAUAUUGUUGCUUCCAAUCACCAAAGUGAAAAACAGGGGAAUGAUAACAGACGAGUCCCUGAUUAUCCUCUCUCUCUCUUUUUUCAAUCUCUCUUUAUGUUAUGAUUGAAUAAUUGUAUAGAAAGUGUGACGGUUGCUGCAGCAUUAUGAAGUCAAAAUUGAGAACGACAUUAAAUAAUCAAUCUCUUUAUGUAUAUACUCGAAUGUCUGAUAGUGUUCAGACUUGGAUUUUCUAUAAACACAGAUUCGAAAUCCAAAUAAUUGAAUAAUUGUGUGCGUUCAAAUUCAGCAUUUAAUUUCUAUAUAAUUGGACAUAAAUGCGUAUUUUUUAUUUAGCCCAUUUCGGUCCAUGUUCAAAUAAACAUAUUUCUGUGGAUGAUAAUAUCAGGACCUCUGAUGCUUUUUUUUUUAUCAGAAAUUUUAUUUUUAACUCUUCGUUAUUUAGAUAUAAAUUUUUGCAGUCACCAAAUAGAAAAACAGGGGAAUGAAAACAGAAGAGCCGUGUCCUAAAUCAGGAGUAGGUGUUUUGCCUAAAAGUACCACUUUCCUAGCAAAUCUAGUGGGUUUACUGAAUAAAAUUUUUAAUUAUUCUGUUUGAUCUUUCUCUCUUUAUCCUAAGCAUUCUUGGUUGGGAUCGCUGCAUUGUCCUGUAAUCCGUGUGCCUUAGUGAAAAGAGUAAUGGGUAACUGUAGUUAUGGGUACUUGAGAGCUCACGAUGAGGGUAGCUUGGUAAUGGGACUAUCCAUAUCUGAGCAUCAGAGCUUGACAUCUUUGAUAAAUACAUAUGCUUACUGGUACUGUUUUUGCAUAUGUCUUUCACAAAAUCUUUGUAUAGGCUUACAUAGAGAAGAAGAUUCACCAAUAAAGUGUUGGCUCCACUGGCAAUGAAGUCCCUUAAGUGGCUUGACUGGGUUUGCUCCUCAGUUCUAGUCUGGGUUGUGGUACGGGCUUAAAGGUGCCUCCCACAGUUGGGGCCUUCCCCAGGAUACCUCGUGGUCAAAACAAAAAAAAAAUAGAGAAGAAGAUUCGGAUAACUUUCAAAAUCUGAAUCCGCCUGAUGGACGGACUUGACCACACAGCCCCGUGACAAGGAAGUCCAAGCAACUAACCUAAACCGUUCUCCUUUAGUCCUUUAUUAGGUUGUUCAAAAUGAAAUUAUACUGAGGAGCACCCCCCCCCCCCCCCAAAAAAAAGUUCUUUUAUAUAUUUUUCUUGGAAUUUUAGGCAAAAGAAAAAAAAACUGAGAACGAUUUCAAGCGAACAAGUGGAUAAUAACUAAAAUACUUAUUUUUAUAUAUUUGAUAUAUGCGCUCACUAUUAAUAGAACUUAUUAGAUACUACAACUUAAAUAACUUCCAGUGGUUGAUUGAGGGUAUGUUUGGGAUUUCCUUUACUUUCCAAGAAUUAAUUUCUACCUUGAUUCUGAACAAAAAAAUAAUUUUACAAAUAAUUUAUUAGGGUGUUUGGUAAAUGAUGAUUAUUUGACAAUCAAUUUUUAAAUGGUUUACUAUACAAAUCUGGUAAAUGAAAAUUAAAAGUGUAAAAUGUUCAUGUACAAUGACAAAAAUGUACUUGUUUACUUUUUUGUAAUUUAUUUAGAAUAUUAUUAUUUAAAUCUUUUUUAUUUACAACAUUUUUAAGAGCAUAUUCUAUUUUCUUUAUUACAUAUUUAAAUAAUUUUUUAUUAACUAUUUUAAUUUGCAAUAAAAUUAACUUGAAUAUUUUUUUAACUAAAAAAAUUGUUAUCUAGUUCGUGAUAUAACAAAUACUAACAUAUCAUCAAAUUGAUUAAUAAAUUAAGUGCAAAAAAGAAAAUGCAAAAAUUUAAUCUUUAUAGCUCAUAGAAAUAUAAUAUUAUAUACAUGUGUGUAAAAAACAACAUAUGACCAUAAUAUUAUCCACUCAUUAAACUUGCUGCACUAUUAUUUCUCAAUCUCUCCAUCUCUCGACCUUCAAGAACAUUACUACCAUAAUCUUCUUCUUGAAUUCAACCUCCAUUUCCUCAUCAUCAACAAUGCGACCAAUUUGCCUUGAUAGCCUUUCAACUCCUCCCACUUUCCUCCCUUUUGCAGACACUCUUUUUCUUUUUCUUUUUCUGUCUUUAAUAGCUUCAAUGGGAACAACCUCAUCUGACGACAAGUCCAUUCUUCAACUAGGACAGAGUUGGUAGUAGAUAUUCUAGUACUCUCAAACGAUGCCCAAACGGGGUCACCAGUGAUUGUUGUAUUAAAAGACAUUCUAUUUAAUUUUCCUCUGACUCUUGGUCGAUACCUUUUGUACAAAAUCUAUUUACUUCAGGAAUUUUAUACAUAUGUCGAUAUCAUAUUAAAGUGAAUUCAGAUCCUAUAUUAUUGACAUUAAAAUUUAGCCGAAUAGUAAAAAAUUUCCCUUUUUGUUUGUCACACAACUAUAUAGUCCCAUUUUUGGUUAUAAGCUCACGAUAUGCAAGGGAAAUGAAGAUCUAUUAAAAACUUCCCCAUAAUAUUAAACAUUAAACAAUAUCAACAUUUUGUGCAUAUGGUGCCUCGUCAACAAUUUGAUGUUCAUUUUGUUGCUCGGAGGAAUAUGACUACCUAUUAAUUAAUUAGCAAGAAUUGCGUUGCGAGUCCAUGUUUUUUGUCGUUUGGAUGGAGGAUGUGCUAUCUUUUUAUUGUAGAUGCUUUGUAAGGCUUUUGAUUUAAUGAUUGAAUGCAGUCAAUUAACAAAAGCUUACAUACAGUAUUAUGUAGUUGCUGAGAUGUCUAUUCUUGAUAAAGUCGAUUUAUUUACACCCAAGCCAACGGAAUCAAAGCCUUUUCGUUAAUAAUAUACACGGUAAUUGUUUUUGUUAAAUUGAUUUCUGGCUAACAAGAUCUUUGAAAGCAUUUAUUAAAGAAACCACUGACUCAUAAGAAAGCCAUGAUUAAAUACACAGCCAAGCAUGUGAGCUCGUUUUUCAAUCUCUUUGAUCACUCAUAAGCUUCUCUAUACCACUCACUGUAUCAUCCUUUUAAGUCAAUUUUGACUGAUCAUCAGAGAUCAUGCACCCCACCUUGAGAUGAUUGAUCACCAAUUUGGCAUUGUAACGUUGAUCACCUCUAAUUGGCCAUGCUAAAAUUGGGACCUCACAGCCAAUUGCUUCUACAGUUGAAUUUUAUCCACAGUGAGAUAAAAAUCCACCUAUUAAUUGAUAACUCAGUAUCAAUAAUUGUGGCACCAUUCCAUCUAUUAUCAAACCCUUUUUACCGACUCUACUAUCUAAACCACUACAAAAAUAAGCUGGUUAAAUGACGUGGAGGAUCCAAUCUAUUUACAUCAGUUUGAAUUACCUAAAUAAUCGGUGGAUUUGAUGCUUCUAAAUCAUUGGCUAAUGUUGAAUAAUCAUUUAAGGUGGGACCCAUUUCGGUACCAAAUGACAUGUAUAACACGGAUCCACAUGAUUUCAAAUCUAACCAUUGAAUGAUCUCAUCUUCGGUCAUGUUAGAACUUCGCCGGUUGGUUCUCAUCUCACAAUCACGAAGCACUGAACCAGCCGAUUUGUAAAAUUGUUCAGGUAACAAUUGGCCCACUCCCCACACUGGCAUCAACACCAUCGAUCCCUCCACUUGCUUCAUCCAGUGUGGUUGAUCACUCGGUUCUGAUGGGCCUAUUUAUUCUGAACCGGGUGCACCUCACAAAGGUUGUGGACCACCAGGAAGGGACCCGUGAGGCCUGCGUUUAAGAUCCGAUUCGAAUAAAGCAAUAUCCUUGGGUAACCCAAGAAGUAAACGGGCCUCUCCCGGUUUGACAUCCUGGAUGCGAGCCUGCCACAUGGCACACUCCACAGCUGCUGAGCAAGCAUCAGAAGUGAAGAACCCAACAAUGGGAACUUCAAAAUUCUUGAAAACAUCAGCCGUCCAGCCCAUCAUAACGCCGAUGACUACGCAAACAGGUCGGCUUUCGGGUUCCGGGUUGAAAGGAGGUUUCGAAGGCCUUGAAGCAUUUGGCUGUGCAUGACAACAUGGUGGUGAGAAGGAGGUGAUGGUAGUGGUUGAGAUGGGGAGGGUAUUUCGGUAAUUUCAAAUAGAGCGUAUUGGUGAAGAGAGGAAGGGGUGAUGCUGGUGGUAGAAACGUGAGAGGGAAUAAUGAGGGUAGAUUUGUAACAACGAGAAGUGAUUUGCUUGCAUAAUUCAAUGCAUGGAAACAGAUGUCCCUGACCGAAGAAUGGGACAAUCCAAAUCUCAGCCUCAGCAGCAUUCGCAACAGAGCUUGACAUCUUUUAUGAAUUAUUUGAGACUUAAUUGUUAUUGACUGCUUUUGCCAUCUUUCAUAAAACAUUCUUUGUUAUAUAUAAAGAGAUGACUUGAUGGAGAAGCAAGUGUUUUACUUUUAUAGUUUUACUAGUAGUUGAGCUCUGAUUUUGAUAAUUUGAUUGUUAGUUUUAGUUGGUUAGUUAUGAGAAAGCAUCUUUCACAAAAUUCAUUCCAGUUUCAACUAAAAUUAACAAUACUGUUCAAAUUAAUUACUGGAUCAACAAAUAGUCAUAGGCAAAUCUAUCCCUAGCGCUAGAUCUUGAACAUAAUUAUUAUCAUAAUCUCCCCUUCCCCCACCCCCCACCCCCAAAAAAAAAUUUACUAAAUAUCUUUUGUUAUAUAAUGAACAAGAUAAGUUGACGGAGAAGGGUUCUACUUUUACUAGUAAAUGAGCUUUGAGUAGUUAAGAAGGUUAGUUUUAGUUAGUUAAAUAUCUACCAUCCGAAUCAAAGUUCCUUAGACUAUUAUUCAAGUGAGAUGCUUGAGUAACAUAUACUUGUGUUAGUUGGUGCCUAACAAUUCGUGUGAUACAUGAAACCAACCACUAUGAAAUCCAAAUGAAGCUGGUAGGAUUAGAUUAAUUUAAAUGAAAAUAAAAAUUUGUUUAUGCUAUUUAUUAAUCUUAUAAUGUUGAAACUUGAAAGUUAAUUCUUCAACCUGUCAAUUGGUUCAUGACAUGGUUUAAUAUUCAAGUAAAUAAAUUUAUCGUUUAAAAUUAAUUUUUCAUGUGGUAAAAGCAAUACAAAAUAUGGGGUGGAGAGAAUAAUUUGUAGGGUAUACCCCCACCAUUUAUUUAAUUUCAUUAAAAAAAAAGAAAAGAAAUAAAGGCUUGUUCAACAUUCAAUUAAAAUUAACAAUUCCAUGAUAAAAUUACUUGAGAAUAAAAAUUAAAAAAAAAAAAGUAACACAAAAACGAGGAAUUUUUGAGUAACUGAAGAACCAUAGAUGUUUUUUGGUCAUGAGCAAUUUUUGAGUUGAGACAGAACUUGUAUAAAAAAAUAGUUUUGAAUAACUUCUUUUCUUUUUUCAUAAAUAUAGAUAUAAAAUUUUAAAGUCACCAAACACAAAACCAGGAAAAUGGAAAGGAAGCCCCUGUUUCUCCUCUGUUGCAAGAACAAAUUCGGUUUCUACAGGAGUACCUUCUAAAUGCACCAUUUGUAUUGCUUUGUUUCCACGUAAGCUAACGGAAUUUUUAAUGAAAUUAAAUAAAUACAAUCUCACUGACCGAAAAGUUCUGUAGCUGUUUCAAUUCAAUUGCAUACAUUGACGAAACAUUAAAUACGGAAAAAACAAAAAAGAAGUAAUAGGACAUGGGGAUUUCGAGAACUUCUAAAGAGAGAAAUCUAUUUAUAAGCAUUGAAAAUUAGCUCAUUAAAUUUGACAGAAUAAUAUACAAUCUCACUGUUGGCCAGAAAAUAAUAGUAAGAACUUGUGAACAUAUAUAAUCAAUUGUUUAUUACUUAAGCUCUUUUUCUUCGUUAUUUUGAAUGGGUGCAAAGAAGAGAAGUUUUGUACCCAAAUUCCAACUCGAAUUGUGUAGGCUGCUUGCAAGAGCUUCAUUAGAUUUUUAUUUGUCUUUUAAUAGUGCUACUCGAUAAAUACAGCUAGCUACCUGUCUUUUUUGUUACUGGACUAUAGAUCAAUUGACAGUUGAAGUUAUAUUAAUUUGUUGUACUGGAAUUGAAGCUUGUAUCUUAGCCAUUUCGUGAAGUGUCAAAUAUAUUUUUAAUUUCCUUAAAAUUGUUCAAAAUAUGUUUACACUUUUAAAGUCACUAUUAUACAUGAGUGCCCUAAAAUAGGAGAAGGCGAUUUGCCUGACAUUACCUGUUUCCUGUCAAAUCUAGCAGGUUUACUGAUUAGAUUUUAACAAGUCUCUUGGCAAAGUUUGCUAGAAAUGGAAUCAAAUUAUUCUAUUUAAUCUUACUGUCCAUACCCUAAUAGUUCUUGAUUUGCAUCACUGCAUCGUUCUAUAAUCUGUGUGCGUUGGCUUAUAAAGGCUAGCAAGGCUGACCAUUCGUAGCAUAGUUUUUUUUUUUUUUUUUUUCCACAAUGAAACUCCUAUUGAUUUGACUCAGUAUUUAGAGGCGUUAACGAGGGCACUAUACUAGACAUGGAUUUCUACCGCUUUUGGUUGUACAAUUGUUGUAAUCCUUGGCCAUCAAAUCAUUUUUACGUAGCUUUCUCAGAGUUCAUGCCAAGUGUACAUUAAUGUUUUUAUGUUUUGGAUGCAAGUGGGAUUCUAGUUCUCUAUGGCAGUUGAAGAGGUAAAUGGGCAUGGAGCUAUGCUCUAUCAUAGGCUUCGGCCGCUACAAGAAAUUUGAUUUCUUAAGACGAUAUUUUUUACAACUUUAAAUUUGGUCACAAAAUUGUAUUUAUUGUGACAAAUUUUUAAAAUCGUAGUUAAUAAUCUUGUCGUAACUUAUAUUGUUUUUUGUAACCAAUUGUUUUUAUUUUGAGACUUGUUCAUUGGUCAUUAAUUAAAUUUUUUUAUGACAAAAAUUAUUUUAGUCACCAAAAGAUAUAUUUUUUUGGCGCAAAAUCUUCCCUCCAAAAGUGAUUAUUUUGAGACAAUAUUUCACUAUUUAUGACAAAAUAAAUAGUCACGAAAUAUAAUGAUAGGCGACCAAAUUAUUUGGUAACUAAAAGAAGGGUGUAAAAUUGACUAAACAAUCUAUGACACAAAAUAUUAGUAGCCAAAAUUAUUGUUCUUUUGGCUAAUUUUAAGACCAUUUUUUUUUGUCAUAUAUAAUUACCUACCAUGACAAAAUUUAAAAAUAGUUGUUGAAUGUUUUGUCUUGAAUAAUUUUAUAUUUGAUAACCAAUUUUUUUUUUUCUUUUUGAGACAUAUUACUUGGUCCCUAUUUCAACUUCUUUUUGACGAACUUUAUAAUAGUCACAAAAGACUUUUUUUAUUUUUGGCAUAAAAAGUCUGUCCAAAGUUAGCUCUUUUGGGACAAUAUAUAAUCUUUUAUGACAAAAUAUAUAGUGGCGAAAUAUAAUUAUUUUUUACAAAGUUAUUUCGUAACUGAAAAAGAGGUGUAAAUAUAGUUAACCUAUUUGUGACAUAAAAUAUUAGUCUCCAAAACUAUUAUGUUUUUAGCCAAUUUUAAGACCCUAUUUUGUUGUCAUGGAUAAUUACCUAUUUUCAAAAAACUAAGAGAUAGCAAUCAAAAGUUUGUCUUGAUUGACAUUGUAUUUUAUGAGCAAAAUAUUUUGUUUCAGUGACACUUUACUUGGUCUUUGAUUAGACUUGUUUGUGAUGAUCAAUAGAAUUAUAUAAUAACCACUAAAUUUUUUUGGGUUAAAUUUUUAUAGAUACUAUUAAUUAAGUUGUUGACGAAAAUGAUCGAACUAAUACUAAUAUGGGAUACCAUCAAUAGCCGUAAUACUUAUGAAGCGAGAAAUUAUAAUAUGUAGUGAUUUAUUUAGAAUUAUUUUGACUACUUUAUUGAUUUCCAAAACAUAAAAUUCUCAACCCAAAAUUCCCCGCAUUGUGUUUUAUUUUGUCUCCUCACUCAGUUACUCUUUUAGCUAAAGUUGCUUUGGAAAAGUUGGAAUCUUUUGUUUGGGUGGAAAAUUUCCCACCAGAGAUUAGACAUGUAUUCACCUAGUUGAAGUAAUGAAAGUUUUACUUUCCCAUAAAAAAAAAAACUCACGGCUUGACAAAAAAAAGGAAAAAAAUUCUCACAGCUUGAUGGUCUCCUCUCUUUAAAAAUAAAAAUCCCUAGUUACUCUGCUCAAACUCGUUAAUAUUUGUUUCCACCACCUAAGCAGCCACUAGUAUCUUUUUUUUUCGCAAUUCACUUUUGCUGUGUUUCGUGGUUUGGAUGGAGAUCAUGACAAUAAUUGAACGAUGGUGAUAAAUAUCAAAGAAGGAGCUUACAUGCCCUAUAUAUCUCUCUUUGGAUGAAUAACGAAGGUGAACUUUCAAAGUACAGAGAUUUACAUGUUUUAAUUGUCAUUUACAUUGCUGCAUGCCCAUUGCUUGAUAAAAUACCGCAACAAACACGCAUUCUCGAUUUUCUCAUAAAUUUAUUUUCUUAGUCUGAAAAAAAAAUUGAAUGUUCAGAGAAUUUUGAAGGUUUUGGUGUAUGCAUUAAUAUUUUGAUUCUAUUUAUGUUGUUUAACUAAUGAAGAUGAUACAUCUAGCCUCUUUUUGCCCCUUGUUGUUUUUAUUCUUGUGCUUUAUAUACGGUUCAAGUGUGAUACACUUUAGUUUUUCUCAAGUGUUUGUUAGUAUUUCCCCAAGCAAAAUUUGUCACAGACUUUGAGUUCAAAAGUUGAAAUCAUAACUAACAUACUUCGAUUUUUUAUUUUCCUUUUUUCUUCGGGGUCCCAUAUAUCUUUCUAUAUGGCAUUGCUUGAGAAAUUGGUGUACUUAGAUCGUAAUAUUCUGUAGAAAUAAGCUAAUAUUUCAUUAGGUACAUUGUUUAAUAUGAUAAGUACUGUAUGGAAGUUUUACAGAUAAGCUCCUUGUAUAUUAUGCAUUAUGUUUUUAUCAUAUUGUUGCUUGGAACUUUGAAGGAUUGGCCACAGGGCUUUAGUCCUACAAGGACAUUUUAUAUUGGGAAAUUAUCAUUCGUAUACCCUAUAGAUGCUCUGUUAUAAAAAAUACUACAACACUUUGAGGGUGUAUCAAUCGUCCACAUUAAGUUGACAAAAUGUAUCUGUUGUCCACCAAACCGUUACUUGCCGUUUAAAUAGGAUAACGACAGAGGGGUAAUUUGGUCUUUUCAUAUGAUACAAGUGAUAAUUUAAGGGUAUACAAGUGAUACUUUUCAAGGGUAAAAUUGUCAAUUCGCUAUAAUUCCGUUAACUUUCAAACGGUAGCUAACGGUUUGAUGGUUGGUAGAUAGCUUUUGUCAAUUUGGGGUGGACGAUUGAUACACCCUCAAAGUGUUGAAGAACUUUUUAUAACAGAGCUUCCUACANNNNNNNNNNNNNNNNNNNNNNNNNNNNNNNNNNNNNNNNNNNNNNNNNNNNNNNNNNNNNNNNNNNNNNNNNNNNNNNNNNNNNNNNNNNNNNNNNNNNNNNNNNNNNNNNNNNNNNNNNNNNNNNNNNNNNNNNNNNNNNNNNNNNNNNNNNNNNNNNNNNNNNNNNNNNNNNNNNNNNNNNNNNNNNNNNNNNNNNNNNNNNNNNNNNNNNNNNNNNNNNNNNNNNNNNNNNNNNNNNNNNNNNNNNNNNNNNNNNNNNNNNNNNNNNNNNNNNNNNNNNNNNNNNNNNNNNNNNNNNNNNNNNNNNNNNNNNNNNNNNNNNNNNNNNNNNNNNNNNNNNNNNNNNNNNNNNNNNNNNNNNNNNNNNNNNNNNNNNNNNNNNNNNNNNNNNNNNNNNNNNNNNNNNNNNNNNNNNNNNNNNNNNNNNNNNNNNNNNNNNNNNNNNNNNNNNNNNNNNNNNNNNNNNNNNNNNNNNNNNNNNNNNNNNNNNNNNNNNNNNNNNNNNNNNNNNNNNNNNNNNNNNNNNNNNNNNNNNNNNNNNNNNNNNNNNNNNNNNNNNNNNNNNNNNNNNNNNNNNNNNNNNNNNNNNNNNNNNNNNNNNNNNNNNNNNNNNNNNNNNNNNNNNNNNNNNNNNNNNNNNNNNNNNNNNNNNNNNNNNNNNNNNNNNNNNNNNNNNNNNNNNNNNNNNNNNNNNNNNNNNNNNNNNNNNNNNNNNNNNNNNNNNNNNNNNNNNNNNNNNNNNNNNNNNNNNNNNNNNNNNNNNNNNNNNNNNNNNNNNNNNNNNNNNNNNNNNNNNNNNNNNNNNNNNNNNNNNNNNNNNNNNNNNNNNNNNNNNNNNNNNNNNNNNNNNNNNNNNNNNNNNNNNNNNNNNNNNNNNNNNNNNNNNNNNNNNNNNNNNNNNNNNNNNNNNNNNNNNNNNNNNNNNNNNNNNNNNNNNNNNNNNNNNNNNNNNNNNNNNNNNNNNNNNNNNNNNNNNNNNNNNNNNNNNNNNNNNNNNNNNNNNNNNNNNNNNNNNNNNNNNNNNNNNNNNNNNNNNNNNNNNNNNNNNNNNNNNNNNNNNNNNNNNNNNNNNNNNNNNNNNNNNNNNNNNNNNNNNNNNNNNNNNNNNNNNNNNNNNNNNNNNNNNNNNNNNNNNNNNNNNNNNNNNNNNNNNNNNNNNNNNNNNNNNNNNNNNNNNNNNGAGGAUGAAAUUUGCAAAAACCUUGUUCAUAGCUAUGGUAAUUAAGCAAAUUGAGUCUUCUUUUUUUGUUGUUUUUUAUUCACUUUUUCCUGUCCUUAAAACAAAUAAUGAGUUUUCUUGUUUUUAAUAUUUCUUAUAAACUUUAUGUUGUUUGGUAUAAAAUUAGGUAAUUGGAAAGGUCUCAUGUUGGAUGAAAUUAUCAAUUAUGUGCAGUCCCUACAGAAUCAAGUGGAGGUAACAUUGCUACUAAAAAACCUUAUUAACAUAGUUAUAAUGAAUUAAUCUUCUUUAAUAUAUUGCAAUAUUUUUUACUAUUUCUAGGUCUUUCUAUGUUGGUUUUGGAUCAUUGUAGUUGCUGAUUGUGAUUUAUUGCCGCCUAUGGUUGCUGACUUUUGUUUACUGCAGCUACUUUAUUAAAGCAAUUUUGGAUAUUGAAGUUUAUGGCCAACUUUUAUUAGAUACUUCUGACCUUUAUCGAUAUAUUUUCUGAACCUUUACACUUAAGAUGUGUGUGUGUUUUUUUUAAGUAAUUUAAUCCUUACUAACAUUUUCUAACAAAAUCAAUUACAGAAAUGAUUAGGAAAAAACAAGCAAAAUCAUUGUAAAGUGUCUUCUGCGCACCGUGGUUGCUCAAGUCUCAUGUGCAACAUGUGAAUGAAAUAGUACUUGAAAUAAUAGAGACUUUGUUUUAUGACUCUUAUAUUUACAUUUCUUUGCAAGGAACCAUACUUAAUUGUACCUAAUAGAAGAGAUAUCUUUUCACUAUAUAGUCUUAGUAUAAAAAGAUACCUCUUCUAUAAGGCACAAUUAACGGGACAUGUCUUUAUACUAAGACAUCAUUCAUAUUUAUCACACAAUAAUAGAAACUGCAACGGUAGCUGGAAUAUUAUGAAGUCAAAAUUGAGAACGACAUUAAAUCAUGAAUUCUUUAUGUGUUUACUCUAAUGCCUGACGGUAUUUAGUUCAAUUAACACAGAUUCGAAAUCCAAAUGAUUGAAGAGUUGUAUGGGUUCAAGUUCAGUAUUUAAUUACUAUAUAAUUAUACAUAAAUGUGGAUUUUGCAAUCUUGAACCCAUUUAAUUACUAAAAAAGGAUGACGAAUAGAAUUGGUGGAAAUUGACCACAAUCAUCUCUCUCUCUCGGCUUGCUCAAAUUUGGCCGAUCUGUGCGCUUGCUUAAGCUUGGCCGAUCUAUGCUUGCUCGAUUACUCUUCCUAUAUUCAGUCAGAGUCAACUGUUUGACAAGAGUCGAAGUCCAAGGUUCUUUUUUACAGGAUUUGAGCUACUUCUUUUAUUCUUCUUGCAUGUUCACUGAUAGCGGGUGGAAUUUGAGAUGUUCACUGAAGCUUUGAUGUGGUGUUCUGAUAGCGGGUGGAAUUUGAGAUUCUCCUUUCUUCUCUAUAUGAAGGUGCUUGUCAUGUGUCAAGAAAAAUAAAAUUAUUUACAAAAGAUUAUUUUAAGGAGAUUUAUUAUUAUUCGUGGAUCAGGAAGCUCAAAAAGUUUUCUUAUGUAGAACAUAAAAUGAUUUAAAUUUUGCCAUGGUAUAUCCUUUUCUUUGAUUGUGUUGUGGUUUUCCAGUUCUUGGAGAUGCAGAAGAAGUUUAUUUUGUUUUAUGGUAUCUUAUUUAUUUAUUGUUUUCACGAGGAAAUAGCUGUGCUUUUGGAAAUUAAUAUGCUGUGUUGUAAAUGUUGUGUGAAAUCCUUUUAUUGGUGUCUAUGUAAAGUGUUUCAGAUUUCAGACCUGAGAGUUAAUCUUCGCGUACCAGUUGGCUUUUGGGUUUAGUAUUGCUGCUUUUAACAUAAUUGACCUAUGGCCCAAAUCAUUUCUUAGGGCGAAGCAUAUGAAUGAUACAUAUUAUCUUUUUUUGGCCUUAUGUAUUGUUAUUUGCAGUGUGAUUUGGUCUAGCUUAAGAGCUUAAGCUUGCAAGUUGGAUUUGUCUAACAGGGAACAAUUUAAUUUGUUCAUCAUGAUGUUUAUAUCCAUUUUGUACUACUAUCAAUUUCAAUCAUGCCUAAUUUUUAUAUGUAUUUCUUGUGGACUCUCAGGUUCAGUGCACAAGAGGAUGAAGACGAUGGACACCCAAAUUUGAUGUGGAGAAUAAGUAUUGCAAAUGGUCCUUGAUUUACUUCUCCAAUUGACUUGAAUUGGUUUGACGCAAUUUAUAGUGUAUUUUUGUCAUCUUUGUAUGACUGGCAGGUCGUCCUGAUUUGGUACAUGACUGGACUCAGGAAUUGGACUCAUAUUUUUCAAACCAGAAUGCCAACAAUCAAGCAUUUUCUUUUGAAAGCACUGGCGUCUUCUUCAAUGCCAAAAAGGUUAGAGAUUUUUUGUAUCCUGUUUUGUAUUUGAUCAGUUUAGCAUGUGGGUGGCAAUCAAGAAAAGUUAUUCUAACAUUUUUGUGUUCCCGAAAAACUGCUGAUGAUGUGUAGUGCAGGAAAUGAAUUGUUUGUGACUUCUUUUUAUUCGUAUUCUUUCUUUUUUCUUUUCUCCCCAACAGGAUUAUGUAUUUCUGAAGAGCUUCUUGAAGUUGAUUACCUUGUAAGCCACUUUCUGUACUCUAUGCUCAGGAUGUGAUUUUGCCAAGCAUUAAAAUGGUUUAGGUCAGAACCAUCAUCUAAAGUUUACUUAAUGCAGCCGAGAAGCUGUAGUAGAGCAAUGAAGGCUGUUGGUGUUAUGAAGGCCAGCUGUGAAGAAAUAUUUGAACUUGUAAUGAGCAUGGAUGGGACACGAUACGAGUAUGCUUCUUUUCUAUUUUUUAAUUUUAGUUAUUUUAACAUAAUCAAGACUAUAUUGGCUGUCUCUGUAAGCUGAGUAUUAUAUUUCCUCUUGUAUGCUGUGAAAUUCACAUUGUCUCCAGUCCCGAUUCUGUAUGUGCCUUUUUGAAUAUAUUUAAUUAAUCUGCAUGGUGCUUUCUAAAGAUUAUUACAAACUUUUGUUGCUUAAGUAUAUGAAGAAUGUGGAAAUGAAAAUAGCUUUUGAAGUUUGAUGGAUUGCUUCAUUAAUAAAGAAAGACUGGGACUCAUUUUUAUAACUUUUCUCCACUUAGCUAAUGGUAUUUGAUGAAGACAAAAUAGAUGUAGCUAUCUGUAUUUUUUGUUGCUGAACUAUAGAUCAAUUGACGGUUGAAGUUAGUUAUAUUAAUUUGUUGUACUAGAAUUAAAGCUUGUAUCUUAGCCAUUUCAUGAAGUGUCAAAGACGUUCAUGUUUUUUAAAAAAAACAUGUUACACUUUUGAAGUCACUAUUACAUAAAAGAGUGUUCUAAAACAGGAGAAGGCGUGCUGCCUGAAAUUACCUGUUUCCGAUUUUAACAAGUCUCUUGGCAAGGUUUGCUAGUAAUGUGUUCAAAUUAUUCUAUUUAAUUUUACUGUCUGUACCCUAAUAAUUCUUGGUUUGCACCAUUGCAUUGUUCCAUAAUCUCUGUGCGUUGGCUUAUAAAGGCCAGCAAGGCUGAUCAUUUGUCAAAUAGUUAUUUCCAUGAAAUUCCUAUCAAUUUGACUCAGUAUUUAGAGGUCUUGAAGAGGGCAGUGUACUAGACGUGGAUUUCUUCCUCUUUUGGUUGUACAAUUGUUGUAUUUCUUGGCCAUCAGAUCUUUUUUAUGUAUCUUUCUCAAAGUUCAUGCCGCACGUACACCGUUUUUCAUGUUUUGUGCAGGUGGGAUUGUAGUCUUUUGUAUCGCAGCUUAGUUGAAGAGGUAGAUGGUCAUACGGCUAUUCUCUAUCAUAGGCUUCAGCUGGACUGGUUUCCAAUGUAAUAGUCUCUUGAUUCAAUCAUCUCAUUUAUGCUUUGGUCAGAAUAGAACAUUUAUUGUUUUCUUCUUUCCCCUUUCAUGUCUUCUGAUAUAAUAUGUGAGGAAAUUACCUAAAAUUUCUGUAUCCCAAUGUAAUUGUUGGAAUUCAGAAAUAAAAUAAAUACACCGUCUUGUUUUUCCCUCGGUUCAGUCCUAAGUUCUCUUUGGGCCUUCUGCAAGUUUUUAAACAUACUGUGACAGUAAAAAAUCUAGUGAUUGAGAUCAUUUUGAUGAAUUUAAUUUUAAUUCUUAGCUGAUACUUUUUCUGGAAUUUUUUUUCUUAUGUUUCCUCAAUAUGACUUAAAUAUAGGGCUUAGUUUGGUUUAGAAGUUCGUCUAAAACCUUCUCCUUGAUUCCAAAAAAAUUCUCUAGAAAGGUCUCAGAUGGAUUUUAGGGGAGUUCUGUGGCAAAUUUGAAAAGUUCAGGGGAAGGGUCUAAUGAAUUUUAAAACCACAUGGGUUAUCUGUUUUAUUCAGAGGAUAGUGGAAUUCCCUGAAAUUUAUCAUUUUUAUUUAAAUAAUCUUCCUACUUUCCUCUGCGGAAUUUAUUUACAUUUAUGAAUUCAUUUGGUUGCAGGUUUGUUUGGCCCCGCGGCCUUUGUUAAGUACGUUAUUGGCGUUGAAAUGACGCUGCGAGUUAUGGUAAGGUUCUUGCUUCCCCACUUCUUGAAAUUAAAUCUAUCUUUUCUGGCACUAGAAGUUUCCAUAAGCUGUGUUUUGUUAUCGCGCAGUUGUGUUAUUUCAUUCUAGGGAGCAUGAGAACUGUGGUCCACAGCCAGGAUAUGUACGAGCUCACGUGGAGAGUUAGUUUUCUGUCCUUUACUUUGGUUGAUGUAGAGAAUUAACAAGUGACUAAGUCAUGCCAAGUUGCACCACUUGCUUCCUGUAUUCUGAUUUCUCAGGUGGUGGAUUCAACAUUUCCCCACUCAAACCUCAAAAUGGUAGGCCCAGAACACAAGUACAGCAUCUUAUGCAGAUUGAUCUAAAAGGGUGGGGUGUUGGUUAUGUGUCAAUGUUUAGCAACACUGUCUUCUUCAGAUGUUAAAUAGCAUUGCUGGUAAGUUUCUUGCUUUCACAUUUUAUUUUGCGCUGUUAUGGGUUAAUAUGUUUCUGUUGGGUGGCCAUUUUAAGUCAUAUUUUUACGUGUUACUGUAUUUUCUUCAGUCCUUUUAUAGGGAACACACACAUACACGUAUGUAGAGUCACCUUUUAAUGAGGGAUCUACCAUUUUAAUAAAAUGAGGAAUGAGCUAAAAGAUAAAAAUUCACGAACUCCAAUGCAAUAUGUGUGUGUGCGUGUGCACACCUUUUCUAACUCUUGUUCUUAGUUAGAUAUUUUUCGGGAUUUCAGGCAAAUGAAAAAAGAGAUUAAGAGAAAGAGAAUAGGUGGAUGAUAACUUAAAUAUUCAUUUUUAUAUAUUUUGUUAAUGUCCUCUUUAAUGGAUUUCUAUGGAAUUAAUCUUUUUUUUUCAAUUAGUUGCAGCCCUAGAGGAAAAGUAGGGUGAUCAAAUUGAUUUAUCUCAUUUUUUUUUAGCAAUUUGCGACAUAAUGACCGUGAUAAUGCUUGUGACUGCUGGAAACUUUCUGAUGGAAAUAACUUCAGAGUUCGUAGCAAGCAUUUUUGUUAUGACAAAACAAAGGUUCCCGCGAAUUUUGGUUGUUGUUAGGCCACAAGUGCGUUUCACAUAUGCAAGGCGCAAGGGUAAUUCCGGAAAUACCAAUCGUGGCUGACGUGUCAUCAAGUAGUAUAGAGAGAAGAGUUUGUUAUGCAUUUCUGUUAGUGAUAAGUUGAUGGUAUUCUGUUUUGAUAAUUUGUUAGAGUUUUCUAUUAUUCUAUUUGGGCGUAAAAGUGAGGAGGUUAUAUGGAGAGGAGCUGUUUUUUGGGAAGGGGAUCUAGAGAAUUAUUUUGUAGUGAGCUUGCUCAUUUUGGGAGAGAUACCAAGCCUCUCGAAUGCUUGGGUGUUUUGGUUUAUUUCUGCAGAUAAAUACCAGUUUUCCUACUUCCAACAACAUUCUGUUCUCUACUGUGUUGUUUAUCUAACCAUUUCAGUUCAGGGCUUAUCAAAUUGGUAUCAGAGUAGUCACGUACCUAGAAAAUGACUGGCAAAAAUGUUGCUCAACGAAUGGAUUCCAUAGAGGAGGCGAUGGGUGCUGCGUAGGAGGAGUUUCAACGGGAAAUGAGAUCGUUGAAGGAUGAAAUAUAGAUGAUGAACAAACGAUUCGAACAGUUCAUCAAACUUCAAGAGGAUACGGGAGGUUCGUAUUCGAAUAAAAGGGAAAAGAUGCUCAGCCCCAACUUCGGCGGGUUGAGCUCAAGCGGAACUAGCCAUGAUUUCCGAUUCCGGAAACUUGAGAUGCCACUGUUCGAUGGCUCAAAUCUGGAUGGCUGGAUCUGAAGGCUGAACGAUAUUUUUCCGUAAAUCGGUUAUCCAAUGAAGAAAAACUUGAGGCAGCGAUAAUAGCUUUCGAGGGAGAUGCCCUGUUGUGGUAUCAAUGGGAGAAUAGGAAGAGAUCCAUGAUGGUUUGGGAAGAGAUGAGGCUACUAAUCUUGAAACAAUUCCGAGUAAUCCAAGCCGAUUCUCUCCAUGAACAAUGGCUAGCCCUUACUCAAGAUAGCAGUGUGCGAGAAUACCGCCGGAAAUUCAUCGAACUUUCGGCGCCGUUGGAGAACAUUACAGACGAACUAGCUCUGGGAAAUUUUAUCAAUGGGUUGAAGCCUGAAAUUCGGGUCGAGGUUCGGAUCAUGGAACCCAGUAAUUUGGGCCGGGCCAUGGACUUAGCCCAAAAGAUUGAGGAGAAACUGUGGGUGACCAAGGCCCACAAAGCAGACGGUGGGUUUCAUCGAGCAGGAGGGUCAACGCGAGGUGUGAACUUCCAUUCUGAAGCUUCGCAAUCUUCGUUUGGGGCAAAUCAUAACACGGCCCGAUUUUCGGGAGAGGUUAGGAGGUUGUCCGAUUCAGAAUUACAGAAGAAAGAGAGAAGGGACUAUGUUAUCGAUGUGAUGAAAAGUGGGCACCUGGGCAUCGCUGCAAGAAGAAAGAAUUGACUGUCCUUCUCACCUACGACAUGGACGAAGCAGAGCAGGAAGAGGAAGAAGGUUCGGGUGAAGGCGAUCCCGAACUGGAAACGGCCGAAAUUAAUCAAGGGAUAGAGGUCUCUCUUAACUCGGUGGUUGGUCUGACUACACCAAAGACGAUGAAGCUUAAGGCGUCUAUCGGGGAGCAAGAGGUGGUGGUACUGAUUGAUUCAGGUGCAACCCACAAUUUUAUUUCUCUAGAUUUGGUUAGUAAGAUGCAGAUACCCAUUGUUAAAACUGAGGCUUAUGGGGUGACUAUGGGUACUGGAGCGGCUGUAAGGGGAUAAGGUUUAUGUCGGGGAGUGACUAUUCAUCUACAGGGAAUAGAUAUUGUAGAGGAAUUCUUGCUGCUUGGGUUGGGGAGCUCGGAUGCUAUAUUAGGAGUUCAGUGGCUUGAAACUUUGGGGAUGACACACACAAAUUGGAAGACACAAGUGAUGAAGUUCAUGCUCGGAAAUGAAUCUGUUACUCUACGAGGGGAUCCUUCCCUUGGCAAGACUUUGGUUUCAUUGAAGGCAAUGAUGCGCACCAUUAAGCACGAGGGAGCUGGAAUUCUGGUGGAAUGUAAUCAAUUUGAAGGUCUGUGCGAAGUGAGCCCUGAGGUGCCACCGAAUCUAAACCAAGUCCUAGCAGAAUAUGAAUUGGUUUUUAACAUGCCCAUGGGCUUACCACCUACUAGGGGACAUGAGCAUUCCACUUUGCUCAAAGACGGCAGUCAACCUGUUAGUGUCCGACCAUACCGCUAUCCUCAUGCCCAGAAGGAUGAGAUUGAAAGACUGAUUCAGGAGAUGUUAGAUGCGGGAAUAAUCCAAGUCAGCAAUAGUCCAUUCUCGAGCCCAGUUUUGUUGGUUAAAAAGAAAGACAGAUCAUGGCGUUUUUGUGUGGAUUACAGGGCUCUCAACAAAACGACGGUACCAGAUAAGUAUCUCAUCCCUGUCAUUGAUGAACUCCUAGAUGAGUUACAUGGUGCCAGAAUUUUUUUCCAAGCUAGAUUUAAAUUUGGGCUACCAUCAAAUCAGAGUCAGUAGUCAGGAUGUUCAUAAGACUGCUUUUCGAACGCAUGAUGGACACUACAAGUUUCUCGUCAUGCCUUUUGGACUAACGAAUGCCCCGUCGACUUUCCAAUCCUUGAUGAAUGAUGUCUUCUGGCCUUAUCUUCGGAAGUUUGUUCUAGUGUUCUUUGAUGACAUUCUAAUUUACAGCCCUUCAGUGGAAUCCCAUCAGCAGCACUUGGCUCUCGUCUUGGGAAUAUUGCAGGCCAACAGCCUUUAUGCCAACCGAAAAAAAUGCGAGUUUGGAAGAACUCAAGUGGCAUAUUUAGGCCAUAUCAUCUCUGGACAAGGGGUGGCAGCGGAUCCAAGUAAAAUCCAAGCCAUUAACUUGUGGCCAACGCCCACUAAUCUGAAAGCGUUAAGGGGAUUUCUGGGAUUGACGGGGUAUUAUAGAAAGUUUGUGGCUGGGUAUGCUAGAAUCGCAUCGCCAUUGACUGAUCAGCUCAAGAAAGAUAGGUUUGGGUGGAGUCCAGAAGCUGCAGCGGCAUUUGAAGAACUCAAACAAGCUAUGUCUUCAGUCCCUGUGUUGGCAAUGCCUGAUUUCACAAAGCCAUUUAUUGUUGAGAAUGAUGCAUCUGGUUUUGGGUUAGGAGUUGUUCUACUACAGGGGCAACAACCAGUAGCUUACUACAGCCAAGUUUUGGGGCCCCGGGCUCGUCUUAAGUCCAUAUAUGAGAAAGAACUAAUGGCCAUAGUGUUUGCAAUCCUGAAAUGGCGGUCGUACUUGCUGGGAAGGCGAUUUAUUGUGCGAACAGACCAACAGAGCUUAAAAUUUCUUUUGAAGCAGAGGAUUGUUGGAGUUGAAUAUCAAAAAUGGAUCACCAAAAUCAUGGGAUAUGAUUUUGAUAUUCAAUAUCGUAUUGGGGCUGUUAACAUAUAUGUUUCCAUAAUAUUGAUUUUGAUGAUAACAAAAAAGAUUAAAAAUGAUUAAUCUUUUAAGCUCAAAUUAUUUUUUAUACAUUUUAAAUAAAUCAUUAUUUUUAUAUUAUAAAGGUUUUAUAUUUAAUGGAAAAAUGAUUUUAUGAAAUUGGUUGUUUUUCAAGUUUAUGAUUUAAUUGAAAGAGUUUUUGAAAACUUUGAAAUCAACAAGUAUUGCUUGAAAUUUUAGAGAAUGACUUAUUUUAAAAGUGUCAUAGCAUUUUGGGCUAUAUCAUAAUUUCAGAAAGUUUUGGGAUUAACAAAGCAUUACUUAGAAAUUCUGAAAUUGGACCUAUUUGUAAACUUUCAUAACAUUUUGGGCCAUACUGUAGUUUUAUAAAGUUUUGGGGUCAAACUAUAAUUUUAAAAAAUAGUGCACUGUGCAGGUUACUGUACCAAUCACUGUAGCAAAUGGCUAACCGUUUAUUUAAAAACGGCUAACCGAUAAUUUCCAGAAAGCAUGUUCUGCAAAGUAUUGUUAAAAUGAUGAUUCUGGAAACUAACGGUGAACCGUUUACUGAAAACGGUUAACCGAUUAUUUCCAGAUUGUUAACCUUGAACCGUUUAGUAAGAACGGUUAAACCAAAUUUGUUUUGCAGGUCUCUGGAAAUUAACGGCGAAAGGGUAAGCCUAAACGGCUAAUCGUUUAUUUAAAAAUUGGCCCAACGGUAACUUUGACCGGCCUAAACGGUUAACCGUUAAUGGUUAACGGCGAACCGUUUUCGAGCAAACAGUCUAUAACGGCUAGUUUUUCAGCUCCAACUAUAAAUAAGCUCAAUCCAAUUCAAACAAGAAGAAUUCCAACGAUCAUCAUUGAGCAAAAUAUUGAGAAUAUAACUUUCAUUGAGCUUUAAAUCCUUGUAUUCAUCUCAUUCAUUCACACAUUGAGCUUUCACUUGUGAUUAAACACAUUGUGUGAGAGAGAUUUAUUUGUAAUCCUUUUUGUAAAAUCAAGUUAAAAGAUUGUAAGUGUUGGGAUACACUUGGGUUAAGAGAUUGGGGAUAAUCUCUUGUUGUAAAGGUCCAUUGACACCUUGGAAGUCAAUUGUAAGCGUUUGAAGCCUUGGGAGGCUAGCUUAGUGAAAUCCUCAAGCUCGGUGAGCUUGGAGGCAUGGACGUAGGCGGGGAUUGCCGAACCACGUAAAAAUCAUUGUGUUUGUUUUCUCUUCCCUUACUCUUUUAUAUUGUGAUUGAUUUAUUUGUUAUUGCUUUAAAUUAGUUUUGGAUUUGCAUUGAGUUUUGUUUUAGAAUUGAAUAAUUUUUAAUAUCCCAAUUCACCCCCCUCUUGGGUUGCCUAGUUAGUAUUUCAUUUGGUAUCAGAGCGAGGUGUUCUUGUGUAGACUUAACCGUCUAGAGUUAAAGAUCCAUGGCAACCUAUAGUGACUCAACCUUUAGGGAAGGACAAUCCACAAUUAGACCACCGUUCUUCGACGGUAAUGACUACCCAUAUUGGAAAACUAGGAUGAGAAUUUAUUUACAAGCUUUAGAUUAUGAAAUUUGGGAAAUUGUUUGUGAUGGUCCAUUUAUGCCUUUGACUAAAAACGAAGUUGGGGAAGAUAUUCCAAAACCUUCACGGGAAUGGAAUGAAUUGGAAAAGAGAAAAGCUUCUCUAAAUUCCAAAGCCAUGAAUGCCUUGUUUUGUGCACUUGAUAAGAAAGAGUUUCAUAGAGUGUCUAGUUGUGAAAGUGCUAAUGAAAUUUGGCACAAACUUGAAGUUGUUUAUGAAGGCACGAAUCAAGUGAAAGAGUCUAAAAUUAGUAGGUACACUCGGCAAUAUGAAUUGUUCCAAAUGGAACAAAAUGAGAGUGUGUAUUCUAUGAAUACUAGAUUUACGGACAUAGUGAACACUCUAGGAGCCCUAGGAAAGACCUUUUCAAAUAGCGAGAAAGUUAAGAAAAUCAUUAGGUCGUUACCUAAGAAAUGGAGACCAAAAAGGACUGUCAUUGAGGAAGCUCAAGAUUUGAAUAUCUUACCUAUUGAUGAUUUAAUUGGUUCUCUUAUUUCUUAUGAGGAAGACAUGGCAGCCGAAAGAGGCAAUGAGGAGAAGAAGAAAAGCAUUGCUCUCAAAGCCUCGAAACAUGAGAGUGAUGAGGAAAGCGAGCUGGAUGAGGAGGAGAUGGAUAUGCUGGCUAGGAGGUUCAGAAAACUUUUUAAGAAAUCCGAUGAGCGAAGAAAAUUUAGAGACCUCAAGAACCGAAAGGAGAAGAAGGAAGUAAUCAAAUGUUAUGAGUGCAAGAAGCCUAGCCAUAUAAGAACGGAAUGCCCUCUUCUCAACAAGCUGAAGAAGAAAGCAAUGAUAGCCACAUGGGAUGAUAGCGAUGAGGAAACAAGUGAUGAUGAAGAGCAUCAAGAAAUGACAAAUCUAGCUCUCAUGGCAAUUGGAGAUGAAUCGAAUGAUGAACUUGAUGAGGUAAAUGAUCUUUUUACUUAUGAUGAAUUAUAUGAUGCUUUUAAAGAAUUACAUGAUAAUUGGAUAAAAAUUGGUAAAAAGAAUGCAUGUCUUAAAAAGAAAAUGGUAGAGCUCAAAAAUGAAAAUGAAUCUCUAUGUGCAAAGAUUACAUGCCUAGAAUUAGAGAAUAAAACAUUGCAUGAUAGAGUUGCAUUAUCAAAUGAGAAACCUAGUACUUCACAUGAGCAUCUAGAAUAUCACAUAGAUGACUUGAAAAAUGAAAAUGAAAUGCUUAAGAAGAAGAGCAAUGAGUUAAAUGAGAUUGUUUUAAGAUUUACAAAUGGACAAAAGAUGUUGGAUAACUUGAUUAAUUCACAAAAAAUGUGUGUUUGAUAAAGGAGGACUUGGUUAUAAGCCACAUUUGAAACAAAAGUAUUAUAGGAACUACUUUGUGAAGAGUACAUCUACUAACAAUCAAGUUGUAUGUCAUUAUUGUAAUCAAAACGAUCACAUGAAGCUUGGUUGUCCUAUUAAAAGAAAAGUAUAUUAUGGAGUAAAAUGUGUUUUGGUUCCAAAAGGAAAAAUUGCUAACACUCAAGGACCCAAGAGUAUUUGGGUACCAAAGGGCACAACGUGAAUGUUUUCUUUGUAGGUACCACAAUCAAGGAAUGGUGGAGAGUUCCUUGAUGAAAGCUUGUGAGGAUAAUCACUUGAGUAUGAUCUAGGAGAAAAAGAUGAGGCAAGAUGAUUUAAUUGUUUUGGUAACAAUUUUUGCCAUAUUAAUUUUGUUGAAUGAAUCAUGAUAAAUGAAUUUGCGAAAAUAUGCUUGUAUGUUUACAUGAUGGAAUUAUCAUUGUGUAUAACAUUGAGUGAUUUAUCAUGAUGCCUUUGUUUGAUUUUGAUGAUUGUAUGGUCUUUGAUUUCAUCUUCUUAAUUGUCUAUCAUCAUUGUCCAUCUCUUAUAAAUGUGUGAAUUCAUAUGCCAUUAAUUGUGUUAUAUCAUCAUUCAUGUAUAAAAUUGAACUUAGAAAUUAUGAGGAAAAAGUAGUAUCCUUCAUCUUUACAAUCAGUACAAGGAUCCCUUUUAAAUAGAGCAAUUAUAACAGAAAAGGAAACUAAUUAAGAGCUAAUAUUUGACAGCUAUCAUCUAUAUUUACAGAGGAAAGGAUCCUACAAUAUCUCUAGGAUUAAGGCUAAAUUCAAGGCCUAAUUUCCAACACUCCCCCUCAAGCUGGUUUGAAGAUAUCUUCCAUAGCCAGCUUGCUAGUCAACUUAUCAAAUUGCUUCUUGUGCAAUCCCUUUGUUAAUACAUCAGCUAACUGUUCAGUUGUUGGAAGAUAUGUCAUACAUAUUAUUCCAGUGUUGAGUUUCUCCUUGAUGAAGUGUUUAUCCACUUCUAUAUGUUUUGUUCGAUCAUGAAGAACUGGAUUAUGAGCUAUAGAAAUAGCAACUUUGUUGUCACAAUAGACUUUCAAAGGAGUUGAGAAAGUAAAUUUCAGUUCUUCAAGAAUUCUUUUUAUCCACAUAACCUCGCAGAUUCCAUGGGCAACAACUCUGAAUUCUGCUUCUGCACUACUUCUAGCAACCACAUUCUGUUUUUUACUCCGCCAUGUAACUAGGUUCCCACCAACAAAGGAACAGUAGCCAGAUGUUGAUCUCCUGUCAGUGACACUUCUUGCCCAGUCUGCAUCUGUGUAGACUUCAACUUGAAGAUGUCCAUGUUUUUUGAACAUUAGGCCCCUCCCUGGAGUUCCUUUUAGGUAUCUUAAGAUCCUGUAGACUGCCUCAAAAUGCUCUGCCCCUGGUGAGUGCAUAAACUGACUUACCAUGCUGACUGCAAAGGCGAUAUCAGGUCGCGUAUGAGACAAGUAGAUCAACUUCCCUAUGAGUUUUUGAUACUGUUCCCUAUCCUUUACUUCUUCAACCUUAGCAGGUUGUAACUUCAAGUUAGGAUCAAUUGGGGUCUCUACCAUCUUACAACCAAGCAAACCUGUUUCUCCAAGGAGAUCAAGAACAUAUUUCCUCUGAUUCACAAAUAUACCUUCCUUGGAUCUUGCAAAUUCCAUUCCAAGGAAAUACUUAAGGACUCCCAAAUCCUUAAUUUGAAACUUCUUUGCAAGUCUCUUCUUGAGGGCUGCUAAUUCUGUUUCAUCAUCACCAGUUAAAAUGAUAUCAUCAACGUAAACAAUCAAAAUUGCAAUUUUACCGUCUUUUGAGUGUUUAUAAAAUAUUGUGUGAUCUCCUUGACUCUGCAAGAAGCCAUAACUGAUAACUGCCUUUCCAAAGCGUUCAAACCAUGCUCUUGGUGACUGUUUGAGACCAUAUAAUGACUUUCUUAAUCUGCAGACUUUAUCACUACCAAGACUCUUCUCAAAUCCUGGUGGUAGACUCAUGAACACCUCCUCUUUAAGAUCACCAUUGAGAAAUGUAUUUUUAACGUCAAGUUGGUGUAAAGGCCAAUCACAAUUCACUGCAAGAGAUAACAAAAUUAUGAUAGAAUUUAUUUUAGCAACAGGAGUAAAAGUCUCAUGAUAGUAAAUCCCAUAAGUCUGAGUGAAGCCUUUAGCCACCAGCCUCGCCUUGUACCUCUCAACGCUUCCAUACGCGUUACAUUUUAUCCUAAACACCCACUUACACCCAACUAUUUUCUUGUCUCUGGGUGGAUCAACUAUCUCCCAAGUACCACUUCUCCUCAAGGCAUUCAUCUCCUCCAUGACUGCUAAUUUCCAAUUCGGGUCAUCCAGUGCUUCCUGUACAUUUCUUGGAACAAACAAGUGUGAAAUCCUAGAUGUGAAAGCUUUAUGGUUUUUUGACAGUCUUUGAUAGGAAAGAUAAUUUGCAAUAGGAUGUUUGGUGCAGUUUCGAACACCUUUCCUAAUAGCUAUAGGGACAUCAAGAUCAGAAAUAAUUGGUGAAUUAUUGGAAACAAUCGAAGGAAUCAAAGCUGGAGUUGGGAUUUGAUUACCUGAAAUUUCAGUGCCGGAACUCAGUUUUUCAAAUUGGGCUUGUGUAGGAUUGACAUUCAAGUCUUUACUUCUCAGAUGAAAUCUCUUCCUAGUAUAAACCUGAAGUUCAGAAUUUAGAUCAUGUUGAUCUGUUUGUAGUACUUCUCCCCCUGAACGAGAAUCCCUUGUACUAGGCUCUAAAGAACUUGUUUUUCUCAACUGAUCAUUAUCAGAAAAGUGUGGUCCUUGAAUAGGACAAAUAACAUUUGGAAGUGGGAUAGAAAUGUCCCAAAAAUUGUCUUCUACUCCAUUUGUCUCCCCCUGAAGAGAAUUUUUUAUGAAAUAAGGAGUUUUUUCCAAAAACGACACAUCCAUACUCACAUGAAAUGUUUUUGUUUGAGGGUCAAAACACUUAUACCCCUUUUUGUUCGAUGAAUAACCCAAAAAUACACACUUUAUAGCACGUGGGUCAAGUUUUGAACGAAAUUGACUUGGAACAUGAACAUAGACAGUACACCCAAAAACUUUGACGGGUAAAUCAGAAAACAACCUUGUUGCAGGAAAAAAUUCUUUAAGGCAAUCAAGAGGUGUUUUGUAUUUUAACACCUUGGUAGGCAUCCUGUUUAUUAAAUAAGCUGCUGUUAAAACCGCUUCACCCCAUAAAUACUUAGGAAUAUGCAUGUAAAACAUUAUGGCACGUGCUACCUCAAGUAAAUGUUUAUUUUUCCGUUCUGCAAUGCCAUUUUGUUGAGGGGUAUUCCGACAUGUAGAUUGAUGAAAAAUGCCUUUAUCAUUCAAAUACUCACCCAAGUGCUCAUUGAAAUAUUCUGUUCCAUUGUCAGAAUGUAAAAUACCAAUUCUAGUUUGAAAUUGAUUUUCAAUCAUAGUGUAAAAAUUUUCAAAUAAAUAUUUUACGUCAGAUUUUUUAUGCAUGAGAUAAAUCCAACAUAAACGAGUAUGGUCAUCAAUAAAAGUAACAAACCAUUUUUUACCGGAAAGGGUAGUGACCUGAGAAGGACCCCAAACAUCACUAUGAAUCAAAUAAAAAGGUUUGGAGGCCUGGUACUGUUUUGGCAAAUAAGUAGAACGAUGAAGUUUUGCAAAAGUGCAACAUUCACAAUAAAAAGAAGAGCAAUCAAUCCCUUUAAAUAAUUCUGGAAAUAAGUAUUUCAAAUAAAGAAAACUAGGAUGUCCUAGUCUAUAGUGCCAUAGCAUUAUUUUUUCUCGAACAGAAAUUGAACUAGUACUAAUAAAGUUCUGAGCUUUUUUAUUACUAAUAGGUACUUCAUCAAAGUAGUAAAGACCUUCAAUCAUCCUAGCACGUCCAAUCAUCAUCCCCGAGUUCUGGUCCUGAAAUUCACAAUGUGAUUCAAAUAAGGUAAUACGACAAUUAGAAUCUCUAGAUAAUUUACUAACAGACAAAAGACUGCAGGCUAAUUUAGGGACAUGAAGAACAAAAUUGAGAUUAAUUUUCUCGGUCAGUUUGAUAAGUCCUUCUCCUGCAAUAGGUGAAAAACUACCAUCGGCAAUUCUAAUUUUUUUAUUUCCAGAACAAGGAGAAUAGGUAUUAAAUAAAUGAAAAGAACUAGUCAUGUGAUCAGAGGCUCCAGAAUCUAUGAUCCAUGGAGAAGAGUUUAAACAAGAAAGGGCUAUAGGAUUUCUACCUGUUUUUGCCAAAGAAACACUAGGAAUACCAGACGAGAAGUUGGAUUUUAUCAGCUUCAGGAGUUGAUCAAUCUGCUCUUUGUUAAAGUGGCCUGAGUUGGCUUCAUUGGCCGAAGGAAUCCCACGAUUCUUCUCUCCUUGCUUGCUGCUUUUCCAGUUUUCAGGUUUGCCAUGAAGCUUCCAACACUUCUCACGUGUAUGGCGAGGCUUGUGGCAAUGAUCGCACCAGGCCUGUGACUUAUCAUCAGACCUGCGCUGAUAAUUUGCAGUCUUGUAGGCUGCUGCAUCAGUAAUUAAGGCAGAAUUCUCAAUUGACUCACCGGCACUCCUUUUCCUGAGCAUUACGCUCCUUCGACUUUCUUCUCUUCUGACUUCAGCAAAGACUUCGCCAAUGGGUGGUAGAGGAGGUCUGCCAAUAAUCCUCCCUCGUACUUCAUCAAACUCAACAUUGAGGCCGGCAAGAAACUUGUAAAUACGACUGUCUUCCACGGUUUUCUUGUGGUGGUUGCAGUCAUCAGCGGAUUUCCAUUCAUAUGUGUUGAAGAGGUCAAGAUCUUGCCACAACCUUUUCAAAGAAUUGAAAUAUUUGGUGACAGAAUCAUCACCUUGACGAAUCUCUCCCAACCUUAAAGUUAACUCAAAAACCUGAGAUUGGUUGCCCAGGUCAGAAUACAUCUGACUAACGUUGUCCCACAAUUCUUUAGCAGUAGGAUAGCACAUAUAAUUGGAGCUUAUAUCCUCCUCCAUGGAGUUGACCAGCCAUGUCAUAACCAUGGAAUUUUCAGCAUCCCAAGUGGCAUACAGCGGAUCAUCAUUAGCAGGAACCUUCUUGUCACCAGUGAUGUAACCAAUUUUUCCUUGCCCACGGAUAUACAUCCGGACAGAUUGCGACCAGCGGAGGAAGUUGUCGCCAUUUAAGCGGAUGGUGGUGAUUUGAACAGAAUGAGAGUUGGAGUGGUUUCGCAGGGUCUCAGAUGUUUUUUCUGGAAUGGCAGCAGCAAGGGUUUGAGUGGUUUCAGACGUGACUUCUGACAUGGUUGCAGACACGAUUCCCUAUGCUCUGAUACCAACUUAGAAAUUAUGAGGAAAAAGUAGUAUCCUUCAUUUUUACAAUCAGUACAAGGAUCCCUUUUAAAUAGAGCAAUUAUAACAGAAAAGGAAACUAAUUAAGAGCUAAUAUUUGACAACUAUCAUCUAUAUUUACAGAGGAAAGGAUCCUACAAUAUCUCUAGGAUUAAGGCUAAAAUCAAGGCCUAAUUUCCAACAAUUGACAUUAUUGUUUGAUACGAUUUCAUAUGUUUGGUCUUGUAUACAUUUAUGCCUCAUGCAUUAAAAUGGCUUAUAAAACAUUUUUGGAUCAAUUAGUUAGUAUUUCAGGGGCAAGUAAUCGAGUAACGGAUGCACUCUCACUCUUAACAGAACCAGCAGAGUGUUCAGCUUUGGCGAUUCCUCAGUGCCAACAUUGGGAUUCCUUAAAGGUUGAGUUGGCAGAGGAUACCUUUCUGAAGAAACUAAGGGAAGACAUAACUUCGGGUACACAAUCUCACGUGGGGUUCUCAGUUGAGCAUGGAGUAUUGUUCUACAAGAGUCGGCUGGUUAUUCCUCAGACUACUAAGCUUCUUUUUGCUCUCAUAGGAGAGUUUCACACCACUCCGAUUGGGGGACAUUCGGGAGAAACAAAAACUUACCAACGCUUAGCAGCAGAAUUGUAUUGGAUAGGUAUGCGCAAGGAUGUCACCAGAUUUGUACGGGAAUGCACCAUCUGCCAGCAGAAUAAGUACUUGGCCACUACUCCCGCAGGGUUACUUCAACCUAUUCGACUACCAGCCCAGGUUUGGGAGGAAGUCACACUUGAUUUUAUUGAGAGGUUGCCUCGUUCUGAAGGGUGGGAUGCCAUCUUAGUAGUGGUGGACAGGCUGAGUAAGUAGGCUCACUUCAUAGGAUUAAAACAUCAUUUUUCUGCUGUUUCGGUUGCUGGAAUCUUUGUUCGUGAAAUUGUUAGGCUUCAUGGGAUACCACGGUCAAUUAUCUCUGACCGAGAUAGGAUAUUCUUGAGCCAUUUUUGGAGUGAAUUGUUGAAGCUGCAGGGAACUACUCUCAAAAGAAGCACCGCCUAUCAUCCACAAUCUGAUGGACAAACAGAAGUUGUCAACCGUUGUUUGGAAACGUAUCUAUGCUGCUUUGCUUCUGGAAAACCUCGAAGUUGGGCUCGCUCGUUGGCAUGGGCUGAGUAUUGGCAUAAUACUUCCUUCUACUCUUCUACACAUUGUACUCCAUUUCGUGCUCUCUAUGGAAGGGAUCCACCCCCUCUUAUUCGGUAUGAGCAAGGAGCUGCUUCGGUAUCUUUGGUAGAACAGUUAAUGGAGGAUCGUGAUGCCAUACUGGACGACCUGAGGAUGCAGUUGCUUCGUGCCCAGCAGCGGAUGAAGCUGCAAGCUGAUCAAAAGCGCCAUCAUGUAGAGUUCAAUGCAGGUGAUUUGGUAUUUCUGAAACUAAGACCUUACCGGCAGCGCUCCCUCGCUCAACGUAAGUUUGAGAAAUUAGUUGCACGUUACUACGGUCCAUUUAAGGUUCUUCAGCGUGUCGGGAAGGUGGCAUACAAACUAGAACUGCCUCAAACAGCAAAACUCCACCCUAUCUUUCAUGUUUCGCAGUUGAAAGAUAAGGUUUCAAACAACAAACUACAUACUAGUUUUCCUACUUCCAACAACAUUCUGCUCUCUACUGUGUUGUUUAUCUAACCAUUUCAGUUCAGGGCUUAUCAGUUGUUUCUUAUGGUAUUUAUAUAUCCGACAUAUUCUAGUUCGACAUGUAACGAUGUAGUUUGGUUGGUUCUUCUUGCUUUUUGUGCAAUUUGUAACUGCAGAUACGUGUGGGAAAACAUUUAAUGGAUCUUGUUGCUGUUGAUUAGUUCAAAGACAAAGAGAAUGGACCAUGUAGCUAGGCGUCAAGGCUGUGAUGCACAAGUAACUAUUCUUUUCUUUUUUAUUUUUCCUUUUCCAUUGACGGAUUAGAAGAAAAUACUGCCUGUGAGAUACUACAAUAUAAAUAACUUCUGGUGGUUCAUUGAAUCUAUAACACUCUGAGCCCUAUUCUAAAAUAUGUAGGUUGCUUCCAAAAAAGGGCUUUUCUCACUGAUCUUUAAUCUUCAAGUAAGCUUGUUUCAUUUCAGAAGGUAUUAAGUUUCAAACUUAUCGUUUUGGGAGGUUGUAUGGUUGUAACGUAAGCAUCUGCAGGUUCCUGGUUCAACAAAUUAUAGUAUGGUAUUUUAUUUUGUCACAAGGGAAUUAAUUACAGGAUCCCUUUUGCAAUGGUUUGUUGACGGCGAUGAUGAAUUUCGCAAUGAAACUUAUCCCAUCCGUUCCUAAGGUAUCCGUCUUGGUCUUCAUGUAUUAGGACUAUGUUAACUAAUACGUACCCUCCGCUGCAUAGUACACUUUAAUUUGUACAAAGAAGGCAUGCAUUUAGGUGUAAAUGUAUUAAUGGGUUGUACCUUCAAACUUCAUUUCCUUUUUCUACCGAUUUGAAUUUGUUUUGCAUUUGUUCUUGAUUUUAAGCAUUGAAUCAUGCAGGGGUCAUGGAUCGUGCGCCAGAGUGAUGGAAGCACCCCUUGUUUAUUAGGAAAAGCAGUUGAUUGUAACUAUAUCCGCGGUCCUAAGUACUUAGAAGUAAAUGCUCUUCGAAUUUCUAUAGUACAUGGGAUGUGUUCCCUUUCGAAUAGCUUGUUCAAUACCAUUAACAUGGUUUAACAUUGUUCAUCUUUCUGCAGAUUGAUGUUGGCAUGUUCUUCUACUGUUGCUAAUGGAGUUUUGGGCCUUGUAAUUGGUGUAAUUACGGCAGUGGUGGUUGACAUGGCUUUCCUUGUACAGGUAUGUAUGAUUGUUUUUUUCCUCUACUUCUAAAUGGACACAAGGGAAAAGACAUGAUUUUGAGAUAUUGUACUGCAAUUUGCAUAUUUGCAUACUUGAAUGUUCUCAGAAUGGUAUAAUGCUUCGUGUAUGCAGGCAAAUACUACAGGUGAAUUACCGGAGCGGCUGAUUGGAGCUGUACGUGUUUCUUAUAUAGAACUCAAGUCUGCUAUUGUCCCAAAGUUGGAACCAGAGACAUCAUGACUGUGUUUUCAUUUCACCUCAACUGUUUGUUUUUAAUUUAAAAAAAAUCAUUUGUUUUAGGUAUACAUACAUGUAUUUUGAUCCCGUUUUCAUUGUAAUUUCUCAUUUACUUUGAAAGAAAGUCAUUGGUGUUUUCGAAUGGGAAUUUUGCAUUAAAAAAUAAAGAAUACUUAAUAGGAAAUUUCAUGAUUCUUUAGUUACUAUUUUUGGAAUGAGUGUAAUAGUAUUAAAGUUGGUUUCUACUCGCAAACAAGUGAACUACUCGAUCCCCAACUGUGACCACGCUAAUUGUCAUUGUUUAAUAGCUACUACUUUUAAAACUCAACAACUAACAAAAAUACUAAUAAAAAAAUGAUUUUCUUAUGAUGCUGUGAAAACAUUUAUGGGUUCACUUAUUUCCACAAGAUCUAUAACAUGGUCUUGACUUCACGAAAUUCUUUUAAUUUAAAGGGUGCUGGUAUGAGAAAAUCAGUUUUACGGAUUAAUUCCUUUUAAUAAUGGUCGAGUUAAUUUUACUAUACUCAUAAAACUAUUCUUAUUCUGAUAAUGCCACAAAUGUUAUGCUGUUUUCUUCAGCUAAUGAUCUUCUAUCAGGACUAGUUAGAAAUCAAAUGCUUAAAACACCAAUUGAAUGAAUGAUGCAGAAGUUUAAACAGUAUCUAAUUGAAAAUUGCCUGAAACAUGAAACAUCAAUUCAAGUCCUUCCUUAAACAGAGAAUGCAUCAAACAAAUCCAAAGUGUCUUUCAAGUCUGUAGCAUGACUAAAAAAUUGUAAAUGCGUUCAGAACCAAAUUAUUCAAGUACAGGAGAACGAGCAAGUUGAAUCAUGUACAAGAGGUUGACCUAGUUCUAGAUAGCUUCUUCACUGUACCUGAAGGGUUGGCUCAAUCUUUUCUUUAGAAUUCUGCACAUUUUGUAAUUACUCGUGUAAGCAAGCAUACAUUACAAUCAUAAUAAUAAUAAAGCAAGAGUAAUGAUACGACCACAACCUCUUGUGCACAAAUAAUAUUGUACAAACUAACAUGACAUAAUAUGAUUGAGUAAUGAUACGACCACAAUCUUUUGUGCACAAAUAAUAUUGUACAAACUAAUAUGAUGUAAUAUGAUUGAUUAAACAAAAACAUAACAUAACCCUUAUAAUUUAUUUAUUAUUAUUUUAUAUUUUCAAUCAAGCAAUCAUAUUAUGCCACGUUAAUAGCUAUAGAAAUAAUUUGCUAGAUAGUGCCAACACUUCAUUGAUACUCACCAUUUCAUUGAACAAUUUUUUUAUGGUGUCAUUGAGGUUGCCUUCCCCACAUCCUUCAUCAUCAUCUUUUUCUUCUUCGGUGACGUUCACUUUGUUUAGCAUUGGUGUGUCUAAGACUCCUUGAGAGAAGAUCUUCAUUUUUGGACACUGUCUCACAACUACUUGUUUCAAGGACGGGAAUUCAAGAGCGUAAUUACCCAAACAAAAGCUUGUUAGGAUUGGCAAACAAUCAAGUUCCAAGUACUUUAAUUCCUUGAAAACAAUGCAAUCUUUCGUUUUUUCUCCAACCUGCGAUUGUAUGAUUUCUUCUAUCAUUUUGCAAUCAGCUAUCUUUAUUCUUUGAAGAUUCACUAGAUUUUUAGAUGCUGAGAGCGUCAACGCAUUUAUCAACCCGUGACACUUCGAUACUUGUAGUCCCCACAGAUUUUCCAAAUGCCACGAAGGUGGUACUAAUUUUUGUAACUUACUACAUUCUGAUAUUUCUAGACUUCCCAAGUUUGCAAACGCUUUGUUGGAUUCGUCAUUUUCCUUCCAGAGAUGCUGCACUUUGUGUAAUUUAGACAGCUUUAACUCCCUCAAUUUAGGGAAUGCAACCUGAAAAUCAACAAAAUUAAGUUGUAAAUUAAAAUAUGUAUCCAAUCUCUGCAGUCUUCCCCUGCAUAUUUUAUGGACAAGAUUAAUCACGACAUUUUAUAUUUUUUUUUCCAAAUUAGUAUGCUUUGCAGUAGGAUCCCAAAUAUAAGUAUCAAAUCGAUUACCCUUUGAAACACAUAAAUGAAAUCUGAUACUAAAUCCAAAUGAAUUAGCUAGGAAAACAGAGAUGCGACAAGCAUAAUUGAAAUAUAGUUCAUCACCUCAUGUUACCAGUCAUCGAAAUAAUUUAAGACAUUUUUAUAAUUCAUACUAUAAAGUUAGUUAAUAACUACGGUUAUAUUGUUAAAUCAGAUAUAAAUUAAGACGACGUGCAAAAAGAUGAGUCAUUAAAUUUGAUUUGAUUCUAAUGAAAUUAUAUCUGUGCGAAUGAAAGUGAAGGGAAAAAUAAUAAUAAUGAUUACCUUUUCAUUGAAGAGAUGUUGUAUUUGAUUAGCUACCAAGAUGUUCUCUUCUGAUUUUAAUUUUUGAGCUUCCUUAUUAUCUGCUGUCAUGUGCAGUACAGAUGUAGAAUUGGAUAUGAAUGUUUCCAUAUCAGGGCAAUUCUCAAUAGUUAGAUAUCUCAACUCAGGCAGUUCAAUUAUAUUCCCAGUGAAGUUGUAGAAUCUUUUGAGUUUUGGAAGAUCAAUGAGCCUUAGCCAGGAAAGCCUAGGAAACAGGGGGCCUAUAUGUUCUUCCUUAGCAUUUAGCUCUUCCAAAUGAAGCACCUCUUCUAGUGAAUCACAAUUCCUCACUUCUAGGUACCUUAAAUUGUUCAAGCAUCGUAGCAGAUUGGCAGGAAUAGCACUCGACAUAUUCGUGCAGUCAUCCACCACCAGCUCUCUUAAAUUGUUGAAGAAGCUGACAGGCAGUGCUUGGCCAUGCCAUAUUUCUUGCAAGCGUGGAAAAUGCGAGAGUUGCAAAUCCUUUAUAUCACGAAAUCCAAUCUGCACAAACCAAAACAAUUGCACUGGAUAUAUACAAAUUUUUUUUUAAAGGCAUUAUAUAUAUACACAUUAAACUUACAUGUUUUGUGUUUUAACUUUUAAAAAUAUAUAUACAAGGGAGGUGUAUAUGCUUAAAUGUGCAAGUGCAGGGGAGAUGCAUGAACAAUUUGGGUGAAUCGAUUAACACAUACCAUUUCUUCAUAACACUUUUGUAUAGUGGAAUUAAGGUUGCCUUCCCAAUGGUGCGGUUCACCCUCUUCCUUUUUACUCACUUGGACUUUGUAUAGCUUUGGUGUGGAUAAGAUUCCCAGAGAAAAAGUCAUCAUGUCCGGACAAAGUGUCACAAAAACUUGUUCCAGUGAUGGGAAUUCAAGAGUGUAAUUCUCCAAACAAAAGCUGGUAAGCCUUGGUAAAUCAUCAAGUAUCAAAACUUUUAAUUUGCUGAAAGCAAUACGAUUCUCCUUCACUUCUUGUCCAACAUGUCCUACGAUUUCUUCUAAUUUUGGGCAACCCGAUACUUUAAGAUUCACUAGACUACUAGGAAUUCCAACCUUAUUAUGAAAUGUCUGUGUGCAUGUGUGUGUGUAUUAAAAAAGUAAAAAUGUAAGAAUAUCAUUCAACUAGAUUCAAAGUAUGGUUAAUCAUACAAUUAUACAUUUUAUGAACAUAACAAAUUAUGAAAUGUCUACUAGAUAUUUUUUGUCAAACAAAAACGGAACAAGAUAAAUAAAUAAAUAAAAGCCACAUAAACAAAGAUAAUAAAAAUGCAUUUACACUAUUUAGUAUUAGGAACGUAGCAAGAAUUUAAGGCAAUUUCUAAAUAUUUUAGACUUAUUUUGCAUCUUGACGCCAGUUUUUAAACAAAAUUUGCAAAUUUCAACUAUUCCUUUUGGGAAAAAAAAUCAACCAAAAUGCCGCUUUUUCCCUUUUUCCUUGGUCCCUUUUUUUUAUGUAUAUUUAAUUUUGGAAACAAAAUUAAAGUGGAUCUUUAUUAAGUACUUGCAGACUCGAGGAAAUUUCUUUACAAUCAAGGAUCAGUUGUAAAUAAUCAUGAAUUUGUGGUUAAUUAAUGGCAUAAUCAGUUCGAACUAAACAAGAGAUAUUAAUUAAAUUUGAAGACUUUUCUUUUCUUUUUUUUUUCUUUUUCCAAUCAAAAUGUGAAGAAUUAAGGAAAAGAGAAAUAUAUAGAUGAAUUUGUGAACCUAUAAGAUGAGUGACUAUCCUUUAAUUUUUGAUAAUUGUACUUAUUAAGAUAUGAGCAGAAACAAUUAAAUUGAAUUAUAUUAUGCUGUUGAAUCGUGAUUAAAAAAAUUAUAUUGUUGAUUCUAAUGCUGGCAAACCUAAAAACUGGACUUAAAAUGUAGAUUUGAGAGUGGUGGUUCGAAGUACAAUACUUGAAAUAAAUAAUCAGUGGCUGAAUAUCAUUUGUAACCCAAAAAUGGUUAAAAUAUUGUUGGAUGUAAUUUGAAAAAAAAAAAAAAAGAUUCGAAAUGAAUACAACAACCUUACCAAUGGAGGAAAAAUAUUCAUUAGGUUAUCACACCUAGAUAUCUCCAAAUUCUUCAAUUUCCUGAAAGACUCCAAAGCAAGCUGGUGGUGCCAUAUUGUUCUCAGGUUAGCCAUCCACGCAAUAUCUAAUACCUCCAACCUAGGAAGUAGUACCUGGCAGUUAAAGAUUAAAUAACUAAUUAAUCGGCAUAAUCUAUUGAUAACCAAAUUAGAGGCGGAUAUUAACUAAAUUUGAAGACUCAAGGAAAAGACAAAUUAAAUAUUGUGGCUAAAAUUAAUUAAAAAAAAAACCUUUUCGUCAAAGAGAGGUGGAGAUUGCAUUUCAGAAUGAAGGGUGUCUGCUGGUGAGCUCGUAGAGAUGAAUCUUAACAUAUUAUUGCAACCAUGGAUCUCCAGGUUUAGCAAAGAAGGGAAUUCAACAACUAAAUCUGAAUGAAUCUGUCCCGUAUUGGCAAAACUUGUUAGUUCUGGAAGCCAUUCUAGCUUGAGGGAGUGUAGUUUAGGAAAAACCUUUAAUUCAAUCAACUUUCCUUCAUCUCUUUCUGACCACCCCGUGGUGUCGACUACCCCUUCCAUUGACUCACAAUAGCUUAUCUCAAGAUGUUGGAGUUUCGCAAGACUAUUAACCAUAGAAUAUGAAAACAGAUACUUCAGACAAUCACAACUCCACACGAUGACCUUUGUUAAGUUUUGACAACAGUACAUUCCUUGAUUAUGAUCGGCCCAUAAUUUUUUCAUGUUUCUUAAGUUCCUGAUAUUCAAUUCCUCUAAGCUCGGAAGAAUAAUAACCUGCAAAGAAAACCCGUACAUUUUUGUUCCUUCAAGUACAACCGUCUAGUAUAAUAUUUUUUGAUGAUCGAAGAUUAAUCGUGAAUCCGUGAUAAUAAAUUAAUCAAUUAAUUAUUGAACAGAAAAUUAUCACCUUUGGAGCAGGGUCAUCAUCAGCAAUGAUUUCGUUAAAUCCCAAAGAAGAAGUUGGUUUCUCCCUGUCGGGUCCUAUAAACAAACAAAAACAAUAUACAUAAUUAAUCUUUGUUCUUUUUUUUUUUUUGGUCCAAAAUAAUUGAAGAGAAGUCCAUAAUCCCACCAAUACUUAACUUCAACACUUACCAAAAAUCAUUUCCAGAUCAUGGCAAAACUCCACUUCUACCUUUUGAAGCCGCAGUAGGUUUUUGGCUAUGGAGAAUGAGAAAAGAUGCUUCAAUUUGUAACAGGAAUAUACUUCUAUAAUCCUUAAGUUGCUGAAAGAUUGAUCUUCUGUGAGUUGGCUGUCACAUAUUGUCUCCAAAUUGAUCAAACGACGAAGAGACAAUGACUCCAGCAAGGGGAAGACUUUGCGACGAACCCGUCCAACUGAACGGACAAUAUGCAAAAUCUCAGAACAACUUUUUACAGAAAGAUGCUUCAAUCGUGGAAAACCUUCCCCAUCAUCUAAUUCACCCUUCAGUUCUUCUAGAUAGAGAUAUUCAGUUCUCUUCAACAACAGUUUCAUCCUGUAAUUCUGCAAAAGAAUGCCAAACUUUUCUAGCCCCUGGAGCUUCAUCAAUCUUGAUAAUCCAGAUUUAACGGACCGGCUGCUCCACCACGUAUUUCCUAUACAUAUCCUAUAGCUUUGCAAUUCCACAGAGACCAAAUCCUGUGGUAGAAUUUCGGCAUCCCGAACGUGUAUCUCCAAAGUAGUUAGCUUUGACAACCCCUUCAACUCAACAAGACUGGCGUUACUUCCUCCUUCAACCUUCUCCCACUGUGAAAAGCUGUUACUCAUAUAUAGUUCUUCUAAUCGAGAUAAUUUUGAUAUGACAUUUGGAGCUAUCACCACAAGGCUGCUACAAUUGCUCAAAUCUAGCAACUGUAAUCUCGUCAAUUGUCCAAUUACAAGUGGCAACUCCUUAACAUCAGAAUCUCGAAGGCUGAGAAUCUCUAAUUUCUUUAGCUGUCCAACUAUUGCUAUAUCUUUUAGUCCGCAACCAUCUAAACAAAAUGUUUGAAGGUUAAUGAGGCGACCAAGUGAUGAAGGUAAUGAAGAGAAAGGAAUUCUAGUAAGACUUAACACUUUGAGUUCUUCUGUCCCUUCAAAAAAGAGGUCUGAAAUUUGCAUAGGGCCAUAACCCUUUCCAAACAACAAAAAUAACUGGAGAUUGGGACAUUGCAACCUUUCAGGGAGCUCUUGGAUAUCUCUAUGAGGCAAUGAAAUAGCAAUUGGUCCUUUCUGUUUCGUCUCUUCCAUCUUUUUCUCAACGUCAGCAACAUUUGGAAUAUUAAACAUGCGCUUCUCUGCGGCAAUUGAUACGGCAACAACAUGAAUGACGUCAUGCAUUUUAACUUCAUCUUCAGCAUCACCGUCCAACAAUAAGCAUGAAGAUUUGAGAUUGUCGAUCAACCGAUGCACUCUACUCCUUGCUUCUUCCAAUGUGUAAACAUUUUCAAACAAACCCCAACCCACGCCAUAUCUCAAUAAGUCAGAAACUUCUAUGGCAUCACCUUCACUGUACAGACCACAAAGACGGAACAAAGAUUUUGCCUCCGCACUUUCCAAGAAGUCAUAACUCAAUAUUAUGGAGGUGUACACAUUUGCUUGCAUGCCAUGAAUUUCUCUUGCAUCCGAUCUUCUUAGCUGAUUCAAUGCAUCUUUCCAAAAGUCAAGCUCCUUAGUUUUCAGAGCAUUUGCAACUGUACUCAGUGCAACAGGCAAACCUCCGCAUCUUUCAACGAUCUCAUUUGCCAUACUUUGAAAAGCAGAUAUUUUAGUUGAAUCACCCACUAUCUUCUCAAAUAACUGCAAUGCUUCUUCUUUUGAUAAAGCAUCGAUCCAGAAAAUUUUCUGACAAUUCAUAUCAUUGCACAAUAAAUCUCGACUUCUAGACGUCAAUAUUAUUGUGCAUCUUCUCUGAUCAUCCUCUCUAUCUUUCUCAUCAACAUCUCCAGAAGGAAUUCCAACCGCAUCCAACUCAAGUUUUGUCCAAAUAUUAUCCAAUAUAAUGAGGACCCGCUUCUCUUGCUUCAACCUUUCACGCAGUCGAGAAGCUCUAUGGUGUAUACUAUCAUUCAAGUCAAAUUUCAUGCCUAAAUCAGAAGCGAGCUUGUCUUGAAUUUUCUGGGGAUCUGGGUUCUGUGUUACCUCAGCCAUAACGACCUUAUCGAUCAACUUAUCUUCCAUCACUUUCUUAGCAACUUGCUUGACUAGCGUGGUUUUACCCACGCCGCCCAUGCCGUAGACCCCAAUUAUGUUGAGCUUAUCAUCCUUCAACGCCUCCAUAACAUCCUGAAAUACUUUCAUUCUUGAAUCAAAGGCCUCGUUAUCUUUCCCGUCAUUAAGUCCUGUGCUCUUUGGAGUAGGACGGUAGGAAACAUUAGAGAAGUUGCCUUUUCCCACGAGACCAGCGGCAGCUUCUGCGGCCUUUGCUGCUUGUUUACUAAGCUUGUAACGGGACAUCAAAUUUGGGCACAAUCCUUUGAAGCAGAACUUCUUAGCUCUUUCUUCAUCAUCAAUGAUGGAUUUUGCAACCCCUUCACUUAUGAAUUCAUCAACGCUAUGUAGCCAGUCUGUGACACCCUCAUAAAGCUCAUCCCCUUGUAGCCUAGCAUGAUUAACUGGUUGCUGCACCGUUUCUCUUUUAUAUCCCAGCUGCUUUACUUGAUCUUUUAGAUCAUCUAUGUAGCUCUGGUACUUGAACACAUAAGAUAUCUGCCGUAUAAUCGGUUUGAACAAUGACUUUGCACCUUCUGAUACGAUGCUGGAGAAAGCUGCAAGACCCACCUCUGCCAUUGCCUGCUGCUUAACAAAUCUAAUAAAAUGUCAAAGAAAGGAAUUCAAAUAAAUUAAAAUGAACUAGAGGGAAAGACAAAAAAGGAAAAGGCAGUAAACAGUGUCGCAACAUUGAUCUUGAAUCAACUGAAACAUGAACAGAGCAUUUUUUCUUCUUUGUUAAGGAUCAGAGUUUUUGCUAUUAACAAAACCUACUUCAAGCGUCUUAAAAAAAAAAACUGUAAAUUUACCAUAAAUGAACAAUAACUACAAAACUCAAGCAAAACAAGCCACAGAAUUUUUAUCUUGGAAAGUGGAUGGAAUUAAGAAAGAAAUGCUAUAAAGAUCAAGCAUCAGAGAUUAUGCUAUUAAAAGAAAUUAAUUGAAGGUUUUAGAUCAAGUGCGCCUAUUUAAUUAUGUGGGGUCAGAAAGUUGAUGAGCCUCUGUGAUCGCCUUGAAUAUUUAAGAGCAAUUUCAAUGAGCAAAAAAUUUCUGUUACCUGCAGAGGAAUGUGAUUAUAGAGAGCUUAUAGGGUAAUGACAAUGAUUUGGAAAAGAAGAAGACUUAAUCAUGCAGCCCUUAAUAUUUAUUAAAUGACUUGUGAUCAUUUCUUUUAUGAAUAAAAUGCCAAUAGCAAAAAGAGAAAAAAGGGCGAAAUUUACUAAGUCUUAUUUUAUUUUUAAUUUCUUUUAUUUCCAUUCGCCGAAGAGGGAAUCUCUCCCUCUUUUUGUUUUUUUUUAAGGGGAAUCUCCUUACCUAAUAUGACAUAAUGAAAGCAAUCUGUAAAUAGUCAUAUAAUGUAAUAAUUAAAAAUACCCACAUAUUUAUAAUAUUAAUGAUGGGAUCCAUGUGUUUAUACUAAUUAAAUUGGUGGACCAGAAUUUAUUUGACCGUACUUGUUUUCUAUUUAAUUAAGAUUGAAACGAUAGAGAAAAAUUGUCGUAUUGAUUGUUUCGAUUGUGGAGUUCCAACACUGAAAGUGAAGAUUUCAUCAACUUUCUCACAUGGACACGUACCGUCAUGCAUAUUGCAUUAUUUUCCUAGAAAAGCAAGAUUAAUUCUUUUAAUAAUUGUGAAUUCAGGAAAACAGGUGGAUAAUAACUAAAAUAUUUAUUUUUAUAUUUUUGAUAAACGCACUCACUAUUAAUAGAAUUCAUUAGAUAUCAUAACUUAAAUAACUUUUUGUGAUUGAUUGAGGGUAUCUUUUACUUCCCAAUAAUUAACUUCUAUGUUGAUUCUCAGAAAAUUAAUUUUACGAAUAAUUUAGUAGGGUGUUUGGUAAAUGAUGAUUAUUUGACAAUCAGUUUUCAAAUAGUCUACUAUACAAAUUUGAUAAGUGAAAAUUGAAAGUGUAAUAUUCAUGUGCAAUGAUAAAAAUGUACUUGUUUGCUUAUUUGUAGCUUAUUUAGAAUAUUAUUAUUAACAUCAUUUUUUUAUUUACUGGAUUUUUAAAGAGUAUAUUCUACUUUCUUUAUUACAUAUCUAUAUCAUUUUUUUAUUAACUAUUUUAAUUUGCAAUAAAACUAACUUUAAUAUUUUUUAACUAAAAAAUUCAUGCUAACAUAUUAUUAAAUUGAUUAAUAAAUAAGUGCAAAAAGAAAAUGCAAAAAUUUAAUCUUUAUAUAAACUUUUAUGUACAUAAAACUAUUGCAAUCAAAGUAGUUCAUAAAAAUAAAAUAUUCUAUACAUGUGUGUAAAAAAAAAAUAUAACUACAAUAUUGUCCACUCAUUAAAUUUGCAGCACUAUUAUUUCUCAGUCUCCCCAUCUCUCGACCUUUACCUUUAGGAACAUUAACACCAUGAUCUUCUUCUUGAAUUCGACCUCCAUUUCCACAGUAUCAACAAGGCGAUCAAUUUGCUGUGACAGCCUUUCAACUCCUCCCACUUUCCUCCCUUUUGAGGCCGCCCUUUUUCUUUUUCUUUCUUUGAUAGCUUCAAUGGGAACAAACUCAUCUAACGACAAGUACAUUCUUCAACCACAGUAGAAUUGGUUGUUGAUAUUUUACUACUCUCAUAUGGUAUGUAAACAUGGUCACCAGUGAUUGUUAUAUUAAAAAAAAAUUCUAUUCAAUUUUUCCUCUGACUUUGUGUCGAUACCUUUCAUGCAAAAUCUAUUUGCUUCAGAAAUUUCUUCCGUAUGUUGAUAUCAUAUUAAAGUGAAUUCAAGAUCCUAUAUUAUUUUGCAUGACAUCAAAGUUUAGCCGAAUGGUAAAGAAUUUCCCUUUUUGUUUGUCCCACAACUAUAUAGUCUCAUUUUUGGCAAUAAGCUCACAAUAUGCACGGAAAUGAAGAUUUAUUAAAAACUUCCCUAUAAUAUUAAACACUAAACAAUAUCACUAUAACCAAAGUUGGCUGGUGUGAGUGGUUCGGCACUCUCACUCCUUAAGAGAGGUCAGGGGUUCAAGCCCCGCUCUCGUAUGGAGUCACCACUUUGGCCAGCACUUUACCCCUUAUGGGCCGACCCGGUGCGAGCGGGGAUUAGUCUGGGUUGUGGUACGGGCUUAAAGGUGCCUCCCACAGUUGGGGCCCACUCAGGACCACCUCGUGGUUCAGACCAAAAAAAAAAAAUAAACAAUAUCACUAUGUUGUGCAUAUGGUGCCUCGUCAACAAUUUGAUGUUCAUUUUGUUGCUCGGGUGAAUAUGACUACUUGGGUUGCGAGUCCAUGCUUUUGUCGUUUGGAUGGAGGACGGGCCAUCUUUUUAUUUUAGAUGGUUUGUAGGACUUUUGAUAAUUAUUUUUCUAAAACUGAUUUCUGGUUAAUAAGACCUAUGAAAGCAUUCGAAGAAGCCACCGAACUCAGAGGAAAGCCAUGGUUAAAUAUACUGCGAAGUAUGUGAGCUCGUUUUUUAAUCUCUUGAUCACUCAUAAGCUUUUCUAUACCACUCACUAUAUCAUCCUUUUGAAUCAAUUUUGAUUGAUCAUCAGAGAUCAUGUACCCACCUUGAGAUGAUUGAUCACAAAUUUGGCAUUGUAAUGUUGGUCACCUCUAAUUGGCCAUGCUAAAAUUGGGACUUGACAACCAAUUGUUUCACUGUUGAAUUCCAUCCACAGUGAGAUAAAAAUUCACCCGUUGAUUCAUGUCCCGCUCUCUUAUGAAGUCACCACUUUGGCCAGUACUUUACCCUUUAUGGGCCAACCCGGUGCGAGCGGGGAUUAGUCUGAGUUGUGGUACGGGCUUAAAGGUGUCUUCCACAGUUGGAGCCCACUCAGGACCACCUCGUGGUUCAAACAAAAAAAAAAAAAUCCACCCGUUGAUUGAUGACUCAAUAUCAAUAAUUGUGGGGCUCAUCCAUCUAUUAUCAAACCCGUUUCACCGACUUUAUUAUCCAAACCACUACGAAAAUAACUGCCUUCUACUGGUUUGUUCAAAUGACGUAGAGGAUCCAAUCUACCUGCACCACCUUGAAUUACCCAAAUAAACGGUCGAUUUGAUGCUUCUAAAGCAUUGGCUAGUACUAGGUACUCAUCUAAGGUCGGAUCCACUUCAGUACCAAAUGACACAUAUAACACAGAUCCGCGUGAUUUCAAAUUCAAUCAUUGAACGAUCUCAUCUUCCGUCAUGUUAGAACUCCGCCGGUUGGUUCUCAUCUCAUGAUCAUGAAGCACUUAACCGGCCAAUUUGUAAAAUUGUUCAGGUAACAGUGGGCCCACUCCCCACAUCGGCUUUCUCAAUUCAUUGGCUAAAUAAUUAUAAAUGGUCCCUCAAGACCAUCACACGUGUUGAACAUCAACGCCAUUGAUCCCUCCGCUUCCUUCAUCCAGUGUGGUUGAUCACCGGCCUCUGGUGGACCUAUUUUCUCGGAACCAGGUGCACCUCUCAGAGGUGGUGGACCACCAGGAGGGUGCCCAUGAGGCCUUGUUUAAGAUUCGAUUCAAAUAAAGCCAUAUCCUCGGGUAACCCAGGAAGUAAAUGGGCCUCUCCCGGUUUGACAUCUUGGAUGCGAGCCUACCACAUGGCACACUCCACAGCUGCCGAGCAAGCACCAGAAGUGAAGAACCCAACAAUGGGAACUUCAAAAAUCUUGAAAACAUCAGCCGUCCAGCCCAUCAUAACGUCGAUGACUGCACAAACGGGUCGGCUUUUGGGUUCCCGGGUUGAAAGGAGGUUUCGAAGGCCUUGAAGCAUUUGGUUGUGCAUGACAACAUGGGGGUGAGGAGACGAAGGAGGGUAUUUUAGUAAUUUCAAAUAGAGGGUAUUGGUGAAGAGGGGAAGGGGUGAUGCUGUGUUGAAUCAAAAUAGAGUAAAAACUCUAAUUGAUCAAGAAGAAGAAAAACACUCUUUAGAAUAAUCUCACAAAAUUGCAAAAGAGAAGAACUCUUAAGAAAACUUUCAAAUGCUUAUAAUAAAGCUUUGAUUGUUAAAUUAUAAAACUCAAAUACAAAUAAGGUAUUUAUAGGUUACAAGAAACAAUCUAAACCACUCAUUAAAAUAACCACAAACUAAUUUAAACCAUUGAAAUUAAACAUGAGAAAAAUACCUAAUUUUCACCUAACUAAAUUGAUGUAAGCAAUGACAUCAAAUUAAUUUGGGUGUGGACUUAUUUGGGCUAAUAUUGACUUCUCAACACUCCCCCUCAAUGUUAGCCCAAUUCUUUGAAUCACGCCAAGCUGACGACGGAAAUGUUCAAACUUUCCAACACUCAAGCUUUUUGUAAACAAGUCCGCAGUUUGCUCAUCUGUCUUGACUUGCCUCAUCUCAAUCUCUUCUUGCAGAACUUUUUCCCUAACAAAGUGGUAAUGCACUUCCACAUGUUUAGUUCUUGCAUGAAAAACAGGAUUCUCCGCCAGCCGAAUUGCCGAUUGGUUGUCACAGUACAACAGAACUGCAUAAUCUACUGGUUGAUGUAGAUCAUUCAUUAGUUGUAUCAGCCACGUGCUUUCUUGAGCUGCCAUUGCUGCUGCUCGGUACUCUGCUUCCGUAGUUGACAAGGACACAGUCGGUUGUCUCUUGCUACACCAAGAAAUCGUUCCAGAUCCAAGGGUAAACAUAUACCCAGUAGUUGAUCUGCGAGUAUCGUGAUCUCCUGCAUAGUCAGCAUCACAGUAGCCAACUAGUUUGUAAUUUCCACCUUUCUUGUAUAGAAGACCAUAGUCUAUUGUACUCUUCACAUAUCUGAGUACUCGCCGAACCGCUUCUAAAUGAGACUUCUUCGGAUUUUGCAUGUAUCGACUCAUCACACCAACUGCAUAAGAAAUGUCAGGUCGAGUCAAGGUUAAGUAGAUUAGACUACCCACUAAUUGUCGAUACAUCGAUGCAUCUUCCAGGUCUUUGCCUUCAUGUGCACACAUCUUGGCAUUUGGUUCCAUCGGCGUUGAGAUCGGCUUACAUUCUAGCAUCCCAAACUUCUUCAACAAAUCUUUGGCAUAUUUCUGUUGACAAAGAAAUAUCCCUUCUUUCAUCUGAUCAACCUCUAGCUCAAGGAAAUGCUUAAGUUGUCCAAGUUCUUUCAUUUGAAAACGAACUGACAAGUUCUCCUUUGUUCGGAAAAUUUCUUCAAUAUCAUCUCCAGUGAUGAUUAGAUCAUCUACGUACACGAGCACAAUAGCUAUCCUUUCUCCAUUAGCUUUAGCAAACAAGCUGGAGUCUGCAGAUGUUACUGAAUACCCACUUUGAGUUAGAAAUUCAGCAAUCUUGCCAUACCACGCCCUGGGUGCUUGUUUUAGUCCGUAGAGAGCCUUUUGCAGCUUACACACAUACUCAGGAUGACCUCGGUUCUGAAAACCCAUCGGUUGAAUCAUGUAGAUCUCCCGAUCCAGCUCUCCAUGGAGAAAGGCAUUCUUCACGUCCAUCUGCCACAAGUUCCAGCUUUUGUUGGCUGCAAGUGCAAGUAAGACUCGGACGGUUGUAAGUUUUGCCAUUGGACUAAACGUUUCGUCAUAGUUUAGUCCAUAUUGUUGAGAGAAACCACGAGCUACCAAUCGAGCCUUGUACCUCUCGAUUGACCCAUCUAGACGGUGCUUUAUUUUGUAAACCCAUCUGCAGGAUAUGGGUUUCACAUCUUUUGGCUUUGGCACGAGUUCCCAGGUCUGAUUUUGCUCAAGUGUAGUGAUCUCGUCUUUCAUAGCUGUCAUCCACUCAGAACUCUGUGAUGCUUCUUCGAAUGUCUCAGGUUCUAUUCCAGUUGCUUCUUCAACUAUGGCUGCAUUAGCGUAUUUGGGAUUUGGCCUUCGGGUUCUUGUUGACCUUCGUAAUGGAGUUGAUUCUUCCGUUUCACUAGGCACACCUUCUUCAUCUGGUUGUCGAUACACCCCAGAUUGCCAAGGAUUUAGAGUUACUCUUCGUUCGCUAUCACUAUCGCAUAGAUCCCCAGCUGAGCUUAGAUGAAUUUGGACAGUAUGCUCCCCCAUCUUUUGUUGUAGCAUGUCUUCGAAUUCUUUCGAGUCUGGCAGCACUUCUUUUUCUGAGGUCCACCAUGAGGAUGCUUCAUCAAACACCACAUCUCGUGAUGUGUAGCACCUUUCAUUUACUGGAUCACAACACUUCCACCCUUUUCGCUGGUUGUCGUAUCCUACAAAGAUACAUCUGACAGCUUUCUUAUCGAUCUUGCUACGUAGAUGGUCAGGAACAAAUACAUAGCAUACACAGCCGAAUACUCGAAGAUAGCUAACUGUAGGUUUCUUGUUCCACAAUUUCUCAAAGGGUGAAACAAACUCCAACCUUGGUUGAGGAAGCUUGUUGAUGACAUGAGCUGCAGUUCUCAUACCUUCGGCCCAAAAUCUUCCAGGUACAUUCUUCGCAUGUAGCAUACUCCGGUAAAUUUCAGCAAGAUGCCGAUUCUUCCUCUCUGCUACACCAUUUUGUUGUGGCGUAUUAGCACAAGUAUACUGAUGACGUAUUUAGCAUUCCCGUAGGUAUUGAGAAAACUCUCUCGAGCUAUACUCACCCUCGUUGUCUGUGCGCAAGCAACGAAUCUUUUGCUCCACUUCUCCUUCGACUAUCUCUUUGAACUCUUUGAACUUUGAGAAUGCUUCAGAUUUUUCUUUCAUGAAGAAAGCCCAUACAUAUCUGGAGAAAUCAUCAAUGAACGUAACCAUAUACCACAUUCCGCCAAUUGAUGGUUGCUUAACGGGUCCAAACACAUCAGAGUGAAUUAACUCUAAUGGUUUAUUUGCUUUAAACUUCGACUCCUCGUAUGGCAAUUGAUGUGCUUUACCAUAUUGACAUCCCGCGCAAACAAUAUUUGUUCUCACGUCAAGUUGAGGAAGUCCUUUAAGCAUCGACUUCUUCACCAUCACACUUAGCUUGGAAUAAUUAACAUGACCUAGCCGCAUGUGCCACAGAUCUGCCGUCUCAUUCCUUCUUGUCUUGUCUACGUAUGCAGACUCAGCUGACAUCACAUAAACUGACUCCAAUUGUCGUCCCUCCAUCGUAGGCUUUUCUGAGAUCUUUAAGUCUCGGAAUACCUUCACAUUUUGUGGACCAAACAAGACAUAGUGGCCUGAUGAUGUCAAUUGAGCUACGGAUAGCAAAUUUUUCUUCAUUCCUGGAACAUGGUAGACAUCUUGAAGUGGCACUUGGUUGGGACUAUAUCGAGGUGUAACGAUCGCUUUACCGAUGUGAGCUAUCGGUAACCUUGAGUUGUCAGUUGUUACCACCACACGAUUUCCCUUGUACUCAGAACAAUUUUGCAACUUCUGUCUAUCACCCGUCAUGUGAUUUGAGCAGCCUGAGUCUACGAUCCAAUCAUUCUCGUAGUUAAUCUUUUCUGGUGUUGUUACCGUGAGAGCUAAUUCUUCUUCCUCCAUAGCGAGUAAUGCUUCGGCAUCCCAGUUAUCUUCACUAUCUUCUUUAGAACUAGAAGUAGCAAUAUUGCUUUCGGUAGACUUCUUUUUGGACCAACAAUCUCUCUUCAUGUGGCCCUUCUUCCCGCAAUUGUAACAUUCGCCAUCAAACUUUCUAUUACUGUCGCGAUUCUUCGAAGCUCCCCCUGGACGAGAGCCAUUCCCUCCCUGAUGACUUUUUGUCUGUUCACCAGUCUUUCUAGAUCCGCCUUUGUUGUGCUGUCUUGAACCACCUCUGCUUUGGUUGGUGUAAAGCGCUUCCUCUUCACCCUUUAGUGAGACUCCUCCCAUUUUCUUGGCCAUAGCUUCUUGGCCUGUCAGCAAAUUUUCAAACUCAACAAGUGAUGGUUGUGUCGGCCAUCCUUGCACAGCGGCUACAAAGCUUCGGUAUUCGGGUCUCAAGCCAUGGACAAUUAUUCUUUUUAUCCUGGCUUCCCCAAUAGCAGCUAUUGGAUCUAAUUCUGAAAUUUCACGGCAUAUCGACUUCACCUUGUGAAAGUAUUGGGCAAUCGCCAUGUCGCGUUGCGCCAUUGAUAGAAGUUCAUUCUCGAGAAGUUGCAAUUUUGUAUCGUUCCUCUUCGAAAAGAGUGUAGCGAAGGUGUCCCACGCUUCCUUCGGUGAUUUAGCAUCCCGAAUGUGCUCCAACAUUUCUUCUUCUAUUGUGGUCUUUAAAGCAAACAUUGCUUUGCCUGCUUUAAUUUUCCACUUCCGCAAGACGCCGUUAGCAUCUUCCGCUGCCGGUUGUGUAACUUCACUACCACCGACAACCUCCCACAAGUCUUGACCUUGAAGGUAAGACUCUAUACACGUUGCCCACGUGUUAUAGUUUUGGUUGUUGAGCUUUUUGAUUCCUCCAACAACUUGAAGAUCACCCAUCGUAUCGGUAUCGACAAGACUUUGACUACACCGAACAAGCUUGAGUGACUACCGUGCAGAGUAAUACACUACUCUUGACACAAAGAAGCUCCCUCUCAAGGUUUGUGAUAACCCCAGCAAUAAUCUCAAGAAAUCUUUUCUGAUGUGGAAGAUCAGUCAAAACUGCAACCACAGAGCAUACUCGGAAUUUCAAGAGACUUUACAACCAAUGCUCUGAUACCAAAUGUUGAAUCAAAAUAGAGUAAAAACUCUAAUUGAUCAAGAAGAAGAAAAACUCUCUUUAGAAUAAUCUCACAAAAUUGCAAAAGAGAAGAACUCUUAAGAAAACUUUCAAAUGCUUAUAAUAAAGCUUUGAUUGUUAAAUUAUAAAACUCAAAUACAAAUAAGGUAUUUAUAGGUUACAAGAAACAAUCUAAACCACUCAUUAAAAUAACCACAAACUAAUUUAAACCAUUGAAAUUAAACAUGAGAAAAAUACCUAAUUUUCACCUAACUAAAUUGAUGUAAGCAAUGACAUCAAAUUAAUUUGGGUGUGGACUUAUUUGGGCUAAUAUUGACUUCUCAACAUGCUGGUGGCGGAAAUGUGAGAGGGAAUGGUGAGGGUAGAUUUGUAAUUACGAGAAGCGAUUUGCUUGCAUAAUUUAAUGCAUGGAAAUAGAUGUCCCUGACCAAAGAAUGGGACAAUCCAAAUCUCGGCCUCAGCAGCGCUGCAGCAGUAGCAACAGAGCUUGACAUCUUUUUGAAUUAUUUGAUACUUAAUUGUUACUGUUUGCUUUUACCAUCUUUCAUAAAACACUCUUUGUUAUAUAUAAAGGGAUGACUUAAUGGAGAAGUAAGUGUUUUAGUUUUACAGUUUUACUAGUAGGUGAGCUCGGAGUUUGAUAAUUUGAUUGUUAGUUUUAGUUGGUUAGUUAUGAGAAAGCAUCUUUAAGAAAAUUCAUUCCAGUUUCAACUAAAAUUAAUAAUAUUGUUCAAAUUAAUUACUCGAUAAAUAAAUAAUUAGAGAUAAAUUUAUCCCUAAUCUCACAUUUAUAAAAUAAGGAUUGAAAUAAGUUUUUGUGGGUUCGAACUCAAGCCCUCAAGUCGAGCGGCUGGAUCUUGACUACUUUGACUUAAUUAUUAUUAUUAUUAUAUAUAUAUAUAUAUAUUUUUUUUUUCAUUCUGUCACGGAACAUCUUUUGUUAUAUAAUGAAGAAGAUAAGUUGACGAAGAAGAGUUCUACUUUUACUAGUAGAUGAGCUUUGAGUUGACAACGUUAGUUUUAGUUAGUGAAAUAUCUACCAUCCAAAUCAACGUUCUUUAGACUAUUAUUCAAGUGAGAUGUCUGAGUAACAUACGCUUGAGUUGGUCGGUGCCUGGCAAUUCGUGUGAUACAUGAAACCAACCGAUAUGAAAACCAAAUCAAGUUGGUAGGAUUACAUUAAUUUAAAUUAACUUUCAAGUUCUAAUAUUAUAAGAUAAAUAAAUAGCAUAAAAUAAUUUUUAUUUUCAAGUAAAUAUGUUUAUCGUUUAAAAAUUAUUUUUUCUUGCGGUAAAUGCAACACUAAAUAAGGAGUGAAUAGGGUAAUUUGUAGGGUAUACCCCCACCUUUUAUUUCAUUUCAUUAUUAAAAAAUAAAGGCUUGAUUCAACAUUCAAGUAAAAUUAACAAUUCCAUGAUAAAAUUGCUUGAGAAUAAGAAUUAAAAUAAAAAAAGAAAACAGCAACUCAAAAACGACAUACAAAUACCGCAUAGAGGUUUUUCGUCGCAAGAUAUUUUUGGGUUGAGCAACACUUGUAUAACAGAGCAUACAGACUGAAUGACGGUGAGAAUAAGAAGGAAAACGGCGCCACACACCGAAAUGCCAGCCCAUGGAGUAUUGAAGUAAUUUUGUUUCAAGUUUGCCCUCCAUUUGUAGCACGUUCUUUUGCAGUGAUCAUUCAAUCCUUUGCAUAGCCCAGAAAAAUAGAAGCUAUCAGACAGCAGAGUAGUACCUCUAGAAAGGUUAUUUAUAAGCAUUGACGCAGUCUCUUUAUCCGGCAACCGGUUCUCAAUGAUUCCGUUCUGAACAAGCAACUCGACGUCCUUCGCUGUGUUCACGAGAUGAUGAAUAAGGAACACAUAAUCAUUUAUGUAAUUCUCUGAGUAAUGCCGUUGUUCAAAGGCAAUGAGAUUACGAAAUAAGGAUUCCGUUUCCAGCUGUAGCUUCAGUUUCGGAAUAUGCAAUGUCCUGUUUUUGAAUUCUAUGGCGAACAAAUCAUUGCUCUUGCUCAAACUGAAGUGGACUCCAGCUUGGUGGAGAUCAGUCACACUUGGUGCGGUUUUGCCUUUGUGGUAUUGCUGACCUUCUUGUUUUUCCUGAUUCCUCGAUGAUGGUAGAUGACAAAUCCUUAGAAAAUCAAGGAAAUGCUCGACCCUAACCUCAGUGUAAGGAGGGAAUUUUUGCUGAUUACCUUGUACUGCCUCUAAACCCUUGAAAUACUCGUAUGUGACUGUGAUGAUGGUUGGAUUUUCAUGUUGGUCGGGGAUUUCAAUAGCAAAAAGAUCCUCAAGAAUGAAGAAAGGAAGCUGAUUCUCAAGCAACCACAUAUCAUACCAUAUAUCCUCUAUUAAAUAGGGUUUAAGAAAUAUAUAAUCAUCUUUUUUUUGAAGUUGACGGAAAUGAUGCCUCAAUAAGAGUUCAAUGAUGAAGGCAGCAUCCAGCAGAAUCAUUUCAACAAAUUUAUCACUACUUAGUUCGACUUUUUCUGCAUAAGAACCUCGUAAUUCUGCUUCUCUGAGCUUUAUAAUUUGAACAAACUCGUCAAAGCUUAUUUUGGUCCGUUGAAGAAAGUAACGCAGGUACCGCUGUUUAUGUUCUUCCAUGAACUGUAAGUUUGCUUUGCCAUGGUGAAGAGGGCCAAUUGAGACUACCUGAGCUGUAUAUGCCUUUUCAUUUAUCUGACGUAAUCGCUCCGGAACUCUGUAGAUGCAGCAGUUUGAGGGCAAUGGUGAUAAUUUUUCCAACUUAACUUGCAAGCACUCUUCCAUGUUAUAAACUGAAAACAUGGCGCGAAAUUUGAUCAAUUCACUAGUUUAUAUAAUAUUCUUGAACCUCAUCUUAAGCAAAGCAACAAAAGCCUUCACUGUUUCUUAACAACUUUAUUGCUCUAACACAUAGCAUAACAUUUUUAAAUUUGCAUAAAGCACAAUAGUACUUUAGUUUGUAACAACAGCACAGAUAAUAAAUAGCAUUUUAUAGCUUUAACAAAAGCAUACAAAAUUCUUAAACCUUGUUUCAAGCAAUUCAUUAAUGCCACAAGGAUGUCUUUUUGCUUCCUACAGUUUUUAUUGAAAUUCAUAUAUUCUUCUUUAUCAAAUUAAGUAAUUUUCCUUUUUCAAAAAAUCAAGAAGGUUUCGACUGCAUGGAAAUACAGCACACAAUUACUACUAUUCCCGGAGUAAGAAAUUCAUAAAUGCAAUAUAAACAUACAUUUUCAUAAGACAUCAGAAUCAAAGAAUCAUCAAUGCAUCAAAUCUGUACACCCAAAAAAGUUGAAAGCACCAAGAGAAAAUUAUACCGCAUGGACCCUUUACAACCCUUAUAACGAGUUCAGACAGCUACAAUGUGCAAUACAAAAUUUCCCAAUACUAUUUAGAACAAAGUCUAGAAAACAAAACUUAUAUAUUGUACAAAAUCAUGAAAACCAGAAAUGACAAAAAACCUGCAAAUGUAAUUUUUGGGUUUCUUCAACAUAUCUUCCAUCCAAAUCAAACAAGAAUCGAUAAAUCAACAACAUUCAUCUUUAAAUGACAUAUUACCACAAUAAAAUUGUCAACCAAGCCUCAUAUAAACCUUUUUUGUGUUUUGUGGUAAAUAUAUUUGUUAUUCUCUAAGAAUACUAGGGAAAAAAGAAACCCACUUUCUUAAUCAAGAAUCAAAUAAUAUAUAUUUAUCUAAGCUGAAGUAAGUCUUCGGUUUGAUGAAAUAGCUUGCAAUGUGAUUUAGAUUGGAAAGGAAGUUGAUUUUUGCUGGUUGAGAGAGAGAGAUUUGAGACUUAAGAGUGUUGCUAAUCUUCGAUCGUGUAAACAAGGGUAACUGGGUCAUAGUUCAAAAUAAGGGUCCAAAAUUUACUAAAGCUAUUAAGGAGCCCAAAACUCAUAAUGGCUUGCCCAAAAUAAAUAAAAUUUUCGAGCAUUAAGUUUUUGUUUCUUCUUGAGAUUUCCUUGCCGUACUUACCCAUAUUUCGAUAUUGCCUCCAAGUAAACUUAUAUAUAUUGAUUAACAAUAUAAACAAGCACUAUGAAGUUUUAGGCAUGAAAGAACAUUAGGAUUGAAAUGAAAACCAUCUAUUUAAGUAACAAAUUCUUCUGAUAAUUUGAUGCUUAAUUUAGAGCAGAGAUGACAUAUCAAUCACGUUAUGAUGUGGAAGUUAUGAUUAUAUUCAUCUUAAGAAUAAGAUCUUUCAGACACUGGCAGAUUAGUAUAAAAAAUACUCAGCAUAAGACCUACAAACUAGAAAUCACGCACCAAUUAUUGAACUCAGCACAUAAGUUGAUCUUUUAUAAGCUAUAAAACAAAUCUGCUAUAACAUAAGAAAGUGGGAUUUAUCACCAGACAAGUAUUUUGGUGAAAUUCAAGCUGACGGAAGGAUAUCCAAAGCAACCUCCUUAAGGGAAGGCAUCACUUCCUGCUGAUGCAAACAUGUAUAUUUAUUACUCACUUUCUUGAGGACCUUCUAGGAACCUGGGCAGCACCUAACAGAAAGUGGAAAAGAAUAAAAUGUAAAAUAUAAGUUAAACAGCAGGAAAACAGUGAGUGAUACUAGGCAAGCAUUAAUAUGUUGCCGCAGGAAAAGUGUCAGUAACUAGCUAGCAAACCUGAAAAGGGUUCCUCCAUUGUGACCCUUAAAAUUGUGAAUGUAAAAUAUGGUCUCCAUCACAGGAAAAAGUGUUUUGGAUAGUGCAGCCAGCUUAGGGUAGAAGAAUGACGGAUAAUCUUUAGCUCAUUUAAGGAAAUCCUCUCUGAUCCUUUCAUUGCACAUUCCAAAACAACUCUACUACAACCAAGUUACCAAUUCUUUUUGUUAAGUCAUUGUUAUUUGUUAAAAAAAAAAAAUCUUCCUUGCAACAUUUUAUUGAAAGAUAUAACAUGAUCAUCCCUACUAAUUCCCUUUUAGAUUUCUGUGAGUGAAUUUCAAAUUAUUGUAUUCAAAAAUAGAAGCAAAAGACCCACUUUACUUUCAAUUUCUGCAACAAGAUACCAAUUGAAGGACCAAAAAGUUGUAAACAACCAAUUCAAUGGGUGGGCAUCUAGAAACUGCUAUAUAGCAUCAAGAUCAUACUAAAUUUACAGAAAGUACGAUAAUAAUGAAAGAAUGGUGAAGGAUACACCCAGACCUUAUCCGGUCAAGUUCUCCAUUGAAUAUAAUCAGUUUCCGGGCAGUAUUGAAGACAACUUCUUUGUAAAGCUCUUCAACGACAAGCAUUUCUACAAGACAAAAGAAAAGCAAAAUUAAUUACCUUAAGGAAUGAAUAUCAAUGAGAAGACAACGUGUAAGACUACCAUUGACAUUAAAAUAUGGAUACGCGACUAGAAACAAUUCAUCUUCCGGCUUCACACGGUCUGCCUUUUUAACCUUCUCAGUGAAUCCAAAAUCCUCAAAGAAUGAAGGUUUUGUUAGAUAGUCCAACUUAAAUGAUGAUCCUUCAAAGACCUAUUUUCUUGCAAAUUUGACUUCAUUUGCCUCUGGGAAAAACUAAAAACCAAAUGACAGACCAAGAUCACAAAACGAAUCAUGAACAUAGAUAUCAGAUAAUCAGAAAUGGGCAUUAAACAGACUACUAACAAAUAGGAAAUGCAUACAGAAAACAUUAUUCAUACACCUUAUGCACAUGAAAUAUAUAUGCAGUGGGAUCCUCUUGUGAAUUUAGUUUAUAUCCUAAAAUGAGACAAUGAACAAUUGGAUGCCAUCUAAGGGCUAACAUUUGUUUGAUUAUUAUAUGAAAAAAAAAAACAAAACAGAGUUGAUUGAUGGCCUUUGAUGGAUUGCCUACACUCCUAAAGUGCAGAGAGCCUGAUUAAUUGCUUUACCUGCCCCCCACACACACACUUGAUUUUAUUAUCUCUCUUUUCAAAUAUAUAAUCAUUGCCUGUCUUUCAUCCUGAUCCAGCUCUCCUUCCAGGCACCAGCUGUGUUUUCUUCAAUUCAGUGAAGCAUUCACUUUCAGGUAAGAAUAAACUUGUCCUUCCUCAAAAAUCAGCUUCUCACCAUGAAGCUUUCUUUUUCAAAACAAUUACUAGUCUAGCAUAAUGCAUCUAAUUGAAGACAACUCAGAAUUGAAAAAGCCAUACUUUAAUGUCUGCUGUUGGGACCUCAAGACCAGGAAAAAAAAGCUUCUUUCUAACUGUUGGAUUAACAAGUAGAAAUAGCUUUUUUCUGAAGGACCCAACAUUGCAUUGAAAAAUUCAACAAAAGGACUGGCGUCAUAUUUAGUCCUGCUAGAAUUUUGUGCACUUAACACAAUGGUUAAUAAUUGGCCCAGCAGACACUUUGUCGAACUACUGGCAAACCUUGACUGUGGAAAUGCAUAUUUCAAAUGUUGGCAGACUCUAGCUUCUUGAUGUACUGUUGAUAAAAAUGCCUAUUUCAAAAGUUGGCAGGCUCAAACUGCCGAGACUUUGGUUUCUUACAUUUCAAACCCACAAAUAAAACUUUGGCAGAACCCCAGAAAGAGCUACACCUCCCAAAUUUGAUGACAUAUGAAGAGACCAUGCCUAGUGCUUGGUUCGGCAAAUGAGUAAGUUUGAAAUAAAUUGAGGGAAACCUUUCCCACAGAGAGUCAUUUUGAAGGUUACAAUUUGAAGACUUUGUCCCCUGUCGCCCGUAACCUUCUUUGAUCUCUUUUCUUAGUCAUGAAUAAUCAAACAUGUGUUAGUGGUUGGAUGCAAUCCACUCGCUGACAUCUCAUGUCCACAAUCAAUCAACCAUAUUUUAAUAGAAAUGGAAACAUUUUAAUUAAAAAAGAAUGAGAUAGGAACAAAAUCAAGCUUGGCAGACAUGGGUCUAUGAGAUUUUAAAGAUGCUUGGUGAAAGUCGUAUUCAAGAGUUCAACAAUCAGUUCCAUCACCUAUGGCAAAGUAACCACCGCAACUAAAGCAAUUACAAAACAUCAAGAAGCUUGAACUUGGCAAGAGGUCUCAUUAACAGUAUACCUCAGAAAUUAAGACAGAAUUAAAGUGCAAGCUUUUGGAUUUAUUUAAACACUGAAAAUAAUAUGGGUAGAAGCUCCUAUGGUCACAGCAAACAAUUACAAAGCACAAAACCCAAAAAACAGAUAUGCAAAAAGCUGCAAAAGAACAUUAUUAGCAAUUGACAUCUGCUUUUGCUCAGACAAAGGUUCUCAUAACAAAGGACUUAGUGAUUAUCUGUCAUAUGUUUAUGUUAAGGGGAAAAAAGAAGUUUGUUUUAGUCAAUCUCAUGUCUAUUGGCAUUCAUAAGGAGCCCAAAAAUAAAAGAAAAAAUAAAGAGUUAGUAGGUGUUUCUUGCAACACAAAGAAAAUUUAUCAUCCAUGAAAAACUUAGUAUGGAAAAAGCUAACUCAUUUAUCUGCCAAUGCAGAAAAACUUGUUGUCUACCCACUAAGGACCCACCAUUGGCAGGUCUGAUGGAUCCCAUGGAUGGGAACCACAAAUAUUUUAUUCUAAAUGACAUGGGUAUUGCACCCAUAUCAUUUAAUUUGUAGAUUCCACUGAUGGAACUCAUCAAACUUGCCAAAUGGCAAGUCCUCCGUGGGUAGGCGCAUCACUUCAGCAUCCUUCUCCACCGAUGACCAAAUCUGGACUCAUUUAAAAAGAAUACAAAGCAAACUAACUGACAAAAAUUGCAUAUAGAGGUCUAGGAGCCAAAUCAAUGUUGUUAACUCAUCCAAUUAAUACAUUCUCUUAGAGGUCAUACCUUGGUAACUCAUUUCAAAAGAAAUUAAAAGAAAAAUGACUGCACAAAUUGUACUGAGCUCAAGAAGACCUGUUCAAGGUGUUCACUUGUCCAACUAAUAAAAGUCAUCAAGGAUUGUAUCAGGGACUUGGGACCAAUCCUGCCUUAACGAGAGAAAGGGAAUUUAGGAUGAAGAAGAUAACCUCUUUUCCUAGAGCAAAUUAAGCUGGUAAAAUCUUGGCAGUUGCACUUGGGGCAGAAAUUAGUUCCACCUUGGUUUACAGGACAGAAAUUCGUCAUAUGCAUGUAUUUAUUUAUAUUUUAUACACAUACGCAUACAUGUACACACAAACACUACCUUCACUUUGAAGAAAAGAUUAAAAUAACACUGCUCACAUACACAAUACUUACUAUUCUAGUUCGUGUGACUUUCUCCGGAGUCACAAAUAGGUCAAAGAAUUCGCGUAUUAACCGCAUACUUCCAGUCAUUUCUAUUCCUCCUUCACCAUCACCUUUCCCACAAUUACAAAAAGUGAGAGGUAGUAACCAACAUAUUUGGGUUGUUCUUCGGUAAGGGGUGGGAGGUAAGGGUUAGUUGUGGAGGGCACCUGGUACAGAAUCAAGGCCAGCUGUUGGGAAUUUGAUCUCCUGUAACAUAUACUUGUUCAUCAUAAACUAUAUACUUAUUCUGCAGUCGAUGUGGGCAUAUAGCUCUUCAAUUAUCCAGUAAUAACUCACCAUCAACUUCCUGCCAUCCUUCAUGGCUAAUUCAGCAGCUAUUUUUGCCUGUUUAAAGGGCAAAAGCCCAAACUAAGCAGAUGCUCCUACUCCGAUACUUAUUAUCUAACUACUACAGAACAGAUGAUACACAUCAAGUUGUGUCAAGAGAGACACCAAGUUGUGUUUUCCAAGAGGUUCCAAAGAGGUUUUGUGUUAGAGUGCAAUUUAUGCACUAGUUUUGAAUUGUUUACUUCCUUAAUAUCGAUGUUUUGCACUUAAUAAUAGUGAUUUACUUGUGUUUUAUUUUUAUAGGUGCAAUUAUAUUGAUUGGUGCAAAAAUUGAGCUACAAGACGAUGUUUAAGGAUGAUUGUUCUCUUGGAGAAAUUAUGAGCGUCAGAAGAACUUUGUUGAUAAGGCGUGGGCGCGUGCUGUCAACUACGGACCUGCAGUUUUUAGUUUAACGUGUUUUGUAUUUUUGGUUAUUUUUAUAAUUACGAAUUUAAUAUUUCAGAUAUUAGUAUUUUAUUUUAAAUAGAACUCUAGAGGAGAAGAGAGAGAGAGUAUUUAAGGGAAGAAUCUAUUGUGAAAAAAGGGAGAUUUUUGGAAAAGAAAGAAACCCUAGAUCUAAAUUUUUCUCUUCUCUCCAUGAAGAACUAAAUCUAUUAUUCUGUUUGAAGGUUAAUGAAGCUUUUAUUCAUCACUACUGUGAGAUCUUUCUUAUGCUUUAAUUGUUUUAUUGCUUUUUGGGUAUUUGUUUAUUCUCUGAAUUAUUUUCAUGAUUAUGUUUGUUAAUUAGAUAAUUGGCUACUAUUUAAUUAUCAACUUAAUCUAUUGUCAAUUAAAGGAUUCAUCGUAUGAAGAUUUUAAUGUUUGUGACAAAUAACAUAGCAGAGAGUUGUGUUGUGAGAAUAAACAAUCUAAUUUAAAUGAACCAUCGUAUGUGUUUGUUGAUUAGGAUUUGGGUCUCUCUGGUUUUUCAAGCUGUCAAUUGAUUAAAUCCUAUGAUCGUAUCUAGGGUUAUCUAUUGAUUAGGGAAAUAACCAACGGUCAUACCUUGGUUAUCGACUAAUUAAGGAGAUAUUGGCUAUUAGAGGGUCUCAGUAGCUAUAACCGGUCUAUUCAUAAGUAGUAAUAAUUUAUAUUUGAAUCAAUGAUCAGUAGUCGAAUCAAGCUGAGUUAAUUCCUUCAACCAGAGCUUUCUCCAAUUUGAAUUACAACUUUAAUUUGCAUUCUUGUUAUUUUAAUUUGAUUGUUAUUAUUGUCACAAAACCCUCAUUUUAUAUUUUACGUUUUAAAAGGAUUUAAAUAAUUACCGAUCUCUGUGGACACGACUUUGCUCAAUCACUAUACACAAUUUAUUUAGAGUAGGUAUUUAUUUUUGUUGGCUUCGACAACCUUCAAAUUUUGGCGCCGUUGCCGGGGAUUGGUGUCAUUUAUUUAAUCCUUUUUACGUUUUACUUGGUGUAUGGUUCGUUCUUCUUGUACAGGUACACUUUCGUUUGAUCCUUAAAUUGAGAAGACAGCUCGCCAGCUGAGACAGCAGACGAAGCGAGCUAAGCAACGACACUCAUCGCCUUGCUUUCUGAAACAGAUACGGUGCCUGAUUUAGUUGAAUCAUCAAGCGAUUUAGAAGAACAAGUGAUGGAUAGAGCUGCACCUGUAGAAAGAACUCUUAGAGAGUUAGCCGAACCAGACUUGAAUCAGCAACCACUCUACAUUCAAUAUGUAGACUUGGAGGUAAAUUUUGAAUUAAAGUCUGGUCUUAUUCAUUUAUUACCCAAGUUUCAUGGUUUUGCAGGUGAAGAUCCUCAUAAACAUCUCAAGGAGUUUCAUGUUAUGCGUUCAAGUAUGAGGCCACAAGGCGUGACUGAAGAGCAAAUUAAGUUGUGUGCUUUUCCUUUCUCUUUAGAUGGGCUAGCUAAAGACUGGUUGUAUUACUGUUAGAGUGCAACUUAGCAUAUAAUUUUUUAGGCAAGAAAGAUCACUCAGGAGUUUUCUCUAAAACUGAAUUUUAUUUUAUCUGGUGCAUGUUAAAUGAUGUGAGGCCUAAUUUAGGUUUUUGGUUAGCAGAUCAAUUUCAAAGUGUGCUUAAACGGUAUAGGACUUUAUUUCUUGGUCCAUACAUUACUCUGUUAGCUAUAAACCUAUGUGUGCUUGAUCCUGACAAUAAUGAUUUGCAUCCUGCUUGCAAAAAAGAAUUUUUGGAUAUGUUUAUGUUUGAAAGAACAGGUGUGGUCGAAUUCAAGGAGCGGAGAUUUCAGUUUACUAAACCAGGGCCCACUCAACCUCCGAAGAAGCUUUAUGCUAGGAGUGGUGCUACCUCUGAUGACGAGUUUGACGACGACACUGCUGCCCCGCCAACUAUUCCUUCUACAUCCGCACCACCUUUGAGCAUUCAGUUAGAGAAAAUGGAGCACAAGCUGAAUAAGAUGGAGCAAAAUUUGGCCACAUACUUCGAGAAUGUGGGAUUUACCUCACCAUUUCCGCCAAGCCAAUAGACGUUAUGUGGAUCAAAGCUCACAAUUCAGGGAAGUUUUUUUUGCCUUUAAUCUUUUAUCCUUACGCUUUAAUUUUUAUGUGAGCUUUGAUUAUCUUACAUUGGGGACAAUGUAAGUUCUUGGUGUGGGGGAGGGAUUUUUGCAUUAUUGAUGUCUGGAAUUAUUAUUUUCACUCUACUCAUCUAUUUUCACUCUACUCGUCCUUAAAUGAUUUUGGAGUUAGUAUGCUUCAUAUAUUAUUAAUUUCCUUUUCCUUUCUCUCUCACUACUCUUUUCCCAUCUAUCUCAAAUUAUUUACAUCUAUUUUUUUUUCUAUCAUACUCUUUCAUCACUUACAUUUUAUCUUUCAUUUUUUUACUACAUACAUCUUUCUCGCUUAUUAUUUUUUUACCUUUCUUUUUAUAUCUCACUCAUACCUUCUUCUCAUUCUACACCACUCUUGAUGGUUGAUUCAUUUGAAGAGUGUACAUGAUUUGAUGGCAAAUUUACCAACUUUGUGAGGAUUUGAGCCUGUGAGCAACCACUUUGCUCUAAUUAUUUUUGUUAUGUGAAUAUCAAUCUUAGUUUGUAUAUUCUAGAACUUGCUUUGUUAAGCAUGUUGAAGCCACAUUACGGGAUUUUAUGCAUUAAAAUGAUAAGGGCAAACCAUUUACCAUUUUUCUAUUCUCGCAUUUUCUUUUUUCUCUACCCGAAGACCUUUAUUUGCUACCUUUGUUUGAGCCUUAACCAUUACCCAUCUAAUUCUUUCCAUCUACUUAACCAUUUUUCUUCUUUUUGAGCCUAAUUUAAGGAGAUAUUUGGACUCAUUGUGUGGAUAUAUUUUGUUGCUUUUUCUACCUUGUAUUAAAGUUUCUCAAUUAGAUCAACAAGCAUUAUGCUUGAAUUAAAUUGUGCAAGGUUCGUUUCUUUUGUUUGAUUAAAAAAAAACAACAAAAAAAAGGAAAAAGAAAAAAAAGUGAAAAAAAAAUCGAAAAAAAAAAUUGAAAAAAAAGGUUUACAUUCUUGGUGACUUGAGUAGAAAUAAGCAUUUUGAUAUCAUAAGUUCAUUCAAUGAGUUCAUUCUUCUCAUUUUGAUCUCUUUUUCUUUCAUAAACCUUUCUUUUUUAUUUAACCUAUUUAACUCCAUUACAACCCUUUUAAGACCCUUAAUUUUUUGCAUUUUAUUUAUGUUUUAUGGAUUGAGAUGUGAUAUAUGAGCAAGCUUAUGGUAAUAGCAUUCUUUGAUUUGAUUUGAGUGAAUAAAUGACACCCUAAACACUUUGAGUGCAUGGAGUGAAGUCAAUGAGAGGGCUAUUAAAUCUUGUUGCACUUGAAUUUUGAAUGGAUCUUCUUGGUGGUUGAAUGUUCUUAUUCUAUCUUAUGAGAUUCUAUGCUUUAAAAUCCUUGCCUCUCGAAUGUUGAUCGACUUAAAUUCUUGAGGUAUGCUUGCUUAAAAUUGUUUUUGGAUGAGUUGAGAUGAAAAUUGAGUGGAGAUUUGGGAUUAGUCUUGAGUUAUAUGCUUGAGGACAAGCAUCAUCUUGGUGUGGGGAAUUUGUUAGAGUGCAAUUUAUGCACUAGUUUUGCAUUGUUUACUUCCCUUAAUAUCGAUGUUUUGCACUUAAUAAUAAUGAUUUACUUGUGUUUUACUUUUGUAGGUGCAAUUCUAUUGAUUCUUGAUAAAAUUGAGUUAUACGAUGAUGUUUAAAGAUGAUUGUUCUCUUGGAGAAAUUUAGAGAGUCAUAAGAACUUUGUUGAUACGGCGUGGGUUCUUGCUGUCAACUGCGGACCUGCAGUUUUUAGUUUAACAUGUUUUGUAUUUUUGGUUAUUUUUGUAAUUAUGAAUUUAAUAUUUCAGAUAUUAGUAUUUUAUUUUAAAUAGAACUCUAAAAGAGAAGAGUGAGAGAGUAUUUAAGGGAGGAAUCUAUUGUGAAAAAGGAUUUGGAUUGGAGAAAAAGAAAGAAACCCUAGAUCUAAUUUUUCUCUUCUCUCUAGGAAGAACUAAACUUAUUUUUCUGGUUGAAGGUUAAUAAAGCUUUGAUUCAUCACUACUGUGAGAUCUUUCUUAUGCUUUAGUUGUUUUAUUACUCUUUGGGUAUUUGUUUAUUCUCUGAAUUAGUUUCAUGAUUAUGUUUGUUAAUUAGGUAAUUGGCCACUAUUUAAUUAUCAACUUAAUCUAUUGUCAAUUAAAGGAUUCAUCGUAUGAAGAUUUUAAUGUUUGUGACAAAUAACAUAGUAGUGAGUUGUGUUAUGAGAAUAAACAAUCUAAUUUAAAUGAAUCAUCAUAUGUGUUGAUUAGGAUUUGGGUCUCUCUUGUUUUUCAGGCUGUCAAUUGAUUAAAUCCUAUGAUCGUAUCUAGGGUUGUCUAUUGAUUAGGGAAAUAUCCAACGGUCGUACCUUGGUUAUUGACUAUUUAAGGAGAGAUUGGCAAUUAGAGGGUCUCAAUAGCUAUAACCGGUCUAUUCAUAAGUAAUAAUAAUCUAUAUUUGAAUCAAUGAUCAGUAGUCAAAUCAAGCUGAGUUAAUUUCUUCAACCAGAGCUUUCUCCAAUUUGAAUUACAACUUUAAUUUGCAUUCUUGUUAUUUUAAUUUGAUUUUUAUUAUUGUCAACAAAACCCCCAUUUUAUGUUUUACGUUUUAAAAGGAUUUAAAUAAUUACCGAUCUCUAUGGACACGACCCUGCUCAAUCACUAUACACAAUUUAUUUAGAGUAGUAAUUUAUUUUUGUUGGCUUCGACAACCAUCAAUUACUUGCCACCUGGAUCGAUUACAACAUGGAAUGGUUUGAAGAAGCAGUUCCUUGAGAAGUACUUUCCUGUUGUAAGAGCUGCCAACAUCAGAAAAGUCAUUUGUGGGAUCAGACAACUUCUUGGGGAGACUUUGUAUGAGUAUUGGGAGCGAUUCAAACAAUUGUGUGCCAGCUGUCCUCAGCAUCAGAUUUCUGAUCAACUUCUUAUUUAAUAUUUUUACGAAGGACUGUCAUUGAUGGACAGGAGUAUGAUAGAUGCUGCUAGUGGAGGUGUGUUGGUGAACAAGACCCCUACUCAAGCAAGGGAGUUGAUUGCAAAUAUGGCUGCCAAUGCACAACAAUGUGGCAGCAGGUAAGAUCUCACUUCAAGGAAGGUGAAUUAGGUAAAUAUUUCUUCUGUUGAACAACGUUUAGAUAAACUUACUUCUCUUGUGGAAAAGUUUGUUGUAGGUAAUGUGCAACAGGUGAAGACUUGUGGCAUUUGUUACAAUAUGGGUCAUUCAACCGAUAUGUGUCCUACAUUUCAAGAAGAACCCGUUGAACAAACCAAUGCAGUUAGAGGAUUUCCAGGCAUGCCUUAGAGGAGGUAUGAUCCUUAUACACAAACAUACAAUCCGGGAUGGAAGGAUCAUCCCAACUUCAGCUAUGGAGUUAGACCAUCAUGAUUCCCGCAACAGUAUCCACCAAGACAACCAGCACCUCCACAGUCAAACUCCAAGUCAGGUAUAUCUCUUGAAGAAAUUGUUAAAUCACUUGUGACUAACACUCAACAAUUUCAACAGGCAACUACAGCAAGCAUUCAGAAUUUGGAGAACCAAAUGAGUCAAUUGGCGACUACAGUGAGCCGUCUGGAGUCUCAAGUAUUAGGGAGAUUGCCUUCACAAUCUGAGGUGAAUCCAAAGUAAAACGUUAGUGCUGUCAUCCUUAGAAGAGGGAAGGAGUUGCAAGAUCCCAGUAAGAAAGUGACAAAGCAUGUAGAAGAUGAGUUUGAGAAGAAUGAAUUGAUGCCUAAAUCUCAAGAUGCGCAACCCACCAAAGCGAAACCCCUACCUAUUGUGAUACCUCCUCCUUUCCUAAGCCGGUUUGCAAAAUCCAAGAAGGAGGAACAAGAGAAAGACAUCCUUGAGACAUUUCGCAAGGUUAAGGUAAAUAUUCCUUUAUUAGAUGCUAUAAAACAAAUACCUCGAUAUGCUAAAAUCCUUAAGGAACUAUGCACCUCCAAGAGAAAAGUAAGAGGAGAUGAAAAAGUUCACAUGGGGGAGAAUGUUUCAGCAAUUCUCCAAAAGAAACUACCUCCUAAGUGCAAGGAUCCAGGUAUGUUUACUAUCCCUUGUAAAAUUGGUAGUGUUAGAGUUGAAAAUGCUAUGUUAGAUCUAUGAGCUUUUAUUAAUGUCAUGCCUCGUUCCAUUUAUUCAUCUUUGAAUGUUGGGCCAUUAAAAGAAACUGGCGUGAUAAUUCAACUAGCUGAUAGGUCUAAUGUAUAUCCUGAUGGGGUAUUAGAAGAUGUUUUAGUACAAGUUAAUGAGUUGGUUUUUCCUGCUGAUUUUUAUGUACUUGAUAUGGAAGAGGAUAACUCCUCUAAUUCUGUCCCAAUUUUGCUAGGAAGACCUUUUCUUAAGACUGCUAGGACUAAAAUGGAUGUACAUAAAGGGACUCUCACUAUGGAGUUUGAUGGAGAGGUUAUAGAAUUCAAUAUGAAUGAUGCCAUGAAAUAUCCUAGUGAAGAACAUUCGGUAUUUUCUGUGGAUGUUAUUAACCCUAUAGUGCAGGAAGUUUUUUACAAGAAAAAGACGAAGAUAUUUCAUGAUAGAAUGAUUUUGAGAAAGGAGUUCUUUGUUGGUCAAAAAGUUCUUCUUUUUCAUUCUGAGCUUAAACUUUUUCCGGGUAAAUUACGUCCUUGCUGGGUUGGACCUUUUAUUGUUACUAAUGUUUUUCCUCAUGGUGCAGUUGAGAUUCAGAGUUCGACCUCUGACAAAGUUUUUAAGGUUAAUGGUCAUCACUUAAAACCUUUUUAUGAAGGUUUUUCGGUGAAUAUUGUGGAGAAUGUGGCUCUCGAGAGUCUCAAUUAUGGAGAUUGAUGCAUAAACGUGUCUAGCCAAAGACAUAAAACAAAGGCGCUUUUUGGGAGGCAACCCAAAUGAUUUAUUUAUUUUGGUUUUUGUUAUAUCUUCUUUUAGUUUUGAUUCAGAUUAUUUUUUGAAAAAAAAUAAUGUGUUUGCUUAUUUUGGUCAGAAGAAAAUUUUUGAUAAGGCGUGCUCACGUCUUAACUAAUAAGUACUUCUGUGAUUUUUAAAGUAAAAUGGUUUUAAGGCGUGCCCACGUGCUUAUUAGAAAAGUACUUCUGAAUUUUUUUUUAGUGUCUCAAAGUGAUUCAUCACUAAAAAAAAAUGAAAAAAAAAAUUAUUUAUUUAUUUAUUGAUUUGAAAAUUAAAAAAAAAAGAAAAAAAGAGUUUUUUUCUUCUUUUUCUUCUUUUCUUUCUUAUAUAUAUUUAUUUAUUUUAAAAAAUAAAAAAUCACUAUUCACAAAUCCCUAAUUCAAAAAUUACUGUUGAUUAUCGUUUUCCAGCAGCGCGCCUCGGCUCCAGCCUUCACUGAGCAACCAGCAGCAGCAGACGAGCACGCUCAGCCCCAGCCGCAGCGCGCAGCAUCAGCCCUAGCCGCAGCACACAGCAUCAGUCCCAACCGUAGCGCGCAACGUAACGCAACCAGCGUCACCAGCGCAGUAGAACCAACCCCAACCCGUGCAUCAAGCUACAGCCGAGCAGCAAUCGUCCGCAACCCGCCUACGCACUGUAUUCCAACCGGGUAAAUCGAAAUCCGUGAGUGCAAUUAUUAUAACAAUGCCGAAGAGGAAAGCAUCAACUUCCAAGUCAUCUAAAAAGACACCCGUCGCAAAGAAGUCCAAGAUUGCCGCUCCCACUACGGUUCCAUGGAACACAGUUUCAGAUUCACGCCAAGCCGUGAGACAAAGAACGAAACAUGGAAAGGGCAUGAGUGUUUUACUACUUGCGGAAUCCAAUCUUGGAGGGGGCCUCGCAUUCACGACUCAACAAGAGAAAGAAAGGUACAAAGAUAUUUCCAAGCAAAAAAUACUUCCAGCUAAGUAUAUUCAUUACCCGACUCUUGAAAAAUUGAAUGUUAAGGAUAAUUUUGAUUCUUUGAUAGAUAAGAUUGGUUUGCGUAAGUUUGUUGAUGUUGAUUGUUUGAGUUAUGUUGAGUUGAUUAGGGAGUUUUAUGCUACUUUUCAAUUUAAUAUACCGUAUGAUUUUACUUUGCAUACCCCGGAUAUUAUAAAGUUUAGGUUAAUGGGAUGGAGUUUUUCACACUCGAUCAUAGAUUUUAACCUAGCUUUAGGAUUCAUUGAUGAUGAUUAUUCUUCUAGUGAUGCAUAUUUAGGAACAACUUGUGACUUUAGCGAAAAUUUUGAGCCUUAUGGUCUUUGGCGUAAUUUAUCUGUUGAUCACAAUGCCUAUAACCCAAGUAAAUCAAUGAGUUCUUUCUUACGUGACCCUGUUUUGAAAUGUGUGCAUCGAUUCUUAGCAUAUAAUUUUUUAGGAAAGAAAGAUCACUCAGGAGUUUUCUCUAAAACUGAAUUUUAUUUUAUCUGGUUUAUGUUAAAUGAUGUGAGGCCUAAUUUAGGUUUUUGGUUAGUAGAUCAAUUUCAAAGUGUGCUUAAACGGUAUAGGACUUUAUUUCUUGGUCCAUACAUUACUCGGUUAGCUAUAAACUUAUGUGUGCUUGAUCCUAACAAUAAUGAUUUGCAUCCUGCUUGCAAAAAGGAAUUUUUGGAUAUAUCUGUGUUUGAAAGAACAGGUGUAGUCGAAUUCAAGGAGGGGAGAUUUCAGUUUACUGAACCAGGACCCACUCAACUUCCAAAAAAGCUUUAUGCUAGGAGUGGUGCUACCUCUGAUGACGAGUUUGACGACAAAACUGCUGCCUCACCAACUAUUCCUUCUACAUCCGCACCACCUUUGAGCAUUCAGUUAGAGAAAAUGGAGCACAAGCUGGACAAGAUGGAGCAGAAUUUGGCCGCAUACUUCGAGAGUGUGAGAUUUAUCCCACCAUUUCCGCUAAGCCCAUAGACGUUAUGAGGAUCAAAGCUCACAAUUCAGGGAAGUUUUUGCCUUUAAUCUUUUAUCCUUACACUUUAAUUUUUAUGUGAGCUUUGAUUAUCUUACAUUGGGGACAAUGUAAGUUCUUGGUGUGGGGGAGGGAUUUUUGCAUUAUUGAUGUCUGGAAGUAUUAUUUUCACUCUACUCAUCUAUUUUCACUCUACUCAUCCUUAAAUGAUUUUAGAGUUAGUAUGCUGCAUAUAUUAUUAUUUUUCUUUUCUUUUCCUUCUCACUACUUUUUUCCCAUCUAUCUCAAAUUAUUCAUAUCUAUUUUUAUUUUACCAUAUUCUUUCAUCACUCACAUUUUAUCUUUCAUUUUUUUUCUACAUACAUCUUUCUCGCUUAUUAUCCUUUUUACCUUUCCUUUUAUAUAUCACUCAUACCUUCUUCUCAUUCUACACCACUAUUGAUGGUUGAUUCAUUUGAAGAGUAUACAUGAUUUAAUGGCAAAUUUACCAACUUUGUGAGGAUUUGAGCCUAUGAGCAACCACUUUGCUCUAUUUAUUUUUGUUAUGUGAAUAUCAAUCUUAGUUUGUUUAUUCUAGAACUUGCUUUGUUGUGCAUGUUGAAGCCGCAUUACGGGAUUUUAUGCAUUAAAAUGAUAAGGGCAAACCGCUUUCCAUUUUUCUAUUCUCACAUUUUUCUUCUUUUUCUCCACCCGAAAACCUUUAUUUGUUAUCUUUGUUUGAGCCUUAAACAUUACCCAUCUAAUUCUCUCCGUCUACUUAACCAUUUUUCUUCUUUUUGAGCCUCAAUUUAAGGAGAUUUUUGGACUCAUUGGGUGGAUAUAUUUUGUUGCUUUUUCUACCUUGUAUUAAAGUUUCUCAAAUAGAUCAACAAGCAUUAUGCUUGAAUUAAAUUGUGCAAGGUUCGUUUUUGUUGUUUGAUUAAAAAAAAAGGAAAAAAACAAAAAAAAAAAAGAAAAAAAUGUUUACAUUCUUGGUGACUUGAGUAGAAAUAACCGUUUCGAUAUCAUAAGAUUCAUUCAAUGAGUUCAUUCUUCUCAUUUUGAUCUCUUUUUCUUUCAUAGACCUUUCUUUUUCAUUUAACCCAUUUAACCCCGUUACAACCUUUUUAAGACCAUUAGAUUUUUGCAUUUAAUUCAUGUUUUGUGGAUUGAGAUGUGAUAUAUAAGCAAGCUUAUGGUAAUAGCAUUCUUUGAUUUGAUUUGAGUGCAUAAAUGACGCCCUAAACACUUUGAGUGAAUGGAGUGAAGUCAAUGAGAGGGCUAUUAAAUCUUGUUGCACUUGAAUUUUGAAUGGAUCUUCUUGGCAGUUGAAUGUUUUUAUUCUAGCUUAUGAGAUUCUAUGCUUUAAAAUCCUUGUCUCUUGAAUGUUGAUCGACUUAAAUUCUUGAGGUAUGCUUGCUUAAAAUUGUUUUUGGAUGAGUUGAGAUGAGAAUUGAGUGGAGAUUUGGGAUUAGUCUUGAGUUAUAUGCUUGAGGACAAGCAUCAUUUUGGUGUGGGGGAAUUUGUUAGAGUGCAAUUUAUGCACUAGUUUUGAAUUGUUUACUUCCCUUAAUAUCGAUGUUUUGCACUUAAUAAUAGUGAUUUACUUGUAUUUUAUUUUUAUAGGUGCAAUUCUAUUGAUUGGUGCAAAAAUUGAGCUACAAGAUGAUGUUUAAGGAUGAUUAUUCUCUUGGAGAAAUUAUGAGCGUCAGAAGAACUUUGUUGAUAACGCGUGGGCGCGUGCUUUCAUCUACGGACCUGUAGUUUUUAAUUUAAUGUGUUUUGUAUUUUUGGUUAUUUUUAUAAUUACGAAUUUAAUAUUUCAGAUAUUAGUAUUUUAUUUUAAAUAGAACUCUAGAGGAGAAGAGAGAUAGAGUAUUUAAGGGAGGAAUCUAUUGUGAAAAAAAGGAGAUUUUUGGAAAAGAAAGAAACCCUAGAUCUAAUUUUUUCUCUUCUCUCUAUGAAGAACUAAACCUAUUAUUCUGGUUGAAGGUUAAUGAAGCUUUGAUUCAUCACUACUGUGAGAUCUUUCUUAUGCUUUAAUUGUUUUAUUGCUUUUUGGGUAUUUGUUUAUUCUCUGAAUUAUUUUCAUGAUUAUGUUUGUUAAUUAGAUAAUUGGCCACUAUUUAAUUAUCAACUUAAUCUAUUGUCAAUUAAAGGAUUCAUCGUAUGAAGAUUUUAAUGUUUGUGACAAAUAACAUAGCAGAGAGUUGUGUUGUGAGAAUAAACAAUCUAAUUUAAAUGAACCAUCGUAUGUGUUUGUUGAUUAGGAUUUGGGUCUCUCUGGUUUUUCAAGCUGUCAAUUGAUUAAAUCCUAUGAUCGUAUCUAGGGUUGUCUAUUGAUUAGGGAAAUAACCAAUGGUCAUACCUUGGUUAUCGACUAGUUAAGGAGAGAUUGGCUAUUAGAGGAUCUCAGUAGCUAUAACCGGUCUAUUCAUAAGUAGUAAUAAUUUAUAUUUGAAUCAAUGAUCAGUAGUCGAAUCAAGUUGAGUUAAUUCCUUCAACCAGAGCUUUCUCCAAUUUGAAUUACAACUUUAAUUUGCAUUCUUGUUAUUUUAAUUUGAUUUUUAUUAUUUUCAACAAAACCCCCAUUUUAUAUUUUACGUUUUAAAAGGAUUUAAAUAAUUACCGAUCUCUGUGGGCACGACCCUGCUCAAUCACUAUACACAAUUUAUUUAGAGUAGGUAUUUAUUUUUGUCGGCUUCGACAACCAUCAUUUUGUUUCUUUAUGUAAUUUUUAGACUGCUCUGACAACUCAUCUUAAAGGUGCCACUCAUCCAAUAUGAUAUGGUGACAGUAGUUUAGAGUUUUAAACUAAAUGCAGAGCUAAUAGUAUUUUGGAAAUAUAAUCAUCCUAAGAUACUAACAAAAACAACAACUUCGGUGUAGAGAGAAAAUGAUUUCACAAAAGCAGAUGUUUUGAUUUAAGUCUCCAAAACCCCCACCAAAGAAAUGUUCAACGGAUAUAGAAAUAUGAUCCACAUAUCUGUAACUUAAACUGUGAAAUUUGUUGAUGCUGUUCUAAAAUUGCCACAAUCUAUCUACCCCAUGAAUGUUAUUGGAUAAAACAACAAGCAGGACCCAAUGCCUGUUUUCUAAUAGCUUCAAAAAGGCCAAAUUGGUUUUGAAAUGUCUCCAGCUUUUCAUUUAACAAGUUUAAGGAUCCCUUCGGCAUUGCAAUUGGGGAGCUCAGAUAUAUAAAAGUCUGGUAAACUCUUACAGCCGCAGCUUUUGAGCAAAAAUAAUUUUAUCUCAUAAUAUUUUGACAAAAAACUUAUAUCACCUUUUAUCAGUUUUGUAAAAAAUAUUAUUUAUAAGUCAUAUUUACCAAACACAAUCAACUUUUACAUCACAAUUAUAGCUUCUUUUUUUUCACCACACAUAUACAGUUAAAAUCUACAAGAACUCGAUAUCAAAUAGAUCCUAAAGCUUAAUCUAAUAAAAAGGUAAAUAAACAAAUGCAGAAGCCAGCGUACUUGAUCAAGACGCUCUGAAUAGUCACUGGGAAAGGGAAUAUCGACGUUAAUGGGGUUAUUGCCAUCGCUUGAAACCGAAUUGGUGAGACAAUUGCGUUUUCUUCUGUACGGAGAAAAUGUGACGAUUCUUUGACCACUGAAAAUUUCGAUUCUACAAUUUACCUGCAAUUAGUGACAAUUAUUCCGUUUAGAAACAAUUUUAAAAAAAAUAAAAAGUAAUAAUUACAAACUCAGAGUAUACCUGUGGACGUGGAAUUGAAGAAACUGGAAUAGGAAGCGUAGGGAGGGCAAUGGCUGUAUUGGAGGAUAACGGCAUUUUGAACCUCAAAGUAAAGAGAGAGAGAGAGAAGAAACGCUUCCCUUUCAAAUACCGCGCUCUUUUGUACCUGGGAAUUUAACUAAUUCAUGCGAAUAAAAAAAUUUAUAAAUUUGGUAAAUUAUUUAUUAAAAAAUAUUGAGAGGUUGUGCAUUAUUUUAUUAGUAAUGACAUGGUAAUAAUCAAAUUAGUUAAAUUAAAAUAGUUGUUGACUCAGUAAUUUAUUUUUAUUAUUUUUAUAUAUUUAUUUAAUUAAUUAAUUAAUGUUAUAUCUAUUUAUAUAAAAAUGUACAGUUCUAUCCUCACUCUUAUUUUAUUUUUAUUAUUUUAAAAAAAAUGGUCUGCGUUAUUAAGGUUAAGGGUGACAACUGGGAUUAAUAUACGGUUUAUUCGAGUGCUUAAAACCUAAUAAAUAUCCACUAACUCAUAUAUAGUAAAAAUAUAAUUAUUUUAAAAAAAAUUAAUAUAAACUAAACAAAUUGAUUGGAUUUUGUUUCUCAAGGUACAUCAUUAGAACGUUACUUUUAACUGAACAAAAGCACACAUAACUAGCACAUUCGCCACAAAAGCCUCGGCUUAGUGGUCGGCUUAUUAAUUAUCCUAAUUAAAUCAUGGUCAUAAAUUUGAGUCCCGGCAGGAAUUAUUAGGCUAGGUAGCUUUUAUAGACUACACUAUAAAUACAUGUAUUUUAAUUCUCGCGGGUAUUGCUUCUAGUAGUUAUCCAUCCGAGUAUAGUGCUUUGUAGCUUUCUUCACGACCUUCCCCAAUUUCAAUGAUUGUUAAUCAAUCUUCAUAGAAAAUGUGAUAAGACUGUAUUUAGAGAAAAGCUCAAUAAAUGAUUUUUAUAGGUCAUCAUUUCAUUUAAUUUUCCGUUAUAUAUAUAUAUUCACCUUUCUCAGAGGCCAAGAAGUCUUCGACAGAAAUGUGAUCCUUGAGCUUCUCCCAAGUUUCAAUUAAUUCGCUUUGAGUGAGGAUAUUUUCUGGUGGCCUCAAAUACAAUGUUUUGUUCAGUACUCGAGGAGCAUUUAUUGUCUUAAUAGUAUUUAUGGCAACAUCAUCGAUAUGCACAGUAAAAAAAAAGAUAAUCAUUUUGUUUAAUAUGAACAUAAAUUGUCAAAUUCUGAAUCAUAUUAUAGUGAACGAUAUUGUCGUAUGGUGUGUGUAUGUACUAUCUAUAGUUUUAAUAUUAUUAAUAAGGAGUUAAAAGUCUUGAUUUAAUUUUAAAUUGUUAUUCCUCUAACUUCACCGUCUCCAUAGAUGCAGACUCUAUCUUUUGAAGGGCGGGGGUAGCUAUAUUUGAGAGAGGUGUCUGGGGAACCAACCAGCAAAAAAUAGCUAGCAGAAACAUAAAUGACAAGGAUUUGAGCAGCCUUGAUUGCCCUUCUCACACAUGCGCUCUGUGUUCUCCCUCCAGCUCUCACUCACUCACGCCCAAAUCUCACCUCACUCACGUAUCUCUCCUUUCUGACCGGUGGUUUUCUCUCUCUCGCCGUGGGUCUCUAGGCUGGCGGGGAUUUCUCGACUUGACUACUAAAACAUAAUCCAAAAACUAUCUCGACUUGACUACUAAAACAUAAUCCAAAAACUACUAAGAUAUAUAUAUAUUACUAUGAUAUACACAAUAUGAAGAAACUGCAGUUAUAUUUCAAAUAUUUUAUGAAGGAAGAGGCUGUAUGGAUUAUCCAAAGGUGCUGAAAUUAAGAGACCCACGCCAACCGACAGAGUGAGUGAAUAUAAGGGGGUUAUUGGGUAAAAAUCACAUAACGCGCAAGCGAAAUUUUAGAUUAUAUUUUUUAAUACUCUCCGAGUCUCUCUUUCUCUUUCUUUUUUGGUUUGAACCACGAGGUGGUCCUGAGUGGGUCCCAACUAUGGAAAGCACUUUUAAGCCCGUACCACAACUUAGACUAAUCCCCACUCGCACCGGGUCGGCCCGUAAGGGGUAAAGUGCUGGGCAAAGUGGUGACUCCAUACGAGAGCGGGACUUGAACCCCUGACCUCUCUUAAGGAGUGAGAGUGCCGAACCACUCACACCAACCAACUUUGGUUAACUCUCUUUCUCUUUUUCUUUUUUUAAAUAAAUGUCAGUAUAAAAUUAGAAAAUUUUAGAUAUAAAAUUUGGCGAUGACCAAACAAAAAUUGCAGGGGAAACCUUGAUAUCAUUGAAAUACUAAUCAUAGACACUGCAGUAUAAAUAACUUCUUGUGAUCUACUCAACUUUAACACUUUAAUCCAUAUUCUAAAAUUUGCAUGUUUGUUAGGAUUUUUAUUAUUGAUACUGUUGUAUCAAUAAAAUUAUAAUUUAUUCAUAUGGAAUGAAAACAUCAAGAAAGGACCUCUGAAGUUUAUUAUAACAGAAAAAAAUGGUCCAUAAGUCUAUUUAUUAUUUUAUUUAUUCAAUACAAAUGGCCAACUUUAAAAAUGGUAAAAGUCACACAAUGCACAAGUAAAAUUUUAGAAUUAAAUUUUUUAAUUCUCUUUGAGUCUCUCUCUCUUUAAAAAAUAAACCUCACUGUAAAAUUAGAAAAAUUUUAGACGUAAAAUUUGACAAUCACCAAAUAGAAAACAUAGGCAAAUGAAAAUGGAGGAGCCCUAUUUUCAUUAGAAUAUUGAUCAUAGAUACUAUAAUGUAAAUCAUUUGUUGUGGUUCAUUCAACCUGUCACACUCUAAGCCAUUUUCUAAAAUUUGUAAGGUUUAUAGGAUUUUUAUUAUUGCCAUCAUUGUAUCAAUAAUAUUAUAAAUUAUAUAUUCUAUUGUAAUGAAAAUUUGUGCAAUCUUAGGUAUGUAUUAUAUUAAAUUGUGUGGAUUAAUUAAGAAUAUUUUUGGAGACAAAAGAAGUGUGUGUAUGUAAGAAUAAUGAUAAAAAAUUUCUAAAUAAAGGUGAUUGCUUCAUUGACAAGUACAUAUUUAUAUUCCUCUAUUAGUAUUUGGGUUGUAAACUCUGUUUAUAAAGUGAAUAUAUUGUGGUAAGCGAUGUGGGAAAUAUCGGAUGCGAAAUAUUGAGAGAUCAUUAACGCAUAUAUUUAUUGAAGAUGCAUAUAGAGGAAAGAGUGUAGAUCCGGCCGUAACACUUAUGAAGCUUUCCCUAAGUAUUCUCAUGCUUGCUUAACUAUUCCGAAGUAUUUUUCAUAGUGUGCAUAUUUACUUUAUGGUGUCUUUAUUCGUCUCAAAUGAUUACUACAGUUCUUUUGGGAUGAAAGGUCAUUUAUUUUGUUAAUUUUAAACAAUAGAAAAAAUAAAUAAUGGUAACGAAAGACUAAUUGUGAUAUUGAAGCGUACGGACUUUAACUCAAUCCAAAAAUUAGUAGGACCCACAUAUAUUUGAUGACGCUGAAAGUUACAUCAAUUGUAACUUAGAAACAUCCAAAUAUUAGACAAUAAUACACAAUAACAAUGCAUAUAAUUUGGGUUUGAUUUUUAAAAAAUUAUUUGAAUAUCACUUAUCCUUAAGAUAUUAAUUUGAAUAUAUUUUAAUAGUAAAUAAUAAAAAUUUGUUUAGUUAUUAUUUGUAUUUCAUACAUUGCAUGUUAGAUUUGUUUGAAUUUUAAGUUGUUGCGAAUAAAUAUUUAUGUUGUGAAAGUCGAAUUCAAUAGCUACAAAAGCAGAGAUAAUUGUAUUUUAUAUAGUUUUUAAGAAUACAAGGAUAAGAUCAUAACGCAUGAGAUAACGGUAUUUUAUAUUAAAAGACCAUAAUGCAUGUAUUUGAGCCAUUUAUAUUGAAGACACAUAUAGAGGAAUGAGUGCAGAUCCGACCAUAACUAUUGUGAAGCUUUCCUCAAGUAUUCUCAUGCACCCAAACCUUAUCUGGUCAAGGUUUCUGAUUGAAUAUAAUCAAUUUCCGUGCAGUACCGAAGACAGCUUCUGUUGGUAGUUGAAUUUGUGGGGAAUGACAAAUGUAGAGAAAUACAACAAUAAUGGUGGAACUUUAUUACGUAAAGUAAUGUGUUUACAACUAACUCUGUAUGUAGUAAGAAAAAUAAUAGUAAUAAGUAAACUUGCAAAAAUUUUGUGUGCUUGAAGGCACGUUACAAAUGUCGCUUUCCUUAAGACGUUAUUUGCCCCCACCAAUUGAGUGAUGCACAUGGGUUAAGCAAAUACGCAUCCAGGAUACAAUGAAGCACUUGUUUGUUUGCUAGUGUUGUGCAUCAACGAAAGCAAACCAGAAUACUCUUGAAUGUUGCAAGCCUGCCAAGAAACAAUAAAUUGUUCCUGCAGAAAACAAUAUAUUGGAUUGUGAAUGCACAAAAGAAAUGGGUGUUUUGUGUUGAAAUUCGUACUAGAAAGGAAUGCUAAGAAAAGAGUGGUGUAGGAUCAUUGAUUUCAUGUCUAAAUGGCUUAAACAUGACCCCUAUUUAUGGAUAUACUUGUGCCCCCUCAUUUGGGUUGUCAUCUUCAUGAUACCCCUUCAUUCAUGGCCAUUGGAUCUAUAUUUAAUUUUAAUCAAUGGUCCAAAUUGAACCAUCACCAUUUCAAAUGAAAUGUCACCAUGAAAUGAUGCAUCUCUAAGUGAAAUGUUACCAUGAAAAGUUAUAUCAUUUAGUAAAAAGAUACAUUUUCUAUAAGACAUAAUUAAAUAGACAUGUCCUUACAACAAGACAUCAUUUAAUUAGACAUGUCUUUAGUGAAAUGUACUUUUUCUAUAAGGCAGAAUUAAUAAGACAUGUCUUCACCAUAAGACACAAUUUAUUUUGAAAAUUUUCCAACAGCUUAUCUGUAAAGCUCUUCAACCACAAGCAUUUCUACAAGGCAAAAGACUAGGACGUGUUGGAAUGAAUAUCAAUAAGGGAAUGUCUUAUGAAUUUGGUUUAUAUCCUAAUAUAAGACAAUCAAUAAAUAUUGGAUGCAAUCUAAGGGCUAACAUUUGAUUGAUCAUUGUACGAAAAAAAAAGGUACAAAAAUACAAAACAGAGCUGAUUGAUGGCCUUUAACAGUCAGUUCUAUGACAAAGUAACCACCACAACAAAUGGAAUUAUAAGACAUCAAGAAACUUGAACUUGGCAGGAGGUCUCAUUAGCAGUAUACCUCAGAAAUUAAGACAGAGACUUUAAAAUGCAAGCUUAUGGAGUAAUUUAAGCACUGAAACUAAUAACAGUGAUGCAAAAAAAGGUGCAGAAGUACGGUAUUAGCAAUUGACCUCUGCUUUUGCUUGGACAAAGGUUUUCAUCACAAGGGACUCAUUAGUUGCCCUUGCCUCACACGAUUGGAUGCUAAGGGGAAAAAGGAAGCUUCUAACGGCAUUCACAGAGAACCUAUAAAACUAAAAAAAAAAAAAAUCAUCCAUGAAAAGGCUACUAACAAAAAAACUAACUCUUUUAUCUGCCACUGACCUAAUCCGCACUCAUUUAAUUAAAAAAGAAUUAAAAGCAAAACUAAAAGAUACAAAUUGCGUACAAGUCUAGGAGCCAUAUCAAAGGCGUUAUAUAACUUUUCCAAUUAAUAAAUUCUCUUAAGGGCCAUACCGUGCUCAUCAUUUCAAAAGCAAUUAAGGAUAAGAACUUUCAUCAUUAAUUGAUAUGGCCAGUGUAGAAAAAAUGAAAAAGCCCUCCAAGAUCAAAGCACAAGGAUCAGUUUAGAAUUACACUUUUUAAAUUUUGGUUAAUAAAUAAACGUUUAUAUGAAAAUAGAAAAUCUUUUUGGAAUAACCUUUUUUUUUCUUUUUUUAAUGAAUGUGGAUAUAAAAUUUUAAAAUCGCCAAACCGAAAAGAAAAACAGGGGAAUGAAAAGAGAGCCCACGUUUCUCCUCUCUUUUGUUUUUAUUGUUAUCAAACAGGGGAAUGAAAAGAGUGCUCUGUUUCUCCCCUGUUUUGAUUUUUUUAUUACUAAACAGGGGAAUGAAGAGAUCAGCUCUUGUCGCAAGCGCAAAUUUUUGUUUCUAAAUGCAGUUGGUUGUAACUAUAUUCGCAGUCCCUAGUACUUAGAAGUAAAGGCUCUUGGAAUUUCUAUUGUAGUACAUGAGAUGUUUCCCGUUCAAAUAGCUCGCCCGAUACCAUUAGCAUGUUCAUCUCUCUAUAGAUUGAUGUUGACAUAGAUGUUAUUCUACUUUUGCUAGUGGAGUUUUGGGCCUUGUCGUAAUUGGUGGAAUUACGACAUCGGUGGCUGACAUGGCUUUCCUUGUACAGGUAUGUAUGAUUGUUUUUUUUGCACGUCUAAAUGGCACUGUUGAAAAGCUUAAAAUUGAACUGAUAAUUUUGUUUGGAAGCUCAGAAAAUUCAUGAGAAAGUGAAAUAGAAUAUUCUGGAUUUCUUUUCUUUCCAUAACAUACAAAUGACAAACGUAGCAGUAUUUAUACUCGUUGCUUACAUCAUAAAAACAGAAUUAAAGCAAGUUAUACAACUAUAACAUAAUAAAAACCGUGCUUAACUAAUUGGCUGAGCUAGCAUAUACUUCUUUAACUAACACAUGCUUAUCGUGCAGCUACUCUUUAGUUCACACGUGCUCAGUGUGCUUCCUUAACAGACACAAGGGAAAAGACAUGAUUUUGAGAUAUAACGCUUGAAUGUUCUCGGAAUGGCAUAACGCUUUGUGUGUCUCGGACCUGUUAAGAAUAACAUAUGCUGAGUCAGCUGCUGAGUCAUCAAGCCACGCUGGAAGUUAGUUUUGCAGUUAGUUAGAGAGCUUAUCAGCUUCCCUCCAAAAGUUUGUUAUGUGUAUUAGAAUCUGGGCUCACGAGUUUUGUGAGAUUGUAACCUUAAGAAGAUUCUCACACUACUAUAAAUUGUAUUGUGACUCAAUUAAUAAAAUAAGUUGAAGCUUUGCAUUUUCUCUCAGUCAAAAUUUUCUCUCUGUUUUUCUAACCAAACAAGAUCUACAGAGCAUCUUGUAUUUUAACUUGGUAUCAGAGCUUGAAUCCAAUGGCCUUAAUCGGUUCCAAUCAACAGUCAAGCAACACUUCCAUAACUUCUUUCACCUUCACAAAUCCAAUUAAGCUUGAUCGUGCAAACUAUACGAUCUGGAAACAAUAAGUACUUUCUUCAAUUCGUGGCAAUGGUCUUGAAGGCUAUAUUGAUGGAUCAAGGAUCUGUCCUAGUCAAUUUCUUUCUCCAGAGGCUAGAUCUGAAGGUUCUUCUUCUUCUAACAUCGAAGGUCAAGAGAAUCCAGAGUAUGCAGCCUGGAGACGUCAAGAUUAGCUCCUGCUCAGCUGGAUUCUGUCGUCCAUGAAUGUAGAUAUUCUCAGUCUUGUGGUAAGCUCUAAGACUUCUUUUGAGUUGUGGAAAAAUCUAGAAAAAUAAUUUGGAUCUGAAUCUAUGGCUAAGAAGGUUCAUCUAAAAAUGCUUUUGAGUAACCUGCGAAAAGGAUCUCUAACCAUGUCUGAGUAUUUUACAAAGCUUAAGUCAGUUACAGAUGGUCUUGCUUUAGUUGGUAGCCCUGUGCAUGAUUCGGAUUUAGUCACUCAUCUUAUUACUAGUCUAGAUCAGUCAUAUUAUCCUGUAGUAGUCUAUAUUGAGGCAAACAUGUUGAAAAUGGAUCUUAGUGAGGCUUAUGCUAUGCUUCUCACACAUGAAGCUAGACUUGAGAAUAAUAAGCUUCAUGAUAGUAAGGAAACCAAGAACAAUUAUGCAGCAAAUGUAGCUCAGGCUGGAAAUUUUUCAAAGAAAGGUAAUAACAAUAAUCAAAACAACUGGAAGGCUGGAGGAAACAAUUGGAAUAAUAACUCUGGUGGAAGAGGUGGUUUUGGUGGUAAUGGAAGAGGUGGUUACCAAGGGUUCAAUCCAGGAAGAGGAAACUAGAAUAAUAAUAAUUUCAGAGGUGUUGCUGGUGGAUUUAAUAGUGGAUUUCCUGGUCCCGGUGGCUUCAAUAACAAUUAUGGCAGAGGUGGUUUCAACUCAGGAGGUGCUGGAAAGAAUUUUGCUCAGGGAACUGGUGCUGCUUGUCAGAUAUGCUUCAGGUUUAAUCACACAGCAGCUGAUUGCAGAGACAGGUUCAACCGAAAUUUUAUCCCAAAUUUUCCAGCUCCAGCUCCAAAUCACUUCUGUAAUCAGCAUCAAGGACCAAGAGCAGUCUUCAUAACAACAUCUGAAGGAGCUGCUGAUCAGGGAUGGUUUCUGGAUAGUGGUGCAACUCACCACUUAACCAACACAGUUCAGAAUCUGAGUGAUGGUAAAAUCUAUUUUGGCUCAAACUUACUUACUGUUGGUAAUGGCCAAGGUCUUAGAAUUACUCACAUAGGUUAUACACAACUUCACACUUCUUUUGGCACCUGUUUACAACUACAUAAUAUUUUGUGUGUCCCUCAAAUUACCAAGAACCUCAUUAGUAUUUCCAAACUCCUCACUGAUAAUGAUAUAACCAUUGAAUUUUUCUCUGAUGUUUGCUUUCUAAAGGACAAGGUGAAGGGCACUCUGUUGGCUCAGGGGAUAGCCUAUACAAGCUACUAUCAAAAGAGGAAUCUCUCUCUUCUUCCACUUCUGUUCUGCCAGUGUCUCAUCCUAGUUCUAUGAUGUCAACUCUUUCCUGCAAUAAUGUAGUUACUUCUGUUCAAAGUUCAAAUAAUGACUUCUGUUUUAAGUCUACAUUUCCUGUAAGCUUUCAAACUUCAAGUUAUGUGUCAGCAAAUAUGUUGCACAAUAGACUUGGUCAUCCAAGUAAACAUGUCAUACAAACUAUUCUCAGAAACAAUUGUUUAAUGUCAGCCAAUGUUAGUAAAUCAAAUUUUCUUUUCUGUGAUGCCUGUCAAUUGGGAAAGUUACAUCAAUUACACUUUCCUGCUACUGAAAUCAAAACAAAAAACCCCUUAGAAUUAAUACACACAGACUUAUGAGGACCAGCACCAGUUUUAUCACUAGAUGGCUAUAGAUACUAUAUUUCCUUUGUUGAUGACUUCACCCGAUAUUGUUGGAUCUUUCCUUUAGUUUUAAAAUCUGAUGCUCUUACUACUUUCAAAAACUUCAAGAGCUUAGUUGAGAAACAAUUCAGUCUGCCUAUCAAAAUUCUGCGGUCUGAUAUGGGAGGUGAAUUCAAAGCUUUUCAGUCCUUUCUUCAACAAGAAGGUAUCCAAGCUAGAUUUAGUUGUCCCUAUACUCACCAUCAAAAUGGUGUUGUUGAGAGAAAAUAUAGACACUUAGUAGAAACUGGAUUAACACUCCUUACUCAAGUAAAAAUGCCUAUUUCUUUCUCGUGGGAGGCUUUCCAUACAGCCUCCUAUCUCAUUAAUAGAAUGCCUACCACUACACUGAACAACUUAUCUCCCUAUCAAAAGCUUCAUAAUCAGCCACCAAACUAUCAACUUCUCAGAGUUUUUGGUUGUGCUUCCUAUCCUUUUCUCAAGCCUUAUAAUGAUCACAAGCUUGAUUUUCAUUCCCAAAAAUGCUUGUUCUUAGGUUACAGCCCUCUUCAGAAAGGAUAUAGGUGUCUAACAAAGUCAGGUAAAGUAUAUGUUGCUACUCAUAUUGUUUUUAAUGAAUCUGAUUUUCCCUAUUCAGAGUUGUUCUCUUCAUCUGAGUCUUCUUCCAAUUCUCUAUCAUCAUACUCUCCAUCUAUUUGUAUCCUUAAUGACAGUGGCUUGCAUCAAUCAUCAGCUACAUCUCCUACUUCAGCAAAGUUACCAACUAUACAUUCACCUCAACAUCCUCACCAAGCCCCACACUCUCCUUGUCCCUCUCCAGUCUCAGAUUCCUACAGCUAAUCAUCACCACAUUCUUCAUCACAUAAUGCUUUAGCCAAUCCCUCUGAUGAAUUACAACCAUCAUCUCAACCUGUCAUUUCAACUCAUCAGAUGGUCACUCGAGCCAAAUCUGGUAUUUUUAAACCAAAGACCUACCUUACAGCUACCCAAGACCUUGAACCAGUGAGUGUUAAAGCAACCCUAAUUGAUACAAAGUGGAAAAUGGCUAUGCAAGAAGAGUAUAAUGCCUUGCAGAAGAAUGGCACCUGGACAUUAGUUCCAGCUGAAACAGCUACAAAACUUGUUGGCAAUAAGUGGGUUUUUCGAGUUAAAUAUAACCCAGAUGGCAGCAUUUCCAAGUAUAAGGCUCGGUUGGAUGCAAAAGGUUUUCAUCAAACCUAUGGAGUAGAUUUCUUUGAAACUUUUAGUCCAGUUGUUAAACCCUGCACUGUUCGUAUUGUUCUCAGCUUAGCAGUCAUGCAUUGUUGGCCAGUUCGGCAAUUAGAUGUUAACAAUGCCUUUCUUAAUGGCAUGCUUACUGAAGAUGUGUUUAUGCCUCAGCUAGAAGGCUUUAUCAGCUCUCAGUUUCUCAAUCAUGUCUGCAAAUUACAAAAAGCCCUUUAUGGUCUUAAACAGGCUCCAAGGGCUUGGUAUGAUAGAUUGAAAGGGUCUUUAGUUCAGUGGGGUUUCAAAUCUUCAAAGUCAGAUACUUCACUGUUUUUCAAGCAUAUUGGCAAUAAUGUUCUCAUCAUCCUUGUUUAUGUAGAUGAUAUCCUGAUAACAGGCUCUAGUGAUGUUUAUAUUUAAGAGGUUAUCAGUCUACUUAGCUCAGAAUUUGCACUUAAAGAUUUAGGAGAUUUUAACUACUUUCUUGGGGUAGAAGUGACUCCAUCUGCUGAAGGAUUACAUCUAUCUCAAACUAAGUAUGUUGGUGACAUCUUAAGAAAAGCUCAUAUGCUUGAGAGUAAAGGUUGUAAUACACCUAUCAGUGUUGCUGAUAAAUUGCAGAAGGACAAAGGCUGCUCAUUUACAAAUCCCUCACUUUACAGAAGCAUCAUUGGUUCUCUGCAGUAUCUGACACUGACCAGACCAGAUAUUGCAUUCACUGUAAACAAAUUGAGUCAGUUUUUAGCUGCUCCAACUAUCUUGCAUUGGCAGGCUUGCAAGAGGGUAUUACGAUAUCUACAAAGCACAUCACAUUUUAGACUGCAAUUCUUCAAGUCAGGUUCUCCAAGUCUCAUAGCAUAUUCUGAUGCAGAUUGGGGGUCUGAUCCAGAUGAUAGAAGAUCUGUUGGAGGGUAUUGUGUUUAUCUUGGAUCCAAUCUUGUGUCUUGGUCAUGUAAGAAACAGAACAUUGUUUCCAGGUCAUCUGUUGAAUCUGAGUAUAGAGCAUGGCCUUAGCUACAUCUGAGGUUUUGUGGAUUACAUAUCUAUUAAAAAAGCUCAAAGUAUCACUUCCCAAACCUCUUGUUCUUUACUGUGACAACAGCAGUGCAGAAGCUUUGGCUAGCAAUCCUAAGUAUCAUUCCAGAACUAAACAUAUAGAACUGGAUUUACAUUUUUUCAGAGAACACAUUGCCAACAAGGAUCUCUUCAUUGAACAUGUGUCUAGUUCUGAUAAGCUAGCUGAUGUGCUUACCAAACCUCUGAGUUUUGAUCAUUUUGCCUAUAUGCAAACUAAGGUCAAUGUCUGCCCAUGACCUUGAGCUUACGGGGGCAUUUUAAGAAUAACAUAUGCUGAGUCAUCAAGCCAUGCUGGAAGUCAGUUUUGCAGUUAGUUAGAGAGCUUAUCAGCUUCCCUCCAAAAGUUUGUUAUGUGUAUUAGAAUCUGGGCUCACGAGUUUUGUGAGAUUGUAACCUUGAGAAGAUUCUCACACUACUAUAAAUUGUAUUGUGACUCAAUUAAUAAAAUAAGUUGAAGCUUUGCAUUUUCUCUCAGUCAAAAUUUUCUCUCUAUUUUUCUAAGUAACCAAACAAGAUCUACAGAGCAUUUUGUAUUUUAACUGGAGCGGCUGAUUGGUGCUGUACGUGUUACAUUUUUACUUUUUUAACUCAAGUCUGCUGUUGUCCCAAAGUUGGAACUAGAGAUAUCAUUUCACCUCAACUGUGUUUUUUUUUUAAUUAAAAAAAUCAUUUGUUUUAGGUAUACAUACAUGUAUUUUAAUUCUAUUUUCCUUGUAAUUUCUCCUUUACUUUGAAUGAAAGUCAUUGGUGUUUUCGAAUGGGAAUUUUGCAUUAAAAAAUUAAGAAUAGUUAAUAGGAAAUUUCCUGAUUCUUUAGUUACUAUUUUUGGUAUGAGUGUAAUUAGUAGUAAAGUUGGUUUCUACUCGCAAACAAGUGAACUGCUCGAUUCCCAAGUGCUAUUAACCAGUUUCCAACUUUUUAAUAUACACUAAUUGUUCCUGUUUAAUAGCUACUACUAUUAAAACUCAACAGCUAACAAAAAUACUAAAAAAAAUGAUUUUUUCUUAUGAUGCUGUGAAAAAAAUUACGGGUUUACUUAUUUCCACGAGAUCUUGUAUAGUGUUCUUGUAUAGUGGAAUUAAGAUUGUCUUCCCGAUGGUGCAAUUCACCCUCUUCCUUUACAGUCACUUGCACUUUGUGCAGCUUUGGUGUGGAUAAGAUUCCCAGGGAAAAAGUCUUCAUGUUCGGACAAUGUGUCACAAAUACUCGUUCCAAUGAUGGGAAUUCAAGAGGGUAAUUCUCCAAACAAAAGCUGGUAAGCCUUGGUAAAUACGACUCUCCUUCACUUCUUCUCCAGCAUGUCCUACGAUUUCUUCUAAUUUUUUGCAGUUCCAUACAUAAAGAUUCACCAGACUAGUAGGAAUUCCAACCUGAAAAUAAGCAGAGUGUGUGUGUGUGUGUGUAUAUAUAUAUAUUAAAAAAGUAAAUAUGUAAGAGUAUCAUUCAACUAGGCUCAAAGAAUGUUUAAUCAUACAAUUAUACGUUUUAUGAACAUAACAAACUGUGAAAUAUCUACUAGAUAUUUUUUGUUAAACAAAAAAGGUAACAAGAUAAAUAAAUAAAUAAAAGCCAGAUAAACAAAGAUGAUAAAAAUGUAUUUACACUAUUUAGUAUUAGGGACGUAGAAAGAAUUUAUGGCAAUUUCUAAAUAUUUUGGACUUAUUUUGCAUCUUGAUAUAAGUUUUUAAGCAUAAAUUUGCAAAUUUCAACUAUUCCUUUAAAAAAAAAACUCAACUAAAAUGCCUCUUUUUCCCUUUUCCUUGGUCCCUAUUUUUUAUGUAUAUAUAAAAAUGGAAAAAAAAAUUUUGGAAAAGACUUCCCAGUACUGUCAACAAGGGAUUGCUGUAAAGUGGAUCUUUAUUAAGUACUUCCAGACUCGAGGAAAUUUCUUUACAAUCAAGGGUCAGUUGUAAACAAUCAUGAAUUUGUGGUUAAUUAAUGGCAUAAUCAAUUCUUAACUAAACUGGAGAUAUUAAUUAAAUUUGAAGACUUUUUUUUUUUCCAAUCGAAAUGUGAAGAAUUAAGGAAAAGAGAAAUAUAUAGAUGAAUUUGUGAACCUAUAAGAUGAGUGACUAUCCUUUAAUUUUUGAAAAUUGUACUUAUUAAGACAUGAGCAGAAACAAUUAAAUUGAAUUAUAUUAUGCUGUUGAAUCGUGAUUAAAAAAAUUAUAUUGUUGAUUCUAAUGCUGGCGAACCUAAAAACUGGACUUAAAACGUAGAUUUCAGAGUGGUGGUUUGAAGUACAAUACUUGAAAUAAAUAAUCAGUGGCUAAAUAUCAUUUGUAAACCCAAAAAUGGUUAAAAUAUUGUUGAAUGUUAUUUGAAAAAAAAAAAAAAGAGAUUCAAAAUGAAUAUUCUUACCAAUGGAGGAAAAAUAUUCUUUAGGUUAUCACACCAAGAUAUCUCCAAAUUCUUCAAUUUGCUGAAAGACUCCGAAGCAAGCUGGUGGUGCCAUAUUUUUCUCAAAUUAUCCAUCCAGUCAAUACGUAAUACCUCCAACCUAGGAAGUCGUACCUGACAGUUAAAGAUUAAAUAACUAAUUAAUCAAUUAAUGGCAUAAUCAAUUGAUAAAUAAAUUAGAGGCGGAUAUUAACUAAAUUUGAAGACUCAAGGAAAAGACAAAUUAAAUAUUGUGACUAAAAUAAAUUUAAAAAAAAAAAAAACCUUUUCGUCAAAGAGAGGAGGUUGCAUUUCAGAAUGAAUGGUGUCUUCUGGUGAGCUCGUGGAGAUGAAUCUUAACAUAUUCCAGCAACUCUGAAUCUCGAGGUUUAGCAAAGAAGGGAAUUCAACAACUAAAUCUGAAUGAAUAUGUCCCGUAUUGGCAAAGCUUGUUAGUUCUGGAAGCCAAUAGAGCCGCAGGAAGUGUAGUUUAGGAAAUACCUUUAAUUCAAUCAACUUUCCUUCAUCUCUUUCUGACCAUCCCGUGGUGUCGACUACCCCUUCCAUUGACUCACAAUAGCUUAUCUCAAGAUGUUGGAGCUGCAAAAGGCUAUUAACCAUAGAAUAUGAAAACAGAUACUUCAUACGAUGACAACCGACCACGUGCAGCUUUGUUAGAUUUUGACAACAGUACAUUCCUUGAUUAUGAUCGGCCCAUAAUUUUUUCAUGUUUCUCAAGUCCCUGAGAUUCAAUUCCUCUAAGCUCGGAAGAAUAACCUGCAAAGAAAACCCGUACAUUUUUGUUCCUUCAAGUACAACCGUCUAGUAUAAUAUUCUUUUGAUGAUCGAAGAUUAAUCGUGAUAAUAAAUUAAUCAAUUAAUUAUUGAACAGAAAAUUAUCACCUUUGGAGCAGGAUCAUCAUCAGAAAUGAUUUCGUUGAAUCCCAAAGAAGUUGUUGGUUUGUCCAUGUCGGGUCCUAUAAACAAACAAAAACAAUAUACAUAAUUAAUCUUUGUCGUUGUCUUUUUUUUUCAAAAUAAUUGAGGCGAAGUCCAUAAAUCCACCAACACUUAAUUUCAACACUUACCAACAAUCAUUUCCAGAUCAUCGCAAAAAAACACUUCUACCUUUUGAAGCCACAGUAGGUUUUUGGCCAUGGAGAAUGAGAAAAGAUGCUUCAAUUCGUGACAGUCUGAUACUUUUAUAAUCCUUAAGUUGCUGAAAGAUUGAUCUUCUGUGAGUUGGCUGUCACAUAUUGUCUCCAAAUUUAUCAAACGACGAAGAGACAAUGACUCCAGCAAGGGGAAGACUUUGCGACGAACCCGUCCAACUGAACAGACAAUAUGCAAAAUCUCAGACCAACUUUUUACAGCAAGGUGCUUCAAUCGUGGAAAACCUUCCCCAUCAUCUAAUUCAUGAACAACAUUCUGAACACCCUUCAGUUCUUCUAGAUAGAGAUAUUCAGUUCUCUUCAACAACAGUUUCAUCCUGUAAUUCUGCAAAAGAAUGCCAAACUUUUCCAGCCUCUGGAGCUUCAUCAAUCUUGAUAAUCCAGAUUUAACGGACCAGCUGCUCCCCCACUUAUUUCCUAUACAUAUCCUAUAGGUAGAAGUGUUCUAGCUAUUAAUUUUAUACAUAUCUUCUAUAGGUGUAUUCUAAUUAAUUUCAUACAUCAGAUUUUUAGAUAAAAAUAAAGAAGUAAAAAAAAAAAAUCUUCACAUCAUCUUAAGAAAUUCAAAGCCAUGAUACCACAUCCAAUCACGAGAAUCCAUUUUCCUAUGAUCACUGACCUUUAGGUGCGGUGCUUGGUUUGAAGAAGGGAAAGGGGGUGAGGAAAGUAAUUUGAAUUCCUUUCUUAUUUCCGUUGUUUGGUCGGUCAUAAUAUAAAAGAAUUUAAUUUUCAUUAAAAUUUAAUAUAAUCAUAAUGUGGAAUUUAGAUUUCUCAAUAAAGAGUGAUGAAUCUUGGUUUGGGUCUGUUUUGAGUUUAUUUUCAUUUAUUUGGCUAUGUUUUGAUAGCGAAUUUUGAUAUGUCAAUAUAACGUGUAAUUGUUUUGGGUUGAGCUGGUAAUUAUGCUGGAUUAGAUUGGUUUGGUUUUGGUGCUUCUCUGAUGGAACACUGUUUUUUUUAGAAAUUUUGAAUGUAAUAUGAGACUACAUUUAGUUUAAUUGAACACUGCAUCUAGUCUAAUUACUAGAAGUGCGGCAUUUGGUUUGGUUUAUCCUAUAUUCUCCAGAAUUUCACUUGCAUCUGGUUUUGUUGCAUAUGUUUGCUUGCAUUUGAUGGCAGUAGCAGACUGUUUGGUUUUGUGACAUUUGAUGGCAGUUUGGUCUGUUCUUGGUGUUGGUUUAAGAUUGUUCCUGUUGUGCUGAUGUUAAUUGCAGGUGCUUGAAUCAGCUAGGGUUGCUGGUUUAUUCAGAUGGUUGACUCAGGCGUUGUUACUGGUUAAUUCAGGUGGCUGACUCAAGUUGUUCAUUUAAUGUUAGGAAGCAAAUUAAGAAUUAAUGAAGUAUUCAUUAAACUAUAAUUAUUGUAGUUAUUUUAUUUCAUAACUGAAUUAUAAUCUAUGAUACUUGUGAACAAAUUAGAGAAUUUUUAUAUAUGAAUUAUAUAUAUGUGUAUGUACAUUUUGCUAAUAAUUUAAAGAAUAUAUUUCAAUUCCCACAAAAAAAUGGCUCCAAUUUCAAUAAUUCCCGCCAAAUAAUUAAAUUUUUUUAAUUUACCACCAAAAUAUAUCUUAAAGAAAUUUUAGUUAUUCUUGCUAGAUUUAACAAAAAUGAUUUGUAGGAUUAACAUUUAAUUAAAAUAAUUAAAUAAUUUUAUUAUUCCAAUUAAAUAUGUCAUGUUUAUACGACAGACAAUAUUCAUGAAUGGGAAGUAUUAGUUACGUAUUUUUCCUUGGGAUUUCAGGCAAAUGAAAAAAAGAUUGAGAAUGAUUUCAAGAGGACAGGUGGAUGAUAAGUAUUCAUUUUUGUAUAUUUGUCUAAUGUCCUCAUUAGUGGAUUUUUAUGGUAUUGAUCUUUUUUUUUUUUUUUUUAAUUUUCAAUUAGUUGCAGCCCUAGAGGAAGAGCAGGCUGAUCAAAUUGAUUUGUCUUGUUUUUCGGGCAAUCUACGACAUGAUGACCGUGAUAAUGCUCGUGACUGCUGGAAACUUUCUGAUGGAAAUAACUUUAGAGUUCGUAGCAAGCAUUUUUGUUAUGACAAAACAAAGGUUCCCCCAUAAUUUGUUUGUUUGUUAUGGUAUUUAUAUAUCCUGCAUAGGCUAGGUAGACAAGUUAUGAUGUACGUGUUUCUCAUAUAGAACUCAAGUCUGCUGUUGUCCCAAAGUUGGAACCAGAGAUAUCAUGACUCUGGUUUCAUUUCACCUCAACUGUGUUUUUUUUUUUAAUUAAAAAAAUAUUUGUUUUAGGUAUACAUACAUGUAUUUUGAUUCUAUUUUCAUUGUAAUUUCUCAUUUACUUUGAAUGAAAGUCAUUGGUGUUUUCGAAUGGGAAUUUUGCAUUAAAAAAUGAAGAAUAGUGAAUAGGAAAUUUCUUGAUUCUUUAGUUACUAUUUUUGGUACGAGUGCCAUUAGUAGUAAAGUUGGUUUCUACUCGCAAACAAGUGAACUGCUCGAUUCCCGAGUGGUAUCAACCGGUUUCCAACUUUUUAAUAUACACUAAUUGUUAUUGUUUAAUAGCUACUACUAUUAAAACUCAACAGCUAACAAAAAUACUUAAAAAAAAUGAUUUUUCUUAUGAUGCUGUGAAAAAAAUUACGGGUUUACUUCUUUCCACGAGAUCUAUAACAUGGUCUUGAUUUCACGAAAUUCUUUUAAUUUAAAGCGUGCUGGUGUGAGAAGGUCAGUUUGACUGAUUAAUUCUUUUUAACAGUGGUCGAGAUAAUUUUACUAUACUCGAAAAUAUUCUUAUUCUGAUAAAGCCAUAAAUGUUAUGCUGUUUUCUUCGGCUAAUGAUCUUCUAUCAGGAGAGGUUAGAAAUCAAAUGCUUAAAAGACCAAUUGAACGAAUAAUACAGAAAUUUAGGCAGAAUCUAAUCGAAUAUUGUAUGAAACAUGAAACAUCAAUUCAAGUCCUUUCUUAAACAAAGAAUGCAUCAAACAAAAUCCAAAGUGUCUUGCAAGUUUGUAGCAUGAGCAAAAAAUUGUAAAUAUGUAGAACCAAAUUAUUCAAGUACAGAAGAACGAGCAAGCUAAAUCAUGUAUAAGAGAUUGGCCUGGUUCAGGAUAGCUUCUUCACUGUAGCUGAAGGGUUGGCUCAAUCUCUUCUUUAGAAUUCUGCAGAUUUUGUAAUUACUCGUGUAAGCAAGCAUACAUUGCCACCAUAAGAAUAAUAAAGCAAGAGUAAUGAUAUGACCACCACCUCUUGUGCACAAACAAUAUUGUAUAAACUAAUGCGACAUAAUAUGAUUGGUUAAAUAAAAACAUUACAUGGCCCUCAUAAUUUAUUUAUUUAUUUAUUAUUAUUAUUAUAUAUUUUCAAUCAACCAAUCAUAUUAUAUCACAUUAGUUUCUAUAAAAUAAUUUGCUAAAUAGCACCGAAACUUAAUUGAUACUCACCAUUUCAUUGAACAAUUUUUUUAUGGUGUCAUUGAGGUUGCCUUCCCAACAUCCUUCAUCAUCAUCAUCUUCUUCAUCAUCAUCAUCUUCUUCUUCAUCAUCUUCAUCAUCAUCAUCUUUUUCUUCUUCGGUGACGUUCACUUUGUUUAGCAUUGGUGUGUCUAAGACUCCUUGAGAGAAGAUCUUCAUUUUUGGACACUGUCUCACAACUACUUGUUCCAAGGAUGGGAACUCAAGAGCGUAAUUACCCAAACAAAAGCUUGUUAGGCUUGGCAAACAAUCAAGUCCCAAGUACUCCAAUUUCCUGAAAACAAUGCAAUCGUCCGCUUCUUCUCCAACCUGCGACUGUAUAAUUUCUUCCAUCAUUUUGCAAUCAGUUAUCUUCAUUCUUUCAAGAUUCACUAGACUUUCAGAUGUUGAGAGCGUCAAUAAAUUUAUCAACCCAUGACACUUCGAUACUUCCAGAGUCGCAAGAUUUUCCAAAUGCCACGAAGCUGGUACUAAUUUCUGCAACUUACUACAUUCAAAUAUUUCUAGACUUUUCAAGUUUGCAAACACUUUGUUGGAUUUGGCAUUUUCCUUCCAGAGAUGCUGCACUUUGUGUAAUCCAGAUAGCUUUAACUUCAUCAAUUGAGGGAAUGCAACCUGGAAAUCAACAAAAUUAAGUUGUAAAUGAAAAUAUGUAUCCAAUCUCUGCAGUCUUCCCCUGCAUAUUUUAUGGACAAGAUUAAUCACGGCAUUUUAUAUUUUAUUUCCAAAUUAGUAUGCUUUGCAGUAGGAUCCCAAAUAUAAGUAUCAAAUCGAUUACCCUUUGAAACACAUAAAUGAAAUCUGAUCCUAAAUCCAAUAUGAAUUAGCUAGGAAAACAGAGACCUAACACGCAUAAUCGAUAUAGUUCAUCACCUCCUGUCACUAGGCAUCUAAUUAAUUUGAGACAUUUUUUUAAUUCAUACUAUAAAGUUAGUUAAUAACUACGGUUAUAUUGUUAAACAUGUAUAAAUUAAGACGACGUGCAAAAAGAUGAGUCAUUAAAUUUGAUUUGAUUCUAAUGAAAUUAUAUCUGUGUGAAUGAAAGUGAAGGGAAAAAUAAUAAUAAUGUUACCUUUUCAUCGAAGAGAUGUUGUAUUUGAUUAGCUACCAAGAGGUUCUCUUCUUAUUUUAAUUUUUGAGCUUCCUUAUUAUCUGUUGUCAUGUGCAGUACAGAUGUAGAAUUGGACAUGAAUGUUUCCAUAUCAGGGCAAUUCUCAAUAGUUAGAUAUCUCAACUCAGGCAGUUCAAUUAUAUUCCCAGUGAAGUUGCAGAAUCUUUUGAGUUUUGGAAGGUCAAUGAGCCUUAGCUCAAAAAGCCUAGGAAACAGGGGGCCUAUAUGUUCUUCCUUGGCAUUUAGCUCUUCCAAAUGAAGCACCUCUUCUAGUGAAUCACAAUUCCUCACUUCCAGCCAUCUCAAAUUGUUCAAGCACCGUAUCAGAUUGGCAGGAAUAGCACUCGACAUAUUCGUGCGGUCAUCCACCACCAGGUGUCUUAAAUUGUUGAAGAAGCUGACAGGCAGUGCUUGGCCAUGCGAGAGUUGCAAAUGGUUUAUAUCAAGGAAUCCAAUCUGCACAAACCAAAACAAUUGCACUGGAUAUAUACAAUUUUUUCUUUCUGAAAGGCAUAGAUAUAUGUACAUUAAACUUACAUGUUUUCUGCUUUAACUUCUAAAAAUAUAUAUACAAGGCAGGUGUAUAUGCUUAAAUGUGCAAGUGCAGGGGAGAUGCAUGAACAAUUUGGGUGAAUCGAUUAACACAUACCAUCUUUUUGUAACAUAUGUUUAAAUGUGCAAGCGCAAGGGAGAUGCAUAAGCAACUUGGAUGAAUCGAUUAGCACAUACCAUUUCUUCGUAACACUUUUGUAUAGUGGAAUUAAGCUUGUUGCCUUCCCAAUGGUGCAGUUCACCCUCUUCCUUUUCAGUCACUUGCACUUUGCAUGGCUUUGUAAUGGAUAAGAUUCCCUGAGAAAAAGUCUUCAUGUCCGGACAACGUAUCAUAGAAACUCGUUCCAAUGAUGGGAAUUCAAGAGUGCAAUUCUCCAAACAAAAGCUGGUAAGCCUUGGUAAAUCAUCAAGUAUCAAAACUUUUAAUUCGCUGAAAGCAAUACGAUUCUCCUUCACUUCUUCUCCAACAUGUCCUACGAUUUCUUCUAAUUUUUGGCAAUCUGAUACUUAAAGAUUCACCAGACUACUAGGAAUUCCAACCUGAAAAUAAGCAAAAGUGUGUGUGUAAGAGUAUCAUUCAACUAGGUCCAAAGUAUGUUUAAAACAUACAAUUAUAUGUUAACAUAACAAACCAUGAAAUGUCUACUAGAUAAUUUUUGUUAAACAAAAAAGGCAACAAGAUAAAUAAAUAAAUAAAAGCCAGAUAAACAAAGACAAUAAAAAUGCAUUUACACUAUUUAGUAUUAGGAGCGUAGAAAGAAUUUAAGGCAAUUUCUAAAUAUUUUAGACUUAUUUUGCAUCUUGAUGCCAGUUUUUAAACAAAAUUUGCAAAUUUCAACUAUUCCUUCUGGGAAAAAAAAAAAUCAACCACCAACAAAGUGUUGGCUCCAUUGGCAAUGGAGUCCCCUUAAGUGGUUUGACUGGGUUUGCUCCCCAGUUCGAGUCGCAGGGAAGUCGCCUUUGUUGGGAGAACUUGUGCCUCCCGGUUCGAGCGGGGACUUCUAGUCUGGGUUGUGGUACGGGCUUAAAGGUGCCUUCCACAGUUGGGGCCCUCCCCAGGAUACCUCGUGAUUAAUAUAAAAAAAAAAAAAAAAUCAACCAAAAUGCCGCUUUUUCCCUUUUUCCCUUUUUCCUUGGUCCCUUUUUUUUAUGUAUAUUUAAUUUUGGAAACAAAAUUAAAGUGGAUCUUUAUUAAGUACUUCUAGACUCGAGGAAAUUUCUUUACAAUCAAGGAUCAAUUGUAAAUAAUCAUGAAUUUGUGGUUAAUUAAUGGCAUAAUCAGUUCGUAACUAAACAAGAGAUAUUAAUUAAAUUUGAAAACUUUUCUUUUCUUUUUUUCUUUUUCCAAUCGAAAUGUGAAGAAUUAAGGAAAAGAGAAAUAUAUAGAUGAAUUUGUGAACCUAUAAGAUGAGUGACCAUCCUUUAAUUUUUGAAAAUUGUACUUAUUAAGAUAUGAGCAGAAACAAUUAAAUUGAAUUAUAUUAUGCUGUUGAAUCGUGAUUAAAAAAAUUAUAUUGUUGAUUCUAAUGCUGGCGAACCUAAAAACUGGACUUAAAAUGUAGAUUUGAGAGUGGUGGUUCGAAGUACAAUACUUGAAAUAAAUAAUCAGUGGCUGAAUAUCAUUUGUAAACCCAAAAAUGGUUAAAAUAUUGUUGGAUGUAAUUAAAAAAAAAAAGAUUCGAAAUGAAUACAACAACCUUACCAAUGGAGGAAAAAUAUUCUUUAGGUUAUCACACCACCAUAUGUCCAAAUUCUUCAAUUUGCUGAAAGACUCCGAAGCAAGCUGGUGGUGCCAUAUUUUUCUCAAACUAUCCAUCAAGUCAAUACGUAAUACCUCCAACCUAGGAAGUCGUACUUGGCAGUUAAAGAUUAAAUAACUAAUUAAUCAAUUAAUGGCAUAAUCAAUUGAUAACUAAAUUAGAGGCGAAUAUUAACUAAAUUUGAAGACUCAAGGAAAAGACAAAUUAAGUAUUGGGACUAAAAUUAAUUUUUUUUUUAUUUUAAAAAAAACCUUUUCGUCAAUGAGAGGAGGAGGUUGCAUUUCAGAAUGAAUGGUGUCUUCUGGUGAGCUCGUAGAAAUGAAUCUUAACAUAUUACUGCAACUAUCAAUCUUGAGUAUUUGCAAAGAAGGGAAUUCAACAACUAAAUCUGAAUGAAUAUGUCUCGUGUUUGCAAAGCUUGUUAGUUUAAAAAGCCCAUAGAGCUGCAGGGAGUGUAGUUUAGGAAAAACCUUUAAUUCAAUCAACUUUCCUUCAUCUCUUUCUGACCACCCCGUGGUGUCGACUACCCCUUUCAUUGACUCACAAGAUCGUAUUUCAAGAUGUUGGAGUUGCAAAAGACUAUUAACCAUAGAAUACGAAAACAGAUACUUCAAAUGAUCACAACCGUCCACGAUCACCUUUGUUAAAUUUUGACAACAGUACAUUCCUUGAUUAUGAUCGGCCCAUAAUUUUUUCAUGUUUCCUAAAUGAAAGAGAUUCAAUUCCUCUAAGCUCGGAAGAAUAACCUGCAAAGAAAACCCGUACAUUUUUGUUCCUUCAAGUACAACCGUCUAGUAUAAUAUUCUUUUGAUGAUCGAAGAUUAAUCGUGAUAAUAAAUUAAUCAAUUAAUUAUUGAACAGAAAAUUAUCACCUUUGGAGCAGUAUCAUCAUCAGCAAUGAUUUCGUUGAAUCCCAAAGAAGUUGUUGGUUUCUCCCUGUCGGGUCCUAUAAACAAACAAAAACAAUACACAUAAUUAAUCUUUGUCGUUGUUUUUUUUUUCAAAAUAAUUGAGGCGAAGUCCAUAAAUCCACCAACACUUAAUUUCAACACUUACCAACAAUCAUUUCCAGAUCAUCGCAAACAAACACUUCUACCUUUUGAAGCCGCAGUAGGUUUUUUGCCAUGGAGAAUGAGAAAAGAUGCUUCAAUUUGUGACAGGAUUGUACUCCUAUAAUCCUUAAGUUGCUGAAAGAUUGAUCUUCUGUGAGUUGGCUAUCACAUAUUGUCUCCAACUUGUUCAAAAACCAAAGAGACAAUGACUCCAGCAAGGGAAAGACUGUACAAUGAACCCGUCCAACUGAACCGACAAUAAGCAAAAUCUCAGAACAACUUUCUACACGAAGAUGCUUCAAUCGUGGAAAACCUUCCCCAUCAUCUAAUUCAUGAGCAACAUUCUGAACACUCUUCAGUUCGUUUAGAUGGAUCUCUUCAGCUUCUUUCAGCAACAUUUUCGUCCCAUAAUUCUCCAAAAGACUGCUAACAUUUUCUAGCCCAUCGAGCUCCACCAUUCUUGAUGUUUCAGAAUUAACGCCCCACAUGCGCCACGCUUCUCCUAUACAUAUCUUAUAUCUUUGCAAUUCCACAGAGACUAAAUCCUGCGGCAGAAUUUGGGCAUCCCAAAAUUGUAUCUCCAAAGUAGUUAGCUUUGACAGCCCCUUCAAUUCAGCAAGACUGGCGGUACUUCCUCCUUCAACCUUAUCCCACUGCGAAAAGCUGUCACCCAUAUAUAGUUCUUCUAAUUGAGAAAAUUUUGAUAUGAGAUUUGGUGCUAUCACUACAAGGCUCCUACAAUUGCUCAAAUCUAGCAAUUGUAACCGCGUCAAUUGUCCAAUUUCAAGUGGUAACUGCUUAAUGUCGGAAUCUCGAAAGCUAAGAAUCUCUAAUUUCUUUAGCUGUCCAAUUGCAGCUACAUCUUCUAGUUGGCACCAGUCUAAACACAAUGUUUGAAGGUUAAUGAGGCGACCAAGUGAUGAAGGUAAUGAAGAGAAAGGAAUUCUAGUAAGGCUUAAAACUUUGAGUUCUUUCGUCCCUUCAAAAAAGAGGUCUGAAAUUUGCAUACGGCCAUUACCCUCUGCAGACAACAAAAAUAACUGGAGAUUGGGACAUUGCAACCUUUCAGGGAGCUCUUGAAUAUCUCUCUGGGGUAAUGAAAUGGCAAUUGGAUCUUUCCGUAUUGUCUCUUCCAUCUUUUUCUCUAAGUCGGCAACAUUUGGAAUAUUAAACAUGCGCUUCUCUGCGGCAAUUGAUACGGCAACAACAUGAAUGACGUCAUGCAUUUUAGCUUCAUCUUCAGCAUCACCGUCCAACAAUAAGCAUGAAGAUUUGAGGUUGUCGAUCAACCGAUGCACUCUACUCCUUGCUUCUUCCAAUGUGUAAACAUUUUCAAACAAACCCCAACCCACACCAUAUCUCAAUAAGUCAGAAACUUGUAUGGCAUGACCUUCACUGUAUAGACCACAAAGACGGAACAGAGAUUUUGCCUCCUCACUUUCCAAGAAGUCAUGACUCAAUUUUAUGGAGGUGUACACAUUUGCUUGCAUGCCAUGAAUUUCUCUUGCAUCCGAUCUUCUUAGCUGAUUCAAUGCAUCUUUCCAAAAGUCACGCUCCUUAGUUUUCAGAGCAUUUGCAACUGUACUCAGUGCAACAGGCAAACCUCCGCAUCUUUCAAUGAUCUCAUUUGCUAUACUUUGAAAAGCAGAUAUUUUAGUUGAAUCACCCACUAUCUUCUCAAAUAACUGCAAUGCUUCUUCUUUUGAUAAAGCAUCGAUCCAGAAAUUUUUCUGAGAAUUCAUAUCAAUGCACAAUAAAUCUCGACUUCUAGACGUCAAUAUUAUUGUGCAUCUUCUCUGAUCAUCCUCUCUAUCUUUCUCAUCAACAUCUCCAGAAGGAAUUCCAACCGCAUCUAACUCAAGUUUUGUCCAAAUAUUAUCCAAUAUAAUGAGGACCCGCUUCUCUUGCUUCAACCUUUCACGCAGUCGAGAAGCUCUAUGGUGUAUACUAUCAUUCAAGUCAAAUUUCAUGCCUAAAUCAGAAGCGAGCUUGUCUUGAAUUUUCUGGGGAUCUGGGUUCUGUAUUACCUCAGCCAUAACGACCUUAUCGAUCAACUUAUCUUCCAUCACUUUCUUAGCAACUUGCUUGACUAGCGUGGUUUUACCCACGCCGCCCAUGCCGUAGACCCCAAUUAUGUUGAGCUUAUCAUCCUUCAACGCCUCCAUAACAUCCUGAAAUACUUUCAUUCUUGAAUCAAAGGCCUCGUUAUCUUUCCCGUCAUUAAGUCCUGUGCUCUUUGGAGUAGGACGGUAGGAAACAUUAGAGAAGUUGCCUUUUCCCACGAGACCAGCGGCAGCUUCUGCGGCCUUUGCUGCUUGUUUACUAAGCUUGUAACGGGACAUCAAAUUUGGGCACAAUCCUUUGAAGCAGAACUUUUUAGCUCUUUCUUCAUCAUCAAUGAUGGAUUUUGCAACCCCUUCACUGAUGAAUUCAUCAACGCUAUGUAGCCAGUCUGUGACACCCUCAUAAAGCUCAUCCCCUUGUAGCCUAGCAUGAUUAACUGGUUGCUGCACCAUUUCUCUCUUAUAUCCCAGCUGCUUCACUUGAACUUUUAGCUCAUCUAUGUAGCUCUGGUACUUGAACACAUCAGAUAUCUGCCGUGUAAUCGGGUUGAACAGUGACUUUGCACCUUCUGAUACACAGUUGGUUAAAAAAGCCAGACACGCUUCUAUAGCCAUUGCCGGUUGCUUAACAAUAUAUAUCUAGUUUUUGGCUGUUGAAAAAAAAAAUGGAUUCAAAUAAAUUAAAUGAACUAGCGGGGAAGAAAAAGAAAGAAACGACAACAAACAACUUUUUAGAAAAAGGUUUCAGGGGCCUGAAUGGAAAACCAACAAUUUUUUGAGGAAAGAAAACUUUUUUGGAAGAUGGAUGCAAAUUAACCAUUAAUAAUACUGCAUAAGAACACAGAAGUUAACAAUAAACAGUAACUUAAAACUCAAGAAAAUUAAAUGACAAGAUUAAGACAAACAAGAGAUAGUUUUUGUCGGACAUUAAGAAACAACUGCUAUCAAGAUCAAAGAUUAGAAAUUAUGCUAUUGAAAGAAAUUAUUAAAGUAAUUAGAACAAACGCACCUCUUCAAUUAUCUAGGAUCACAGAGUUUAUGAGCUUCACUCUUGGCCUUCGAUUUAUAAGAAAAAUUUUAAUGAGCAAAAGAUCACUGUUGACUGCAGAAGAAUGUGAGUAAGCAAUACAAUUGAAUUGUAAAAGAACAAGACUUAAAGCGUGCACCCCAACAGAACACAUGUUCAUUUUUAACAAAGUGAUCAAUAACUAUAUUCGUUAUUUAAUUGAUAUUGUAACCAAUUCUAAGAGAAUAUAAUAAUCAGCAAACAAACAACAUUGAUCUUAUGCCUACUGAUAUUUAAACAGAGAAUUCUUUCUUCUUUUUCUCUUCAUGGAUUAGAGUUUUUGCUAUUAACAGAAUGGUUUCAAGGGUCUGAAUAAAAUCCCAGACUUUUUUUUAACUUUGUUUUCUGUGGGAAAAUGGAUUCAAAUUAACCAAAGCCAAUAAUAAGAUCACAGACUUUAACAAUGAACAAUAACUUAAGCAAAACCAAUGACAAGAUUAAAACAAACCAGAGAAAUUUUUUCUCGGAAAGUAGAUGAAAAGCAAGUAAGAACUGCUAUUAAAGGAUAUUAUUAAAGGAUUUAGAACAUGUAUACCUCUUUAAUUAUAUGGGAUCAGAGAAUCGAUGACCUCCACUAUUCGCUUCGGAUAUUAAGUAAGAACUGCUAUUAAAAGAAUGAGUUGAUGAGAGUAAUAACAAUGAAUUGCAAAAUAGGAAGACUCAAUCAUGCACCCCUUUUAUACCUGAUCAUAUUAAGAAGUCGUUAAAGAAUAACGACUAAAUUAGGAAUUAAUUCUGAAGUUCAGAAUCAAGAACAGAGACGAAGCUUUAAUAAAGCAUGCAGUGAGAUACAAGAAAUGGAUCUGAUAAAAUACAUUAAAAAAAUUUGUUCAACCUAGUUAAGCUGAUGAAAGCACUAGUUGUUGGCUCUACGUUUCAUAUGUUCUAAUGAAAUAAUUAAGUUGAAGUUUUCAACGAAUAAAUACCUGUUUCGCUUGAAUAGCUUUGGCAUAUACAUUACUUGUGUCCUGUGAAAUUGAAAAGGUUAUUGAUUUACAAAGCUUAUUAGUAGAGAAAAGCUACGUAAGAUGCCUGAUAAAAGAUAAAGCAAGAGCUUGAAUGAAGAAUGACAUUUUAGAAAGAAACUAAAGUGUAAUCAUCAAAGUAGGAUCAAUAAUGUACCACUUUCCUUGCAAAUCUGGUGGGUUUUCUGAAUAGAUUUUUACAUUAUUCUUCUAUUUAACCAUUUUGGCUUUACCCUAAGCAUUCUUGGUUGGCAUUGUCCUGUAAUCUGCGUGCCCUGGAUACGUGAGAGGGAAUGAUGAGGGUAGAUAUGCAAUUUCAAGAAGCGAUUUGCUUGUAUAAUUCAAUGCAUGGAAAGAGAUGUACCUGACCAGAAAAAAAAGGGGACCAUCCAUAUCUGAGCUUGACUUUUUAGAUAGAUAAAUAUUCUUAUUACUGUUGAUAAUGGAGAAGGGUUCUACUUUUACUUUGCCAUCUUUGAUAUAAAACAGCAUGAUUCCUUUUUUUCAAACACUUGCCUAAGUCUAUUUUUUAUUUUUCUUAUUUUCAGAAAGAGAUUAGCUUAAUUUAAAUUAUAUUCAAGUACAAAGUGUUAUACACUCAUAAAACGACAAAUAGGCAUGUAUUGAUCACGCGCAAUCUGUUUUUUUUCCCCCUUUUUUUUUUAAUCCAGUCUUCUUAUUUAAAAAAAAGAAUUUAUUUGCUUUAUUUUAAAUUAUUUUUUCAUGCGGUAAAUGCAAUACUGAGUAAUGGGUGAGCAAAAUAUUUACAGGCACACCCCCUUUUAAUGAUUUCGUACUAAAAUUAAAAAUUGACGAUUCCAUAAUAAAGUUCAAAGAGUAACUGAAGACCCAUAAAUGUUUUUUGGUCAUGAGCAAUUUUUGAGUUGGGACAGCACUCCUAUGAAAAAAAAUAGUUUUUUUUUUCUUUAAGCAUGAGCAUAUUAAUUCUUUUUUUAUAAAUCAACGUGAAUAUAAAAUUAAAAAAUAGUUUUGAAUAACUUCUUUUCUUUUUUCAUAAAUAUAGAUAUAAAAUUUUAAAGUCACCAAACACAAAACCAGGAAAAUGGAAAGGAAGCCCCUGUUUCUCCGCUGCUGCAAGCACAAAUUCGGUUUCUACAGGAGUACCUUCUAAAUGCACCAUUUGUAUUGCUUUGUCUCCACUUGAGCUAAUGGAAUUUGAUGAAGACAAAAUAGAUAUGAGUCGUGCUAUUCACACCCCUCGAUAAUUCUUUCAAAAUCCCUUUUCUAAUUAUACCCCGUUAAUACCCUUGUUCGCUAUGAAAAUAAAGCAAAUGCCUGUAUAAAAAGCUGGCUCUAAUAAUCUACUUGAAUUUACAUCAGAAAAGAGUGGACUUUGAGAAAUAAGAAGUCAAUAUGGAGAAUUUUACCAAAAUAAUCCAUUUUUAUAUACAGGGAAUGGUAUUUUCUGAUAUAGGGAGGAGUGGAGAAAUUAAAUUCAGCAAAAUAAAGAACCUCCAUCGAGAAGCAAAAAUGAUGAUAUCUUUGUCGUGAAGAGAUUUCUGCCUCAUACAAAUUUUUUAUUCUAGAAUGCUUGAAACCGAAAAGUUCUGUAGCUGUUUCAAUUCAAUUGCAUACAUUGACGAAACAUUAAAUACGAAAAAAACAAAAAAGAAAUAAUAGGACAUGGGGAUUUAGAGAACUUCUAAAGAGAGAAAUGUAUUUAUUGUUGGGAAAAUAUGCUCUUUAAAAGCAUAUGUGUUUAUUUAAUUGUAAUAAACUAUUUUUCUGAUUAAUAAAAUAAAUGAGGCAUUUUAUUCAAAUAUCUUAAUUGCAUUAAUACUUGUAUUAAAGUCCAUUUAAUCAUAUUAUAUGUAUUUAUGUGAUCACCAUGUGGAUUCACAGAAGACAUAAAUACAAGUUAUCUUAUGAUUAAAUAAAUUUAGUUCGCAGUUGAUAAAUAAAGUUGGGCACUUUAUUUAGGUAUAGACUGUAAUAAAUUCAUUGAAUGAUUUGUCUUAAUUAUGUAUGAAUUUAUUGAUGUAGUACGACUACAUUGAACAGGAUCACAUAUGAGAUUUAAUUAACUUUGUAAUAACUGUCAGACUUAUUAAAUCUCAUAGGCAUUGAUUUUACUGUAAUCUUAAUCUUGAGUUAAUUAUGAUUUCAUGAUUGUAAUUGUUAUUCCAUUUGAGUUACCAAUGGGCAUGACACAUACUUGUAGUCUACAUUACCCGGUAUCUUGGUGGGAACAAUUAUGAGUAUUGGAGUUAUGGAUUAACAAUAUAGAAUUUGUACAACACAUCUCUUGAUGGGUUUUCGGUACUUGAUCAUAGAAUUCUCUGGCCAGAGUGUGUCAACAUAUUUAGUAUGUUGAAAAUGAUCAUUAGAGAAAACCAGUAAGGAUCAAGGAAUAAGAUGUUAUUAAAUUGAUUGGACAGUUGAGAUAUCAAUUUAAUUAACGAUGUGGUACAAAGGAUUGUGCAGUAAAGAAAUCAAUGUGGCUUGGGACGAAUUAUUAUUCGAGCAUACAAUUAUGGAAGUCAGUUCCAAUCUUUUAGUGGAGUAGAUUUGGAAUUAAAUAAUUAGGCUAGUUUAAUUACAGGUAGGGAUGGCAAUGGGGAGGGGAGGGGAGGGGACCAAUCUCCCUAUACCCAUCCCCGAUAUUUUAUUAUGUCCCCGUCCCCUCUCCGUCCCCGUCAGAAUUGCUUAAGUGAAUCCCCAUCCCCUCCCCGAAUAAUAACAGGGGAUCCCCGAGGGUCCCCGGUUCCCGAAUAAUUAAUAGUCUAAUACAUUUUUUUUUAUUUUCGAUUUUAAAUUAAUCAUAUUAAAAUAAAAAAUUCAGAUAAAAAUAAAGUUCAAAAUAUAUCUUGCAUUAAUAUUGAUCAAUUUCAAAGUCACAUUCAAAAUAUAAAUUAUUAAAAUAAUUAUCUUUGUCAAUGACUCAAUCUUCAUAAUCCUACAAUAAAAAGAAAAAAAAUUAUUUUUAUAUCGGUAAUAAAAUAAAUGUAGAUACUUAAUUAAUAUUUUUAAUAAAACUAUUUACUUCCUGCUCCUCCUGUUCUUCCUCGAGAAAUGUGGCAAAUUGAGAGUUAGCCUCAGAUUUCAAACCUAAAACAAUGAAAAUGAUAUGAGUAACGUAACUUAUAAGCGCAAAUAUUAAUAACUGUAUAAUAUAAUUACAAUGUAAAAUAAAUUCAUACUGCUAUUGUAAGCUCGUAACCAACUUUAACAGCACAUUAAGGCCUCCAAUGUGCUUGGAUGAAGUUUGUUACGGUGUGGGCUCACAAUUCUAGCACUAGUGCGAAAAGCUGAUUCAGAAGCAACUGUUGUAAUUGGAAUUGCCAAAAUAUCUCUAGCAAUUCGAGCUAAUGUAGGAUACAAAUUAGGAUUAGAACUAUUGUAAAUUAUAAUUAGGCAGCUCUCUCCUGUAUCAUUGUGGUUUGGAUUAAAAAUUUAAGACUUUAAUUAGUUAAUUAAGUUUAAAAGUUUAAUAAUAUAACUAUUUUAAUAUUUAUUAUUUUUAACAAUAUUUAUAAUUUUGUUAUUUAUUUAUUAGUAAUUUUAAAAAUAAAAAUAAAAAUAAAAAUUAAAAUGGGGAAAUGGGUAGGGGAUGGGGAUUCCACCUCAUCCCCGUCCCCUCCCCGAAUAAAAAAUUGGGUAAAAAAUUUUCCCCGUCCCCUCCCCGAAUAAAAAAUUGGGUAUAAAAUUAUCCCCGUACCCUCCCCGAAUGGGGAAAAUCCCCGAGGGUACCCGUCCCCGUGGGGAUUUUUGCCAUCCCUAAUUACAGGCCUAAUUAUUGUAGCCACUAUUGUAUGUUCCCAAAUGAUCCCCGGGUUAGCUCAUUUAAUUGAUUGCACCACUGCUGGACUAAUAAGCAAGAUAACUAGCUAUUUGGGCCAAAAGCCUAAAUAUAUCAUUUAGUGGGAGGCUCCAUUUAAUAAGCUUAUGUGUAAGGGGCCUUAUGUUAUUUUACAUGGUGGGUCCCCUAUUAAAUGAAAAGUAACGUGAGUUUUAUUUUGGGGAAUCCUUGGAGCCUAGGGUUUUCACUAAAGGGAGAUAUAUAAGGCUUAUUUUCCCAAAAAAGAAAAAGAGAAGCCACUUUAUACAGAUCUGAGAAAAAGAUUUUUCUCUCCAUUGUUGAGAGAAAAAUUUUCUCGUGCUAGUUGCUUUGGUAGUGAUAAAGGCGCCCACACGUCAAGUGCAGAUCGAACCUGAGUCAUAACCUGGAAGAUCAUUGGAAACAGUUCGUGAUCUAACAAGCGUGGUGGUGACGGAUCGUGAUCUAACAGGAGUGGUGGUGGUGGAUCGUGAUCUAGGAGCCUAAAUCACUUCAGCGGUAAAAGCCAACUCAGAUUUUCAAGGUACGAUUUCUAGAAUACAAAUUCUUAUAUAUUAUAUGAGAGCGAUCUUCAAAAGGUUUUAUAAAAAUUCAAAAACCUAAUUUUUCCCCAACAUUUAUAAGCAUUGAAAAUUAGCUCAUUAAAUUUGAAAGAAUAAUAUACAAUCUCACUGUUGGCCAGAAAAUAAUAGAAGAACUUGUGAACAUAUAUAAUCAAUUGCUUAUUACUUAAGCUUUUUCUCCGUUAUUUUGAAUGGGUGCAAAGGAGAGAAGUUUUGUACCCAAAUCCAACCCGAAUUGUGUAGGCUGCUUGCAAGAGCUUCAUUAGAUUUUUAUUUGUCUUUUAACUUAACUUCCUUCGUGGUUAAAAUUGUAAAAACAAAUGCGGUUUUAAUAGAAUUAUUGAGGAGUGCCAAUAGUGCUACUCAAUAAAUACAACUAUCUGUCUUUUUUGUUACUGGACUAUAGAUCAAUUGACAGUUGAAGUUAUAUUAAUUUGUUGUACUGGAAUUGAAGCUUGUAUCUUAGCCAUUUCGUGAAGUGUCAAAUAUAUUUUUAAUUUCCUUAAAAUUGUUCAAAAUAUGUUUACACUUUUAAAGUCACUAUUAUACAUGAGUGCCCUAAAAUAAGAGAAGGCGAUUUGCCUGACAUUACCUGUUUCCUGUCAAAUCUAGCAGGUUUACUGAUUAGAUUUUAACAAGUCUCUUGGCAAAGUUUGCUAGAAAUGGAAUCAAAUUAUUCUAUUUAAUCUUACUGUAUAUACCCUAAUAGUUCUUGGUUUGCAUCACUGCAUCGUUCUAUAAUCUGUGUGCGUUGGCUUAUAAGGGCUAGCAAGGCUGACCGUUCGUAGCAUAGUUUUUUUUUUUUUUUUUUUUCCCACAAUGAAAUUCCCAUUGAUUUGACUCAGUAUUUAGAGGUGUUAACGAGGGCACUAUACUAGACAUGGAUUUCUACCUCUUUUGGUUGUACAAUUGUUGUAAUCCUUGGCCAUCAAAUCAUUUUUACGUAGCUUUCUCAGAGUUCAUGCCAAGUGUACAUUAAUGUAUUUAUGUUUUGGGUGCAAGUGGGAUUCUAGUUCUCUAUGGCAGUUGAAGAGGUAAAUGGGCAUAGAGCUAUGCUCUAUCAUAGGCUUCGGCCACUACAAGAAAUUUAAUUUUUUAAGACGAUAUUUUUUACAACAACUUUAAAUUUGGUCACAAAAUGAUAUUUAUUGUGACAAAUUUUUGAAAUCGUAGCUAAUAAUCUUGUCCUAACUUAUAUUGUUUUUUGUAACCAAUUGUUUUUAUUUUGAGACUUGUUCAUAUAUUGGUCAUUAAUUAAAUUUUUUUAUGACAAAAAUUAUUUUAGUCACCAAAAGAUAUAAUUUUUUGGCACAAAAUCUUCUCUCCAAAAGUGAUUAUUUUGAGACAAUAUUUCACUAUUUAUGACAAAAUAAAUAGUCACGAAAUAUAAUUAUAGGCGACCAAAUUAUUUGGUAACUAAAAGAGGGGUGUAAAAUUGACUAAACAAUCUAUGACACAAAAUAUUAGUAGCCAAAAUUAUUGUUCUUUUGGCUAAUUUUAAGACCAUUUUUUUGUCAUAUAUAAUUACCUACAGUGAUAAAAUUAAAAAAUAGUCGUUGAAUGUUUUGUCUUGAAUAAUUUUAUAUUUGAUAACCAAUUUUUUUUCUUUUUGAGACAUAUUACUUGGUCCCUAUUUCAACUUCUUUUUGACGAACUUUAUAAUAGUCACAAAAGACUUUUUUUUUUUUUUUGGGCAUAAAAAGUCUGUCCAAAGUUAGCUCUUUUGGGACAAUAUAUAAUCUUUUAUGACAAAAUAUAUAGUGGCGAAAUAUAAUUAUUUUUUACAAAGUUAUUUCGUAGCUGAAAAAGAGGUGUAAAUUUAGUUAACCUAUUUGUGACAUAAAAUAUUAGUCUCCAAAACUAUUAUGCUUUUAGCUAAUUUUAAGACCCUAUUUUGUUGUCAUGGAUAAUUACCUAUUUUAAAAAAAACUAAGAGAUAGUAAUCAAAAGUUUUGUCUUGAUUGACAUUGUAUUUUAUGAGCAAAAUAUUUUGUUUCAGUGACACUUUACUUGGUCUCUCAUUAGAGUUGUUUGUGAUGAUCAAUAGAAUUAUAUAAUAACCACUAAAUUUUUUUGGGUUAAAUUUUUAUAGAUACUAUUAAUUAAGUUGUUGACGAAAAUGAUCAACCAAUACUAAUAUGGAAUACCAUCAACAGCCGUAAUACUUAUGAAGCGAGAAAUUAUAAUAUGUAGUGAAAAAGUUUUCACAGUAGUCCCUAGUAUUUAGAAUUAUUUUGACUUACUUUAUUUACUUCCAAAACAUAAAAUUCUCAACCCAAAAUUCCCCGCAUUGUGUUUUAUUUUGUCUCCUCACUCAGUUAAGAGUAACUCACGGCUUGACAAAAAAAAGGAAAAAAAUUCUCACAGCUUGAUGUUCUCCUCUCUUUAAAAAUAAAAAUCCCUAGUUACUAUUUGUUUCCACCACCAAAGCAGCCACUCGUAUCUUUUAUUAAGCAUAAUAUUUUUCUUAAAACCUAAUUGAUCAUUCUUUAACGUCUCCAGGAUUAUAUAUGGCUCGCUAUUUUUCUCCUUCAAUUGAAUAGAAGUCUAGAAUUUUUUUUUUUUUCGCAAUUCACUUUUGCUGUGUUUCGUGGUUUGGACGGAGAUCAUGUCAAUAAUUGAACGAUGGGGAUAAAUAUCAAAGAAGGAGCUUACAUGCCCUAUAUAUCUCUCUUUGGAUGAAUAACGAUGGUGAGCUUUCAAAGUACAGAGAUUUACAUGUUUUAAUUGUCAUUUACAUUGCUGCAUGCCAAUUGUUUGAUAAAAUAUCGCAACAAAUACGCAUUCUCGAUUUUCUCAUAAAUUUAUUUUCUUAGUCUGAAAAAAAUUGAAUGUUUAGAGAAUUUUGAAGGUUUUGGUGUAUGUAUUAAUAUUUUGAUUCUAGCCUCAUUUUGCCCCUUGUUGUUUUUAUUCUUGUUUUUUAUAUACGGUUCAAGUGUGAUACACUUUAGUUUUUCUCAACUGUUUGUUAGUUUUUCCCGAAGCAAAAUUUGUCAGACUUUGAGUUCAAAAGUUGAAAUCAUAACUAACAUACUUCGAUUUUUUAUUUUCCUUUUUUCUUCGGUGUCUUUCUAUAUGGCAUUGCUUGAGAAAUUGGUGUACUUAGAUCGUAAUAUUCUGUAGAAAUAAGCCAAUAUUUCAUUGGGUACAUUGUUUAAUAUGAUAAGUACUGUAUGGAAGUUUUACAGAUAAGCUCCUUAUAUAUUAUGCAUUAUGUUUUUAUCAUAUUGUUGCUUGGAACUUUGAAGGAUUGGCCACAGGGCUUUAGUCCUACAUGGACAUUUUAUAUUUAAUAGCUGGUUAGGCAUUUUAUUUGAUGUUAUUUGGACUUGUAGGUCUUAAAAGUUUUGUUCAAUAAUUUUAUAAAGCUUAAUUUCAUAGGUGCUGAUUAGGCAUUUCACGAGGAAAUAGCUGUGCUUUUGGAAAUUAAUAUGCUGUGUUGUCAAUGUUGUGUAAAAUCCUUUUAUUGGUGUCUAUGUAAAGUGUUUCAGAUUUCAGACCUGAGAGUUAAUCUUCGCGUACCAGUUGGCUUUUGGGUUUAGUAUUGCUGCUUUUAACAUAUUUGACCUAUGGCCCAAAUCAUUUCUAUAGGGCGAAGCAUAUGAAUGAUACAUAUUAUCUUUUUUUGGCCUUAUGUAUUGUUAUUUGCACGGUGAUUUGGUCUAGCUUAAGAGCUUAAGCUUGCAGGUUGGAUUUGUCUGACAGGGAACAAUUUAAUUUGUUCAUCGUGAUGUUUAUAUCCAUUUUGUACUACUAUCAAUUUCAAUCAUGCCUAAUUUUUAUAUGUAUUUCUCGUGGACUCUCAGGUUCAGUGCACAAGAGGAUGAAGACGAUGGACACCCAAAUUUGAUGUGGAGAACAACUAUUGCAAAUGGUCCUUGAUUUACUUCUCCAAUUGACUUGAAUUGGUUUUACGCAAUUUAUAGUGUAUUUUUGUCAUCUUUGUAUGACUUGCAGGUCGUCCUGAUUUGGUACAUGACUGGACACAGGAAUUGGACUCAUAUUUUUCAAACCAGAAUGCCAACAAUCAAGGAUUUUCUUUUGAAAGCACUGGCGUCUUCUUCAAUGCCAAAAAGGUUAGAGAUUUUCUGUAUCCUGUUUUGUAUUUGAUCAGUUUAGCAUGUGGGUGGCAAUCAAGAAAAGUUAUUAUAACAUUUUUGUGUUCCCGAAAAACUGCUGAUGAUGUGUGACUUCUUUUUAUUUGUAUUCUUUCUUUUUUCUUUUCUCCCCAACAGUAUUAUGCAUUUCGAAGAGCUUCUUGAAGUUGAUUACCAUGUAUGCCACUUUCUUUACUCUAUGCUCAGGAUGUGAUUUUGCCAAGCAUUAAAAUGGUUUAGGUCAGAACCAUCAUCUAAAGUUUACUUAAAGUUGACGGAUUAAUUCCUUUUAAUAAUGGUCGAGUUAAUUUUACUAUACUCAUAAAACUAUUCUUAUUCUGAUAAUGCCACAAAUGUUAUGAUGUUUUCUUCAGCUAAUGAUCUUCUAUCAGGACUAGUUAGAAAUCAAAUGCUUAAAACACCGAUUGAAUGAAUAAUGCAGAAGUUUAAACAGUAUCUAAUUGAAAAUUGCAUGAAACAUGAAACAUCAAUUCAAGUCCUUCCUUAAACAGAGAAUGCAUCAAACAAAUCCAAAGUGUCUUGCAUGUCUGUAGCAUGACAAAAAAGUUGCAAAUGCGUUUAGAACCAAAUUAUUCAAGUACAGGAGAACGAGCAAGUUGAAUCAUGUACACGAGAUUGGCCUGGUUUGAGAUAGCUUCUUCACUGUACCUGAAGGGUUGGCUCAAUCUUUUCUUUAGAAUUCUGCACAUUUUGUAAUUACUCGUGUAAGCAAGCAUACAUUACAACCAUAAUAAUAAUAAAGCAAGAGUAAUGAUACGACCACCACCUCUUGUACACAAACAAUAUUGUAUAAACUAAUACGACAUAAUAUGAUUGGUUGAACAAAAACAUUACAUGGCCCUCAUAAUUUAUUUAUUUAUUUAUUAUUAUAUAUUUUCAGUCAACCAAUCAUAUUAUAUCACAUUAGUUUCUAUAAAAUAAUUUUCUAAAUAGCACCAAAACUUAAUUGAUACUCACCAUUUCAUUGAACAAUUUUUUUAUGGUGUCAUUGAGGUUGCCUUCCCAACAUCCUUCAUCAUCAUCUUUUUCUUCUUCGGUGACGUUCACUUUGUUUAGCAUUGGUGUGUCUAAGACUCCUUGAGAGAAGAUCUUCAUUUUUGGACACUGUCUCACAACUACUUGUUUCAAGGACGGGAAUUCAAGAGCGUAAUUACCUAAACAAAAGCUUGUUAGGCUUGGCAAACAAUCAAGUCCCAAGUACUUUAAUUCCUUGAAAACAAUGCAAUCUUUCGCUUCUUCUGCAACCGGCGACUGUAUGAUUUCUUCUAUCCUUUUGCAAUCAGCUAUCGUCAUACUUUGAAGAAUUAUCAGACUUCUAGAUGUUGAGAGCGUCAACAAAUUUAUCAACCUGUGACACUUCGAUACUUUCAAAGCCUCAAGAUUUUCCAAAUGCCACGAAGCUGGUACUAAUUUCUGUAACUUACUACAUUCAAAUAUUUCUAGACUUUUCAAGUUUGCAAACGCUUUGUUGGAUUCGUCAUUUUCCUUCCAGAGAUGCUGCACUUUGUGUAAUCUAGAUAGCUUUAACUCCUUCAAUUGAGGGAAUGUAAGCUGAAAAUCAACAAAAUUAAGUUGUAAAUGAAAAUAUGUAUCCAAUCUCUGCAGUAUUCCCCUGCAUAUUUUAUGGACAAGAUUAAUCACGGCAUUUUAUAUUUUAUUUCCAAAUUAGUAUGCUUUGCAGUAGGAUCCCAAAUAUAAGUAUCAAAUCGAUUACCCUUUGAAACACAUAAAUGAAAUCUGAUACUAAAUCCAAUAUGAAUUAGCUAGGAAAACAGAGAUGCGACAAGCAUAAUUGAUAUAGUUCAUCACCUCAUGUUACCAGUCAUCGAAAUAAUUUAAGACAUUUUUUUAAUUCAUACUAUAAAGUUAGUUCAUAACUGUAGUUGUAUUGUUAAUUCAUAUAUGAAUCAAGAUGACAUGCAAAAAGAUGAGUCAUAAAAUUUGAUUUGAUUCUAAUGAAAUUACAUCUGUGCAAACAAAAGUGAAGGGGAAAAUAAAAAUAAUAAUAAUAAUCACCUUUUCAUCGAAGAGGGGUUGUACUUGAUGAGCCAGCAAAAAGUUCUCUUCUGAUGUUAAUUUUUGAGGUUCCUUGUUAUUUGUUGUCACAUGCACUACCGAGUUGGAUAUGAAUGUUUCCAUAUCAGGGCAAUUCUCAAUAGUUAGAUUCUCCAACUCAGACAGUUCAAUUAUAUUCCCAGUGAAGUUACAGAAUCUUUUGAGUUUUGGAAGAUCAAUAAGCCUUAGUCUGUUAAGCCUAGGAAACCGGGGGCCUAUAUGUUCUUCCUUAGCAUUUAGCUCUUCUAAAUGAAGCACCUCUUCUAUUAAAUCACAAUUCCUCACUUCCAGGCAUCUCAAAUUGUUCAAGCAACGUAGCAGAUUGGUAGGAAUAGCACUCGACAUAUUCGUGCAGUCAUCCACAGCCAGUUGUCGUAAAUUGUUGAAGAAGCUGACAGGCACUGCUUGGCCGUGCCAUAUUUCUCUCAAGCGUGGAAAAUGUGAGAGUUGCAAAUGCUCUAUGUCACGGAAUCCAAUCUGCAUAAACCAAAACAAUUGCACUGGAUAUAUAUAAAUUUCUUUUUUUGAAAGGCAUUAGAUAUAUAUAUACAUUAAACUUACAUGUUUUGUGCUAUAACUUCUAAAAAUAUAUUUACAACGCAUGUGUAUAUGUUUAAAUGUGGUAUAGUGGAAUUAAGCUUAUUGCCAUUACUUCGAAGUGGUGUUCGUAACACCAUUACUUCGCAAAGUGAAUCGAUAAACACAUACCAUUACUUGGANNNNNNNNNNNNNNNNNNNNNNNNNNNNNNNNNNNGCCUUCCCAAUGGUGUUCACCCUCUUCCCUUUCAGUCACUUGCACUACGUAUAGCUUUGGUGUGGAUGAGAUUCCCCGAGAAAAAGUCUUCAUGUUCGGACAAUGUGUCAUAGAAACUUGUUCCAAUGAUGGGAAUUCAAGAGUGUAAUUCUCCAAACAAAAGCUGGUAAGCCUUGGUAAAUCAUCAAGUUCCAAAAGUUUUAAUUCGUUGAAAGCAAUACGAUUCUCCUUCGCUUCUUCUCCAACAUGUCCUAUGAUUUCUUCUAUUUUUGCACAGUCUGAUACAUCAAGAUUCACUAGACUAUUGGGAAUUCCAACCUGAAAUAAAGAGUAGCAUUCAACUAGAUCAAAGUAUGUCAAAAUCAUACAAUUGUUUUAUGAAAAAUAACAAUUUUGAGGAAUUGAAAGAUAACUAAUUUAAUUUUUUUUUGGAAAGACUAAUAAUGAAUGAAUUAAUGAUUAAAUAAUAUUAUUAGUUAUAUCUAUUUAAUAUUAAUGUUAUCAAAUAUAGAUUUUUCAUAAAAAAUAAUUCUUAACUAUAUAAUUAAUAAUUAGAGAGAUGUUAAUAAGCUUUUUGAUUUCCUAAAAUACGUAAUUUAAAAAAAAUUAGAAUUAUUAAAAAAAUUCAAAAAAUGAGGCCUUCACAAAAUAUGGGACCUUAGGCGACCGCCUUGUUCGCCUAUACCUAAAGCCACCCCUGCAUGGGACUGUAAUAGAGUGAAUAUUUGAGGAAAUUUUUUAAUCAACGGUCGACUCAAAAUGACCAUCAUGAAUUUGUGCUUAAUCAAUGGCGUAAUCAAUUCAUAACUAAACCAGAGAUAUUAACUACAUUUGAACACUUUUCUUUAUUUUUUAUUUUUAAAUCGAAAUCUAAAGACCCAAGGAAAAGAGAAAUAUAUAUGAAUUUGUGAACUUAAAAGCUGAGUAACUAAGUAUCUUUUAAUUUCUGAAAAUCUUAUUUAUUAGGAUAUAAGAAAAAAAAACAAUUAAAUUGAAUUAUAUUAUGCUGUUAAAUCGUGUUUAAAACAAUUACUUUAAUGCAGGUGAACCUAUAAAUUAGAUUGAAAAUGCAGAGUUCAGAAUGGUGAUUUGAAGUACACUACUUUUUUGCCCUCCAGAAGUUUGAAGUAAAAUACUUGCAAUAAAUAAUUUGUGAAUGAAAAUUAUUUGUAAACACAAAAAUGAUUAAAAUAAUUGUUGAAUGUUACUUGAAAUAAAAAUUCAAAAUGAAUAUAGCAAUCUUACCAAUGGAGGAAAAAUAUUCAGUAGAUUAUUACACCCAGAUAUCUUCAAUUUUUUCAAUUUGCUAAAAGACUUCGAAGCAAGCUGGUGGUGCCAUAUUUUUCUCAACUUAUCCGCCUCACUAAUAUGUAAUACCUCCAGACUUGGGAGUCGUACCUGAAGUUAAAAAUUCAAUGCAAUUAGAGAUGUAUAUUAAUUAAAUUUGAAGACUCAACGAAAAGAGAAUUUAAAAAUUCAAUGAAAAAAAACCUUUUCAUCAAAGAGGGAUUGAGGUUGCAUUUCAGUGUGAAUGACGUCUUCUGGUGAGGCAAAGCUACUUAGUUUUGGAAGCCAAUGGAGCGACAGGUAGUGUAGUUUGGGAAAAACCUUAAAUUCAUCUCUUCCUCCUAACGUCGUGGUGUUGACUACCCCUUCAAUUGACCGGCAAUUACGAAUCUCAAGAUGUUGGAGUUGCCCAAGACUAUUAACCAUAGAAUAUGAAAACAAAUACUUCAGACGAUGACAACUCCACACGGUCACUUUUGUUAAAUUUUGACAACAAUAUAUUCCCUGAAAUUGAUCGGACCAUAAUUUUUUGAUAUUUGUUAAACUGACAAGUUCCAGUUCCUCCAAGCGUGGAAAAGUAACCUGCAAAGAAAAACCAUACAUUUUUGUUCUUUCAACUACAACUUCUAAUAUAAUAUUCUUUCGAUGAUUGAAGAUCAAUCGUGAUAAUAUAUUAAUUAAUUAAUUAUUAAACAGAAAAUUAUUACCUGGUGAACAGGAUCAUCCUCUGCAUUGAUUUCUAUGAAUCCCUGAGUUGUUGGUGGUUUCUCCAUGUCGGGCCCUAUAAAUGAACCAAAACAAUAUACAAUAAACAUCCGUUGUUUUUUUCACCAAAAAAAAAAAAAAGAAAAAAAGAAAGAGUCAAUGUCAAUAAUCCUACCAAUAAUUAAUUUCAACACUUACCAAUAAUCAUUUUCAAAUCAUCGCAGUCUUCCACUUUUACUUUUUGAAGCCGCAAUAGGUUUUUGGCCAUAGAGAAUGAGAAGAGAUACUUCAAUUUUCGACAGGAAUCUACGUUUAUAAUCCUUAAGUUGCUGAAGGAUUGAUCUUCUCUGAGUUGGCUGUAGCAUAUCGUCUCCAAAUUAGUUAAAAACAUAAGAGACAAUGCCUCCAGCAAGGGAAAGACUUCGCAACGAACCCGUCUAACUGAACCGACAAUAUGUAAAAUCUCAGAACAGUCUGUUACGAGAAGACGCUUCAAUCGUGGAAAACCUUCCCCAUCGUCUAAUUCAUGAACAACACUUUGAACACCCUCCAAUGUUUCUAGCCAGAGAUCUUCAGUUCUCUGCAGCAACAUUUUUGUCCCAUCAUUCUCCUUAAGAAUGCUAACUUUUUUUAUCCCCUUGAGCAUCAUCAAUCUUGAUGCUUCGGAUUUGACGAGCAAUGGGUCAAACUCAUCUUCGGGCCCAUCUCCUAUACGUAUCUUAUAUCUUUGCAAUUCCACAGAGACAAAAUCCGGCGGCAGAAUUUCGGCAUCCGGAACUUCUAUCUCCAAAGUAGUUAGCUCUGUCAACCUCUCCAAUUCGACAAGACUGGCAUUACUUCCUCCUUCAACCUUCUCCCACCCUGAAAAACCGUUACCCAUAUACAAUUCUUCUAAUUGAGAUAAUUUUGAUAUGACAUUCGGUGCUAUCACCUCAAGCCACCAACAAUUGCUCAAAUCUAGCAAUUGUAACCGCGUCAAUUGUCCAAUUUCAACUGGUAGCUGGUUGAUAUUGGAAUAUGCGAGGCUGAGAAUCUCUAAUUUCUUUAGUUGUCCAAUUGCCGCUAUAUCUGCUAGUUCGCACCAGUCUAAACACAAUGUUUGAAGGUUAAUGAGGCGACCAAGUGAUGAAGGUAAUGAAGAAGAGCCAAUUCCAGGAAACUGUAAAACUUUGAGUCCUUCCAUCCCUUCAAAAAAGUGGUCUGAAACUUGCAUAGGGCCAUUACCCUCCGUAUACAACAAAAAUAACUGGAGAUUGGGACAUUGCAACCUUUCAGGGAGCUCUUGAAUAUCUCUAUGAGGUAAUGAAAUAGCAAUUGGAUCUUUCUGUAUUGUCUCUUCCAUCUUUUUCUCCAAGUCAGCAACAUUUGGAACAUUAAACAUGCGCUCCUCUGUGGCAAUUGAUACGGCAACAACAUGAAUGACGUCAUGCAUUUUAACUUCAUCUUCAGCAUCACCGUCCAACAAUAAGCAUGAAGAUUUGAGGUUGUCGAUCAACCGAUGCACUCUACUCCUUGCUUCUUCCAAUGUGUAAACAUUUUCAAACAAACCCCAACCCACACCAUAUCUCAAUAAGUCAGAAACUUGUAUGACAUUACCUUCACUGUAUAGACUACAAAGACGGAACAGAGAUUUUGCCUCCUCACUUUCCAAGAAGUCAUAACUCAAUUUUAUGGAGGUGUACACAUUUGCUUGCAUGCCAUGAAUUUCUCUAGCAUCCGAUCUUCUUAGCUGAUUCAAUGCAUCUUUCCAAAAGUAACGCUCUUUAGUUUUCAGAGCAUUUGCAACUGUACUCAGUGCAACAGGCAAACCUCCGCAUCUUUCAACGAUCUCAUUUGCUAUACUUUGAAAAGCAGAUAUUUUAGUUGAAUCACCCAAUAUCUUUUCAAAAACUGCAAUGCUUCUUUUGGUGGCAAAGCAUCGAUCGGGAAAUUUUUCUGAGAAUUCAUAUCAAUGCGCAAUAAAUCUCGACUUCUAGACGUCAAUAUUAUUGUGCAUCGUCUCUGAUCAUCCUUUGUAUCUUUCUCAUCAACAUCCCCACAAGGAAUUCCAACUUUUUCGAACUCGAGUUUUUUCCAAAUAUUAUCCAAUAUAACGAGGACCUGCUUCUCGUUCUUCAAUCUUUCACGUAAUCGAUCUGCUCUUUCGAAUUUAUUCUCAUCCGAGCCAAAUUUCAUGCCUAAGUCAAAAGCAAGUUUCUUUUGAAUUUCCUGAUGAUCUGGGGUCUGUGUUACCUCAGCCAUAACGACCUUAUCGAACACCUUAUCUUCCAUAACUUGCCUUGCAACUUGCUUGACUAGCGUGGUUUUACCCACGCCGCCCAUCCCGCAGACCCCAAUUAUCUUGAGCUUAUCAUCCUUCAACGCCUCCACAACAUCUUGAAAUACUUUCAUUCUUGAAUCAAAGGCCUCGAAAUCUUUCACUUGCAUAUGUUCUGCCCGCUUUGGAGCAGGACGGUAGGAAACAUUAGAGAAGUUACCUUUUCCCAUGAGACUAGCAGCAGCUUCUGCGGCCUUUGCUGCUUGUCUACUGAGCUUGUAACGAGAAAUCAAGUUUGGGCACAAUCCUUUGAAACAGAACUUCUUAGCUCUAUCUUCAUCAUCAGUGAUGGAUUUCGCAGCUCCCUGAGUGAAUUCCUUGACGCUAUUAAGCCAGUCUGCAACAUCCUUAUAAAUCUCAUCUCCUUGUUGAGUAGCCUGAUGAACGGGUAUUUCCACCCUUUCUCUUUUAUAUCCCAACUGUUUCACUUGAUCUUUUAGGCCAUCUAUGUAGCUCUGGUACUUGAACACAUAAGAGAUCUGCCGUAUAAUCGGUUUGAACAGUGACUUUGCAUCUUCUGAUACGAUGCUGGAAAAAGCAGCCAGACCCACUUCUACAACCAUUGCCUGUUGCUUAACAAUAUAUGUAUAUAUAUGAAUAAAAUGAAUAAAAAUGUCAAAGAAAGGAAUACAAAUAAAUUAAAAUGAACUAGAGGGAAAGACAGAGAAAGAAAAGACCGCAAACAACAUCGCGAUAUUGAUUUUGAACCAACUGAUACCUAAGUAGAGAAUUUCUUUUUCUAUCUUAAGGAUCAGAGGUUUCGCUAUUAACAGAAAGGUAUCCUUUAAGGAAAGUUGAUGGAAAUUAAGAAAGAAUGGCUAUCAAGAUCAAGUAUUCUGCUACUAAAAAUAAAUGAUAUGACUUAAGAAAAGUAAAUGAUAUGAUUAAGAAAAACCAGAGAAUUUUUUCCUAGGAAAGUUGAUGGAAAUUAAGAAAGAACCGCUAUGAAGAUCAAGUAUCAGAGAUUCUGCUACUAAAAGAAUAUUACAGGUUUUAGAACAAGUGCACCUCUUUACCUGUCUGGGAUCAGAGUCGAUGAGCUGCUGUAUUCACCUUGAAUAUAGAAGAAAUAUUACAGGUUUUGACUAAAGAGGAAUGUGAGGAACGAGUUGAUGAGAGUAAUAACAAUGAAUUUCCAAAAGAAGACGACUUGAGCAUUAAGCAUGCACCCCCUUUAUCAAUCAAAUAUUGGUACGUAUGUACGUAGGGACCAUUAUGCGUAUAUGAAGUCCAUUAGUUGCAAUCAGAAACCCUGGCCCAAUUUAAUUGGCACUCGAUUUUUGAUAAGAAGAAGGCAAGGAUAAGGACAAAGUCAAUCAAUCACCAACAGUAAUUACUUCAAUCUUUGUCAAUCUACUUAAAUUGUCGAUCAACAUGAAAAUUGUUUAAAUUGAUAUUUGUAAAUCAAUCAAUUUUCUAGUUACUAUGAUUAUAACGUUUCACCUUUCAUAUUGGAUUUUAUCUUUUCGAAAGUUUUCAAAUAUGAGUGUCAAUAAUUAUUGAGACUCCAAGCCGUGCUCUCAAGAUCGUGCUGACAAAUCACUAUUGACUUUGUUUAUGCAAAAUUCAAAGAAAAAAAGUUAUGGUUUUGUAUUGCCAGCCCUGCUACUUUUUGUUUUUUUCAUUUGUAUUAUUUACGAAUUAUUUUUUAACAGAAACAUGAGAACUCAUCAUCGUACAAAAUUGCAUGAAAAAAUCUUCAAAUUUAUAAAAGUAAAUUUCGUUGACAGAUUGUGGAUAUGUUAGAAAGAAUAAGGAUAAGAAUGAGUUAAGAAAUAAUAUAUAUAUAUAUAUAGAUAGAGAGAGAGAGAGAGAGUGAAAGUAAACAAUGUUUUGGUACAUUUGGUAUUGUUUUCAAAAUAUUUUGAAAAGAAAAAUUUUCAAUUAUCCACCUAGGAAUUAUCUUAUUAUCCAAAAAGUUAUAAAAAUUUAAAAAUAUUUAAUUUUAUACCCAUUAUUACAAUGUGUAUCAACUGUUUACUAAAAAAAUAAAGUUACUCCUAAAACAUAAUCACCACUACAAUUUUGUGUUCGCUUCUAUUUUGUCACUUUGAACGAAUAACUUUAUAUUUUUAACAGAUGUUUCAUACAAAUUGCAUACAUUGGAUGUAAAAUUAAAUAAAUUUAAAUUUUUAUAAUAAUUUUAAUAAUUGAAUAAACUUUGAGUAAAUGACUGAUAAUUUCUCUUUUAUAAGCUACAAGAAGUUAAAAAGAAAAAAGAAAAAAUAGGAUGAUAAUUUCUCUUUAAUAUGCCUCAGAUGAUUUAUUGUUUCGGGUCUAAGAUUUUAAAUAUUCAACUUAAAAGAUUAAUAUAUUAUAAAUUAAUUAAUUAAAUAAUCAUUAAGCAACUAAAUUGGGUCCCCUGGAUGUCAAUUCCUUUAUUAUUGACGCAACUAUUUUUUUAUGGCAAAUAAUUAUUAAUGCACUUACGGAACUUUUGCAUAUCUACACAGCGAUUUUAAAUAUUACUGGUAACUGCUGAGAAAUGUGCGAGAAAGAAGUUGAUGAGAGUAAUAACAGCGACUUGCAAAAGGAAAAGACAGAAUCAUUCAGACAUUCACCCCUUUUUGUAUCACGUACUUGGUUACUGUUUCCCUGUUGACGCAUGUAUAAAUUUGAGUGAUUUUUCUGCACUUUUUUGGCUGUUGCUUAACAAUGUGUGUGUGUGUGUGUGUGUGUGUAUUUGCUGUUGAAAAAUUUGGAUUCAAAUAAAUUAACUGAAAGAUUAGAGUUUUGACUAUUAACUGAAAGGUUUCAAGGGUAUGAAUGAAAAGCAACAUUCUUUUUUAGAAACUAUUUUAGAGGAGAGAUGCAAAUUAACAAAUGCUAAUAACAAGAACACAGAAGUUAACAAUGAACAGUAACUUAAAUCAAGAAAAUUAAAUGACAAAAUUAAGACAAAUAGGAGAUAUUUUUUCGUGGACGUUAAGAAAUAACUGCUGUCAAGAAUAAGGAGAUUAUGCUAUUAAUAGAAAUUAUCAAAGGAUUUAGGACAAGUUCACCUCUUUAAUUAUCCGGGAUCAGAUAGUUGAUGAGCUUCUCUAUUUGAUCUUGAAUAUUUAAGAAUAAUUUUAAUGAGCAAAAAGAUCACUGGUAACUGCUGAAAAAUAAGUGAGAAAAGAGUUGAUGAGAAUAAUAACAAUGAAUUGAAUAAAAAAAGGACUUAAUCAUGCACCCCCUUUGCAUAUCAUGUAUAGAAUAAUUACAUGUAUUAUUAUAAUUUUGGGUUCGAUAUCCUUGUAUUAGUGUCUAAGAUUUUCAUGAAGAAUUAAACUUGAAAUGACCAAAAGAGGAAGCUGCGGUGUAUUGUUGGACCCAAUUAAGUUGAAGAAAGCACUAGUUCACAACCUUACGUUUGGAUAUAUUCUAAAGAAAUAAUUAAACAGCAAAUGAUCAUCACAUGCACUUUAAUGAUUUGAUCUAUUGUUUUCAAAAGAAAUUGCAAUUAACAGUUUUUGUCAAAAGUUCGCACUGUGUGAAACUAGUGUUAAUAUAAUUUAAAAAAUUACUUUCAAUAGCAUAUGGAAUAAUUAUAAUAUUAUUAAUACCUAAGAUAUAUUUAUAUUUAUUAUAAAAAAUUCAGUUAAAUAUUUGUGUUAACUAGAAUUUAUAAUUAAUAUAAUAUAUCUUAGGUAUUAAUAAUAUUAUAAUUAUUCCAUAUGCUAUUGAAAAUAAUUUAAAUUUUUAGACGUUUAUUUUCAUAUUAAGUUUUUAUUUAUUAUAAAAUUUAGUUUAAUAUAGUAUAAGCUUGUAAAGUAUUAAAAUAUUUUUUUUCAUAUUUUUUAAAAAUAUUAAAAUUAUUUUAAUAUAUAUAUAUUAACAUUGAAGCCAAUUUUUUGAGUUAAUAGAGCUAGUAGGUGUUACACUAAAAAAGAGUAUCUUAGUAUCUCUUAUUGAGUGGGAGAGCCAAAUGAAUCGAAAAAUUCAUGUUUGGUUCGGGAAGGGAUCAUCGAAGUUUUGAGAUGAAUGGAAAGAUAAUCUACUUUCAUUAAGUGAUUUAUUAGAUAAUCGCAAACUGAGGAUUUUGAAUAGUAUUCAAAAUUCAGAAGAAAUGCAGAGAGGGGCCAUUGAACGGCCGGAAAAAGCCCGGCCCGGUUACAAAAAAUCAAAAUAGAAGCAGAUCAAUAUUGAAAAUAUAUAGAUCUAUAUAAUCAUUUUUUCAAAUAUCGAGAUGUAGCUAUAAAAGAAAAAAUAAAUUAAAAAAUUUUAAAUUUUAAAUUUUAAUAUGGCCAUCGUAGGGUUAGAAUCCCCGCUCCAACCCGAUUUGGAGAUGUGCUUGGUCUAUUUAUGUUUUGGAAAAAGAAAAACCAAAGAAAAAAAAUACGCACCCGACCAAAUCAAGUAACUCAUCAAAUAAAAAAUAAAAAAGGAAAGAAAUUUAAUGACUUGCGUGCAAUUUUGGAUCUGAAAUUAAAAUUACAUAAAAAUUCAGGCUUACGUACCUUGAUAUUUACAGCUUAUUUGAUGGCCUCAACAAGUUUAAGCAGCAUCAAAAUGUUGUGGCUCCUUCAAUGACAACAUCGACUUGUUUGACAGCUCCAACAAGGCUACGAUGAUCAGAAAAUGAGCCCUCAAUCAACCAGCGCCUUGCUCUUUGUCAUUUUUCCUCUUGUUAGUUUUCUUCUACAUAUAAUUAUUACACUGGGAAGUAUACACACACCUCUUUUCUUUUUAUAGUACCUUACUAUUAUAUCUUUACAAAACAAUAUCACCCUAAGACAUAUAUGUAUGAAAUAAAUAUAUAAGGAACUGACGAAAUAAAAUUAGAUCUAACACUAGUUUCAUGUGGUGUGUGAACUUUUGACAAUCCUCUCAUACCCCAACAAAAACUUUGUCAUAUUACGAAAGUUAUCACGACCAUAGACUUUUCAAUUGCAUAUUGGAAUUGCAAUGUCAUUUUAUUAUAGUAAUGUCAUUUCCAUUAUUCAUAGUGGCAGACAAUGGACAUCACGGGACACGGCGAGAAGUUAUCACGACCAUAGACUUUUCUAAUUUAUGAAAUAAAUGAAAUUAGAUCUAAUUCUAGUUUUAAGUGGUGUGAACUUUUGACAAUCCUCCCAUAUCCUAACAAAAGCUUUGUCAUAUUGCGAAAAUACCUUUCCAAUGUUUCAAUUGCAAUGUCAUUGCCAUUAUUCAUAGUGGCAGACAAUGGACAUCACGGGACAUGGCUAGAAGUCUAUGUUACGGCUUAUGUAAGUAACAGUAGCCAAUGGGGAACUUCCACAGGGGCUAUAGGAGAGAGAAAGAGGUCCCAAUACAAGUGUUAGAGUGCAAUUUAUACACUAGUUUUGCAUUGUUUACUUCCCUUAAUAUCAAUGUUUUGCAUUUAAUAAUAAUGAUUUACUUGUGUUUUACUUUUGUAGGUGCAAUUCUAUUGAUUUGUUAUAAAAUUGAGGUAUAAGAUGAUGUUUAAAGAUGAUUGUUCUCUUAGAGAAAUUUAGAGCGUCAGAAGAACUUUAUUGAUAAAGCGUGGGCGCGUGCUGUCAACUGCGGACCUGCAGUUUUUAGUUUAAUGUGUUUUGUAUUUUUGGCUAUUUUUGUAAUUACGAAUUUAAUAUUUCAAAUAUUAGUAUUUUAUUUUAAAUAGAACUCUAAAAGAGAAGAGAGAGAGAGUAUUUAAGGGAGGAAUCUAUUGUGAAAAAGGGGGGAUUUUAAUUGGAGAAAAAGAAAGAAACCCUAGAUCUAAUUUUUCUCUUCUCUCUAUGAAGAACUAAACUUAUUUUUUCUGGUGGAAGGUUAAUGAAGCUUUGAUUCAUCAAUACUGUGAGAUCUUUCUUAUGCUUUAAUUGUUUUAUUACUUUUUGGGUAUUUGUUUAUUCUCUGAAUUUGUUUCAUGAUUAUGUUUGUUAAUUAGGUAAUUGGCCACUAUUUAAUUAUCAACUUAAUCUAUUGUCAAUUAAAGAAUUCAUCGUAUGAAGAGUUUAAUGUUUGUGACAAAUAACAUAGCAGUGAGUUGUGUUAUGGGAAUAAACAAUCUAAUUUAAAUGAAUCAUUAUAUGUGUUGAUUAGGAUUUGGGUCUCUAUGGUUUUUCAGGCUGUCAAUUGAUUAAAUCCUAUGAUCGUAUCUAGGGUUGUCUAUUGAUUAGGGAAAUAUCCAACGGUCGUACCUUGGUUAUCGACUAGUUAAGGAGAGAUUGGCUAUUAGAGGGUCUCAAUAGCUAUAACCGGUCUAUUCAUAAGUAAUAAUAAUCUAUUUUUGAAUCAAUGAUUAGUAGUCGAAUCAAGCUGAGUUAAUUCCUUCAACCAGAGCUUUCUCCAAUUUGAAUUACAACUUUAAUUUGCAUUUUUGUUAUUUUAAUUUGAUUUUUUAUUAUUGUCAACAAUUCCCCCAUUUUACGUUUUACGUUUCAAAAGGAUUUAAAUAAUUACCGAUCUCUGUGGACACGACCCUGCUCAAUCACUAUACACAAUUUAUUUAGAGUAGGAAUUUAUUUUUGUUGGCUUCGACAACCAUCAACAAGGUGAUGGAAAUGGGAAAGUUCGAAGCUGUUACUUUCAGCUUCUGCACCGUAGCCAUGUCCCACGGGACAAGGCUAGAAGUUAUCAUGACCAUAGACUUUUCUAAUUUAUUUUUUCCUUUCAAAAAGGGACAAGGAUAAGUUUGGGAGAAUGAUUAUAUUUUUAAUAAAAGAAUUCUUUUUUAUUAUAAUACUUUUUGUCUUUAUUAAUUUAAAAAUAUUAACUCUUAUAUUUUAAUAAAUAUAAAUAUAAUAUUAUAAUAACAUAUAACAAUAUAUACAAAAAUUUAAAAAAAAUUAAGAUUUUAUUAAAAUAAAUUUUAUAAUAAAUACAAAUACAUUAUUAAUAUAAUUUUAAUAAUUUGCAUUUUAAAAAGUAAUACUGAUAUUAAUUUUUUAAAUAUUAAUUUUUUAAAUUAUAUUACUCUACCAAAAAAAAUUAAACUAUUAAAUUAUAUUGAUAUUUAUUACAAAAUUUGCAAUUAAUUCUUAUUAUAUUUUUAAUUGGAAUUUGUUCCUGUGAUAUAACAACAAUUGCUACAGUUUUUUUCCCUAAAUAAAGAUGGAGUUAUAAAUUAUUUGUGUAAGUGUCAUGAAAGUAAUAGUUGAAUAACAAUAAUGGGGCUUUAGGCAAUUUUUUCAUGAGGUCUUCUUGCAAUUUCAACACUUAAACAUACUUGUCCUUGAUCCCAAUUUAUUUACCCCAUUUGGGCCCACGAUGAGAUAAAUAUAUUCCUGUGAGAUGAAAAACAUCAGGAGAAGAAAAUGUUUUAUUAUAAUAAAAAAACAAGUGGUCCAUAAGUCUAUUUAUUACUUUUUUUAUUCAAUACAAAUGGCCAACUUAAAAAAUGAUAAAAAUCACAUAACGCACAAGCAAAAAUUUAGAUUUACAUUUUUUUAGUUCUCUCCGUGUCUCUCUUUCUCUUUUUUUUUUUUAAAAAAAAUAAAUGUCAGUGUAAAAUUAGAAAAAUUUUAGAUAUAAACUUUGGCGAUGACCAAACAAAAAUUGCAAGGGAAAGAAAAUAGAGGACCCUUGAUAUCAUUGAAAUACUGAUCAUAGACACUACAAUAUAAAUAACUUGUUGUGAUCCACUCAACUUGUAACACUUUAAUCCAUAUUCUAAAAUUUGUAUGCUUGUUAGGAAUUUUAUUAUUGACAUUACUGUACCAAUAAAAGUCUAAUUUAUUCAUAUGGAAAGAAAACAUCAAGAAAGGACCUCUGAUUUUUAUUAUAACAGAAAAAAGUGGUCCAUAAGUUUAUUUAUUAUUUUAUUUAUUCAAUACAAAUUGCCAACUUAAAAAAUGGUAAAAAUCACAAAAUGCACAAGUAAAAUUUUAGAAUUACAUUUUUUUAAUUCUCUUUGAGUCUCUCUCUCUCUCUUUAAAAAAUAAACCUCACUGUAAAAUUAGAAAAAUUUUAGACAUAAAAUUUGACAAUCACCAAACAGAAAAUGUAGGGAAAUGAAAAUGGAGGAGCCCUAUUAUCAUUAGAAUAUUGAUCAUAGAUACUAUAAUGUAAAUGAUUUGUUGUGGUUCAUUCAACCUGUCACACUCUAAGCCAUUUUCUAAAAUUUGUAAGGUUUAUAGGAUUUUUAUUAUUGGCAUCAUUGUAUCAAUAAUAUUAUAAAUUAUAUAUUCUAUUGUAAUGAAAAUUUAUGUAAUCUUAGGUAUUUAUUUAUUGUAAUAAUAAAAAAUUUCUAAAUAAAGGUGAUUGCUUCAUUGACAAGUACAUAUUUAUAUUCUCUAUUAGUAUUUGGGUUGUAAACUUUGUUUAUAAAGUGAAUAUAUUGUGGUAAGCGAUGUGGGCAAUAUCGGAUGCAAAAUAUUGAGAGAUCAUUAACGCAUAUAUUUAUUGAAGACGCAUAUAGAGGAAAGAGUGUAGAUCCGGCCGUAACAAUUAUGAAGCUUUCCCCAAGUAUUCUCACGCUUCCUUAACUGUUGCAAAGUAUUUUUCAUAGUGUGCAGAUUUACUUUAUGGUGUCUUAAUUCGUCUAAAAUGAUUACUUUAGUUCUUUUGGGAUGAAAGGUCAUUUAUUGUGUUAGUAUUAAACAAUAGAAAAAAUAAGUAAUGGUAACGAAAGACUAAUUUGUGAUAUUGAAGCAUACAUGCUUAACUCAAUCCAAAACUUAGUAAGUUAGCUCAAGAGUUAAGAGUUGUCCAAAUCUUAUAUGCUGAACCCAAGUUCAAUACUCAAUUGAUGCAGGAUGUUAUUCCUAACACCGCCCCUCAUGCGUAGGAUUGGCAAAAAAACUCGAGUCAGUCCCGCCUAGACCUGCAAGCUUUAUUUAUGGCCAGCAUGAUGAAGUUACAGAUAUUAACCUAAAAAUUUGAAACUUACUAUGAAUGGCCUUGGUUAAAGACUUUUGUAACUUUAAUUUAUAACAAGUAUGUAUACACACACACACACAUGUUUAGAUUGCAUUUGGAUGACUUUUUUAUCAAUGCAAACAAUAUCAAAUUUAUCGGAUUAAUUUGAAUCUGAUCUAUAUCCGAUUUUGCCCGCCAUANNNNNNNNNNNNNNNNNNNNNNNNNNNNNNNNNNNNNNNNNNNNNNNNNNNNNNNNNNNNNNNNNNNNNNNNNNNNNNNNNNNNNNNNNNNNNNNNNNNNNNNNNNNNNNNNNNNNNNNNNNNNNNNNNNNNNNNNNNNNNNNNNNNNNNNNNNNNNNNNNNNNNNNNNNNNNNNNNNNNNNNNNNNNNNNNNNNNNNNNNNNNNNNNNNNNNNNNNNNNNNNNNNNNNNNNNNNNNNNNNNNNNNNNNNNNNNNNNNNNNNNNNNNNNNNNNNNNNNNNNNNNNNNNNNNNNNNNNNNNNNNNNNNNNNNNNNNNNNNNNNNNNNNNNNNNNNNNNNNNNNNNNNNNNNNNNNNNNNNNNNNNNNNNNNNNNNNNNNNNNNNNNNNNNNNNNNNNNNNNNNNNNNNNNNNNNNNNNNNNNNNNNNNNNNNNNNNNNNNNNNNNNNNNNNNNNNNNNNNNNNNNNNNNNNNNNNNNNNNNNNNNNNNNNNNNNNNNNNNNNNNNNNNNNNNNNNNNNNNNNNNNNNNNNNNNNNNNNNNNNNNNNNNNNNNNNNNNNNNNNNNNNNNNNNNNNNNNNNNNNNNNNNNNNNNNNNNNNNNNNNNNNNNNNNNNNNNNNNNNNNNNNNNNNNNNNNNNNNNNNNNNNNNNNNNNNNNNNNNNNNNNNNNNNNNNNNNNNNNNNNNNNNNNNNNNNNNNNNNNNNNNNNNNNNNNNNNNNNNNNNNNNNNNNNNNNNNNNNNNNNNNNNNNNNNNNNNNNNNNNNNNNNNNNNNNNNNNNNNNNNNNNNNNNNNNNNNNNNNNNNNNNNNNNNNNNNNNNNNNNNNNNNNNNNNNNNNNNNNNNNNNNNNNNNNNNNNNNNNNNNNNNNNNNNNNNNNNNNNNNNNNNNNNNNNNNNNNNNNNNNNNNNNNNNNNNNNNNNNNNNNNNNNNNNNNNNNNNNNNNNNNNNNNNNNNNNNNNNNNNNNNNNNNNNNNNNNNNNNNNNNNNNNNNNNNNNNNNNNNNNNNNNNNNNNNNNNNNNNNNNNNNNNNNNNNNNNNNNNNNNNNNNNNNNNNNNNNNNNNNNNNNNNNNNNNNNNNNNNNNNNNNNNNNNNNNNNNNNNNNNNNNNNNNNNNNNNNNNNNNNNNNNNNNNNNNNNNNNNNNNNNNNNNNNNNNNNNNNNNNNNNNNNNNNNNNNNNNNNNNNNNNNNNNNNNNNNNNNNNNNNNNNNNNNNNUACCUCUUUUAACGACAAGAUUCGUAGUAGAUGAUAAAAAGAAAAUUAACUUCAAAUUUUUUCAUUAAAUGUAAAUCUGAUUGAAGUAGUUUAAAUUUUUCUAGUAGACUAAUAUAUAUAACUUAAAUAAUUAAUUUCAUUAUUAAUUUUUAAAAUGUUAACUAAUAUAUUUUUAAUUUAUUAUAAAAAUUUUAAAUAAAUCCUUGGAUUAAAUAGAUUUUACAAUUAAUGUAAUACUUCUGAUUUAUUAAUAAUAUUAAAAUUAUUUUAUAUGAUAUUCAAAAUAAUUUAAACUUAUAUAUAUAUUAAUAUUAUGUCUAUUUAUUAUAAUAUGGUUUAAUAUUAUACGGGAUUGUAAAAUAUUAAAAUAUUUUUCAAUAUCCAAUUAUUUUAAUAUGUAUAUAUCAUUACAUUUAUUUUAGUAUCGUAUUUAUAUUUAUUAUAAAAUAUAAAAUUAAUAAAAUUAAAGAGUAUUGCAGUAAAGUAAAAAAAAAAAGUCUUAUUAUCUCUUAUUCACAAUAUGAGAUUCUACAAAAUUAUUUCCCGAAACGGGUGUCCUUUUCUUAUUUUCAAAAGAAAAAAUAAAGUAAGAAUAAGUCCAUGGGUUUCAAAAACUUCUAGUCUUAUCCCGGGACUACAUUGUCUGCCACUAUAACUAAUGGAAAUGACAAUACAAUUGACAUUGCCUUUCGCAACAUGACAAAUUUUUGGUGGGAUAUGGAAGAAUUGUCAAAAGUUCACGCCAUGUAAGAGUUUUUGGUGGGAUGUGGGAGGAUUGUCAAAAUAUCACACCACGUGAUAUAACCACAAUUGCUAUGGUUUUUAUUUUUUAAAUAAUGAUGGGAGUUAUAAAUUAUUUAUAUAAAUUUGCGUAGAAACUAAUGUAACAUAAAAGAAGUAGCUGAAUAAUAAUAUUUGGUGCUUUAGGUAAUUUUUAUAUGAGCCUUUCUUUUAUUUAGCGGCUCUAGUGCUUAAACAAACUUGUUCUCGAUCUUAAUUUACUGACCCCAUUUAAGCCUAUGAUGACAUAAUUAAACAUAUUCUUUUGUGACGAAAACAUCAAGAGAAGACAUCUCAUGUUUUAUUAUAACAGAAAAGAAGUGAUCCAAACGUCUAUUCGUUAUUUUAUUUAUUCAAUAUAAAUGGUCAACUUUAAAAAAAUGAUAAAAAUCACACAACGCUCAAGUAAAAAUUUAGAAUUACAUUUUUUAAAACUCUCUGAGUCUCUCUCUCCUGCCCCCCCCCCCCCCUCUUUUUUUUAAAAUAAACCUUAGUGUAAAAUUAGAAGAAUUUUAGAUAUAAAAUUUGGCAAUCGCUAAACAGAAAAGUAGCGGAUUGAAAAUAAAAAAGCUCUAUUAUCAUAGGAAUAUUGAUUAUACAUAAUAUAAUAACUUGUUGUGGUUCAUUGUAGCACUCUGAGCCAUACUUUAAAAUUUACUGGUUUGUUAAUGCUUUUAUUAUUGACAUUAUUGUGUCAAUAUUACUAUAAUUUAUUCAUUUUAUUGUAAUGAUAAUUUGUGUAGUCUUAGGUACUUAUUAUAUUAAAUUAUGUAAAUUAAUUGAGAAUACUUUUAGAGACAAAAGAAACACGUGUAUGUAGGAUUAAUAAUCGAAGAAUUGUAAAUGAAGGUGAUUGCUUCAUUGAGAGGCAUAUUGAAUAAUUAUGGAGGUUGCACUAUUUCGGAAGCACAUAUUUAUACUUCCCUAUCAGGAUUUGGGGUAAACGAAGUGCUUUAUCUAUUGCAGUAAGCAAUGUGGGCAAUAUCAGAGGCGAAAUAUUAAAAGAUUAUAACGCAUAUAUUUGAGCCAUUUAUAUUGAAGACACAUAUAGAGGAAAGAGUGCAGAUCAGGCUUUCCUCAAGUAUUCUCAUGCUUCCGCAACUGUUCUGAACUAUUCUUCAUUGUGGGCAGAUUUACUUAAUUACCAACACUAUGAUUCAAUACUUCAAAGGUUGAGGAAAUGUCAAAAUAUGAAAUGAAAAUACUUAAAUACCCUUCUACCUAACAAAACUUGGUACUUCUAACUGCACUCGCAGAGAAUAUAUAAAAUUAAAAAAAUAUAUAUUCAUCCAUGAAAAGCUUCGUAACAGAAAAACCAUCUUUAAAAAAAAUAAAAAUAAAAUUAAAAAAAAAAAACAGAAAAACCGACUCAUUUAUCUGCCAAUGAACCAAUUGGGACUCAUUUAAAAAAGAAUACAAAGCAAAAGUGAAUGACACAAAUUGCAUAGAUAUCUAGGUAUAAUUUGUCCAAGUAAUAAAUUCUCCUAGGUCAAAAGCAAUUAACGAUGAAAACUUUCUUCAUUAAGGUUCUGGCCUACGUAAAAAAACAGAAAAAACCACCCCAAGGUCAAAGCACAACGAUAAGUUUAGAACUGCAGUUUUUAAUUUUUUUUAAUAAAUCAAUGUGUAUCAAAAAUAGAUAAUAAUUUUGGAUAACUUUUUUUGAUAAAUAUAGACAUAAAAUUUUAAAAUCACCAAACAGAAAAACAGGGGAAUUAAAAGAGAGCCCUUGUUUCUCCUCUGUUUUGUUUGUUAUCAAACAGUGAAAUGAAAAGAUCGCAAGCGGAAAUUUUGUUUCUGCGUUGUAUCUUCUCAAUGCUGCAUGCAUUCAAAUUAAACCUUAUAUAUGCUAGCAAACUAGCUACUCUGCAUGUAAGUUCUCGAUAAGUCCAAAUAAUAGAAUAAUUGUAAAAUGUUAAAAUUCAGUAAUUAAUUAUACAUAUUUAUUUAUUCAAAAAUUAUUAUUAUUAAUUAUUGUCAAUAUAUAUUAAUAUUCUGAUUAAUUGUAAAAAAUUUAUCAUUCAUAACAAUAAUAAUGAUGAUGAUGAUAAUAAUAAUAAUAAUUCAAAAUAUAUUAAUUAAUUAUAAUAAUAUAUUAAUUAUUUAAUAAUAGUAAUAAAUGUAAAAUGUAUAAAUUGAUUAGAAUAGUUAUAUUAAUAAAUUAUAAACAUAUAUUAAUUAAUCAUAAUAAUUUUUUAAUUGAGGACAAAAUAGACAUUUUAUAGUUUGUGAGAGGGGGUAAAAUGGUCAAUCUUGGGAACGGGGGAUUGAUUCCCACCACCUUCCUUGGGAAUCAAUCUUCCAUUCCUCAUUCCUAAAUUUGGGUGGCCCCAUAAUUCUGAUUUGGAUCCCUGCCUCCAUCAUUAAUGAUUUCGAUUUCGGAUUCCGAUUCCCCAAUCCAAGAAGUAAAGGCACCAUUAUUGUUAAUUGGUUCAAACACACAAAGAGAAUGUACCAUGUAGCUAGGCGUCAAGGUUGUGUUGCACAAGUAACCUUUUUCUUUUCUUUUUAUUUUUCUUGUUUUCCUUAACGGAUCAGAAGAAAUUGGUGCCUUUGAGAUACCACAAUGUAAAUAAGUACUUGUGGUUCAUUGAAUCGGUAACACUCGGUACCCUAAGGUUGCUUUGGAAAAAAGGCUUUUCUCACUGAUCGCCAAUAUCCAAGUAAGUUUGUUUCAUUUCAGAAGGUGCAAAGUUUCAAACUUGUUGUAUUGGGAUGUAACAAACUUUGGCCUCAUAUGCCUGCUGUGACGUUAGACUGUUCAUUUUGAUUGUUUCCUACCUUCCACUUACGCCAUUGUAGCACUGUAUUAUUCACCAUUUUAACUGUUUAAAUGAAAUUUUAUUUUUGUCAAAAAUAAAAUGACACCAUUAAAAUUUAGAAAAAUAAUAAUGUAGAUCCCAAAUUUUUAAAAAAGAAUACCAAUAUUCCCCUUGACUACAAUACCCUUAGUAGGUGGUAAUAAAAAAAAAUUGGCUUAAAAUUUUUACGAAAUGUAAAUAUGAUUUAAAUAAUUUAAAUUUUCCAGUAGACUAAUAUAUAUAAUUUAAAUAUUAAUUUUUAAAAUUUAAAUUAAUUUAUUUGUAUUUAUAAAAUAGUUGUAAUUAUUUUAAAAUUUAACUAAAUCCUUAGGUUAAAUAGAUUUUACAAUUAAUAUAAUAUUUCUCAUGUAUUAAUAAUAUUAAAAUUAUUUUAUAUGAUAUUGAAAAUAACCUAAAUUUUUAUAUAUUUAUUUGAAUAUUAUGCUCUAUUUAUUAUAAUUUGGUUUAAUAGAAUACGAGAUUGUAAAAUAUUAAAAUUUUAAAUAUUGAAAUUAUUUUAAUAUGUAUAUAUUAUUAUAUUUAUUUUAAUAUCCUAUUUAUAUUUAUCAUAAAUUAUUAGAGUUAAUUUUUUUAGUUAAUAAAUUUAAAAAAUAUUAUAAUUUUAAAAAAAAAGUCUUGUUGUCCGUUAUUCACGAUAUGAGGUUCUACAAAAUUAUUUCUCCAGGCGGGUGUCCUUUUUUUAUUUUCAAAAGGAAAAACAAGUUCAGGGCCUCAGGGGUUUCAAAAAAUUCUGGUCCUAUCUACCACUAUGACUAAUGGGAAAUGACAUUGCAAUUGACAUUGCUUUCCGCAAUAUGACAAAUUAUUGGAGGGAUAUGGGAGAAUUGUCAAACGUUCACACACGCGAGAGCUUUAGGUGGGAUAGGGGAGGAUUGUCAAGAGUUCACACCACGAGAAACUAAUGAUAGGCCUAAUUUCGUUGUCAGUUCUUUAUUUAUUUAUUUUAUUUAUUUCAUACAUUAUUGUUUUUAUAAAGGUAUAAAAGUAAAGUAAAAUACCAGGGGUGCUGUUAAGUUACAACUUAUGUAACUUGCAAUUUUUUCAAAAAUAAUGUAAAAAAUUUAAUAGGUGGUGGGACCCACAUAUUUUUUAAGAGACUUAAGUUACAACAGUUGUAACUUAACAAAAUCUAAAUAUUAGACAAUAAUGCAUAUAAUUUGGGUUUGAUUUUUAAAAGAUUAUUUGAGUACCACCUAUCCUUAUGAUAUUAAUCUGAUUAUAUCUUAAUAUUAAAUAAUCAAAAUUUGUUUAAUUAUUAUUUGUAUUUCAUACAUUACAUAUUAGAUUUGUUUGAAUUUUAAGUUGUUGCUAAUAAAUAUUUAUGUUGUCAAAGUCAAAGUCAAUAGCUACAAAAGCAGAGAUAAUGGUAUUGUAUAUAGUUUUUAAGAAUGCAAGGAUAAGCUGGAUAAUUGACUUAAAUUCUAAUGAUUAAAAGAGCAACUAUCCCUUAAGUUAUAAUGUCAAUUUCUUUAAUUAGAAAUUUUUUUUUUCAUGUGAUAUAACCUCAAUUGCUACAAUUUUUUUUAUAAUAAUAAUGGGAGUUAUAAAUUAUUUAUAUAAAAUUUGGGUUGAAACUAAUGUAACCUAAAAGUGGUUGCUAAAUAACAAUAUUUGAAACUUUAAGUAAUUUUCAUGAGUCCUUUUUAUAUUCAGCAACUUGAAUUGGGGGAAAUCCGACUUGAAUUGGCGGUUGAUUUUGGUGAUGUGGCUUUUGGUUUACGCCGGCUUUACAGUGGCGGAAGACUGGAUUUACGGUUGCCGAAUGCUAGGGAUUAUGGUGGUGGUGUAAAUUGACGGAAAAAGAAGGUGUUUUGGUGGCGGCGCAUCUAGGAAGCACUCGUGGGUUGUCGUUUCGUGUGCUGACAACGGGCGGCGAUCAAGGGCUGAAGUUGGUUGGUUUUUGGUCAACGGAGGCCGGCGAGUUUGUUGGUGGAGGUGGUUGGUGGAGAAAGUGGCUGAAUGGUGGUGGGUUGCUUGGUGGAGCCGUGGGUUUGGGUUGGUGAUUUGCGGCUGUUGAGGCAGCGAUGACUGAGGCUUGGUCAACUGUGGCUAGUGAGGUUUGUGGUGGUGUUGGCUGGCUGAUCGGCGGUGGUGGGCGGCGGUGGAGGUUGAUGUGACGGGUUGGGUUUUCAAAUUUGUAAAUUUUGUUUUUUGAUGGAUUUGGUUUGGAUAGGUAUGGUGUAUCUAGGAAAGAUGUGCGAUUCGCACAUAAUCAUCUUGAUACCAAUUGAUGGAGCGAGGCGUAGCGGAAGCAGAAUUGAUAGGGUAAGAAACAUUAGAUAUUGUUCUAGUACUAGACCAAGCCAACGCGAUUAGUUCACGCUCUAAUCGAAGCAUGAUUAGAUAUCGUUAUAAUCCAAAUGACUCAAUGAGAUUUUUAAUAAUGCGUAAUACGAGAUUAGAUGACACUCUAAUCCAAACGACUCUACAAGAGAGAUUUUGAUAAAUAAUCCUAGAGAAAAUUAUAAAAGAGGGGUUUUAUUUAAUAAUUGAACUUGAAGUUAUGAAAAUAAUGACAAGACAUCUUUAUUUUUUUUAUUACAAAUAUCUUUAUUUAUAAUAGAAGAAACCCGCUUUCCUAAGUUAACCUAAAAAGAAAAUUUAAAUCAUAAUUAUAAUGGAAAUAAAAGAUUAAAAUACAUACCAUAAUUAACUCAAACUAAAAUAGAAAAUCAUAAAAUAAUAAAUAUUCUAGAAUUAUAAAUUAUCUAAAAUAACGUUAAUUAACUUCUUAAAUCACUUCUUUGGUGUUAACCAUUUUGCAUCCAACCUCGCUUUAAAGGUUUGAACCAACGUUACCAACAAUAAUGUAUCAAAUUCCAAUCUAACUUAAGAUCCUGAUACAUCUACCGAUGUCCUUGUUUGAUUAGACAAUAAUGAGUCUAUCUCAUCACUUGUUACCUCUUUCUUGAAGGCUGCAUCUGUUGAAGUGAUAGUCUCGUUUAGAGUUUAAAGAUCUUCUUCCAUGUUAAAUAAAAUGGGCAUUUGAUUAAAAAACUUUAUCUCUAUCUCCUUCUAUCAAAUAACGACAACUAUCCGAAGGGAAAAAAAAUUAGAAAAGUCCAUGGGUCACAAUAAUUUAUGGUCUGUUCCCGGACCCCAUUAUCUGCCACUAUCAAUGAUGAAAAUGAAAAUAAAUGGCAUCUUCCCAAAAUGGCAAAAGAUUUUUGGGGGAUAUGGGGGAAUUGUCAAAAGUUCACACAACGCGAAACAAGUGUUACAUCCAAUUUUAUUUCGUCAUAUAAUGAUAAUAUCAAAUAAUGACAACCAUCCAAAAGUAUGAUGGGUCUUCCACAAUUUUGAAAAUGUCGUCAACAUUUAAUCUUCAAUGCUAAAGAAGAUGAAAUGACCAAAAAUGACACGCAGGACCAACUUACAGACUAAAUGGCUCUGACCACAUGUAACAAACUUUGGCUUUAUGUCCUUGCUGAGGCGUUAGACUGUUGGUCAUUUUGAUUGCUUUUUACCUUCCAUUUACGCCAUUGUAGCAUUGUACUAUUCACCAUUUUAGCUGUUUAAAUGAAAUUGUUAUUUUUUUUUCCAAAAAUAAAAUGACACCCUUAAAAUUUUAGAAAAUAGCCAUGUAGAUCCCAAAUUUUUAAUAAAGAACACUAAUAUCAUUUUUGACUAUAGUACUCUUAGUAGAUGGUAACAAAAAAAAAUGACUGCAAAAGUUUUUACUAAAUGUAAAUAUGAUUUAAAUAGUUUAAAUUUUCUAGUAGACUAGUAUGUCUAAUUUAAAUAAUUAAUUUUUAAAAUGUAAUUUAAUAUAUUUAUUUUAAUAAUAUAUUUAUCAUAAAAAUUUUAAACAAAUCCUUGGGUUAAAUAGAUUUUAUAAUUAAUAUAAUAUUUCUCAUGUUUUAAUAAUAUUAAAAUUAUUUGAUAUGAUAUUGAAAAUAAUUAAAACUUUUAUAUAUUUAUUUGAAUAUUAUUUCUCUAUUUAUUAUAAUUUGGUUUAAUAGAAUACGAGAUUGUAAAAUAUUAAAAUAUUUUUAGGUAUUAAAAUUAUUUUAAUAUGUACAUAUUAUUAUAUUUAUUUUAAUAUCCUGCUUAUAUUUAUUAUAAAAUAUUAAAAUUAAUUUUUUUAGUUAAUAAAUUUAAAAAUAUAUAUUAUAAUUAAAAAAAGAGUCUUAUUGUCUGUUAUUUACGAUAUGAGGUUCUACAAAAUUAUUUUCAAAAGGAAAAAUAAGUCUAAGGGUUUCAACAAAUUCUAGUCCUAUCUGCCACUAUGACUAAUGGAAACGACAUUGCAAUUGACAUUGCUUUUUGUAAUAUGACAAAUUUUUGGAGGCAUAUGGGAGAAUCAUCAAAUGUUCACACUACGCGGGAGUUUUGGAUGGGAUCAGGGAGGAUUGUCAAGAGUUCACACCACGAGAAACCAAUGAUAGCCCUAAUUUCGCUGUCAGUUCUUUGUUUAUUUAUUUUAUUUAUUUCAUACAUUGUUGUCUUGUUGGCAUUGUUUUGUAAAAUAAAAGUAAAGUAAACUAUUAGGGUGCUGCUAGGUUAAGUUGUUGUAACUUACAGUCCCUUAAAAAAUAAUGUAAAAAAUUUAACAUGUGGUGGGAUCCACAUAUGUUUGAAGAGGCCGUAAGUUACAGUAGUUGUGACUUAGCAAAAUCCAAAUAUUAGACAAUAACGCACAUUAACAAUGCAUAUAAUUUGGGUUUUAUUUUUUUUUAAUUAUUUGAGUAUUAUCUAUCCUUAAGAUAUUAAUGUGAAUAUAAUUUAAUAUUAAAUAAUCAAAAUCUAUUUAAUCAUAAUAUAUAUUUCAUACAUUGCAUGUUUAAUCAAAAUCUGAUUGCUUUUUACCUUCUAUUUCGCCCACUGUAGCAUUCUACUAUUUACCAUUUUAGCUAUUUAAAUGAAAUUUAUUUUUUUUCCAAAAAUAAAAUGACACCCUUAAAAUUUUAGAAAAUAGUCAUGCAGACGCCAAAAUUUUAAUAAAGAACACCAAUACCCUUUUUGACUAUAGUACUCUUAUGGUAGCCACAAAAAAAAAAUGACUUCAAAUUUUUUUACUAAAUGUAAAUAUGAUUUAAAUAGUUUAAAUUUUCUAGUAGACUAGUAUGUAUAAUGUAAAUAAUUAAUUUUUAAAAUGUAAUUUAAUAUAUUUAUUAUAAAAAUUUUAAACAAAUCCUUGGGUUAAAUAGUUUUUAUAAUUAAUAUAAUAUUUCUCAUGUUUUAAUAAUAUUAAAAUUAUUUUAUAUGAUAUUGAAAAUUAUUUUAUAUGUAAAUCAUAUUUACAUUUAAUAGAAUACGAGAUUGUAAAAUAUUAAAAUAUUUUUUGGUAUUGAAAUUAUUUUAAUAUGUAUAUAUUAUUAUAUUUAUUUUGAUAUCCUACUUAUAUUUAUUAUAAAAUAUUAAAAUUAAUUUUUUUAGUUAAUAAUUUAAAAAAAAAUAUUAUAGUUAAAAAAAAAGAGUCUCAUUGUCCGUUAUUCACGAUAUGAGGUUCUACAAAAUUAUUUUCAAAAGGAAAAAUAAGUCCAGGGCUUUCAACAAAUUCUAGUCCUUCUGCCACUAUGACUAAUGGAGACGCAUUGAAUUGACAAUGCUUUUUGCAAUAUGACAAAUUUUUGGAGGGAUAUGAGAGAAUCGUCAAGCUUUCACACCAUGCGAGAGCUUUAGGUGGGAUAUGGGAGAAUUGUCAAGAGUUCACACCACGAGAAAUUAAUGACAAGCCUAAUUUCGUUGUCAGUUCUUUAUUUAUUUAUUUUAUUGAUUUCAUACAUUAUUGUCUUGUUGGUACUAUUUUGUAAAGAUAUAAAAGUACAAGUAAAAUAUUAGGGAAAGUAAAGUAAAAUAUUGGAGGUGAUGCUAAGUUACAGCUGCUAUAACUUACAGUUCCUUCAAAAAUAAUGUAAAAAAUUUAACACGUGGUGGGACCCACAUUAUGUUUGAAGAGGCCGUAAGUUAUAGCAGUUGUAAACUAGUAAAAUCCAAAUAUUAGACAAUAAUACACAUUAACAAUGCAUAUAAUUUGGGUUUGAUUUUUAAAAAAAUUAUAUGAGCAUUACCUAUCCUUAAGAUAUUAAUGAGAAUAUAUUUUAAUAUUAAAUAAUCAAAAUAUGUUUAAUCAUAAUAUGUAAUUCAUACAUUGCAUGUUAGAUUUGUUUGGAUUUUAAGUUGUUGCUAAUAAAUAUUUAUGUUGUGAAAGUCGAAUUCAAUAGCUACAAAAGCAGAGAUACUGGUAUUUUAUGUAGUUUUUAAGAAUACAAGAAUAAGACCAUAAUGCAUGAGAUAAUGGUAUUUUAUAUUAAAAGACCAUAACACAUGUAUUUGAGCCAUUUAUAUUGAGGACACAUAUAAAGCGAAGAGUGCAGAUCCGGCCGUAACUAUUGUGAAGCUUUCCUCAAGUAUUCUCAUGCACACAGCCCUUAUCUGGUCAAGUUCUCUGAUUCAAUAUAAUCAAUUUCCGAGUAGUACUGACGACAGCUUCUCUGUAAAGCUCUUCAACCACAAGCAUUUCUACAAGGCAAAAGACUAGGACGUAUUGGAAUGAAUAUCAAUAAGGGAAUGUCUUAUGAAUUUAGUUUAUAUCCUAAUAUAAGACAAUCAGUAAAUAUUGGAUGCAAUCUAAGGGCUAACAUUUGAUUGAUCAUUAUACGAAAAAAAAAAAAGGUGCAAAAAUACAAAACAUAGCUGAUUGAUGGCCUCUCACAGUCAGUUAUAUGACAAAGUAGCCACCACAACAAACUUUUUUUUUUGAACUGAUUAAGCAUCAGGUUACUGUAUUACACAUAGAGAUAUAUAUAACUGCUAUGACAGCAAGUCAUUAUACUGAUAUUUACAAUCAGAUAUAUACAUGAGACUUAUAUUAUUACAUUUUUAUUAUAUGAAGUACAUGCCCAUCCAAAUCUCCCUCACGGAGGAGGGAUGUCUCUACUCCACUCACAUUUCGCAAGGGAGAAAGACGUUAUAAGAAGUUUUCACCACAACAAACUUGAACUUGGGUGGAGGUCUCAUUAGUAGUAUACCUCAGAAAUUAAGACAAAGACUUUAAAAUGCAAACUUAUGGAGCAAUUUAAGCACUGAAACUAAUAACAGUACGGUAUUAGCAAUUGACCUCUGCUUUUGCUUAGACAAAGGUUUUCAUCACAAUGGACUCAUUAGUUGCCCUUGCCUCACACGUUUGGAUGCUAAGGGGAAAAAGGAAGCUUGAAUUAGUCAAUCUCAUUUCUAAUGGCAUUCACAGAGAACUUAUAAAACAAAAAAAAAAAAAAAUUAUAAAAAAAAAUUCAUCCAUAAAAAGCUUAGUAACGGAAAAAUCGACUCUUUUAUCUGCCACUGACGAAAAAAAAACUGAAGUAUUAAAUAGAUAAAGAAUUUAAUUUUUUUCUUGGAAAAACUAAUAAUAAAUUAACAAUUAGAUAAUACUAUUAAUUAGAGAUCUUUAAUAUUAAGGUUGUCAAAGAUAGAAUGUGUAUAAAAAUUCUUAAUUAUAAGAUAAUUACUAACUAAAAAGAGGCCUAAAAAAGAAGAUUUGCUAUUAUAAGUAAUACCAAAAAUAAAAAGGGAGACUUCCUAAUUGUGUAAUUGGUUAAAAAAGAGGAUUUGCUAUUAUAGGCCUAAUUUGCCUAUGCUUAAAACCGUUCCUGGAUGUAAAAAAAUAAAAAUUAUUGUUAAAUUCCUGACUAAUAAGGUCAUUGAAAGUAUUCAAAGGACCUGAACUUAUAGGAAAGCCAGCCAUGAUGAACUAUACCACGUUGCAAGUGAGCUCGUAUCUUCACCCCUUGAUCUGCCAUCGGCAUUUCUCUUCCACUCACUAUACCAUCCUUUUCAAUCGAUUUUUAUAGAUCAUAAGAGACCAUGUGGCCCACCUUAUUUUUAUUUUGGAUCCAUAACCCAAAGCUGGCCCAAGUUCUGAUUCCAGAAUCAUUUGUCUACAAAGUGACCUCAUUCCGGCAAUUGGUUUAUGCUAAUAGCACGUGCAAUUUUCAUUUUCUUCUUUUUAUUAAUUAAUUUCAUCAUUAUUAUUUGCUUAUUAUUUUAAAAUUAAAGCUAGCAUUUUUCAAAUUAAUUAAUUAAAUUGUAUUAAUGAAAUUAAUCUUUCAUUUUCUUUUCUCUUUCAAUGCACAAAGCCAAACAACCAUUCUCGCUUCAAAUACCGAAGAGCUCCUGACUACGGCUGUCAAUGCUUCUAUAUUUACGUGCUGUGCUGCAUCACUCUUAGCGAAAGCUUGAAUGAAUGAUUAAAGACAAAAGCUUAUAUAAAAGCAGAUGCCGGAGGCAGUCAAAAAGCAUUUGAGAGAGAAGCUAAACAGCAAAUCAUCAAACGCACUUCAAUGACUUUAUUUUGAUUUUGAUUUUUGUUUCGAAAGAAGUAGAAAAGUCCAUGGGUCACGAUAACUGCUUGUCCUAUGCCGUGACCUCAUUGUCCACCGCUAGUGUCAAAUAGAUUAAUCUUUCUAGUAGAUUAAUAUAAUUUAUAAUUUUAAUUUCAGUAUUAAUUUUUAAAAUGUUAGUUGUUAUAUUUAUUUUAAUAAUAUAUCUAUUUUUAGUAUAAAAAAUUUAAAUGUAUAUUUAGAUUAAAUAGAAUUUAUAAUUAAUAUAAUAUAUCUCAUGUAUUAAUGAUAUUUAAAUUAUUUUAUAUAAUAUUAAGCCUAACUUAGAAUUAUAUAUAUUUAUUUUAAUAUUAUGUUUCUAUAUAUUAUAUAAUAUUAAGCCUAACUUAGAAUUAUAUAUUAUGUUUCUGAGCCUCUCUCUAUAACACUAUAUAGAACCCUAAGCCUAAGUGUCACGGGAUGAGUGUUUUGCGCAGCUAACCCGUGCGGCACUUAGACAACUUUGCCGAAUGUUGCUAAGUAAGCCUAGAGAUUCUCGAACAAGAGAAGAGAGCAAUUGAGCCAAAGAAACUUGUAUUGCACAAAGAGAGAUUACAAUGCUUGUUGGAUACAAAUGCCUAAUGCCAUCCCAUAUUUAUAGGGGAGGCUUUGUCAAACUUGGCCUAACUUUGCCAAACUUUGCCAAACUCUAGAGUAUUCUACAAUUUCCUAGCUAUUUACAUGUGCUGGAAUUGUAUAAAGAAUUCUAGAAUAUUUACAUGUUCACAUGUGCUAGAGUUUCCUAGAACCUUCCGGAAUUGGGCCAAGCUAGCACUCUUGGCUUUGUGUUGGCUCUCUAGCUCGAAAUUGGGGCAAUUGGGCUAGCGAAUUGGGCGGUCCGCAACAACCUCCCCCACCUAUGCUCGCGGCGUCCUCGUCGCGCUCUCAUGCUUGAACCUCUGGAUGUGCUCAGCGAAUUGCCACAAACCAUCUUCACGUUCCCAAGUGGCUUCACUCUCGGGGAGGUUUUUCCAUUUCACCAAGUACUCGCUAUGUGCUGGCACGCCCCUCCUCGAAACCGUGCGGUCCGCAAUGAUGUAGUCCACAUCUUUGUCGAAUGCGGUGACAACGGCAGUUGGUGCGCGCCUUGAUUCUCCGCGACCUGGUUCUCCCAUGUCUUCGUGAUAUGGCUUGAGAAGGCUCACAUGGAAGACCGGAUGGAUCUUGAGUCUUGGCGGAAGUUGGAGUUGAUACGAGACGUUGCCCACACGUCGAACAACUCGGAAGGGUCCCUCGUAGCGCCUCACUAACCCCUUGUGAACUUUCCGCAAUGUCUUGAAUUGUUGGGGUAGGAGCUUGAUCAUGACUUGAUCUCCUUCCUUGUACUCAACAUGCCGUCUCCUUGUAUCCGCCCAUUUCUUCAUUUUCCUCGCGGCUUUGUCGAGGUAGGCUCGCGUGAUGUCCGCUUCCUCAUGCCAUUCGCGGGCGAGCUUGUGUGCCGCGGGGCUUUUCCCUCCGUAAGUCGAGGCUAUGGCAUUGGGAGUCAUUGGCUGGAAUCCCAUGAUGAUCUCGAACGGACUCUUGCCCGUAGCCUCGCUUCGCUGCAAGUUAUAAGAAAAUUGGGCGAUGUCGAGUAGCUUCGCCCAAUCCCGCUGGUGAGCGCUCACAUAAUGCCUCAGAUACAUCUCGAGGAGGCCGUUAAUGCGCUCGGUCUGCCCAUCCGUUUGUGGGUGGAAGCUUGUCGAGAACUUGAGAUCGGUCCCCAACAUCUUAAAGAGUUCCGUCCAAAACCGCCCAGUGAACCAAGGGUCUCGGUCGCUCACAAUGCUCUUCGGAACUCCCCAAAGCUUCACAAUGUGCUUGACAAAUAGGCGGGCUGCCUCAUCCGCUUUGCAAUCCACUGGUGCGGCAAUGAAUGUGGCGUACUUGCUGUGUCGGUCGACAAUGACCAUGAUGCUUCCGCAACCUUCGGACUUGGGCAGCGAUGUGAUGAAGUCCAUGGAGACACUUUCCCAUGGCCUUGUUGCUAGUGGUAGCGGCUCCAACAAUCCCGCUGGAAGUUGAUGAUCCACCUUGUCUUGUUGGCACACAAGACAAGUUCGCACAUAUGCCUCGAUGUCGUCCCUCAUGUGCGGCCAAAAAUACGAGGCUUGAACUAGUGCGGUGGUGCGCUCGAUUCCUGGGUGACCAGCCCACUUGGAGUCGUGGCACUCCUUGAUAACUUCCUUCCGCAAAUUUCCCCACCUUGGCACAAACAGCCGAUCUCCCUUGGUGAGGAGGAUGCCUUCCUCUUGCCAAAAUCGCCUUGUCUUCCCUUCGAGCACCUUCUCCAGCAAAUCCUUUGUUAGCGGGUCUUGUUGGAGGCCUUCCUUGAUGCGUGAGACAAGGUCGGACUUCGGUUGGCUCAUGCUAAGUGUUGCCAAUUCCGCCUUGCGGCUUAGAGCGUCCGCAACGACAUUGGCUUUCCCCGGUUUGUACUCUAGCCGAUAGUCGAAUUCCGCAAGGAAAUCUUGCCACCGUGUUUGCUUCGGACUCAACUUCUUUUGAGUUUGAAAGUAGCUUGUCGCCACGUUGUCCGUUAUGAUCGUGAAGUGUGAGCCAAGCAAGUAAUGUCGCCACACUCUUAGACAAUGGAUGAUGGCUGUCAUCUCCUUUUCUUGCACCGUGUAGCGGCGUUCCGUAUCAUUUAGCUUUCGACUCUCGAACGCUAUUGGGUGGCCUUCUUGCAUAAGGACUCCACCUAUGGCGAAAUCCGAGGCAUCUGUUUGAACUUCGAAGGGCUUGGUGUGGUCCGGAAGAGCGAGGACUGGUUCCUCCGAAAUUGCCUUCUUCAACUCCUCGAAUGGACGUUGGCACUCUUCGGAUCAAUGCCACGUUCUGUUUUUCUUGAGCAUAUCCGUCAAGGGUGCCGCCUUGGCUGAAUAGCCCUUGAUGAAAUGGCGGUAGUAAUUCACCAACCCAAGGAACGAGCGAAGCUCGGGUACUUUCGAGGGAGGCUCCCAAUCGAGGAUGGCCUCUACUUUGUCAUUCUCCAUCAUGAUCUUCCCGCCCGCAAUCUUAUGGCCAAGGAACUCCACCUCUUGUUGGGCAAACGAGCACUUCUCUAGUUUGAGGAAGAGCUCAUUGUCUUGAAGUACUUGGAGGACUUUUUGCAAGUGUUGGGCAUGAUCCUCGAGUGUGGUGCUAUACACCACGAUGUCGUCCAAGUACACGACCACGAAGCGGUCGAGGAAUGGUUGGAGUACCUUGUUCAUGAGUGUGCAAAAUGUGGCGGGUGCAUUAGUAAGGCCAAAAGGCAUCACAAGGAAUUCGAAAGACCCGUACCUUGUUGUGCACGCUGUCUUUGGUUCGUCUCCCUUGGCGAUGCGCACUUGGUAGUACCCGGAGCGCAAGUCAAGUUUGGUGAAGUACCGCGCUUUGCCAAGCUGGUCGAACAAGUCCGCAAUCAAUGGAAUCGGAUACUUGUUCUUGAUGGUGAUCUUGUUGAGCGCUCUAUAGUCGAUGCACAUCCGCAGCGAUCCAUCCUUUUUCUUUUGGAAGAGGACCGGUGCACCGAAUGGGGCCUUUGAGGGGCGAACGUAGCCUGCGUCCAGCAAGUCUUUGAGCUGUCUCCGCAACUCCUCUAAUUCGGGUGGCGCCAUGCGGUAGGGCGCCAAGGCUGGUGGCUUCGCGCCUUGUUCUAGCUCAAUCGCAUGAUCUACCUCUCGCGGAGGUGGGAGCUUCUUCGGAAGUUCUGGAGGCAUCACGUCCUUGUACUCAUUGAGGACGGCUUGAAUUCGCGGAGGGACUUGGCUUGGCGACGUUCCGCUAUUUCCUUCCUCGUUUAGUUCCCGAAUGGAGACCAAGAAGCUUGGGUCCUUCUUGAAAGCCCUCUUGAAUUGCAUGGCGGAGAGUUUCUUCUCCUCGGACUUGCCUCGUUCGGUGGGUACCAUGCAUGCUUUGCUCCCAUCGAGGAUGCUUAGGGAGUUUGUAGCGGGCAGCGGGAAGGCAUGGACUUGGUCGAAGAAUUCCAUGCCAAGGACCAUCUUGAAGUCAUCCAUGGGCACAAUGGAGAAAUCAAGCUUUCCGCUCCAUGUACCGAGUGUGAUGUGCACGCCUUGUGCAAUUCCCGCAAUUGGUUUGGCGGGUGAGUUUACUGCCUUCAUUGUGCCUCCUUCCUUGGUGGCCUUGAGGCCUAAACGCUUGGCCUCGUCUACGGACACGAAAUUGUGUGUUGCUCCCGUGUCUAGCAGCGCGCGAACAGACUGGCCGUUUACCUUUGCGCUAACAUACAUGAGCCCUUUCUUGGCUAGUGCGGGCUGUUGGCGGUUGAGUGCCCCGAGGCGUUGGAGAGAACCCAUGCUGAGUUGGGGUUCCUCCGUGGACAUUGUGGGGUUGCUCUUGAGUUGGGCAGCAAGAACAUUAAGCGACCGCUUCUCCGGACAGUCGCGUACCCAAUUUGGACCGUUGCAUAUGAAGCAUGGGCUUCGCGGCUUUGGCGCCUCCUUCUUGCCCUCCGAUUUUCCUUGCCAACUCUUGUUGCUAGACGGCUUUUUCUGCCCCCAAUCUUUGCGGUUGUUACCCUUGUCCUUGCGACUCUCUCCCCCACCUUUGCCUUGGUUGGCCUUUUUGUCCUUGGAUUGGGUAGAGUAUUCGGUGAGCGACUCCGCAACGGCGAUGGCGUCGUCAAGUGUUUGAACACCACGCCUAUCAAGCUCGGUCUUGGCCCAAUCCUUGAGGCCAUCUUGGAAGUAGAAGAGUGAAUCUUUGUCGGACAUGUCACUUAUCUCCAACAUGAGGGUAGAGAACUCGUUAAUGUAGUCCCGAAUGCUACCCGAUUGCUUGAGGCGACGUAAGCGCGCUCGCGCUUCCUUCUCUGCAUUGCUUGGGGUGAACUGCUUUCGGAGUUCUUGCUUGAAGUCGGCCCAAGUGUCGAUGGUGCAAAUGCCCUUGCCCAUCUCGCCAUGCUUGCGACGCCACCAUAGUUGUGCAGCGCCUCUAAGAUAGGUGGGUGCAGUGCCCACUUUCGAUGCCUCAUCUCGUACACCCAUGGCAUCGAAGUAUUGAUCCAGCCCGAACAGGAAGUUGUCCACGAUUGUGGCAUUGCGUGUGCCAUCGUAGGUGUCGGGCUUUGGCACAUCAAUGCGGCGCGCAUCACUCGAGUUUGCGGAAGCUGGACUUGCGGAGAGUGUGCGCUUGUGCCAUGCCCAAUCCGAGCGGACUUCAUCCACUUCCGCACGGACAGCACGUAGUUCGUCCUGAACAAAACUACGAAGUUUUAGCAACUCAUCAUGGAAAGAAUGAAACUCACCUCGGAGAAUGUUCGCUUGCUCAUGCAUGAGAGCUUUUGUGGCCACCGUGAACUCGGCGUAUUCUCCCUCGAGAUUGUCCACUCUUCUCUCUAAUCCCUCAAGGCUAUCUUGAGUGGCGGACAAGGCUAUUUCGAGAGUGCCUACACGAGGCUCCAAAGCAUCCACGGAUGGGGCCUUGGACUUGCCGCGAUUCUUGCCUUGGGCGCGUUCUCCCUCUCGGCCGCGGCUUGGUUCUGGUGGAACAUCCACACCAACAAAACCCUCUUGUGCUACGUUUGAAGGGUUGGCCAUUGCUUUGUGAGCUAAUUUGCGUGCGUGCAAACCUUAGCUCUGAUACCACUUGUCACGGGAUGAGUGUUUUGCGCAGCUAACCCGUGCGGCACUUAGACAACUUUGCCGAAUGUUGCUAAGUAAGCCUAGAGAUUCUCGAACAAGAGAAGAGAGCAAUUGAGCCAAAGAAACUUGUAUUGCACAAAGAGAGAUUACAAUGCUUGUUGGAUACAAAUGCCUAAUGCCAUCCCAUAUUUAUAGGGGAGGCUUUGUCAAACUUGGCCUAACUUUGCCAAACUUUGCCAAACUCUAGAGUAUUCUACAAUUUCCUAGCUAUUUACAUGUGCUGGAAUUGUAUAAAGAAUUCUAGAAUAUUUACAUGUUCACAUGUGCUAGAGUUUCCUAGAACCUUCCGGAAUUGGGCCAAGCUAGCACUCUUGGCUUUGUGUUGGCUCUCUAGCCCGAAAUUGAGGCAAUUGGGCUAGCGAAUUGGGCAGUCCGCAACAUAAGUCUCACAUUCGCAACCGCCCCACAUAUCAGAACCACAGCGAACUGCCUCCGACCCUUCGGACCCAAAAAAAUGAUUGUAUUCCUGCUCUUUCACUUUAAUAAUUUUUUGUAUUAUUCCAUAUCUUUCACUUUAAUAACCCAAAAGCUUUCCUCUGUUUCAACCCAAAAGCUCAAAUUCCUUUUUUCAAUCGAAAAUUGUGUUUGCCUAAUUUUUUAACCAUUUUUAUAUGUCCGUUAAACUUGACAGCCAAUGUGGUCUAUUCGCUAAACAGAGUAAACGAUAACAAUCAAUGGAAAUUGAAACAAAACCCACCAAUCAACAAAACAGAAUAGCCGAGGAAUCCAAUUUCAGGAAACAGCAGUUUCAAAACUCACCAGAGACAAAUGAUAAAACGAAGCUACGCCGUUCCUCGAUCGGUGAUAACUGGCUACAAGGUUUCUUCGCAUUCGUUGGCCUAAUUUUUUAACCAUUUUUAUAUGUCCGUUAUGCUUGACAGCCAAUGUGGUCUAUUCGCUAAACAGAGUAAACGAUAACAAUCAAUGGAAAUUGAAACAAAACCCACCAAUCAACAAUGUGGUCUAUUCGCUAAAUGGUUAAAAAAUCUAACCUUUGUUCACAAUAAUUGUAUUUGCCUCACUGUUUUUGUUUUAUGAGAUCUAUAAUUGAUCUUGGGAUAUUACUUUCUAGUUCUCAUGCAAGCAAGUUACUACCUUCCCACUGCAUCUCCUCCUUUAUCUGCUAUUCAAGAGUUGCGUGCCAUAAUCUGGUGUUACCUCUGCAAGAUUGUGAAUGAAUAUAACGCCUCUAAAUUUAUUUUAUACAUAAUGCUGAUGCUGAAUAAUAUAUUGUAGCUCCUGUCAUAUUCUACUUUGACUUUUUAUAUUCUGUUUCAUAUAAAAAUCUUAUUCAACUUUAGUUGUUCAUGAGCAAAUGUCACAUGUAUAAGCCCAAAUGAUGUUUAAAGGUAGCGCGGCUACCUUUAGUUUGAGCUGACAAUGGAUGAAAAAGAUAUUGAAACUGAUAUUUUGCUGUUUUUCUGAUUUUUCAAAGUAUUUUAGAUCCUGACUUUUGUUAAGUUGUUUCCAACACCUCGUGCCAAAUGAAAGCACAAUCUUUCUGAUUCAGAUGUCUUGUUAAUUAUGCUUCAUUUUUUCAUUAAAGAUUGGAUGGUUACAUGGAUUGAUGGAGUUGGAGUUCAACCAAUAAUUCUAAUUUUUUGGACUUAAAAUGCCUUUUUCUUCUGUAUAAAAACUUUAGUAAGUGCUAUUGAGUUGACAGAAGUUGCAUACUUACAGGUUGUUUCACACUUUUUAGUAGUUUUACAUAUAUGAAUUUCUGUUUUUUGAAUUGCAGAAAGGAGGUGGAACUAUUGAUUUGGAGCCUUAUCUUACUCACUCAUCGACAACGGAGCCUACCCUCACUCCCAUGGCAGUGGAACGGACAACGACUACUAGGGCUGCAACAUCAGUUGGUUUGGGUCUGUUUUGGGUUUAUUGUCAUUUAUUUGGGUAUGUUUUGAUAGCGAAUUUUGAUAUGUCAAUAGAAUGUGUAAUUGUUUUGGGUUGAGCUGGUAAUUAUGCUGGAUUAGAUUGGUUUGGUUUUGGUGCUUCUCUGAUGGAACACUGCUUUUUUUAGAAAUUUUGAAUGUAAUAUGAGACUACAUUUAGUUUAAUUGAACACUGCAUCUAGUCUAAUUACUAGAAGUGUGGCAUUUGGUUUGGUUUAUCCGAUAUUCUCCAGAAUUUCACUUGCAUCUGGUUUUGUUGCAUAUGUUUGUUUGCUUGCAUUUGAUGGCAGUAGCAGACUGUUUGUUUUUGUGACAUUUGAUGGCAGUUUGGUCUGUUCUUGGUGUUGAUUUAAGAUUCUUCCUGUUGUGCUGAUGUUAAUUGCAGGUGCUUGAAUCAGCUAGGGUUGCUGGUUUAUUCAGAUGGUUGACUCAGGCGUUGCUACUGGUUAAUUCAGGUGGCUGACUCAAGUUGUUCAUUUAAUGUUAGGAAGCAAAUUAGGAAUUAAUGAAGUAUUCAUUUAACUAUAAUUAUUGUAGUUAUUUUAUUUCAUAACUGAAUUAUAAUCUAUGAUACUUGUGAACAAAUUAGAGAAUUUUUAUAUAUGAAUUAUAUAUAUGUGUGUGUAUGUACAUUUUGCUAUUUAUAUAAUAAUUUAAAGAAUAUAUUUCAAUUCCCACAAAAAAAAGGCUCCAAUUUCAAUAAUUCCCGCCAAAUAAUUAAAUUUUUUUAAUUUACCACCAAAAUAUAUCUUAAGUUAUUCUUGCUAGAUUUAACAAAAAUAAUUUGUAGGAUUAACAUUUAAUUAAAAUAAUUAAAUAAUUUUAUUAUUCCAAUUAAAUAUGUCAUGCUUAUACGACAGACAAUAAUCAUGAAUGGGAAGUAUUAGUAACAUAUUCUUCCUUGGGAUUUCAGGCAAAUGAAAAAAAGAUUGAGAAUGAUUUCAAGAGGACAGGUGGAUGAUAAAUAUUCAUUUUUGUAUAUUUGGCUAAUGUCCUCAUUAGUGGAUUUUUAUGGUAUUGAUCUUUUUCUUUUUUUAAAAAAAUUUUCAAUUAGUUGCAGCCCUAGAGGAAGAGCAGGCUGAUCAAAUUGAUUUGUCUUGUUUUUCGGGCAAUCUACGACACGAUGACCGUGAUAAUGCUCGUGACUGCUGGAAACUUUCUGAUGGAAAUAACUUUAGAGUUCGUAGCAAGCAUUUUUGUUAUGACAAAACAAAGGUUCCCCCAUAUUUUGUUUGUUUGUUAUGGUAUUUAUAUAUCCUGCAUAGGCUAGGUAGACAGGUUAUGAUGUAGUUUGGUUGGCUCUUCUUGUGCUUUGUGCAAUUUGUAACUGCAGAUACCUGUGGUAAAACAUUUAAUGGAUCUUGUUGCUGUUGAUUGGUUCAAAGACACAAAGAGAAUGGACCAUGUAGCUAGGCGUCAAGGCUGUGCUGCACAAGUAACUAUUCUUUUCUUUUUAUUUAAAAAAAUAAAACACAUUGCCAACAAGGAUCUCUUCAUUGAACAUGUGUCUAGUUCUGAUAAGCUAGCUGAUGUGCUUACCAAACCUCUGAGUUUUGAUCAUUUUGCCUAUAUGCAAACUAAGGUCAAUGUCUGCCCAUGACCUUGAGCUUACGGGGGCAUUUUAAGAAUAACAUAUGCUGAGUCAUCAAGCCAUGCUGGAAGUCAGUUUUGCAGUUAGUUAGAGAGCUUAUCAGCUUCCCUCCAAAAGUUUGUUAUGUGUAUUAGAAUCUGGGCUCACGAGUUUUGUGAGAUUGUAACCUUGAGAAGAUUCUCACACUACUAUAAAUUGUAUUGUGACUCAAUUAAUAAAAUAAGUUGAAGCUUUGCAUUUUCUCUCAGUCAAAAUUUUCUCUCUAUUUUUCUAAGUAACCAAACAAGAUCUACAGAGCAUUUUGUAUUUUAACUGGAGCGGCUGAUUGGUGCUGUACGUGUUACAUUUUUACUUUUUUAACUCAAGUCUGCUGUUGUCCCAAAGUUGGAACUAGAGAUAUCAUUUCACCUCAACUGUGUUUUUUUUUUAAUUAAAAAAAUCAUUUGUUUUAGGUAUACAUACAUGUAUUUUAAUUCUAUUUUCCUUGUAAUUUCUCCUUUACUUUGAAUGAAAGUCAUUGGUGUUUUCGAAUGGGAAUUUUGCAUUAAAAAAUUAAGAAUAGUUAAUAGGAAAUUUCCUGAUUCUUUAGUUACUAUUUUUGGUAUGAGUGUAAUUAGUAGUAAAGUUGGUUUCUACUCGCAAACAAGUGAACUGCUCGAUUCCCAAGUGCUAUUAACCAGUUUCCAACUUUUUAAUAUACACUAAUUGUUCCUGUUUAAUAGCUACUACUAUUAAAACUCAACAGCUAACAAAAAUACUAAAAAAAAAUGAUUUUUUCUUAUGAUGCUGUGAAAAAAAUUACGGGUUUACUUAUUUCCACGAGAUCUUGUAUAGUGUUCUUGUAUAGUGGAAUUAAGAUUGUCUUCCCGAUGGUGCAAUUCACCCUCUUCCUUUACAGUCACUUGCACUUUGUGCAGCUUUGGUGUGGAUAAGAUUCCCAGGGAAAAAGUCUUCAUGUUCGGACAAUGUGUCACAAAUACUCGUUCCAAUGAUGGGAAUUCAAGAGUGUAAUUCUCCAAACAAAAGCUGGUAAGCCUUGGUAAAUCAUCAAGUUCCAAAAGUUUUAAUUCUUUGAAAGCAAUACGAUUCUCCUUCGUUUCUUCUCCAGCAUGUCCUACGAUUUGUUCUAAUUUUUUGCAGUUCCAUACAUAAAGAUUCACCAGACUAGUAGGAAUUCCAACCUGAAAAUAAGCAGAGAGUGUGUGUGUGUGUUAAAAAAGUAAAAAUGUAAGAGUGUCAUUCAACUAAGCUCAAAGUAUGUUUGAUAAUACAAUUAUACGUUUUAUGAACAUAACAAACUGUGAAAUGUCUACUAGAUAUUUUUUGUUAAACAAAAAACGUAACAAGAUAAAUAAAUAAAUAAAUAAAAGCCAGAUAAACAAAGAUGAUAAAAAUGUAUUUACACUAUUUAGUAUUAGGGACGUAGAAAGAAUUUAAGGCAAUUUCUAAAUAUUUUAGACUUAUUUUGCAUCUUGAUAUAAGUUUUUAAGCAUAAAUUUGCACAUUUCAACUAUUCCUUUAAAAAGAACUCAACUAAAAUGCCUCUUUUUCCCUUUUCCUUGGUCCCCUUUUUUUUAUAUAUAUAUAAAAAUGGAAAAAAAAAUUUGGAAAAGACUUCUUAGUACUGUCAACAAGGGAUUGCUGUAAAGUGGAUCUUUAUUAAGUACUUCCAGACUCGAGGAAAUUUCUUUACAAUCUCAAAAAAAUAGUAAACAAUCAUGAAUUUGUGGUUAAUUAAUGGCAUAAUCAAUUCUUAACUAAACUGGAGAUAUUAAUUAAAUUUGAAGACUUUUUUUUUCCGAUCGAAAUGUGAAGAACUAUGGAACAGAGAAAUAUAUAGAUGAAUUUGUGAACUUAUAAGAUGAGUGACUAUCCUUUAAUUUUUGAAAAUCGUACUUAUUAAGAUAUGAGCAAAAACAAUUAAAUUGAAUUAUAUUAUGCUGUUGAAUCUGUUUAAAAAAAUUAUAUUGUUGAUUCUAAUGCUGGUGAACCUAAAAACUAGACUUAAAACGUAGAUUUCAGAGUGGUGGUUUGAAGUACAAUAUUUGAAAUAAAUAAUUAGUGGCUGAAUAUCAUUUGUAAACACAGAAAUGAUUAAAAAAUUGUUGAAUGUUAUUUGAAAAAAAAAAUCGAAAUGAAUACAGAAACCUUACCAAUGGAGGAAAAAUAUUCAUUAGGUUAUCACACUCUUCUAUCUCCAAAUUCUUCAAUUUCCUGAAAGACUCUGAAGCAAGCUGGUGGUGCCAUAUUGUUCUUAGGUUAUCCAUCCACGCAAUAUAUAAUACCUCCAACCUAGGAAGUCGUACCUGGCAGUUAAAGAUUAAAUAACUAAUUAAUCAAUUAAUGGCAUAAUCAAUUGAUAACUAAAUUAGAGGCGGAUAUUAACUAAAUUUGAAGACUCAAGGAAAAGACAAAUCAAGUAUUGUGACUAAAAUUAUUUUUUUAAUUAAAAAAAAAACCUUUUCAUCAAAGAGAGGAGGAGGUUGCAUUUCAGAAUGAAUGGUAUCUUCUGGUGAGCUCGUAGAGAUGAAUCUUAACAUAUUACUGCAACAACCAAUCAUGAGGUUUAGCAAAGAAGGGAAUUCAACAACUAAAUCUGUAUGAAUAUGUCCCAUAUUGGCAAAGCUACUUAGUCUUGGAAGCCAUUCUAGCUGCAGGGAGUGUAGCUUAGGAAAAACCUUUAAUUCAAUCAACUUUCCUUCAUCUCUUUCUGACCAUCCCGUGGUGUCGACUACCCCUUCCAUUGACUCACAAUAGCUUAUCUCAAGAUGUUGGAGUUGCAAAAGGCUAUUAACCAUAGAAUAUGAAAACAGAUACUUCAGACGAUAACACCUUUCCACAGUCACUUUUGUUAAAUUUUGACAACAGUACAUUCUUUGAUUAUGAUCGGCCCAUAAUUUUUUCAUGUUUCUUAAGUCCCUGAGAUUCAAUUCCUCUAAGCUCGGAAGAAUAACCUGCAAAGAAAACCCGUACAUUUUUGUUCCUUCAAGUACAACCGUCUAGUAUAAUAUUCUUUUGAUGAUCGAAGAUUAAUCGUGAUAAUAAAUUAAUCAAUUAAUUAUUGAACAGAAAAUUAUCACCUUUGGAGCAGGAUCAUCAUCAGCAAUGAGUUCCUUGAAUCCCAAAGAAGUUGUUGGUUUGUCCAUGUCGGGUCCUAUAAACAAACAAAAACAAUAUACAUAAUUAAUCUUUGUCGUUGUCUUUUUUUUAAAAAAAUAAUUGAGGCGAAGUCCAUAAAUCCACCAACACUUAAUUUCAACACUUACCAACAAUCAUUUCCAGAUCAUCGCAAAAAAACACUUCUACCUUUUGAAGCCGCAGUAGGUUUUUGGCCAUGGAGAAUGAGAAAAGAUGCUUCAAUUCGUGACAGUCUGAUACUUUUAUAAUCCUUAAGUUGCUGAAAGAUUGAUCUUCUGUGAGUUGGAUGUCACAUAUUGUCUCCAAAUUGAUCAAACGACGAAGAGACAAUGACUCCAGCAAGGGGAAGACUUUGCGACGAACCCGUCCAACUGAACAGACAAUAUGCAAAAUCUCAGAACAACUUUUUACAGAAAGAUGCUUCAAUCGUGGAAAACCUUCCCCAUCAUCUAAUUCAUGAACAACAUUCUGAACACCCUUCAGUUCUCCUAGAUAGAGAUAUUCAGUUCUCUUCAACAACAGUUUCAUCCUGUAAUUCUGCAAAAGAAUGCCAAACUUUUCUAGCCCCUGGAGCUUCAUCAAUCUUGAUAAUCCAGUUUUAACGGACCAGCUGCUCCACCACUUAUUUCCUAUACAUAUCUUAUAGCUUUGCAAUUCCACAGAGACCAAAUCCUGCGGUAGAAUUUCGGCAUCCCGAACGUGUAUCUCCAAAGUAGUUAGCUUUGACAACCCCUUCAACUCAACAAGACUGGCGUUACUUCCUCCUUCAACCUUCUCCCACAGUGAAAAGCUGUUACCAAUAUAUAGUUCUUCUAAUCGAGAUAAUUUUGAUAUGACAUUUGGAGCUAUCACCACAAGGCUGCUACAAUUGCUCAAAUCUAGCAACUGUAAUCUCGUCAAUUGUCCAAUUACAAGUGGCAACUCCUUAACAUCAGAAUCUCGGAAGCUGAGAAUCUCUAAUUUCCUUAGCUGUCCAAUUAUAGUUAUAUCGUUCAGUCGGCAACCAUCUAAACAUAAUGUUUGAACGUUAAUGAGGCAACCAAGUGAUGAAGGUAAUGAAGAGAAAAAUAUUCCAGUAAAAUCUAAAACUUUGAGUUCUUCUGUCCCUUCAAAAAAGAGGUCUGAAAUUUGCAAAGAGCUAUCACGCUUUGAAAACAACAAAAGAACUCGAGACGGGGACAUUCCAACCUUUCGGGAAGCUCUUGAAUAUCUCUAUAAGGUAAAGAAAUAGCUAUUGGACCUUCCCGUAUUGUCUCUUCCAUCUUUUUCUCCACGUAGGCAACAUUUGGAAUAUUAAACAUGAGCUCCUCUUCUGCAAUUGAUACAGUAACAGCAUGAAUGAUGUCAUGCAUUUUAACUUCAUCUUCGGCAUCACUGUCCAACAAUAAGCACGAAGAUUUGAGUUUGCCGAUCAACGUAUGCACUCUACUCCUUGCUUCUUCCAGUGUGUAAACGUUUUUAAAAUAGCCCAUACCCAUACCAUAUCUCAAUAAGUCAGAAACAUGUAUACCACGACCUUCAUUAUAUAGACCACAAAGAAGGAACAGAGAUUUUGCUUCCUUACUUCCCAGUAAGUCGUAACUCAAUUUUAUGGAGAUGUACACAUUUCUUUCCAUUCCAUCAAUUUCUUUUGCAUUGGAACUUCUUAGCUGACGCAGCACAUCCUUCCAAGUGUCAAGCCUCUCAUUUUUCAAAGCUUUUGCAAGUGUAAUCAGUGCAACAGGCAAUCCUCCGCAUUUUUCAACGAUCUCAUCUGCUAAAGGUUGAAAAGCAGAUGCUUUUGCAGAAUUACACACUAUCUUUCCAAACAAUUGCAAUGCUUCUUCCUUUGAUAAAACUUCAAUUGAGAAAUCCUUCUGAGAUUUCAUAUCAUUGCGCAAUAAAUCUCGACUUCUAGACGUCAAUAUUAUUGUGCGUCUUCUCCGAUCGUCCUCUCUAUCUUUCUCAUCAACAUCCCCAUAAGGAAUUCCAACUGUAUCGAACUCAAGUUUUGUCCAAAUAUUAUCCAGUAUAAUGAGGAGCCGCUUCUCUUGCUUCAACCUUUGACACAGUCGAGAAGCUCUUUGAAAUUCAUUCUCAUUCAAGUCAAAUUCCAUGCCUAAAUCAAAAGCAAGUUUGUCUUGAAUUUUAUGAUGAUCUGGGGUCUGUGUUAUCUCAGCCAUAACGAACUUAUCGAACAACUUAUCUUCCAUCACUUGGUUUGCAACUUGUUUGACCAGCGUGGUUUUGCCCACGCCGCCCAUCCCAUAGACCCCAAUUAUGUUGACUUUGUCAUCCUUCACCGCCUCCACAACAUCUUGAAAUACUUUCAUUCUUGAAUCAAACGCCUCGAAAUCUUUCACUUGCAUAUGUUCUGCCCGCUUUGGAGCAGGACGGUAGGAAACAUUGGAGAAGUUGCCUUUUCCCACGAGACUAGCGGCAGCUUCUGCCGCCUUUGCUGCUUGUUUACUAAGCUUGUAACGAGAAAUCAAGUUUGGGCAUAAUCCUUUGAAGCAGGACUUCUUAGCUCUAUCUUCAUCAUCAAUGACGGAUUUUGCAACCCCUUCACUGAUGAAUUCAUUAACGCUAUGUAGCCAGUCUGUGACACCCUCAUAAAGCUCAUCCCCUUGUAGCCUAGCAUGAUUAACUGGUUGCUGCACCAUUUCUCUCUUAUAUCCCAGCUGCUUCACUUGAACUUUUAGCUCAUCUAUGUAGCUCUGGUACUUGAACACAUAAGAUAUCUGCCGUGUAAUCGGGUUGAACAGUGACUUUGCACCUUCUGAUACACAGUUGGUUAAAAAAGCGAGACACGCUUCUAUAGCCAUUGCCUGUUGCUUAACAAUAUAUAUCUAGUUUUUUGGCUGUUGAAAAAAAAAAAUGGAUUCAAAUAAAUUAAAUGAACUAGCGGGGAAGAAAAAGAAAGAAACGACAACAAACAACUUUUUAGAAAAAGGUUUCAGGGGCCUGAAUGGAAAACCAACAAUUUUUUGAGGAAAGAAAACUUUUUUGGAAGAUGGAUGCAAAUUAACCAUUAAUAAUACUGCAUAAGAACACAGAAGUUGACAAUAAACAGUAACUUAAAACUCAAGAAAAUUAAAUGACAAGAUUAAGACAAACAAGAGAUAGUUUUUGUCGGACAUUAAGAAACAACUGCUAUCAAGAUCAAAGAUUAGAAAUUAUGCUAUUGAAAGAAAUUAUUAAAGUAUUUAGAACAAACGCACCUCUUCAAUUAUCUAGGAUCACGGAGUUUAUGAGCUUCACUCUUGGCCUUCGAUUUAUAAGAAAAAAUUUAAUGAGCAAAAGAUCACUGUUGACUGCAGAAGAAUGUGAGUAAGCAAUACAAUUGAAUUGUAAAAGAACAAGACUUAAAGCGUGCACCCCGUGUUCAUAUAAACAGAACACAUGUUCAUUUUUAACAAAGUGAUCAAUAACUAUAUUCGUUAUUUAAUUGAUAUUGUAACCAAUUCUAAGAGAAUAUAAUAAUAAUCAUUCAAUCCAUAAAUUUAGAAUUAGAUUUUUUUAACUCUUUAUUUAAAUAUAAACCUUAAUGGAAAAUUAUAAAAGUUUAGAGAUAAAAUUUUUCAAUCACCAAACGAAAAAAACAGGGGAAUGAAAACAGAGGAAUCUUGUUUUAACUAUUUUUUUUUCCUCAACUCUUGUUCUUAUAUUAAUAAUCUUGUUUUGAUGAUAGUGCUCGUGACUGCGGGAAAAUUUGUACUGGAAACAACUCAAUUUCGGAAGAAAACUUAAUUUUGCAAGUGAUGAAUUUGAACUCGUUGGAUUGGUUGAUUUAUGAUUGACUGAAUUUCACUUUUGCCCAAAAGAUCUUUAACCAAAGUUUAAUAGCCAUCAUGUACUCCUUAAAAGCAAUUUUUUUUUUUAGAUUUGACUGAAUUUGAACUUGUUGGAUUGGUUGUUUUUAGAUUAUUAAUAUGAGAUAUUACAACGUAAAUAUUUUCAUGUGGUUGAGCCCUAUUCUAAAAUCUGUAUAGUUAGCUUUAGAAAAAGGGCUUUUCCUGCUGAUCUGUAAUCUUCAAAUAAACUUAGAUACAAAUAAUGAAAUAAAAGACAACAAACACGCNNNNNNNNNNNNNNNNNNNNNNNNNNNNNNNNNNNNNNNNNNNNNNNNNNNNNNNNNNNNNNNNNNNNNNNNNNNNNNNNNNNNNNNNNNNNNNNNNNNNNNNNNNNNNNNNNNNNNNNNNNNNNNNNNNNNNNNNNNNNNNNNNNNNNNNNNNNNNNNNNNNNNNNNNNNNNNNNNNNNNNNNNNNNNNNNNNNNNNNNNNNNNNNNNNNNNNNNNNNNNNNNNNNNNNNNNNNNNNNNNNNNNNNNNNNNNNNNNNNNNNNNNNNNNNNNNNNNNNNNNNNNNNNNNNNNNNNNNNNNNNNNNNNNNNNNNNNNNNNNNNNNNNNNNNNNNNNNNNNNNNNNNNNNNNNNNNNNNNNNNNNNNNNNNNNNNNNNNNNNNNNNNNNNNNNNNNNNNNNNNNNNNNNNNNNNNNNNNNNNNNNNNNNNNNNNNNNNNNNNNNNNNNNNNNNNNNNNNNNNNNNNNNNNNNNNNNNNNNNNNNNNNNNNNNNNNNNNNNNNNNNNNNNNNNNNNNNNNNNNNNNNNNNNNNNNNNNNNNNNNNNNNNNNNNNNNNNNNNNNNNNNNNNNNNNNNNNNNNNNNNNNNNNNNNNNNNNNNNNNNNNNNNNNNNNNNNNNNNNNNNNNNNNNNNNNNNNNNNNNNNNNNNNNNNNNNNNNNNNNNNNNNNNNNNNNNNNNNNNNNNNNNNNNNNNNNNNNNNNNNNNNNNNNNNNNNNNNNNNNNNNNNNNNNNNNNNNNNNNNNNNNNNNNNNNNNNNNNNNNNNNNNNNNNNNNNNNNNNNNNNNNNNNNNNNNNNNNNNNNNNNNNNNNNNNNNNNNNNNNNNNNNNNNNNNNNNNNNNNNNNNNNNNNNNNNNNNNNNNNNNNNNNNNNNNNNNNNNNNNNNNNNNNNNNNNNNNNNNNNNNNNNNNNNNNNNNNNNNNNNNNNNNNNNNNNNNNNNNNNNNNNNNNNNNNNNNNNNNNNNNNNNNNNNNNNNNNNNNNNNNNNNNNNNNNNNNNNNNNNNNNNNNNNNNNNNNNNNNNNNNNNNNNNNNNNNNNNNNNNNNNNNNNNNNNNNNNNNNNNNNNNNNNNNNNNNNNNNNNNNNNNNNNNNNNNNNNNNNNNNNNNNNNNNNNNNNNNNNNNNNNNNNNNNNNNNNNNNNNNNNNNNNNNNNNNNNNNNNNNNNNNNNNNNNNNNNNNNNNNNNNNNNNNNNNNNNNNNNNNNNNNNNNNNNNNNNNNNNNNNNNNNNNNNNNNNNNNNNNNNNNNNNNNNNNNNNNNNNNNNNNNNNNNNNNNNNNNNNNNNNNNNNNNNNNNNNNNNNNNNNNNNNNNNNNNNNNNNNNNNNNNNNNNNNNNNNNNNNNNNNNNNNNNNNNNNNNNNNNNNNNNNNNNNNNNNNNNNNNNNNNNNNNNNNNNNNNNNNNNNNNNNNNNNNNNNNNNNNNNNNNNNNNNNNNNNNNNNNNNNNNNNNNNNNNUAAACUUUUUUUUGGGGGGGGGGGGGGGGAGCAUGCAAAUUUACCAAAAGAAAUAAUAAGAGCACAGGCUUUAACAAUGAAUAGUAACUUAAAACUCAUGCAAAAUAAGUUACAAUAUGAAAACAAACCAGAGAAAAUUUUUUCUUGGAAAGUAGAUGGAACUUAAGAAAGAGCAGAUGUCAAGAUCAAGGAUCAGGGAUUCUACUAUUAAAAAAAAAAAAAAAUUAUUCAAGGAUUUAGAAAACGUGCACCUCUUUAAUUAUCUGGGAUUAGAGAGUUGGUGAGCUUCUCUAUUUGGCCUUCAAUAUUUAAGAACAAGUUGAAAGAGGAAAAAGAUCACUGGUAACUGCUGAGGAAUGUGUGAGAAAAGAGUUGAUGAGAGCAAUAACAAUGACCUGCAAAAGAAAAAGAAUUAGUCACGCACCGCUUUUCUAUAUCAUGUAUUUGGUUAUUGUUGCCCUGUUGACGCAUGUUGAAGAAGAAAGCACUAGUACACAACUCUAUGUUUUCAUAUAUUCUAAAGAAAUAAUUAAGUUUUCAUAGAAUAAUACCUGUUGUGUUUGAAUAAUUUGGUAUCUACAUUGCUUGUGUACUGUGAAAUUGAAAUGAAUAUUGAUUGACAGAGCAAUGUAUAUACCUAAUAAAACAUAAAGCAAAUCCUUGAACGAAUGAUUCGGGACUAAAACUUUUAUAAAAGCAAAUACCGGAAACACACAAAAAGCAUUUAAGAUAGAAACUAAACAGCAAAUAAUCGAAGUAAGAUCAAUAAUAUAUGAUUUGAUUUAUGCAUAUUCAAAAACCAAAAUUUAAAAUAAAAUAAAAAAUAAAGUUUGAUUUAUUCUUUCCACAAAAAACAGGGGAGUGAAAACAGAGGCAGCUUGUUUUACCAAUUUUUUCUUCUUAAUUUCCGGCAAAAAAAAAAAUUCAAUAAACAGGGGAAUGAAAACAAAGGAACGAAAACAGAGGAAACUUGCUUUUCAGGCUAUCUUGUGACAUGAUGAUAUUGCUCGUGAAUGCAUGAAAAUUUCUAAUGCAAACAGCUCAAUUUGGGAUGAUAAGCUUAAGUUUGCAAGUGAUGCAAGUAAAUAAGUUUUUGCGGUUAAUUGAAUCUUUAAUACUCUGGGCCCUAUUCUAAAAUUUGUAGGUUGCUUCAGAAGAAAGGGCGGUUCUCACUCAUCUUUAAUCUCCAAGUAAAAUUAGAUACAAAGCAAAUCUAAUAAAAUGACAAACAAACAAACAAAACAAAGAAAAGACAGGAGGCAAACAACAUUGAUCUUAAGCCAACUGAUAUUUAAACAGAGAAUUCUUUUCUUUUAUUUUUUUAACCACCUUUUGCUCAAGGAUUAGAGUUUUUAUAUUAACAGAAAGGUUUCAGGGGUCUGAAUAAAAGCCCACAAUUUCUCUAAUUGUUUUUUUUUUUUUUUUUUUGGGAAAAAUGGAUGCAAAUUAUCCAAAGCUAAUAAUAAGAACACAGACAUUACAAAUGAACAAUAACUUAAAACUCAAGCAAAAUAAAUGACAAGAUGAAAACAAACAAGAUAAAUUUUUUCUUGGAAAUUAGAUGGAAAUUAAGGACUGCUAGUAAAAGAUAUUAUUAGAUGAUUUAGAACAUGUGUACCUCUUUAAUUGUCUGGGAUCAAAGAAUUGAUGAGCUUCUCCAUUCGCAUUGAAUAUUAAGUAAGAACGGGUAUUCAAAGAAAUUAUUAGGAAAAAUUUUAAUGAGUAAAAGAUCACUGUUAACUGCAGACGAAUGUCCUAGUAAAAUGUUGAUUUGUGUAAUAACAAUGAAUUGCAAAAGAAGAAAACUUAAUCAUGCACCCCUUUUAUACCCGAGUUUUAAGAUUUAAUUUUUGAAGUUCAGAAUCAAGACCAAAAGCCGAAGCUUUAACAAGGCAUGCAGUGAGAUACAAGAAAUGGAUCGGGUAAAAUACUUUAAAAAAUGUUGUUCAACUCAAUUAACUUGAAGAAAGCACUAAUUUCAUAUGUUCUAAUGAAAUAAUCAAGUUAAAAGUUUUCAACGAAUAAAUACCUGUUGCGCUUGAAUAAUUUUGGCAUAUACAUUACUUGUAUCCUGUGAAAUUGAAAAGAAUAUUGAUAUGCAGAGCUUAUUAGUAGAGAGAAAGCUUUGUAAGAUGCCUGAUAAAAGAGAAACCAAAAGCUUGAAUGAGGAAUGACAUCUUAGAAAGAAACUAAACAUCAAAGUAGGAUCAAUAAUGACUUGAUUUAUGCUUUUUUGUUAUUUCAUUUGUUCUGUCAACAAAUGAUGCCUCGUUAUUACGAGUUCCAACCUGGACGUUAUGCACAAAUUGUUUUUAUGUUUAACAGAAAAAAAUGAAAGCAGGUCACCAUACAAAAUUGCAUGAACAAAUCUUCAAUUUAAUGAUUAUAAAAUAAAAUAAAUUUUAUUAAUAGAUUAUGGGUAUGUUAACGUUAGGGAUUUGAUCAGAUGAUCAUAUGAUUUACUAAACGCUUUAACAAGAACAAGAAAAAGAAUUAAUGGGUUAAAAAAAAUUUAAAAAUAAAAUAAGAGAGAAGUAAAGAACUUAUUUGCAAUUACCAAACUGAAAAAAUGCGAAAUGAAAACAAGGGAGCCCUGUUUUUCCUCACAUUUUUUUUCUCUCUUUUUCAAGUGGUGAGAAUGAUAGCAGAAAAUGCGAGCUCACUAUUUUCAUUUGUUGGCCUAAAAGCCUUCCUCCAAGAGAUGCAUAAAUUUUAUUUGUACAUUUGUUCCAUUUUAAGUACACAUUGUUGCAUGCAUUUUGAACUGUAUUAUCAAUCCUUUUUGUUUUCAGUUGGUUAGUUCAUAAUAACAAAUGAAUUAUAUUAUUUUGCAUGGAUCGAAAUUUAACUUUCCCUCUUUAUUUGUCCCACAACUAAAUAGUCUCAUCUUUUGUAGUAAGCUCGCAGUACGUACGGGGAACUACUGUAUGGGUGCUUUAGCCUAAAAUGAAGAUCUAUUAAAAAUUUCCCUAAUAUCAUGAUAUUAAACAUUAAAUAAUAUCAACAUUUUGACUUCCAUUUUGUUUUUUGGAUGGAGGAUGUUCCAUCUUCUAUUUUAGGUGCUUUGUAAGACUUUUAAUUGAACAAUUGAUGCAAUCAGUAACAAAGGCUUUACUUACAUAUGCAAGUAAAAUUUGCAGGUUGCUUCAGAAGAACGGGCAGUUCUCACUCAUCUUUAAUCUCCAAGUAAAAUUAGAUACAAAGCAAAUCUAAUAAAAUGACAAACAAACAAACAAAACAAAGAAAAGACAGGAGGCAAACAACAUUGAUCUUAAGCCAACUGAUAAUUAAACAGAGAAUUCUUUUUUUUUUUAACCUUUUGCUCAAGGAUUAGAGUUUUUACAUUAACAGAAAGGUUUCAGGGGUCUGAAUAAAAGCCCACAAUUUCUCUAUUUUAUUUUUAUUUUUAUUUUUUGAAAGGAGCUUCACUAUUGGCCUUGAACAUAUAAGAAUAAGCAAAAGAUCAAUGUCAACUGCAAAGGAAUGUGAGUAUGUCAAAGUCAUGGGCGGUUUGGCACCAUUAACAUAUUUCAAAAUGGCCACCCUAAUUGAAGGAAAUUAAAGGCCAAGUAGAUGCCGCCCAAGGAAAGAAACAAAAGAGAAUGAAGAAAAAGAAGAAAGAGAGAAGAAAAAGAGAUGUCGGGCCGAAGAAGGAAAAGAAAAGAAAAAUUAAUAAAAUAAUAAUAAUAAUUAAAUAUUAAACAAAUAGUAGCUAAUUUUGGCUAUAAAACCGCUAGCUCCCUUCAUUUGUAAAUCAUCUAGUUCUUCAGUUCUUUUCUUUAUUUAGAGAGCGAUUUUAAGAGUCUAGUGAUUUGAGAGUUUAGGUGUAUUGGGAUUUUGGGUAGUGAGCUAAAAUACCACAAUACUUGUAACUUCUUUUCACUAGUAAAAUACUUUCCUUCUGUUUUCACCUGUGAACGUAGGCUAAAAGCUGAACCACGUAAUUUCUUGUGUCUAUUUUUUGUACUUGUUCUUUAUUUUCUUCCAAUUUCACUUUAGCUGCGUGUUUGCUUCACUCACCAAUUUUGUAAUAGUGAAUCAGAGCUAUUAGUUGUAUUUUUUGGAGUCGGGUACUGUUCACGUAAGGGGUACUAUUCACGUAUAUGGCACUGUUCACGUAUACGGUACUAUUCACGUAAAACGAUGGGAGGAUCCAAGAAUUUUGCGGUGCAAAGCAGGGAAUAGUGGUGUGAGUAAAACAACUGUGUGGUUUUGUACAUGUCUAGGAAAGUUCUAUCACAAAGGCGAUAAGAGCUUAAGGAGUCUGGGUUUUAAGUGGGACCAUUGUGACCCCUCCAAUGUUUCCUGGGAACUUUCUUGGUGUGCAUUCUCACACAUACUCACAACUAUUCAAGGUGGUACACUUGCUUGUGUGCGGUAUUUAUCAAUAAAAUGGCGGCAAAGUAUGAAAUUGAGAAAUUUAACGGAAACAAUUUUUCAUUGUGGAAAAUGAAGAUGAAAGCUGUAUUGAGAAAAAAUAAUUGCUUAGCAGUAAUUGGAGAAAGGCUUUUGGAGAUAACUGAUGACAAGUGGAACGAGAUAGAUGGCAACACCAUUUCUGAUCUACACUUGGCACUUGCAGAUGGAGUAUUAUCUAGUGUGGCAGAGAAAAAUACAGCGAAGGAAAUAUGGGAUACUCUCACAAAAUUGUAUGAGGCUAAGUCACUACACAGCAAAAUCUUCUUAAAGAGGAAACUUUAUACUCUUCGAAUGGUGGAAUCUACAAUGGUGAUCGACCACAUCAACACCUUGAAGACUCUAUUUUCACAACUCACAACGUUGGGUCAUAAUAUAGAGGAGAAUAAACAUGUAGAGCUUGUACUUCAAAGUCUACCAAAUUCGUAUGAUCAACUCAUCAUCAACCUAACGAACAACAAUCCAGCGGAUAGUCUAGUUUUCGACGAUGUUGCAGCUUUCCUAUUAAAUGAGGAGAGCAGGCGAAAAAAUAAGAAAAACAGACAAGCAAUUUCGCAGCAAGCGGCGGUGCUAUCGGUGACGAGAGGGAGAUCAACGGAACGUGGCCCUAGUGGGAGUCAAAAUCAUAGUAAAUCAAAAUCCAGAAGUAAGAAGAAUGUUAAAUGCUACAACUGUGGCAAGAAAGGACACGUCAAGAAAGAGUAUUGGAGUAACUAGAAGAGAAAAGAGGAUAAAGAACCUGAGUCAUCAAAUGCUCAGGGGUGUGUAGCAAGUACCUCAGAUGAUAGCGAAAUUCUUUACACUGGGGCAAUAACUAUUUCAGAAGGCAGAAAACGACUAUCUAAUGUCUGGCUUAUAGACUCAGGAGCUACCUGGCACAUGACGGAGAGAAUGGUUCUAGACAUAUGAACCUAUCUCAGGAGGAUCUGUAUAUAUGUGAGAUGAUCAUGCCUUGGAGAUCGCUGGUAUUGGUACUAUCAAAAUAAAAAUAUUUGAUGGUACAAUUCGCACAAUUGGGGAGGUACGACAUGUCAAUGACCUGAAGAAAAAUCUAUUGUCUUUGGGACAAAUAGGCAGUUAUGGGUGCAAAACUCAUGUGGAGAAUGGAAUUAUGAAGAUUGUUAAAGGAGAGCUUGUAUUGAUGAAGGCAGAAAAGAUCGGUGCUAAUCUAUUCAUGCUUAAAGGAGAGUCACUACAGGAGGCUGAUGCGUGUGUCGCAUCAAAUGGAGAAGAGUUAAUGAUGAUGUGACAUCUCAAACUUGGCCACAUGUCGGAACAUUGUUUGAAGAUUCUCUCUGAGCGAAAAUUACUUCCAGGGCUUAAAUCGGUAAGUUUACCUUUUUGCGAGCAUUGUGUUACCAGUAAGCAGCAUAGAUUAAAAUUUAGUAGAUCUAUUCUAGAAGUAAAUAUAUUCUAGACUUGAUUCAUUCUGAUGUUUGGAAAUCACCGGAUAUAUCCAUGGGAGGUGCAAAGUACAUGGCGACUUUCAUUGAUAAUUAUUCCAGAAGAUGUUGUGUGUAUCUAAUUAAGAAAAAGUUAGAUGUAUUUCCAGUGUUUAAAGAAUACAAAGCGCGGGUGAAACUUGAAUCUGGUAAAAAGAUUAAGUGCUUGAGGACGGAUAAUGGUGGAGAGUAUACAGACGGCGAGUUUCUUGCUUUCUGUAAGCAAGAAGGUAUUUAGAGACAGUUCACCAUAGCAUACACUCCUCAACAAAACGGAGUGGCGGAGCGGAUGAACAGAACUCUUACAGAAAGAAUAAGAGCUAUGUUGAGGACUGCUGGUCUACCUAAUUCAUUCUGGGCAGAAGCAGCCAAAACUGCUUGUUAUAUAGUAAAUCGGUUGCCAUCUACAGCUAUUAGGCUAAAGACAACGAUGGAGAUGUGGACUGGAAAGCCAACUGAUUAUUCCUACCUACAUGCAUUUAAAUGUCCUGUGUACGUGAUGUACAAUGCCCAAGAAAGAACAAAGCUGGAUCCAAAAUCUAGAAUAUGUAUCUUCUUGAGAUAUGCUGAUGGAAUAAAGGGGUAUCGUCUGUGGGACCCCACUGCCCACAAGAUCGUUAUCAGCAGAGAUGUUAUCUUCAUAGAAGAUCAACUGCAAAGGAAAGAUGAAGAUGAUAGUAGUGUAAAAGAAAAGUCAGAGACUAUACCGGUAUAUGUGGAAAAUAAUCCAUAAGAUUCAGAUUCUUCUGAAGCAGAACCAGAGCACGAGCAACAAAAACCAGUCGAGUCUGAGGCUCCAGAAGUUCGUCGGUCAACUCGUGAGAGACGACCGCCAAUGUGGCACUCGGAGUAUGUUACAGAGAUCAACGUUGCAUACUGUCUUCUAAUAGAGGAUAGAGAGCCUUUAACUUUCCAUCAAGCUUUAGAAAGCUCAGAUGUUGCUUUGUGGAUGACAGCAAUGCAGGAAGAAAUAAAGCUCUACAUAAUAACAAGACAUGAGAACUUGUACCACUACCACGUGGAAGAAAAGCCAUUGGAAACAAAUGGGUCUACAAAAUCAAACGUGAAGGCAAUGACCAAGUAGAGCGGUGUCGUGCGAGAUUGGUGGUGAAAGGAUAUGCUCAGAAAGAAGGUAUUGACUUCAACGAGAUAUUUUCGCCGGUGGUUUGCCUCACGACGGUCAGAGUAGUCUUGGCAAUGUGUGCUACAUUUGACCUACAUUUAGAGCAGUUAGAUGUGAAAACUACAUUUCUUCAUGGAGAACUUGAAGAAGAAAUAUAUAUGCUCCAACCAGAAGGUUUUGCAGAAACAGGAAAAGAGAACUUGGUUUGCAGGUUGAACAAAUCUUUAUUCGGUCUCAAACAGGCGCUGAGGUGUUGGUAUAAGAGAUUUGAUUCCUUUAUCAUGAGCCUUGGAUACAACAGACUCAGUUCAUACCAUUGUGCAUAUUAUAAAAGGUUUGCAGAUAAUGAUUUCAUUAUUUUACUAUUGUAUGUGGAUGACAUGUUGGUAGCAGGCCCUAACAAAGAUCGAAUCCAAGAAUUGAAGGCACAGUUGGCUAGGGAGUUUGAAAUGAAGGACUUGGGACCAGCAAACAAGAUUUUAGGAAUGCAAAUUCACCGAGACAUAAAUAACAGGAAGAUUUGGCUUUAGCAGAAGAAUUACUUGAAGAAAAUCUUGUGGCGCUUCAACAUGCAAGAUUGUAAGUCAAUUUCUACCCCACUUCCUGUUAAUUUCAAAUUAUCCUCAAGUAUGUGUCCUAGCAAUGAAGCAGAGAGGAAGGAGAUGUCUCGAGUACCGUAUGCAUCAGUAGUGGGAAGUUUAAUGUUCGCUAUGAUAUGUACUAGACCAGACAUUGCACAAGUAGUGGGAGCAGUCAGUCGAUACAUGGCGAAUCCCGGUGGAGAGCAUUGGAUAGUUGUGAAGAGGAUUCUGAGAUACAUCAAAGGAACCUCAGAUGUUGCAUUAUGUUACGUAGGAUCAGAGUUUACUGUCAAGGGCUAUGUGGAUUCAGAUUUUGCAGGAGAUCUUGAUAAAAGAAAAUCCACUACUAGUUAUGUGUUUACACUUGCGGGAGCAGCUGUAAGCUGGGUUUCGAAACUGCAGACUGUUGUGGCUUUAUCUACAAUAGAAGCAUAAUACAUGGCAGCUACACAAGCUUGCGAGGAAGCUAUUUGGAUACAAAGAUUAUUGGAGGAGCUCGGGCACAAACAAGAGAAAAAUUAUGUGUUUUGUGACAGUCAGAGUGUCUUUCACAUUGCAAGAAAUCCAGCCUUUUAUUCCAAGACAAAGCAUAUAGGAGUUCAGUAUCACUUCGUUCGAGAAGUAGUGGAAGAUGGAAAUAUGGAUUUACAGAAAAUCCAUACGAAGGAGAACCUAGCAGAUGUUUUGACUAAGCCGAUAAAUGCUGACAAGUUUAUCUGGAGUAGAUCUUCUUGUGGCCUAGCAGAAACGUAGGCAACAUGAUUAUGGCGAAGCAGAAAGGAUGUUGUGGACAUUGAUUGAUUCUCAAUCUAAUCUCCAGGUGGGAGAAUGUCAAAGUCAUGGGCGGUUUAGCAUCAUUAACAUAUUUCAAAAUGGCCACCCAAAUUGAAGGAAAUUAAAGGCCAAGUAGAUGCCGCCCAAGGAAAGAAACAAAAGAAAAAGAAGAAAAAGAAGAAAGAGAGAAGAAAAAGAGAUGUCAGGUCGAAGAAGGAAAAGAAAAGAAAAAUUAAUAAAAUAAUAAUAAUAAUUAAAUAUUAAAUGAACGGUAGCUAAUUUUGGCUAUAAAACCGCUGGCUCCCUUCAUUUGUAAAUCAUCGAGUUCUUCAGUUCUUUUCUUUAUUUAAAGAGUGAUUUUAAGAGUCUAGUGAUUUGAGAGUUUGGGUGUAUUGGGAUUUUGGGUAGUAAGCUAAAAUACCACAAUACUUGUAAAUCAUUUUCACUAGUAAAAUAUUUUCCUCAUGUUUUCGCCCGUGGACGUAGGCUAAAAGUCGAACCACGUAAUUUCUUGUGUCCAUUUUUUGUGCUUGUUCUUUAUUUUUUUUCCAAUUUCACUUUAUCUGCAUGUCUGCUUCACCCACCAAGUUCCUAACAGAGUAAAGAUUUCAUCAGAGUAAGUAAUACAAAUGAAUUGUAAAAGAACAAGACUUAAGCGUGCACCCCGUGUUUUGUUUUAUUCGUAUAAACAUAACAUGUUCAUUUUUAACAAAGUGGUCAAUAACUCUAUUCGCUAUGAAAAUGAUAUUGUACCCAAUUUUAAGAGAGCAUAACAAUAACCAUUCAAUGCAUAAAUUUAGAAUUUUUUUUUUGUAAUUCUUUAUUUAAAUAUAAACGUCGAUGGAAAAUUAUAAAAAUUUAGAUAUGAAAUUUUAAGUCACCAGACAAAAAAAAAAAAAAAAAAAAGGGGAACAGAAAUAGAGGAAUCUUGCUUUACCUUUUUUUUUUUUUCCUUUAACUCUUGUUCUUAUAUAAAUAAUCUUGUUUUGAUGAUUGUAACUCGUGACUGCGGGAAAUUUUCUAAUGGAAACAACUAAUUUCGGAAGAUAAGCUUAAUUACGCAAGUGAUGAAUUUGUUCAAUUGACUCUGUACUUGAACUAGUUGGAUUGGUUGAUUGAUGAUUGACUAAAUUUGAAUUAAGUUUAAUAGCUAUGAUGUGCUCCUUAAAAGCAAACGUAAAUCUUUUUUAGAUUUGACUGAAUUUGGGAACCUGUUGGAUUGAUUGUUUUUAGAUCAUUAAUAUCGGUUACUACAACGUAAAUAUUUUAUUGUGGUUGAGUCCUAUUCUCAAAUCAGUAGGUUGCCUUAGAAAAAGGGCUUUUCUCACUGAUCUUUUUUUUUUCUUUAAUUCACACGCACUUGAUUAUUGACUUCUUUCAUGAAGAAAUAAACUUGUAAUGACUUAAAGAUUUAAUUUCAAGUUAGAAUCAAUACCAAAAGACGGAGGUUUAACAAAGCCGUUUAGUGUGAUAAAAGUACUUUAAAAAAUGUUGUUCGACCCAAUUAAGUUGAAGAAAUAACAAAGUUUUCAUGGAAUAAAUACCGGUUGUGCUUUAAUGAUUUUGGCAUAGACAUUGCUUGUGUACUGUGAAAUCGAAAUGAAUUACUGUGAAAUUGAAAUGAAUAUUAAGUGACAGCGCGAUGUAUAUGCCUAAUAAAAGAUCAGCAAAAGCUUGGAUGAAUGAUUGAGGACCAAAACUUUUAUAAAAGCAUUUUUGAGAGAAACUAAACACCAAAUUAUCAAAGUAAGAUCAACAGUAUAUGAUUUGAUUUAUACAUAUUCAAAAACAAAAUAAUGAUUAAUAAUAAAGUUUGAUUUUGUAUUGCCAACGAUGCUUUUUUGUUGUUUCAUUUGUUCGACGUGGCCUUAUUUACAAAUUGGUUUAUGUUAACAGAAACAUAAAAUUCACAUCACACAAAAUUCCACGAACAAAUAUUAAGAGAACGUAAUAAUAAUCACUCAAUGCAUAAGGGUAAAUUUAGAAUUACAUAUUCUUUUUUAUUUAAUAAAAUCCCAACGGGAAGUCAUAAAAAUUUAGAUAUAAAAUUUUCAAUCACCAAACAAAAAAACAGGGGGAAUGAAAACACAGAAAACUUAUUUUAACUUUUUUUUCAUCUAACUCUUGUUCUUAUAUAAUAUUUUCCCUAGUAUUUCAGGCAAAAAAAAAAAAUCAAUAGAGAGCAAGUUGCUCAAAUUGAUUUAUCUUGUUUUUCAGGCAAUCUUGUGAUAUGAUGAUAAAGCUCAUGAAUGCUAGAAAACUUCUAAUGCAAACAACUCUAUUUGGGAUGAUAAGCUUAAUUUUACAAGCGAUAAAUAUAAAUAACUUUUUGUGGUUAAUUGAAUUUGUAAUUACUCUUAGCCCUAUUCUAAAAUUUGUAGGCUGCUUCAGAAAAGAAAAAAAAAAAUUCUUACUCAUCUUUAAUCUUCAAGUAAAAAGCAAAUCUAAUAAAAUGAAAAACAAACAAACAAGUAAAAGACAGCAAACAAACAACAUUUAACCAACUGAUAUUUAAACAAGGAAUUCUUUCUUCUUCCUUUUUCUUCCCCCCCCCCCCCCCCCCCCCGGGGCUCAUGGAUUAGAGUUUUUGCUAUUAACUGAAAGGUUUCAAGGGUCUGAAUAAAAUCCCAGACUUUUUUUUUUAAUUAACCAAAGCCAUAUAAUAAGAUCACAGACUUUAACAAUGAACAAUAAUUUGAAACUCAAGCAAAACCAAUGACAAGAUUAAAACAAACCAGAGAAAUUUUUUCUUGGAAAGUAGAUGAAAACUAAGUAAGAACUGCUAUUAAAGGAUAUUAUUAAAGGAUUUAGAACAUGUAUACCUCUUUAUUUAUAUGGGAUCAGAGAGUCGAUGACCUCCUCUAUUCGCUUCGGAUAUUAAGUAAGAACUGCUAUCAAAAGAAUGAAUUGAUGAGAGAAAUAACAGUGAAUUGCAAAAGAGGAAGACUUAAUCACGUACCCCUAUUAUACCCGAUUUUUAAGAUUUAAUUUUGAAGUCCAGAAUCAAGACAAAAGACGAAGCCUUAAAAAAUAUGCAGUGAGAAUAAUUAAGUUGAAGAAAGCACUAGUUUAUGGCUCAGUGUUUCAUAUGCUGUAAUGAAAUAAUUAAGUUGAAGUUUUUAACGAAUAAAUACAUGUUGUGCUAGAAUAAUUUUAGAAGAAUAUUGGCUUAUAGAGCAUAUUAGUAGGGAUAAGAUAGAAUAAAUGAAAUAAUAAAAAGCAUAACUGAUCAAGUCAUUAUUGAUCUUACUUUGAUUAUUACAUUGCACAUUAGUUUCUUUCUAAAAAUGUCAUUCUUCAUUCAAGCUUUUGCUUUAUCUUUUAUCAGGCAUCCUACUGUUGAUGCCCAAAUCUGAUCUAGUCUAUUAGUGACUUAAUAUCAGACUUCUACACUAGCAUUAGAUUUAUUUGGUAGAGAAUCGAUUGGUCAAUUGUCAAGAUGUCCUGCAACCACUAGCGAUUAACCUGCGAAUACCUGAAAUCAUAGAAGACGGUCAGAGGCGCUGGAAGUUUUUCCGGCGUGAACCCUCUAACGCUCAAGUCAGUUUCUGGGCCUUUGCCAAAAAACUUGUGCCACCACUCAUAUGGCUUAAUAAACAUUAACUUAAAAACCAAAAGCUUUUUGAGUAACUUGCAGAAAAAUGAAAUAGAGUGUAAAAGAAAGGAUUUUCCAUGAGAAGAAGAGAGAAAAAGAUGCCUUACAGACCCCGAAAAAAUAAAUAAAUCCUCCUUUUAAGGUCACGCCCCACUCCCCUCUUUUCCCCUUUGUUCUCCUCCACUUACGGAAGUUAAGGAUGAGUAAAAGUAAUGCCUCUACUCUCCAUUUUUUUCUCCUUUUUCCGUUACCAAACACUAGUCCCCCAGUUUCUAGUGUUGAGAGUUUUAACGAAUCAAGACUGGAAACUAUAUGAAUUUUAAAGUGACCUUGAUGUGGUUGGCAUAAAUCGGCUCGGGAUUGCUAAAAUUAACCUUACUAUUUGCAAAAAAUUUCAAGUUUUAAACUUUUACAUGCCUUUAAAUAUACCAUUUUCCUACUUGCAUAAUCAUGUAAAGCAGGUUUCAUAAGUUCACGUAUUUAUCUCACCUAAAGUAGGUUUUGAGACUUAGUCAUUUAUCUGCUUUAGAAUAUUUUUCACUCAUAUAACUCUUGCUCGCCUAAUCUUGGUCGGGCAAGAGCAGGCAAACUUUGACUUCAUCUCACUGCGAGGAGGUUUAAAGACUGUAAGCCUUUUACUUGAAGUACCCUUUGUUUUUUUUUUUUUUAACUUUCUGCUCGCCUUCACAUGGUUGAGCAGAUUCUGGCAAGCUUGAUUUCUUAUCUCGCCAUCGAGCAGACUUUGAGACUUUAAAGUCUUUUGUGUGCCUUAGAAACUUUCUUGGGAUUUUUGUUCUCUGCUCGCCUUUACAUGGUCGAGCAGAUUCUGGCGAGCUUGGCUUCCUGUCUCGCCAUCAAGGAGGCUUUGCGACUUUGGAGCCUUUGCUUGCCUUAGAAACUUUUUUGGAACUUUUGUGGUCUGCUCGCCUUCGCUUAGUCGAGCAGAUCCUGGCAUGCUUGGCUUCCUGUCUUGCCAUAAAAUAGGCUUUGAGACUUUGGAGCCUUUGCUUGCCUUAGAAACUUUUUUGGAAUUCUCAUUUUUUGCUCGCCUUCACAUGGUCGAGCAGAUUCUGGCGAGCUUGGCUUCCUGUCUCGCCAUUGAGGAGGCUUUGAGACUUUGAAGCCUUUGCUUGCCUUAGAAACUUUUUUGGAACUUUUGUGGUCUGCUCGCCUUCGCUUGGUCGAGCAGAUCCUGGCAUGCUUGGCUUCCUGUCUCGCCAUAAAAUAGGCUUUGAGGCUUUGGAGCCUUUGCUUGCCUUAGAAACUUUUUUGGAACUUUUGUGGUCUGCUCGCCUUCGCUUGGUCGAGCAGAUCCUGGUAUGCUUGGCUUCCUGUCUCACCAUAAAACAGGCUUUGAGACUUUGGAGCCUUUGCGUGCCUUAGAAGAUUUUUGAAACUUUUUUGGUCUGCUCGCUUUCGCUUGGUCGAGCAGAUCCUGGCAUGCUUGGCUUCCUGUCUCACCAUAAAACAGGCUUUGAGACUUUGGAGCCUUUGCGUGCCUUAGAAGAUUUUUGAAACUUUUUUGGUCUGCUCGCCUUCGCUUGGUUGAGCAGAUCCUGGCAUGCUUGGCUUCCUGUCUCGCCAUAAAACAGGCUUUGAGACUUUGGAGCCUUUGCGUGCCUUAGAAGAUUUUUGAAACUUUUUUGGUCUGCUCGCCUUCGCUUGGUCGAGCAGAUCCUGGCAUGCUUGCUUCCUGUCUCGCCAUAAAACAGGCUUUGAGACUUUGGAGCCUUUGCGUGCCUUAGAAGAUUUUUGAAACUUUUUUGGUCUGCUCGCCUUCGCUUGGUCGAGCAGAUCCUGGCAUGCUUGCUUCCUGUCUCGCCAUAAAACAGGCUUUGAGACUUUGGAGCCUUUGCGUGCCUUAGAAGAUUUUUGAAACUUUUUUGGUCUGCUCGCCUUCGCUUGGUCGAGUAAAUGUGGCUUCCUGUCUCGCCAUAAAACAAGCUUUGAGACUUUAGAGCCUUUGCGUGAUGAUGGGUGUCGAAGCCAACAAAAAUAAAUUCCUACUCUAAAUAAAUUGUGUAUAGUGAUUGAGCAGGGUCGUGUCCACAGAGAUCGGUAAUUAUUUAAAUCCUUUUGAAACGUAAAAAUAAAAUGGGGGUUUUGUUGACAAUAAUAAAAAUCAAAUUAAAAUAACGAGAAUGCAAAUUAAAGUUGUAAUUCAAAUUGGAGAAAGCUCUGGUUGAAGGAAUUAACUCAGCUUGAUUCGACUACUGAUCAUUGAUUCAAAUAAAGAUUAUUAUUACUUAUGAAUAGACCGGUUAUAGCUAUUGAGACCCUCUAAUAGCCAAUCUCUCCUUAACUAGUCGAUAACCAAGGUACGACCGUUGGAUAUUUCCCUAAUCAAAUAGACAACCCUAGAUACGAUCAUAAGAUUUAAUCAAUUGACAGCCUGAAAAACCAGAGAGACCCAAAUCCUAAUCAACACAUAUGAUGAUUCAUUUAAAUUAGAUUGUUUAUUCUCACAACACAACUCUCUGCUAUGUUAUUUGUCACAAAUAUUAAAUUCUUCAUACGAUGAAUCCUUUAAUUGACAAUAGAUUAAGUUGAUAAUUAAAUAGUGGCCAAUUACCUAAUUAACAAACAUAAUCAUGAAACUAAUUCAGAGAAUAAACAAAUACCCAAAGAGCAAUAAAACAAUUAAAGCACAAGAAAGAUCUCACAGUAGUGAUGAAUCAAAGCUUCAUUAUCCUUCAACCAGAAAAUAAGUUUAGUUCUCCAUAGAGAGAAGAGAAAAAUUAGCUCUAGGGUUUCUUUCUUUUUCUCCAAUCCCAAAAAAUCCCCCUUUUCACAAUAGAUUCCUCCCUUAAAUACUCUCUCUCUCUUCUCUUUUAGAGUUCUAUUUAAAAUAAAAUACUAAUAUUUGAAAUAUUAAAUUCGUAAUAAAAAAAUAGCCAAAAAUACAAAACACGUUAAACUAAAAACUGCAAGUCCGCAGUUGACAGCACGCGCCCACGCCUUAUCAACAAAGUUCUUCUGCCGCUCAUAAUUUCUCCAAGAAAACAAUCAUCCUUAAACAUCAUCUUAUAGCUCAAUUUUAUCACCAAUCAAUAGAAUUGCACCUACAAAAGUAAAACACAAGUAAAUCACUAUUAUUAAAUGCAAAACAUCGAUAUUAAGGGAAGUAAACAAUGCAAAACUAGUGCAUAAAUUGCACUCUAACACGUGCCUUCAAUGUGCUCUUAUUUGAGGUUUUUGCUUUAAAUCCUUACAUAUGGAUAACCAUCAAAAAUUUAAUUUCGGACUUGUAACUUAUAACUUGUCCAGAAAAUAGCUCUCAUUUACAACUUGCGCUUUAGCUAUUUAUAUAUGUUUGGGCCUUUGAUGGAUAAACAUCCUUGGUGUUUUUAUUACCAUCUAUAAUAUUUGGUUAGCAAUAUUAUUAAAGACCUUUGCUAAAGGUGCAGAGCACCAUUUACCAACACUAAAGAUAUUAAAAUUUAUAUAUAAAAUAAAUCAUAUUAUAUAAAAUAUGUAAUCAACAAAUAAAUGGUACCAUAAAAGUUUAAGCAAAGUCAUAUCACUGUAUCAAGGAAAUACGAUCUCAUGCUAACCCAAGUUCCAUCAAUCCUUCGGUCAAGCAUGUUGUGUGCUAAUAUAUGACUAUGCUAUAUAUUCUAUAAUAUGUAAUCUUAACUAUUUUCUAUUAACGACUUAAUAAGUCAAAACCCCAUCCAUCAGAUUUUUGAAGUCAAGUAGUGGAUUUAAAGGAUAAAUAUAAAACUGAGGUAUUAGAACAAGUGCACCUGAGAUUGUGCUCUGCAUUAUUUCAUUAGUACUUCAUCAAACAAAUCUCGAGCUUGACUCUGCUUUGCUCCCUUCUUAGAAUUAUUCUUGCAAUAUUUUAACAUGGGCACAAAACGGAUAAAAUAUGAAGGAAACAAAAAUCCAACUUCAUCAAUUCUUUGAAGCUUGAAGACAUGCCUAUCAAGCAUAUAUGUAGUGUAUGUAGUGUAAUCAGCAACAAACUCACUUUUGAACUUUCAUAUCCCUUGAGGCGAUUUAACGAAUAGCUCCUGAUUUGAAUUUUAACAAUUCGGCCUCAACUUGUAAUGAACCGAGUUUCAUACCAGAAUUGUCUAAAUACUUUCCCUGCAUAUUCUUCACAUGAAAACUAGCAGCAUGAUUGAUUGAUGGGGUGUAAAACCAGCAGGAAAUAUCUUGAAGAAACCACAGAUCCGUGGAUUUUUUAUGCUUACCACCAAAUGAAUUUAACAAUUUGUGUGAUCUUUAUUUUAAGAAAUUGAACAUUGCUAAUACCGCAAAUCGAUUGCUCUUUUGAACAGACUUUAUAUCUUGAGUUCGAUGAAAAGAGAACAAUCAAUCAAGAAAUAUAAAUACAUCAGCAAAAUAAUGAUGGUAGCAGCAUUACACAUCUAAUUAGCCAUAACGAAGCUGAAUAAUUAGCCAUAAUAAAUCUGAAAUGUUAACAUUAUGUCAAGCAUGUUGUUGGAAAAUACUAAAUUAAUUCAUUUGCAAGUAUAAUAGCAUGUAAUCUUGAAUUAUGAAUGAAGCCCAUUCUAACAAGCUAAUUUUGUGAAGGAACAUUAUCAACGAAUUCCAAGGGAUAAUAUUCAAUUUCAGCAAAUAUAUCAUGCACGGUAUUGAAACAUGCAUGUUAUUAAAGAAUUUCCAAGCAUCUCUCAGUUGAUAAAUCAAUCAUCAUAGCAAUUGGAAAUUGAAUUUUAAUGACAAUAUACUUAAAGCAAUAAAUAAGCCAAAACCUUUACAGGUAAGCAUUCCAUCCAGCCUUGAUUGGCUUCCGUGUUUGAGCCAGCUUAUCAAUUUGUGCAUGAUAAUAUUAUGCCUUUGGCUUGGCCGGAUGCAAAAUUGGUAGAGACAAGAAGUUGGCUUUUUGUAUCGAUUCCCCACAGACGGUGCCAAAUGUUGAUGCCCAAAUCUGAUCUAGUCUAUUAGCGACUUAAUAUCAAACUUCUACACCAGCAUUAGAUUUAUUUGGUAGAGAAUCGAUUGGUCAAUCGUCAAGAUGUCCUGCAACCACUAGCGAUUAACUUGCGAAUAUUUAAAAUCAUAGAAGACGGUCAGAGGCGCCGAAAGUUUUUCCGGCGUGAACCCUCCGACGCUCAAGUCAGUUUCUGGGCCUUUGCCAAAAAACUUGUGCUACCACUCAUAUGGCUUAAUAAACAUUACCUUAAAAACCAAAAGUUUUUUGAGUAAUUUGCAGAAAAAUGAAAUAGAGUGUAAAAGAAAGGAUUUUCCAUGAGAGGAAGAGAGAAAAAGAUGCCCUGCAGACCCCGAAAAAAUAAAUAAAUCCUCCUUUUAAGGUCAUGCCCCACUCCCCUCUUUUCCCCUUUGUUCUCCUCCACUUAUUGAAGUUAAGGAUGAGAUAAAAGUAAUGCCUCCACUGUCCAUUUUUUUUCUCCUUUUUCCGUUACCAAACACCUACAAAUCUUAUCCCUACUAAUAUCCUCUAUAAGCCAAUAUUCUUCUAAAAUUAUUAAAUGCCAUUCUUCAUUCAAGCUUUCAUGGACAUUAUUUACAAAUUGUUCUUGUAUUUGACAGAAAAAUGAAAACGCCUCGUCAUACAAAACUGGAUGAACAAAUCUUCUGUUUAAUUGUGAUAAAAUAAUAAAUUCCAUUAACAGAUUCAGCUGUAUGUUAAUGUGAGGGAUUUGAUCAGAUGAUCAUAUAAUUUACUACACGCUUUAAGAAGAACAAGAAUUGAUGACUUAAAAAUUAAAAAAUAAACAAAUAAAGAGUAGAUACAAAGAAUGUUAUUUGCAAUCACCAAACUGAAGAACAUGGGAAUGAUAACAGAGGACGGUUGAUGCAACAUUAUGAAGUCAAAAUUAAGAAAGGCCUUUUUUCCUUUUUUUUUUUUACAUUAUUCUAUUUAAUCUUACAUAAGGCGCACACUACGAAUAUAAAUUAAAUUCAUAAUUAAGAAUAAACGAUAAACCCUAACAAUCAUCUAGCAAGUACCGUGUAGACUGCAUCAAAAAUUUAGAUUUAAAUUUUUACAAUCACCAAAUGGAAAAACAGGGGACUGAAAACAAAGGAGCCCUGUUUCCAGAAACCGGGGAGUUUCCGGGUUUCUGGAAACAAACUCAGAAACGAAUGAACUGGCUGCCGGCGGUACUUUCUAGAUAAAUCGCUUGGUGUAUAUAAGCUUUCAUGGUCUGGUUUUAGUCUGGUUAGGUUCAGCCACUGUGACUGUUAGGGAUUCUCGUAAACUGAAUUUAAAGUUGCGGCUUAAAGUGUUUACCAACUUAAAACCAGAGCUAUAAAGUGUUUGAUGAAUUAUUUUUUAAUUUAAAAAAAAAAAACUGAUUUAGCGGGAUAAAAUAAUGCUCCAUUCCGUUUAGUAUGUGAAGUCCAGAGUAUUACCUACUACUAACUAAAUCCGCUUGAUUCACAAGACUACCAAGAGAUAACUGAAUCUUCAAUGUAAUAAAAUAAUAAUCAGCCUCACAGGAUACAUAAAAAGCUCAUUUAUCACAAUCAUAUCCUAGUGCAUCAUAAAUUUAGAUUAUUUACUUUUACUAUUAGGAAACCUACUUAUAUAAGGCGCAAACCACAAAUUCUAAAUUAAAUACCUAACUAGGAAUAAAAGAUAAACCCUAACAGUCAUACACCAGGUGCCGUGUAGCCUGCAUCAUAAAUUCUGAUUUAAAUAUUUGCAAUCACCGAACAGAAAAACAGGGGAACGAAAACAGAGGAGCCCUAUUUUUCCAUUUUUUUAACCCUUAACUCUUGCUCUUCUAAUUAUAUUUUUCCUUGGAAUUUCAAGUAUGAGAUGAAUUUGGAGAAAGUAAAUAAAUUUGAAUUACGUGAAAAAUUCUAAUUUUUUUAACCCUUAACAGUUGGUAUAUUUUUUUUAGGUCAUAUAUUAAUAAUUUCUUUUAAAAAAAAUUUAUAAUAUCAAUUAAUAUUAUAACCUACAGAUUAAUACAGAUAAAAAUAUGAUUGAUUUAUCUCCACCACCUAAGUCUUAGCCAAAUUUAAUUAAAGAUUAAUUUAAUAAAUUACCGAAAAUAAUAAAGUAAACGAAAAAUAAAGCACGCAAUUAAGUAAUCAUGCUUCUAAAGGGCUAAUUAACCAUAAUAGGCAUAGGUAUUAAUUUGACUUCUAUGAAAGUCCCUUCUAGUUUCUCAAAAUUCAAAAAUUACAAUAAAAAGCCAAAGAAAAAGUCAAUGCUUCUAAAGUAGAAAAGUUUGAGUACUAGAUAGGCUGCCCAAAAUACAUUUUCAUUACUCACAUAUCUCUAUAGAAAGUAAUUUUUUUAAUAAAAACAACCUAUUUGGCUAAUAUUCAGUCGUCUUUUUUGUUGAUGGAAUUAUCCUCUUAACAAUAUUUUAAAAAGUUUACAUGAAUAUUCCUUUUUUUUUAAAAAAAAGAAUUAAUAACGUGUAUUGUUAGGAUAAAAAUGAUCAUCAAUACGUAUGUAUAUAGGCACAAAUAUAUGAAAAAAAAUCAAGUUUAAGUACAAUGUAUAGGUCAAUGCCUAAGAGUCAAGCCUAAAUUAGGGCAACAUAUAACUACAAAAUACAAUUUCGUACACUACAAAAUUUUGAUAUCAGCAGUAGGGGUAUAAAAAAAUCAUUGUUGCCAAAAAUCCAAAAGCUAACUAGAGGUUUGGUUUUGUUUCAAAAAUUAAAAAAACAAGUCAAUUCGUAAAAUCAAAAACAGAAAAAGAAAAACAAAAUAUAGAGGAAUUUACAGUUUAAAAAGAAAAACCAAGCCAAAACGAAAUUGAAUCGAAAGUCGAACCAACUCAGUUCAGUUUGAUUUGAAUUUUAUUUUAUAAAAAAAAAUGAUCGGAACCAACUAAACUGUAUUAUGUUAUAAAUUAUUAUAUAACAUAAAUUUUUGAAUACCUUUGUGACGAGCACAAUUUAAAAUUUUAUGAUUUUAAAUUUUAACAUUAAUGGAGAGUUAAUACUCCACCAUUUUCCAAUUUUUACAAUACAUAUUACUAGUUUAGAUAUGCUGUAUAUUAUUGUUAUAAUUUUUCGAGCAAGAUAAUAUUUGUCAAUUGGUGUUAUGACAUCAAAAUACUUGGUAUUAGUUAGUGCUAAGUGCUUCUUUUUCUUAAAAAAAGCGGUUCCUUAGUUUUAAAACAAAAAUCAUUAUCCUGAAAUUCUCCAUUUGCUUUGUUAACAGAUAUAACAAAAUAAAGUGAUAAAAGUUUAAUUUAUAAAACUUCGGCAUUUAUAUCUAUCAGAUUCAACACUUUAGUGUCAUAGAUUUAUUUCGGUGGAGCACGAUGUGGGUCGGGCCAGGCUUAGAAUUUUAAGCACGAGAGCCUUAAAAAUAUGAUAUGAUUAGAGAUGGACUGAGCACAGCACGAUGAAAAUGCCCACAAUAAGCACAUUAUAUUUUUUUUUUAUUGAAAAUAAACUUAAAAUUUUAUGUUUUAUAAAUAACUUGAAGUUGAAUUUUUUAAAUUCAUUUAAUUCUUAGUUUAAAAAAAUAUUAUAAUUAAUUUAUAUUCAUAAUUUAUUAAAUAAAUAAUUGAUAUCAUGAUUUUAAUGAAUAAAAUUAUAAAUAUCACGAUUUUAUAAAUAUGCAUUAAUAUUAUUGUGAACUAUGAUCUAUGACUCUAUGUAACUCUAAGUUAACAAUUAAGUUAGCCCUUAAGAAAAUAUUAUUAUUAUUGUUGUUGUUGUUGUUGUUGUUGUUGUUGUUGUUGAGUAUUAAAAAAAUUAUAAUACUAAGAGAUCAAACUUAGUAAUUAAUAUUAAAUUUUCUUACUAUUAUUAGUUUAUUAUUAUUGAAUAUAAACUUGAGUUUUGAUUUUUUGAUUCUAUUAAAUUUGAAUAAAAGUAUAGACCUAAGAAAAAUAUAUAGACUUGAAAAAAAUAUGCCAACAGUUUAGUAUGCCCCUUAAAAAAUUUAAAAAAAAAAAGAAAAAAACUUAGUGAGCUUUUUUUCUUAGGCAUGGCACGGCAUGUAUCGGCAUGUGUGCUAGGCCGAACCUAAACAAAAAAAUAAAUAAAUAAAUCUUGACACGACACAACACAAGCAUAAGCACGCAUGGGCCUUACUUACCGCCCGACCCAUUGAGCAUCUCUAACUGUAUCUAUCUCCGCCAUAAUAAAUUAAACAUCGGGUAACUACUAGACUAGGCAUUAGCACAUAAACUAACUAACUAUAGUACCAAAAAGAAUGAUGCGACAUUGUAAAAGAGAUGGGGCAAAGGGCAGAAUGGGAAACGAAUGAACCAAAUAAUAGUAUAUAAUAAUAUGAAUUUGGUAAAAAUAAAAAAUAAAUAAAGUAAAGUGGUGACACGUACCUCCUUUUAUUUCUCGAUCGAGUAGUGCAGAAAGUGGAGUGUGUGUGUGUGUGUUAAUUGUGAAAUGUCAGCCAAUUUUUUCUCUCUCAUUCUGAAACAGCUCAGCAGGAAUGGUGUACACUAGAGACGUCUGUCUGUCAGUCAGAACUGCCAAAAGAGCAAAACGGGUGCACGUACAAAUUAAAGCAGCCAAUCAGCGAUAUAUUUCAGUUACUUAAAGCUAGCACAGAGGGAACAAGCAAUGUGCAGGGCCAAAAGAGAUGAGACCCCUGAACCCGAACCCUCCUGAAUGAUCUGAUCACAUCUGAUUCGAUGUCUCGAGUCAUUAGAUUUAACAUAUUUUAAAAAUAUUUCUCAGUUAAUAUGUGAUUUAAUUAAAGGUCAAGUUUACAUCUGAAACUGAACUUAUUAAAAAUUAAUUUGAAAUAACAUCUAAGCUAUCUAUUUGUUUAUAAUAAAAUUUAAUUGUCAUAUCAGAAUUAUUUUCCGUUAGACUUUACAAUAAGUUAAUCCCAAAUAAAUUGACAAUUUCAAUUUUAAAGUUAGUUUGUAACUUUAAAAUAAUUUUCUAAUAAAAAUUUAAUCUGAAACAUCUGCAAUAAUAUCAAGUAUUUUGAUGUCAUAACACCAAUGUUUCACAUGCACACACAAGUCAUAUAUAAGUUAAUAAAAACAUCAUUUGUUAUUAACAAAAUCAUGUUAAUUUUUAAUUCUUAAAUUAACUCCCUGUUAAAUUUUGGCUAAAUCAUUAUUGCAAUUUAUAAAUUAAUAUUUAUAAAAAAUUAUGAAUCAUCCAAAAAGCUGCUUGAUAUAGAUUAAUUUCAUGGUCAUCAAUUUUUUUUUUAUUUAUACACCUUUAAAUUAUCACUUGUAUCAUAUGAAAAGACUAUAUUACCCCUCUAACAUCAUCAUAUUUAAACGGCAACUAAGCUAUGGUGAACGACAUUAUAUUUUGUCAACUUAAGAUGAAUGACUGAUAUACGCUAAAAGUAUUGUAGUAAAUUUGAUAAUAAAGUAUACAAUUGAUAAUUUUCCUAUUUAUAAUUUAUCCCCUUAAUUAUGAGUAAUUUUGUUUUUGUCUUCAUUUGUCCCUUUCCUACAAAACCAUUACUAAUGUACAAGUUACAUAUAUAAAACAUUCUUCUUUAAUCAAGUUUGGAAUAUUUUCAUCCUUAUGUAAAAUUAUGCAUAUAUCUUUUGAGUUUCUCAAUUGUACUUGAAAAAAAAAAUUACAUUUAAUCACGGUUGGUUAUCCAUAAAAAAUUUUAGGUGGAAAGUUCACGCGUUUUAAAAUUUAAUUGUGGAAUUAUAUUACAUUUAUUAUUUAGUUUCAAUUUAAUCAUGUAUCAAAUUCAUGUUUUAAAACAUGUGGAAAUUUAUAAUAUAUAAUGAUUCUAUGUAAAUAUAUUAUCUCAUUUCUUCAUUCUUUUGUUAUUAGUUCUCCUCCACUGCAUUAGAUAUAUUUUGAAGUUUUCUAAUGUAAAUGUUACUAACAAAUACGCAUUGAAUAAUUAUCGGGUAGUUUAUAUUAUAAUUUAAUAAUAGCCACAACAUAAAUGUACAAUUUGGUGAUAGUAAAUGACAUUACAUGAAAAUGAAAUCAUCAUGUUGCAAACAAGAUGCAACCAAGGGAUUGCAAACAAUGUUAAGUUACUAUUGGGUCACUUGAACUCCUGGGCUCUCUCCUGUGUAAUUUAUAUUAGACUGUCGCGUACAAAACGCAGACAUAUAUAUACAUACAAGUAGUGCUUUGGCAACAGACACAAUAACCAAGAAGCAGCCCUUGUUUUCAAAUUCAUUCAAAUGCCAGCCUGCAGUUUUGAAUCCUUCAAAUGCCAGCCUGCAGUUUUGAAUCCUUCAAAUUGUGCUCCACCUUUUGAGGGGACGAUGAAGAGUGAAAGAAGAGACAAAUGGCAGAAUAUCAUCCAUUGCAAUGCCUCGUUUCUUAUAUUUCCAUGCCCGAACAGCAAAUUCCACCAAUCUUUUUGCUGCCUUUUCCCUAUCCACUACUGAAGAAACAAUCUCCACCGCCUCUUGGUUCGAAAUCACAUCCCAAACCUGAAGAACAAUCCAUAAUUGAUCUUUCAAACAUUGACAUUAGUUCAGAUCAAAAGAUAAUUCCAAUAUGUGGAUACGUACCCCGUCCGAUGCCAGAAUGACAAAUUGGUCUCGUGUUGUUAUGUUUCUUUGCGUUACAUGGAGCACGGAGAUUAGGCCAUAGUCCUUGACACAGUAAUCACCCAAGGCUCUUGAUAUGGCUAGUCCCGGAGUCUCACCAUUCGGCAUCCAGACUCUGUAUACGCCCGGCUCAUCAUUUAAGCAAAACACAAGCCCUUUGGACUGCGUUAUUCGCUCCGCUUCCUCUGUAUAGGCCAGUGAAGACAAGAACCCGUACGCAGACCUUAAAACACACCCAUAUAUACACCUACACGAGGCAGAAAUAUUUAAGAGAAGAUGAGAUAAUUGAGAUCUGAUUGGUAAAAUAUUGUUAAUUAGUAAAAAAUAAUUAAUAUACUUGCUAUUUAAGUAUUUUACUAAUAUUUUAAACAUCGGUAUUCAAUGAUGUUAAUAUGUGAUUUUAAUAUUAAAUUUAUGUUCUCAUUUAUAACAGUAUGGUCAUCAGUAUUCACAACACAUCAUAUAUUAAUGUAUGGGUUUAUUAAUAUUAACAAACAUUUAUUUCCAAAUAAAUAUGGUAGCCUUAGUAUUUAAGAAUAUUCUUUAUUGUCUAGUCGUCUGUCCAAGGAAGAACGGGCCAUCAUCAAAUUUAUCAAGGGCCUUCUCUAAGUAAUCAAAAGCAGGACCUGUGACAAAUUAAAACUUUUUCCGUGAGUUCAGCACAUAUAUAUACAUAUUCAAAAUGCAUUCUAUUAUAAACAAGUAAGCAAGUUUCAAAUCCUACCAGCUUGUUUUGCUGGGUCUCCUUUGAAUGAAGUAUACACAUCGUUGGUGAAGGUAUCGAUGUGGGAAAACAGUUCAUCAGCAAACUUUCGUUUCUCAGGAUCCUACAAUAUUUUCACAACAUUACUUUACUCAAAGUUGAGAGAGAGAGAGAGAGAGAGAGAAGCUUUUAUUAAAAGCAACAAUGUAAUCAGCAAAAUCUUACAUCAGGUAAAAGUGAAGGCCCUUCAAAAUUGCUGUCAACAUAUUUAAUCAAAUCAAGAGAUUCUCCAAUAACUUUGCCAUUGUGCUCCAGUGCUGGAACCUGUAAAGAAGAACUCUAAUAGGUAAAUAUACUUCAUAACUCCAGCAAUGAUCUCUAAUCUUGCACGAAAAUGUAACAAUCAGUUUAACUCUUUCGUUGUGUUUUCUUGCAAGCAAGCAACUUGCUCAAAUCAGAAUAUGUUAAGAUUUUACUAGGCACACAAAGCACAAAGACACCAUUCCAAUUUUAUUCAGGAACUCCUCCGCACAGAUUACAAGCAUUUCAAUUUCAAAGAUGGGGCAUAAGUGUUGGAGAAUUAACAAAUAAAACACACAAAAAACACACUAUUUUAUUUCUUCAACAACACUCCUCACCAAUUACAACUCUUAUCUUUCACUCUCUACACCUUAGAGAUUUUGCUACUUCACUUGAUGAUUAAACCAAAGGGGAGAGGGGGUAUUUAUACAUGAAACAAACUAAUCACAACCAUUCAUUUAUUCAACUAAUACACAAAUCCUCACCAUCCAUUAAAACCUACCACUCACCUACUUCACCAACCACACCUAACACACCUAACACAAAUAAUUCAAACCUCACCAACCAUACCUACUCAUGGAACCUUCCAUGAGUUGGGCUUGAUUUGGAUCAAGUUUAUGAUCCAACACCUCCCCUUAAACUUGAUCCUGUGACACCAAGCAAACUUCUGAAUCUUAUAAAGUCUUCUUGCUUGAGUGGCUUAGUGAAGAUAUCAGCUGUUUGAUCAUGUGAUUUUACAUACUUGAUUUGCACUUCUUUUGUUGCAAUACACUCUCUUAUAAAAUGAUAGCGAGUGUCUAUGUGUUUACUUCGAUCAUGAAAGACUGGAUUCUUGGAUAGGGCAAUUGCUGAUUUGUUAUCAACACAAAUCUCGGUUGGCUCUUCUUGUGCCAAACUCAACUCCUUCAGCAAAUUUCUGAGCCAAAUUGCAUGACAAACACUUGAUGUGGCAGCUACAUAUUCAGCUUCACAGGUGGAUAGCGUGACAAUUGGUUGCUUCUUUGACAUCCAUGUGAAAGCAGUAUCUCCCAUGAAGAACACAAAUCCUGUGGUGCUCUUUCAAUCAUCUACAUCUCCACCCCAAUCGCUAUCGCUAUAUCCAACAAGCUUAUAGUCAUUAGAAAAUGAGUACAGCAAGCUGAAAUUAGUUGUACCUUUGAUGUAGCGAAGGAUUCUUUUUGCAGCUUUAAAAUGGGUGGUCUUUGGAUUCUCCAUGUAUCGGCUCACAAGUCCAACAGCAUAAAGGAUAUCUGGUCUUGUGCAUGUCAAAUAACGUAGGCUUCCAACCAAACUUUUAAAGAAUGUUGGAUCUAUAUCUUCGCCUUCAUCAAGUUUGGAUAACUUGACUCCGCAUUCCACUGGCGUGCUUAUAGGCUUGCAAUAAUUCAUCUUGAUCCUUUUGAGAAUCUCCUUUGCAUAGCUUUCUUGGGAGAUAAAUAUGUCUUCUUCCUUUUGCUUGACUUCAAUGCCGAGGUAAUAUGCCAUCAGUCCGAUGUCAGUCAUCUCGAACUCUUUGAUCAUCACUCUCUUGAACUCUUCAAACAAGCUUGGAUUACUUCCAGUAAAGAUGAGAUCAUCCACACACAGGCACACAAUCAAAAUAUCUCCAUCUUUUUCUUUGACGUAGAGAGCAUGUUCAUAUGGGCAUUUAGUGAAGCCUUUCUCUUGAAAAUACUUGUCAAUUCUGCUAUUCCAUGCCCUUGGUGCUUGCUUUAACCCGUAGAGAGCUUUCUUCAAUCUCAAAACUUUGUCUUCAUGUCCUUUCACCACAUAGCCUAUUGGUUGUUCGAUGUAAACUUCUUCUUCAAGGAAUCCAUUCAAGAAAGCAGACUUCACAUCCAUUUGAAAAAUCUUCCAUUUGUUCUGAGCAGCCAAAGAAAUAAUAAGUCUAAUAGUUUCAAGUCGAGCUACAGGAGCAAAUACCUCGUCAUAGUCUAUGCCAGCCUUUUGACUAUAGCCUUUUGCAACUAGCCUUGCCUUGUGCUUUUCAAUUUCUCCCUUCGCAUUUCUUUUUGUUUUAUACACCCAUUUGACACCGAUCGCCUUGUGACCUUUUGGAAGAGUAGUAAGCUCCCAAGUAUCAUUCUUCACAAUGGCUUUGAUUUCUUCAUCCAUUGCAGUUCUCCACUUCUCAUCUAGUAUAGCUUCUUAGAAGUUGACUGGCUCACAAUCAGCAAAGAGGCAAAAGAGAGUGAGAUUAUCAUGUCUCUCAGUUACCUCAUAGAGAUCUUGAAGACUCCUUGUACGUUCUUCGAUUCUUUCAUUUAAGAAAGACGGCGGUGAAUCUCUGCAUGUGGUUGGUGCUGGUGAGAUAGGUGGAGUAGCAAGCUAUUGUUGUUCGUCUACUUGUUUUAUCUGUGUAUGAUCAUUUUCUUCAAUGGGAAAGAAGUUGAAGUCAUCCACACCAGAGCCAAAAUCCCAUUCUCCUUCUUCAUCAAAAAUUACAUCUCGACUGAUCACGAUCUUCCCGUUGUUUGGAUUGUAAAGCUUGUAUCCUUUGGAGUUGUUGUCGUAGCUGAUGAAGAUGAACUUCUCACUUUUGUCAUCCAGCUUGGCUCUACUUUCGUCUGGUACAUAUACAUGGGCAAUGCUUCCGAAAACUCUUAGAUGGGUGAUGCCGGGUUUUCUUCCACUCCAAGCUUCUUGUGGCGUCUUGCCCCACACGCUUCUUGUUGGAGAUCGAUUGGAUAAGUAGACUGCACAUGCAACUGCUUCAGCCCAAAAUUCUUUAGGUAGCCUCUUACUCUUAAGCAUGCUUCUUGCCAUGUCGAGGAUGGUUCUGUUCUUCCUUUCUGCAACACCAUUUUGUUGGGGGGAUCUUGGAACUGUCAAAGGGCGUCGAAUUCCAUUUGCUUCACAAAACUCUAAAAAUUCUUUGGAAGUGAACUCACCACCUCGAUCAGAUCUCAUGGCUUUAAUCUGGUAUCCACUUUCUUUUUCCACUGCAGCUUUAAACUUCUUGAAAGCUUCAAAGACUUCUGAUUUUUGCUUCAAAAAAUACACCCAAGUUUUUCUUGAAAAAUCAUCUAUGAAGAGAAGGAAGUAGUUACUUUUACCAAGGGAGUUUGGCUUGAAUGGACCGCACACAUCAGUAUGAAUAAGCUCGAGUGGCUUCUGAGCUCUUGAGUUUGACUCCUUUGGAAAGCUCUUUCUGAACUGCUUGCCAAGUAAACAUCCUUCACAAAGUUGAUCAGGGUGAUUGAUGUAUGGUAAGCCUUUCACCAUGUUCUUCUUAGAUAGUAGCUCCAGUCCUCCAAAGUUGAGAUGCCCAUAUCGAAGAUGCCAAGUCCAGGAUUGAUCUUUGUGACAGGCUUUGAGACAUUUUGCAACAUCAUUUUGAAUAUUUAAUGGAAACAUUCUAUUCUUUGACAUUUUCACCUUUGUAAUUAGAUUUCCUUUAUCAUCUCUUAGGAAAAGACUAUAAUCUUUUAAGUGAAUAUCAUAGCCUUUUUCAAAAAGUUGACCCAAACUAAGAAUGUUGCUUUUCAUAUUGGGCACAUAGUAAACAUUCGAAAUUAUUUGGUGACUACCAUCUUUUGCACGAAAAAGAAUGUUACCUCUACCCUUCACUGGUACUUUUGAAUCAUCUCCAAAAGCAACACUGCCAUUCACAGAUUCACUUAGCUGCACGAACAUGCUUUUGUUCCCACUCAUAUGAUUGCUAGCACCUGUGUCAAGAUACCAUGUAUUUUCUUGACCCCCACUUGUGUCAUUGCGUGCUAGUAAAAGUGUGCCAUCUUCACCAUUUUUCUCUUCAGCAUAGUUCACUCUCUCCUCAAUUCUAGUGCUUGGAGCUCUGCAUUCUGAAGCAUAAUGCCCAAACUUUUGACAAUUAUAGCACUGUACUUGAGAUUUGUCAUACCCUCGAUCUUGGAUUGCCUCUGCCUCGUCCUCUGCUUGAGCUUUCUCCUUUUGGCCAUAAUUGGAGUUGUUAUUGAAAUUCCCAACCCUCGUCCAUGACCCACGACCUCUACCUCGUCCCUCGACCUCUACCUCGGACAUAGUGUCUUCUCUCGUUGUCGGAGCUUUCUUCUCUUUUCUUUGGAUUGACUUCCAUCUUGAGAAGUUGUUCUUCGAUUCCCUGCUUCUUUUUUUGUUUCUCUUCAUAGGCUUGUAACCUUCCUUAAAGUUGCUCGAUCGUCAUAUCUUCCACGAACCUUCUUUACUUGCUCCGCUCCUUUGUAAGAGGUCUCUAGUUUCUCCCAUGCUUCUUUUGAGGAGGUUGUACCAGCAAUCUUUUCAAAAGCAUCUUCAUCUAAUGAUUGAAAGAUGAGAUACUUUGCUUUAUUCUCUUUCUUCUUCAAGUCUUUUAAAUUCUCCUUCUGCGCCGCAGUUAAAGUGGCUUCAUUUUCUGGCACAAUAAAGCCUUUCUCCACGACAUCCCAUACGUCAUGUGCACCCAAUAGAGCUUUCAUUUUAAUACUCCAAUUGUCAAACUUACUUCCCUUUAAUUGUGGAACUUAAAAUGACAUCAUACCAUUGUUUGCCAUAACUCACAAAUUGAGUGAAAAUUUGGAGAUUCUGAAAGCACAGAUGGAUCCGGCACGUCGAAAAACCUUGGGAAGGACUCGAGUCAACUUUCAGUCAACGGUCAACGUCGGUCAACGGUCAACACCGGCUUGGUAGUCUUGGUUUGGUCCGGAUUGGUUCAGCUCCAGUUGGCUCGGUUCGACUCGGCUCGGUUCAGCUCGGCUCGGCUUGGUUCAGUUCGGCUCAGCUUGGUUCAACUCGGUGAGUCGACUCAGCUUCAGGACAGAAAACUUCCGAUGGCAAGUGUGGGUGCGUUCGGUCUCGGAUCGGGAUGAUUUUUGCGGCGUCACGUUCCUCUCGUCAAGAUCUUCGAUUUGAUAUGCUAUAUGACUAUAUAUAGCAUCAAACACUAGCUCUGAUACCACUUUGUUGGAGAAUUAACAAAUAAAACACACAAAAAACACACUAUUUUAUUUCUUCAACAACACUCCUCACCAAUUACAACUCUUAUCUUUCACUCUCUACACCUUAGAGAUUUUGCUACUUCACUUGAUGAUUAAACCAAAGGGGAGAGGGGGUAUUUAUACAUGAAACAAACUAAUCACAACCAUUCAUUUAUUCAACUAAUACACAAAUCCUCACCAUCCAUUAAAACCUACCACUCACCUACUUCACCAACCACACCUAACACACCUAACACAAAUAAUUCAAACCUCACCAACCAUACCUACUCAUGGAACCUUCCAUGAGUUGGGCUUGAUUUGGAUCAAGUUUAUGAUCCAACAAUAAGGACACAGAGUCACAUAAUUAGGCUAUUUGGUAUUGAGGUGCUGUAGUUUUUUUAGCUACAGCUGCCACGGACCCAAAAAAAAAAAACUGUAACUAUAAAAUAAAAGUUAAAAAUGCGUAAUAAAUAUGAAUUUUAAAUUAAGAUUUUGACAAAAAUAGUAGAAAUAUUAUAAUUUUACAAAACACUUUUAACUCUAUACCUUUUAAUCCACGGCCGCCCUACCUCAAUACCNNNNNNNNNNNNNNNNNNNNNNNNNNNNNNNNNNNNNNNNNNNNNNNNNNNNNNNNNNNNNNNNNNNNNNNNNNNNNNNNNNNNNNNNNNNNNNNNNNNNNNNNNNNNNNNNNNNNNNNNNNNNNNNNNNNNNNNNNNNNNNNNNNNNNNNNNNNNNNNNNNNNNNNNNNNNNNNNNNNNNNNNNNNNNNNNNNNNNNNNNNNNNNNNNNNNNNNNNNNNNNNNNNNNNNNNNNNNNNNNNNNNNNNNNNNNNNNNNNNNNNNNNNNNNNNNNNNNNNNNNNNNNNNNNNNNNNNNNNNNNNNNNNNNNNNNNNNNNNNNNNNNNNNNNNNNNNNNNNNNNNNNNNNNNNNNNNNNNNNNNNNNNNNNNNNNNNNNNNNNNNNNNNNNNNNNNNNNNNNNNNNNNNNNNNNNNNNNNNNNNNNNNNNNNNNNNNNNNNNNNNNNNNNNNNNNNNNNNNNNNNNNNNNNNNNNNNNNNNNNNNNNNNNNNNNNNNNNNNNNNNNNNNNNNNNNNNNNNNNNNNNNNNNNNNNNNNNNNNNNNNNNNNNNNNNNNNNNNNNNNNNNNNNNNNNNNNNNNNNNNNNNNNNNNNNNNNNNNNNNNNNNNNNNNNNNNNNNNNNNNNNNNNNNNNNNNNNNNNNNNNNNNNNNNNNNNNNNNNNNNNNNNNNNNNNNNNNNNNNNNNNNNNNNNNNNNNNNNNNNNNNNNNNNNNNNNNNNNNNNNNNNNCUGGAAAGAGCUCAAGCUAAUUAAUUGAUUUUUAUCUUUUGGAUGCACUUAAUUGUAAUUAACCGGAUCAAAUUUUGAAACCAAAAUAAUUCACGGGGCAUUCUAGCUUCUAGCUAAUUCAUCCAAAAAAAUAUAAAAUUAUAUAAAAAUAAUAAAAAUACGUGUGAUGUCAGCUUGAUGCGUACAUUCAAAGUUCCAAUUGAAAACAAAUAGAUAUUCAUUUUUCUUGUCAAAUUAUUGAAAGAGACAUCUCUUAAUUUCUUCCAUCACCAGCAACGGUUGAGUGACCUUGUCUUACAUUGUGCAGCAGCCUCCUCGAAGUUAAAAAAAAAAAAAAAAAAUAGCCCAUUAUCUUGGCUUUUGGCUGGAUCCAAAUUUUUGUUAAAUACAAAUAAAUAUAAUAUCAACUUAAAUAUUCCAAUAAACCUUCUAAUAUCUUCUUUGAACAGUUUUAUUUUUAUUUUAUGAGGAGGGAAGAGUAAACCAUUAAAACUAUAAUUCAUCAUAAAUUUAUUGUACCAAUUUUUUUUUUAAAUCCAUAAUUUUGUGAAAUAUAAAUUUUAAGAAUUGAAAAAUAUCAUUAUAGCUUUCAUAUCCAAAGUUAAUUUUGAUAUUUUUGUACAAUUACAUAAUCUUCAAAUGUGGAUAAUGUAAAAGAUGAAAAUUGUCAAAUUAUUAGAUAAUUGUUUUUACAAAAUUUUAACGAUCAGAAAAAUCUUAAUUUAUAUGUCUUAGUUUAAAGAAUUGGUAUUAUCAAAUGUUACUUAAAUGUAAAUAUAAUAUAAAUAUUUUGUGUAUUUAUAUGUUACGUUUAUGAUUUGAUCACUGUUUAUCUAAAUUUUAAUAAAAUCAGACAUAUUUAUGUAAUUUACUCAUAAAAAAAUAAUCCAUGAUUUAAUUUGCAAUGAUCAAAUUGUUGUAUUUUGUCAUAUCAAAAUACAUAUUUUUGUACAAUUACCCAUAAAGUUUAUGCUACAAUCAAGCUAUUUAUAAUAUAAGUGUGAUUUUUGAAUUUAAUAUUGAUAUUAGUAUUAAAUAUGAUAAUAGAAAAAUAUUUUAUUAGAUAUUAAUUGGGUCAUUUGUGUUAUUGUUUUUAAAAAUUAAUGACCUGCAACAUUAAUUGUCAAUAAUGGGUUUUUUUAAAACAUGCUGGUGCCCGGAUGUAAAUGCCGGUACCUCCCAAGUCAGUAGCCUUAUUAUAACAGUGUAUUCCCGUCAGCAUAUUGGCCUGCCCCUGUACCAUUACUCCAAUUGAUGCUGAAAAUAUAACAACAUCAGUGACCGCGUUGUCGUUUCCCGUGAUGUUUAUUCCGAUGCCGGAGAAAUCCUUUUCGCGAUCAUCCCCGCCGAUGUUGAUGUGUUGGCCGAUGAAGGAAUUUCUUAUAUACGUUUCGUGGCCAUCUUGGAUGGAAAUGCCAGCGGUAGUGAAAUGCGAAAUGUAACAAUUGUCCACUGUGGUUCUUAUUGAAUUUAUAAUGGCAAUGCCGCCACCCCUAAAAUUGGAGUCCAACAUAAGCUCCUUCAAAGUAAUGUAUUCGUAUAAUGACGAUGAUGAUGACGAUCUUAACUCUAUGAGAUGUCCGUUGCCCGAAAAAUCAUCCGAUGCUCGGAGGGACCCACCGUGUACCUAUGUAUACAUAUAUAGAUGUUAAAAGUAAGAAUUAAAGUAAGAAUUAAAUUUUAAAUUAAUAUGUGAUUUGGUAUGAUUCCUAGUUACAAAAUUUUGGCAUUUUGUAUUCGGUUUUGUAGUCCUUCAUAAGACUGGCAAAAAUCAUUAUCAAUUAAACAUUAUGUUGUUAUAUUUUUUUAAUGAUCUUUAUUUUAUUUGCUUUAAACAAUAUCUAUUUUUCAAAAACAAUACUUUUGACAAGCAAACCCUAAAGUGGGAUUGAAGCAGAGAUGAAAGAGAAAGCAUGCAUUUUGCACAUGUUUAUAAAAACAAGAGAGUAUAUUUAAUCUCAAUCUGUAAUUCUGUAUAAUGUAUUAUUCUUAAGUUUGAAUCAAAUUAUUCUUGAUUCCAUCUGCCAAUCCAUCUCGGGCCAUUGAAUUAUGCAUAGCUAUUAUGGUAAUGGUCUCUUUAUUCUCCUCACAAUCAAUUAAUUGUGAUGACCAUACUGUUCUCACGAUUCUCAACCGCAAAAAAUUUAAAUAUUGUAUUGUACAUUUUUAUAAACAAAUUUUAUGUCAUCUCCAUUAUUGUGGAAUUUUAAUAUCCUAAUACAAUAUUAUGAUAGUAAUUGGGUCAAUAUGGGUAUUGGGUCAUAUUAUCGUUAUAAAUAUUAAUUUAUUAUAACUGAGUGUGUAAAGUAUCUUUUUUUAUUGUUGUACCAUAUUUAACUUUUGGCUGCAAAUAUAUAUAUACUUAGCAUUAUUUAUAUCAAUAAGUUAAUAUAUAUAUCCUUUUCUUUAGCAUCAAAUUUAAGUUUUUAAAAAGUUAUGAUAAUUCACUAAUUUGGUAUUUAGGAAAUUAAAUCCAUAUCAAUUUAUUAGAUAUCUUAAACCGUAUGUAAAAAUAGAAUAUUGACCAUUAUUCUAUUAGUAAUAUAUCCAUUAAAGAUUUUGACGUGCUAUGGUCUAAAAAAAUUAACUUGGCGGGAUGUUAUGAUUAUAUUCAAGGUGAUAGGCAAGAAAGUUAUGAGGAGACCCCAUUGAAGCCUAUAUAUUAUAGUAUGCAUAAAGACUCAAAAAGUGCACUUGAAAUAACAGUUGUCACUGACAGGUUAAGAUAAGCUACCAAAUUGGCACUUAAAGGAAGAAAUUCUAGUAUUAGUGUCAUAUUUUAUGCCAUAUUAUGUAAUGCAUAUUAGUAAUGAUUUCUUCAUAAUAUCGCAUAUAUAUAAAAGUUCAUCCUAGCUAGAUGCAUUGUAGAUUUUGUAAGAAUUAUUUUACUCUGUCCAAAUGAGUUCACAUUAUUAUCCAAUUUUCCUUUUUUUAAGUUGAUUUAUGAAAGAAAAAAAAAAAUGACACCAAUGUUUUCCACGUCGCCGCAAGUCUCAUCGAUAAAAGUCCAUCUACAAAUUAGUUCAUAAUUCUUUUUGUAACUUCGCUAAAAGCUAGUCAAGUCAUUGCUAGCAAGCCUCAAAAGCACGAAGUACGCGAAUCACGGCGAUAACUGAUAAUAACUUGGUUGUCCGGUUUCGCAUACUAAUUAGCUUGAUUGAAAAUCGUGAAGUAUGGGGCACGACUAACGCAACGCAUACGUCUCAUGCAUUAGGCAAAUAUUGUACGCGACCCAUGUUGAGAGCACAAAUCCACUAUCUACAAGUACUAUAUAUAGAGCUGCAAUGCGUGCUUCAAGUAUUCACAACUUACCCCCAGCUGGCUAGCUAGCCUCUAUAAUUUGAAGGGAAAAAAAAAAAAAAAAAACCUUGUUCAACUUGCAAAUACCUACCAAUUAUUAUGGAGAAAAGCUUUGAUAUCAUUGCCCUGUCUAUGAUCAUUCUGGUGACUUAUUCAUCUAAAAUGGUGUCGGUCGCCGGCCGGUCGCUGCAUGAACCAUCCAUUGUUGAGAAGCAUGAAAAAUGGAUGGCUGAGCAUGGGCGCACUUACAAGGACGACCUGGAGAAGGAAAAGCGGUUUAAGAUAUUCAAAGAAAACCUUGAAUACAUUGAGAAAGCCAAUGAGGAGGCGAAUCGGACGUACAAGUUAGGCACCAAUGAAUUUUCAGACUUAACUAAUGAGGAGUUUCGUGCUUCAUAUACAGGAUACAGGGUGCCAAGCCAGUCAUCUUCAUCACGGCAAUCCACAACAGCAUCCUUCAAGUAUCAAAACCUGACUGACGUUCCAACUAGCAUGGACUGGAGAGAGAAAGGAGCUGUCACUCCUAUUAAGAACCAAGGUCAAUGUGGUAAGUAAAUCGUAUACUAAAUAUUUAUGAAGUAACUAUAAUAGAUUAUUUAGCCUCCAACCUCUUUCAGAACUCAAACUCAGUUGACCAUCAGCUAAUUAAUAAAAACAGCUUGACAACCGUCUGCCAAACCCCUGCUGGGGCAUGUUUCAUGUAACUUAAUCAAGCCUUUUUUUUUUUUUUUUCCCUUAAUAUGUACGAUGCAGGAGACUGUUGGGCAUUUUCAACUGUGGCGGCGGUGGAAGGGGUGACUGAGAUUAGUAGUGGUAAUCUUAUUCCACUUUCGGAGCAGCAAAUACUAGACUGCUCAAUAGAUGGUAACCGUGGAUGCGGUGGCGGUUGGAUGGACAAUGCCUUUAAAUAUAUUAUAAAAAACCAGGGUAUUGCCUCAGAAGCGGAUUAUCCAUACAAGGAAGUCCAAGGGACUUGUGAAGACGCACAGGUCAAGGCAGCUGCUAAAAUUAGUAACUUUGAAGAUGUAAAACCCAAUGAUGAGCAGGCUUUACUCCAAGCUGUAGCCAUGCAGCCAGUAUCAAUUUGCAUUGAAGGAAGUGGACCAGACUUCCAGAGUUACAAAGGCGGUAUUUUUAACGGAGGAUGUGGAACUCAGUGUUCUCAUGCUGUUGCUAUCGUUGGAUAUGGGGCAACUGAAGAUGGAAUGAAGUAUUGGUUAAUUAAGAAUUCAUGGGGGGAGAGCUGGGGUGAGGCCGGCUACAUGAGGAUUCUCAGAGAUGUUGAAGCACCUGAAGGUCUCUGUGGCAUUGCCACUAAACCUUCCUACCCAGUUGCAUGAGUAGCAGUAUUUUAUAUUAUAAUAUUAUUAGCCGCCUCUUAGUAAUGAUGUCUUCAAGCCUACACAUGCAUUAGCCUCGAAAGGCUUAUACGAACCGUAUGAAUCGUAUGAUUCUGUGGUUUUACCUAUGUUGAGUAUUUCAUAAGUUGUAAUUGAACGCCAAUAUUUGGUAUUAGUUAAUGUUAAAUCUCUCGUUUAAAUAUAAGUUUGAUCUUUGCAGUAAUUAGUCAUUUACAUUUAAUGUCACGGAUACUCAAUUCGACCAAGAAAUACAUAGUUUAUAUCUUAGUUACUCUGAUAUUUUAUGUGGCAUGUUAUAUGUAGUUCAUUGAUCAAGUUGUAAGAAUAGUAUGUAAAUAAUUAAUAAUAAAUUUAUUUAUUAUCAUUUAUGAGACAAUAAAUGAUUAGUGGAACAUUAAUUAAAAUACAAACUAUUAUUAUUUAUUUAAGAAAUAUAUAUUGGUCAAUGAAAUUAAUGCAAGACAAAAAGUAACUGAAUUUUGAUUACACGCUUGAUGUCUGGAAGUACAAUGAUUAUGAAUUUGUGUUUAAUUAGGUCAAAGUUUUAAGUUAAAAUAAUCAAACCUAUAUACUCACACUAACUUUUAAAGUUUGAGUGGAAUUUGCCCGCUUUAAUUGGGGUCUCAUACAGCAAAAAAUUUUUGGCCAUCUUGAAUUUCUUUUUCUAUUUACUUAUAAAAAUUUAAAGGCUUGGUAAUUUCCCUCCCCCAAAUUCUGUCUUUAUUCCUAAGUAAAUUAGUUAGUCAUUAUUUCAAUAAUUAAAAUUAUUCUAAGUUCUAAAUUUUGGGCGUGGAGGGAAAGUUAAGCGCAAGUAGCCGUGACUGAUUAAUAUUAAACAAUAUAAUUUAAUGCAUUUUUUUCUUCAUCUAUUUUUUUAAUAUUAGUUUUUGAACAAAAUAGUAGAACGAUAGUUAGAAUUUAUUAAUCAAAUUUUUUUACUUUCAUAUCCAUAUUAUAUUGUCAAUAAUAGUGUCAUGUAAUUAUAAUUAAAAGUAUUUGCAAAUAAUUUUGAAAGUCGACCGCCUCAUCAAAAACUCAGGAUGGCCGAGUGGUCUAAGGCGCCAGACUCAAGUCUGGUCUUCGAAAGAGGGCGUGGGUUCAAAUCCCACUUCUGACAAUGUAAUUUUUUAUUUUUUAUUCAUUUUUUUACAACGUUACGACUAAACGACGUCAUUUUCAUUAAACGGCAAGUCGUUUCAGUCGUCUUCUUUAACGGAAUAAAAAAUAUCUAAACCGAAGACCAAUGUUUCCAAACCCGCUAUAAACCCUACAGAUAACCCUCAUUGCCACUCGCAUCACUGAGUUCUUAACCUGAGUUAAAAUGGCCGAGUCCGCAUCCGAACUCAGUGAGUUCCGGAUUUUUCCGGCGGACUCACCGCCACCACAACCGAAUUCAACCGGAGUUCCGGUUCAUAAUCUAACACCAGAGGAGCUCGUGGCCAAAGCCAUAGCUCCAGUUAAGAAACAGUUUCUUCGUCAUUAAAUUCCAAAAUAAAUUUUAACAUAAUAAUUAAUUCUUUUAAUAGAUAAAAUUUUCUAUAUGCACGAUUGAAUUCAGCCCCAAAAUGUUAAUUAAAAAACAAUUAUCCAAUAUUCAAGAUAGUUUGAAUCGUCAUUCUCAUAUCGUUAUAAUGUCAUGAAAUAAUUGUACAAAAACAAAUGACCAAUAAAUUCACAAACGUAUAAUAUUGCCUAAUGUAAAUAACUUAUUAAUUAAUAUUGAUAUAUUAUUAAUUACUUAAUGUUUUACCUUUUUAUAAAACAUAAAAUUAUGUUUACUUCCAUUCAAGAUAUCCCAAAAAAAUUAAUCUUUUUGGAUGAUUCAUAAUUUUCAAGAGGAUGUUUUUACACCAUACCAUCGUCAAAUUGAUAAGGGCCAUGUUAUUUUUUAUUUAAUUGAUUUAAAUUUCAACUAGAGAGCUAUUGGAAUCGAUCACUGUAAAAGUUAAGUUGUGAUGUAAUCACACAAUCUUGAGAUCUGCUAUUAGAAAAAUAAUUGAAGAACCAAAUCCCAAUGAAAAUACAUCCAAAAUGAUGUCGUUUUGAAUUUGUUCCCAAAAAAAAAAAAAAAUUAAACUCACUAAAAAACAACAUGUGUGUUUUUGUUAACCUUUUAUCGAAUUGUAAUUUAAAUAUUUAUCAUGUACUUUUAUAUUCUAUUCAGGGCUGGCUCAACCAUAUUUGAGGCCUUAGGCAAAUGGUUUUAAUUAGUUUUUCUUAAAAUUUAGGACAAAAAAUAUGUUUAUUAGUUAUGAGUGAUGAUACAGCCACAAACUCUUGUACAAACUGACGUGGUAUUAAUUCAUUGGUUGAAUGAAAAUAUAAAAUAAUAAAAACAAAUCACGUGAGCCAAGUGAUAUUUAAUUCAACCAAUCUUAUCAUGCCACAUCAGUUUGUACAAGAGUUUGUGGUUAUAUCAUUACUCAUUAGUUAUAUAAUAUUUAUUGAAAAUCAAUUCUUUAAACACUCUCUAAAAUGUAAAAUUAUUAAAUAAAAUUAUAUUACACUAUUGUCAAUCCUUGAAAUUUUAAUUCAAUUAUAAUAUUUUUACUUUUUUUUUUAACUCAAAUUACAUCUUUUAUACUACUUCUUUUCUACAUUAAAUUAAUUUUUUUAUUCUUCUAUUUUCUAAAGUUUUUUGAUAUAGUUAUUUAUUUCACAAUAGAAAAAAAAAAGCACACAAAAAAUAGUAGAUGAAUAAAAGAAUGUAUUAAAAAGAAAUAAGAACACAUAAAUAAUACGAUUAAUUAAGAGAAUAAUAAAAAAUAAAAUCUGAAAUUUGAAAUUUGAGAUGAAAUCAUAAAUUAACUUUAUCUUUAUAUUAAUUAUUUGAAGAUUUGAGUAAUGACUAAUAGCCAUAGAGAAUAGAAAAAAACUAUUAGAUUUUUUCUUUUUUUUCUUGAGUGGAAAGUAGAGGAAGCAAGAUUUUUUUUCCCCUCUCUCUCUUUCUUGCUCUCAAAAACGAAGAACAUAUGCUGUCUUCAUUGUUAGAAGAAAAAUUUAAUGGAUAAGUAAUAAAAUGUGGGGCUUUUAUAGAGGUUUAAAAUGAAUAUAAAACUUUUAUAUAAGUUGUUAAUUCUAACAAUGAAAUAACGAAUUUAUAGGAUUGAAACUAUUAAUUUAUCGGUUUUGUAGGAAUUAAAACUACUAAGUACUACAUUAAAUAAACUUUAUAGGAACUCGGUAGUUUAUUUGAGAAAAGAUAAUUACAAAAUAAUAAUAAAUUAGAUGCAUGAUAAUGACUUUUAAAUUCACUUUCCUCUUUUAUAUACAAAAUAAUCAUCUUAUAGGAUUUUCUUGUAAAGUAGGGCUCUAAGCAACCGCCUAAGUUGUCUAGAGAUCGAACUGCUACUGAUUCUAUUACUAAUUUUGAAAUUUUCAGACAUAUUUAAGCUCCACUAUUUUAUUUUUUUAAUCAAAAUAGUAUGUUUAUUAAUAAUGAUUAUAAAAAAAAGAUAAUGAUUCAAUAAUGUUGUUUAUAUAUAUUGAAUCAACUUUAAAAGUCAACAUUUACUUUACACACUCGUAUAAAUGCUAAAAUAACCCUUUAUUUAUGUAUUUUUUAAGGCUGUAGAAUGUAUUCAUUACAAAGAUACAGUACAUUUAAUUUGUGGUAUUCAAAAUUUGAUGAUUACCAUUUUUGAGUUGAUGGUCUUAUGCUUCAUAUUUGCAUUAAUUUUAUGUUUAAUAGUAUGACAGUGAUUUCAUGUAAAGUUUUAUUUCCUAAUUACAAUUUUAAAUUAAUGUUCCUAAAUUUCAUAUUAUCAUUAGUUUCAUAUAUCUUUUAUGUUCAAUAUUAAUGAUUUCAUGUAAUACUCCAAUGAAUUCUAGCUUAAUUAUUACAAUUGUAAGUAGAUGAUCAUAUUAUUUUAUGCUUAAUUUUAUAAUUAAAUUAACGAAUGAAACUGUUGCUACCUUUUCAUAAUUAUUUAUUUUCCAGGAAUCAUUUUUUAGCACUUCUCAAUGUCAUUAUUUGAAAAUUAAAUGAGGGGUUGGGUUUGUAUUCAUUACAUCGGAUGAUUUAUAUUUAAAUAAAUUAUUUCAAUCUCAUAUCGUUAUAUUAUGGGUGAUUUUAUAUCCACAUUUAAAUUUUUAAAGUUGUUAUCUUAACUUUUUAAAAUCAGAGUUGUGUUUAUUUAUCAAUUUAAAACGUCAAUAAUCUACUAUUGGCGUAACAAUUGAUAUUCUCAUUUUGGAAUCAUCAAGAAUCUUAAAAUUUUCAAAGCCACCAUGCUCAAUUUAUACACGAAAAAGAGGAGGGGGGGGGGGGGGGGUAAGAUGCAUGAUCAGAAAUGAAUUUGGCAAGUAUUUGAUUGAGUUGAGAGGUCACUAAUCUCACUUAAUUUGCGAAUCACAAUAUGAUUGUUUUCAAUCGGCACCAAAACGAAGGGCUGGUUUUGGUUAUUAUAGUGCCUUGUUCUAUGAAGGAUUUUGGUUACCCACAUAUGGGAUUGAUCUUUGCUUCUACUCAGUAUAAAUUCUUGAAUUAUACUAUAUAUAUAAAAAAAUAAAAAUUAUAGAACAUGCUAUAAGCGUAUAAAUUGAGACUUUCGUUAAAUUUUAAUUUAUAAUAUUUUUCCGGAGAAAAGUAAUUAGCAUGAAACACAACAGCGGUGAAUCAUCUCAUUUUUCAAGAAAUAAUAUUUGUCAGAGCUUUUUUUUUUAUAUUAGUUUAUAAUUAACUUUAAUAUGUAAUAAUAUAGCAUAUUCUGGGAAACCUGUUGGGAUAAUUGUUUUUAAUAUUAUUAUGAUAUUACACAUGAUUGGCAGUCGCAACUCAUCAUCAUCAUCUGAAACCAUAUUAACAAACAUUUAUUUAACAAUAUUCUUUAUGUAAACAGGAUUACCCUAAACCCAAUUAAUAUCUGCAGGGAUCAGACGACUGUUAGAACAUAUGUUAAAUUUGUAUAAUAUAUGAUUUAAAAAUUUAAAAAAUAAAUUUUUCUUUUUUGGAGAUAACAGUUGGUAUAUUUAGGAUUAGUAAAACUAAAUGUUUUAUUUUUAUUCUAUGUGCUCCAUCAUGGCAGUAGUUAUUUUUUUGCGAUUAAACAUACUAUUUUGAUUUAAAUGGAUUACAAAAUGGCACAUUUUUUUAACCCUUAACAGUUGGUAUAUUUUUUUUUAACCCUUAACAGUUGGUAUAUAUUUUUUAAUAAGAUUAUUAAUGCAUCAAGUAAUCUUGUUUUGAUGAUUGUAACUCGUGACUGCGGGAAAAUUUCUAAUGGAAACAACUCAAUUUCGGAAGAAAACUUGAUUUUGCAAGUGAUGAAUUUGAACUCGUUGGAUUGGUUGAUUUAUGAUUGACUGAAUUUCACUUUUCCUCAUAAGAUCUUUAACCAAAGUUUAAUAGCUAUCAUGUACUCCUUAAAAGCAAUUUUUUUUUUUAGAUUUGACUGAAUUUGAACUUGUUGGAUUGGUUGCUUUUAGAUUAUUAAUAUGAGAUAUUACAACGUAAAUAUUUUCAUGUGGUUGAGCCCUAUUCUAAAAUCUGUAUAGUUAGCUUUAGAAAAAGGGCUUUUCCUGCUGAUCUGUAAUCUUGAAAUAAACUUAGAUACAAAUAAUGAAAUAAAGGACAACAAACAAGCAAUACUGAUACAAAGCCAACAGAUCAGAGUUUUUGGUACAAAUCCAAUAAAAGACAAUAAACUUAGGACCUUUUUUUCUUGCUUUCUUUUGUUGAAGGAUUAGAGUUUUUGGUAUUAUCAGUAAAGGUUUCAAGGAGUAAAAGCCUAUAAACUUUUUUUUUGGGGGAGCGCCGCCGGGGGGGGCGGGGGAGAGCAUGCAAAUUAACCAAAAGAAAUAAUAAGAGCACAGGCUUUAACAAUGAAUACUGACUUAAAACUCAUGCAAAAUAAGUUACAAUACUAAAACAAACCAGAGAAAUUUUUUUCUUGGAAAGUAGAUGGAACUUAUGAAAGAGCAGAUGUCAAGGAUUUAGAAAACGUGCACCUCUUUAAUUACCUGGGAUUAGAGAGUUGGUGAGCUUCUCUAUUUAAGAACAAGUUGAAAGAGGAAAAAGAUCACUGGUAACUGCUGAGGAAUGUGUGAGAAAAGAGUUGAUGAGAGCAAUAACAAUGACCUGCAAAAGAAACAGAAUUAGUCAUUCACCGCUUUUCUAUAUCAUGUAUUUGGUUAUUGUUGCCCUGUUGACGCAUGUUGAAGAAGAAAGCACUAGUUCACAACUCUACGUUUUCAUAUAUUCUAAAGAAAUAAUUAAGCUUUCAUAGAAUAAUACCUGUUGUGUUUGAGUAAUUUUGGUAUAUACAUUGCUUGUGUACUGUGAAAUUGAAAUGAAUAUUGAUUGACAGAGCAAUGUAUAUGCCUAAUAAAACACAAAGCAAAUACCGGAAUUCCCCUUUUAAGGUGAAGGCCUUACUCAAUUCCUAUUGGAAUUGCAACGAAUGAUUCGGGACUAAAACUUUUAUAAAAGCAAAUACCGGAAACACACAAAAAGCAUUUAAGAGAGAAACUAAACAGCAAAUAAUAGAAGUAAGAUCAAUAAUAUAUGAUUUGAUUUAUGCAUAUUCAAAAACCAAAAUAUAAAAUAAAAUAAAAAAAUAAAGUUUGAUUUAUUCUUUCCACAAAAAACAGGGGAAUGAAAACAGAGGCAACUUGUUUUACCAAUUUUUUCUUCUUAAUUUCCGGCAAAAAAAAAAAAUUCAAUAAACAGGGGAAUGAACACAAAGGAACGAAAACAGAGGAAACUUGCUUUUCAGGCUAUCUUGUGACAUGAUGAUAUUGCUCGUGAAUGCAUGAAAAUUUCUAAUGCAAACAGCUCAAUUUGGGAUGAUAAGCUUAAGUUUGCAAGUGAUGCAAGUAAAUAAGUUUUUGCGGUUAAUUGAAUCUUUAAUACUCUGGGCCCUAUUCUAAAAUUUGUAGGUUGCUUCAGAAGAAAGGGCAGUUCUCACUCAUCUUUAAUCUCCAAGUAAAAUUAGAUACAAAGCAAAUCUAAUAAAAUGACAAACAAACAAACAAACAAAACAAAGAAAAGACAGGAGGCAAACAACAUUGAUCUUAAGCCAACUGAUAUUUUAAACAGAGAAUUCUUUUCUUUUAUUUUUUUUAACCACCUUUUGCUCAAGGAUUAGAGUUUUUAUAUUAACAGAAAGGUUUCAGGGGUCUGAAUAAAAGCCCACAAUUUCUCUAAUUGUUAUUUUUUUUUUUAUUAUUGAAAGGAGCUUCACUAUUGGCCUUGAACAUAUAAGAAUGAGCAAAAGAUCAAUGUCAACUGCCGAGGAAUGUGAGUAAAGAUUUCAUCAGAGUAAGUAAUACAAAUGAAUUGUAAAAGAACAAGACUUAAGCGUGCACCCCGUGUUUUGUUUUAUUGUACGUAUAAACAUAACAUGUUCAUUUUUAACAAAGUGGUCAAUUACUCUUUUUUUUUUUGGUACAAAGACGUGCCUAGCAUAGACUAGGGCAAAACAAAACGGGGGUGUGAAACCCCAAUACAAUUAUGACGAAUCCAAAACCCAGCCCCUAAAGGAAGAGAAUUGAAAAUGUGCAAUCCAACAGGGAGUGAAAGAGCAGAGUUUGCAAGAAAGUCAGCUGCAAAAUUUGAUUCUCUGUAAACAUGCUUGACCUGCACUUGCCAGGUUUUGUUAAGCAAUUCCUUAAUACCCCUGACAAGAGAAGCAUGUGCAUUUGGCCUAAUCUCGUCAUCCGCCACCAAAAGAGUAACACAAAGGCUGUCAAUCUCCACAUGAAGCUGCCGAAUUCCAUUAUCCCAAGCCAGACAUAACCCUUGAUAAAGGCCCCAUAACUCAGCACCAGUGAUGGUACCCACACCAAUAUUCAUUCCAAAACCAAUUAUCCACUCUCCAUAACAGUUUCUAAUCAAGCCAUCUGCACUAGACAGACCAGAACUUUUACGAGCUCCAUCUGUGUCGAGUUUAAACCAAGGCCAAGUAGGUGCCACCCAUCCAAAAUAUUCUCAAUCUUCAUGGCAGCAGGAACCAAACAACUCUAAUUAAUCUUUUGAAUUUCUUCUGUACGGAUCUUAAUAUCCAUUACAACAGUACUCUUGCUGUUGCUGGUAAAAACACCAUUAUGCAGAUUUUGGUUACGCCAAAACCAAAGCCUCCAAACUGUGACCCCAAAAAGACACGGCCAGUCAAACAUACCAUCAUACUUCCACAAGUUCCUCAAAUUAUAUAACAUCCAAUCUCGGAGAUUCAAACUAAAAAAUUAAUGACUAAUCCCAUGGGGUAUCAAUGACGACCAGACAUGCUUAGCACUGGGGCAAUCCCGUAGCACAUGAAGAGUAUUUUCAACAACACAGCCACACUUUGCACAGCUCAUAUCAUCAACAAUAUGUCUCCGGAAAAGUUCUGCUUUAGUUUUAAGUCUAUUUUGACCCACCACCCACAGAAAGGUUUUGAUACGUUGGGGACCUCUCCACUGCCAAAGAAUGCGCCAAAAUGAUUCUUCAUUGUGAACCUCCAUUUUUGACAAAGCCCUAUAUGCUGAAUUAGUAGUGAAAUCUCCUGACUUAGAAUAUGCCCAGUUCAUGUAAUCAUCCUCAUCAUUUACACUGGGAGGCUUGGUGGCUGCAAUUUUGAGAAGUAAAUGAUGGGGCAAUAAAUUCUCAAAAAGCCGCCAAUUCCAAGUACCCUCAACAGUGAUAAACCUCACCACGCACUCCUCAAGCUGCUCUAAAGGUAUCGGCUGCAAAGCGAAAGUAUACAAAGGGUAUUCCUCUGUUACCCAAUUAUCCCACCAAAAUCUAACUCGGUUGCCAUUUCCAAUGUCCCAUUUGAUCCCUUUUAAAACCUCAUGCCAAAUGCCUCCCACAGCCUUCCACAUGUAAGAGCCACAUUUCGUAGGUAAUGUGCUGGGGAGAGCAUUAGGAGCCAGCCCAUACUUAGACAAGAGAACCUUCAACCAUAAACUAUUUGGAGAAGCAAUUAAACCGCCCCCAAUCUUCAUGAGCAGAGCAUCAUUCAUUAAAUUAAGCUGCUUAAGACCAAGGCCUCCGCUAGGUUUCGGUUGACAUAUUGUAUCCUAUUUCACUAAACUGAUUUUCUUCUUGUCUGCUGUCCCGCUCCAAAUAAACCUCCUACAAGCCUGAUCAAUUUUCUCCCGAAUACCAAACGGAAUCCUCGUGGUCUGCAUUGCAUAAAUAGGAAUCGCCUGGAUUACCGAUUGAGUGAGAGUGAUCCUACCCGCCAAGGACAAAUGUAUCGCAUUCCACCGCAACAAAUGUUGGUUCACUUUGUCCAAAAUUCCCUGAUAAGUUAGCUUAUUAACCCGUGAAUGAAUAAUUGGCAUUCCUAAAUAUUUCCCUAGGUUUUUUGUGACAGAAAAACUGAAGGAAUCACCAAUUUCCUUAGCCUCAGCAAACUUUACGUUGUGGGAGAAAAAAACUUAUGUCUUUGUUUUACUAACUUUCUCUCCAGAGCUCAUACAAUAAACAUUCAACACUUCAUUUAUAACCAUUGCUUGCCUAGAGGAAGCCUCUGCAAGCAAGAUAAGAUCGUUAGCAAAAAAUAAGUGAGAUAAAGAGGUACCUGCACGAGACAGUUUAAUAGGUUUCCAGUACCCUCUCUUCACAGUGUCAUUUACUCCAUGGCUUAACCUUUCUAUACAUAACACAAAGAUAUAUGGGGAAAUGGGGUCUCCCUGUCUAAUACCCCUAGAAGGGGUAAAACUCUCCGUAAUUUCUCCAUUCCAUAGAAGUUGCAUAGUCGCCGUUGUAAUACAUUCCAUAAUAAGCUGAACCAAAACAGUAGGCAAUCCAAACUCCCUCAAGGUUUCAUAAAUAAAAUCCCAGCUUAAACGAUCAUACGCCUUUUCCAAAUCCACCUUAAUGGCCAUCUGCCCAAUCCUCCCUUUCUUACGUCUCAUCUAAUGAAUAACUUCCUGAGCAACCACUAUGUUUUCCGUUAUGUGUCUCCCCGGGAUAAAACUAGUCAGGGUAGGAAUGAGGUCAGGCAAGAUAGAUUUCAGCCGGUUAGCUAAUAACUUAGUGAUAGUUUUAUAGAUAACCGGGCAAAGACUAAUCGGACGAAAAAGCUUAAGGCUAAUAGGAUUAUCCGACUUAGGAACCAACACAAUCAGAGUUUUGUUCAGCUCCUUAAGGAUCUCGUUGCCAUUAAAAAUACCUUUUAUAAGACUACAGACAGAUUUUCCCACUACAUGCCACUGGGUCUGGUAAAAGAGAGCAUGCAACCCGCCUAUUCCAGGGGCUUUCAAAGCCUUCAUGCUGAAGAUCACAUUCUUAAUUUCCUCAUCCUCCACUGCUUGUCCCAAAGCUUGCAUUCGACUUUCCUCAAGGACUGGGAAGGCGUUAACAACAUGGUAUGGAUGAUAGAUUGCAUCCUCUUUGGGAUAGAGCUUUGAAAAGAAGGACACAGCAUAAUCUCUAAUCUCAUCAUUAUUCAACAACCAAUAACUCUAUUCGUUAUGAAAUUGAUAUUGUACCCAAUUUUAAGAGAGCAUAAUAAUAACCAUUCAAUGCAUAAAUUUAGAAUUAGGUUUUUUUUUGUAAUUCUUUAUUUAAAUAUAAACUUCAAUGGAAAAUUAUAAAAAUUUAGAUAUAAAAUUUUAAAUCACCGGACCAAAAAAAAAAAAAAGGGGAACGGAAAUAGAGGAAUCUUGCUUUACCUUUUUUUCCUUUAACUCUUGUUCUUAUAUAAAUAAUCUUGUUUUGAUGAUUGUAACUCAUGACUGCGGGAAAAUUUCUAAUGGAUUUGUUAUGCAAGUGAUGGAUUUGUUCAAUUGACUCUGUACUUGAACUAGUUGGAUUGGUUGAUUGAUGAUUGACUAAAUUUGAAUUAAGUUUAAUAGCUUAGCUAUCAUGUACUCCUUAAAAGCAAACGUAAAUCUUUUUUAGAUUUGAAUGAAUUUGGGAACCUGUUGGAUUGAUUGUUUAUAGAUCAUUAAUUUCAGAUACUACAACGUAAAUAUUUUCUUGUGGUUGAAUACCGGUUCUGCUUUAAUGAUUUUGGCAUAGACAUUGCUUGUGAACUGUGAAAUUGAAAUGAAUAUUAAGUGACAGCGCGAUGUAUAUGCCUAAUAAAAGAUCAGCAAAAGCUUGGAUGAAUGAUUGAAGACCAAAACUUUUAUAAAAGCAUUUUUGAGAGAAACUAAACACCAAAUUAUCAAAGUAAGAUCAACAGUAUAUGAUUUGAUCUAUACACAUUCAAAAACAAAAUGAUGAUUAAUAAUAAAGUUUGAUUUUGUAUUGCCAACGAUGCUUUUUUGUUGUUUCAUUUGUUCGACGUGGCCUUAUUUACAAAUUGGUUUAUGUUAACAGAAACAUGAAAUUCACAUCACACAAAAUUGCACGAACAAAUAUUAAGAGAACGUAAUAAUAAUCAGUCAAUGCGUAAGGGUAAAUUUAGAAUUACAUAUUCUUUUUUAUUUAAUAAAAUCCCAACGGGAAGUCAUAAAAAUUUAGAUAUAAAAUUUUCAAUCACCAAACGAAAAAACAGGGGGAAUGAAAACACAGAAAACUUGUUUUACCUUUUUUUUUUUCAUCUAAUUCCUGUUCUUAUAUAAUAUUUUCCCUAGUAUUUCGGGCAAGAAAAAAAAAAUUCAACAAAGAGCAAGUUGCUCAGAUUGAUUUAUCUUGUUUUUCAGGUUAUCUUGUGAAAUGAUGAUAAUGCUCAUGAAUGCUAGAAAACUUCUAAUGCAAACAACUCUAUUUGGGAUGAUAAGCCUAAUUUUACAAGCGAUAAAUAUAAAUAACUUUUUGUGGUCAAUUGAAUUUGUAAUUACUCUUAGCCCUAUUCUAAAAUUUGCAGGCUGCUUGAGAAAAAAGAAUAUUUCUCACUCAUCUUUAAUCUUCAAGGAAAAAACAAAUCUAAUAAAAUGACAAACAAACAAACAAACAUAUAAAAGACAGCAAACAAACAACAUUGAUCUUAUGCCUACUGAUAUUUAAACAGAGAAUUCUUUCUUCUUUUUCUCUUCAUGGAUUAGAGUUUUUGCUAUUAACAGAAAGGUUUCAAGGGUCUGAAUACAAUCCCAGACUUUUUUUUAACUUUGUUUUUUGUGGGAAAAUGGAUUCAAGUUAACCAAAGCCAAUAAUAAGAUCACAGACUUUAACAAUGAACAAUAACUUAAGCAAAACCAAUGACAAGAUUAAAACAAACCAGAGAAAUUUUUCUCGGAAAGUAGAUGAAAAGCAAGUAAGAACUGCUAUUAAAUAUUAUUAAAGGAUUUAGAACAUGUAUACCUCUUUAAUUAUAUGGGAUCAGAGAAAUGACCUUCUCUAUUCGCUUCGGAUAUUAAGUAAGAACUGCUAUUAAAAGAAUGAAUUGAUGAGAGUAAUAACAAUGAAUUGCAAAAUAGGAAGACUCAAUCAUGCACCCCUUUUAUACCCGAUUUUUAAGAUUUAAUUUUGAAGUUCACCAAUCAAGAACAAAGAAAAAACCUUAAUAAAGAAUGCAGUGAGAAUAAUUAAGUUAAAGAAAGUACUAGGUUAUGGCUCUGCGUUUCAUAUGCUGUAAUGAAAUAAUUAAGUUGAAGUUUUUAACGAUUAAAUACCUGUUGUGCUAGAAUAAUUUUAGAAGAAUAUUGGCUUAUAGAGCAUAUUAGUAGGGAUAAGAUUUGUAAGAUGCCAGAUAAAAGAUAAAGCGAAAGCUUGAAUGAAGAAUGGCAUUUAAUAAUUAUAGAAGAAUAUUGGCUUAUAGAGCAUUUUAGUAGUGAUAAGAUUUGUGGACAGAAUAAAUGAAAUAAUAAAAGGCAUAACUGAUCAAGUCAUUAUUGAUCUUACUUUGAUUAUUACAUUGCACAUUAGUUUCUUUCUAAAAAUGCCAUUCUUCAUUCAAGCUUUCGCUUUAUCUUUCAUCAGGCAUCCUACAAAUCUUAUCCCAACUAAUAUGCUCUAUAAGCCAAUAUUCUUCUAAAAUUAUUAAAUUCCAUUCUUCAUUCAAGCUUUCAUGGACACUAUUUACAAAUUGUUCUUGUAUUUGACAGAAAAAUGAAAACUCCUCAUCAUACAAAACUGCAUGAACAAAUCUUCAAUUUAAUUAUGAUAAAAUAAUUAAUUCCAUUAAUAGAUUAUGUUGUUUUUUUUUUUUUUGUCUUGACCACAAGGUAUCCUGGGAAGGGCCCCAACUGUGGGAGGCAUUUUUAAGCCCGUACCACAACCCAUACUAGAAGUCCCCACUCGAACCGGGAGGCACAAGUUCUCCCAACAAAGGCGACUUCCCUGCAAUUCGAACUGGGGAGCAAACCCAGUCAAUCCACUUAAGGGGACUCCAUUGCCAGUGGAGCCAACACUUUGUUGGUUAUGUUGUAUGUUAAUGUGAGGGAUUUGAUCAGGUGAUCAUAUAAUUUACUAAACGCUUUAAGAAGAACAAGAAUUAAUGAGUUAAAAAUUAAAAAAUAAAUAAAUAAAGAGUAGAUGGAAAGAAUGUUAUUUGCAAUCACUAAACCAAAGAACAGGGGAAUGAUAAGAGAGGACGGUUACUGCAACAUUAUGAAGUCAAAAUUAAGAAAGGCAUUCUUUUUUUUUUCACAUUAUUCUAUUUAAUCUUUCAUAAGGCGCACACUACGAAUCUAAAUUAAAUUCAUAAUUAAGAAUAAAAGAUAAACCCAAACAAUCAUCUAGCAGGUGCCGUGUAGACUGCAUCAAAAAUUUAGAUUUAGAUUUUUACAAUCACCAAAUGGAAAAACAGGGGAAUGAAAACAAAGGUGCCGUGUUUGUAGAAACAGGGGAGUUUCCGGGUUUCUGGAAACAAACUCAGAAACGAAUAAAUCUCUUGGUGUAUAUAAGCUUUCAUCAUCUGGUUUUAGUUUGGUUAGGUUUAACUACAUUUCCUGGGUAGCAUUACUUAUGCUAGUAUAUUCAUUUCUACCCAAGCCACAGUGACUGUUAGGAGUUCUCGUAAACUGAAUUUAAAGUUGCGGCUUAAAGUGUUUACCAACUUAAAACCAGAGCUAUAAAGUGUUUGAUGAAUUAUUUUUUCAUUAAAAAAAAAAAAACUGAUUUAGCGGGAUAAAAUAAUGCUCCAUUCCGUUUAGUAAGUGAAGUCCAGAGUAUUACCUACUACUAACUAAAUCCGCUUGAUUCACAAGACUACCAAGAGAUGACUGAAUCUUCAAUGUAAUAAAAUAAUAAUCAGCCUCACAGGAUACAUAAAAAGCUCAUUUUUCACAACCAUAUCCUAGUGCAUCAUAAACUUGAUUAUUUAAUUUUACUAUUAGGAAACCUACUUAUAUAAGGCGCACACUACAAAUUCUAAAUUAAAUUUUCAACUAAGAAUAAAAGGUAAACCCUAGCAGUCUUCCACCAGGUGCCGUGUAGCCUGCAUCAUAAAUUUUGAUUUAAAUCUUUGUAAUCACCGAACAGAAAAACAGGGGAAUGAAAACAGAGGAGCCCUCAUUUUUUUAACCCUUAACUCUUGUUCUUCUAAUUAUAUUUUUACUUGGAAUUUCAGGCAAACAACAAAAAAUAGUGACAACUAUUCAGAGAGAACAGGUGGAUGAUAGCAAAAAUAUUUUUAAUUAAUAUGCAUGAUUAACUCUUGUUCUUCAUUAUUGGUAGUCUCUGUGGGCUCAUUUCGUCUCCAGACCUGAUAUUGUAUAUCUCUUUUUGAAUAUGCAUGCUGCUGAAUAAAGAUGAUUACUUCCAAAUUUUUGUUGCUUUUUUUUUUUUUUUUUGGGCUUUGGUGCAUGAAGAAUGUGGAAAUAGAAAUAGCUUUCGAAGUUUAAUGGCUUGCUUCAUUAGUAAAGAAAGACAAGGAUAUCUGUCCCUUUUUGUUACUGAAUUAUUGAUCAAUUGACGGUUGAAGUUGGUUAUAUUAAUUUGUUGUACAAGAAUUGAAGCUUAUAUCUUAGCCGUUUCGUGAAGUGUCAAAUAUGUUCUUUCCUUGCAAUUGUUCAAAAUAUGUUAUUCUUUUGAAGUCACUAUUACAUAAAGGGUGUUGUAAAAUAGGGAAAGGCGGGUUUAUGAUUAGAUUUUAAUAUGUUUAAUUCAAGGAUUAACCGAAGCUAUUAACCAACGGCUACUAACCGAAAACCGAAUUUAACAAUAAACACUAACUCAGAAUUCAAGAAAAUUAAAUGACAAGAUUGAGACAAAUGAGAGAUAUUUUUCUUGGACAUUAAGAAAGAACUACUACCAAGAUCAAGGAUUAGAGAUUAUAUAUGCUAUUAUUAAUAGAAAUUAUUAAAGGAUUUAGAACAAGUUCACCUCGUUAAUUAUCUGGGAUGAUGAGUUUCUAUAUUCACCUUGAAUAUAUAAUAACAAUUUUAGUGAGCAAAAGAUCACUGGUAACUGCAGAGGAAUGUGUGAGUUUAAGAGCUUAUUAGAGUAAGCAAUACAAAUGAAUUUUCAAAUUAUGUACUUGGUCAUUGUUGUCCUACUGACGCACGUUUUUUUUCAUGAAUAAUUGCCAGAUCAGAAAAGAAUAAAUUCGGUUGAUUGAAAGAUUGCUGAAGUAAGUAAAACAAUCUUCAUAUCGAACAUGAUUCCAAUUAAAUUAAUCUUUUUAUAAGAUGACUAAUAAAAGAUAAAAGUAGAAGCUUUGAUGAAUGAACGAUGACCAAAACUUUUGUAAAAGCGGAUGCCGAUAAAAUAAACAAAAGGCACUUUAAAAAGAAACUAAAGUGCGAUCAUCAAAGUAAGAUCACUAAUGAUGCUUCGCUAUCACAAGGUCCGCAUGGACAUUAUUUACAAAUUGUUCUUAUGUUUCACAGAAAAAAAUGAAACACUGUUCAUCAUACAAAAUUGCAUGACCGAAUCUUCAAUUUUUAUAAUUAUAAAAUAAUGGAUUAUGGGUAUGUUAAUGUUACGGAUAUGAUCAGAUCAUCAUAUAAGUUACUAGAAGCAUUAACAAGAACAAGAUCUAAUGAGCUAAAAGUUUUUUUUUUAAAAAAAGUUAAAUAAAUAAAGAGUAAAAGUAAAAAAAUGUUAUUUGCAAUCACCAAAAUGAAAACAGAGGAGCCCUGUUUUUCCUCUUGUUUCUACUUCUCUCUUUUUCAAGUAGUAGAAAAUGAUAUCAGAGUAUGAGAGCUCACUGCUUUCAUUAGUUGGAAAGUGUCGCCUAAAACACUUCCUCUGCUGGGUGGAAUUGUUGGCUUGAAGAGAUGAGUUCUUGUCACGAGCACAAAUUUUAGCUGUACAUUAUUUCCUUUUAAAUGCACCAUUGUUGCACAGAUUUGAACCAUAUGAUCAUUAGUUUUUUGUUUUGAUUUGGUUAGUUCGUGAUGACAAAUGAAUUAUUUUCAUCACAUUGUCAUUAUGGUAAAAAGUUGCCCUCUUUGUUACUUCCACAGCUAUUUAGUUUAAUAUUUUGUAAUAAGAUCACAAAGUGCGUGGGAACUAUUGUUCGGGUACUUUAGCCUAAAAUGAAGAUCUAUUAAAAAUUUCCCUGAUGUCAUGAUAUAAAACAAUAAAAGGUACCAACUUCAGCUUAAAUUCAUAUAAAAUUAAACCUUACCACAUACUGUAUUGAAACAAAUUACUCAUCUUUAUUGGUAACAUCAUCACCUUCAUAAAAUAUAUGGUAUCGUACAAAGUUCUUGCGCUGGGUUCGGGCAUCUAACAACGAGGACACAGCAACCUAUUCGCUAGGUUAGAGACCAAAUAGCCAACAGCAAAAUGUGCACGACGCAUGUCACUAUCAUGAAAACAACAUUCUUUUUCUUUUUUUUUUUCCCCUCAAUAAUUUCAGAUAUAAUAUUUUAACUAAGUUUGUAACACUGUUGAUUGAAAUUAUCAAGUACGAAUGUGUGUAGAUUUUAACAUGUGCACUCAUAAUUAUUAUUGUGCAGUUUUAGACUUGGUUGGGUAUUGAGGUGCUAAAACUUUUGCCGUAAGAAAAAAAAGUUUUGCAAAAGUUUUAAGUAUAAAAUAAAAGUUAAUAGUAUAUAAUAAAUUUAGUUUUUUUAAUAAUAAUUUUGAUAAAAUUAUAAAAGAUAUAAUAAAUUUUUUAUCAUAUAAGUGUAAAAUCAAAUCAUCUUAACUUUUAAACUACAACAACUAUAACAUUUUAACUGUUCAAUCUCAAUCCUAAAUAGACCCUUAAUUUAUAAUUAGAUUGUCACUAAAAGAUUUUAAGUAUGUAUUUUAGAAUUUAACGAAUACACUUUUAAACUACCUUUGUCAGAUGAAAUGUUGGGAAAUUUUUAUUAAGCUCCAAAAGUGUUUGAAAUAAAUUUAUGUUUUUAUGAUACCAAAAAAAAAAAGAUUUAUGAACAUUUUUGUGAAGCUUAGGCGAAAAUUUUUGUUAGGCUCUAUUGGGCUAGAUGAGCAGCUCGGGCAGUUAAUUAUCGCCCAAAAAGCCCAACCCAGAUUACAACAAGCUGGGAUUUGGUUAGCUCGUUGACGGCCAUUUGGGUAUGCAUGAAUUGGGUGGAUGAUUAAUAAAUACGAUUUAUUAAUUAUUUCGCCGAUUUGAAUAUUCUCCUAAUUUAAUCUUUUCUAAUAUUAUAAUAACGAGAUUUUGACAUGUGUUAUACCUGUGUUAUUUUAAUAAUCCAAUAGAUAAUAUCUACUUUAUUUUUAUCUUUCGUUAUUAAAUACAAAAACACUAAUAGAAAAAAAAAAUGACUUAACUCUUUUUAUAUUUUUAAUUUUUAUUUAUUUCCGUUUAUUGCUUUCCUAGCAAUGUUCAUCUUUUUACUCUACAACAUCCAUAACCUUAACUUUGGAAAUAAAAGAGAAUAUGCGAAAGUAUAAGUAGGAGAAAGACUUCAUUGAAAUCAAACGAAUUGGGCAACGUUAGAUUUUUCUUUAAAAUUCUCAUGCGAUAUUAAUUAGUAGUAUUAUCGUUGUUGCCUGCCUACUUCUAACCUCAACCAAUAUAUGAUCAAUGCUUGAUUUGGUCAAUCUAAAUAAUUAUAAUCGAUGAUAGGAUAUUGUUGAAGGGCGGCCCUAAGGAUGAGAGAGGGAAUGCGUGUGCAAGCCACAUGUGUGAAGAAAAAGAAAAACGCAAGAGUGAAGAUGACGGCGAUUAAGAUCGUGUUUGAUUUCUUUUCCUGUUUAAUUUUAGUUAAUAUGCUGUUGUUAGUUCCAAAAUUUGAGUUAGCAACAAAAUGACAUGUUUUUGUGUUUAAUAAGGAAAAAGUAAAUAAUAGAUUUUCUAUAGGAUUCUUGGAAUGGAUUAGAUUAGACUAUGGAGAGAAAUAUAUUUGAAAAUAUUAGUGUUGAGUCAUUCUAAUGUCUUUAAUAGUAAAUUCAAUUAAGAAUAUUUUAGUAAUAUAAUUUUUUAUUAAAAUUAGAGUGUUCAAAGUUAGUAAUAAAAAAUUCAUAUAACUCUGGAUUUUUUUAUUGAAUUUAUAUAACUCUGGAUUCUUUUUUUUUUUUUUUUUUCCAACACUGAUAUGGUUCUGUUCUGUGUAUUUAUAUACAAUUUAAUGUUUACAUACAAGUUAAAUUAUAUACAAUCCUUCAAGUCGUAACUCAAUUUUAUGGAGGUUUAUACAUCUUUCAACGAUCAAUUUAAUAUUUAUAUACAAACCUCCGCAUCUUUCAACGAUCUCAUCUGCUGAUUUUUUGUAUUCCUGUUCUUUCACUUCAAUAAUUUUUUGUAUUAUUCCAUAUCUUUCACUUUAAUAACCCAAAAGCUUUCCUCUGUUUCAAUCGAAAGAAAACCCUAGCUUAAACUAAGAGAAAAUUUACAUAUUAAAGCUAAUUAGUACUGAAUUUUUUCUGGUGGUGCGACCAGAGGUGGAAACAGGGUAUGAAAAUGCGUUACUGGUGAGGUUGCUGCUUAAGAUGAGAAUGCAUUCUUUUCAAAAAUCCUUGGUAGGUGUUAUCUAAUUAUCUUUGAUGGAAUAUUAAAUGGCUAAAAAUCUGUCAUACGUUCAAACUUUGUUUUUGUUUAGAAGAAUGGUGUUGACUGUAUAUUCGUUUGGAAGAAUGGUGUUGAUUGUAUAUUCAUUUGCUUAGCCUUUUGACAGAUGGAUUUGGAACUGACGACAAAUGUGAUUCAAUUUACAAGGUUUUCGAGGGGCUCACCGUGGAAGGGAUAUUGAAGAACUGGUCUAAGAUAAAGCCUAUGAUUGUGAAAGAUUGGAGUGAGAAUAUAGAUGCUCUUUUUCAUCUUUUUGGCAAGGUCAGAGAUGAAUGGAUAGAUAAGGAUUUAUUUGACUACUUGGACUGGUGCUAAUAGGUAUUUUAGGCAAGCUUUUUGAGAUAACACUGAGCAAGUUAUACUACUAUUUUGCACAUGAUGAUCUCGAAAAGUAAAAUAAAAUAAAUUAUUAACUUUUACUUUCAUCUUUUGCAUAGCAAUCAAUGUGGUGCUUGUUCUGUGACAACUUUGAUAAUCUACUUAAUUAUUGGUUAGCAUUUGGACCAAAAAAGUUCUUAUGAUUUACAUGUUUUGUAGAAAUGCAUGAACCUUAAAUGUGCUGAUCAGGGAGUUUAAUUAUUGCACCUUGAAAUUCAUUUAUUGUUAACUAAUUGGCUUUCCUUUGCAUAAAGCCACUUAUAAGGCUUGAGUGGACGUCUUUAUGGGCAUAUUAUUUGUAUUUCUAUAUGCAUGCCUUUAUCAUUUAAUGUGCUGCUUUUAUUUCUUUAUGCAUGCCUUUAUCAUUUAAUGGCCAGCUCCCUCUCCUCUUUUGUAAUUUGAAUAGUAGUAUGGGCCUCCAUUUUACAAAUCUUUAACAUCUUUUGCUGUAAAUUAAUUUUUCUUUCAAAUAUUCACUACUAGAAAAAUAGUCUUUACUGACUUUACAAUAGUAUCAGAAAUUACUUUCACUGACACUUGUUAAUUGUGUCAGUAAUCUGGGAGUCAGAAAAAUAGUGACACUUAUAAGUGGUGUCAGUGAUUACUAUUACUACAGUAUCACCGAUAUUAUGACACCAUAGUGUUAGUAGUUAUUGAUAUUUUAUUAGUGUCUAUAAUUACUGUUACCAUGGUAUCACUAAUUAAUAUAUUUUUUUAAAAAUAAAAAAUUGAAUUGGAUCAUUGCCUAUUGAUUUAUUUGUAAAAUUAAAAGCACCACAAAAUAACAAAAAGAAAUUGAUUUAUAUCACAAAAUCUUUCAUUUCACAUUUAAAUAUUAUUAGUAUAUAACUAAAUAAUCCAAAUUCAAUACAUAAAAAUUUCUACCAUCCAAUCAAAUGCCUACUACUUGUGGCUAAAUUUAUAAAUCUAGAAGUUAAAUUGAGAAUGAUGACUGUCUUUCACUCUUUGAAUAUGAGUAGUAUAAUUGCGUUAUCACACCAGCAGCUUCUCCAUUUAAUAAACUGUAUGGGUUAUGAUACAAGUGAAGUUGAGGAAUAAACACUUCAAACACAUUGAGCAAAUAUGCAUACAUGGAAAAGGGAGAAAAAAUUAGCUGCCAAUUCCCAACCAUUAGAGAAACAAUGGUUAAUAUAAAUAAAUCUAUUUUGUUCUAAAGAAAAAAUAUUCAUACACUAUUUAUAAGUAAACUCAAUUAUUUCUAAUGGUGGAGCACAUAUGUGUGAACAACAGAGCAUCACAUAGCUCAAAGUACAUUAACUGUUCUGUGUCUUAUUCAUUUUUCACUUUAGCUUUUAUUUUAGCAAUUUUUUGAGAAUAAGCUCCAACUCAGAAGGUGAAAUCCAACUUCCAUAUGUAGACAUUCUUGCAGCUGACAGCAAUUAGUUUGGGACUACGGCUUUUUUGAGCAUCUGGCAUGGAUUACAUUGAGAUAUACAAUUUACAUACAAACAUUAAAGAACUAAAACAUUAUUUAUAUUUAGAGACAAUUCAAAUGUCAGCAAACAUUAUUUAUAUUGGUUUAGCAAGUGGCACGACAAUUUUUUAGAUAGAAAUGUACAGAAACUAUAAAGGAAAAACAUUAUCAAGACACCAUUAAAGAAUCAUAGAGUACCUUUACCGGAUUUGUUUGCUUUGCAGGUGGGCUGUGAUGAUGAUGAGCAUAAAGCAUUUUCAUUUAAGCGGACAAGUGCCUUAGCUUCUUUACUUACUACAGACCACGUGUUCUCCCCAUCUAGCCUUGCACUUCCAAAAUCAUGAAAUCCAUCUUUGUGGAAUGUCUUAAUGCCAGGAGUGCGUGAAAAUUCUGGGAGUGCAUUGGCCUUCUAAAUAAAAAGAAACUCGUAAAUAAUUCUUGUGUCAAGUAACAAGGACAAAAAUUUACUUGGAAGCAGCGCAUCCAUGAAAAGAUAGACGCAGAUAGCUACAGAGACACAGUCAACACAUAAUAGCUAAUCCUAAACCUUAUUGGAUAUAAUACCUCAUUAGCAGAGAUUGCUUCGUCAUCUGAGGUACAUGUUGAUGCCUUCCUUGGCGAGAAGAUAAAACCAACCUCAUCAGGAAAUUCAGGCGUUUCAACCUCGUCUUCCACAAAGACACUUAUUUGCUUCUGUUACAGCGACAUACACAAAUGUCAGUUUCUCCUAAGAAAACUGGUCGGAACCUGAAAAUUCUAUUCAAAUUUAAUCACUUGCCUUUGGUGAUAAACUGCCAGCAAUCCUUCCACAAGUUUCUCCAUGAGUACCUGUAUGUCAGAAACCAAAUCUGUGCUUUGGAACCUAAACAUGAAUAUCGAUGAACAACACCCUCAACAAUCUCAUUAGCGUCAAAAACAUUUUAUUACAAAAUAAUACUACGGUUUCGGAGCGCACCUUUCAGUAUGUCUAGUCGCGAUUGAAGUUGCACUACUUCCUAUCAAUUUACAAAAAUCAUAGCAUGAAUAAAUAAAACAAUUGCCUCUAAAUUUACAAAAUCAACGUCAUCACAUCAAUUACGUGAUGGAUAACAAUUUAAGUAAAUUUUAAUAAAAAAUUAUUCAACAAUUAAAUCGAAUGACAAUUAAAUUAGUAAAUUGAAUACUGACCUCUUUCUCCGAUGGCCCACCCAACGAAACACAAUUAUCUCGUAAAUCGACGUUAAAAUCUUCCUCAUCUGCAAAUCAAAAAAUUUGAAAAACAGAGAAAUGCUUAAAACGCGUACAGUGUUUAGUGUAUACAUAACAUAAGAGUAUUUAAAAAAUAAUGGCAACCCUGUAUGAAAUGUCAAUCAAAUUACCAGAAAUGCUUUGAUCAGAAUCUUCAUCUCCCUGAAAGCGCAUAAGAUCCCGGCAAAAUGAAAAGAAAAAAAUAAAACGAAUUAUCAUCUACAAAAAAAAACAACUUUAGUUGGUUAAAAUCUACAAACUAAGUGCGGCUCGGAUAGCAGAAUAUGACUAGAAAAACAAAAACAUUAUUGAGUAACCAGAACAUCUAACAUCGCAUAUGGGCACCAGAACAAAAUUCAUGCAAAAAUAUGGAAGUUGAAAAAUCAGCAAAUGCCGCUAACCGAGUUAAUGGAAUGCGAAACCUGCCUAGAUAGUGGAGGAGUUCCGGUAAAGGAGGACCAUCAAGCACAGCUAAGGAGGAAGAAUGCAACUUAAAAUAGUUAUAGUUUCAUUACGAAUUAAAAAAGUUUAAUCCUCUAAUUUUCAAUACAAUGGCAUCUCCUAUUCAUGCGCAUGCAUCAGCAGCAUUGUUAUUGAUAGAACUGAAAAAUUGGCACUCGGAUAAUCAUAUGGUUGUAGACACUGCUCCAAAAUAAUCAUUAAACAUGGAAACUAAUAAGGCCACAGGUUCUGGAAUGCCAAAAGCUGCACGCAUAUAUAUGGGUCAGUCACGAAUAAAAAGAAACGAAUUAUCAUAACCUCGACACGAAUGGGCGUAGUCACUAUAGGAUCAGAGCGGCACAGCCCUCAGCCACUAUAGGCAGGGGUUAUAUUAAUGGUUGUGAAUGAAUAAAUUCAAAUAUCAACUUUAGUAAUCAACUUAUUAAUUUACAAGUAUUUUUUUAUAUUAUGAUAUCGUAUACUCUACUAAUUGUAUUUAAAAUAUACACACACACAUACAUACAUAUAUACCAACUUAUAAUUGUGAGGUAAGCUAAGACUCGAAGCUAUUCCUUAACAAUCUAACACUCUAUAUAAUCUCAAGUGUGGAAAACCAGCAGAGAAACCAAGUUGCUUAAACUCUUGUUCAGUCAUGUGUUUACCUUUGGCCCUGUAGAUGGUCAUAACAAAAAUGUCCCCUUCUAAGAGAGCACGAGUCCUCUGACUUUCAUUUGAAUCAUCAGGCAGCACAGGCUCGCAAGCAAUCAGUUUUCCUCCUGCAGGAAUAGCCUUGUAACAAUUCUCCAUUAUCAGCUUGCAUUCAUCAUCAGUCCAUGUAGUUAAAACCCACUUCAUAAAGAUAGCAUCAGCGGCAGGAAUGGACUUAAACAUGUCCCCACCAAUAUGGGUCACUCCAGGGAUACUUGGAGCUUCGGCAACAACCUCAGGCAAAUCAAAAUUGAUCCCUUCACAUAUAAAACGAUGUUUCUAUAAUAUCAUCCUCAGGCAAUCACCUGCACUCCCACCCACAUCAACCAAUCGCUUCACACCUUUGAACCCAUCGUAACCGUCCAAAAUGGACGUCAUGAACGGCACGGACACUCCCGACAUGGCUUUUCGCAUCAAGCCGUUCAUUUCAGGCAUCUUCCCAUAAUAACUAUAUGUCGGCUCGCCAUGGACUUUCACAAAUGGCUCAAUAGUUGGGUCCAGAAUGGCCUCGUGCACCAAAGGCCACGCGCUCAUAAGCGCGUCCUGGUGAUGCUGGAGCACGUAGGGCGCGUACGAUUGACCCUCGGCAUCAGUAACGAGGGAUUUCCCAAUCUCGGUGAGGCUGUACUUCCUUUCGCCUCCAAAUUCGCGAUGCUCCGAGAACACGCCGUAGUUGGUGAGCAAGCGGAGGAUACGUUGCAAGUUCUCGGCGUCCCCACCGCCGGAUGGGAGGAUACGUGUCAAGAUCUGGGAGGCGGAGAGAGGGGUGUUGGCCAGUCUUCCCUUCUUCCCGCCAUCUCUGCACUCGUUAUCUUCCAUUACUGCUUACUGACCUUUGAUUUCGCAGCACCAUGCCGGCCAAACAAAAAGAUAAGACCUGAGCACUUUUUGACAAUUUGAAUGUUAGGGAUUUUUCAGAUGUGGGGAGCUUAGGAGGGAACGAAUACUUUGGUAGAGGGAGUUGAAAAGUUGUAUUUUGGAUAAGAUAAAGAUUUGUUCAUUUGUUUUGUUUUUAUCCACUCAAAAAGUACAAAUUCUAAAAAAAUUAAAAAUAAUUCGUAGUCUAGUGGUCUUUUGAUUCAAUGUAGAAGUUCUAGGUUUAAGCAGUCUUGGGUUCGAAUUCAGACUAAAACAAAAUUAGAAUGAUAAUUUUUAAUUACUGAUACUUAAGCGUCAUUGAUCGCUAUUACUAAAGUUAUUGAUACUUCAGUAUUAGUAAUUAGUGAUACAUAUCUGUUAAACGCGGAAAAUAAUCUAAAUAUAUGUAUAUAUUGAUACUUUUAAAUAAAGUGUCAGAACACAAGUAUCAGUAAAGACCAUUUUUCUAGUAGUGAUUUUGGAGGUCAUUGGAAUUCCUGUAGGUCUAUUUACCAGAUUUUAGUAAGUUUAAGGUUUUAAUUUUGCUUAGACUUUAAUUUUUCUGAAAGAUUGUAGUAUUGAUCCUUAAAGAAAGAUCAUGCUACUUCAAAUUAUUUUGAAGUGUUGCUAGUUAUAGCCUUACAUAUAAAAUUCCAUUUGUCUGGAAAUUUAUUGAUAGCUGUUACAGCAGCAUAUUUUAUGACUCUACUUCUUAGUUAUGUAAGUUCAUUAUGUUUAGGUCAGAGGCAGUCAGCUGUGGGGAAUUGAUAUAUACACAGAUGACUUUGAUCUUGUUGCCGGUAUGUGGUUCUAUGAAUAAUUGUUCACAAUAAUUGUGUUUGCCUCACUGUUUUUGUUUUAUGAGAUCUAUAAUUGAUCUUGGGAUAUUACUUUCUAGUUCUCAUGCAAGCAAGUUACUACCUUCCCACUGUAUCUCCUCCUUUAUCUGCUAUUCAAGAGUUGCGUGCCAUAAUCUGGUGUUACCUCUGCAAGAUUGUGAAUGAAUAUAAUGCCUCUAAAUUUAUUUUAUACAUAAUGCUGAUGCUGAAUAAUAUAUUGUAGCUCCUGUCAUAUUCUACUUUGACUUUUUAUAUUCUGUUUCAUAUAAAAAUCUUAUUCAACUUUAGUUGUUCAUGAGCAAAUGUCACAUGUAUAAGCCCAAAUGAUGUUUAAAGGUAGCGCAGCUACCUUUAGUUUGAGCUUACAAUGGAUGAAAAAGAAAUUGAAACUGAUAUUUUGCUGUUUUUCUGAUUUUUCAAAGUAUUUUAGAUCCUGACUUUUGUUUGGACUUGAUGGUUAUAGAUUGUGUCUAGAUUUGUUAAGUUGUUUCCAACACCUCGUGCCAAAUGAAAGCACAAUCUUUCUGAUUCAGAUGUCUUGUUAAUUGAAGAGAGCUCAUUGUGCUGAGUUAAAACAAGAAAGGAAGCCAGCAGUCAAGAUUCUUCAGCAAUGCCAUGUCAGUGCUGAGUCAGCUGAUUCUGUUAAGGAUUGUUGAAAGCUCACGUGACUAUUAGUUAGUUAAUUAGCUUUUAGUUAGUAAUGCAGGAUUCUGAUUGGUUGAUUAAUUGCAAUGCUUAUUUGAUCAAUUGUAGCUUGGAAAUAAACUGUAUAUAAACAGAGUCUAUAACGAUUGCUUCAAUUAAUGAAAAGAAAAUAUUCCAGAGAGUUCAUCUAUUUUCUCAGUAACCAAACAAGCAUUUAGCUUAAUUUGCUAUUAUUUUACAUGGUAUCAGGGCCACAAUAUGGCAAGCUCAAGCAAUCCAAACGGAAAUUCAAACACAAUCACUGCAAAUCAAUCAAUACAAACCACAUUCUCCUUCAUAUCACCAAUCAAGUUAGAUCGAUCUAACUACAUGCUCUGGCGAAAUCAAGUUCUAGCCUCUAUAAGAGGAAACAGACUUGAAGGUUACAUUAAUGGAGAGAAGGUUGCUCCCAAUCAGUUUAUCACAACUGGAGGAUAUGCUGGAGCAGCAGGUAGUUCUACUCAACAGAAAGAAAAUCCAGAAUAUACAGUCUGGAGAUCACAAGAUCAGACAUUACUAAGCUGGCUGUUGAGCUCAGUCACUGAAGGUAUUCUCCGCCUUGUUCAUUCUUGCAAUACUUCAUAUGAUAUAUGGAAAACAUUGGAGAAAAAGUUUGGUGCAAAAUCUGAAGCAAGAGUACUUCAACUUAGAUAUGAAAUGAGUGUUUUAAGAAAAGAUUCACUGAAUAUAGAAGAUUAUUGUUUGAAGAUGAAACAAAUAGCAGAUAAACUAGCAUGUGCUGGUAAUCCAGUUUCAGAUAAAGAUUUGCUGCAACAAAUUCUAAAUGGUCUUGGACAAGGAUAUCUUGAUUUAGCUACAUUCAUAACAGCAAGUAAACUUGAUUAUGAUGAUGCAUAUGCACUACUACUUACUCAUGAAACAAGACUUGAACAGAGUAUGAAUGAAAAACAGAUGUUCAAUGCAAAUUUUGCCAAUUUUACUCCUAAUAACAGUGGAUAUGGUAUGAUGAAUGCCUUUUAUGCACAAGCAAGAGGCAAUGCUCGAAGAGGUGGAUAUAAUGGAGGUUUUCACAGUGGCAAUCAAGGAGGAAGAAAUAAUUUUCAUACUGGAAGGGGAAUGUUUGUUAACUCUCAUCCAAGAGGUUUUCCCUCUGGAACUGGAAAUUUUGGUAACAGUCAUGGUAGAGGUCAGAUGAUUGGUAAUAAUAAACAGAUGCAAUUUAUGAGAGGUCAAUACAGUAGUAACUCUGGUAUGCCAAACUCUGAUGGUAAUGAUGAGCAAAGUGUUGUAUGUCAAAUUUGUUUUAAAUCUGGGCAUACAACAACAGAAUGUUGGCAUAGAUUUGAAGAGAAUUAUGUACCACAAUACAUGAAGAAAUGAAGAAAUUAGAGAUGAGCUUAUAUGGCAUAUUAUGAUGCACCAACUGAAAAUUCAUGGUCAACUGCUUGUUCAGGAAUGCCUCAAAUGCACAAUCCAUCAUUCACCCCAUACAUGUCUGAUUCAGUGAACUUGUUAGGAGCUGGAGCUGGAGCUGCCUAUGUUGCUAAUUUUGAAGGUCCAGCAGAUGAAGGAUGGUAUCUUGACAGUGGGGCUACACAUCAUUUGACAAACAACAUGGCAAAUAUGCAUGUCAGAGAUGAAUUCAAUGGUAAUGACAAGCUGAUUAUUGGCAAUGGUAAAGGUCUGUCAAUCACACACAUUGGUAGCACUACUUUUUCAGUUCAAGGUUCUAAGUCACAAGCUGCACGUAAAUGCAUUACACUUAAAGAUAUACUGCUUGUUCCUUCUAUCACAAAGAAUUUAAUAAGUGUUUCUAAACUUACUGCUGAUAAUAACCUAUCUAUUGAAUUCUUUGGAUGUAUCUGUUAUGUGAAGGAUUCACUGGAGGGGAAGGUUCUGCUACAGGGUAUUGCUGAGAAAGGUCUAUACAAAUUGCUGAUCAAAUCAUCUUCAAAAUCAUCACUACAACCUACAUACACCUCUUUUCUUUCUCAAAGCUCAAUAAAUCAACCUUUGUCUAUGUUGUCUCUCUGUCAUUUCAGUUCUGCAACUAAUAAUACUUGUUCUGCAAAUUGUUUUCAUUCAAAUAAAAACUCUUGUACUGAUUCAUCAUCAAAUAAAAUGUCUCUAUUUCACAGAAGAUUUGGUCAUCCCAAUGCUCAAAGUUUCAUUCACUUACUUAUACUUGUGCAUCCUAACUUGUUAUCUACAAAUAUGCUUAAUCAAGUAAUAAAGCAUUUAUGUGAAGCAUGUCAGCUGGGCAAAUUUCAUAGACUUCAUUUUCCUAUAACUGAUAUUAAGUCUAAAUCAGCACUAGAACUAAUCCAUACUGAUCUAUGGGGCCCUUCACUAAUAUGUUCUAGAGAAGGUUAUAGAUAUUAUAUUAGUUUUGUGGAUGAUCACACUAGAUACACCUGGAUAUACCCUCUGAAAUUAAAAUCAGAAGCUCUAGAAGUGUUCAAAUUGUUUAAACUUCAAGUUGAAAAUCAGUUUCAAACCACCAUCAAAGCUCUACAAUCUGACUGGGGGGGAGAGUAUAGACCAUUCACUACUUUUCUAAAUGAAUGUGGUAUUCUUUUCAGACACUCUUGUCCCUACACACAUUAUCGAAAUGGCCUUGUUGAAAGAAAACACAGACAGAUUAUAGAAUUAGGCUUAACACUUCUAGCACAAGUUAAACUUCCAUUCCAGUUUUGGUGGGAUGCUUUUCAUACCUCGGUUUAUCAUAUUAACAGACUUCCUACCUCUGCCCUUAAGAUGUCUAUUCCAUAUGAAAAAUUAUACAGACAUAAAGCUGAUUACAACAUGCUGAAAUGCUUUGGUUGUGCUUGUUAUCCAUACUUGAGAGAUUACAAUAAGCAUAAAUUUGAUUAUCAUACAACCAAGUGCAUCUUUCUUUGUUAUAGUCCUUUUCAUAAAGGUUUCAAGUGCUUUCAUCCCUCUGGUCGUGUGUAUAUUGCUAGACAUGUCAAUUUUGAUGAAACUUCAUAUCCAUUCUUUUCAGAUCCUGAUUUUCAUUCUUUGAAUAAAUCUCAGUCCAACUCUUAUGAUUCCAUUACACCUAUACAAGUAUUUCAAUUGUCUACCUUACCUGUCAUAUCAGUUUUUUUGAAUAACAGCAAUGAGUCUCUUUCUCAAGCAUAUACCAGUAGUGAUAACUUUCCUUCAGCAGUAGAUUCAACACAAGUACAUGUCUCAGAUCAACAACUCUCAAACACAAACAAUGUCUCAGAUCAACAACCAAUUUUACCUGCACCUACAACAUUACCUUCUCCAGAUGAAAUUCCACAAACUCAACCUAUUCUAAACUCACCAUCUCUAAACCACCAUCCUAUGAUUACUAGAGGAAAGGCAGGUAUCUUUAAGCCAAAGCUAUGUACUGCAGUUUUGUUGUACAAAGAACCAAAAACUAUUCAGGAGGCUCUCAACAAUGAAAGGUGGUUUCAGGCAAUGAAAGCUGAAUAUAAUGCAUUGAUAUCAAAUGGCACUUGGACAUUGGUACCAAGAACAGAAAAUCAUAAGCUUAUUGGUAACAAAUGGGUUUUCAGAAUAAAAACCAAUACUGAUGGAAGUGUUGAGAAAUAUAAGGCAAGAUUGGUUGCUAAAGGAUUUCAGCAGAUUGAGGGUGUUAACUACUUCGAGACUUUCAGUCCAGUGGUAAAAUCAGCAACAGUUAGAGUGAUCUUAAGUUUGGCAGUGAUGAACCAGUGGCAAAUACGACAAGUUGAUGUGAAUAAUGCAUUCUUAAAUGGAGAUCUAACUGAAGAAGUUUAUAUGAGACAGCCAGAAGGAUUUGUUGAUCCACAAAGACCAGACUCUGUAUGUAAACUGCACAAAGCUCUUUAUGGCCUGAAACAAGCUCCUCGUGGUUGGUUUGACAAACUGAAAAGUAGUCUUAUACAAUGGGGAUUCAAGAAUUCUAAGUCUGACACAUCUCUAUUCUUGAGAAGAACCAAGAGCUCAAUCAUUAUAAUUCUGAUAUAUGUAGAUGAUAUAUUGAUUAUAGGAUCAGAUUGUGUUGAGUUGGAAGAGUUUAUUAAGUUGUUCAGCUCUACAUUUGCAUUAAAGGAUCUGGGGAGACUAUCUUACUUUCUGGGUAUAGAAGUAUUAUAUGGUCAUGAUAGUAUAUACCUGUCACAAAAGAAGUAUAUCCGAGACUUGCUUGCAAAAGUUGACAUGCUUGAAUGCAAGGGAACAAACACACCAAUGAGUAGCAGUAAAGAUUACAGAUUGCAGAAGAGUGUUGAGGGAGAAAUGGGCUAUUAUAUUGAAGAUCCCACUCAUUACAGAAGCAUAGUUGGAGGACUGCAGUAUUUGGUUUUAACUAGACCUGAGAUAGCUUAUUCUAUUUACAAACUAAGUCAGUAUGUGUCUUCACCAACUCUUCAACAACUUAUGGCAUGUAAACGAGUGCUAAGAUAUUUGAAGGAAACACAAGAAUAUGGUCUAAAGUUUGUUAGAGAAGGUGACAUGAAGCUUACAGCAUUUACAGAUGCUGAUUGGGGAAGUGAUCUUGAUGACAGAAGAUCAGUUGGAGCUUAUUGUGUAUACUUGGGAAACAAUUUAAUCUCAUGGUCCUCAAAGAAACAAUCAGUGGUUACCAAGUCAUCAGCUGAAAGUGAAUACAGGGCUCUUGCUGCAGCUGUUUCUGAAAUAACAUGGCUAAAGUCAUUGUUCCUUGAAAUUGGUUUAUGUUGUGAUGAAAGCCAAUCAUAUGGUGUGACAAUGUGAGUGCUGCUGAACUUGCUCGCAAUCCAGUAUUUCACUCAAGAACAAAACACAUAGAAAUUGAUCUACACUUUAUCAGAGACAAGGUUUUGGCUGGAGACUUGAAGAUACUAUAUGUUCCCAAUGCAGAGCAAAUAGCUGACAUAUUAACUAAGCCACUGAACUCUUCUCAAUUCAAACCUAAGGCUCAAACUCAAUGUGGAGCUAUGUCCCUUGAGUUUGAGGGGGGCUGUGAAGAGAGCUCACUGUGCUGAGUUAAAACAAGAAAGGAAGCCAGCAGUCAAGAUUCUUCAGCAAUGCCACGUCAGUGCUGAGUCAGCUGAUUCUGUUAAGGAUUGUUGAAAGCUCACGUGACUAUUAGUUAGUUAAUUAGCUUUUAGUUAGUGAUGUAGGAUUCUGAUUGGUUGAUUAAUUGCAAUGCUUAUUUGAUCAAUUGUAGCUUGGAAAUAAACUGUAUAUAAACAGAGUCUGUAACGAUUGCUUCAAUUAAUGAAAAGAAAAUAUUCCAGAGAGUUCAUCUAUUUUCUCAGUAACCAAACAAGCAUUUAGCUUAAUUUGCUAUUAUUUUACAUUAAUUAUGCUUCAUUUUUUCGUUAAAGAUUGGAUGGUUGCAUGGAUUGAUGGAGUUGGAGUUCAACCAAUAAUUCUAAUUUUUUGGACUUAAAAUGCCUUUUUCUUCGGUAUAAAAACUUUAGUAAGUGCUAUUGAGUUGACAGAAGUUGAAUACUUACAGGUUGUUUCACACUUUUUAAUAGUUUUACAUAUAUGAAUUUCUGUUUUUUGAUUUUCAGAAAGGAGGUGGAACUAUUGAUUUGGAACCUUAUCUUACUCAUUCAUCGACAACGGAGCCUACCCUCGCUCCCAUGGCAGUGGAACGGACAACGACUACUAGGGCUGCAACAUCAGUUGGUUUGGGUCUGUUUUGAGUUUAUUUUCAUUUAUUUGGCUAUGUUUUGAUAGCGAAUUUUGAUAUGUCAAUGUAGGGUGCGUUUGGGAUUGAGGUGCUGUAGCUUUUAAGCUAUAGCCACUGUGAAAAAAAAGUUGUAAUUAUGAAAUAAAAGUUAAUAAUAUAUAAUAAAUAUAAAUUUUAAAUAAUAAUUUUAUUAAAAUUAUUAAAGAUAUAAUAAAUUUUAUAUUAUACAAGUGAAAAAUUAUAUCAACAUAACUUAAAAGCUACAGCAGUUAGUGUUUACCAAACACUUUAGUGCUGUAGCUUUUAAGCUACAGCUGGCCAACCUCAAUCCCAAACGCACCUGUAAUGUGUAAUUGUUUUGGGUUGAGCUGGUAAUUAUGCUGGAUUAGAUUGGUUUGGUUUUGGUGCUUCUCUGAUGGAACACUGUUUUUUUUAGAAAUUUUGAAUGUAAUAUGAGACUACAUUUAGUUUAAUUGAACACUGCAUCUAGUCUAAUUACUAGAAGUGCGGCAUUUGGUUUGGUUUAUCCGAUAUUCUCCAGAAUUUCACUUGCAUCUGGUUUUGUUGCAUAUGUUUGCUUGCAUUUGGUGGCAGUAGCAGACUGUUUGGUUUUGUGACAUUUGAUGGCAGUUUUGUCUGUUCUUGGUGUUGAUUUAAGAUUGUUCCUGUUGUGCUGAUGUUAAUUGCAGGUGCUUGAAUCAGCUAGGGUUGCUGGUUUAUUCAGAUGGUUGACUCAGGCGUUGUUACUGGUUAAUUCAGGUGGCUGACUCAAGUUGUUCAUUUAAUGUUAGGAAGCAAAUUAAGAAUUAAUGAAGUAUUCAUUUAACUAUAAUUAUUGUAGUUAUUUUAUUUCAUAACUGAAUUAUAAUCUAUGAUACUUGUGAACAAAUUAGAGAAUUUUUAUAUAUGAAUUAUAUAUAUGUGUAUGUACAUUUUGCUAAUAAUUUAAAGAAUAUAUUUCAAUUCCCACAAAAAAAUGGCUCCAAUUUCAAUAAUUCCCGCCAAAUAAUUAAAUUUUUUUAAUUUACCAGCAAAAUAUAUCUUAAAGAAAUUUUAGUUAUUCUUGCUAGAUUUAACAAAAAUGAUUUGUAGGAUUAACAUUUAAUUAAAAUAAUUAAAUAAUUUUAUUAUUCCAAUUAAAUAUGUCAUGUUUAUACGACAGACAAUAUUCAUGAAUGGGAAGUAUUAGUUACAUAUUUUUCCUUGGGAUUUCAGGCAAAUGAAAAAAAGAUUGAGAAUGAUUUCAAGAGGACAGGUGGAUGAUAAGUAUUCAUUUUUGUAUAUUUGUCUAAUGUCCUCAUUAGUGGAUUUUUAUUAGGGAUGGCAAUGGGGAGAGGAGGGGAGGGGACCAAUCUCCCCGUACCCAUCCCUGAUAUUUUGCGUAUGUCCCCGUCCCCUCUCCAUCCCCAUCAAAAUUAUUUAAGAGAAUCCCCAUCCCCUCCCCGAAUAAUAACAGGGGAUCCCCGAGGGUCCCCGAUCCCCGAAUAACUAAUACAUUUUUUUUAUUUUCGAUUUUGAGUUAAUCAUAUUAAAAUAAAAAAUUCAAAUAAAAGUAAAGUUCAAAAUAUAUCUUACAUUAAUAUCCAUUACAAAAGUCACAUACAUUAAAUUAGUAAGUAACGCAGCAUGCAAGAGAUACAAACUAUCAUGAACAAAUUAAUAGCCUAAUACAAAAUUGUUACAAAUAAAAUCAAAUUUAGAUUAAAAAUUAACUUUUCAAUGGUGGCGUGGGCACUUUAUAAAUGUGGACUAUUCCCUUUACAUCACAAUAGUUAAGUCGAAGCAAAUCAAGAGUAAAUAUUAGAUUAGAUUAUAUAUUAAAAUUGUGAUUUGCUGUGGGCAAUUAUAACAUCUAAAAAAAAAUAGAUUUAAGAUAAAUAAAAAAUAGAUUUAAGUUUAAAAUAUUUAAUGAAUAUUAAAAUUAAAACAAAAGUUUUGGGCUAAUAGAAUCUGUCCGGUCUUUUUAAUGUCCUAAAUAAAAAUUUAGGACUUUAAUUAGUUAAUUAGGCCUAAAAAUUUAAUAAUAUAAAUAUUUUGAUAUUUUUUAUUUUUACCAAUACUUAUAAUUUUAUAAUUCAAAUUUUAUUAUUUAUUUACUAGUAAUUUUAAAAAAUAAAAAUUAAAUUAAAAAUUAAAAUGGGGAAAUGGGUAGGGGAUGGGGAUUCCACCUCAUCCCUGUCCCCUCCCCGAAUAAGAAAUUGGGUACAAAAAUUUCCCCGUCCCUUCCCCGAAUAAGAAAUUAGGUAUGAAAUUAUCCCCAUACCCUCCCCGAAUGGGGAAAAUCCCCGAGCGUACCCGUCCCCGUGGGAAUUUUUGCCAUCCCUAAUUUUUAUGGUAUUGAUCUUUUUUUUUUUUAAUUUUCAGUUAGUUGCAGCCCUAGAGGAAGAGCAGGCUGAUCAAAUUGAUUUGUCUUGUUUUUCGGGCAAUCUACGACAUGAUGACCGUGAUAAUGCUCGUGACUGCUGGAAACUUUCUGAUGGAAAUAACUUUAGAGUUCGUAGCAAGCAUUUUUGUUAUGACAAAACAAAGGUUCCCCCAUAUUUUGUUUGUUUGUUAUGGUAUUUAUAUAUCCUGCAUUGGCUAGGUAGACAGGUUAUGAUGUACGUGUUUCUCAUAUAGAACUCAAGUCUGCUGUUGUCCCAAAGUUGGAACCAGAGAUAUCAUGACUCUGGUUUCAUUUCACCUCAACUGUGUUUUUUUUUUUUUAAUUAAAAAAAUAUUUGUUUUAGGUAUACAUACAUGUAUUUUGAUUCUAUUUUCAUUGUAAUUUCUCAUUUACUUUGAAUGAAAGUCAUUGGUGUUUUCGAAUGGGAAUUUUGCAUUAAAAAAUGAAGAAUAGUGAAUAGGAAAUUUCUUGAUUCUUUAGUUACUAUUUUUGGUAUGAGUGCCAUUAGUAGUAAGGUUGGUUUCUACUCGCAAACAAGUGAACUGCUCGAUUCCCGAGUGGUAUCAACCAGUUUCCAACUUUUUAAUAUACACUAAUUGUUAGUGUUUAAUAGCUACUGCUAUUAAAAUUCAACAGCUAACAAAAAUACUUAAAAAAAAUGAUUUUUCUUAUGAUGUUGGGAAAAAAAUUAUGGGUUUACUUAUUUCCACGAGAUCUAUAACAUGGUCUUGACUUCACGAAAUUCUUUUAAUUUAAAGCGUGCUGGUGUGAGAAGGUCAGUUUGACGGAUUAAUUCUUUUCAACAGUGGUCAAGAUAAUUUUACUAUACUAAAAAAUAUUCUUAUUCUGAUAAUGCCACAAAUGUUAUGCUGUUUUCUUCGGCUAAUGAUCUUCUAUUAGGAGAGGUUAGAAAUCAAAUGCUUAAAAGACCAAUUGAACGAAUAAUACAGAAAUUUAGGCAGAAUCUAAUCGAAUAUUGCAUGAAACAUGAAACAUCAAUUCAAGUCUUUUCUUAAACGGAGAAUGCAUCAAACAAAAUCCAAAGUGUCUUGCAAGUCUGUAGCAUGAGCAAAAAAUUGUAAAUAUGUUGAACCAAAUUAUUCAAGUACAGAAGAACGAGCAAGCUAAAUCAUGUAUAAGAGAUUGGCCUGGUUCGGGAUAGCUUCUUCACUGUACCUGAAGGGUUGGCUCAAUCUCUUCUUUAGAAUUCUGCAGAUUUUGUAAUUACUCGUGUAAGCAAGCAUACAUUGCCACCAUAAGAAUAAUAAAGCUAGAGUAAUGAUAUGACCACCACCUCUUGUGCACAAACAAUAUUGUAUAAACUAAUGCGACAUAAUAUGAUUGGUUAAACAAAAACAUUACAUGGCCCUCAUAAUUUAUUUAUUUAUUAUUAUUAUUAUAUAUUUUCAGUCAACCAAUCAUAUUAUAUUACAUUAGUUUCUAUAAAAUAAUUUGCUAAAUAGCACCAAAACUUAAUUGAUACUCACCAUUUCAUUGAACAAUUUUUUCAUGGUGUCAUUGAGAUUGCCUUCCCAACAUCCUUUAUCAUCAUCUUUUUCUUCUUCGGUGACGUUCACUUUGUUUAGCAUUGGUGUGUCUAAGACUCCUUGAGAGAAGAUCUUCAUUUUUGGACACUGUCUCACAACUACUUGUUUCAAGGACGGGAAUUCAAGAGCGUAAUUACCUAAACAAAAGCUUGUUAGGCUUGGCAAACAAUCAAGUCCCAAGUACUUCAAUUUGUUGAAAACAAUGCAAUCUUUCGAUUCUUCUCCAACCUGCGACUGUAUGAUUUCUUCCAUCAUUUUGCAAUCAGUUAUCUUCAUUCUUCUGAGAUUAACCAGAUUUUUAGAUGCUGAGAGCGUCAACACAUUUAUCAACCCGUGACACUUCGAUACUUUCAAAACCUCAAGGUUUUCCAAAUGCCACGAAGGUGGUACUAAUUUUUGCAACUUACCACAUUCCGAUAUUUUUAGACUUUCCAAAUUUGCAAAUACUUUGUUGGAUUCGGCAUUUUCCUUCCAGAGAUGCUGCAAUUUGUGUAAUCCAGACAACUCUAACCCCCACAAUUGAGGGAAAGCAACCUGAAAAUCAACAAAAUUAAGUUGUAAAUGAAAAUAUGUAUCCAAUCUCUGCAGUCUUCCUCUGCAUAUUUUAUGGACAAGAUUAAUCACGGCAUUUUAUAUUUUAUUUUCCAAAUUAGUAUGCUUUGCAGUAGGAUCCCAAAUAUAAGUAUCAAAUCGAUUACUCUUUGAAACACAUAAAUGAAAUCUGAUGCUAAAUCCAAUAUGAAUUAGCUAGGAAAACAGAGAUGUUACACACAUAAUUAAUAUAGUUCAUCACCUCGUGUUACCAGGCAUCCAAUUAAUUUCUGACAUUUUUAUAAUUCAUACUAUAAAGUUAGUUAAUAACGGAGGUUAUAUUGUUAAAUCAGAUAUAAAUUAAGACGACAUGCAAAAAGAUGAGUCAUUAAAUUUGAUUUGAUUCUAAUGAAAUUACAUCUGUGCGAAUGAAAGUGAAGGGAAAAAUAAUAAUAAUGAUUACCUUUUCAUCGAAGAGAUGUUGUAUUUGAUUAGCUACCAAGAGGUUCUCUUCUGAUUUUAAUUUUUGAGCUUCCUUAUUAUCUGCUGUCAUGUGCAGUACAGAUGUAGAAUUGGAUAUGAAUGUUUCCAUAUCAGGGCAAUUCUCAAUAGUUAGAUAACUCAGCAGUUCAAUUAUAUUCCCAGUGAAGUUGCAGAAUCUUUUGAGUUUUGGAAGAUCAAUGAGCCUUAGGUUGGAAAGCUUAGGAAACAGGGGGCCUAUAUGUUCUUUGUCAGCAUUAAUUAGCUCUUCCAAAUGGAGCACCUCUUCUAGUGAAUCACAAUUCGUCACUGCCAGGCAUUCCAAAUUGUUCAAGCACCGUAGCAGAUUGGCAGGAAUAGCACUCGACAUAUUCGUGCAGUCAUCCACUUCCAGCUUUCUUAAAUUGUUGAAGAAGCUGACAGGCAGUUCUUGGCCAUGCCAUAUUUCUUUCAAACGUGGAAAACGUGAGAGUUGCAAAUACUCUAUAUCACGAAAUCCAAUCUGCACAAACCAAAACAAUUGCACUGGAUAUAUACAAUUUUUUUUUAAAGGCAUUAGAUAUAUAUAUAUAUAUAUAUAUACACACACACACACACACACACAUUAAACUUACAUGUUUUGUGUUUUAACUUCUAAAACUACAUAUACAAGGUAGGUGUAUAUGUUUAAAUGUGCAAGCGUAGGGGAGAUGCAUGAACAAUUUGGGUGAAUCGAUUAACACAGACCAUCUUUUUGUAACAUAUUUUUAAAUGUGCAAGUGCAAGGGAGAUGCAUGAGCAAUUUGGAUGAAUUGAUGAGCACAUACCAUUUCUUUGUAACACUUCUGUAUAGUGGAAUUAAGAUUGCCUUCCCGAUGGUACAAUUCACUGUCUUCCUUUUUACUAACUUGCACUUUGUACAGCUUUGGUGUGGAUAAGAUUCCCUGGGGAAAAGUCUUCAUGUUCGGACAAUGUGUCACCGAAACUCGUUCCAAUGAUGGGAAUUCAAGAGUAUAAUUCUCCAAACAAAAGCUGGUAAGCCUUGGUAAAUAAUCAAGUAUCAAAACUUUUAAUUCGCUGAAAGCAAUACGAUUCUCCUUCACUUCUUCUCCAACAUGUCCUACGAUUUCUUCUAAUUUUUGGCAAUUCGAUACAUUAAGAUUCACCAGACUACUAGGAAUUCCAACCUGAAAAUAAGCAAAAGUGUGUGUAUAUUAAAAAAGUAAAAAUGUAAGAAUAUCAUUCAACUAGCACCACAACAGAAAUGGCUUUUUGCAACAAAAAGAUUUUGUUGCCUAAAGUGCCAAUUUUGUUGCCAUAGGUUAUUGCUACAAAAACAAGCUUGUCGGCCCGGUCGUCGGCCUAGCACUGUCGCCCUCUAUGUUUAACAACAUAUCAAAACAUUUCUCGCCUCAAACUUCCUUUCGCAACAAAACAGAUUCGUUGUGAAGGAGUCUUCAACUUGUUUAGAGAAUAAUUUGGCAACAAACAUUUUUGUUGCGCUAAACAGUUUUACACAACAAACUAAUUUUGUUUCUAUAUAGUUAUUUACUACAAAACUAAUUUGUUGCUAAGAAAUAAAGUACAUUUUAUAAAAAAAACGUGUACCAACAAAGGUGUUUGUUAGCUAAGAUCAUUUUAGGCAACAAAACUACUUUGUUUCUUUAUGUUGAAAAUUUUACAAAUUUGCAAUAAAUAUUUAUAUAUUUUUAGAAACAAAUCAAUUUUGUCAUUAAAAAAUAGUACAAUUUUUUUUUAAUAAUAUCAUGGUAUAAAAGGAAGCAAACCAAGUUCGUUGGGAAAGAUACCAAUUUUUUCCCCCACCAUGACAAUAAUAAACUAGAAAUAUAUGUUGAGAAAUCUAACAAAAAAAUCAUUAAUGUCAUUGAACUAAUUUAAAAGUUAAAGGCCCAUUCAGUAUCCAAGCUAUAUAUAUAUAUAUACAAAACUGACUUUAAGAAUCACAUAUGAUAGUCAAAUACAAAAGUGGAUUGUCAUCUAUCCCAAAAAUGUAAUGAGCAAAAAUUAUAAACGAUCUCUAAUUACAACUACUCCAAACUCCAAAUACUUAAAGAUAUGACAUGCACCAGCAGUAACCAAAAAGAUCAAGUGAUGACCAAUUCAAAAUACUAACAAGUUCAAGAUACUCUAAGGACAUCAUUGAAAUGAGUAAUCAUUGAGUAGCUGAAUCUGUAAAGCAAAAAGUGGAUCCUUGAGAAGAAAAAAAUUGCUGCAUCAUACCCUCAAAUUGGGACAAUCUGGACUCCAAUUGAUCAAUAGUCUUCUUUUGUUCUUGAAGCUCAACAUCUUGUGAAUCCAAUCUACUUUGUUGUGAAGAUAUAAUACCAUGCAAUCUGUCAGCCUCAGAAGUAUCAACACCAUGGUUUGAAGUUGGGCGUGGUCCGUUGCCAAGUCCUCGAAAAUAGCCUGUUUUCUUUCCAAGUACUUCAAUGCAUAUUUCCUUUUGAGUUAGUGGUUUUGCUUCUUGAGGAUCUAUUUGUUGCUGUUGUUGUAUCUCUACCAUUUGGUCCUAUACAUAAAGCUUUGUUAGUAAAUGAAGGAAGAAAAAAAAGAAUUUUAUUAAUUAAAUAGUUGAAAUUUAAUCCAUUGGUCAUGGAAUUAAUUUGUAUUAAGGCAUAAAUUGAAAAAAAAAAAAAAGAAACUUGCUGUUAUACUUAUAAAUCUAAUUAUUUGAUAUUUCAAAUAAUAAAGUUAAUUAGAGCAUGAAAGAAAAAUUAAGAAAAAAAAACUCAAUGAGUAAACUUUCAUCAACAGUAUGUAGGUGAUAAGAAAUAAUAAAAUUAAAAAUUUUGUUUCCAACAAAGCAUCUUACAUGGUUUAAGUGUGCCAUCUCAUUCACCCAACCUUUUGUCUUGCUGAAAUGAUUGACGCGAAAUAAUUCUAUUUCACCAUCAACCAUGUCAUCCUCAAGAUAAUUAACAAAAGGUCUUGAUCCCCCACAAUGGACAUAUGGGAGCUUAGCACGAUUAGCUUUGUUUUUGGUAGAUUGAGUCUACAUUAAAAAAAUAUAACAGUGGAAAAUAAGAUACAUAUACAAGCAUAUUGACAACUAGUUGGACAAUUUAAAGUUCAUAAUAUGAAUAUCAUUGGACCUGGAAACUUGCGGAAUUGUAAAUGUUAUGACAAAGCCAAGCCCAAUCAUCUGGACAUAUGCCUGGAUAUGAAUGCUUAAGUGCCUCUUCAAAGGAUGGAUAAUCCAAGUAAUGAUCAUACAUCCAAUGUCUCAUAUCAUGAUAUCUCCCACCCAUAAUGUUAUUCACACAUCGACGAACAUGUGGUACGUUCAAAUCAAUCUCAAACUUUGACUGAAUUUAGGAAAAAAAAGAUAUCUCAGUUUAUAAUUAAAAAAAAUGACAUAUGAAGAAUAUUAAUAAUCAUAAGUACUUACUAAUAGUCGAUCAAACAAAACCUACCAAUUAAACUCUUUAAAUACCAAAUUCUAGAGUUGUAACAACACCUUGCACAAACUCUUGGCUGGGCAUAACAGGCUAAGAUUGGGGAAUUGUAGAUGCGACAACAAUUUCUGCUCUUACACGUUUGGUAACUCUAUGUCCAGGACCCAUCUAGUAAUUAUUAAAAAUAUACAUUAGAGUUUAUUAAUAAUCAACAUAAAAAUAAAUCAAGAUAACUAUAAUUUUGUCAAAGAAAUUAUAACAUGAAAGAUCCUAUUACUGGGCAUAGAUCCUAAAUUCAUUUGACUAUUGUCCACAAACUCAGGUUCUUCACCAUGAAAAACCCAUGAAAAAUCCAUUAACUUUAAUUUAACAAAUUAAAAAUUGAAACAAAGACCCACUUAAUAAAUAAUUAAAGCAAAACCCACUAAACAAAAUCAAACUCAACAGGCCAAUAUAUAAAAUAAAACUAAAUUUACUUGAAGAAAUCGUUGUCUUGAGUGGUGCCUUCCAAGUACAACUCUUCAAUGGCUUAAAGCUUGGGCAGAGAGAAUGACUCCAAGGCAGGGCAAAAGAAACAAGCGAAGAGUAAAGUGGAAAUAUUCUAGAAGCAAUAUUUUAAUUAAGAAAAAAUUGGAGAUGGAAACUUUACUUCGGUUAGCACGCGGUUUAUUAAAUAAAGGGCGCGGAAAUAAAAAAUUAAAAAGCCUCCCACAAAGUCAUGUUUGCUUUUAUAUUAUCUUUAUAUUUUCAUUUAUUAAUUUAAUAUUUUUGUUAACCUUUGCGCAACAAAAUUAAUCUCGUUGCAAAAAACUCUGAGAGUACAAAACAAAUUUUCUCGCUAAUCACAACCUUUUGCAAUAUUUCAUUUGUUGCAACUGAUUUAAGUGUUUGUUGUGGAAAAACUUGAGCAACGAAACAUAUUUUGCCUUCAUUAAGCUUGUUAGGCAACAAGAACACUUUUGUUGCCAAACAUAGCGUAGGGCAAGAAAAUAUUUUGUUGCCAUAUAUUCUAAUUUUCUUGCCUAUUCCACAUCAUUAAGAAGAAUAAAAUCUGUUUAGCUAUAGCGAUAAAGACUAAUUUUUGUUGCAAGAUAUGAAUUUUAGCAAUAAAGUAAGUUUUGUUGCAAUAGAAUUUGUAGCCAAUACUCUAUUUUCUUGUGGUGUAGGUUCAAAGUAUGUUUAAUCAUACAAUUAUACGUUUUAUAAACAUAACAAACCAUGAAAUGUCUACUAGAUAAUUUUUUGUUAAACAAAAAAAGCAACAAGAUAAAUAAAUAAAUAAAAGCCAGAUAAACAAAGAUAAUAAAAAUGCAUUUACACUAUUUACUAUUAGGAAUGUAGAAAGAAUUUAAGGCAAUUUCUAAAUAUUUUAGACUUAUUUUGCAUCUUGAUAUCAGUUUUUAAGCAUAAAUUUGCAAAUUUCAACUAUUCCUUUUGGGGAAAAAAAAAUCAACCAAAAUGCCGCUUUUUCCCUUUUCCUUGGUCCCUUUUUUUUAUGUACAUUUAAAAAUGGGAAAAAAAAUUGGAAAAGACUUCCCAAUAUUGUCAACAAGGGACUGCUGCUGUAAAGUGGAUCUUUAUUAAGUACUUCCAGACUCAAGGAAAUUUCUUUACAAUCACGGGUCAGUUGUAAAUAAUCAUCAAUUUGUGGUUAAUUAAUGGCAUAAUCAAUUCGUAACUAAACAAGAGAUAUUAAUUAAAUUUGAAGACUUUUAUUUUCUUUUUUUUCUUUUUCCAAUCGAAAUGUGAAGAAUUAAGGAAAAGAGAAAUAUAUAGAUGAAUUUAUGAACCUAUAAGAUGAGUGACUAUCCUUUAAUUUUUGAAAAUCGUACUUUUUAAGAUAUGAGCAAAAACUAUUUAAUUGAAUUAUAUUAUGCUGUUGAAUCGUGUUUGAAAAAUUUAUAUUGUUAAUUCUAAUGCUGACGAACCUAAAAACCGGACUUAAAACGUAGAUUUCAGGGUGGUGGUUCGAAGUACGAUACUUGAAAUAAAUAAUCAGUGGCUGAAUAUCAUUUGUAAACAAAAAAUGGUUAAAAUAUUGUUGGAUGUAAUUUGAAAAAAAAAAAAAAGAUUCGAAAUGAAUACAGCGAACUUACCAAUGGAGGAAAAAUAUUCUUUAGGUUAUCACACCAAUUUAUCUCCAAAUUCUUCAAUUUGCUGAAAGACUCCGAAGCAAGCUGGUGGUGCCAUAUUCUUCUCAAAUUAUCCAUCCUCCCAAUAUCUAAUACCUCCAACCUAGGAAGUCGUACCUGGCAGUUAAAGAUUAAAUAACUAAUUGAUCAAUUAAUGGCAUAAUCAAUUGAUAACUAAAUUAGAGGCGGAUAUUAACUAAUUUUGAAGACUCAAGGAAAAGAAAAAUUAAGUAUUGUGACUAAAAUUAAUUUUUUUUAUUAAAAAAAAAACUUUUCGUCAAAGAGAGGAGGAGGUUGCAUUUCAGAAUGAUUGGUGUCUUCUGGUGAGCUCGUAGAGAUGAAUCUUAACAUAUUUCUGCAACCACGAAACUUGAGGUUUAGCAAAGAAGGGAAUUCAACAACUGAAUCUGAAUGAAUAUGUCCCGUAUUGGCAAAGCUUGUUAGUUUAUAAAGCCCAUAGAGCUGUAGGGAGUGUAGUUUAGGAAAAACCUUUAAUUCAAUCAACUUUCCUUCAUCUCUUUCUGACCACCCCGUGGUGUCGACUACCCUUUCCAUUGACCAACAAGUGGUUAUCUCAAGAUGUUGGAGUUUCGCAAGACUAUUAACCAUAGAAUAUGAAAACAGAUACUUCAUACGAUGACAACUGACCACGUGCAGCUUUGUUAGAUUUUGAUAACAGUACAUUCCUUGAUUAUGAUCGGCCCAUAAUUUUUUCAUGUUUCUUAAGUCCCUGAGAUUCAAUUCCUCUAAGCUCGGAAGAAUAACCUGCAAAGAAAACCCGUACAUUUUUGUUCCUUCAAGUACAACCGUCUAGUAUAAUAUUUUUUUGAUGAUCGAAGAUUAAUGGUGAUAAUAAAUUAAUCAAUUAAUUAUUGAACAGAAAAUUAUCACCUUUGGAGCAGUAUCAUCAUCAGCAAUGAUUUCGUUGAAUCCCAAAGAAGUUGUUGGUUUCUCCCUGUCGGGUCCUAUAAACAAACAAAAACAAUAUAUACAUAAUUAAUCUUUGUUUUUUUUUGGUCCAAAAUAAUUGAGGAGAAGUCCAUAAUCACACCAACACUUACCAACAAUCAUUUCCAGAUCAUCGCAAGAAGCCACUUCUACCUUUUGAAGCUGCAGUAGGUUUUUGGCUAUGGAGAAUGAGAAAAGAUGCUUCAAUUCGCGACAGGAUUUUACUUCGAUAAUCCUUAAGUUGCUGAAAGAUUGAUCUUCUGUGAGUUGGCUGUCACAUAUUGUCUCCAAAUUAUUCAAAUAGCUAAGAGACAAUGACUCCAGCAAGGGAAAGACUGUCCAAUGAACCCGUCCAACUGAACCAACAAUAUGCGAAAUAUCAUAACAAUAUUCUACACGAAGAUGCUUCAAUCGUGGAAAACCUUCCCCAUCAUCUAAUUCAUGAACAACAUUCUGAACACCCUUCAGUUCGAUUAGAUGGAUCUCUUCAGUUAACUUCAGCAACAUUUUCGUCCCAUAAUUCUCCCAAAGAGUGCUAACAUUUUCUAACCCAUGGAGCUCCACCAAUCUUGAUGUUUCAGAAUUAACGCGCCACCACGCUUCUCCUAUACAUAUCUUAUAUCUUUGCAAUUCCACAGGGACCCAAUCCUGCGGCAGAAUUUGGGCAUCCCGAACGUGUAUCUCCAAGGUACUUAGCUUUGACAACCCCUUCAAUUCAGCAAGACUGGCGUUACUUCCUCCUUCAACCUUAUCCCACUGCGAAAAACUGUCACCCAUAUAUAGUUCUUCCAAUCGAGAAAAAUUUGAUAUGACAUUUGGUGCUAUCACUACAAGGCUCCUACAAUGUUGGGUGCAAGCGGAAGUGCAGAAAAAUUUUUAUUUAAGAACAGAGUAUUUUGCUGGAAAUUUCUGAAACUUUAUUGCUUAAUUCAUUUUUUUCGUUUCUCUCUUCCUUUUCAUACAACCAGAGUUCUAUAUUUAUAUGCAUUAUAGACAACUCUAGAGAUUACAUUAAUCAUGCUUUACAUUUCCAAAGCUACAUUGCAAACAUCAAUUCUACCCUUUACUUCAUGUUGAAAAACAAACCAAAUAACCCUUCAAACUUCUUGCUCAAUUUACUAGAUUAUUAAUUAUAUCUCAACACCCCCUCUUAAUUAGUAAUCUUCAAUUGCUUCUUGAAUUUUUCAAACUUCUCAAUGUUGAUUGCUUUGGUCAGAAAAUCUGCUGGCUGCUCAUUAGUGCUGAUAAACUCCAUAUUAACUUCUCCUUUGUUUACUAAGUCACGGAUGUAGUGAUAACGCAGCUCAAUGUGCUUAGAUUUAGCAUGAAAUACGGGGUUCUUUGUUAGAGCAAUGGCUGACAUGUUGUCACAAUAAAUUGUUGUUGCAGCAUCUUGAUUGAAUUGCAAAUCCUUGAGAAUUCUUCUAAGCCAAACGGCUUCACAAGCUGAUUCAGUUGCUGCAAUGUACUCUGCCUCGGCUGAGGAUAAAGCUACUGACUUCUGCUUCCUUGAGCUCCAUGAAAUCACAUUUGUACCAAGACAAAAUAAAUAACCUGAUGUGCUUUUUCUGUUAUCAAGGGAACCAGCCCAGUCACUGUCAGUAAAACCAACAAGCUUGCAAUUGUCUUCUUUUUCAUACAUGAUCCCCUGCUUUUUUGUUCCUUGAAGAUACCUUAAGAUUCUCUUUGCUGCAAUAUAAUGGGACUUCCUUGGAUCAUUCAUAAAUCUAGAAAGAACACUAACUGAGUGCAAAAUGUCAGGUCUUGAGUUGGUUAGAUAAAUCAAUGAACCAACCAAGCUUCUAUAGAUUCUUGCGUCAGCCUUUUCUUCUUUUUCAUCAUGUUUCAAUUUUUCAUUCAAACCCAUAGGAGUAGGUGCUGGUUUGCAUUUGAACAUGUGGAAUUUCUUCAACAAAUCUUCUACGUAUUUUUCUUGACAAAAGAAGAUUUUACCUCUGGCUUGCUUCACUUGAAUGCCAAGAAAAUACAUCAUUAAGCCCAAGUCAGUCAUCUCAAAUUCAUCUAGCAUGCUUUUUUUAAACUCUUCCACCAUUUUCAGAUUAGUGCCACAAUAAAUUAGAUCAUCAACAUAAAGGCAAACAAUAAGGAAAUCAGUACCUUCCUUUUUGACAUAAAGAGAAGGUUCACUUGAGCUUCUGUCAAAUCCAUUUUUAACAAAAUAUCUAUCAAUUCUACUAUUCCACGCUCGAGGGGCUUGCUUCAAGCCAUACAAGGCUUUUCGGAGUCGAUAAACUUUGUUUUCUUCACCUUUUACUUCAUAUCCUUUAGGCUGCUCAACAUAAACCUCUUCUUCAAUUUCACCAUUUAGAAAUGCCGAUUUUACAUCUAGCUGAAACACAUUUAAUUCCAUUUGGGCUGCCAAGGCAAGAACAGUUCGAAUAGUCUCCAUUCGAGCUACGGGAGCAAACGUUUCUGUAAAAUCAACUCCAGGCAGCUGAGAGUAUCCUUUGGCAACGAGCCGCGCCUUAUAUUUUUGAACUGAACCAUCUUCAUUGUACUUGAUUUUGAAGAUCCAUUUCAGCCCAAUUGUUUCUUUUCCAUUUGGCAAAUUAACCAUCUCCCAAGUUUUAUUUUUCACAAUGGUGGCCAUUUCCUCGUUCAUUGCUUUGAUCCAAUCUUCAUUUCUUGAGGCCUCCUCAAAGUCUUGAGGCUCACAAGAAAAUAAAGCAAGUUCACAUGACUCAUAAAUUUCUCUCAUUGACUUUAUCUUCCUUGGAGGGCUUUCAUCAUCCGAAGAAACUUUCUGCUGCUGAAUUUNNNNNNNNNNNNNNNNNNNNNNNNNNNNNNNNNNNNNNNNNNNNNNNNNNNNNNNNNNNNNNNNNNNNNNNNNNNNNNNNNNNNNNNNNNNNNNNNNNNNNNNNNNNNNNNNNNNNNNNNNNNNNNNNNNNNNNNNNNNNNNNNNNNNNNNNNNNNNNNNNNNNNNNNNNNNNNNNNNNNNNNNNNNNNNNNNNNNNNNNNNNNNNNNNNNNNNNNNNNNNNNNNNNNNNNNNNNNNNNNNNNNNNNNNNNNNNNNNNNNNNNNNNNNNNNNNNNNNNNNNNNNNNNNNNNNNNNNNNNNNNNNNNNNNNNNNNNNNNNNNNNNNNNNNNNNNNNNNNNNNNNNNNNNNNNNNNNNNNNNNNNNNNNNNNNNNNNNNNNNNNNNNNNNNNNNNNNNNNNNNNNNNNNNNNNNNNNNNNNNNNNNNNNNNNNNNNNNNNNNNNNNNNNNNNNNNNNNNNNNNNNNNNNNNNNNNNNNNNNNNNNNNNNNNNNNNNNNNNNNNNNNNNNNNNNNNNNNNNNNNNNNNNNNNNNNNNNNNNNNNNNNNNNNNNNNNNNNNNNNNNNNNNNNNNNNNNNNNNNNNNNNNNNNNNNNNNNNNNNNNNNNNNNNNNNNNNNNNNNNNNNNNNNNNNNNNNNNNNNNNNNNNNNNNNNNNNNNNNNNNNNNNNNNNNNNNNNNNNNNNNNNNNNNNNNNNNNNNNNNNNNNNNNNNNNNNNNNNNNNNNNNNNNNNNNNNNNNNNNNNNNNNNNNNNNNNNNNNNNNNNNNNNNNNNNNNNNNNNNNNNNNNNNNNNNNNNNNNNNNNNNNNNNNNNNNNNNNNNNNNNNNNNNNNNNNNNNNNNNNNNNNNNNNNNNNNNNNNNNNNNNNNNNNNNNNNNNNNNNNNNNNNNNNNNNNNNNNNNNNNNNNNNNNNNNNNNNNNNNNNNNNNNNNNNNNNNNNNNNNNNNNNNNNNNNNNNNNNNNNNNNNNNNNNNNNNNNNNNNNNNNNNNNNNNNNNNNNNNNNNNNNNNNNNNNNNNNNNNNNNNNNNNNNNNNNNNNNNNNNNNNNNNNNNNNNNNNNNNNNNNNNNNNNNNNNNNNNNNNNNNNNNNNNNNNNNNNNNNNNNNNNNNNNNNNNNNNNNNNNNNNNNNNNNNNNNNNNNNNNAACUUGAUGGUGACUGCCUUUUCGGACCUUGAAAUUCUUGUUUUAGGAUUUCCCAAGCAUUUUUGGCCUUUUUGACACCAAAUAUUCUGGGGAAAAUUGACUUACUAACACCUUGCUGGAUAUAUCGAAGUGCCGUGGCAUUUCUCUGUAUGUUUUCUUUGUACUGCUGUUGAUGUGCUGGAGUCCAAUCUGAAGAACUUGCUGAUUCUGGUGGUUCAGCAUAUCCAUCUUCAACAACAAGGUGUUGGGUGCAAGCGGAAGUGCAGAAAAAUUUUUAUUUAAGAACAGAGUAUUUUGCUGGAAAUUUUUAUUUACAAUUGCUCAAAUCUAGCAAUUGUAACCCCGUCAAUUGUCCAAUUUCAAGUGGUAACUGCUUAAUGUCGGAAUAUCGAAAGCUAAGAAUCUCCAAUUUCUUUAGUUGUCCAAUUGCCGCUACAUCUUCUAGUUGGCACCAGUCUAAACACAAUGUUUGAAGGUUAAUGAGGCGACCGAGUGACGAAGGUAAUGAAGAGAAAGGAAUUCUAGUAAGACUUAAAACUUUGAGUUCUUCUGUCCCUUCAAAAAAGAGAUCUGAAAUUUGCAUAGGGCCAUUACCCUUUCUAAACAACAAAAAUAACUGGAGAUUGGGACAUUGCAACCUUUCAGGGAGCUCUUGAAUAUUUCUCUGGGGUAAUGAAAUGGCAAUUGGAUCUUUCCGUAUUGUCUCUUCCAUCUUUUUCUCUAAGUCGGCAACAUUUGGAAUAUUAAACAUGCGCUUCUCUGCGGCAAUUGAUACGGCAACAACAUGAGUGACGUCAUGCAUUUUAACUUCAUCUUUAGCAUCACCGUCCAACAAUAAGCAUGAAGAUUUGAGGUUGUCGAUCAACCGAUGCACUCUACUCCUUGCUUCUUCCGAUGUGUAAACAUUUUCAAAUAAACGCCAACCCACACCAUAUCUCAAUAAGUUAGAAACUUGUAUGACAUAACCUUCACUGUAUAGACCACAAAGACGGAACAGAGAUUUUGCCUCCUCACUUUCCAAGAAGUCAUAACUCAAUUUUAUGGAGGUGUAAACAUUUGCUUGCAUGCCAUGAAUUUCUCUUGCAUCCGAUCUUCUUAGCUGAUUCAAUGCAUCUUUCCAAAAGUCAAGCUCCUUAGUUUUCAGAGCAUUUGCAACUGUACUCAGUGCAACAGGCAAACCUCCGCAUCUUUCAACGAUCUCAUUGGCUGUACUUUGAAAAGCAGAUAUUUUAGUUGAAUCACCCACUAUCUCCUCAAAUAACUGCAAUGCUUCUUUUGGUGGCAAAGCAUCGAUCUGGAAAUUUUUCUGAGAAUUCAUAUCAAUGCGCAAUAAAUCUUGCUUUCUAGACGUCAAUAUUAUUGUGCAUCUUCUCUGAUCAUCCUUUCUAUCUUUCUCAGCAACAUCCCCGGUUGGAAUUCCAAAUUUAUCCAACUCAAGUUUUGUCCAAAUAUUAUCUAAUAUAAUGAGGAGCUGCUUCUCUUUCUUCAAUCUUUCAUGUAAUCGUUCAGCUCUUUGGAAUUCAUUCUCAUUCAGGCCAAAUUCCAUGCCUAAAUCAAAAGCAAGUUUGUUUUGAAUUUUAUGAUGAUCUGGGGUCUGUGUUACCUCAGCCAUAACGACCUUAUCGAACAAGUUUUCUUCCAUCACUUGCUUUGCAACUUGCUUGACUAUCGUGGUUUUACCCACGCCGCCCAUCCCGUGGACCCCAAUUAUGUUGAGCUUAUCAUCCCUCAACGCCUCCAUAACAUCUUGAAAUACUUUCAUUCUUGAAUCAAACGCCUCGAAAUCUUUCACUUGAAUAUGUUCUGCCAGCUUUGGAGUAGGACGGUGGGAAACAUUAGAGAAGUUGCCUUUUCCCACGAGACUAGCGGCAGCUUCUGCGGCCUUUGCUGCUUGUCUACUGAGCUUGUAACGGGAAAUCAAGUUUGGGCACGAUCCUUUGAAACAGAACUUCUUAGCUCUAUCUUCAUCAUCAGUGAUGGAUUUUGCAGCGCCCUGAGUGAAUUCCUUGACACUAUUAAGCCAGUCUGCAACAUCCUUAUAAAUCUCAUCUCCUUGUUGAGUAGCCUGAUGAACGGGUAUUUCCACCCUUUCUCUUUUGUGUUCCAGCUGCUUCACUUGAUCUUUUAGGCCAUCUAUGUAGCUCUGGUACUUGAACACAUAAGAUAUCUGCCGUAUAAUCGGUUUGAAUAGUGACUUUACACCUUCUGAUACGAUGCUGGAAAAAGCAGCCAGACCCACUUCUGCAGCCAUUGCCUGUUGCUUAACAGUAUAUAUAUAUAAAUAUAUAUAUAUAUAUAAAGUGAAUAAAAAUGUCAAAUAAAGGAAUACAAAUAAAUUAAAAUGAACUAGAGGGAAAGACAGAGAAAGAAUAGACCGCAAACAACAUCACGAUAUUGAUCUUGAACCAACUGAUACCUAAGUGGAGAAUUUCUUUUUCUAUCUUAAGGAUCAGAGGUUUCGCUAUUAACAGAAAGGUAUCCUUCAAGGAAAGUUGAUGGAAAUUAAGAAAGAAUGGCUAUCAAGAUCAAGUAUUCUGCUACUAAAAAUAAAUGAUAUGAUUAAGAAAAACCAGAGAAUUUUUUCCUAGGAAAGUUGAUGGAAAUUAAGAAAGCACCGCUAUGAAGAUCAAGUAUCAGAGAUUCUGCUACUAAAAGAAUAUUACAGGUUUUAGAACAAGUGCACCUCUUUACCUGUCUGGGAUCAGAGUUGAUGAGCUGCUGUAUUCACCUUGAAUAUAGAAGAAAUAUUACAGAUUUUGACUAAAGAGGAAUGUGAGGAACGAGUUGAUGAGAGUAAUAACAAUGAAUUUCCAAAAGAAGACGACUUGAGCAUUAAGCAUGCACCCCCUUUUUCAAUCAAAUAUUGGUACGUAUGUACGUAGGGACCAUUAUGCGUAUAUGAAGUCCAUUAGUUGCAAUCAGAAACCCUGGACCAAUUUAAAUGACACUCGAUUUUUGAUAAGAAGAAGGCAAGGAUAAGGACAAAGUCAAUCAAUCACCAACAGUAAUUACUUCAAUCUUUGUCAAUCUACUUAAAUUGUCGAUCAACAUGAAAAUUGUUUAAAUUGAUAUUUGUAAAUCAAUCAAUUUUCUAGUUACUAUGAUUAUAGCGUUUCACCUUUCAUAUUGGAUUUUAUCUUUUCGAAAGUUUUCAAAUAUGAGUGUCAAUAAUUAUUGAGACUCCAAGCCGUGCUCUCAAGAUCGUGCUGACACAUCACUAUUAACUUUAUUUAUGCAUAUUUCAAAGAAAAAAAGUUAUGGUUUUGUAUUGCCAGCCCUGCUACUUUUUGUUUUUUUUCAUUUGUAUUAUUUACGAUUUUUUUUUAACAGAAACAUGAGAACUCAUCAUCGUACAAAAUUGUAUGAAAAAAUCUUCAAAUUUAUAAAAGUAAAUUUCAUUGACAGAUUGUGGAUAUGUUAGCAAGAAUAAGGAUAAGAAUGAGUUAAGAAAUUAAAAAGAAAAAAAAUAUAGUGUAAGUAAACAAUGUUUUGGUACAUUUGGUAUUGUUUUCAAAAUAUUUUGAAAAGAAAAAUUUUCAAUCAUCCACCUAAAAAUUAUUUUAUUAUCCAAAAGUUAUGAAAAUUUAAAUAUACUUAAUUUUAUACCCAUUAUUACAAUGUGUAUCAACUGUUUACUAAAAAAAUAAAGUUACUCCUAAAACGUAAUCACCACUACAAUUUUAUGUUCGCUUCUAUUUUGUCACUUUGAACGAAUAACUUUGAGUAAAUGACUGAUAAUUUCUCUUUUAUAAGCUACAAGAAGUUAAAAAAAGAAAAAAGAAAAAAUAGGAUGAUAAUUUCUCUUUUAUUUGCCUCAGAUGAUUUAUUGUUUCGGGUCUAAGAUUUUAAAUAUUCAACUUAAAAGAUUAAUAUAUUAUAAAUUAAUUAAUUAAAUAAUCAUUAAGCAAAUAAAUUGUGUCCCUGGAUGUCAAUUCCUUUAAUAUUGACGCAACUAUUUUUUUCUGGCAAAUAAUUAUUAAUGCACUUACGGAACUUUGCAUAUCUACACAGCGAUUUUAAAUAUUACUGGUAACUGCUAAGAAAUGUGCGAGAAAGGAGUUGAUGAGAGUAAUAACAGCGACUUGCAAAAGGAAAAGACAGAAUCAUUCACCCCUUUUUGUAUCACGUAUUUGGUUACUGUUUCCCUGUUGACGCAUGUAUAAAUUUGAGUGGUUUUUCUCCACGUUUUUGAGUGGUCUUUCUGCACUUUUUAACAAUAUGAUAAUUGACAGGUUAAUUAUUUUAUAUCUUUUAUAAAAUUACUAUUAAAGGAGAUUUUCUGCACGCAUGUAUAAUAUUUUAUAUCUUUAUUUAUAUUACUAUUAAUUUUAAAUUAAAAUUAUUUAUAUUUAUUCAUAUUCAAAUAUUUAUUAUUAGUUAUAUUAACUAUAAUAUAAUUAAAUAAUACAUUAUUUAGUUAUAUUUUCAAUAUAAUAAAAAUUAAUAAUAUAAUAAUAAAAUUUAUUUAAACAUUUAUUAACAUGUAAUAAAUUUUGUUUUUGUGUACAAUACAAUAAAUUGAUAACUAAAAUAAAUAUUAUUAACAUUAUUUUAUUAUUUUAUUACCUCAAUAUUAUUAGUAAUUAUAAGAAUUCCUUGAAAGUUAAUGAUUUUACUUUUUUGAUUAAUAAGGAUAAUUUUAUAUUUUUAUAGUAUGUAUGACGGCUUGCCUCCUGCAUGCGUCUAAGUGCAACCUUCCUAUAUAAUCGGUUGCUUUGCUUGUGAAACUACAUCAAACCCUAAUCCUGAUCCUGAUCCUGCUGAGAUGAGUGUUAUAUAUGCUGAAGCAAAUUAAACACGCACAUCAUCAAUUUGAUUCGAUAUGCGCACCGUCUUACGUAUAAAUACCAAAAGAAAUCAUAAUAUACAUCUUAGUACUGAUAGUCGUGAUCACAAAUUAGGAACACAAUAUAUACACAUGCAUAAUAUAAAGAAAACACGAGGUAAAUUAAAAGCGUGUAAAUAUUCAUUUUUUUCAAAUAUUGAGAUGUAGCUAUAAAAGAAAAAAUAAAUUAAAAAAUUUUAAAUUUUAAUAUGGCCAUCGUAGAGUUAGAAUCCCCGCUCCAACCCAAUUUGGAGAUGUGCUUGGUCUAUUUAUGUUUUGGAAAAAGAAAAACCAAAGGAAAAAAAAAUACACACACGACCAAAUCAAGCAAUUCAUCAAAUAAAAAAUAAAAAAAGGAAAGAAAUUUAAUGACUUGCAUGCAAUUUUGGAUCUGAAAUUAAAAUUACAUAAAAAUUAAGGAUUACCUACCUUAAUAUUUACAGCUUAUUUGAUGGACUCAACAGGUUUAAGCAACAUCAAAAUGUUUGUGGCUCCUUAAAUGAGCCCCCGACAUGGUGCAAAUGACAACAUCGACUUGUUUGACAGCUCCAACAAGGCUACGAUGAUCAGAAAAUGAGCCCUCAAUCAACAAGCUAAGAUUGGCUUCUCUAUCCUCUUCUCCCCACAACCAGCGCCUUGCUCUUUGUCAUUUUUCCUCUUGUUAGUUUUCUUCUACAUAUAAUUAUUACACUGGGAAGUACACACCCCUCUUUUCUUUUUAUAGUACCUUACUAUUAUAUCUUUACAAAACAAUAUCACCCUAAGACAGAUAUGUAUGAAAUAAAUGAAAUAAAUAUAUAAGGAACUGACGAAAUAAAAUUAUCAUGACCAUAGACUUUUCUAAUUUAUUUUUUCCUUUAAAAAACGACAAGGAUAAGUUUGGGAAAAUGAUUAUAUUUUUAAUAAAAGAAUUCUUUUUUAUUAUAAGGAUCCACCUACGUUACAAUAGUGAUACCAUACUACAGUUUUUGUCUUUAUUUAGUUGAGUCGUUGGAUGUUUUACUGGUCAAUCUAAUGGCUGAAAUUAAUUAUUAGAUAAUUGAUGCGGCAACCUGCAACCGUUGGAGCCGGUUGCGUUUUAAUGUAAUGUAAUAUCAUUUGCGAGCUUGUGCUGAGAAAGUUUGUUGUACUGCAUCAAUGGAACUGAUUUGGUCAGGAUUUAUGGAUAUAGAGAAAGAGGAGUGUUAGAAAAGAAAACGGUGCAGAAGAUUGUCCCUUCAUCCAUUUGGCCUUUGGUAGGGGCUUCCUUUGAUUUUCACCUGGACUUCAUAAAUUCCUCAAAUUUCCUUCUUGAUAACAGUAAUCCUGCAUUCGGAGAGAGGUAAGUCACCAUGUUUCGUCACAAACGUGGCCAUCUCUUCUCCAUUCGAUUGGUUGCUUUUUAAAUCCAAUGGUUAUAUUAGAUGAGGACAAAAAUUGUGGUAUGGUACCACUGUUGUAACAUAAGUGGAUCCUUAUUAUAAUACUUUUUGUCUUAAUUAAUUUAAAAAUAUUGACUCUUAUAUUUUAAUAAAUAUAAAUAUAAUAUUAUAAUAAAAUAUAACAAUAUAUACAAAUAUUUAAAAAAUUUAAGAUUUUAUUAAAAUAAAUUUUAUAAUAAAUACAAAUAUAUUAUUAAUAUAAUUAUAAUAAUUUGCAUUUUAAAAAGUAAUACUGCUAUAAAUUUUUUAAAUUAUAUUACUCUACCAAAAAAAUAAACUAUUAAAUUAUAUUGAUAUUUAUUAAAAAAUUUGCAAUUAAUUCUUAUUAUAUUUUUAAUUGGAAUUUUUUUCUUGUGAUAUAACAACAAUUGCUACAGUUUUUUCCCUAAAUAAAGAUGGAGUUAUAAAUUAUUUGUAUAAGUGUCAUGAAAGUAAUAGUUGAAUAACAAUAAUGGGGCUUUAGGCAAUUUUUUUAUGAGGUCUUCUUACAAUUUCAACACUUAAACAGACUUGUCCUUGAUCCCAAUUUAUUUACUGCAUUUGGGCCCACGAUGAGAUAAAUAUAUUCCUGUGAGAUGAAAAACAUCAGGAGAAGAAAAUGUUUUAUUAUAAUAAAAAAAAAAGUGGUCCAUAUGUUACCUGUUACCUGCAGAGGAAUGUGAUUAUAGAGAGCUUAUGAGAGUAACGACAAUGAUUUGCAAAAGAAGAAGACUUAAUCAUGCAGCCCUUAGUAUUUAUCAAAUGAUUAGUGAUCAUUUCUUUUAUAAAUAAAAUGCCAACAGCAAAAAGAAAAAAAAAAGGUUAAAUUUAUUAAGUCUUAUUUUAAUUUUAAUUUCUUUUAUUUUCAUUCGCCGAAGAGGGAAUCUCUUUUCCUAAUGUGACAUAAUUAAAGCAAUCUAUAAAUAAUACAAUAAUCAGAUAAUAUAAUAAUUAAAAAGACGCACAUGUUUAUAAUAAUAAUGAUGGGAUCCAUAUGUUUAUACUGAUUAAAUUGGUGGACCAGAAUUUAUUUGACCUUACUUGUUUUCUAUUUAAUUAAAAAUUGAAACGACAGAGAAAAAAUGUCGUACUGAUGGUUUCGAUUGUGGAGUUCCGCUGUGGAUAGCACAUCCAAUAGUGAAAAAUGAAGCUUUCGUCAACUAUCUCACAUCCACGCGUACCAUCAUGCAUAAUUGGAUAUUGCAUUAUUUCUUUAGAAAAGCAAGAUUAAUUCUUUUAACAAGCAAACGCAUAUACAUAGAAUAAUUAUAUGUAUUUGUUGGUUCAAGAAACUUAACUGACAAGAUUGAGACAAACAGGAGAUUUUAAUUUUUUUUGGACAUUAAGAAAUAACAGCUGUCAAGAUCAAGGAGAUUAUGCUAUUAACAGAAAUUAUUAAAGGAUUUAGAACAAGUUAACCUCUUCAGUUAUCCGGGAUCAUACGGUUGAUGAGCUUCUCUGUUUGGCCUUGAAUAUUUAAGAAUAAUUUUGAUGAGCAAAAAGAUCACUGGUAACUGCUGAGAAAUGUGUGAGAAAAGAGCUGAUUAGCGUAAUAACAAUGAAUUGCAAAAGAAAAAGACUUAAGGGUAAUUUUUGGAAACCUCCCCUGAGGUUUGCCCUUGCUACACUUAGAGAGAAUGUAUGCAUAUAUUGACAUAUAGCACCCCUGACCGUGUAUGAGCGUUAGAGUGCCGUUUGGUUGUUAAGGGCAAUAACGUAAUUGCAAAAAUAAAGAGGCUGACUGCAGAAAGAACGCAAUAGCUUUUGCUUCCUCUCCAUGUCUUCGUUCUUGUUCUUUCUCUCGCUCUCAAAAGAAUUUGGAGGCAGAAAAGGAAAAAAAAAAAAUUCUUCUUUUCUUUCUCUUUUCCCCCCUUCCUCUCCACCCAUUUCGUUCUUUUAUCAGUAAAGCUGAAAAACAAAGGCCACUAUUCCUGCAUCACCACCAGUUUGUCGUAUUGCUUUGCUAGUCAACAAAAAUUCUAACCCCAUGUUAAAAAAUAACAUCAAUAUUAAUGCUUCUUCUUCUUAUGAUUCUUUCACCUCUUUAGAAAAUGGUGCACUAGUUAUUCAUAACAAAAGAGAAAGAAAACCAGCAGGCACCCCAUGUAGCUUUCUUUUUCAAUUUUCUUUUGUAUAUGGGUUAAAUUCUUUUAAGGCGAAUUGCAAGUUUUAAUUUUUGUUUUUCCGUUUUUUGUUUGAUACGCACACACGCAUAAAUCCAGAUGAGAGGUGGUUUUUAUAUGCUGUUCAAUCUAAUUAUAAAGCACAUCUAAAAAAUUGUGGUACUAGAGGCCAUUCUUCUGACUGUGGCCGAGUGUUUUCCAGGUUCUUCUCUUUCUCCUAAAUUUACUCCCUUUUUUAUUCUUUCAACAAAAAUGAGAUUCUUUGCUCCUUCAAGUGGAACCUCGGGGGCAAAUUACCUCCACAAAUUGACCCACGGGCCACGGCUACUAGAUUUGGAGGGGAGAGAGAGUGACCUACGGCUGCUGGAAUUGGAGGGGGGAGAGAGUGACCCACGGCGGCUGGAAUUGAAGGGGGGAGAGAGAGUGAACCGUGCGUUUUGUGCUAGAUUUGGAGAUCCGAGGGGAGAAAGAGAGUGUGACCCGUGACCCACAACUGUUGGAUUUGGAGGGGAAAGAGAGUGAGAGCUGUCGACGGAGCGUGGUGAGGAAGAAUGGGAAAUUGGUGGCUUGGUAAGAUUAGUGGCAUGAGCUGUGAGGGAGAGCGAGAGAGGGUGUGCUGCGAACGUUGCGUGUGUGUUGCAAAUGGUGUUGCACAGUUCUUUCAAUCAAACCCUAAGAUCCUCACAAAAUCAUGCCAAAAUAUUGAUUCACCAGGCCUUUUAAUUAAGUUAAAAGCUUCUGUUUUGUUAUCUUCUGCAAUGAAAGAAGCAUCGUCAAGUCUGCAACUCCACGUUGCUGCAAGUAUUGUCAGUUAUUGAACUGUGCAGUGAAGGGCAUUAUUGUACUUUCGGUAACAGAGCAAACGGCAGUCUAACACUGAUACACGGUCAGGGGUGCUAUAUGUCAAUAUAUGCAUACAUUCUCUCCAAGUGUAACAAGGGCAAACCUCAGGGGAGGUUUCCAAAAAUUACCCAAAGACUUAAUCAUGCACCCCUUUUCAUAUCACGUAUUUGGUUACUGUUGCCUUGUUGACAUAUGUGUAUAAUAAGGGUCCGCCUAAGUUACAGCUAAUGUAAGUUGAAGAAAGCACUAGUUCACGACUUUACCUUUGGAUAUAUUCUAAAGAGAUAAUUAAGUUUGAUAAAAGAUAAAGCAAAAGCUUGAAUGCAUGAUUGAGGGCGAAGACUUUUAUUAAAGCAGAUGCCGAAAGCACACGAAAAGCUUGAAUGUUGUGGCUCCUUAAGUGAGGCCCAGACAUGGUGCAAAAGACAAAAUCGACUUGUUUGACAGCUUCAACAAGGCUACGAUGAUCAGAAGAUGAGCCCUCAAUCAAGAGAGCUCCCUGCCUCUUAAAUGAUAAAUUAAAAGCAAUUGUAGCUUGUCGACAUCAGGCCAAUUUCAGGCCUUUGAAGAGCACAAAUGACAUGGCCUUGACCAAAGAUUGCCUUCUCUAUCCUCUGCCGACACAUCCACUUCUCUCCACAACCAACGCCUUGCUCUCUGUCAUUUUUCCUCUUGUUAAUUUUCUUCUACAUAUAAUUAUUACGCUGGGAAGCAUACACACACCUCUUUUCUUUUUUUUCUUUUUUUCAAACUACUAAAUAUUAUGGGAAAAUGAUCGAAACCCUUUUUUUUUUUCUUUCUAGUUAACAUUAUCAGGUGUAUUUUUGGCUUUUCACACUUGCAUAAAAAAUUGAUAAAAAUUUGAAACAUAAAAUUCACUUUAUUACCUUUUACUUUUGUAAAUAAACUAAAAGAUAUUUUAGUCUUUUCAUAUAUUUGCCAAACGUUUUUAUAAAUUAAAUGGUGAAAUUGUUUAUAUAGAUUACAAAUAAACAGUAUAAUUAAUUAUAUUUUGUAUGUAUAAAGCAUUAAAUAAUCAGAUAUUUGUGGCUUUUAAAACUCAAGAAAACUCAAGAAAAUUAAAUGACAAGAUUAAGACAAACAAGAGAUAGUUUUUGUUGGACAUUAAGAAACAACUACUAUCAAGAUCAAAGAUUAGAAAUUAUGCUAUUGAAAGAAAUUAUUAAAGUAUUUAGAACAAACGCACCUCUUCAAUUAUCUAGGAUCACAGAGUUUAUGAGCUUCACUCUUGGCCUUCGAUUUAUAAGAAAAAUUUUAAUGAGCAAAAGAUCGCUGUUAACUGCAGAAGAAUGUGAGUAAAGAGUUUAUGGGAGUAAGCAAUACAAUUGAAUUGUAAAAGAACAAGACUUAAAGCGUGCACCCCGUGUUCAUAUAAACAGAACACAUGUUCAUUUUUAACAAAGUGAUCAAUAACUCUAUUCGUUAUUUAAUUGAUAUUGUAACCAAUUCUAAGAGAAUAUAACAAUUAUCAUUCAAUCCAUAAAUUUUGAAUUAGAUUUUUUUAACUCUUUAUUUAAAUAUAAACCUUAAUGGAAAAUUAUAAAAGUUUAGAGAUAAAAUUUUUCAAUCACCAAACGAAAAAAACAGGGGAAUGAAAACAGAGGAAUCUUGUUUUAACUAAUUUUUUUUCCUCAUUUCUUGGUCUUAUAUUAAUAAUCUUGUUUUGAUGAUAGUGCUCGUGACUGCGGGAAAAUUUCUACUGGAAACAACUCAAUUUCGGAAGAAAACUUAAUUUUGCAAGUGAUGAAUUUGAACUCGUUGGAUUGGUUGAUUUAUGAUUGACUGAAUUUCACUUUUGCCCAAAAGAUCUUUAACCAAAGUUUAAUAGCUAUCAUGUACUCCUUAAAAGCAAUUUUUUUUUUAUAGAUUUGACUGAAUUUGAACUUGUUGGAUUGGUUGUUUUUAGAUUAUUAAUAUGAGAUAUUACAACGUAAAUAUUUUCAUGGGGUUGAGCCCUAUUCUAAAAUCUGUAUAGUUAGCUUUAGAAAAAGGGCUUUUCCUGCUGAUCUGUAAUCUUCAAAUAAACUUAGAUACAAAUAAUGAAAUAAAAGACAACAAACAAGCAAUACUGAUACAAAGCCAACAGAUCAGAGUUUUUGGUACAAAGCCAAUAAAAGACAAUAAACUUAGGACCUUUUUUUCUUGCUUUCUUUUGUUGAAGGAUUAGAGUUUUUGGUAUUAUCAGUAAAGAUUUCAAGGGUCUGAGUAAAAGCCUAUAAUCUUUUUCUAAACUUUUUUUUUGGGGGUGGGGGGGGAGCAUGCAAAUUAACCAAAAGAAAUAAUAAGACCACAGGCUUUAACAAUGAAUGCUAACUUAAAACUCAUGCAAAAUAAGUUACAAUAUUAAAACAAACCAGAGAAAAUUUUUUCUUGGAAAGUAGAUGGAACUUAUGAAAGAGCAGAUGUCAAGGAUUUAGAAAACGUGCACCUCUUUAAUUAUCUGGGAUUAGAGAGUUGGUGAGCUUCUCUAUUUAAGAACAAGUUGAAAGAGGAAAAAGAUCACAGGUAACUGCUGAGGAAUGUGUGAGAAAAGAGUUGAUGAGAGCAAUAACAAUGACCUGCAAAAGAAACAGAAUUAGUCAUUCACCGCUUUUCUAUAUCAUGUAUUUGGUUAUUGUUGCCCUGUUGACGCAUGUUGAAGAAGAAAGCACUAGUUCACAACUCUACGUUUUCAUAUAUUCUAAAGAAAUAAUUAAGUUUUCAUAGAAUAAAAUGGUAAGACUUUUAAUUGAACAAUUGAGUGCAAUCAGUAACAAAGGCUUUACAAAUGCAAGUAAAAUUUGUACGUUGCUUCAGAAAAAAAGGGCAUUUCUCACUCAUCUUUAAUCUGCAAGUAAAAUUAGAUACAAAGCAAAUCUAAUAAAAUGACAAACAAACAAACAAAACAAAGAAAAGACAGGAGGCAAACAACAUUGAUCUUAAGCCAACUGAUAAUUAAACAGAGAAUUCUUUUUUUUUUUUUUAACCUGUUGCUAAAGGAUUAGAGUUUUUAUAUUAACAGAAAGGUUUCAGGGGUCUGAAUAAAAGCCCACAAUUUCUCUAUUUUAUUUUUAUUUUUAUUUUUUGAAAGGAGCUUCACCAUUGGCCUUGAACAUAUAAGAAUGAGCAAAAGAUCAAUGUCAACUGCCGAGGAAUGUGAGUAAAGAUUUCAUCAGAGUAAGAAAUACAAAUGAAUUGUAAAAGAACAAGACUUAAGCGUGCACCCCGUGUUUUGUUUUAUUGUACGUAUAAACAUAACAUGUUCAUUUUUAACAAAGUGGUCAAUAACUCUUUUUUUUUCGGUACAAAGACGUGCCUAGUAUAGACUAGGGCAAAACAAAACGGGGGUGUGAAACCCCAAUACAAUCAUGACGAAUCCAAAACCCAGCCCCUAAAGGAAGAGAAUUGAAAAUGUGCAAUCCAACAGGUAGUGAAAGAGUAGAGUUUGCAAGAAAGUCAGCUGCAAAAUUUGAUUCUCUGUAAACAUGCUUGACCCGCACUUGCCAGGUUCUGUUAAGCAAUUCCUUAAUACCCCUGACAAGAGAAGCAUGUGCAUUUGGCCUAAUCUCGUCAUCCGCCACCAAACGAGUAACACAAAGGCUGUCAACCUCCACCCGAAGCUGCCGAAUUCCAUUAUCCCAAGCCAGACAUAACCCUUGAUAAAGGCCCCGUAACUCAGCACCAGUGAUGGUACCCACACCAAUAUUCAUUCCAAAACCAAUUAUCCACUCUCCAUAACAGUUUCUAAUCAAACCACCCGCACUAGACAUACCAGAACUUUUACGAGCUCCAUCUGUGUUGAGUUUAAACCAAGGCCAAGUAGGUGCCACCCAUCCAAAAUAUUUCUCAAUCUUCAUGGCAGCAGGAACCAAACAACUCUGAUUAAACUUUUGAAUUUCUUCUGUACGGAUCUUAAUAUCCAUUACAACAGUACUCUUGCUGGUAAAAACACCAUUAUGUAGAUUUUGGUUACGCCAAAACCAAAGCCUCCAAACUGUGACCCCAAAAAGACAUGGCCAGUCAAACAUACCAUCAUACUUCCACAAGUUCCUCAAAUUAUAUAACAUCCAAUCUCGGAGAUUCAAACUAAAAAAUUGAUGACUAAUCCCAUGGGGUAUCAAUGACGACCAGAUUGCUUAGCACUGGGGCAAUCCCGCAGCACAUGAAGAGUAUUUUCAACAACACAGCCACACCUUGCACAGCUCAUAUCAUCAAAAAUAUGUCUCCAGAAAAGUUCUGCUUUAGUUUUAAGUCUAUUUUGACCCACCACCCACAGAAAGGUUUUGAUACGUUGGGGACCUCUCCACUGCCAAAGAAUGCGCCAAAAGGAUUCUUCAUUGUGAACCUCCAUUUUUGACAAAGCCCUAUAUGCUGAAUUAGUAGUGAAAUCUCCUGACUUAGAAUAUGCCCAGUACAUGUAAUCAUCCUCAUCAUUUACACUGGGAGGCUUGGUGGCUGCAAUUUUGAGAAGUAAAUGAUGGGGCAAUAAAUUCUCAAAAAGCCGCCAAUUCCAAGUACCCUCAACAGUGAUAAACCUCGCCACACACUCCUCAAGCUGCUCUAAAGGUAUCGGCUGCAAAGCGAAAGUAUACAAAGGGUAUUCCUCUAUUACCCAAUUAUCCCACCAAAAUCUAACUCGGUUGUCAUUUCCAAUGUCCCAUUUGAUCCCUUUUAAAACCUCAUGCCAAAUGCCUCCCACAGCCUUCCACAUGUAAGAGCCAUAUUUCGUAGGUAAUGUGCUGGGGAGAGCAUUAGGAGCCAGCCCAUACUUAGACAAGAGAACCUUCACCCAUAAACUAUUUGGAGAAGCAAUUAAACCCCACCCAAUCUUCAUGAGCAGAGAGCAUCAUUCAUUAAAUUAAGCUGCUUAAGACCAAGGCCUCCGCUAGGUUUCGGUUGACAUAUUGUAUCCCAUUUCACCAAACUGAUUUUCUUCUUGUCUGCUGCCCCGCUCCAAAUAAACCUCCUACAAGCCUGAUUAAUUUUCUCCCGAAUACCAAACGGAAUCCUCGUGGUCUGCAUUGCAUAAAUAGGAAUCGCCUGGAUUACCGAUUGAGUGAGAGUGAUCCUAUCCACCAAGGACAAAUGUAUCGCAUUCCACCCCGACAAACGUUGGUUCACUUUGUCCAAAAUUCCCUGAUAAGUCAGCUUAUUAACCCGUGAAUGAAUAAUUGGCACUCCUAAAUAUUUCCCUAGGUUUUUUGUGACAGAAAAACCCAAGGAAUCACCAAUUUCCUUAGCCUCAGCAGACUUUACGUUGUGGGAGAAAAAAACUUGUGUCUUUGUUUUACUAACUUUCUCUCUAGAGGUCAUAGAAAAAACAUUCAACACUUCAUUUAUAACCAUUGCUUGCCUACAGGAAGCCUCUGCAAGCAAGAUAAGAUCGUUAGCAAAAAAUUAGUGAGAUAAAGAGGUACCUCCACGAGAUAGUUUAAUAGGUUUCCAGUGCCCUCUCUUCACAGUGUCAUUUAUUCCAUGGCUUAACCUUUCUAUACAUAACACAAAGAUAUAUGGGGAAAUGGGGUCUCCCUGUCCAAUACCCCUAGAAGGGGUAAAACUCUCCGUAAUUUCUCCAUUCCAUAGAAGUUGCAUAGUCGCCGUUGGAAUACAUUCCAUAAUAAGCCGAACCAAAACAGUAGGCAAUCCAAACUCCCUCAAGGUUUCAUAAAUAAAAUCCCAGCUUAAACGAUCAUACGCCUUUUCCAAAUCCACCUUAAUGGCCAUCUGCCCAAUCCUCCCUUUCUUACGUCUCAUCGAAUGAAAAACUUCCUGAGCAACCACUAUGUUUUCCGUUAUGUGUCUCCCCGGGAUAAAACUAGUCUGGGUAGGUCCAAUGAGGUCAGGCAAGAUAGAUUUCAGCCGGUUAGCUAAUAACUUAGUGAUAGUUUUAUAGAUAACCGGGCAAAGACUAAUCGGACGAAAAAGCUUAAGGCUAAUAGGAUUAUCCGACUUAAGAACCAACACAAUCAGAGUUUUGUUCAGCUCCUUAGGGAUCUCGUUGCCAUUAAAAAUACCUUUUAUAAGACUACAGACAGAUUUUCCCACUACAUGCCAUUGGGUCUGGUAAAAGAGAGCAUGCAACCCGUCUAUUCCAAGGGCUUUCAAAGCCUUCAUGCUGAAGAUCACAUUCUUAAUUUCCUCAUCAUCCUCCACUGCUUGUCCCAAAGCUUGCAUUCGACUUUCCUCAAGGAUUGGGAAGGCGUUAACAACAUGGUAUGGAUGAUAGAUUGCAUCCUCUUUGGAAUAGAGCUUUGAAAAGAAGGACACAGCAUAAUCUCUAAUCUCAUCAUUAUUCAACAUUCAAUAACUCUAUUCGUUAUGAAAUUGAUAUUGUACCCAAUUUUAAGAGAGCAUAAUAAUAACCAUUCAAUGCAUAAAUUUAGAAUUAGGUUUUUUUGUAAUUCUUUAUUUAAAUAUAAACUUCAAUGGAAAAUUAUAAAAAUUUAGAUAUAAAAUUUUAAAUCACCAGACCAAAAAAAAAAUAGGGGAACGGAAAUAGAGGAAUCUUGCUUUACCUUUUUUUCCUUUAACUCUUGUUCUUAUAUAAAUAAUCUUGUUUUGAUGAUUGUAACUCGUGACUGCGGGAAAAUUUCUAAUGGAAACAACUCAAUUUCGGAAGAUAAGCUUAAUUCUGCAAGUGAUGAAUUUGUUCAAUUGACUCUGUACUUGAACUAGUUGGAUUGGUUGAUUGAUGAUUGACUAAAUUUGAAUUAAGUUUAAUAGCUUAGCUAUCAUGUACUCCUUAAAAGCAAACGUAAAUCUUUUUUAGAUUUGACUGAAUUUGGGAACCUGUUGGAUUGAUUAUUUUUAGAUCAUUAAUAUCAGAUACUACAACGUAAAUAUUUUCUUGUGGUUGAGUCCUAUUCUCAAAUCAGUAGGUUGCCAUAGAAAAAGGGCUUUUCUCACUGAUCUUUUUUUUUUUCUUUAAUUCACACGCACUUGAUUAUUGACUUCUUUCAUGAAGAAAUAAACUUGUAAUGACUUAAAGAUUUAAUUUCAAGUUAGAAUCAAUACCAAAAGACGGAGGUUUAACCAAGCAUGCAGUGUGAUAAAAGUACUUUAAAAAAUGUUGUUCGACCCAAUUAAGUUGAAGAAAUAACAAAGUUUUCAUGGAAUAAAUACCGGUUGUGCUUUAAUGAUUUUGGCAUAGACAUUGCUUGUGUACUGUGAAAUUGAAAUGAAUAUUAAGUGACAGCGCGAUGUAUAUGCCUAAUAAAAGAUCAGCAAAAGCUUGGAUGAAUGAUUGAAGACCAAAACUUUUAUAAAAGCAUUUUUGAGAGAAACUAAACACCAAAUUAUCAAAGUAAGAUCAACAGUAUAUGAUUUGAUUUAUACAUAUUCAAAAACAAAAUAAUGAUUAAUAAUAAAGUUUGAUUUUGUAUUGCCAACGAUGCUUUUUUGUUGUUUCAUUUGUUCGACGUGGCCUUAUUUACAAAUUGGUUGAUGUUAACAGAAACAUGAAAUUCACAUCACACAAAAUUGCACGAACAAAUAUUAAGAGAACGUAAUAAUAAUCAGUCAAUGCGUAAGGGUAAAUUUAGAAUUACAUAUUCUUUUUUAUUUAAUAAAAUCCCAACGGGAAGUCAUAAAAAUUUAGAUAUAAAAUUUUCAAUCACCAAACAAAAAAACAGGGGGAAUGAAAACACAGAAAACUUGUUUUACCUUUUUUUUUUCAUCUAAUUCCUGUUCUUAUAUAAUAUUUUCCCUAGUAUUUCAGGCAAGAAAAAAAAAUUCAAUAAAGAGCAAGAAAACUUCACAAGCUCAGAUUGAUUUAUCUUGUUUUUCAGGUUAGCUUGUGAAAUGAUGAUAAUGCUCAUGAAUGCUAGAAAACUUCUAAUAUAAACAACUCUAUUUGGGAUGAUAAGCCUAAUUUUAUAAGCGAUAAAUAUAAAUAACUUUUUGUGGUUAAUUGAAUUUGUAAUUACUCUUAGCCCUAUUCUAAAAUUUGUAGGCUGCUUCAGAAAAAAAGAAUAUUUCUCACUCAUCUUUAAUCUUCAAGUAGAAAGCAAAUCUAAUAAAAUGACGAACAAACAAACAAAUAAAAGACAGCAAACAAAGAGAAGGGUUUCUUUCUUCUUUUCUUCCUCUCCCACACCCCCCCCCCCAACCCCCGCCUCAUGGAUCAGAGUUUUUGCUAUUAACAGAAAGGUUUCAAGGGUCUGAAUAAAAUCGCAGACUUUUUUUAAAAAUUUUUUUUUUUGGGAAAAUGGAUUCAAAAUAACCAAAGCCAAUAAUAAGAUCACCGACUUUGACAAUGAACAAUAACUUUUUCUCGGAAAGUAGAUGGAAACUAAGUAAGAACUGCUAUUAGAGGAUAUUAUUAAAGGAUUUAGAACAUGUAUAACUCUGUAAUUAUAUGGGAUCAGAGAGUCGAUGACCCCCUCUAUUCGCUUCGGAUAUUAAGUAAGAACUGCAAUUAAAAGAAUGAAUUGAUGAGAGUAAUAACAAUGAAUUGCAAAAGAGGAAGACUUAAUCACGCACCCCUUUUAUACCCGAUUUUGAAGAUUUAAUUUCGAAGUUCACCAAUCAAGAACAAAGAAAAAACCUUAAUAAAGUAUGCAGUGAGAAUAAUUAAGUUAGAGAAAGUACUAGGUUAUGGCUCUGCGUUUCAGAUGCUGUAAUGAAAUAAUUAAGUUGAAGUUUUUAACGAUUAAAUACCUGUUGUGAUAGAAUGAUUUUAGAAGAAUAUUGGCUUAUAGAGCAUAUUAGUAGGGAUAAGAUUUGUAAGAUGCCAGAUAAAAGAUAAAGCGAAAGCUUGAAUGAAGAAUGGCGUUUAAUAAUUAUAGAAGAAUAUUGGCUUAUAGAGCAUUUUAGUAGGGAUAAGAUUUGUGGACAGAAUAAAUGAAAUAAUAAAAGGCAUAACUGAUCAAGUCAUUAUUGAUCUUACUUUGAUUAUUACAUUGCACAUUAGUUUCUUUCUAAAAAUGCCAUUCUUCAUUCAAGCCUUCGCUUUAUCUUUUAUCACGCAUCCUACAAAUCUUAUAUACAAACCUCCGCAUCUUUCAACGAUCUCAUCUGCUGAUUUUUUGUAUUCCUGUUCUUUCACUUCAAUAAUUUUUUGUAUUAUUCCAUAUCUUUCACUUUAAUAACCCAAAAGCUUUCCUCUGUUUCAACUAAGCGAAAAUUUACAUAUUAAAGCCUGGCUCAAAUUCCUUUUUUCAAUCGAAAUAAAACGUAGCCACAAAACCCUAAUUCACCACACCAAUUUAUCUCUGCCCGGUAUUCAUUUAAACCCUACCUCGCGGUUCAAUGUCAUUCUAUACGAUUGCAGAUGCCGUUUCAACUUGUCAUUUAGUUAGCGCCAUCCAGUUCUCUAUGGUAAGCCUUAACCCUAACAACUAAUCGACUGUGGUAGCACGUUGCUUGUUAGGAGUGGGGAUACAUUAUUUGAAUAUACGAAUUGGGUGAUGUUAGUGAUUCAUUCCCCUAUUUGUCGUGAAUUGAGAUUUGUGUAUAAUGCUCGUAAGAUUGCUAAAAAUUUCAUAUUUUGUAUUGUUCCAGUUGAAUUUCUUGCUUGUGGAAGAUAGAACAAAAGUUCAAUUUCAUGUUGAUUUAAUUCUUCUUUUUCAUCUUUUUUUUUUCUUCUUUAUAGUCACGCUCUGGCUGGUGCUAUGCUUAGUGCAGUCUAUGGUUUCAAGAUUAAGUCACGUUUAUUUGAUGGCGUCGACUCCAUCAUUAAGAAGCUCUUCUUAUUUUAUCUCAGUUUCAAUUUUCUUUUAUUAUCUGCCUCUACCUGAAAAUGGACGUGUUUUACUAGUAAGCAGACUUUUUUUAUUUAAUUGAUAUUUUAAUUUUAUGUAUAAGAAUGGAGGUUUAUUUUAAAAAAAAAAGAAAUAAAAAAAUAGACUCUGUUGAAGCUAAUUAGUACUGUUUUUUUUUGGUGGUGCGACCAGAGGUGGAAACCGGGUAUGACAAUGUGUUACUGGUGAGGUUGCUGCUUAAGAUGAGAAUGCAUUCUUUUCAAAAAUCCUUUGUAGGUGUUAUCUAAUUAUCUUUGAUGGAAUAUUAAAUGGCCAAAAAUCUGUCAUACGUUCAAACUUUGUUUGUGUUUAGAAGAAUGGUGUUGAUUGUAUAUUCAUUUGCUUAGCCUUUUGACAGAUGGAUUUGGAACUGACGAUAAAUGUGAUUCAAUUCACAAGGUUUUCAAGGGGCUCACCGUGGAAGGGAUAUUGAAGAGCUGGUCUAGGAUAAAGCCUAUGAUUGUGAAAGAUUGGAGUGAGAAUAUAGAUGCUCGUUUUCAUCUUUUUGGCAAGGUCAGAGAUGAAUGGAUAGAUAAGGAUUUAUUUGACUACCUGGAUUGGUGCUAAUAGGUAUUUUAAGCAAGCUUUUUGAGAUAACACUGAGCAAGUUGUACUACUAUUUUGCACAUGAUGAUCAAAACUCUCGAAAAGUAAAAUAAAAUAAAGUAUUAACUUUUACUUUCAUCUUUUGCAUAGCAAUCAAUGUGGUGCUUGUUCUGUAACAACUUUGAUAAUCUACUUUAUUGGUUAGCGUUUGGACCAAAAAGGUUCUUAUGAUUUACAUGUUUUGUAGAAAUGCAUGAACCUUAAAUGUGCUGAUCAGGGAGUUUAAUUAUUGCACCUUGAAAUUCAUUUAUUGUUAACUAAUUGGCUUUCCUUUGCAUAAAGCCGCUUAUAAGGCUUGAGUGGACGUCUUUAUGGGCAUAUUAUUCGUAUUUCUUUAUGCAUGCCUUUAUCAUUUAAUGUGCUGCUUGUAUUUCUUUAUGCAUGCCUUUAUCAUUUAAUGGCCAGCUCCCUUUCCUCAUUUGUAAUUUGAAUAGUAGUAUGGGCCUCCAUUUUACAAAUCUUUAACAUUUUUUGCUGUAAAUUAAUUUUUCUUUCAAAUAUUUUGGAGGUCAUUGGAAUUCCUGUAGGUCUAUUUACCAGAUUUUAGUAUGUUUAAGGUUUUAAUUUUUCUUAGACUUUAAUUUUUCUGAAAGAUUGUAGUAUUGAUCCUUAAAGUAAGAUCAUGCUACUUCAAAUUAUUUUGAAGCGUUGCUAGUUAUAGCCUUACAUAUCAAAUUCCAUUUGUCUGGAAAUUUAUUGAUAGCUGUUACAGCAGCAUAUUUUAUGACUCUACUUCUUAGUUAUGUAAGUUCAUUAUGUUUAGGUCAGAGGCAGUCAGCUAUGGGGAAUCGAUAUAUGCACAGAUGACUCUGAUCUUGUUGCUGGUAUGUGGUUCUAUGAAUAAUUGUUCACAAUAAUUGUGUUUGCCUCACUGUUUUUGUUUUAUGAGAUCUAUAAUUGAUCUUGGGAUAUUGCUUUCUAGUUCUCAUGCAAGCAAGUUACUACCUUCCCACUGCAUCUCCUCCUUUAUCUGCUAUUCAAGAGUUGCGUGCCAUAAUCUGGUAUUACCUCUGCAAGAUUGUGAAUCAAUAUAUUGCGUCUAAAUUUAUUUUAUACAUAAUGCUAAUGCUGAAUAAUAUAUUGUAGCUCCUGUCAUAUUCUACUUUGACUUUUUAUAUUCUGUUUCAUAUAAAAAUCUUAUUCAACUUUAGUUGUUCAUGAGCAAAUGUCACAUGUAUAAGCCCAAAUGAUGUUUAAAGGUAGCCCGGCUACCUUCAGUUUGAGCUUACAAUGGGUGAAAAAGAAUUUGAGACUGAUAUUUUGCUGUUUUUGUGAUUUUUCAAAGUAUUUUAGAUCUUGACUUUUGUUUGGACUUGAUGGUUAUAGAUUGUGUCUAGAUUUGUUAAGUUGUUUCCAACACCUCGUGCCAAAUCAAAGCACAAUCUUUCUGAUUCAGAUGUCUGGUUAAUUAUGCUUCAUUUUUUCGUUAAAGAUUGGAUGGUUGCAUGGAUUGAUGGAGUUGGAGUUCAACCAGUAAUUCUAAUUUUUUGGACUUAAAAUGCUCUGUAUAAAAACUUUAGUAAGUGUUAUUGAGUUGACAGAAGUUGAAUACUUACAGGUUGUUUCACACUUUCUAAAAGUUUUACAUAAAUGAAUUUCUGUUUUUUGAAUUGCAGAAAGGAGGUGGAACUAUUGAUUUGGAGCCUUAUCUUACUCACUCAUCGACAACGGAGCCUACCCUCGCUCCCAUGGCAGUGGAACGGACAAUGACUACUAGGGCUGCAGCAUCGGUUGGUUUGGGUCUGUUUUGAGUUUUAUUGUCAUUUAUUUGGCUAUGUUUUGAUAGCGAAUUUUGAUAUGUCAAUAUAAUGUGUAAUUGUUUUGGGUUGAGCUGGUAAUUAUGCUGGAUUAGAUUGGUUUGUUUUGGUGGUUCUCUGAUGGAACACUGCUUUCUUUUAGAAAUUUUGAAUAUAAUAUGAGACUACAUAUAGUUUAAUUGAACACUGCAUCUAGUCUAAUUACUAGAAGUGUGGCAUUUGGUUUGGUUUAUCCGAUAUUCUCUAGAAUUUCACUUGCAUCUGGUUUUGUUGCAUAUGUUUGCUUGCAUUUGAUGGUAGUAGCAGACUGUUUGGUUUUGUGGCAUUUGAUGGCAGUUUGAUCUGUUCUUGGUGCUGAUUUAAGAUUGUUCCUGUUGUGCUGAUGUUAAUUGCAGGUGCUUGAAUCAGCUAGGGUUGCUGGUUUAUUCAGACGACUGACUCAGGCGUUGUUAUUGGUUGAUUCAGGUGGUUCAUUUAAUGUUAGGAAGCAAAUUAAGAAAUAAUGAAGUAUUCAUUUAACUAUAAUUAUUGUAGUUAUUUUAUUUCAUAACUGAAUUAUAAUCUAUGAUACUUGUGAACAAAUUAGAGAAUUUUUAUAUAUGAAUUAUAUAUAUGUGUGUAUGUACAUUUUGCUAUUUAUAUAAUAAUUUAAAGAAUAUAUUUCAAUUCCCACAAAAAAUGGCUCCAAUUCCAAUAAUUCCUGCCAAAUAAUUAAAUUUUUUAAAUUUACCACCAAAAUAUAUCUUAAAGAAAUGUUAGUUAUUCUUGCUAGAUUUAACAAAAAUAAUUUGUAGGAUUAAUAUUUAAUUAAAAUGAUUAAAUAAUUUUAUUAUUCCAAUUAAAUAUGUCAUGUUUAUAUGACAGGCAAUAGUCAUGAAUGGGAAGUAUUAGUUACAUAUUUUUCCUUGGGAUUUCAGGCAAAUGAAAAAAAGAUUGAGAAUGAUUUCAAGAGGACAGGUGGAUGAUAAGUAUUCAUUUUUGCAUAUUUGGCUAAUGUCCUCAGCAGUGGAUUUUUAUGGUAUUGAUUUUAUAAUUUUCAAUUAGUUGCAGCCCUAGAGGAAGAGUAGGCUGAUCAAAUUGAUUUGUCUUGUUUUUGGGGCAAUUUGCGACACGAUGACCGUGAUAAUGCUCGUGACUGCUGGAAACUUUCUGAUGGAAAUAACUUUAGAGUUCGUAGCAAGCAUUUCUGUUAUGACAAAACAAAGGUUCCCCCAUAUUUUGGUUGUUUGUUAUGGUAUUUAUAUAUCCUGCAUAUGCUAGGUCGACAGGUUAUGAUGUAGUUUGGUUGGCUCUUCUUGUGCUUUGUGCAAUUUGUAACUGCAGAUACCUGCGAGAAAACAUUUAAUGGAUCUUGUUGCUGUUGAUUGGUUCAAAGACACAGAGAAUGGACCAUGUAGCUAGGCGUCAAGGCUGUGCUGCACAAGUAACUAUUCUUUUCUUUUUAUUUUUCCUUUUCCAUUGAUGCGUUAGGAGAAAAUACUGCCUGUGAGAUACUACAAUGUAAAUAACUUCUUAUGGUUCAUUGAAUCUAUAACACACUGAGCCCUAUUCUAAAAUAUGUAGGUUGCUUCUGAAAAAGGACUUUUCUCACUGAUCUUUAAUCGUCAAGUAAGUUUGUUUCAUUUCAGAAGGUAUAAGUUUCAAACUUAUUGUAUUGGGAGGUUGUAUAGUUGUAACCUAAGCAUCUGCAGCUUCCUGGUUCAACACAUUAUAGUAUGGUAUUUUAUUUUGUCACAAGGUAAUUGGUUACGGGAUCACUUUUGCGACGGUUUGUUGAUGGCGAUGAUGAAUUUCGCAAUAGUAGGUUGAAACUUAUUCCAUCUGUUCCUAAGGUAUCCAUCUUGGCCUUCAUGUAUUAGGACUAUAUUAAUGUAUACUUACCCUUUACUACACGGUACACUUCAAUUUGUACAAAGAAGGCAUGCAUUUAGGUGUAAAUGUACUGAUGGGUUGUAUCUUCAAUCUUCAUGUCCUUUUUACCCUCUUGAAUUUGUUUUGCACUUGUUCUUGAUUUGAAGCACUGAAUCAUGCAGGGGUCAUGGAUCGUGCGCCAUAGUGUUGGAAGCACCACUUGUUUAUUAGGGAAAGCGGUUGAUUGUAACUAUCUUCAUGGUCCCAAGUACUUAGAAGUAAAUGCUCUUGGAAUUUCUUUAGUACACGAGAUGUUCCCCUUUCAAAUAGUGUCCGAUAUCAUUAACAUGGUUUAACAUUGUUCAUCUUUCUGUAGAUUGAUGUUGACAUCGGUUCUUCUACUGUUGCUAAUGGAGUUUUGGGCCUUGUAAAUGGUGUAAUUACGACAUUGGUGGUUGACAUGGCUUUCCUUGUACAGGUAUGUAUGAUUGUUAUUUUAUUUUAUUUUAUUUUUUUACCCCCACUUCUAAAUGGACACAAGGGAAAAGACAUGAUUUUGAGAUAUUGCCCUACAAUUUGCAUUUUUGCAUACUUGAAUGUUCUCAGAAUGGUAUAAAUAAUGCUUCGAGUGUCUCUUCUUUAUCUUGCUUUUUUGUAUGCAGGCAAACACUACAGAUGAAUUACCAGAGCGACUGAUUGGAGUUGUACGUGUUUCUAGUCUGCUAUUGUCCCAAAGUUGGAACCAGAGACAUCAUCAUGACUGUGGUUUCAUUUCACCUCAACUGUUUUUUUUUUUAAUUGAAAAAAAAAAUCAUUUGUUUUAGGUAUACGUACAUGUAUUUUGAUCCCGUUUUCAUUGUAAUUUCUCAUUUACUUUGAAAGAAAGUCAUUGGUGUUUUCGAAUGGGAAUUUUGCAUUAAAAAAUGAAGAAUACUUAAUAGGAAAUUUCAUGAUUCUUUAGUUACUAUUUUUGGAAUGAGUGUAAUAGUAUUAAAGUUGGUUUCUACUCGCAAACAAGUGAACUACUCGAUCCCAACUGCGACCACGCUAAUUGUCAUUGUUUAAUAGCUACUACUUUUAAAACUCAACAACUAACAAAAAUACUAAAAAAAAAAUGAUUUUCUUAUGAUGCUGUGAAAACAUUUAUGGGUUCACUUAUUUCCACAAGAUCUAUAACAUGGUCUUGACUUCACGAAAUUCUUUUAAUUUAAAGGGUGCUGGUCUGAGAAAGUCAGUUUGACGGAUUAAUUCUUUUUAAUAAUGGUCGAGUUAAUUUUACUAGACUCAUAAAAUUAUUCUUAUUCUGAUAAUGCCACAAAUGUUAUGUUGUUUUCUUCAGCUAAUGAUCUUCUAUCAGGACUAGUUGGAAAUCAAAUGCUUAAAACACCAAUUGAAUGAAUAAUGCAGAAGUUUAAACAGUAUCUAAUUGAAAAUUGCAUGAAACUUGAAACAUCAAUUCAAGUCCUUCCUUAAACAGAGAAUGCAUCAAACAAAUCCAAAGUGUCUUUCAAGUCUGUAGCAUGACUAAAAAAUUGUAAAUGCCUUCAGAACCAAAUUAUUCAAGUACAGGAGAACGAGCAAGUUGAAUCAUGUACAAGAGGUUGGCUUGGUUCCAGAUAGCUUCUUCACUGUACCUGAAGGGUUGGCUCAAUCUUUUCUUUAGAAUUCUGCACAUUUUGUAAUUACUCAUGUAAGCAAGCAUACAUUACAACCAUAAUAAUAAUAAAGCAAGAGUAAUGAUACGACCACAACCUCUUGUGCACAAAUAAUAUUGUACAAACUAAUAUGACAUAAUAUGAUUGAGUAAUGAUACGACCACAAUCUUUUGUGCACAAAUAAUAUUGUACAAACUAAUAUGACGUAAUAUGAUUGAUUAAACAAAAACAUAACAUAACCCUCAUAAUUUAUUUAUUAUUAUUUUAUAUUUUCAAUCAAGCAAUCAUAUUAUGCCACGUUAAUAGCUAUAGAAAUAAUUUGCUAGAUAGUGCAACACUUCAUUGAUACUCACCAUUUCAUUGAACAAUUUUUUUAUGGUGUCAUUGAGGUUUCCUUCCCAACAUCCUUCGUCAUCACCAUCUUCUUCUUCGGUGGGUUUCACUUUGUUUAGCUUCGGUGCGUCUACGACUCCUUGAGAGAAAAUCUUCAUUGUUGGGCACUGUCUCACAACUACGUGUUCCAAGGACGGGAACUCAAGAGCGUAAUUACCCAAACAAAAGCUUGUUAGGCUUGGCAAACAAUCAAGUCCCAAGUACUCCAAUUUCCUGAAAACAAUGCAAUCUUCCGCUUCUUCUCCAACCUGCGAUUGUAUGAUUUCUUCUAUCAUUUUGCAAUCAGCUAUCUUCAUUCUUUCGAGAUUCACUAGAGUUUUAGAUGUUGAGAGCGUCAACACAUUUAUCAACCCGUGACACUUCGAUACUUCUAGUUCCCACAGAUUUUCCAAAUGCCACGAAGGUGGUACUAAUUUUUGCAACUUACUACAUUCCGAUAUUUCUAGACUUCCCAAGUUUGCAAACGCUUUGCUGGAUUCGUCAUUUUCCUUCCAGAGAUGCUGCACUUUGUGUAAUCCAGAUACUUUAACUCUAUCAAUUGAGGGAAUGCAACCUAAAAAUCAACAAAAUUAAGUUGUAAAUGAAAAUAUGUAUCCAAUCUCUGCAGUCUUCCCCUGCAUAUUUUAUGGACAAGAUUAAUCACAGCAUUUUAUAUUUUUUUUUCCAAAUUAGUAUGCUUUGCAGUAGGAUCCCAAAUAUAAGUAUCAAAUCGAUUACCCUUUGAAACACAUAAAUGAAAUCUGAUGCUAAAUCUAAUAUGAAUUAGCUAGGAAAACAGAGAUGUUACACACAUAAUUAAUAUAGUUCAUCACCUCGUGUUACCAGGCAUCCAAUUAAUUUCAGACACUUUUAUAAUUCAUACUAUAAAGUUAGUUAAUAAUUGCGGUUAUAUUGUUAAAUCAGAUAUAAAUUAAGACGACAUGUAAAAAGAUGAGUCAUUAAAUUUGAUUUGAUUCUAAUGAAAUUACAACUGUGCGAAAGAAAGUGAAGGGAAAAAUAAUAAUAAUGAUUACCUUUUCAUUGAAGAGAUGUUGUAUUUGAUCAGCUACCAAGAGGUUCUUUUCUGAUUUUAAUUUUUGAGCUUCCUUAUUAUCUGCUGUCAUGUGCAGUACAGAUGUAGAAUUGGAUAUGAAUGUUUCCAUAUCAGGGCAAUUCUCAAUAGUUAGAUAUCUCAACUUAGGCAGUUCAAUUAUAUUCCUAGUGAAGUUGAAAAAUCUUUUGAGUUUUGGAAGGUCAGUGAGCCCUAGCUUGAAAAGCUUAGGAAACAGGGGGCCUAUAUGUUCUUUGUCAGCAUUAAUUAGCUCUUCCAAAUGAAGCACCUCUUCAAGUGAAUCACAAUUCCUCACUUCCAGGUAUACCAAAUUGUUCAAGCACCGUAGCAGAUUAGCAGGAAUAGCACUCGACAUAUUCGUGCAGUCAUCCACCACCAGGUCGAAUAAAUUGUUGAAGAAGCUGACAGGCAGUGCUUGGCCAUGCCAUAUUUCUUUCAAACGUGGAAAAUGCGAGAGUUGCAAAUGUAUUAUGUCACGAAAUCCAAUCUGCACAAACCAAAACAAUUGCACUGGAUAUAUACAAUUUUUUCUUUUUGAAAGGCAUAGAUAUAUAUAUACAUUAAACUUAUAUGUUCAAAUGUGCAAGUGCAAGGGAGAUGCAUAAGUAAUUUCGACGAAUCGAUUUAACACAUACCAUUUCUUCGUAACACUUUUGUAUAGUGGAAUUAAGGUUGCCUUCCCAACGGCGCAAUUCACCCUCUUCCUGUUAAGAAUAGAAUUAGUUAGUUAAUGAGUAUGCUGACAUGGCAGCUGAGUCAGCUAAAGGUUGUUAUAGAGGUUGUUAGUAGUAACCUGUGCGUGUGUGCAAUGUGUGUAGAAUCUUCUAUGCACAUAUAAAAAGGCUUGUAAUUUCCAGAUUCAUUAGAUCAAUAAUAACAGAAUUCUCAGCUUACAGAAGUUUUCUUUCUUCCUAUUUUCUUAGUAACCUAACAACAUCACAGUUUCAUAUAAAACUUAAUACUUCCUUUUACUCACUUGCACUUUGCAUAGCUUUGGUGUGGAUAAGAUUCCCUGAGAAAAAGUCUUCAUGUUCAGACAAUGUGUCAUAGAAACUUGUUCCAAUGAUGGGAAUUCAAGAGUGUAAUUCUCCGAACAAAAGCUGGUAAGCCUUGGUAAAUAAUCAAGUUCCAAAAGUUUUAAUUCGCUGAAAGCAAUACGAUUCUCCUUCGCUUCUUCUCCAACAUGUCCUAUGAUUUCUUCUAUUUUUUCACAGAGUGAUACAUUAAGAUUCACUAGACUAUUGGGAAUUCCAACCUGAAAAUAAAGAGUAGCAUUCAACUAGAUUCAAAGUAUGUCAAAAUCAUACAAUUGUUUUAUGAAAAAUAACAAACCAUGAAUGUCUACUAGAUAUUUUUUGUUAAAGAAAAAAAGGAAAAAAUUAAAACAAAAAUAAAUAAAUAGAAGUCCAGAAAAACAAAGAUAAUGAAAAUGCAUUUACACUAUUUAGUAUUAGGAACGGAGAAAGAAUUUCAGCUAAUUUUUAAAUAUUAUAAAUUCAUUUUUCAUCUUGAUGCUAGUUUUUAAAAAAUUUUAAUUUUCAAACAUGCCUAUUUUUAAAAUAACUAAACUAAAACGCUGUAUUUCCCAUUUUUUUUUCCCGAUAUUCAUGCUUUUAAAAAUGGAAAACAUUUCUGGAAAACACUUCCCAACGCCAUCAACAUGGGACUGUUAUAGAGUGAAUAUUUGAGGAAUUUUUUUAAUCAACGGUCGAUUCAAAAUGACCAUCAUGAAUUUGUGCUUAAUCAAUGGCGUAAUCAAUUCAUAACUAAACUAGAGAUAUUAACUACAUUUGAACACUUUUUUUUUUUAAAUAGAAAUCUAAAGACCCAAGGAAAAGAGAAAUAUAUAUGAAUUUGUGAACUUAAAAGCUGAGUAAUUAAGUAUCUUUUAAUUUCUGAAAAUCUUAUUUAUUAGGAUUUAAGAAAAAAAAACAAUUAAAUUGAAUUAUAUUAUGCUGUUAAAUCGUGUUUAAAACAAUUAUAUUGUUGACUUUAAUGCAGGUGAACCUAUAAAUUAGAUUGAAAAUGCAGAGUUCAGAAUGGUGAUUUGAAGUUCAAUACUUUUGUUCCCUCCAGAAGUUUGAAGUACAAUACUUGCAAUAAAUAAUUUGUGAAUGAAAAUUAUUUGUAAACACAAAAAUGAUUAAAAUAAUUGUUGAAUGUUAUUUGAAAUAAAAAUUCAAAAUGAAUAUAGCAAUCUUACCAAUGGAGGAAAAAUAUUCAGUAGAUUAUCACACUCAGAUAUCUCCAAUUUUUUCAAUUUGCUAAAAGACUUCGAAGCAAGCUGGUGGUGCCAUAUUUUUCUCAACUUAUCCGCCUCACUAAUAUGUAAUACCUCCAGACUUGGGAGUCGUACCUGAAGUUAAAAAUUCAAUGCAAUUAGAGAUGUAUAUUAAUUAAAUUUGAAGACUCAACGAAAAGAGAAAUUAACUAUUGAGAAUAAAAUUAAUUUAAAAAAAAAAAACCUUUUCAUCAAAGAGGGGUUGAGGUUGCAUUUCAGUGUGAAUGACGUCUUCUGGUGAGGCAAAGCUACAUAGUUUUGGAAGACCAUCGAGCCGCAGGUAGUGUAGUUUGGGAAAAACCUUUAAUUCAUCUCUUCCUCCUAACCCCCCCGUGGUGUCGACUACCCCUUCCAUUGACUCACAAUCCCAUAUCUCAAGAUGUUGGAGUUGCCCAAGACUAUUAACCAUAGAACAUGAAAACAGAUACUUCACACAAUGACACCUUUCCACAGUCACUUUUGUUAAAUUUUGACAACAAUACAUUCCCUGAAAUUGAUCGAGCCAUAAUUUUUCGAUGUUUCGUAAAUCGAAAAGUUUCAGUUUCUCCAAACGUGGAAAAGAAACCUGCAAAGCAAAACCGUACAUUUUUGUUCCUUCAACUACAACUUCUAAUAUAAUAUUCUUUCGAUGAUUGAAGAUCAAUCGUAAUAAUAUAUUAAUUAAUUAAUUAUUAAACAGAAAAUUAUUACCUGUUGAACAGGAUCAUCCUCUGCAUUGAUUUCUGUGAAUCCCUGAGUAGUUGUUGGUUUCUCCAUGUCGGGCCCUAUAAAUGAACAAAAACAAUAUGUAAUAAACAUCCGUGUUUUUUUUCACCAAAAAAAGAAAAAGAAAAAGAAAAAAAGAAUGAGUCAAUGUCAAUAAUCCUACCAAUAAUUAAUUUCAAUACUUACCAAUAAUCAUUUUCAAAUCAUCGCAGUUUUCCACUUCUACUUUUUGAAGCCGCAAUAGGUUUUUGGCCAUAGAGAAUGAGAAGAGAUACUUCAAUUUUGGACAGCAAUCUACGUUUAUAAUCCUUAAGUUGCUGAAAGAUUGAUCUUCUCUGAGUUGGCUGUAGCAUAUCGUCUCCAAAUUAGUUAAAAACAUAAGAGACAAUGACUCCAGCAAGGGAAAGACUUUGCAACGAACCCGUCUAACUGAACCGACAAUAUGUAAAAUCUCAGAACAACUUUUUACAUGAAGAUGCUUCAAUCGUGGAAAACCUUCCCCAUCGUCUAAUUCAUGAACAACACUUUGAACACCCUCCAAUGUUUCUAGCCAGAGACCUUCAGUUCUCUGCAGCAACAUUUUUGUCCCAUCAUUCUCCUGAAGAAUGCUAACUUUUUCUAGCCCCUUGAGCAUCAUCAAUCUUGGUGCUUCAGAUUUGACGAGCAAUGGGUCAAACUCAUCUUCGGACUCAUCUCCUAUGCGUAUCCUAUAUCUUUGCAAUUCCACAGAGACAAAAUUCGGCGGCAGAAUUUCGGCAUCCGCAACUUCUAUCUCCAAAGUAGCUAGCUUUGUCAACCUCUCCAACUCGACAAGACUGGCAUUACUUCCUCCUUCAACCUUCUCCCACCCUGAAAAGCUGUUACCCAUAUACAAUUCUUCUAAUUGAGAUAAUUUUGAUAUGACAUUCGGUGCUAUCACCUCAAGCAACCAACAAUUGCUCAAAUCUAGCAACUGUAACCGCGUCAAUUGUCCAAUUUCAAGUGGUAACUGCUUGAUAGUGGAACGUGCAAGGAUGAGAAUCUCUAAUUUCUUUAGCUGUCCAACUAUUGCUAUAUCUUUUAGUCGGCAAUAGUCUAAACACAAUGUUUGGAGGUUAAUGAGGCAACCAAGUGAUGAAGGUAAUGAAGAGAAGUGAAUUCGAGUAAAAUUCAAAACUUUGAGUCCUUCCGUCCCUUUAAAGAAGUGAUCUGAAACUUGCAUAGAGCCAUCACCCUCCGUAUGCAAUAGCUCAAGACAGGGACAUUGCAACCUUUCAGGAAGCACUUGAAUACCUCCAUAAGUUAAAGAAAUAGCAAUUGGAUCUUUUCGUAUUGUCUCUUCCAUCUUUUUCUCCAAGUCGGCAACAUUUGGAAUAUUAAACAUGCGCUUCUCAAAUAACUGCAAUGCUUCUUUUCGUGGCAAAGCAUCGAUCGGAAAAUUUUUCUGACAACUCAUAUCAAUGCGCAAUAAAUCUUGCUUUCUAGACGUCAAUAUUAUUGUGCAUCUUCUCUGAUCAUCCUUUCUAUCUUUCUCAGCAACAUCCCCAGAAGGAAUUCCAACAACAUCCAACUCAAGUUCUGUCCAAAUAUUAUCCAAUAUAAUGAGGACCCGCUUCUCUUUCUUCAAUCUUUCACGUAAUCGAUCAGCUCUUUCGAAUUUAUUCUCAUCCGAGCCAAAUUUCAUGCCUAAGUCAAAAGCAAGUUUCUUUUGAAUUUCCUGAUGAUCUGGGGUCUGUGUUACCUCAGCCAUAACGACCUUAUCGAACAACUUAUCUUCCAUAACUUGCUUUGCAACUUGCUUGACUAGCGUGGUUUUACCCACGCCGCCCAUGCCGUAGACCCCAAUAAUGUUGAGCUUAUCAUCCUUCAACGCCUCCACAACAUCUUGAAAUACUUUCAUUCUUGAAUCAAAGGCCUCGUAAUCUUUCACUUGCAUAUGUUCUGCCCGCUUUGGAGCAGGACGGUAGGAAACAUUAGAGAAGUUUCCUUUUCCCAGGAGACUAGCGGCAGCUUCUGCGGCCUUUGCUGCUUGUUUACUAAGCUUGUAACGAGAAAUCAAGUUUGGGCACAAUCCUUUGAAGCAGGACUUCUUAGCUCUAUCUUCAUCAUCACUGAUGGAUUUUGCAACCCCUUCACUGAAUUCAUCAACUUGAUUUAGCCAGUCUGUGACACCCUCAUAAAUCUCAUCCCCUUGUAGUCUAGCAUGAUUAACAGGUUGUUGCACCGUUUCUCUUCUAUAUCCCAGCUGCUUCACUUGAUCUUUUAGGCCAUCUAUGUAGCUCUGGUACUUGAACACAUAAGAUAUCUGCCGUACAAUCGGUUUGAACAGUGACUUUGCACCUUCUGCUACGAUGCUGGAAAAAGCAGCCAGACCCACUUCUGCCAUCGCCUGCUGCUUAACAAAUCUAAUAAUAUGUCAAAGAAAGGAAUACAAAUAAACUAAAAUGAACUAGAGGGAAAGACAAAAAAUGGAAAAGACAGCAAACAGUAUCGCAACAUUGAUCUUGAAUCAACUGAAACAUGAACAAAGCAUUUUUUCUUCUUUCUUAAGGAUCAGAGUUUUUGCUAUUAACAGAAACGUACUUCAAGUGUCUAAAAAAAAUUAACUAUAAAUGAACAAUAACUACAAAACUCAAGCAAAACAAGCCAUAAAAUUUUUAUCUUGGAAAGUGGAUGGAAAUUAAGAAAGAAAUGGUAUAGAGAUCAAGCAUCAGAGAUUAUGCUAUUAAAAGAAAUUAAUUGAAGGUUUUAGAACAAGUGCACCUGUUUAAUUAUGUGGGAUCAGAAAGUUGAUGAGCUUAUGUAAUCGCCUUGAAUAUUUAAGAACAAUUUCAAUGAGCAAAAAAUUUCUGUUACCUGCAGAGGAAUGUGAUUAUAGAGAGCUUAUGAGAGUAAUGACAAUGAUUUGGAAAAGAAGAAGACUUAAUCAUGCAGCCCUUAAUAUUUAUUGAAUGACUUGUGAUCAUUUCUUUUAUGAAUAAAAUGCCAACAGCAAAAAGAGAAGAAAGGGCGAAAUUUACUAAGUCUUAUUUUAUUUUUAAUUUCUUUUAUUUUCAUUCGGCGAAGAGGGAAUCUCUCCCUCUUUUUGUUUUUUUACGGGGAAUCUCCUUACCUAAUGUGACAUAAUGAAAGCAAUCUGUAAAUAGUAAUAUAAUGUAAUAAUUAAAAAUACCCACAUAUUUAUAAUAUUAAUGAUGGGAUCCAUAUGUUUAUACUGAUUAAAUUGGUGGACCAGAAUUUAUUUGACCGUACUUGUUUUCUAUUUAAUUAAGAUUGAAACGAUAGAGAAAAAUUUGUCGUAUUGAUUUGUUUCGAUUGUGGAGUUCCAACACUGAAAGUGAAGAUUUCAUCAACUUUCUCACAUGGACACGUACCGUCAUGCAUAUUGCAUUAUUUUCCUAGAAAAGCAAGAUUAAUUCUUUUAAUAAGCAAACGCGUAGGUGGGAAUCCAUUCAUGAAACAAGUGGAACGACAAUAUCAAACCAAUGAUAAUUCAAAAUCUGAAUCCGCCUGAUGGACGGCAACUAAUCUGAACCAUUCUCCUUUAGUAACAGGGGAAUGAAAUUAUAUCGAUGAUAGAUAAUUUCAAAACAGGGGAAUGAAAACAGAGGAACCUGUUUUUCCUUCCUUUUCUUCUUUCCCCCAACUCUUCUUCUAUUUAUAUUUUCCUUGGAAUUUUCGGCAAACGAAAAAAAAUUGGGAAUGAUUUCAGGAAAACAGGUGGAUAAUAACUAAAAUAUUUAUUUUUAUAUUUUUGAUAAACACACUCACUAUUAAUAGAAUUCAUUAGAUAUCAUAACUUAAAUAACUUCUUGUGAUUAAUUGAGGGUACAUUUGGGAUUUCUUUUAUUUCCCAAUAAUUAGCUUCUAUGUUGAUUCUCAGAAAAUUAAUUUUACGAAUAAUUUAGUAGGGUGUUUGGUAAAUGAUGAUUAUUUGACAACCAGUUUUCAAAUAAUCUACUAUACAAAUUUGAUAAGUAAAAAUUAGAAGUGUAAUAUUCAAGUGCAAAUGUGCAAUGAUAAAAAUGUAAUUGUUUGUUUAUUUGUAGUUUAUUUAGAAUAUUAUUACUAACAUCAUUUUUUUAUUUACUGGAUUUUUAAAGAGUAUAUUCUAUUUUCUUUAUUACAUAUCUAUAUCAAUUUUUUAUUAACUAUUUUAAUUUGUAAUAAAACUAACUUUAAUUUUUUUUAACUAAAAAAUUUGUUAUGCAGUUUGUUAUAUUAAAAAAAAAAUUCGGACGGUGUCUAAACAUGGUCACCAGUGAUUGUUAUAUUAAAAAAAAAUCUAUUCAAUUUUUUCUCUGAUUUUGUGUCGAUAUCUUUCUUACGUAUGUUGAUAUCAUAUUAAAGUGAAUUCAAGACCCUAUAUUAUUUUGCAUAACAUCAAAAUUUAGCCGAAUGGUAAUUAAGAAUUUCCUUUUUUGUUUGUCCCACAAUUAUAUAGUCUCAUUUUUUACAAUAAGCUCACAAUAUGCACGGAAAUGAAGAUCUAUUAAAAACUUCCCUAUAAUAUUAAACACUAAACAAUAUCACCAUGUUAUGCAUAUGGUGCCUCGUCAACAAUUUGAUGUUUAUUUUGUUUCUCGGGUGAAUAUGACUACUUGCGUUGCGAGUCCAUGCUUUUGUCGUUUGGAUGGAGGACGUGCCAUCUUUUUAUUUUAGAUGGUUUGUAAGACUUCUGAUUUAAUGAUUGAAUGCAGUCAAUUAACAAAAGCUUACAUAUUAUGUAGGUGCUGAUAUGUCUGUUCUUGAUAAAGUAGAUUUAUUUACAUCCAAGCCAACGGAGCCAAAGACAUUUCGUUAAUAAAAUACACGAUAAUUAUUUUUGUUAAACUGAUUUCUGGUUAAUAAGACCUAUAACAGCAUUCAAGGAAGCCACCGAACUCAAAGGAAAGGCAUGGUUAAAUAUACUGCGAAGCAUGUGAGUUCGUUUUUUAAUCUCUUGAUCACUCAUAAGCUUUUCUAUACCACUCACUGUAUCAUCCUUUUGAAUCGAUUUUGAUUGAUCAUCAGAGAUCAUGUACCCCACCUUAAGAUGAUUGAUCACAAAUUUGGCAUUGUAAUGUUGGUCACCUCUAAUUGGCCAUGCUAAAAUUGGGACUCGACAACCAAUUGCUUUUACUGUUGAAUUCCAUCCACAAUGAGAUAAAAAUCCACCCGUGAUUGAUGACUCAAUAUCAAUAAUUGUGGCGCCCAUCCAUCUAUUAUCAAAUCCUUUUUACCGACUUUAUUAUCCAAACCACUACGAAAAUAACUGCCUUCAGCUGGUUUGUCCAAAUGACGUAGAGGAUCCAAUCUACCUGCACCACCUUGAAUUACCCAAAUAAACGAUCGAUUUGAUGCUUCUAAAGGAUUAGCUAGUACUAAGUACUCAUCUAAGGUCAGAUCCACUUCAGUACCAAAUGACACAUAUAACACAGAUCCGCGUGAUUUCAAAUUCAACCUUUGAACGAUCUCAUCUUCCGUCAUAUUAGAACUCCGCCGGUUGGUUCUCAUCUCAUGAUCAUCAAGCACUGAACCGGCCGAUUUGUAAAAUUGUUCAGGUAAUAGUGGGCCCACUCCCCACAUCGGCUUUCCCAAUUCAUUGGCUAAAUAAUUAAUAAAUGGUCCCUCAAGACCAUCACACGUGUUGAACAUCAACGCCAUUGAUCCCUCCACUUCCUUCAUCCAGUGUGGUUGAUCACCGGCUUCUGGUGGACCUAUUUUCUCGGAACCGGGUGCACCUCUCAGAGGUGGUGGACCACCAGGAGGGGGCCCAUGAGGCCUGUGUUUUAGGUCCGAUUCAAAUAAAGCCAUAUCCUCGGGUAACCGAGGAAGUAAACGGGCCUCUCCCGGUUUGACAUCUUGGAUGCGAGCCUGCCACAUGGCACACUCCGCAGCUGCCGAGCAAGCACCAGAAGUGAAGAACCCAACAAUGGGAACUUCAAAAAUCUUGAAAACAUCAGCCGUCCAGCCCAUCAUAACGUCGAUGACUGCACAAACGGGUCGGCUUUUGGGUUCCCGGGUUGAAAGGAGGUUUCGAACUUCGAAGGCCUUGAAGCAUUUGGCUGUGCAUGGCAACAUGAGGGUGAGGAGGCGAAGGAGGGUAUUUCAGUAACUUCAAAGAGAGGGUAUUGGUGAAACGAGGAAGGGAUGAUGCUGGGGGCGGAAAUGUGAGAGGGAAUGAUGAGGGUAGAUUUGUAAUUACGAGUAGCGAUUUGCUUGCAUAAUUCAAUGCAUGGAAACAGAUGUCCCUGACCGAAGAAUGGGACAAUCCAAACCUCGGCCUCAGCAGCAGUAGCAACAGAGCUUGACAUCUUUUUGAAUUAUUUGAUACUUAAUUGUUACUGUUUGCUUUUACAUCUUUCAUAAAACACUCUUUGUUAUAUAUAAAGAGAUGACUUAAUGGAGAAGUAAGUGUUUUAGUUUUACAGUUUUACUAGUAGGUGAGCUCUGAGUUUGAUAAUUUGAUUGUUAGUUUUAGUUGGUUAGUUAUGAGAAAGCAUCUUUUAGAAAAUUCAUUCCAGUUUCAACUAAAAUUAAUAAUAUUGUUCAAAUUAAUUACUCGAUAAAUAAAUAAUUAGAGAUAAAUCUAUCCCUAAUCUCACAUUUAUAAAAUAAGGAUUGAAAUAAGUUCUUGUGGAUUCGAACUCAAGCCCUCAAGCCGAGUGGCUGGAUCUUGACUACUUUGACUUAAUUAUUAUUAUUAUUAUUAUUAUUAUUAUUAUUAUUAUUAUUAUUAUUAUUAUUAUUAUUAUUAUAUAUAUAUAUAUAUUUCAUUCUUUCAUUGAACAUCUUUUGUUAUAUAAUAAAGAAGAUAAGUUGACGGAGAAGAGUUUUACUUUUACUAGUAGAUGAGCUUUGAGUUGAGAACGUUAGUUUUAGUUGAUUAAAUAUCUACCAUCCAAAUCAACAUUCCUUAAACUAUUAUUCAAGUGAGAUGUCUGAGUAACAUACGCUUGAGUUAGUUGGUGCCUAACAAUUCGUGUGAUACAUGAAACCAACCAAUAUGAAAACCAAAUCAAGUUGGUAGGAUUACAUUAAUUUAAAUUAACUUUCAAGUUCCAACAUUAUAAGAUAAAUAAAUAGCAUAAACUAAUUUUUUUUUUCAAGUAAAUAUGUUUAUCGUUUAAAAAUUAUUUUUUCUUGCGGUAAAUGCAACACUAAAUAAGGAGUGAAGAGGGUAUUUUGUAGGGUAUACCCCCACCUUUUAUUUCAUUUCAUUAUUAAAAAAUAAAGGCUUGAUUCAACAUUCAAGUAAAAUUAACAAUUCCAUGAUAAAAUUGCUUGAGAAUAAGAAUUAAAAUAAAAAAAGAAAACAGCAACUCAAAAACGACAUACAAAUACCGCAUAGAGGUUUUUCGUCACGAGAUAUUUUUGGGUUGAGACAACAGUUGUAUAACAGAGCAUACAGACUGAAUGACGGUGAGAAUAAGAAGGAAAACGGCGCCACACACCGAAAUGCCAGCCCAUGGAGUAUUGAAGUAAUUUUGUUUCAAGUUUGCCCUCCAUUUGUAGCACGUUCUUUUGCAGUGAUCAUUCAAUCCUUUGCAUAGCCCAGAAAAAUAGAAGCUAUUAGACAGCAGAGUAGUACCUCUAGAAAGGAACACAUAAUCAUUUAUGUAACACAUAAUCAUUUAUGUAAUUCUCUGAGUAAUGCCGUUGUUCAAAGGCAAUGAGAUUACGAAAUAAGGAUUCUGUUUCUAGCUGUAGCUUCAGUUUCGGAAUAUGCGAUGUCCUGUUUUUGAAUUCUAUGGCGAACAAAUCAUUGCUCUUGCUCAAACUGAAGUGGACUCCAGCUUGGUGGAGAUUAGUCACACUUGGUGCGGUUUUACCUUUGUGGUAUUGCUGACCUUCUUGUUUUUCCUGAUUCCUCGAUGAUGGGAGAUGGCAAAUCCUUAGAAAAUCAAGGAAAUGCUCUACCCUAGCCUUAGUGUAAGGAGGGAAUUUUUGCUGAUUACCUUGUACUACCUCUAAACCCUUGAAAUACUCGUAUGUGACUGUGAUGAUGGUUGGAUUUUCAUGUUGGUCGGGGAUUUCAAUUGCCGCUAGAGCAAAAAGAUCCUCAAGAAUGAAGAAAGGAAGCUGAUUCUCAAGCAACCACAUAUCAUACCGUAUAUCCUCUAUUAAAUAGGGUUUAUGAAAUAUAUGAUCAUCUUUUUUUUGAAGUUGACGGAAAUGAUACCUCAAUAAGAGUUCAAUGAUGAAGGCAGCAUCCAGCAGAAUCAUUUCAACAAAUUUAUCACUACUUAGUUCGACUUUUUCUGCAUAAGAACCUCGUAAUUCUGCUUCUCUGAACUUUAUAAUUUGAACAAACUCGUCAAAGCUUAUUUGGGUCCGUUGAAGAAAGUAAUGCAGGUACCGCUGUUUAUGUUCUUCCAUGAACUGUAAGUUUGCUUUGCCAUGCUGAAGAGGGCCAAUUGAGACUACCUGAGGUGUAUGUACCUUUUCAUUUAUCUGACGUAAUCGCUCUGGAACUCUGUAGAUGCAGCAGUUUGAGGGCAAUGGUGAUAAUUUUUUCAACUUAACUUGCAAGCAUUCUUCCAUGUUAUAAACUGAAAACAUGGCGCGAAAUUUAAUCAAUUCAACACUUAAUAAGGCAUAGUAAUUAAAAAAGAAUUAAAAAAAAAAACCAAAUACAAGAGCAUUCUUACACGUACAGAAGCACCUCAAUCCCUACUAUUUGCAGAGCUGUAGCCAGGAGUCAAUGAUAGACCAGACUGAACUAAAAGGAACAACUUUCUUAGGAAUAUGUUAUCGGUAUUUUCUCUGGCCUCAGGCCAUCAACAAAGCAGUUUCAGUGCUUCUUAUAUAAUUCCAUGGAUUAUUCCUUGCCUUUACAGAUGAUAUAAGUCACAAUUCAUAUAUUAAUUUCUCCAGAUUCCGUACAAGUGGACCAUAACUAUGGAAAAAUUCAAAGAAUGCAACAGCCAUUUGAUUGGUCCAUGUCAGAAGUUAAUCUGGGGAAAGAAGCUUGAUCUAGCAGUAAAAUUCUCUCCUUCAAUCAGUCAGUUUGGGGCAGCAACAAGAUCAAAGCCACCACGCAAACAUUUACUAAAGUUUAUAUAAUAUUCACUAGUUUAUAUAAUAUUCUUGAAACUCAUCUUAAGUAAAGCAACAAAAGCCUUCACUGUUUCUUAACAACUUUAUUGCUCUAACACGUAGCAUAACACUUUUAAAUUUGCAUAAAGCACAAUAGUACUUUAGUUUGUAACAACAGCACAGAUAAUAAAUCGCAUUUUAUAGCUUUAACAAAAGCAUACAAAAUUCUUAAACCUUGUUUCAAGCAAUUCAUUAAUGCCACAAGGAUGUCUUUUUGCUUCCUACAGUUUUUAUUGAAAUUCAUAUAUUCUUCUUUAUCAAAUUAAGUAAUUUUCCUUUUUCAAAAAAUCAAGAAGGUUUCGACUGCAUGGAAAUACAGCACACAAUUACUACUAUUCCCGGAGUAAGAAAUUCAUAAAUGCAAUAUAAACAUACAUUUUCAUAAGACAUCAGAAUCAAAGAAUCAUCAAUGCAUCAAAUCUGUACACCCAAAAAAGUUGAAAGCAUCAAGAGAAAAUUAUACCGCAUGGACCCUUUACAACCCUUAUAACGAGUUCAGACAGCCUAAUCCAAUUUAAUAGAUUUGAGGACAGCUACAAUGUGCAAUACAAAAUUUCCCAAUACUAUUUAGAACAAAGUCUAGAAAAUAAAACCUAUAUAUUGUACAAAAUCACGAAAACCAGAAAUGACGAAAAACCUGCGAAUGUAAUUUUUGGGUUUCUUCAACAUAUCUUCCAUCCAAAUCAAACAAGAAUCGAUAAAUCAACAACAUUCAUCUUUAAACGACAUAUUACCACAAUAAAAUUGUCAACCAAGCCUCAUAUAAACCUUUUUUGUGUUUUUUGGUAAAUAUAUUUGUUAUUCUCUAAGAAUACUAGGGAAAAAAGAAACCCACUUUCUUAAUCAAGAAUCAAAUAGUAUAUAUGAAUCUAAGCUGAAGUAAGUCUUGGGUUUGAUGAAAAAGCUUGCAUUGUGAUUUAGAUUGGAAAGGAAGUUGAUUUUUGCUGGUUGAGAGAGAGAGAUUUGAGACUUAAGGAGUGUUGCUAAUCUUCGAUCGUGUAAACAAGGGUAACUGGGUCAUAGUUCAAAAUAAGGGUCCAAAAUUUACUAAAGCUAUUAAGGAGCCCAAAACUCAUAAUGGCUUCCCCAAAAUAAAUAAAAUUUUCUAGCAUUAAGUUUUUGUUUCUUCUUGAGAUUUCCUUGUCGUACUUACCCAUAUUUCGAUAUUGCCUCCAAGUAAACUUAUAUAUAUUGAUUAACAAUAUAAACAAGCACUAUGAAGUUUUAGGCCUGAAAAAACAUUGAGGUUGAAAUGAAAACCAUCUAUUUAAGUAACAAAAUCUUCUGAUAAUUUGAUGCUUAAUAAAUAGAGCAGAGAUGACAUAUUAAUCACGCUAUGAUGUGGAAGUUAUGAUUAUAUUCAUCUUAAGAAUAAGAUCUUUCAAACACUGGCAGAUUAGUAUCAAAAUACUCAGCAUAAGACCUACAAACUAGAAAUCAUGAACCAAUUAUUGAACUCAGUACAUAAGUUGAUCUUUUAUAAGCUAUAAAACAAAUCUGCUAUAACAUAAGAAAGUGGGAUUUAUCACCAGACAAAUAUUUUGGUGAAACUCAAGAUGACGGAAGGAUAUCCAAAACAACCUCCUUAAGGGAAGGCAUCACUUCCUGCUGAUGCAAACAUAUAUAUUUAUUACUCACUUUCUUGAGGACCUUCCAGGAACCUGGGUAGCAUCUAACAGAAAGUGGAAAAGAAUAAAAUGUAAAAUAUAAGUUAAACAGCAGGAAAACAGUGAGUGAUACUAGGCAAGCAUUAAUAGGUUGCCGCAGGAAAAGUGUCAGUAACUAGCUAGCAAACCUGAAAAGGGUUCCUCCAUUGCGACCCUUAAAAUUGUGAAUGUAAUAUAUGGUCUCCAUCACAGGAAAAAGUGUAUUGGAUAGUGCAGCCAGCUUAGUGUUGCGGACCGCCCAAAUUCGUAGCCCAAUUUAUUCACCAAGAGCCCAACACAAGGCCAAGAGUGCUACCUUGGCCCGAUUCCGGAAAAUUCUAGGCAACUCUAGCACAUUGAGCUUGUAAAUACUCUAGAAUUCUCCAUAGAAUUCCAGCACAUGUAAAUAGCUAGGAAAUGGUAGAAUUCUCUAGAAUCUCUAGAGCUUGGCAAGCCUCCCCUAUAAAUAUGGGAUGGCAUUAGGCAUUUGUAUCCAACAAACACUACAACAAGCAUUGUAAGCAACUCAAGCAAUGUAAUUCUCUCUUUGUGCAAUACAAUUUCUCUUAUUCGGCUCUAUUGCUCUCUUCUCUAGUUCGAGAAGCUCUAAGCUUACUUAGCAACAUUCGGCAAAGUUGUCUAAGUGCCGCACGAGUUAGCUGCGCAAAAUACUCAUCCCGUGACAAGUGGUAUCAGAGCUAAAGUUUGCACGCACGCAAAUUAGCUCACGAGCAAUGGCCAACCUUUCAAACGUAGCACAAUAGGGUGUUGUUGGUGUGGAUGUUCCACUGGAACCAAGCCGCGACCAAGAGGGAGAACGCUCCCAAGGCAAGACUCGUGGCAAGUCCAAGGCCCCAUCCGUGGAUGCGUUGGAGCCUCGUGUGACUACUCUCGAAAUCACAUUGUCCGCCGCUCAAGAAAGUCUCGAGGGAUUGGAGGAACGAGUGGACGGUCUCGAGGGGGAAUACGCCGAGUUCACGGUGGCAACAAAAGCUCUCAUCCAAGAGCAAGCGAACACUCUCCGAGGUGAGUUUCGUUCUUUCCAUGAUGAGUUGCUCAAACUUCGUAGCUUUGUUCAGGAUGAACUACGAGCUGUCCGUGCAGAAGUGGAUGAAGUCCGCUCGGAUUGGGCAUGGCACAAGUGCACAGUCUCUGCUAGUCCAGCUUCCGCAAACUCGAGUGAUGCGCGCCGCAUUGACGUGCCAAAGCCCGACACCUACGAUGGCACACACAAUGCCACCAUCGUGGAUAAUUUCCUCUUUGGGCUCGAUCAAUACUUCGAUGCCAUGGGUGUCCGAGACGAGGCAUCGAAAGUGGGCACUGCACCCACCUAUCUUAGAGGCGCUGCACAACUAUGGUGGCGUCGCAAGUAUGGCGAGAUGGGCAAGGGCAUUUGCACCAUCGACACUUGGGCCAACUUCAAGCAAGAACGCCGAAAGCAGUUCGCCCCAAGCAAUGCGGAGAAGGAAGCACGAGCGUGCUUACGUCGCCUCAAGCAAACGGGUAGCAUAUGGGACUACAUCAACGAGUUCACUACCCUUAUGUUGGAGAUAAGCGACAUGUCCGACAAAGAUUCGCUCUUCUACUUCCAAGAUGGCCUCAAGGAUUGGGCCAAGACUGAGCUUGAUAGGCGUGGUGUUCAAACACUUGACGAUGCCAUGGCCGUUGCGGAGUCGCUCACCGAAUACUCUAUCCAAUCCAAGGACAAAAAGGCCAACCAAGGCAAAGGUGGGGGAGAGAGUCGCAAGGACAAGGGCAACAACCGCAAAGAUUGGGGGUAGAAAAAACUGCCUAGCAACAAGAGCGAGCAAGGAAAAUCGGAGGGUAAGAAGGAGGCGCCAAAGCCGCGAAGCCCAUGCUUCAUAUGCAAUGGUCCUGAUUGGGUACGCGACUAUCCGGAGAAGAGGUCGCUAAACGCUCUUGCUGCCCAACUCAAGAGCAACCCUACAAUGUCCACAGAGGAACCCCAACUCAGCAUGGGUUCUCUCCAACGCCUCGGCGCACUUAAUCACUAACAGCCUGCACUCGUCAAGAAAGGGCUCAUGUAUGUAAGCGCAAAGGUAAACGGUCAGUUCGUUCGCGCGCUGCUAGACACGGGAGCGACGCACAACUUUGUGUCCGUAGACGAGGCCAAGCGCUUAGGCCUCAAGGCCACCAAGGAAGGAGGCACGAUGAAAGCGGUGAACUCACCCGCCAAGCCAAUUGCGGGGAUCGCACAAGGCGUGCACAUUAUGCUUGGAACAUGGAGCGGAAAGCUUGAUUUCUCCAUCGUUCCCAUGGAUGACUUCAAGAUGGUCCUCGGCAUGGAAUUCUUCAACCAAGUCCAUGCCUUCUCGCUGCCCGCUCCGAACUUCCUAAGCAUCCUCGACGGGAGUAAGGCAUGCAUGGUUCCCACGGAACGAGGCAAGUCCGAGGAGAAGACACUCUCUACCAUGCAAUUUAAAAGGGCUUUCAAGAAGGACCCAAGUUUCUUGGUCUCCAUUCGGGAACUAAACGAGGUAGGAAAUAGCGGAAUCUCGCCAAACCAAGUCCCUCCGCGAAUUCAAGCCGUCCUUAAUGAGUACAAGGACGUGAUGCCUCCAGAACUUCCGAAGAAACUCCUACCUCGACGAGAGGUUGACCAUGCAAUUGAGCUGGAACAAGGCACGAAGCCACCAGCCUUGGCGCCCUACCGCAUGGCGCCACCCGAAUUAGAGGAGUUGCGGAGACAACUCAAAGACUUACUGGACGCAUGCUACAUUCGCCCCUCAAAGGCCCCAUUCGGUGCACCUGUGCUCUUCCAAAAGAAAAAUGAUGGAUUGCUGCGGAUGUGCAUCGAUUAUAGAGCGCUCAACAAGAUCACCAUCAAGAACAAGUAUCCGAUUCCCUUGAUCGCGGACUUGUUCGACCAGCUUGGCAAAGCGCGGUACUUCACCAAACUCGACUUGCGCUCCGGGUACUACCAAGUGCGCAUCGCCAAGGGAGACGAACCAAAGACAGCGUGCACAACAAGGUACGGGUCUUUCGAAUUCCUUGUGAUGCCUUUUGGCCUUACUAAUGCACCCGCCACAUUUUGUACGCUCAUGAACAAGGUGCUCCAACCAUUUCUCGACCGCUUCGUGGUCGUGUACUUGGAUGACAUAGUGGUGUAUAGCACCACGCUCGAGGAUCAUGCCCAACACUUGCGACAAGCCCUCCAAGUACUUCGAGACAAUGAGCUAUUCCUCAAAUUGGAGAAGUGCUCGUUUGCCCAACGAGAAGUGGAGUUCCUUGGCCACAAGAUUGCGGGCGGGAAGCUCAUGAUGGAAAAUGCCAAAGUGAAGGCCAUUCUCAAAUGGGAACCUCCCUCGAAAGUGCCCGAGCUUCGCUCAUUCCUUGGGCUGGUGAACUACUACUGCCACUUCAUCAAAGGCUAUUCGGCCAAGGCAGCACCCUUGACGGAUAUCAGAACGUGGCAUUAGUUCGAAGAGUGCCAACGCGCAUUCGAGGAGUUGAAGAAGGCAAUUUCAGAAGAACCUGUCCUCGCUCUACCGGACCACACAAAGCCCUUCGAAGUCCAAACAGAUGCCUCAGAUUUUGCCAUAGGUGGAGUCCUUAUGCAAGAAGGCCACCCCAUAGCGUUCGAGAGUCGAAAGCUAAAUGAUACGGAGCGUCGCUACACGGUGUAAGAGAAGGAGAUGACAGCCAUCAUACAUUGCUUGCGUGUGUGGCGACAUUACUUGCUAGGCUCACACUUCACGAUUAUGACGGACAACGUGGUGACAAGCUACUUUCAAACUCUAAAGAAGUUGAGUCCGAAGCAAGCACGGUGGCAAGACUUCCUUGCGGAAUUCGACUAUUGGCUCGAGUACAAACCGGGGAAAGCCAAUGUCGUUGCGGACGCUCUAAGCCGCAAGGUGGAAUUGGCAACACUUAGCAUGAGCCAACCGAAGUUCGACCUUAUCUCACGCAUCAAGGAAGGCCUCCAACAAGAUCCGCUAGCAAAGGAUUUGCUGGAGAAGGUGCUCGAGGGAAAGACAAGGCGUUUUUGGCAAGAGGAAGGCAUCCUCCUCACCAAGGGAGAUAGGCUGUUCGUGCCAAGGUGAGGAAACUUGUGGAAGGAAGUUAUCAAGGAGUGCCACGACUUCAAGUGGGCUAGUCACCUAGGAAUCGAGCGCACCACCGCACUAGUUCAAGCCUCGUAUUUUUUGCCACACAUGAGGGACGACAUCGAGGCAUAUGUGCGAACUUGUCUUGUGUGCCAACAAGACAAGGUGGAUCAUCAACUUCCAGCGGGAUUAUUAGAGCCGCUAUCGCUAGCAACAAGACCAUGGGAAAGUGUCUCCAUGGACUUCAUCACAUCGCUGCCUAAGUCCGAAGGAUGCGGAAGUAUCAUGGUCGUUGUCGACCGAUACAACAAGUAUGCCACAUUUAUUGCCGUACCAAUCGAUUGCAAAGCGGAUGAGGCAUCUCGCCUAUUCGUCAAGCACAUUAUGAAGCUUUGGGGAGUUCCAAAGAACAUUGUGAGCGACCGAGACCCUUGGUUCACUGGGCGUUUCUGGACGGAGCUCUUCAAGAUGUUAGGGACCGAUCUCAAGUUCUCGACAAGCUUUCACUCACAAACGGAUGGGCAGACCGAGCGCAUUAAUGGCCUCCUCGAGAUGUACUUGAGGCAUUAUGUGAGCGCUCAUCAGCGAGAUUGGGCGAAGCUAAUCGACAUCGCCCAAUUUUCUUAUAACUUACAGCGAAGCAAGGCUACGGGCAAGAGUCCGUUCGAGAUCAUCAUGGGAUUUCAGCCCAUGACCCCCAACGCCAUAGCCUCGACUUACGGAAGGAAAAGCCCCGCGGCACACAAGCUCACCCGCGAAUGGCAUGAGGAAGCGAACACCACGCAAGCCUAUCUCGACAAAGCCGUGAGGAAAAUGAAGAAAUGGGCGGAUACAAGGAGACGACAUGUUGAGUAUAAGGAAGGUGAUCAAGUUAUGAUCAAGCUCCUACCCCAACAAUUCAAGAUGUUGCGGAAAGUCCACAAGGGGUUAGUGAGGCGCUACGAGGGACCCUUCCGAGUUGUUCGACGUGUGGGCAACGUCUCGUAUCAACUCCAACUUCCGCCAAGACUCAAGAUCCAUCCGGUCUUCCAUGUGAGUCUUCUCAAGCCAUAUCACGAAGACAUGGGAGACCCAAGUCGCGGAGAAUCGAGGCGCGCACCAACUGCCGUUGUCACCGCGUUCGACAAAGAUGUGGACUACAUCAUUGCGAACCGCGUGGUUUCGAGGAGGGGCGUGCCAGCACAUAGCGAGUACUUGGUGAAGUGGAAAAACCUCCCCGAGAGCGAAGCCACUUGGGAACGUGAAGACAAUUUGUGGCAAUUCGUUGAGCACAUCCAGAGGUUCAAGCACGAGAGCGCGAUGAGGACGCCGCGAGGUUAGGUGGGGGAGGAUGUUGCGGACAGCCCAAAUUCGUAGCCCAAUUUGCUCGCCAAGAGCCCAACACAAGGCCAAGAGUGCUAGCUUGGCCCGAUUCCGGAAAAUUCUAGGCAACUCUAGCACAUUGAGCUUUUAAAUACUCUAGAAUUCUCCAUAGAAUUCCAGCACAUGUAAAUAUCUAGGAAAUGGUAGAAUUCUCUAGAAUCUCUAGAGCUUGGCAAGCCUCCCCUAUAAAUAUGGGAUGGCAUUAGGCAUUUGUAUCCAACAAACACUACAACAAGCAUUGUAAGCAACUCAAGCAUUGUAAUUCUCUCUUUGUGCAAUACAAUUUCUCUUAUUCGGCUCCAUUGCUCUCUUCUCUAGUUCGAGAAGCUCUAGGCUUACUUAGCAACAUUCGGCAAAGUUGUCUAAGUGUCGCACGGGUUAGCUGCGCAAAAUACUCAUCUCGUGACAUUAGGGUAGAAGAAUGACGGAUAAUCUUUAGCUCAUUUAAGGAAAUCCUCUCUGAUCCUUUCAUUGCACAUUCCAAAACAACUCUACUACAACCAAGUUACCAAUUCUUUUUGUUAAGUCAUUGUUAUUUGUUAAAAAAAAAAAAAGUCUUCCUUGCAACAUUUUAUUGAAAGAUAUAACAUGAUCAUCCCUAUUAAUUCCCUUUUAGAUUUCUGUGAGUGAAUUUCAAAUUAUUGUAUUCAAAAAUAGAAGCAAAAGACCCACUUUACUUUCAAUUUCUGCAACAAGAUACCAAUUGAAGGACCAAAAAGUUGUAAACAAGCAAUUCAAUGGGUGGGCAUCUAGAAACUGCUAAAUAGCAUCAAAAUCAUACUAAAUUUACAGAAAGUACAAUAAUAAUGAAAGAAUGGUGAAGGAUACACCCAGACCUUAUCCGGUCAAGUUCUCUAUUGAAUAUAAUCAGUUUCUGGGCAGUAUUGAAGACAGCUUCUUUGUAAAGCUCUUCAACGACAAGCAUUUCUACAAGACGAAAGAAAAGCAAAAUUAAUUACCUUAAGGAAUGAAUAUCAAUAAGAAGACAAGGUGUAAGACUACCAUUGACAUUAAAAUAUGGAUAGGCGACUAGAAACAAUUCAUCUUCUGGCUUCACACGGUCUGCCAUUUUAACCUUCUCAGUGAAUCCAAAAUCCUCAAAGAAUGAAGGUUUUGUUAGAUAGUCCAACUUAAAUAAUGAUCCUUCAAAGACCGAUUUUCUUGCAUAUUUGACUUCAUUUGCCUCUGGGAAAAACUAAAAACCAAAUGACAGACCAAGAUCACGAAACGAAUCAUGAACAUAGAUAUCAGAUAAUCAGAAAUGGGCAUUAAACAGACUACUAACAAGUAGGAAAUGCAUACAGAAAACAUUAUUCAUACACCUUAUGCACAUGAAAUAUAUAUGCAGAGGGAUCCUCUUGUGAAUUUAGUUUAUAUCCUAAUAUGAGACAAUGAACAAUUGGAUGGCAUCUAAGGGCUAACAUUUGUUUGAUUAUUAUAUGAAAAAAAAAAACAAAACAGAGUUGAUUGAUGGCCUUUGAUGGAUUGCCUACACUCUUAAAGUGCAGAGAGCCUGAUUAAUUGCUUUACCUGCCCCCCCCCCCCACACACACUUGGUUUUAUUAUCUCUCUUUUCAAAUAUAUAAUCAUUGGCUGUCUUUCAUCCUGAUCCGGCUCUCCUUCCAGGCCCCAGCUGUGUUUUCUUCAAUUCAGUGAAACAUUCACAUUCAGGUAAGAAUAAACUUGUCCUUCCUCAAAAAUCAGCUUCUCACCAUGAAGCUUUCUUUUUUAAACCAAUUACUAGUCUAGCAUAACGCAUCUAAUUGAAGACAACUCAGAAUUGAAAAAGCCAUACUUUAAUGUCUGUUGUUGGGACCUCAAGACCAGGAACAAAAAGCUUCUUUCUAACAGUUGGAUUAACAAGUAGAAAUAGCUUUUUUUCUGAAGGACCCAACAUUGCAUUGAAAAAUUCAACAAAAGGAAUGGCAUCAUAUUUAGUCCUGCUAGAAUUUUGUGCACUUAACACAAUGGUUAAUAAUUGGCCCAGCGGACACUUUGUCGAACUAUUGGCAACCUUGACUGUGGAAAUGCAUAUUUCAAAUGUUGGCAGGCUCUAGCUUCUUGAUGUACUGUUGAUAGAAAUGCCUAUUUCAAAAGUUGGCAGGCUCAAACUGCCGAGACUUUGGUUUCUUGCAUUUCAAACCCACAAAUAAAACUUUGGCAGAACCCCAGAAAGAGCUACACCUCCCAAAUUUGAUGACAAAUGAAGAGACCAUGCCUAGUGCUUAGUUCGGCAAAUGAGUAAGUUUGAAAGAAAUUAAGGGAAACCUUUCCCACAGAGAGUCAUAUUGAAGGUUACAAUUUGAAGACUUUGUCCCCUGUCGCCCACAACCUUCUUUGAUCUCUUUGCUUAGUCAUAAAUAAUCAAACAUAUGUUAGUCGUUGGAUGCAAUCCACUCACUGACAUCUCAUGUCCACAAUCAAUCAACCAUAUUUUAAUAGAAAUGAAAACAUUUUAAUUAAAAAAGAAUGAGAUAGGAACAAAAUGAAACUUGGCAGACAUGGGUCUAUGAGAUUUUAAAGAUGCUUGGUGAAAGUCGUAUUCAAGAGUUCAACAGUCAGUUCUAUCACCUAUGGCAAAGUAACCACCAUAACUAAAGCAAUUACAAAACAUCAAGAAGCUUGAACUUGGCAAGAGGUCUCAUUAACAGUAUACCUCAGAAAUUAAGACAGACUUAAAGUACAAGCUUUUGGAUUUAUUUAAACACUGAAAAUAAUAUGGGUAGAAGCUCCUAUGGUCACAGCAAACAAUUACAAAGCACAAAACCCAAAAAAUAGAUAUGCAAAAAGCUGCAAAAGAACAUUAUUAGCAAUUGACAUCUGCUUUGCUCAGACAAAGGUUCUCAUAACAAAGGACUUAGUGAUUAUCUUUCAUAUGUUUAUGUUAAGGGGAAAAAGGAAGUUUGUUUUAGUCAAUCUCAUGUCUAAUGGCAUUCAUAAGGAGCCCAAAAAUAAAAGAAAAAAUAAAGAGUUAGUAGGUGUUUCUCGCAGUAUAAAGAAAAUUUAUCAUCCAUGAAAAACUUAGUAUGGAAAAAGCUAACUCAUUUAUCUGCCAAUGGAGAAAAACUUGUUGUCCACCCACUAAGGACCCACCAUUGGGAGAUGGAUCCCAUGGAUGGGAACCACAAAUAUUUUAUUCUAAAUGAAAUGGGUAUUGUACCAUAUCAUUUAAUUUGUAGAUUCCACUGAUGGAACUCAUCAAACUUUUCAAAUGGUAGGUCCUUCAUGGGUAGGCGCAUCACUUCAGCAUCCUUCUCCACCGAUGACUAAAUCUGGACUCAUUUAAAAAGAAUACAAAGCAAAACUAAUUGACACAAAUUGCAUAGAGGUCUAGGAGCCAAAUCAAUGUUGUUAACUCAUCCAAUUAAUACAUUCUCUUAGAGGUCAUACCUUGGUAACUCAUUUCAAAAGAAAUUAAAAGAAAAACGACUGCACAAAUUGUACUGAGCUCAAGAAGACCUGUUCAAGGUGUUCACUUGUCCAACUAAUAAAAGUCAUCAAGGAUUGUAUCGGGGACUUGGGACCAAUCCUGCCUUAACUAGAGAAAGGGAAUUUAGGAUGAAGAAGAUAACCUCUUCUCCUAGAGCCCUUUUGGACAAAAAUGAAUUCCUACUAAUUCUGAGAAUAAAACCAUAGACAUCUAACUUCUGAUAUCUAGUCAAUCUGGUAAAAUCUUGUCAGUUGCACUUGGGGCAGAAAUUAGUUCCACCUUGGUUUACAGGACAGAAAUUCGUCAUAUGCAUGUAUUUAUUUAUGUUUUAUACACAAACGCAUACAUGUACACACAAACACUACCUUCACUUUGAAGAAAAGAUUAAAAUAACACUGCUCACAUACACAAUACUUACUAUUCUAGUUCGUGUAACUUUCUCUGGAGUCACAAACAGGUCACAGAAUUCACGUAUUAACCGCAUACUUCCAGUCAUUUCUAUUCCUCCUUCACCAUCACCUGUCCCACAAUUACAAAAAGUGAGAGGUAAUAACCAACAUAUUUGGGUUGCUCUUCGGUAAGGGGUGGGAGGUAAGGGUUAGUUGUGGAGGGCACCUGGUACAGAAUCAAGGCCAGCUGUUGGGAAUUCGAUCUCUUGUAACAUAUACUUGUUCAUCAUAAACUAUAUACUUAUUCUGCAGUCGAUGUGUGCAUAUAGCUCUUCAAUUAUCCAGUAAUAACUCACCAUCAACUUCCUACCAUCCUUCAUGGCUAAUUCAGCAGCCAUUUUUGCCUGUUUAAAGGUCAAAAGCCCAAACUAAGCAGAUGCUCCUACUCCGAUACUUAUUAUCUAACUACUACAGAACAGAUGAUACACAUCAAGUUGUAUCAAGAGAGACACCAAGUUGUGUUUUCCAAGAGGUUCCAAAGAGGAUCUGUUUCUUUGUGUAAUUUUUAGACUGCUUUGACAACUCAUCUUAAAGGUGCCACUCAUCCAAUAUGAUGUGGUGACAGUAGUUUAGAGUUUUAAACUAAAUGCAGAGCUAAUAGUAUUUUGGAAAUAUAAUCAUCCUAAGAUACUAUAACACAAGGAUUCUUACACAAAAACAACAACUUCGAUGUAGAGAGAAGAUGAUUUCACAAAAGCAGAUGUUUUGAUUUAAGUCUCCAAAACCCCCACCAAGAAAAUGUUCAACGGAUAUAGAAAUAUGAUCCACAUAUCUGUAACUUAAACUGUAAAAGUUGUUGAUGUUGUUCUAAAAUUGCCACAAUCUAUCUACCCCAUGAAUGUUUUUGGAUAAAACAAGAAGCAGGACCCAAUGCCUGUUUUCUAAUAGCUUCAAAAAGGCCAAAUUGGUUUUGAAAUGUCUCCAGCUUUUCAUUUAACAAGUUUAAGGAUCCCUUCGGCAUUGCAAUUGGGGAGCUCAGAUAUAUAAAAGUGCCUGGUAAACUCUUACAGCCGCAGCUUUUGAGCAAAAAUAAUUUUAUCUCAUAAUUGUUUGACUAAAAACAUAUAUCACCUUUUAUCAGUUUUGUAAAAAAUAUUAUUUAUAAGUCAUAUUUACCAAACACAGUCAACUUUUACAUCACAACUAUAGCUUUUUUUUUUUUUUCACCACACAUAUAUAGUUAAAAACUACAAGAACUCGAUAUCAAACAGAUCCUAAAGCGUAAUCUAAUAAAAAGGUAAAUAAACAAAUGCAGAAGCCAGCGUACUUGAUCAAGAAGCUCUGAAUAGUCACUGGGAAAGGGAAUAUCGACGUUAAUGGGGUUAUUGCCAUCGCUUGAAACCGAAUUGGUGAGACAAUUGCGUUUUCUUCUGUACGGCGAAAAUGUGACGAUUGAGUAACAACUUAUAUCGAACUUUAGGUUAAAAUAAUUACUAUGGAAUAUUGGAAUACGAGAUUAUUAGCAUUUGAGUGCUUGAGUGGGAAUCAAGAAAACUUAAAAUAGUUCAGUUAACCCAAAAAGAAAAAGGGGGGAAAAAACCCAUGGAAAGUGCGAUGAAUGUAAAUCCACUUUAAAACUUUAAUCAUAAAUGGUUAACUAAUUUUAAGUAAUUUGGAUUAACUUGACAAAUUGAAAAACCAUGCACUAGAGGAAAAUGUUCAUAUUUGGAGGUCCGAAUUUAUCUACCAUUCAACCCUAUUUUCAGCUCCUGCAUGGAGGAUAAGUUAGUUUGGUGAAUCUACCACUAGCUAAUUAGCUAAUUUUUUUUUUUGAAGAUAGCUAAUUAGCUAAUUAAGAGAGCAUUAACGUUGAUAAUUUGUCCUAUCUAAAAUGAAAAGUAAGAAAUUUACACUAGUAAAUUUUACACAAUCACAGUUGGAAUUUCAAAGAAACAAAAACGGAUCAAUAGUGCAAUUGUAAUUCAAAUUUGCACUUUAGGCCACACGUUCGGCCCAGUUCUUGUAUUAACACUUCAAUACUUGACAUGUGGCCAUUUUUUUAUUCGUCCACGUUCUUUGCAUUCUCAUGGUAGUACUCGAACAAGACAAAAUUUCACGAAUAUUCAGUUGAAUUGUUGUUGAAACAUGUAUAAGAAAUCAAAUCUCGUUAGUUUUGAAUAUUACCAGCAACUCAAAUUAUUUUAACCUAAAGUUCAAUAUAAGUUGUUGUUGGGGGUUAACGGCAUUUUGAACCACAAAGUAAAGAGAGAGAGAGAAGAAACGCUCCCCUUUCAAAUACCGUGCUCUUUUGUACCUGGGAAUUUAAUAAUUCAUGCGAAUAAAAAAAUUAUAAAUUUAGUAAAUUAUUUAUUAAAAAAUAUUGAGAGGUUGUGCAUUAUUUUAUUAGUAAUGACAUAGUAAUCAUCAAAUUAGUUGAAUUAAAAUAGUUGUUGACUCACGUAAUUUAUUUUUAUUAUUUUUAAAAAAAAUGGUCUGCGUUAAUAAGGUUAAGGGUGACAACUGGGAUCAAUAUACAGUUUAUUCGGGUGCUUAAAACCUAAUAAAUAUCCACUAACUCAUAUAUAGUUAAAAUAUAAUUAUUUUUAAAUAAAAAAUUUAAUAUAAACUAAACAAAUUGAUCGGAUUUUGUUUCUCAAGGUACAUCAUUAGAACGUUACUUUUAAUUGAACAAAAGCACACAUAACUAGCACAUUCGCCACAAAAGCCUCGGCUUAGUGGUCGGCUUAUUAAUUAUCCUAAUAAAAUCAUGGUCAUAAAUUUGAGUCCCCGUAGGUUAGGUAGCUUUUUUAGACUACACUAUAAAUACAUGUAUUUUACUUCUCGCGGGUAUUGCUUCUAGUAGUUAUCCAUCCGAGUAUAGAGCUUUGUAGCUUUCUUCAUGACCUUCCCCAAUUUCAAUGCUUGUUAAACAAUCUCCACAGAAAAUGUGAUAGAAAUGUCCCGCUGCCACUUGUUGUGCAUAGUCCAAAUCUGCAAUUUAAGGUCAUCAUUUCAUUUAAUUUUCCGUUAUAUAUAUUCAUCUUUCUUAGAGGCCAAGAAGUCUUCGACAGAAAUGUGAUCUUUUUCUAGUAGCCUCCCGGUGAUGAGCUUCUCCCAAGUUUCAAUUAAUUCGCUUUGAGUGAGGAUAUUUUCUGGUGGCCUCAAAUACAAUGUUUUGUUCAGCACUCGAGGAGCAUCUAUUCUCUUAAUAGUAUAUAUGGCAACAUCAUCGAUAUGCACCAUAGAAAAAAAGAUAAUCAUUUUGUUUAAUAUGAACAUAAAUUCUUACAGUCUAACUCAUAUUAUAGUGAACGAUGUUGUUGUGUGGUGCGUGCAUGCACUAUCUAUAGUUUUAAUAUUAUUAAUAAAGAGUUAAAAGUCUUGAUUUAAUUUUAAAUUGUCAUUCCUCUAACUUCACCGUCUUCAUAGAUCCAGACUUUAUCUUUUGAAGGGCGAGGGUAGCUAUAUUUGAGAGAGGUGUCCGGGGAACCAACCAGCAAAAAACAGCUAGCAGAAACAUAAAUGACAGGGAUUUGAGCAGCCUUGAUUGCCCUUCUCACACAUGUGCUCUGCGUUCUCCCUCUCGCUCUCACUCACUCACGCCCAAAUCUCACCUCACUCACGCCCAAAUCUCACCUCACUCACGCAUCUCUCCUUCUGACCGGUGGUUUUCUCUCUCUCGCCGUGGGUCUCUAGGCUGGCAGGGAUUUCUCGACUUGACUACUAAAACAUAAUCCAAAAACUACUAAGAGAUGUAUAUAUUACUCUGAUAUACACAAUAUGAAGAAACUGCAGUUAUAUUUCAAAUAUUAUAUGAAGGAAGAGGCUGUAUGGAUUAUCCAAAGGUGCUGAAAUUAAGAGACCCACACCAACCGACAGACCCCCGGUGAUAGAGAGAAAGUCGACCGUGAGAUGCAUUCAAGACGGGGGAAGAGUGAGAGAGAAAACUGCCCGGUCAGAAAGAGAGAUGCAUGAUUGAGGUGAGAGAUUUGGGCGUGAAUGAGUGAGGAGUGAGGGAGAGGGUGCCGCGUGUGUGGGAUGCGUACAGUGACAAUUUAUACUUACAUCAAAACGCCGAGUUCGGUGCCAUGUGUAGGGCUAACUGUGGUUUGAAUCUCACUUUGGUAACGGAAAUGACUUUGCAAUUGACAGUUUUUGUCAAAAGUUCGCACUGCAUGAAACUAGUGUUAAUAUAAUUUAAAAAAUUAAUUUCAGUAUUAAUUUUUAAAAUGUUAAUUAUUAUAUUUAUUUUAAUAAUAUAUUUAUAUUUAUAAUAAAAAUUUUAGUUAAAUAUUUGUGUUAAAUAGAAUUUAUAAUUAAUAUAAUAUAUCUUAGGUAUUAAUUAUUAUAAUUAUUCUAUAUGCUAUUGAAAAUCAUUUAAAUUUUUAGAUGUUUAUUUUCAUACUAAGUUUCUAUUUAUUUUAAAAUUUAGUUUAAUAUAAUAUAAGCAAGUAAAGUAUUAAAAUAUUUUUUAGUAUUUUUAAAAUAUUAAAAUUAUUUUAAAAUAUAAGUCAAUUUUUUAAGUUAAUAGAACUAAUAUUUACAGUUUAUUUGAUGGCCUCAACAAGCUAAAGCAGCAUCAAAAUUAUGUGGCUCCUUAUUUUAUUUUUUCCCUUUCAAAAAGGGAAAAGGAUAAGUUUGGGAGAAUGUUUAUAUUUUUAAUAAAUUCUUUUUUAUUAUAAUACUUUUUGUCUUUAUUAAUUUAAAAAUAUUGACUCUUAUAUUUUAAAAAAUAUAAAUAUAAUAUUAUAAUAAAAUAUAACAAUAUAUAUCAAAUAUUUAAAAAAAAUUUAUAAUUUUAUAUUAUAUUAAAAUAAAUUUUUAAUAAAUAAAAAUAAUCUAUUAAAAUAAAGUACAAAAAUUUAAAUUAUUUUCAUUAUCAUCUAAAAUAAAUUUACUAUUAUUAAUGCAUGAAAUAUAUUAUAGUAAUUGUAAAUUUCAUUUAACUCAAAGAUUUAUUUAGAAUGUUUAUAAUAAGUCCAAAUAUAUUAUUAAAAUAAUUAUAAUAAUUUACAUUUUAAAAAUUAAUACUGAUAUUAAUUUUUAAAUUAUAUUACUCUACCAGAAAAAUUAAACUAUUAAAUUAUAUCAAUAUUUAUUAAAAAAAUUGAAAUUAAUUCUUGUUAUAUUUUUAAUUGGAAUUUUUUCAUGUGAUAUAACCACAAUUGCUACAUUUUUUCCCCUGAAUAAAGAUGGAGUUAUAAAUUAUUUGUAUAAGUGUCUGUGUGGAAACUAAUGUGACAUGAAAGUAAUAGUUGAAUAACAAUAAUGGGGCUUUAGGCAAUUUUUUCAUGAGAUUUUCUUGCGAUUUCAACACUUAAACAGACUUGUCCUUCAUCCCAAUUUAUUUACCCCAUUUGGGCCCGUUAUGACAUAGACAUAUUCUUGUGGAAUGAAAAACUUCAUGAGAAGAAAUUGUUUUAUUAUAAUAGAAAAAAGUGGUCCAUAAGUCUAUUCAUUACUUUUUUUAUUCAAUAUAAAUGGCUAACUUUAAAAAUGGUAAAAAUCACAUAACGCGCAAGCGAAAUCUAAGAUUUAUAUUUUUUAAUACUCUCCAAGUCUCUCUUUCUCUUUUUCUUUUUUUAAAUAAAUGUCAAUAUAAAAUUAGAAAAAUUUUAGAUAUAAAAUUUGGCGAUGACCAAACAAAAAUUGUAGAGGAAACCUUGAUAUCAUUGAAAUACUGAUCAUAGACACUACAGUAUAAAUAACUUAUUGUGAUCCACUCAACUUGUAACACUUUAAUCCAUAUUCUAAAAUUUUCAUGUUUGUUAGGAUUUUUAUUAUUGAUACUACUGUAUCAAUAAAAUUAUAAUUUAUUCAUAUGGAAUGAAAACAUCAAGAAAGGACCUCUGAUUUUUAUUAUAACAGAAAAAAAUGGUCCAUAAGUCUAUUAAUUAUUUUAUUUAUUCAAUACAAAUGUCCAACUUUAAAAAUGGUAAAAAUCACACAAUGCACAAGUAAAAUAUUACAAUUACAUUUUUUAACUCUCUUUGAGUCUCUCUCUCUCUCUUUAAAAAAUAAACCUCACUAUAAAAUUAGAAAAAUUUUAGACAUAAAAUUUGACAAUCACCAAACAGAAAACAUAGGGAAAUGAAAAUGGAGGAGCCCUAUUUUCAUUAGAAUAUUGAUCAUAGAUACUAUAAUGUAAAUGAUUUGUUGUGGUUCAUUCAACUUGUCACACUCUAAGCCAUUUUCUAAAAUUUGUAAGGUUUAUAGUAUUUUUAUUAUUGCCAUCAUUGUAUCAAUAAUAUUAUAAAUUAUAUAUUCUAUUGUAAUGAAAAUUUGUGUAAUCUUAGGUAUUUAUUAUAUUAAAUUGUGUGGAUUAAUUAAGAAUAUUUUUGGAGACAAAAGAAGUGUGUGUACGUAGGAUUAAUGAUAAAAAAUUUCUAAAUAAAGAUGAUUGCUUCAUUGACAAGCACAUAUUUAUAUUCCUCUAUUAAUAUUUGGGUUGUAAACUCUAUAAUAAAGUUGGUUGGUGUGAGUGGUUCGGCACUCUCACUCCUUAAGAAAGAUCAGGGGUUCAAGCCUCGCUCUCGUAUGGAGUCACCACUUUGGCCAGCACUUUACCUCUUACGGGCCGACCCGAUGCGAGCAUGAAUUAGUAUGAGUUGUGGUACGGGCUUAAAGGUGCCUCCCAUAGUUUGGGCCCACUUAGGAUCACCUCGUGGUUCAAACAAAAAAAAAGUGAAUAUAUUGUGGUAAGCGAUGUGGGCAAUAUCGGUUGCGAAAUAUUGAGAGAUCAUUAAUGCAUAUAAUUAUUGAAGAUGCAUAUAGAGGGAAGAGUGUAGAUCUGGCUGUAACAAUUAUGAAGCUUUCCCCAAGUAUACUCAUGCUUCCUUAAUUGUUCCGAAGUAUUUUUCAUAGUGUGCAGAUUUACUUUAUGGUGUCUUAAUUCGUCUUAAAUGAUUACUUUAGUUGUUUUGGGAUUUAAUGUCAUUUAUUGUGUUAAUUUUAAACAAUAGAAAAAAUAAGUAAUGGUAACGAAAGACUAAUUUGUGAUAUUGAAGCAUACGGGCUUAACUCAAUCCAAAAAUUAGUAAGUUAGCUCAAGAGUUAAGAGUUGUCCAAAUCUUAUAUGCUGAAUCCAAGUUUAAUACACAAUUGAUGCGGGAUGUUAUUCCUAACACCUUCCAUCAUGCGUAGGAUUGGCAAAAAAAUUCGGGUCAGUCCCACCUAAACCUGCAGGCUUUAUGCAUGGCUCGCAUGAUGAAGUUACGGAUAUUAACCUAAAAAUUUGAAACUUACUAUGAAUGGCCUUGCUUAAAGACUUUUGCAACUUUAAUUUAUAACAAGUAUGUAUAUAUACACACACAUAAGCUUAGAUUGCAUUUGGAUGGCUUUUUUAAUCAAUUCAAACAAUUUGAAAUUUAUCGGAUUAAUCUGAAUCUUAUCUGUAUCCGAUUUUGUCCGCCCCUACUAUUUAUAAGCCCAGGUGACUCUCUUUUACUAAUUAAUAAGAGAAUUUUUGACCUUAUAUCCUUGCUGUGGUGUUAGACUGUUGGUCAUUUUGAUUGUUUCCUACCUUCCAUUUACGCCAGCUAUAACAUUGUAUUAUCACCAUUUUAGCCAUUUAAAUGAAAUUUUAUUUUUGUCAAAAAUAAAAUGACACCCUUAAAAUUAAAAAAGAAAUAGUUAUGUAGACCUCAAAUUUUUAAUAAAGAAUGCCAAUACCCCUUUUAACUACAAGAUUCUUAGUAGAUGAUAACUAAAAAAAUUAACUUCAAAAAUUUUCACUAAAUGUAAAUCUGAUUGAAAUAGUUUAAAUUUUUCUAGUAGACUAAUAUAUAUAACUUAAAUAAUUAAUUUCAUUAUUAAUUUUUAAAAUGUUAACUAAUAUAUUUUUAAUUUAUUAUAAAAAUUUUAAAUAAAUUCUUGGAUUAGAUAGAUUUUACAAUUAAUGUAAUACUGUUGAUUUAUUAAUAAUAUUAAAAUUAUUUUAUAUGAUAUUCAAAAUAAUUUAAACUUUGAUAUAUUUAUUUUAAUAGUAUGUCUAUUUAUUAUAAUUUGGUUUAAUAUAAUACGGGAUUGCAAAAUAUUAAAAUAUUUUUCAAUAUCAAAUUAUUUUAAUAUGUAUAUAUCAUUACAUUUAUUUCAAUAUCGCAUUUAUAUUUAUUAUAAGAUAUAAAAUUAAAGAGUAUUGCAAUAAAGUAAAAAAAGAAAAAAAAAAGUCUUAUUAUCCCUUAUUCACGAUAUGAGGUUCUAUAAAAUUAUUUCCCCAAACGGGUGUCCUUUUCUUAUUUUCAAAAGAAAAACUAAAGUAAGAAUAAGUCCAUGGGUUUCAAAAGACUUAUAGUCCUAUCCCGGAACCUACAUUAUCUGCCACUAUGACUAAUGACAAAUUUUUGGUGGGAUAUAGGAAAAUUGUCAAAAGUUCAUGCUGCGUGAGAGUCUUUGGUGGGAUGUGGAAGGAUUGUCAAAAGAUCACACCACGUGACAUAACCACAAUUGCUACAGUUUUUUUUUUUUAAAAUAUUGAUGGGAGUUAUAAAUUAUUUAUAUAAAUUUGCGUAGACUGAUGUAACAUAAAAGAAGUAGCUGAAUAACAAUAUUUGGUGCUUUAGGUAAUUUUCAGAUGGGCCUUUCUUUUAUUUAGCGACUUUAGUGCUUAAACAAACUUGUGCUCGAUCUUAAUUUAAGCCUAUGAUGACAUAAACAUAUUCUUUUGUGACGAAAACAUCAAGAGAAGACAUCUCAUGUUUUAUUAUAACAGAAAAGAAGUGGUCCAAACGUCUAUUCAUUAUUUUAUUUAUUCAAUAUAAAUGGCCAACUUUAAAAAUCACACAACGCUCAAGUGAAAAUUUAGAAUUACAUUUUUUAAUACUCUCGGAGUCUUUCUCUCGUGCCCCCUUUUUUUCUAAAAAAAUAAACCUUAGUGUAAAAUUAGAAGAAUUUUAGAUAUAAAAUUUAACAAUCGCUAAACAGAAAAGCAGCGGAUUGAAAAUAGAGGAGCUCUGUUAUCAUUGGAAUAUUGAUUAUAGAUAAUAGGGUAUUUUUUAAUUGAGUCCUCAUUAUUUCUAGAAAAAAAUUCAGAGACCAGAAAUUUACUAAAUGAAUUAAUUAAAUCCUUUCAAGUACAAAUUAAUAUCAUUCAAGUCCAUAACUUAACUCUUCAGUUAGAAAUAUUAACAACGUUGAGGACAUUUUAGUAAAAGAACAAUUGAACCCUUCCUCAUUCUUUUAUUUUUGACAGGUGGCAAUAGUUUGCUUACAGGUGGCAAUAGUUUAAAGCAAAGUCAAUUCACCUAACCAAGUUAAAGUUCUUUCAAGCGGAAAAAAAAAAAACCUCUAGAAGAAACUGCCGUAUUCUUCGUGUGAGAGGAGGGAUUGAGAGAACGUGGGAUGGCGUCAAAAAUGUUAUAUAAAUAUACUGUAAUUUUGACCAAAGCUUUGUUAGCAUUGGUUGAGUUCAAGUAUUGGAGAGAAGCCGAGCUUAAAGGUUAGUAACUCUAAUUUUUAAGUGAUUUUUGCAAGUAUUUUCUGAUAAAAUUGUUUCCAUAUUUAGUGAUCUUUGUGAAAAAUUAUGUUUUUCAAGUCUAUUUUUCUAAAUGACAAACUAUGUUUAAUUAUUGGUGGAUUUUUUUAUUGAAUGUUGUAUUUUGUUAAUAUACUUUUUUUAAUUUGCUCUUUAUAUAAUAAUUAGACCAAAUACACCAUAUUUAUAUAUGUAUUUAUUGAACUUAUUUUGCCUAUUUUAUAGGCUUUCUUGAGUUGUUGUAUAUGUACAAUAUUUCAUUUCAACCAAUUGGUAUCGUUAUAUUAAUAAGAUUGAAUUCAUUGUAUUUGCUUUUUUGUUCAUGUAAAAUUGAAUUCUAUGUGUUAUUAUGAGUGGUAAUUUUUAUAUAUAUUAGACUAAAUUCUCUAUAGUUGUUGGGUUAUUUUUUCUUUUCAGUUUUUAUUUUUAUAUGUAUUAGAUUGAAUUUUCUUUUAUACUUUUUUUAAUCGAAUUACAUGUAUAUUUCAUUUAGGUUGAGUUUUUUAUUCUUUGCUAAAUAAAAUUGUAUUAGUUUAGCCAUUUUUUGAUGCAAUACUUUUUUGUUUUAAAAUUGAUGCAGGUAGUCAUGUUACCUUUUUUUUUGUUGGUUAAAAUUAAUGGGGCGGUGUAUGAGAUAGGAUAUAGGGACCCAGAGGAAUAUAAGAUUAUUAGGUUGUUUCAUGAAAUUCUAGAAGUCAUGGUUAAGUAUGGACACAAUGAAAUGGAUUUGAUUGAAAUUUUUGUUGUGUUGCCAUGGACUACAAGUAGGCAGAGGAAGCUAAUUUCAAAUGAUAGUGAAUUGUAUUCGGUUUUUGAGGAGUUUUUUUACUAAUAGUUGUCAUGUUAUUGAGUUUGAGGUGCACACUGGGUUAGGUGGUCAAUCAUGUCAUGAAAGUGUUGUAAUAGGAUCUGAAAAUCCUGUCAAUAUAGGUGUUAGUAUGGGUAGUGAUAAGUUUGAAAAACUUAGUGAGGAUGGCUUUAUCGGAGGGCACUUAUCUGAUGAAGAGAAUGGUCUCUUACAUAUGUAUGAAUCCAUUGUUGAUAAUGAGUGGAAACCAAAUCUAAAUGGUUCAGUUAGUCUAAAAGUAGGAAAUACCUUUGAAUCUGUUGCAUUAUUAAAAGAGGUUAUGGUGAAAUAUGCAAUCCAAGAGGGUUUUGAGUUAAAUAGGAUUAAAAAUGAUGGUGUUAGGUAUACUUGUUGUUGUGUUAAUCCAAAAUGCACUUGGAAACUUCAUGCUUCAUCGAUGGUUGAUGGGAUAACUUUUAAAAUUAGGUAUAUUAAAGGGAAACAUGAUUGCCAGAUUAAAUCAAUUAACAAAGAUGCAACAGCACCUUGGAUAGCUAAAGUUUGUGCUGGACUUAUUCAAACUAACCCAGGAGUUGGUGUAAAUGUCAUAAGAAGUGAGUUAAAAGAUAAACAUGGGAUUGAAUGUGACAAACAAAAACUAUACAGGGCAAAAAAAAUUGCAUUAGAAAACCUAGGUGCUGACCACAUUGCUUGCUAUGGAAAGCUUUUGAAAUAUGCUCACAUUCUAAUGAAAAUGAAUAGAGGUGCUUGUGUUAAGGUAAAGGUUAAAAGGCCAUUGUCAAAUAGCCCAGUUUUUCAAAGGUUUUUUUUGUCAUUUCCUGCACUUAAAGUGGGGUACCUAACUGGGUGUAGACCUUUCAUAGGAUUGGAUGGGUGUCACUUGAAGGGGCCAUACAGGGGAGUAUUGUUAUCUGCUGUUGCAUUAGAUGAUGAUAGUGGAAUUUUUCCAUUGGCUUUUUGCAUAUGUGAGGUAGAGAACUAUGAUAGUUGGAGUUAUUUUUUAUCUUUGCUGUAUGAAUUCAUUGGGGCUGAUGAUCAUAGGUCUGUAACUAUUAUUAGUGAUAGACAAAAAGGUCUUUUAUGGGGAUUGGAAAAAUAUUGGCCUAAUGCUAGUACUAGAUAUUGUGCUAGGCAUAUCUUUGCCAAUUUGAAGUGUAAGUUUCCUGGUUUGAAUGUCAUGGGGUUAUUUUGGAAAGCUUGUAGGGCUGCAAAUCAGUAUGACUUUGAGAGGGCAAUGAGUCAAAUUAGGGCUAAAGACCAAAAUUGUUAUGAAUGGUUGAGAAAAAUACCACCUGCACAGUGGUCUAGAAGCGGGUUUGAUCAUCAUGUGAAAUCUGACCAUGUUACAAACAACAUGACUGAAUCUUUUAAUAAGUGGGUGGAUGAGGUUAGGGAUAAGCCUGUCCUAACCAUUCUUGAGCAUAUUCGUAGACAACUAAUGGUGAGAAUGUUGAAAAAAUAUCAGCUAGGUGAAACUUGGCAAGACCAUUUGACCCCAUAUGCUAGAGAAAGACUAAAUCAAUCCUCAAAUGAGGCAAGGAGAAUUAAGGUCUUUGGAGGUAGAGGGGAGCUGUUUGAAUGUUGUCAAGCUGGCUAUAGAAACAUCCUGGUACAUAUUACAGAUGGUACAUGUGAAUGUGGGAUGUGGCAAGUUAGUGGAGUGCCUUGCAAACAUGCAGUAGCUGCUAUUCUUCAUAAAGGAGGGCAACCUGAAAAUUAUGUGCAUCAUUAUCUGACCAAGGAAUCUUUUAUGAUGACAUACAUGGGGACUAUAAAUCCUAUUCCUGAUGAGUGUGCUUGGCCUGAAGUGGAAGCUGAACCUUCCCCUGAUGUUGUGGUGCCUGUGAAGGUUGGACCACCUGACAUAAAGGCUCCAGUUGGUAGACCGAAAAAGAAAAGAACAAAAGAACCUGGUGAGACCAAACUAACUAGUAAAAGGUUUACUAUCAAAUGUAGUGCUUGCAGAUGUCUUGGGCACAACAAAAGGGGUUGCCCUAAUUUUCCAAAAACCACAAGAACUAUAGAGGUAUAACAUAAGAGUCAUUUUUGUUUUUUAAAUUUCAUUUGGUGAAGCUAACAAAUAUUGAUCUUGAUGUUGUGCAGGGAAGCAAUAGGACUUCAUCAAGUGCACAGGUUUAAUUUAAUUAUACAAUUUUAAUUCAAAAGGAUUUUUUUUUCUUUUGCACUAGAUAUUGCUUAAAACUUGGUGAUAUUGGUUGUGUGCAACGAAGAAAUAAGGCUUAAUCAAGUGGACAUGUUUAAUCUAGUUCUGAAAAUUUAAUUCUAAAGGAUUUUUUUCGUUCUUUUUCAUUAAAUUGCUUAAAACUUGGUGAUUUUUUUUGUGCGCAGGCAAGCGAUAUCACUUCAUCAACUGCACAGGUCUGAUUUUGUAAUUGAAUCUCCUUAUAUAUGUUUUGUUAUGUUAUCAAAUGGAUUAAUAACUUGGUACUAUAUAUGUUUGAUUUGAUCAUGGAAUUAUAUUGAAUAGAUUGAUUCUUUUUUUUUUAUUAAAUGAAAUUGAUGUCUUUUUUUUUUUCUUUUUGGACAGCAUGGAACUAACCCACAAUCUCAAGAAGUAGAUGUCAAUGAUCAAUCAAUUGGCAAUAGUUCUGAACAAGCUAGUUAGGCUUCAAUCAAUGUCACUCAACCAGUGGGGCUGUAUACACAACUAUUGUGGACUGUACUUCAACCUCAAAAUGAAGAAAUUAUCACUGUUAACAAGGAGUAGGAUAAUACAAUUUCACCUUGGGUUGACAUUUAAUUCUCCAUUAUAGAAUUUAGAAGACAAUUAACUAUUUUUUGUGUUUAAAUUUCAGUUUACCUUAGUAUUGUUAAGGUAUUUGUUAGUUUGAAUUUAAUUGACUUUCAUACUUUUAAUUUCAUUUUUAGACCGAAUGUUAUUGUGAUUUUUUUAAUAUUAUAUUCAAUACAUAUGUUAUUUAGUUUAACAAUUAUUAUAUUUUUAUAGAUGUGAUGAAAUUAUAUGGAUAGCAAAUUACAUUUUCAUGUAUAAUUCACUCAAAUUGAUAAAUAGGCUGUUAGAUUGAAAAAAAAAAGUCCAAGGUUAAAAUUGUACUUUAAAUCACUAAUAUGAUUAUAGGGGUAUACCUGUCUUUUAUGUUUAACUUAACAUUUUCACUAAUUUUUUUAACGGAAGAAUUGGGUUAAGGGCUUGAAUGACAUAAAUUUACAGUUGAAAGGAUUUAAUUGAUUCAUUUAGUAAACUUCUGGUCUCUGAAUUUUUUUCUAGAAAUAAUGAGGACUCAAUUAAAAAUUACCCUAGAUAAUAUAAUAACUUGUUGUGGUUCAUUGUAGCACUCUGAGCCAUAUUUUAAAAUUUACUGGUUUGUUAAUGCUUUUAUUAUUGACAUUAUUGUGUCAAUAUUAUUAUAAUUAAUUUAUUCAUUUUAUUGUAAUGAUAAUUUGUCUAGUCUUAGGUACUUAUUAUAUUAAAUUAUGUAAAUUAAUUGAGAAUACUUUUAGAGACAAAAGAAACACGUGUAUGUAGGAUUAAUAAGCGAAGAGUUGUAAAUGAUGGUGAUUGCUUCAUUCAGAGGCAUAUUAAAUAAUUAUGGAGAGUUGCUCUAUUUCGGAAGCAUAUAUUUAUACUUCCCUACCAGGAUUUGGGGUAAGCGAAGUGCUUUAUGUAUUGCAGUAAGGAAAUGUGGGCAAUAUCAGAGCCGAAAUAUUAAAAGAUCAUAACGCAUAUAAACAAUUAGUAUAUUCAAGACACAUAUAGAGGAAAGAGUGCAGAUCCGGCCGUAACUAUUAUGAGGAUUUCCUCAAGUAUUCUCAUGCUUCCUCAACUGUUCUGAACUAUAUAUUCUUCAUUGUGGGCUGUUUUGCUUAAAUACCAACACAAUGAUUCAAUACUUCAAAGGUCAAGGAAAUGUCAAAAUAUGAAAUGAAAAUACUUAAAUAGCCUUCUACCUAACAAAACUUAGUACUUCUAACUGCCUUCGCAGAGAAUCUAUAAAAUAAAAAAAAAAUCAUCCAGGAAAAGUUUCGUAACAGAAAAACCGUCUUUCAAAAAAUAAAAAUAGAAAAACCGACUCAUUUAUCUGCCAAUGAACCAGUCGGGACUCAUUUAAAAAAGAUUAAAAAGCAAAAGUAAAUGACACAAAUUGCAUAGAUAUCUCGGAGCCGCAUCAAAGGACAAAGGUGUUAAUUUGUCCAAGUAAUAAAUUCUCCUAGGUCAAAAGCAAUUAACGAUGAAAACUUUCUUCAUUAAGGGUCUGGCCUACGUAAAAAAAAAACAGAAAAACCACCCCAAGGUCAAAGCACAACCAUAAGUUUUGAGUUGCAGUUUUUAAAUUUUUUUUAUAAUAAAUCAACGUGUAUAAAAAAUAGAUAAUGAUUUUGAAUAAUCUUUUUGAUAAAUAUAGACAUAAAAUUUUAAAAUCACCAAACAGAAAAACAGGGAAUUAAAAGAGAGCCCUUGUUUCUCCUCUAUUUUGUUUGUUUGUCCUCUAUUUUAGCAGGGCAGCUAAAAGGGUUUGGAAGUUGACUGAAUUUUAUGAGGAUGUAAAGCAAUUAGCUCGGCAAGACAUGUUGAGUGUGCUGCAGGAUUUAACUGUGAAGAGAAAAAAGAAUGAGCUGGAGCUUGUUGUUGCGGUGUGCUGGGCCAUCUGGUACUCUAGGAAUCGUUUGGUGUUUGAAGGAAAGGAUGAAGAUCCAAAAAAUUCAGUGGCCAGAGCAAUUGCUAUGGUGGAAUCAUACAGGCGAAUAAAAGUUCCAAAUGAACAAAAUUCUCCAGGCCAUAGCAGAAUCAGUCAACUAGAAUGGGCAAAUCCUCCAAAGGGGUGUUAUAAAGUCAACGUUGAUGCUCCAAUCAAUGUUUCAAACCAAAAGGCAGGGUUGGGGGUAGUCAUUAGAAACUCUGUGGGUAAGGUUGUUGCUGCAGCAGUCCAAGGAACUCCAUAUAGGGGAGAUGUGGCGUGUAUGGAGGCUGAAGCUGUUCUGUUUGGUCUUCAGAGUGCCCAACAAGCAGCUGUUUCCCCAAUAAUUAUUGAGUCAGAUUCAAAGGAAGUGGUGGACCUAUCCUUAAAGAAAAAGAUCAGCAAGACUGAAAUUGAGUGGAAAAUUGCAGAAAUCCAAGCAAAUCUGGAAAAUCAGAAUGUGUCCUCGCUGUCAUAUGUCCCUAGAAACUGUAACUCUAUUGCUCAUUCUAUUGCAAAGAUAGCUCUAGGUUUUGAAAGUCAAGUCUUUUGGCUGGAAAACUUUCCAGAACAUAUCAGGUGUACUCUUGCUAAGUUCAUCAAUUGAAAAGCUUUACUUUUCUCAUCAAAAAAAAAAAAAUAGGGAAAUGAAAAGAUCGUAGGUGGAAAUUUUUUUUCUGCGUUGUAUCUUCUCAAUGCUGCAUGCAUUCAAAUUGUCAUAUUGCGAAAAUCCCUUUUCAAUGUUUCAAUUGCAAUGUCAUUGCCAUUAUUCAUAGUGGCAGACAAUGGACAUCACGGGACAUGGCUAGAAGUCUAUGUUACGGCUUCUGUAAGUAACAGCAGCCAAUGGGGAACUUCCACGGGUGCUAGAGGAGAGAGAAAGAGGUCCCAAUGCAAGGUGAUGGAAAUAGGGAUGGCAAUUGUACCCGCAAACCCGCAAACCCGCCCAAACCCACCCGCCAAAACCCGCCCGUUGCGGGUAAUUUUACCCGUUGCGGGCGGGUUUAGUAUUAUAAAUUAAAACCCGCACAUGGAUGCGGGUGGGUUUGGUAUUAACCUUAUAUCCGGUGGAUACCCGCAUGGAUAUCCACCAAACCCGCAAUAUUUUUUUUCAAAUAUUUUUAAUUUAAUUUAAAUAUAAAAAUGUAUAAAGAAAAUAAUGUCAUUAAUCAAAUUACCAAAUAGACAAAUGCUCAAAGUUGUGUAUGUGUGUAUGUGACCCAUCUCUUAUUCUAAAGUCAUAAGCUAAAGAAAACUAAAGGCAUUACCCUUCGAAUUAGUAUUUGAAAAUAUUAAUCUUAAUUAUUAUUAUAGGCAUUGUGUUGGAUGGGUGCUUAUGGUGGUGAAUGAAAUGAAUAUAUUCUCUUGGAUCUUGUUUUAAAUGAUAAUAUGAAAUGUAAUUAUUAUUUUUAGAUACUAGUUUGUGUUUUUUAAAUAGAUUUGUGUAAUUUAUACUUAAAUUUGAGAAUUUGUAUUGAAUUGAUGUGGAAAUUUUAAUUUUUCAUUGACAUUGUUUAAAUAUAAAAUUGAGUAUGCUAUAUGGAAUUUGAGGUUAUUAUUAUAAAUUUAUAUAUUAAAUAUUUGUGAUUUUAAAUACGGAAACCCGCAAAAAAUCCGCCGGAUACCAUUGCGGGUUUGGUAAUUGUUAAAACCCGCUGCGGGUGGGUUUUUUUAAAAAAAUUAAAACCCGCUGCGGAUUGCGGGUGGAUUUGGUGAUUUAAAUUUUGUGCGGGUUUGGGUUUGAUAAUGGCAAACCCGCUGCGGGCGGUGCCCAUUGCCAUCCCUAGAUGGAAAUGGGAAAGUUCAAAGCUGUUACUUUCAGCUUCUGCACCGUAGCCAUGUCCCACGGGACAAGGCUAGAAGUUAUCAUGACCAUAGACUUUUCUAAUUUAUUUUUUCCUUUCAAAAAGGGACAAGGAUAAGUUUGGGAGAAUGAUUAUAUUUUUAAUAAAAGAAUUCUUUUUUAUUAUAAUACUUUUUGUCUUUAUUAAUUUAAAAAUAUUAACUCUUAUAUUUUAAUAAAUAUAAUUAUAAUAUUAUAAUAACAUAUAACAAUAUAUACAAAUAUUUAAAAAAAAUUAAGAUUUUAUUAAAAUAAUUUUAUAAUAAAUACAAAUAUAUUAUUAAUAUAAUUAUAAUAAUUUUCAUUUUAAAAAGUAAUACUGAUAUUAAUUUUUUAAAUUAUAUUACUCUACUCAAAAAAUUAAACUAUUAAAUUAUAUUGAUAUUUCUUAAAAAAGUUGCAAUUAAUUCUUAUUAUAUUUUUAAUUGGAUUUUUUUCCCGAGAUAUAACAACAAUUGCUACAGUUUUUUCCCAAAUAAAGAUGGAGUUAUAAAUUAUUUGUAUAAGUGUCUGUGUGGAAACUAAUGUGACAUGAAAGUAAUGGUUGAAUAACAAUAAUGGGGCUUUAGGCAAUUUUUUUAUGAGGUCCUCUUGCAAUUUCAACACUUAAACAGACUUGUCCUUGAUCCCAAUUUAUUUACCCAUUUAGGCCCACGAUGAGAUAAAUAUAUUCCUGUGAGAUGAAAAACAUCAGGAGAAGAAAAUGUUUUAUUAUAAUAAAAAAAACAAGUGGUCCAUAAGUCUAUUUAUUACUUUUUUUAUUCAAUACAAAUGGCCAACUUAAAAAAUGAUAAAAAUCACAUAACGCACAAGCGAAAAUUUAGAUUUACAUUUUUUAGUUCUCUCCGUGUCUCUCUUUCUCUUUUUUUUUUAAAAAAAUAAAUAAAUGUCAGUGUAAAAUUAGAAAAAUUUUAGAUAUAAACUUUGGCGAUGACCAAACAAAAAUUGAAAUACUGAUCAUAGACACUACAAUAUAAAUAACUUGUUGUGAUCCACUCAACUUGUAACACUUUAAUCCAUACUCUAAAAUUUGUAUGUUUGUUAGGAAUUUUAUUAUUGACAUUAUUGUACCAAUAAAAUUAUACUUUAUUCAUAUGGAAAGAAAACAUCAAGAAAGGACCUCUGAUUUUUAUUAUAACAGAAAAAAGUGGUCCAUAAGCCUAUUUAUUAUUUUAUUUAUUCAAUACAAAUUGCCAACUUAAAAAAUGGUAAAAAUCACAAAAUGCACAAGUAAAAUUUUAGAAUUACAUUUUUUUAAUUCUCUUUGAGUCUCUGUUUCUCUCUUUAAAAAAUAAACCUCACUGUAAAAUUAGAAUAAUUUUAGACAUAAAAUUUGGCAAUCACCAAACAAAAAAUGUAGGGAAAUGAAAAUGGAGGAGCCCUAUUAUCAUUAGAAUAUUGAUCAUAGAUACUAUAAUGUAAAUGAUUUUUUGUGGUUCAUUCAACCUGUCACACUCUAAGCCAUUUUCUAAAAUUUGUAAGGUUUAUAGGAUUUUUAUUAUUGGCAUCAUUGUAUCAAUAAUAUUAUAAAUUAUAUAUUCUAUUGUAAUGAAAAUUUGUGUAAUCUUAGGUAUUUAUUGUAUUAAAUUGUGUGGAUUAAUUAAGAAUAUUUUUGGAGACAAAAGAAGUGUGUGUACGUAGGAUUAAUGAUAAAAAAUUUCUAAAUAAAGGUGAUUGCUUCAUUGACAAGUACAUAUUUAUAUUCUCUAUUAGUAUUUGGGUUGUAAACUUUGUUUAUAAAGUGAAUAUAUUGUGGUAAGCGAUGUGGGCAAUAUCGGAUGCAAAAUAUUGAGAGAUCAUUAACGCAUAUAUUUAUUGAAGACGCAUAUAGAGGAAAGAGUGUAGAUCCGGCUGUAACAAUUAUGAAGCUUUCCCCAAGUAUUCUCACGCUUCCUUAACUGUUCCAAAGUAUUUUUCAUAGUGUGCAGAUUUACUUUAUGGUGUCUUAAUCCGUCUAAAAUGAUUACUUUAGUUCUUUUGGGAUGAAAGGUCAUUUAUUGUGUUAGUAUUAAACAAUAGAAAAAAUAAGUAAUGGUAACGAAAGACUAAUUUGUGAUAUUGAAGUAUACAUGCUUAACUCAAUCCAAACUUAGUAAGUUAGCUCAAGAGUUAAGAGUUGUCCAAAUCUUAUAUACUGAACCCAAGUUCAAUACUCAAUUGAUGUAGGAUGUUAUUCAUAACACCGCCCGUCAUGCGUAGGAUUGGCAAAAAAACUCGAGUCAAUCCCACCUAGACCUGCAAGCUUUAUUUAUGGCCAGCAUAAUGAAGUUACAGAUAUUAACCUAAAAAUUUGAAACUUACUAUGAGUGGCCUUGGUUAAAGACUUUUGCAACUUUAAUUUAUAACAAGUAUGUACACACACACACACACACACACACACACAUGUUUAGAUUGCAUUUGGAUGACUUUUUUUUAUCAAUGCAAACAAUAUCAAAUUUAUCGGAUUAAUUUGAAUCUGAUCUAUAUCCGAUUUUGCCUACCCCUACUAUUUAUAAGCCCAAGUGACUCUCUUUUACUAAUUAAUAAGGGAAUUUUUUGACCUCAUGUCCUUGCUGUGGCAUUAGACUGUUGGUCAUUUUGAUUGUUUCCUACCUUCCAUUUACGCCAGCUGUAACAUUGUAUUAUUCACCAUUUUAGCCAUUUAAAUGAAAUUUUAUUUUUGUCAAAAAUAAAAUGACACCCUUAAAAUUAAAAAAAAAAUAGUUAUGUAGACCUCAAAUUUUUAAUAAAGAAUGUCAAUACCUCUUUUAACUACAAGAUUCGUAGUAGAUGAUAAAAAGAAAAUUAACCUCAAAUUUUUUCAUUAAAUGUAAAUCUGAUUGAAGUAGUUUAAAUUUUUCUAGUAGACUAAUAUAUAUAACUUAAAUAAUUAAUUUCAUUAUUAAUUUUUAAAAUGUUAACUAAUAUAUUUUUAAUUUAUUAUAAAAUUUUUAAAUAUUAUCCUUGGAUUAAAUAGAUUUUACAAUUAAUGUAAUACUUCUUAUUUUUUAAUAAUAUUAAAAUUAUUUUAUAUGAUAUUCAAAAUAAUUUAAACUUAUAUAUAUUAAUAUUAUGUCUAUUUAUUAUAAUAUGGUUUAAUAUUAUACGGGAUUGUAAAAUAUUAAAAUAUUCUUCAAUAUCAAAUUAUUUUAAUAUGUACAUAUCAUUACUUUUAUUUUAGUAUCGCAUUUAUAUUUAUUAUAAAUAUAAAAUUAAUAAAAUUAAAGAGUAUUGCAGUAAAGUAAAAAAAAAAAGUCUUAUUAUCCCUUAUUCAUGAUAUGAGAUUCUACAAAAUUAUUUCCCGAAACGGGUGUCCUUUUCUCAUUUUCAAAAGAAAAAAUAAAGUAAGAAUAAGUCCAUGGGUUUCAAAAACUUCUAGUCCUAUCCCGGGACUACAUUGCUGCCACUAUAACUAAUGGAAAUGACAUUUCAAUUGACAUUGCCUUUCGCAACAUGAAAAAUUUUUGGUGGGAUAUGGAAGAAUUGUCAAAAGUUCACGCCGUGUGAGAGUUUUUGGUAGGAUGUAGGAGGAUUGUCAAAAGAUCACACCAUGUGAUAAAACCACAAUUGCUAUGGUUUUUAUUUUUUAAAUAAUGAUGGGAGUUAUAAAUUAUUUAUAUAAAUUUGCGUAGAAACUAAUGUAACAUAAAAGAAAUAGCUGAAUAACAAUAUUUGGUGCUUUAAGUAAUUUUUAUAUGAGCCUUUCUUUUAUUUAGCGGCUUUAGUGUUUAAACAAACUUGUUCUCGAUCUUAAUUUACUGACCCCAUUUAAGCCCAUAAUUAAACAUAUUCUUUUGUGACGAAAACAUCAAGAGAAGACAUCUCAUGUUUUAUUAUAACAGAAAAAGAAGUAGUCCAAACAUCUAUUCGUUAUUUUAUUUAUUCAAUAUAAAUGGCCAACUUUAAAAAAAUGAUAAAAAUCACACAACGCUCAAGUAAAAAUUUAGAAUUACAUUUUGUAAUACUCUCUGAGUCUCUCUCUCCUGCCCCCCCCCCCCCUUCCUUUUAAAAAAAAUAAACCUUAGUGUAAAAUUAGAAGAAUUUUAGAUAUAAAAUUUGGCAAUAGCUAAACAGAAAAGCGGCGGAUUGAAAAUAAAAAAGCUCUAUUACCAUUGGAAUAUUGAUUAUAGAUAAUAUAAUAACUUGUUGUGGUUCAUUGUAGCACUGUGAGCCAUAUUCUAAAAUUUAUAGGUUUGUUAAGGCAUUUAUUAUUGACAUUAUUGUGUCAAUACUAUUAUAAUUUAUUCAUUUUAUUGUAAUGAUAAUUUGUCUAGUCUUAGGUACUUAUUAUAUUAAAUUAUGUAAAUUAAUUGAGGAUACUUUUAGAGACAAAAGAAACACGUGUAUGUAGGAUUAAUAAUCGAAGAAUUGUAAAUGAAGGUGAUUGCUUCAUUGAGAGGCAUAUUAAAUAAUUAUGGAGAGUUGCACUAUUUCGGAAGCACAUAUUUAUACUUCCCUAUCAGGAUUUGGGAUAAACGAAGUGCUUUAUCUAUUGCAGUAAGCAAUGUGGGCAAUAUCAGAGGCGAAAUAUUAAAAGAUCAUCCAUGAAAAGCUUCGUAACAGAAAAACCGUCUUUCAAAAAAAAAUAAAAUAAAAUAAAAAUAAAAACAGAAAAACCGACUCAUUUAUCUGCCAAUGAACCAAUCAGGACUCAUUUAAAAAAGAAUACAAAGCAAAAGUAAAUGACACAAAUUGCAUAGAUAUCUAGUAGCCGCAUCAAAGGACAAAGGUGUUAAUUUGUCCAAGAAUAAAUUCUCCUAGGUCAAAAGCAAUUAACGAUGAAAACUUUCUUCAUUAAGGUUCUGGCCUACGUAAAAAAACAGAAAAAAUCACCCCAAGGUCAAAGCACAACGAUAAGUUUAGAAUUGGAAUUUUUAAUUUUUUUUAAUAAAUCAACGUGUAUCAAAAAUAGAUAAUAAUUUUGGAUAACUUUUUUUGAUAAAUAUAGACAUAAAAUUUUAAAAUCGCCAAACAGAAAAACAGGGGAAUUAAAACAAAGUCCCUGUUUAUCCUCUAUUUUGCUUGUUAUUAAAAAGGGAAAUGAAAAGAUUGCAAGCCGAAAUUUUGUUUCUGCGUUGUCUCUUCUCAAUGCUGCAUGCAUUCAAAUUAAACCUUACAUAUGCUAGCAAACUAGCUACUCUGCAUGUAAGUUCUCGAUAAGUCCAAAUAAUAGAAUAAUUGUAAAAUGUUCAAAUUCAGUAAUUAAUUAUACAUAUUUAUUUAUUCAAAAAUUAUUAUUAUUACUAAUUAUUGUCAAUAAUAUAUUAAUAUACUAAUUAAUUGUAAAAAAAUUUAUCAUUCAUAACAAUAAUGAUGAUGAUGAUAAUAAUAAAAAUUCAAAAUAUAUUAAUUAAUUAUAAUAAUAUAUUAAUUAUUUAAUAAUAAUAUAUUUAAAAUAUAUAAAUUGAUUAGAAUAGUUAUAUUAAUAAAUUAUAAACAUAUAUUAAUUAAUCAUAAUAAUUUUUUAAUUGAUGACAAAAUAGAUAUUUUAUAGUUUGUGAGAGGGGGCAAAAUGAUCAAUCUUGGGAAUGGGGGAUUGAUUCCCACCACCUUCCUUAGGAAUCAAUCUUCCAUUCCUCAUUCCUAAUUUGGGUGGUCCCCAUAGUUCUUAUUCGGAUCCCAGCCUCUAUUUUGUGAAGUAAACAUCAUUAAUGAUUUCGAUUUCGGAUUCCGAUUCUCCAAUCCAAGAAGUAAAGGCACCAUUAUUGUUAAUUGGUUCAAACACACAAAGAGAAUGUACCAUGUAGCUAGGCGUCAAGGUUGUGUGGCACAAGGUUGUGUGGCACAAGUAGGGAUGGCAAUUCAACCCGCACCCGGCCCGGACCCGGAUGAAACCCGGAUUUUCCAGUCCGGGUUUAACCCGUACCGGAUUAAAUAAAAUCCGGAUCCGGAUGUCAUUUUAAAAACCCGCAUGUACCCGGGUCCGGUUCCGGGUUUAAGUAAACCCGUACAUCCGGAACCCGGACCCGGAUAUAUAUUAAUUUUAAAAAAUUAUUUUUAAUAUAAAUAGAAAGCAAAAAAAACCCAAAUGGUGCCCUAGAAGCUCAUUACACUUUCCCAGCCGCACAAACAUUUCCUCUCUUAUUCCCUCUUCAGCUCAUCUUCAUCUUCAUCAAAUCAUCGUCGCAUCACUUGCCCAUCUUCGCGGCUGUUCAACUUCAACAUCAUCAUCAUCAUCAUCAUCAGCCGUCGUUUCCUUUCUUUUUCUGCGGCGACCGGUAACUAGCUGUGAUACGGGUUGAACGCCGCCUUUGCCAAUCGCAACCGCGGCUGUGUUCAUCAUCAUCAACCGCCGUCACUUUCAAGAACGAUACUCGAAAAUAUUUUGAUGGGAAUCUUGUUUUUGGUCAUUUUAGUAACAGUGUGUGCAAGUGCGAGUGAGAGAGAGAGAGAACGUGGCUUACUCGAUGCCACUUAUCAUGCUUUCAUCUUUUUUCAUCCAGUGCGGGGUCUGUCUUUGUUGGCUUUUUGGAAAACUUGUUGCUUUUAAUGGUGUAUUACUUCUUUUGAAUAUCCAAUCAAUGUAAACUUAUUUACAUUACCCCUCCAGUUUUCCCAUCACCAUUAAAAGUGCUUUGGUUGCUCCUUGACUGUGCUUUGGUUGCUCCUUGACUCCUGACUUCCUGCUCGCAACAAAAGCUAGUUCUUUAGCUCUCUUUACUAAUUGAACGAGUCACCACAUUGGGUUGCUGAUUCUGGGCAGCCAAACAAAAUUGUUGUUUUUGUUAAUUAGUUUCCAGAUGAAAUAAUUUUUCUUUGAUUUGCUGAAAUCCUGGAUAUGUAUUUCUAUUUGAUUUUUUUAGUCGAAUUUAGUUUUUUUUUUUAAAUUGGAUUCAUCAAUCCGGGUUGGAAACCCGCAGUCCGGAAACCCGGAUUUUUCCGGGUUGAACCCGUACCGGACCCGGAGUGGAAAAAUGCGGGUUUAUUUCCGGGUCCGGUACAGAAAAUAUUCGUCCGGGUCCGGAUCCAGAAUGACUAAACCCGGACCCGGACCCGGAUUUUGCCAUCCCUAGGCACAAGUAACCUUUUUCUUUUCUUUUUAUUUUUUUUUGUUUUCCUUAACGGAUCAGAAGAAAUCGGUGCCUUUGAGAUACUACAAUGUAAAUAAGUACUUGUGGUUCAUUAAAUCUGUAACACUCGGUACCCUAAGGUUUCUUUUGAAAAAGGGCUUUUCUCACUGAUCACCAAUAUCCAAGUAAGUUUGUUUCAUUUCAGAAGGUGCAAAGUUUCAAACUUUUUGUAUUGGGAUGUAACAAACUUUGGCCUUAUAUGCCUGCUGUGACGUUAGACUGUUCAUUUUGAUUGUUUCAUACCUUUCACUUGCGCGCACUGUAGCACUGUAUUAUUCAUCAUUUUAGCUGUUUAAAUGAAAUUUUAUUUUUGUCAAAAAUAAAAUGACACCAUAAAAAUUUAGAAAAAUAAUCAUGUAGAUCCCAAAUUUUUAAUAAAGAAUACCAAUAUUCCCCUUGACUACAAUACCCUUAGUAGGUGGUAAUCAAACAAAUUGACUUAAACUUUUUUACGAAAUGUAAAUAUGAUUUAAAUAAUUUAAAUUUUCCAGUAGACUAAUAUAUAAUUUAAAUAAUUAAUUUCAAUAUUAAUUUUUAAAAUGUAAAUUAAUUUAUUUGUAUUUAUAAAAUAUUUGUAAUUAUUUUAAAAUUUUAACUAAAUCCUUAGGUUAAAUAGAUUUUACAAUUAAUAUAAUAUUUCUCAUGUAUUAAUAAUAUUAAAACUAUUUUAUAUGAUAUUGAAAAUAACCUAAAUUUUUAUAUAUUUAUUUGAAUAUUAUGUCUCUAUUUAUUAUAAUUUGGUUUAAUAGAAUACGAGAUUGUAAAUUAUUAAAAUUUUUAGAUAUUGAAAUUAUUUUAAUAUGUACAUAUUAUUAUAUUUAUUUUAAUAUCCUACUUAUAUUUAUUAUAAAAUAUUAAAAUUAAUUUUUUUAGUUAAUAAAUUUAAAAAAUAUUAUAAUUAAAAAAAAGAGUCUUAUUGCCUGUUAUUCACGAUAUGAGGUUCUACAAAAUUAUUUUCAAAAGGAAAAAUAAGUCCAGGGGUUUCAAUAAAUUCUAGUCCUAUCUGCCACUAUAACUAAUGGAAACGACAUUGCAAUUGACAUUGCUUUUCGCAAUAUGACAAUUUUUUGGAGGGAUAUGGGAGAAUCGUCAAAUGUUCACACUAUGCGGGAGUUUUGAAUGGGAUCGGGGAGAAUUGUCAAGAGUUCACACCACGAGAAACCAAUGAUAGCCAUAAUUACGCUGUCAGUUCUUUGUUUAUUUAUUUUGUUUAUUUCAUACAUUGUUGUCUUGUUGGCAUUGUUUUGUAAAUAUAUAAAAGUAAAGUAAACUAUUAGGGUGCUGCUAAGUUAAACUGUUGUAACUUACAAUCCCUUAAAAAAUAAUGUAAAAAAUUUAACACGUGGUGGGAUCGACAUAUGUUUGAAGAGGCUUUAAGUUACAGUAGUUGUGACUUAGAAAAAUCCAAAUAUUAGACAAUAACACACAUUAACAAUGCAUAUAAUUUGGGUUUGAUUUUUUUAAAAAUUAUUUGAGUAUUAACUAUCCUUAAGAUAUUAAUGUGAAUAUAAUUUAAUAUUAAAUAAUCAAAAUCUGUAUAAUUAUAAUAUAUAUUUCAUACAUUGCAUGUUUAAUCAAAAUCGGAUUGCUUUUUACCUUCCAUUUACGCCCACUGUAGCAUUGUACUAUUCACCAUUUUAGCUGUUUAAAUGAAAUUUUUAUUUUUUUUCAAAAAUAAAAUGACACCCUUAAAAUUUUAGAAAAUAGUCAUGUAAACCCCAAAAUUUUAAUAAAAAACACCAAUACCCUUUUUUACUAUAGUACUCUUAUGGUAGCCACAAAAAAAAAUGACUUCAAAAUUUUUUACUAAAUGUAAAUAUGAUUUAAAUAGUUUAAAUUUUCUAGUAGACUAGUAUGUAUAAUUUAAAUAAUUAAUUUUUAAAAUGUAAUUUAAUAUAUUUAUUUUAAUAAUAUAUUUAUUAUAAAAUUUUAAACAAAUCCUUGGGUUAAAUAGUUUUUAUAAUUAAUAUAAUAUUUCUCACGUUUUAAUAAUAUUAAAGUUAUUUUCUAUGAUAUUGAAAAUAAUUUAAAAUUUUAUAUAUUUAUUUUAAUAUUAUGUCUCUAUUUAUUAUAAUUUGGUUUAAUAGAAUACGAGAUUGUAAACUAUUAAAAUAUUUUUAGGUAUUGAAAUUAUUUUAAUAUGUAUAUAUUAUUAUAUUUAUUUUAAUAUCCUACUUAUAUUUAUUAUAAAAUAUUAAAAUUAAUUUUUUUAGUUAAUAAUUUAAAAAAAUAUUAUGGUUAAAAAAAAGAGUCUCAUUGUCCGUUAUUCACGAUAUGAGAUUCUACAAAAUUAUUUUCAAAAGGAAAAAUAAGUUCAGGGGUUUCAACAAAUUCUAGUCCUAUAUGCCAUUAUGACUAAUGGAAACGAUAUUGAAUUGACAUUGUUUUUUGCAAUAUGACAAAUUUUUGGAGGGAUAUGGGAGAAUCGUCAAGCGUUCACACCAUGCAAGAGCUUUAUGUCACGGGAUGAGUGUUUUGCGCAGCUAACCCGUGCGGCACUUAGACAACUUUGCCGAAUGUUGCUAAGUAAGCCUAGAGCUUCUCGAACAAGAGAAGAGAGCAAUUGAGCCAAAGAAGAAACUUGUAUUGCACAAAGAGAGAUUACAAUGCUUGUUGCUUACAAAGCUUGUUAGAUACAAAUGCCUAAUGCCAUUCCAUAUUUAUAGGGGAGGCUUGCCAAGCUCUAGAGAUUCUAGAGAAUUCUACCAACUAUCUAGAAUUUACAUGUGCUGGAAAGUCAUAGAGAAUUCUAGAGUAUUUACAAGCUCACAUGUGCUAGAGUUUCCUAGAACUUUCCGGAAUAAGGUCAAGCUAGCACUCUUGACCUUGUGUUGGCUCUCUACCCCGAAAUUGUGGGCAAUUGGGCUAGUGAAUUGGGAGGUCCGUAACAUCCUCCCCCACCUAAGCUCGCGGCGUCCUCGUCGUGCUCUCAUGCUUGAAGCGUUGGAUGUGCUCAGCGAAUUGCCACAAAUCAUCUUCACAUUCCCAAGUGGCUUCACUCUCGGGGAGGUUUUUCCACUUCACUAAGUACUCGCUAUGUGCUGGCACGCCUCUCCUCGAAACCGUGCGGUCCGCAAUGAUGUAGUCCACAUCUUUGUCGAACGCGUUGACAACGGCAGUUGGUGCACGCCUUGAUUCUCCAAGACUUGGUUCUCCCACGUCUUCGUGAUAUGGCUUGAGAAGGCUCACAUGGAAGACCAGAUGGAUCUUGAGUCUUGGUGGAAGUUGGAGUUGAUACGAGACGUUGCCCACAUGUCGAACAACUCGGAAGGGUCCCUCGUAGCGCCUCACUAACCCCUUGUGAACUUUCCGCAAAGUCUUGAAUUGUUGGGGUAGGAGCUUGAUCAUGACUUGAUCACCUUCCUUGUACUCAACAUGCCGUCUCCUUGUAUCCUCCCAUUUCUUCAUUUUCCUCGCGGCUUUGUCGAGAUAGGCUCGCGUGAUAUCCGCUUCCUCAUGCCAUUCGUGGGCGAGCUUGUGUGCCGCGGGAUUUUCCCUCCGUAAGUCGAGGCUAUGGCAUUGGGGGUCAUGGGCUGGAAUCCCAUGAUGAUCUCGAAUGGACUCUUGCCCGUAGCCUCACUUCGCUGCAAGUUAUAAGAAAAUUAGGCGAUGUCAAGUAGUUUCGCCCAAUCCCUCUGAUGAGCGCUCACAUAAUGCCUCAAGUACAUCUCGAGGAGGCCAUUGAUGCGCUCGGUCUGCCCAUCCGUUUGUGGGUGGAAGCUUGUCGAGAACUCGAGAUUGGUCCCCAACAUCUUGAAGAGCUCCGUCCAAAAAUACCCAGUGAACCGAGGGUCUCGGUCGCUCACAAUGCUUUUUGGAACUCCCCAAAGCUUCACAAUGUGCUUGACGAAUAGGCGGGCUGCCUCGUCCGCUUUACAGUCGACGGGUGCGGCAAUGAAUGUGACAUACUUGUUGUAUCGGUCGACAACAACGAUGAUGCUUCCGCAACCUUCAGACUUGGGGCAGCGAUGUGAUGAAGUCCAUGGAGACACUUUCUCAUGGCCUUGUUGCUAGCAGUAGCAGCUCCAACAAUCCCGCUGGAAGUUAAUGAUCCACCUUGUCUUGUUGGCACACAAGACAAGUUCGCACAUAUGCCUCGAUGCUGUCCCUCAUGUGCGGCCAAAAAUAUGAGGCUUGAACUAGUGCGGUGGUGCGCUCAAUUCCUGGGUGACCAGCCCACUUGGAGUCGUGGCACUCCUUGAUAACUUCCUUCCGCAAGUUUCCCCACCUUGGCACGAACAGCCGAUCUCCCUUGGUGAGGAGGAUGCCUUCCUCUUGCCAAAAUCACCUUGUCUUUCCCUCGAGCACCUUCUCUAGCAAAUCCUUGGCUAGCGGAUCUUGUUGGAAGCCUUCCUUGAUGCGUGAGACAAGGUCGGACUUCGGUUGGCUCAUGCUAAGUGUCGCCAAUUCGGCCUUGCGGCUUAGAGCGUCCGCAACGACAUUGGUCUUGCCUGGUUUGUACUCAAGCCGAUAGUCAAAUUCCGCUAGGAAAUCUUGCCACCGCGCUUGCUUCGGACUCAACUUCUUCUGAGUUUGGAAGUAGCUUGUCGCUACGUUGUCCGUCAUAAUCGUGAAGUGAGAGCCUAGCAAGUAAUGUCGCCACACGCGCAAGCAAUGUAUGAUGGCUGUCAUCUCCUUUUCUUGCACUGUGUAGCGGCGUUCCGUAUCAUUAAGCUUUCAACUCUCGAACGCUAUAGGGUGGCCUUCUUGCAUGAGGACUUCUCCUAUGGCAAAAUCCAAGGCAUCCGUUUGGACUUCAAAGGGCUUUGUGUGGUCCGGGAGAGUAAGGACAGGUUCCUCCGAAAUUGCCUUCUUCAAAUCCUCGAAUGCGCGUUGGCACUCUUUAGACCAAUGCCACGUUCUGUUUUUCUUGAGCAUAUCCGUCAAGGGUGCUGCCUUGGCCGAAUAGCCCUUGAUGAAGCGGCGGUAGUAGUUCACCAAACCAAGGAAUAAGCGAAGCUCGGGCACUUUCGAGGGAAGUUCCCAUUCAAGGAUGGCCUUCACUUUAGCAUUCUCCAUCAUAAUCUUCCCGUCCGCAAUCUUGUGGCCAAAGAACUCCACCUCUUGUUGGGCAAACGAGCACUUCUCUAGUUUGAGGAAGAGCUCAUUGUCUCGAAGUACUUGGAGGACUUGUCGCAAGUGUUGGGCAUGAUCCUAGAGCGUGGUGCUAUACACCACUAUGUCAUCCAAGUACACGACCACGAAGCGGUUGAGGAAUGGUUGGAGCACCUUGUUCAUGAGCGUACAAAAUGUGGCGGGUGCAUUAGUAAGGCCAAAAGGCAUUACAAGGAAUUUGAAAAACCCGUACCUUGUUGUGCACGCUGUCUUUGGUUCGUCUCCCUUGGCGAUGCGUUCUUGGUAGUACCCUGAGCGCAAGUCGAGUUUGGUGAAGUACCGCACUUUGCCAAGCUGGUCGAACUAGUCUGCGAUCAAGGAAAUCGGAUACUUGUUCUUGAUAGUGAUCUUGUUGAGUGCUCUAUAGUCGAUGCACAUCCGCAGCGAUCCAUCCUUUUUCUUUUGGAAGAGGACCGGUGCACCGAAUGGGGCCUUUGAGGGGCGAAUAUAGCCUGCGUUCAGCAAGUCUUUGAGUUGUCUCCACAACUCUUAUAAUUUUGGUGGCGCCAUGCGGUAGGGCGCCAGGGCUGGUGGCUUCGCGCCUUGUUCCAGCUCGAUGGCAUGAUCUACCUCUUGUCGAGGUGGGAGCUUCUUCGGAAGUUCUGGAGGCAUCACGUCCUUGUACUCAUUGAGGACGACUUGAAUUCGCGGAGGGACUUGGCUUGGCGAAGUUCCGCUAUGUCCUUCCUCAUUUAGUUCUCGAAUAGAGACCAAGAAGCUUGGGUCCUUCUUGAAAGCCCUUUUGAAUUGCAUGGCGGAGAGUGUCUUCUCCUCGGACUUGCCUCGCUCCGUGGGUACCAUGCAUGCUUUGCUCCCGUCGAGAAUGCUUAGGGAGUUUGUAGCGGGCAGCGGGAAGGCAUGGACUUGGUCAAAGAAUUUCAUGCUGAGGACCAUCUUGAAGUCGUCCAUGGGCACAAUGGAGAAGUCAAGCUUUCCGCUCCACGUACCGAGUGUGAUGUGCACGCCUUGUACGAUUCCCGCAAUUGGCUUGGCGGGUGAGUUUACUACCUUCAUUGUGCCUCCUUCCUUCGUGGCCUUGAGGCCUAAGCGCUUGGCCUCAUCUACGGACACGAAGUUGUGCGUUGCUCCCGUGUCUAGCAGCGUGCGAACGGACUGGCCGUUUACCUUUGCGCUAACAUACAUGAGCCAUUUCUUGACGAGUGCGGGCUGUUGGCGAUUGAGUGCGCCGAGGCGUUGGAGAGAACCCAUGCUGAGUUGGGGUUCCUCCGUGGACAUUGUAGGGUUGCUCUUGAGUUGGGCAGCAAGAGCGUUAAGCGACCUCUUCUCCGGACAGUCGCGCACCCAAUGGGGACCAUUGCAUAUGAAGCAUGGGUUUCGCAGUUUUGGCGCCUCCUUCUUGCCCUCCGAUUUUCCUUGCCCGCUCUUGUUAUUAGGCGGCUUUUUAUGCCCCCAAUCUUUACGGUUGUUGCCCUUGUCCUUGUGACUCUCUCCCCUACCUUUGCCUUGACUAGACUUCUUGUCUUUGGAUUGGGUAGAGUAUUCGGUGAGCGAUUCCGCAACGGCGAUGGCGUCGUCAAGUGUUUGAACACCACACCUAUCAAGCUCGGUCUUGGCCCAAUCCUUGAGGCCAUCUUGGAAGUAGAAGAGUGAAUCUUUGUCAGACAUGUCGCUUAUCUCCAACAUAAGGGUAGUGAACUCAUUGAUGUAGUCCCGAAUGCUACCCGAUUGCUUGAGGCGACGUAAGCGCGCUCGCGCUUCCUUCUCCGCAUUGCUUGGGGCGAACUGUUUUCAGAGUUCUUGCUUGAAGUCGGCCCAAGUGUCGAUGGUGCAAAUGCCCUUGCCCAUCUCGCCAUGCUUGCGACACCACCAUAGUUGUGCAGCACUUCGAAGAUAAGUGGGUGCAGUGCCCACUUUCGAUGCCUCAUCUCGUACACCCAUGGCAUCGAAGUAUUGAUCCAGCCCGAAUAAGAAGUUGUCCACGAUUGUGGCAUUGCGUGUUGUUGUGCAAAUUUUAAUGUACUCGCAAGCGCACGAAUCUAUUAUAGUAUAGAUCAAUGGUGACGAGUGUCGAUCCCACGAGAAGGUGGAUUUUAAUUGUGUAUAGAAUUAAUUUUGCAAAUGGUUGAUUGGAUUUGUGGUGGAAAUGAUUUGGAAUAUGCUAAAACUUAAAUUAAAAUGGCGAGAAUAAAUUCUGAAAUUGGAAUUGAAAUGACGAGAAUAAAUUGAAGAGAAUUCUAUUGAAAUGACGUACUUGGGUAUCUGGAUCCGUAUCAACAUGCAUCAUGGGCUAAAUAAUCCGUAUUAAUGCCAAUUAAAUCAUGAGGGGGGAAUCCACACCUCAUGAACCACGCUCUAAUCAAUAUGGUGCUAAGGGCUUAUCGUGCCAAAUAAUAAUAACCUUGUACUAGAGAGCCGGUGUAACCAAGGCGGUAUCUAGACAAGAUCAGUAUUAUUUGUCGACGAUAAGUCAAAUCAUCCACAAAAACUAGAGGGGAAAAGAAAAUAAAUUUACCAAAUAAAGCCCAUGACACAUGUUGAGACUUCACCUUCAACCCAAGCUUGAAAGAAAAUUAGCCACUCAUAAUUGAACUAAGGGCAAAAUGGGAAUUUAUUAAAAUACAAAGAAAAUACAAGAUGGAGAAGGAAUUACAGAAAAUGGAUCCCAAAAAUGGAUUCAGAGAUAUCAAAUUAGGGGGGGGAGGCCCCCUUUUUAUAGAUACAUGGAGUAAAUCAUGGCCAUCGGAUUAAAAACAGUUUGGACGCUCAGGAUUGCGCCACGUCAUCAGUCAACAGUCCACGGUUUGACCACGCGGAUGAACAGUAACACGGUUUGACCUGGAUGAACAGUAACGCGGUUUGGUUGACAAUAAUCCUGUGUGAUGCAUGCACCGUACGCGAGAUUUUUCGUCCACUGAUAUGCUGCCACGUCACCAUCAACAGUACAUAAGAUUUUAGUCCAACAGGAUCGUGACACCUCAUCAGUCAAUGCCACAUCAUCGGUCAAUGCCACAUCAUCGGUCAAUGCCACGUCAUCGAUCAAUGCCACGUCAUCGAUCCGUCUAUGUGAACAGUGUCGUGAACAGUAACGUAGACAGUACCGUAUACGUGAAUAGUACCGUACAUGUGAAUAGUGCCAUUUUUCCUUUUAUGCUCCUCCUAAGGUUUUCGACCGUCCUGAGUUCAAAAGUGAUGUCCGUUUUGCCAUCUGAUCUCUCCUUUAUUGUGAAAUGACUAUAAUGCCCCUAAAAUACAUAAAAUACUUAAUUAAAAUAACACACACGUAAUUACAUCACAAGAAGGUUAAAUACAUAAAAGUAAGGGUUGUUAGUAAGACUUGAAAUGUAAAAUGACGGUUUUCUCCUUUAUAAAUAUGCAUUUUCUAACACUCAACACACCCCCCAACCAGCUUAUUGCUAGUCCCUAGCAAAUAAAGCGAAAACAAAAUUCAAAUUCAAAUUUUUUUUUUUUUUUUUAGAAACACUCGUGUUUAUUCAAUCAGAUUAAUGAUAGCAAUCAAAUAAAAGUAUAAGCAUUAUCUCCAGUCUAAAGCAAUAUCACACCCACAUCAACCAUCCACAUGAAUCGGCCCAGUAGAUUUUGUUAUAGGUACUUUCAAGAAUGACAUGUCAAACCCCAAAAUCUCACUGGAAGUAAUGACACUCUCACAAAUAAAUUAAACCCAAUAAAAAUAGUCACUCCAAUGAAUGGUAAUUGAGAGAGAAAAUAAUAAAGAAGUGAUAUCACAUGCUCUCACCAAGAUGAAAUAAAUAUGCCCUUAGCUUAGAAAUAAUACGAUCUCAAGUCAAAUAAAAUGUUAGUCAACCCACUUUAUAUAUCUUUUUUUUUUUUUAUUAUGCAUCACUACAUCUUUUUAGCCCAUAUAACUAGCUUCUACUUCAAACUAUAGUUCCCUAAAAUCAAGAAGGACUUUUAUUAGGACGUAACGUAGGCUAGGGAUAUGGCUAAUAAAGAAAGGAAAUAAGGAAAACAAAGUGUAUGUUUGAGAAAAAUGCAGAAAUAAUUUUUUUUUUUUUUUGAAGUUGCAAGGUAGAUUUCACCUAUUAUUGUUAUUUUAUUCUUUUGAAACAACAACUUUUGUUUUUAUUUUAAUUUUUUUUUUUACUUUUAUUUGGCAUAACUUCACUGAACAACAUAAUUAUUUACAUUUUCUCAAACAUAAAUAGGUGAUGGAACUUAAAAGACAUUGGGUAAUACUCCAAAUCGGAGUGGGUCAAGAUGAUAAGUUGACAAAGAAAAUGUUUUUUUUUUUUUUUUUUUAAAGGCUCAAAAGGGGUAACUAUGGAUAUUUAAUAACAGGGAUGGCUAGAAAGGCUCAAACGGAUCAAAGAUGGUCUUUCCAUCGUUUUUUAGGGCUCUAAAUAAUUAUCCAUAUCUACUAGUUAAAUGGGCAUCCCAAUAUAGCAACACACAUUUUUUUCUUUUUUCUUUUUUUUUUUACCAUUUUUUUUUAAAGGGUUAACUCAAAAGAAAUCUAGAGAUCGUGUAUAAAAUAAUAAACUGCUAAGUUGUAUAGAGAAUGGGCAAAAGGGUUACUCUCCAAGAAAAUGAUAGGCUCAACUACUCACUUGGCACUUAUUUAUGACAUGUUCAUUCCUUCAAGCAACUCAUAUUUGUCUCCGACAUCAACAUGUAAAGUAGCAAACAUAGCGUAACAUCACUUAAGACCAAAGAUAAUACAAAUACUAAAAUUUGAAAUUAAUCAUGUCAUCCAAUGUUAAAACAAAUAACACAAUUUUUUUUUUUUAAACAACAUUCUACCCCCCAACCUAUUCUAAACAUGAAAGGAAAAUAUGCAUGCAGAAAUGUGAAAAUGAUGUAGAAAAAUUAAUUAGAAAAAGAAAUUUUUUUUUUUUAAACUAAGAAGAUGCGUUUCUAGAGGCACUACACUCCAUAUUCAGCCAUCUUCGACUCAAAAAUUUGAAACUACAUAUUUAUAAAGGAGAAAGAGGAAGAAAACAGGUUUUUUUUUUUUUUUUUUUUUUUUUAAACGAUGAAGAUGCGUUUCUAGAGGCACUACACUCCAUAUUCAGCCAUCUUCAACAUAAAAUGUUAGCAACAGUUAGUUUCUACAACAAAAAAUCAGUAAAAACUUAACCAAGAUUCCACAAUUGUCGACUAUUCCCUCCCCCCAACCAGAACGAAACAUUGUCCUCAAUGUUUUAAAGGAAAGAAGUAGAGUUUAGAAGACAUCACCUGGGUGGUGCAACACAGAAGAAAAUAUUUACAGGCGGAGAGUUAAAUCUAAUUUGUACUUCUUACUGCGGCUACUGUUACCAUCAUUAUUUGGUCGCUCCAACACAAAGGUCCAGGGGUCUGGCUCCGGUUUAUAAGCUUGUAACAUAUCAAGUAGCUCAUUAGCAGUGUGAGCACAAAUAAAGAGUUUUUUCACAUUAGAAGGAAUGAAAUAGUUUUUUAUUGCAUGGUUAAGAAAUGCGAUAAAGCCAUCAUAAAAGUUAUUGACAUUUAACAAACCGAUGGGUUUCUGGUGGAUGUGCAGAUGGGCCCAAGAUGCUAGUGUCAUAAGUGCCUCUAGUGUUGCAAGAUCUCCUGGAAGGAAAAUAAAAGCAUCAGCAUGAUUAAGCAUUUCAGUUAUUCUUUCUUGCAUACCUGAGACGACUAACUCUUCUCCAGUUGAUGAGUCAGACGAACUGCCCAAUGGUUUUAGGAUUCUUGGGAUGAUGCCUAACACUUGACUUCCUCUGAUAAAAGCUGCUUCUGAGACCAUUUUUGAUAACCCUCGGUUACCUCCUCCAUACACCAAAUGUAAUUUUCUCGCUGCUAUGCUUCGACCAAGAUCUAUGGCUGCCUCCACGAACUCUUUAUGUUUGCCAUAGGUAAAUCCAGAAAGCACACAAAUGUUCUUGAAUUGUCUAUUAGGAGUAGCUGCCAUUGUGAUACUUCUCAAAAAUAAUUUGUGAGUGCUUGACAAAAGAUAAAUCACAUUUAAGAAUCUUGGUGACAGUGGAUCACAGCUGUGAAUAAGGUAACAUGUCAGUGUCAAAUAACGCGUAAAGCACGUGGCUCGCGAGUCAAAAAGGAAACAGUAAAAAGGAAAAAGCAAACAGUAACAAAAUUAUUAAAGACAAUAAUGCAAACAAUAAAACAACAGUGAAAUGAAAUAAAAUAACAGUAAAGUAAAAGGAUAUUUACACGUAGUUGCGACUGUGGCUCACAUCUUCCUCUGGUUUUACGUCCAGAAACGGCUUGAACGCCCUCUAUGGGUCGAGGAUAGGCUUCCUAUCCAGUUUUCUUAUAAACUGGCAAACAGGGUCGUUUAUAGUCAGAUUCCCAAGACUAUAUUGUGUAUGCUCUUUCUGGAAUAAUGGCCAUAACUGGAGAAUCGCUCCUUGCACAUAUCCACUGGGAUGCGUUUCAAGAGACAAAAGGAUAUCAUCCAAUGACUCCUUAUUCAAGCCAUCCCUAAUGAAUUGAAUCUUAUCUUCUCUGUUAUCAGACACCAUUCCUAAAGAACAUGGGUUUCUAUCGCAACUCAUUCUGGCACACUUGUGACAAGCAACAGAAAUUCUUCGAGCUCGUCGUUUUCUUGCGUAAUUUCCUUUACCACAACCAGGCAUGUAUGCAAUAAAUUUAGGAGGUAACUCACCUGCCAAUCGUACUUUAGCCUCGAUUAACCAACGGAUGUCUGCAGGUAUGUUAUUCCUCAUGAGCAAUCGCAUGCGUUCAGACCGGGCUUUAUAGAUUGUAAGGAGGGCAUUCUGAGGAAGUGAAGGGAAUCGCUUGUGAAGCUUUGCUAGAAUCUCGUUUCUAUCCAUACCUUCGCCUCAGAAUAUCAGUUAUUAUGGGAAACUGAAGUAACCGACUUGAUUGUCACGGAGUACCGUUAUCCGCCACUUCACCGGGGUAACAAACUAAAGCACACAAAUAGAAAAACAAAUCAAAACACACAAAGAAAAUUAAAAUCGUCCUCUUAUUGAAUUUACCUCAAGCUCCAACUGGAUGUCGUAAACACUUCUCUCAAUGUCUCUGAGUUGGCGUUCUAAACCCUCAACAUAGGCUACUAACUCUGGUGGUUGUAGAGCCCAAAUGCGUUGUGUUUUACAAAAUNNNNNNNNNNNNNNNNNNNNNNNNNNNNNNNNNNNNNNNNNNNNNNNNNNNNNNNNNNNNNNNNNNNNNNNNNNNNNNNNNNNNNNNNNNNNNNNNNNNNNNNNNNNNNNNNNNNNNNNNNNNNNNNNNNNNNNNNNNNNNNNNNNNNNNNNNNNNNNNNNNNNNNNNNNNNNNNNNNNNNNNNNNNNNNNNNNNNNNNNNNNNNNNNNNNNNNNNNNNNNNNNNNNNNNNNNNNNNNNNNNNNNNNNNNNNNNNNNNNNNNNNNNNNNNNNNNNNNNNNNNNNNNNNNNNNNNNNNNNNNNNNNNNNNNNNNNNNNNNNNNNNNNNNNNNNNNNNNNNNNNNNNNNNNNNNNNNNNNNNNNNNNNNNNNNNNNNNNNNNNNNNNNNNNNNNNNNNNNNNNNNNNNNNNNNNNNNNNNNNNNNNNNNNNNNNNNNNNNNNNNNNNNNNNNNNNNNNNNNNNNNNNNNNNNNNNNNNNNNNNNNNNNNNNNNNNNNNNNNNNNNNNNNNNNNNNNNNNNNNNNNNNNNNNNNNNNNNNNNNNNNNNNNNNNNNNNNNNNNNNNNNNNNNNNNNNNNNNNNNNNNNNNNNNNNNNNNNNNNNNNNNNNNNNNNNNNNNNNNNNNNNNNNNNNNNNNNNNNNNNNNNNNNNNNNNNNNNNNNNNNNNNNNNNNNNNNNNNNNNNNNNNNNNNNNNNNNNNNNNNNNNNNNNNNNNNNNNNNNNNNNNNNNNNNNNNNNNNNNNNNNNNNNNNNNNNNNNNNNNNNNNNNNNNNNNNNNNNNNNNNNNNNNNNNNNNNNNNNNNNNNNNNNNNNNNNNNNNNNNNNNNNNNNNNNNNNNNNNNNNNNNNNNNNNNNNNNNNNNNNNNNNNNNNNNNNNNNNNNNNNNNNNNNNNNNNNNNNNNNNNNNNNNNNNNNNNNNNNNNNNNNNNNNNNNNNNNNNNNNNNNNNNNNNNNNNNNNNNNNNNNNNNNNNNNNNNNNNNNNNNNNNNNNNNNNNNNNNNNNNNNNNNNNNNNNNNNNNNNNNNNNNNNNNNNNNNNNNNNNNNNNNNNNNNNNNNNNNNNNNNNNNNNNNNNNNNNNNNNNNNNNNNNNNNNNNNNNNNNNNNNNNNNNNNNNNNNNNNNNNNNNNNNNNNNNNNNNNNNNNNNNNNNNNNNNNNNNNNNNNNNNNNNNNNNNNNNNNNNNNNNNNNNNNNNNNNNNNNNNNNNNNNNNNNNNNNNNNNNNNNNNNNNNNNNNNNNNNNNNNNNNNNNNNNNNNNNNNNNNNNNNNNNNNNNNNNNNNNNNNNNNNNNNNNNNNNNNNNNNNNNNNNNNNNNNNNNNNNNNNNNNNNNNNNNNNNNNNNNNNNNNNNNNNNNNNNNNNNNNNNNNNNNNNNNNNNNNNNNNNNNNNNNNNNNNNNNNNNNNNNNNNNNNNNNNNNNNNNNNNNNNNNNNNNNNNNNNNNNNNNNNNNNNNNNNNNNNNNNNNNNNNNNNNNNNNNNNNNNNNNNNNNNNNNNNNNNNNNNNNNNNNNNNNNNNNNNNNNNNNNNNNNNNNNNNNNNNNNNNNNNNNNNNNNNNNNNNNNNNNNNNNNNNNNNNNNNNNNNNNNNNNNNNNNNNNNNNNNNNNNNNNNNNNNNNNNNNNNNNNNNNNNNNNNNNNNNNNNNNNNNNNNNNNNNNNNNNNNNNNNNNNNNNNNNNNNNNNNNNNNNNNNNNNNNNNNNNNNNNNNNNNNNNNNNNNNNNNNNNNNNNNNNNNNNNNNNNNNNNNNNNNNNNNNNNNNNNNNNNNNNNNNNNNNNNNNNNNNNNNNNNNNNNNNNNNNNNNNNNNNNNNNNNNNNNNNNNNNNNNNNNNNNNNNNNNNNNNNNNNNNNNNNNNNNNNNNNNNNNNNNNNNNNNNNNNNNNNNNNNNNNNNNNNNNNNNNNNNNNNNNNNNNNNNNNNNNNNNNNNNNNNNNNNNNNNNNNNNNNNNNNNNNNNNNNNNNNNNNNNNNNNNNNNNNNNNNNNNNNNNNNNNNNNNNNNNNNNNNNNNNNNNNNNNNNNNNNNNNNNNNNNNNNNNNNNNNNNNNNNNNNNNNNNNNNNNNNNNNNNNNNNNNNNNNNNNNNNNNNNNNNNNNNNNNNNNNNNNNNNNNNNNNNNNNNNNNNNNNNNNNNNNNNNNNNNNNNNNNNNNNNNNNNNNNNNNNNNNNNNNNNNNNNNNNNNNNNNNNNNNNNNNNNNNNNNNNNNNNNNNNNNNNNNNNNNNNNNNNNNNNNNNNNNNNNNNNNNNNNNNNNNNNNNNNNNNNNNNNNNNNNNNNNNNNNNNNNNNNNNNNNNNNNNNNNNNNNNNNNNNNNNNNNNNNNNNNNNNNNNNNNNNNNNNNNNNNNNNNNNNNNNNNNNNNNNNNNNNNNNNNNNNNNNNNNNNNNNNNNNNNNNNNNNNNNNNNNNNNNNNNNNNNNNNNNNNNNNNNNNNNNNNNNNNNNNNNNNNNNNNNNNNNNNNNNNNNNNNNNNNNNNNNNNNNNNNNNNNNNNNNNNNNNNNNNNNNNNNNNNNNNNNNNNNNNNNNNNNNNNNNNNNNNNNNNNNNNNNNNNNNNNNNNNNNNNNNNNNNNNNNNNNNNNNNNNNNNNNNNNNNNNNNNNNNNNNNNNNNNNNNNNNNNNNNNNNNNNNNNNNNNNNNNNNNNNNNNNNNNNNNNNNNNNNNNNNNNNNNNNNNNNNNNNNNNNNNNNNNNNNNNNNNNNNNNNNNNNNNNNNNNNNNNNNNNNNNNNNNNNNNNNNNNNNNNNNNNNNNNNNNNNNNNNNNNNNNNNNNNNNNNNNNNNNNNNNNNNNNNNNNNNNNNNNNNNNNNNNNNNNNNNNNNNNNNNNNNNNNNNNNNNNNNNNNNNNNNNNNNNNNNNNNNNNNNNNNNNNNNNNNNNNNNNNNNNNNNNNNNNNNNNNNNNNNNNNNNNNNNNNNNNNNNNNNNNNNNNNNNNNNNNNNNNNNNNNNNNNNNNNNNNNNNNNNNNNNNNNNNNNNNNNNNNNNNNNNNNNNNNNNNNNNNNNNNNNNNNNNNNNNNNNNNNNNNNNNNNNNNNNNNNNNNNNNNNNNNNNNNNNNNNNNNNNNNNNNNNNNNNNNNNNNNNNNNNNNNNNNNNNNNNNNNNNNNNNNNNNNNNNNNNNNNNNNNNNNNNNNNNNNNNNNNNNNNNNNNNNNNNNNNNNNNNNNNNNNNNNNNNNNNNNNNNNNNNNNNNNNNNNNNNNNNNNNNNNNNNNNNNNNNNNNNNNNNNNNNNNNNNNNNNNNNNNNNNNNNNNNNNNNNNNNNNNNNNNNNNNNNNNNNNNNNNNNNNNNNNNNNNNNNNNNNNNNNNNNNNNNNNNNNNNNNNNNNNNNNNNNNNNNNNNNNNNNNNNNNNNNNNNNNNNNNNNNNNNNNNNNNNNNNNNNNNNNNNNNNNNNNNNNNNNNNNNNNNNNNNNNNNNNNNNNNNNNNNNNNNNNNNNNNNNNNNNNNNNNNNNNNNNNNNNNNNNNNNNNNNNNNNNNNNNNNNNNNNNNNNNNNNNNNNNNNNNNNNNNNNNNNNNNNNNNNNNNNNNNNNNNNNNNNNNNNNNNNNNNNNNNNNNNNNNNNNNNNNNNNNNNNNNNNNNNNNNNNNNNNNNNNNNNNNNNNNNNNNNNNNNNNNNNNNNNNNNNNNNNNNNNNNNNNNNNNNNNNNNNNNNNNNNNNNNNNNNNNNNNNNNNNNNNNNNNNNNNNNNNNNNNNNNNNNNNNNNNNNNNNNNNNNNNNNNNNNNNNNNNNNNNNNNNNNNNNNNNNNNNNNNNNNNNNNNNNNNNNNNNNNNNNNNNNNNNNNNNNNNNNNNNNNNNNNNNNNNNNNNNNNNNNNNNNNNNNNNNNNNNNNNNNNNNNNNNNNNNNNNNNNNNNNNNNNNNNNNNNNNNNNNNNNNNNNNNNNNNNNNNNNNNNNNNNNNNNNNNNNNNNNNNNNNNNNNNNNNNNNNNNNNNNNNNNNNNNNNNNNNNNNNNNNNNNNNNNNNNNNNNNNNNNNNNNNNNNNNNNNNNNNNNNNNNNNNNNNNNNNNNNNNNNNNNNNNNNNNNNNNNNNNNNNNNNNNNNNNNNNNNNNNNNNNNNNNNNNNNNNNNNNNNNNNNNNNNNNNNNNNNNNNNNNNNNNNNNNNNNNNNNNNNNNNNNNNNNNNNNNNNNNNNNNNNNNNNNNNNNNNNNNNNNNNNNNNNNNNNNNNNNNNNNNNNNNNNNNNNNNNNNNNNNNNNNNNNNNNNNNNNNNNNNNNNNNNNNNNNNNNNNNNNNNNNNNNNNNNNNNNNNNNNNNNNNNNNNNNNNNNNNNNNNNNNNNNNNNNNNNNNNNNNNNNNNNNNNNNNNNNNNNNNNNNNNNNNNNNNNNNNNNNNNNNNNNNNNNNNNNNNNNNNNNNNNNNNNNNNNNNNNNNNNNNNNNNNNNNNNNNNNNNNNNNNNNNNNNNNNNNNNNNNNNNNNNNNNNNNNNNNNNNNNNNNNNNNNNNNNNNNNNNNNNNNNNNNNNNNNNNNNNNNNNNNNNNNNNNNNNNNNNNNNNNNNNNNNNNNNNNNNNNNNNNNNNNNNNNNNNNNNNNNNNNNNNNNNNNNNNNNNNNNNNNNNNNNNNNNNNNNNNNNNNNNNNNNNNNNNNNNNNNNNNNNNNNNNNNNNNNNNNNNNNNNNNNNNNNNNNNNNNNNNNNNNNNNNNNNNNNNNNNNNNNNNNNNNNNNNNNNNNNNNNNNNNNNNNNNNNNNNNNNNNNNNNNNNNNNNNNNNNNNNNNNNNNNNNNNNNNNNNNNNNNNNNNNNNNNNNNNNNNNNNNNNNNNNNNNNNNNNNNNNNNNNNNNNNNNNNNNNNNNNNNNNNNNNNNNNNNNNNNNNNNNNNNNNNNNNNNNNNNNNNNNNNNNNNNNNNNNNNNNNNNNNNNNNNNNNNNNNNNNNNNNNNNNNNNNNNNNNNNNNNNNNNNNNNNNNNNNNNNNNNNNNNNNNNNNNNNNNNNNNNNNNNNNNNNNNNNNNNNNNNNNNNNNNNNNNNNNNNNNNNNNNNNNNNNNNNNNNNNNNNNNNNNNNNNNNNNNNNNNNNNNNNNNNNNNNNNNNNNNNNNNNNNNNNNNNNNNNNNNNNNNNNNNNNNNNNNNNNNNNNNNNNNNNNNNNNNNNNNNNNNNNNNNNNNNNNNNNNNNNNNNNNNNNNNNNNNNNNNNNNNNNNNNNNNNNNNNNNNNNNNNNNNNNNNNNNNNNNNNNNNNNNNNNNNNNNNNNNNNNNNNNNNNNNNNNNNNNNNNNNNNNNNNNNNNNNNNNNNNNNNNNNNNNNNNNNNNNNNNNNNNNNNNNNNNNNNNNNNNNNNNNNNNNNNNNNNNNNNNNNNNNNNNNNNNNNNNNNNNNNNNNNNNNNNNNNNNNNNNNNNNNNAUGAACUAUCAGAAAUUGGGUAAAUGAUACCUGCGUCUAAUAGCUUAAGGACUUCUGUUCUAACAACUUCUUUCAUAUUAGGAUUUAACCGACGUUGCAUUUCCCUAGUAGAUUUAGCAUUUUCAUCAAGGUGAAUGUAAUGCAUGCAGUCUACUGGAUUUAUACCUUUGAUGUCUGCUAUGGUCCAUCCUAAUGCCCCUUUGUGCUCUUUUAAAACAUCCAACAACUUACCUUUUUGUUCGUCAUUUAGGGAUGAUGAGAUGAUUACCGGCAGAGUACUUUCUUCUCCCAAAAAUGCAUAUUCCAGAGUGUUGGGUAAUGGUUUGAGCUCGAGUUUCGGUGGUGAUUCUGAUGAUGGAAUGAGUUUCUUCUCUGAUGGUGCUAGUUGUUCAACUCUUGACUUCCAUUUAUUAGUGUCCAUGGAUGGUGCUGAGUCAAGUAGGGCGUUGACCUCUUCGACCGAUCUGUCAAUAUCAAAAUCCAAACCAAAGUGAGUUAAACAUGUUUGUAAAGGAUCAUCACUAAGGUUUGAAAGAAAAGUAUUAUCAACUAUUGUUUCUAUUAAAUCCACAUCAACAAUUCCAUCAUCUGCACUGUGAGGUUGUUUGGCAAUGUUGAAGAUGUUUAGCUCCAUAGUCAUGUUGCCGAAGGACAAUUGCAUAUUUCCGGUCCUACAUUGAAUAUGAGCAUCUGCAGUUGCCAAGAAAGGUCGGCCUAGAAUAAUGGGGAUGUGCUUCCUUGAGUCCUGUAUUGGUUGAGUGUCAAUUACAAUGAAAUCAACAGGAAAAUAAAACUUGUCUACCUGGAUAAGCACGUCCUCCACAAAACCACGAGGUAUUUUUGUGGACCGAUCUGCAAGUUGUAACACCACUGGAGUUGGGUGUAAUUCUCCCAGUCCAAGUUUCACGAAUACAGAGUAAGGCAACAAAUUUACACUAGCUCCUAAAUCCAACAAAGCAUUCUCAAUUGUGUGGUUCCCUAUACUACAUGAGAUAGUGGGGGAGCCUGGGUCUUUGCAUUUUAAAGGAAUUUUAUGUUGGAGUAUAGAACUAACGUUUUCUGUUAAAAAUGCCUUCUUUUGAACAUGCAUAUUUCUCUUUUUAGUACAAAGGUCUUUAAGAAACUUGGCAUAAGAUGGAACUUGCUUUAUAGCAUCAAGUAAAGGGAUGUUAACACUUACCUGUUUGAAGAUUUCGAGAAUCUCACCUGUGGAUUUUCCUUUCUUGCCUUUCGCUAACCUCUGAGGAAAUGGAGCUUUCGGAACGUAUUCUCGUGGGUUGGUUUCUUCUUUCUCCUCCGGUGGUGAGUCUUCAACAUUCACAGGUACAAUUUGAUUUUCUUUUGUCACCGGCAUCUCCACUUUGUUGUCGACUUCCUUUCCUUUUCGCAAGGUCAUGACUGCUUUGACCUCUCCAUGCUGUUGUGGUGAACUGGUACUUGCUUCAUGUACUCCUUUAGGAUUAGGCACUGGUUGACUUGGAAAUUUUCCUUUCUCAACAGUCAUUGCCAAGGUCUGAACUGAAGAAGCAAGUUGUCCCACCAUCUUCUCGAGGCUUGAAACUGAUUGAGCUUGUGAGUUGAAGCCUGCUCUCAACUCAUUUCGUAGUCCAUCAAUGGUGCGGUUCUGUUGCUCAAUCGUAGAGUGAGUAGCAUUCUUGAAAUUCUGGAAUGAAUCCUCCCAUGGUCUGGGUUGAGAGUAGUUUUGGUUCUGAUUGAAUGGUCUAAAUGGGGGCUGAGAGGCUUGAGGAUUUUGAGGAAUUUGUUGCAUUGGUGGAGCUGCUGGUCCAUUCUGUUGGAAUCCUUGAGACCAUGAAAAAUUGGGGUGGUCUCUCCAUCCAGGAUUAUAUGUGUUGGAGUAUGGGUUGUAAUUCGAUGGUUUUCUCAUUACACCUAUGGCAUUGGCUUGAUCUGAGUAUGAGUCAUGGUCAUGUGAUUCUGUUGAUUUAGCAGUCGAUAACGAUGCUAUUUGUCGAGCAAGACCUUCAACCAUCUCCUUGACUUCUUUGAUUUCCGAAGUUGACUCGCCAAUUUGAACCUCAUUUACUCCCUUAAUUCUUCUAGUAUUCCUGAGUGAUCGACUCCGUUGUUGGGAAUUAUCCGCUUGUCGCUGGAAGAAUUCCCAAAUCUCUGAUGCACUUUUUGACAUUAGCUCUCCUCCACUUGUUGCCAUUAGCCAUUCUUGCACAUUUGGUAGUAAUCCCUCCAAAAAGUAUUGACAUUGGUGCCAUUUUUCGUACCCAUGAUGUGGACACUUCAAGAGUAGCCCAUUGAAUCGCUCCCAUGUUUCGAAAAACUGCUCGUCCUCUCUCUGUGUAAACUCUGAAAUUUCCCUGCGAAUAGCAUUGGUUUUAUGCACUGGGAAAUAUUUAUUCAAAAAUUUUGUAACCAUUUGUUCCCAUGAUGCAAUGCUAUUAGCAGGCAAUGUAUUAAGCCAUGAACGAGCUCUAUCCUUUAAAGAAAAUGGGAAUAAUCUGAGUUUAACAUCAUCGUCUGAAAAAUUCUCAUAUUUGAAUGUUUGACAAAUGGCAUGAAAAUCAUUCAAAUGAUUAUAUGGGUCCUCAUUUUCUAAGCCAUAGAAUGUGGGGAGACAAUUUAGCACACUAGGUUUUAAUUCAAAACUCCUAGCAGCUACAUUUGGGUAUCUUAUGCAUGACGUGCUCAAAUUAGCUAAGGGACUAAAAUAGUCCUUAAAUGGCCUCUCCUGUGGUGCUUGUAAAUCUAUUUUAUUUUUAACGUGUUUGUGUGUGCGAAGUGUUUUUUCUAAUUCAAGGUCUAUAGGUUCAAGAUUUGGUAAUAAUGACCUACGACCAUGCAUGCAAAAUAAAUAAAAUAAAAAUAAAGAUGGGAACAAAAACAAAUAAAAAUAAAGAAGAGGGAGAAAUUACGAUACUAACCUUAUUGCGCUAUUACAACCUUUCUAUAAAAAUACACAAAAACAAAUACGUGAAAUAAAUUAACUAAAAAUUAAAUUAAUAAAAUAAACAAAAAUUACAAAGAAAAAAAAUUAAAAAUUAAAUUACAGAAUUUUAAAGAAGAGAAAAAGAAAAGAAAUAAUAACCUUUAAAUGUAGAUUUACUUUUUUUUUUAAUAAAAAAUACAAGAAAACAAAUAAAAGAAAUUAUUCACAAAAAUUAAUUCUAUGAAUUAAAAUUACUUACCUCCCCAGCAACGGCGCCAAAAACUUGUUGUGCAAAUUUUAAUGUACUCGCAAGCGCACGAAUCUAUUAUAGUAUAGAUCAAUGGUGACGAGUGUCGAUCCCACGAGGAGGUGGAUUUUAAUUGUGUAUAGAAUUAAUUUUGCAAAUGGUUGAUUGGAUCUGUGGUGGAAAUGAUUUGGAAUAUGCUAAAACUUAAAUUAAAAUGGCGAGAAUAAAUUCUGAAAUUGGAAUUGAAAUGACGAGAAUAAAUUGAAGAGAAUUCUAUUGAAAUGACGUACUUGGGUAUCUGGAUCCGUAUCAACAUGCAUCAUGGGCUAAAUAAUCCGUAUUAAUGCCAAUUAAAUCAUGAGGGGGGAAUCCACACCUCAUGAACCACGCUCUAAUCAAUAUGGUGCUAAGGGCUUAUCGUGCCAAAUAAUAAUAACCUUGUACUAGAGAGCCGGUGUAACCAAGGCGGUAUCUAGACAAGAUCAGUAUUAUUUGUCGACGAUAAGUCAAAUCAUCCACAAAAACUAGAGGGGAAAAGAAAAUAAAUUUACCAAAUAAAGCUCAUGACACAUGUUGAGACUUCACCUUCAACCCAAGCUUGAAAGAAAAUUAGCCACUCAUAAUUGAACUAAGGGCAAAAUGGGAAUUUAUUAAAAUACAAAGAAAAUACAAGAUGGAGAAGGAAUUACAGAAAAUGGAUCCCAAAAAUGGAUUCAAAGAUAUCAAAUUAGGGGGGGAGGCCCCCUUUUUAUAGAUACAUGGAGUAAAUCAUGGCCAUCGGAUUAAAAACAGUUUGGACGCUCAGGAUUGCGCCACGUCAUCAGUCAACAGUCCACGGUUUGACCACGCGGAUGAACAGUAACACGGUUUGACCCGGAUGAACAGUAACACGGUUUGGUUGACAAUAAUCCUGUGUGAUGCAUGCACCGUACGCGAGAUUUUUCGUCCACUGAUAUGCUGCCACGUCACCAUCAACAGUACAUAAGAUUUUAGUCCAACAGGAUCGUGACACCUCAUCAGUCAAUGCCACAUCAUCGGUCAAUGCCACAUCAUCGGUCAAUGCCACGUCAUCGAUCAAUGCCACGUCAUCGAUCCGUCUAUGUGAACAGUGUCGUGAACAGUAACGUAGACAGUACCGUAUACGUGAAUAGUACCGUACAUGUGAAUAGUGCCAUUUUUCCUUUUAUGCUCCUCCUAAGGUUUUCGACCGUCCUGAGUUCAAAAGUGAUGUCCGUUUUGCCAUCUGAUCUCUCCUUUAUUGUGAAAUGACUAUAAUGCCCCUAAAAUACAUAAAAUACUUAAUUAAAAUAACACACACGUAAUUACAUCACAAGAAGGUUAAAUACAUAAAAGUAAGGGUUGUUAGUAAGACUUGAAAUGUAAAAUGACGGUUUUCUCCUUUAUAAAUAUGCAUUUUCUAACACUCAACNNNNNNNNNNNNNNNNNNNNNNNNNNNNNNNNNNNNNNNNNNNNNNNNNNNNNNNNNNNNNNNNNNNNNNNNNNNNNNNNNNNNNNNNNNNNNNNNNNNNCACUGGAGUUUGCGGAAGCUGGACUUGCGGAGAGUGUGCGAUUGUUCCAUGCCCAAUCCGAGCGGACUUCAUCCACUUCCGCACGGACAACGUGUAGUUCGUCCUGAACAAAACUACGAAGUUUUAGCAACUCAUCAUGGAAAGAUCAAAACUCACCUCAGAGAGUGUUCGCUUACUCAUGGAUGAGAGCUUUUGUGGCCACCGUGAACUCGGCGUAUUCUCCCUUGAGACCGUCCACUCUUCCUUCCAAUCCCUCGAGGCUUUCUUGAGCGGCGGACAAUGCGAUUUCGAGAGUGCCUACACGAGGCUCCAACGCAUCCACGGAUGGGGCCUUGGACUUGCCGCGAAUCUUGCCUUGGGCGCGUUCUCCCUCUCGGCCGCGGCUUGGUUCCGGUGGAACAUCCACACCAACAACACCCUCUUAUGCUACGUUCGAAGGGUUGGCCAUUGCUUCGUGAGCUAACUUGUGUGCGUGCAAACCUUAGCUCUGAUACCACUUGUCACGGGAUGAGUGUUUUGCGCAGCUAACCCGUGCGGCACUUAGACAACUUUGCCGAUUGUUGCUAAGUAAGCCUAGAGCUUCUCGAACAAGAGAAGAGAGCAAUUGAGCCAAAGAAGAAACUUGUAUUGCACAAAGAGAGAUUACAAUGCUUGUUGCUUACAAAGCUUGUUAGAUACAAAUGCCUAAUGCCAUCCCAUAUUUAUAAGGGAGACUUGCCAAGCUCUAGAGAUUCUAGAGAAUUCUACCCACUAUCUAGAAUUUACAUGUGCUGGAAAGUCAUAGAGAAUUCUAGAGUAUUUACAAGCUCACAUGUGCUAGAGUUUCCUAGAACUUUCCGGAAUUGGGUCAAGCUAGCACUCUUGGCCUUGUGUUGGCUCUCUAGCCCGAAAUUGUGGGCAAUUGGGCUAGUGAAUUGGGCGGUCCGCAACAUUUAGGUGGGAUAUGGGAGAAUUGUCAAGAGUUCACACCAAGAGAAAUUAAUGAUAGGCCUAAUUUCGUUGUCAAUUCUUUAUUUAUUUAUUUUAUUUUUUUAUACAUUAUUGUCUUGUUGGCAUUGUUUUGUAAAGAUAUAAAAGUACAAGUAAAAUAUUAGGGGAAGUAAAGUAAAAUAUUGGAGGUGUUGCUAAGUUACAGCUGCCGUAACUUACAGUUCCUUAAAAAAUAAUGUAAAAAAUUUAACACGUGGUGGGACCCACAUUAUGUUUGAAGAGGCCGUAAGUUAUAGCAGUUGUAAAUUAGUAAAAUCCAAAUAUUAGACAAUAAUACACAUUAACAAUGCAUAUAAUUUGAGUUUGAUUUUUAAAAAAAUUAUGUGAGUAUUACCUAUCCUUAAGACAUUAAUGAGAAUAUAUUUUAAUUUUAAAUAAUCAAAAUCUGUUUAAUCAUAAUAUGUAAUUCAUACAUUGCAUGUUAGAUUUGUUUGGAUUUUAAGUUGUUGCUAAUAAAUAUUUAUGUUGUGAAAGUCGAAUUCAAUAGCUACAAAAGCAGAGAUAAUGGUAUUUUAUGUAGUUUUUAAGAAUACAAGGAUAAGACCAUAACGCAUGAGAUAGUGUUAUUUUAUAUUAAAAGACCAUAACACAUGUAUUUGAGCCAUUUAUAUUGAGGACACAUAUAGAGCGAAAAGUGCAGAUCCGGCCGUAACUAUUGUGAAGCUUUCCUCAAGUAUUCUCAUGCACGCAGACCUUAGCUGGUCAAGUUUUCUGAUUUAAUAUAAUCAAUUUCCGCGCAGUACUAACGACAGCUUCUUUGUAAAGCUCUUCAACCACAAGCAUUUCUACAAGGCAAAAGACUAGGACGUGUCGGAAUGAAUAUCAAUAAGGGAAUGUCUUAUGAAUUUAGUUUAUAUCCUAAUAUAAGACAAUCAAUAAAUAUUAGAUGCAAUCUAAGGGCUAACAUUUGAUUGAUCAUUAUACGAAAAAAAGGUACAAAAAUACAAAACAGAGCUGAUUGAUGGCCUCUCACAGUCAGUUAUAUGACAAAGUAGCCACCACAACAAACUUGAACUUGGCUGGAGGUCUCAUUAGCAGUAUACCUCCGAACUUAAGACAAAGACUUUAAAAUGCAAACUUAUGGAGCAAUUUAAGCACUGAAACUAAUAACAGUACGGUAUUAGCAAUUGACCUCUGCUUUUGCUUAGACAAAGGUUCUCAUCACAAUGGAUUCAUUAGUUGCCCUUGCCUCACACGUUUGGAUGCUAAGGGGAAAAAGGAAGUUUGAAUUAGUCAAUCUCAUUUCUAAUGGCAUUCACAGAGAACCUAUAAAGCAAAAAAAUAAAUAAAAAUUUUCAUGUUGCAAGUGAGCUCGUUUUCAAUCGAUUUUUAUUGAUCAUAAGAGAUCAUGUGGCCCACCUUAUUUUUAUUUUGGAUCCAUAACCCAAAGCUGGCCCAAGUUCUGAUUCCAGAAUCAUUUGUCUACAAAGUGACCUCAUUCCGGCAAUUGGUUUAUGCUAAUAGCACGUGCAAUUUUCAUUUUCUUCUUUUUAUUAAUUAAUUUCAUCAUUAUUAUUUGCUUAUUAGUUUAAAUUAAUUAAUUAUAUUGUAUUAAUGAAAUUAGUCUUUCAUUUUCUUUUCUCUUUCAAUGCACAAAGCCAAACAACCAUUCUUUCUUCAAAUACCGAAGAGCUCCUGACUACGGCUGUCAAUGCUUCUAUAUUUAUGUGCUGUGCUGCAGCACUCUUAGCGAAAGCUUGAAUGAAUGAUUAAAGACAAAAGCUUAUAUAAAAGCAGAUGCCGGAGGCACUCAAAAAGCAUUUGAGAGAGAAGCUAAACAGCAAAUCAUCAAACGCACUUCAAUGACUUUGAUUUUGAUUUUUGUUUCAAAAGAAGUAGAAAAGUCCAUGGGUCACGAUAACUGCUUGUCCUCUGCCGUGACCUCAUUGUCCGCUGCUAGUGUCAAAUAGAUUAAUCUUUCUAGUAGAUUAAUAUAAUUUAUAAUUUUAAUUUCAGUAUUAAUUUUUAAAAUGUUAGUUGUUAUAUUUAUUUUAAUGAUAUAUCUAUUUUUAGUAUAAAAAUUUAAAUAAAUAUUUAGAUUAAAUAGAAUUUAUAAUUGAUAUAAUAUAUCUCAUGUAUUAAUGAUAUUUAAAUUAUUUUAAAUAAUAUUAAUCCUAACUUAAAAUUUUAUAUAUUUAUUUUAAUGUUAUGUUUCUAUAUAUUAUAAAAUUUAGUUUAAUAUAAUAUAAGAUUGUAAAGUAUUCAAAUAUUUUUUAAAUAUUAAAAUUAUUAUAAAAUGUAUAUACUGUUACAUUUUUAACAUUGAAGUCAAUCUUUUUUAAGUUAAUAGAGUGAAAAGAUAUAAUAAUAAAAGGCUAUGUAAUCUUUCACUUGCACAUAUUCUGUACUCUCUGGAGCACGACGGUAGGAAACAUGAUUACAGAUGUUAAAUUCGCCUUUUUUCACAAGUUUAUCAGCUUCGUUUGCGGCCUCUGCUGCUUGUUUACCAAGCUUGUAACGAGAAAUCAAAUUUGGGCACAACCCUUUGAAGCAGAAUAUCUUAGCUCUAUCUUUAUCAUCAAUGAUGGAUUUUGCAACCCCUUCACUGAAUUCAGCAACUCUAUUUAGCCAGUCUCUGACACCCUUAUAAAUCUCAUCUCCUUGUAGAGUAGCCUCUCUAACCAGUGUUUGCACCCUUUCUCUUAUAUAUUCCAGCUCCUUCACUCAAUCUUUUAGCCCAUUUAUGUAGCUCUGGUACUCGAACACAUAAGAUAUGUGCCGCAUAAUCAGUUCGAAUAAUGCUUUUGAACAUUGUGAUACAAUGCUGGAAAAAGCAGGGAGACACCCUUCUGCAGCCAUUGCUUGUUGCUUAACAAUAUAUAUAUAUAUAUAUAUAUACAAGUGUCAAAGAAAGGAAUACAAAUAAAUUAAUAUGAACUAGAGAGAAAGAUAGAGAAUGAAAAGACCGCCAACAAUAUCGCUAUAUUGAUCUUGAACCAACUAAUAAUUAAAUAGAGAAUUUCUUUUUCUUUCUUAAGGAUCAGAGGUUUUGCUAUUAGCAAAAAGGUACUUCAAGGGUCUGAAUAAAAAACCAACCAUAAAUUAUCAAAAGCUAGUAAGAACACAGACGUAAACAAUGAACAAUUACUUAAGCCAAACAGACCAUGAUACAAAGCAAAUCUAAUAAAAUGACAAAGAAAGAAAGAAAGAAAAUACAACAAACAGUAUUGAAGUGUUGAUCAUGAGCCAACUGAUAUUUAAACAGAUUUUUUUUUUAAUUUUUAGUCUUUUCUAAAAGGAUUAGAGUUCUUGCUAUUAAUAGAAAGGUUUCAAAGAUCUGACACUAUUAGAAAAGUAUUAAAUAAUGACAAAAAUUUUAUGACAUAUAUGGUUGUAUCUCGAAUGUGUCAUAAAAUUAUGAUAGAUUCAUAAUAUGUAUUCAUAUGCCCAGAAUAUAUGAUAUAUUCAUGACUUAUAACUUAACCGUAGUAAAUAAAUGAUACAUAUAAGUCAUGAUUAAGUUUUGUGACCUUAUAAGAUUGUAAAACAGUGUCGUUUAAAUUAACGACACCGUUCUGUAUAACUUAAAACACAUCAACACUUCAGCCAAAUUUUGGCGGGUAAAAACCCAUUUAGUCCCUAUAUUUUAAGAUUAGUAUACAUUUAGUCCCUAUAUUUUUAAAAAUGCCUCGAAACGUUCCUGCCGUUAAAGUAUUGAUACCCCUACUGUUACUUUUUAUUUCUUUUGGCUUACUUUUACAAUAUUAUAAAAGUGUAAUAUUGUAAAAGUAAGCCAAAAGAAAUAAAAAGUAACAGUAGGGGUAUCAAUACUUUAACGACAGGGACGUUUCGAGGUAUUUUUAAAAAUAUAGGGACUAAACAGACACUAAUAUUAAAAUAGAGGGACUAAAUGAAUUUUUACCCAAUUUUGACUAAGCGUUGAAUAAAUCCCUCUCUCUCCACUGGCGACUACAACCUAAAAUGAAUCAACUCUGAGCCUCUCUCUAUAACACUAUAUAGAACCCUAAACCUAAGAGCAUCUCCAAAAGGCUUUAUAAAUUUUACUCUUUAAAUAUUUAUUUGCUUACCUAUGUGGCUAAUAGAAGAGUGAAAAAAUAUAUUAUCUCUAAAAGACUUUUCAAAUAUAAAUGAGUUAAUAUUAUUUUAAUUAAAUAAUUAUUUUUUAAAAUGAAAAGUCAAUAAUAAUUAAAUCAUCUCUCUCUUUUUCCAACAAAAAUAAUAAAAUAUAAAUUAAAAAGAAAGAAAUCAACUCUCUAAAUUUAAAGAGAUAGAAUAAUUUUUUAUUUAAAAAAUUUUAAUUAAAAUAUUUUAUAAAACUUUAAAUGUUGACUUAACUUUUCAGACAGCUAAUAAAAUAAGAAAUAAAAUCUUAUUUGAAAAGUGUUUUCCUUAUAUUUUAAGUCUCACAUUCGCAACCGACGAAGCUGAAAAAGUUCCCCACAUAUCAAAACCACAGCGAACUGCCUCCGACCCUACGGACCCAAAAAAAUUUAUUGUAUUCCUGCUCUUUCACAUCAAUAAUUUUUUGUAUUAUUCCAUAACCCAAAAGCUUUCCUCUGUUUCAACUAAGCGAAAAUUUACAUAUUAAAGCCUAGCUCAAAUUCCUUUUUUCAAUCGAAAUAAAACGUAGCCCCAAAACCCUAAUUCACCACACCAAUUUAUCUCUGCCCGGUAUUCAUUUAAACCCUACCUCGCGGUUCAAUGUCAUUCAAUACGAUUGCAGAUGCCGUUUCAACUUGUCAUUUAGUUAUUGCCAUCCAGUUCUCUAUGGUAAGCCUUAACCCUAACAACUAAUCGACUGUGGUAGCACGUUGCUUGUUAGGAGUGGGGAUACAUUAUUUAACUAUAUGAAUUGGGUGAUGUUAGUGAUUCAUUCCCCUAUUUGUCAUGAAUUAAGAUUUGUGUAUAAUGCUAGUCAGAUUGCUAAAAAUUUCAUAUUUUGUAUUGUUCCAGUUGAAUUUCUUGCUUGUGGAAGAUAAAACAAAAGUUCAAUUUCAUGUUGAUUUAAUUCUUCUUUUUCUUCUUUUUUUUUUUCUUCUUUAUAGUCACGCUCUGGCUUUGGUGCUAUGCUUAGUGCAGUUUAUGGUUUCAAGAUUAAGUCACGUUUAUUUGAUGGCAUCGAUUCCAUCGUUGAGGAUUGGAUUGUUGAUCAAAUGCACAUAGUAAGCUCUUCUUAUUUUAUCUCAGUUUUAAUUUUCUUUUAUUAUCUGCCUCUACCUGAAAAUGGACGUGUUUUACUAGUAAGCAUAGACUUUGUUUAUUUAAUUGAUAUUUUAAUUUUAUGUAUAAGAAUAGAGGUUUAUUUUGGAAAAAAAAGCAAUAAAAAAACAGACUCUGUUGAAGCUAAUUAGUACUGAAUGUUUUUGGUGGUGCGACCAGAGGUGGAAACAGGGUAUGAAAAUGUGUUACUAGUGAGGUUGCUGCUUAAGAUGAGAAUGCAUUCUUUUCAAAAAUCCUUGGUAGGUGUGAUCUAAUUAUAUUUGAUGGAAUAUUAAAUGGCUAAAAAUCUGUCAUACGUUCAAACUUUGUUUGUGUUUGGAAGAAUGGUGUUGACUGUAUAUUCGUUUGGAAGAAUGGUGUUGAUUGUAUAUUCAUUUGCUUAGCCUUUUGACAGAUGGAUUUGAAACUGACGACAAAUGUGAUUCAAUUUACAAGGUUUUCGAGGGGCUCACAGUGGAAGGGAUAUUGAAGAACUGGUCUAAGAUAAAGCCUAUGAUUGUGAAAGAUUGGAGUGAGAAUAUAAAUGCUCGUUUAAAUCUCUUUGGCAAGGUCAGAGAUGAAUGGAUAGAUAAGGAUUUAUUUGACUACUUGGACUGGUGCUAAUAGGUAUUUUAGGCAAGCUUUUUGAGAUAACACUGAGCAAGUUAUACUACUAGUUUGCACAUGAUGAUCAAAACUCUCAAAAAGUAAAAUAAAAUAAAUUAUUAACUUUUACUUAUCUUUUGCAUAGCAAUCAAUGUGGUGCUUGUUCUGUGACAACUUUGAUAAUCUACUUAAUUAUUGGUUAGCAUUUGGACCAAAAAAGUUCUUAUGAUUUACAUGUUUUGUAGAAAUGCAUGAACCUUAAAUGUGCUGAUCAGGGAGUUUAAUUAUUGCACCUUGAAAUUCAUUUAUUGUUAACUAAUUGGCUUUCCUUUGCAUAAAGCCGCUUAUAAGGCUUGAGUGGACGUCUUUAUGGGCAUAUUAUUUGUAUUUCUAUAUGCAUGCCUUUAUCACUUAAUGUGCUGCUUUUAUUUCUUUAUGCAUGCCUUUAUCAUUUAAUGGCCAGCUCCCUCUCCUCUUUUGUAAUUUGAAUAGUAGUAUGGGCCUCCAUUUUACAAAUCUUUAACAUUUUUUGCUGUAAAUUAAUUUUUCUUUCAAAUAUUUUGGAGGUCAUUGGAAUUCCUGUAGGUCUAUUUACCAGAUUUUAGUAUGUUUAAGGUUUUAAUUUUGCUUAAACUUUAAUUUUUCUGAAAGAUUGUAGUAUUGAUCCUUAAAGAAAGAUCAUGCUACUUCAAAUUAUUUUGAAGUGUUGCCAGUUAUAGCCUUACAUAACAAAUUCCAUUUGUCUGGAAAUUUAUUGAUAGCUGUUACAGCAGCAUAUUUUAUGACUCUACUUCUUAGUUAUGUAAGUUCAUUAUGUUUAGGUCAGAGGCAGUCAGCUGUGGGGAAUCGAUAUAUACACAGAUGACUUUGAUCUUGUUGCUGGUAUGUGGUUCUAUGAAUAAUUGUGUUUGCCUCACUGUUUUUGUUUUAUGAGAUCUAUAAUUGAUCUUGGGAUAUUACUUUCUAGUCCUCAUGCAAGCAAGUUACUACCUUCCCACUGCAUCUCCUCCUUUAUCUGCUAUUCAAGAGUUGCGUGCCAUAAUCUGGUGUUACCUCUGCAAGAUUGUGAAUGAAUAUAAUGCCUCUAAAUUUAUUUUAUACAUAAUGCUGAUGCUGAAUAAUAUAUUGUAGCUCCUGUCAUAUUCUACUUUGACUUUUUAUAUUCUGUUUCAUAUAAAAAUCUUAUUCAACUUUAGUUGUUCAUGAGCAAAUGUCACAUGUAUAAGCCCAAAUGAUGUUUAAAGGUAGCGCGGCUACCUUUAGUUUGAGCUUACAAUGGAUGAAAAAGAAAUUGAAACUGAUAUUUUGCUGUUUUUCUGAUUUUUCAAAGUAUUUUAGAUCCUGAGUUUUGUUUGGACUUGAUGGUUAUAGAUUGUGUCUAGAUUUGUUAAGUUGUUUCCAACACCUCGUGCCAAAUGAAAGCACAAUCUUUCUGAUUCAGAUGUCUUGUUAAUUAUGCUUCAUUUUUUCGUUAAAGAUUGGAUGGUUGCAUGGAUUGAUGGAGUUGGAGUUCAACCAAUAAUUCUAAUUUUUUGGACUUAAAAUGCCUUUUUCUUCUGUAUAAAAACUUUAGUAAGUGCUAUUGAGUUGACGGAGGUUGAAUACUUACAGGUUGUUUCACACUUUUUAAUAGUUUUACAUAUAUGAAUUUCUGUUUUUUGAAUUGCAGAAAGGAGGUGGAACUAUUGAUUUGGAGCCUUAUCUUACUCACUCAUCGACAAUGGAGCCUAUCCUCGCUCCCAUGGCAGUGGAACGGACAACAACUACUAGGGCUGCAACAUCAGUUGGUUUGGGUCUGUUUUGAGUUUAUUUUCAUUUAUUUGGCUAUGUUUUGAUAGCGAAUUUUGAUAUGUCAAUAUAAUGUGUAAUUGUUUUGGGUUGAGCUGGUAAUUAUGCUGGAUUAGAUUGGUUUGGUUUUGGUGCUUCUCUGAUGGAACUCUGCUUUUUUUAGAAAUUUUGAAUGUAAUAUGAGACUACAUUUAGUUUAAUUUAACACUGCAUCUAGUCUAAUUACUAGAAGUGUGGCAUUUGGUUUGGUUUAUCCGAUAUUCUCCAGAAUUUCACUUGCAUCUGGUUUUGUUGCAUAUGUUUGCUUGCAUUUGAUGGCAGUAGCAGACUGUUUGGUUUUGUGACAUUUGAUGGCAGUUUGGUCUGUUCUUGGUGUUGAUUUAAGAUUGUUCCUGUUGUGCUGAUGUUAAUUGCAGGUGCUUGAAUCAGCUAGGGUUGCUGGUUUAUUCAGAUGGUUGACUCAGGCGUUGUUACUGGUUAAUUCAGGUGGCUGACUCAAGUUGUUCAUUUAAUGUUAGGAAGCAAACUAAGAAUUAAUGAAGUAUUCAUUUAACUAUAAUUAUUGUAGUUAUUUUAUUUCAUAACUGAAUUAUAAUCUAUGAUACUUGUGAACAAAUUAGAGAAUUUUUAUAUAUGAAUUAUAUAUGUGUGUGUAUGUACAUUUUGCUAUUUAUAUAAUAAUUUAAAGAAUAUAUUUCAAUUCCCACAAAAAAAAAUGGCUCCAAUUUCAAUAAUUCCCGCCAAAUAAUUAAAUUUUUUUAAUUUACUGCCAAAAUAUAUCUUAAAGAAAUGUUAGUUAUUCUUGCUAGAUUUAACAAAAAUAAUUUGUAGGAUUAACAUUUAAUUAAAAUAAUUAAAUAAUUUUAUUAUUCCAAUUAAAUAUGUCAUGUUUAUACGUCAUACAAUAGUCAUGAAUGGGAAGUAUUAGUUACAUAUUUUUCCUUGGGAUUUCAGGCAAAUGAAAAAAAGAUUGAGAAUGGUUUCAAGAGGACAGGUGGAUGAUAAGUAUUCAUUUUUGUAUAUUUGGUUAGGGGAUUUUUAUGGUAUUGAUCUUUUUUUUUUUUUAAAUUUUCAAUUAGUUGCAGCCUUAGAGGAAGAGCAGGCUGAUCAAAUUGAUUUGUCUUGUUUUUCGGGCAAUCUACGACACGAUGAUCGUGAUAAUGCUCGUGACUGCUGGAAACUUUGUGAUGGAAAUAACUUUAGAGUUCGUAGCAAGCAUUUUUGUUAUGACAAAACAAAGGUUCCCCCAUAUUUUGUUUGUUUGUUAUGGUAUUUAUAUAUCCUGCAUAGGCUAGGUAGACAGGUUAUGAUGUAGUUUGGUUGGCUCUUCUUGUGCUUUGUGCAAUUUGUAACUGCAGAUACCUGCGGGAAAACAUUUAAUGGACCUUGUUGCUGUUGAUUGGUUCAAAGACACAAAGAGAAUUGACCAUGUAGCUAGGCGUCAAGGCUGUGCUGCACAAGUAACUAUUCUUUUCUUUUUAUUUUUCCUUUUCCAUUGAUGCAUUAGGAGAAAAUAUUGCCUGUGAGAUACUUCAAUGUAAAUAACUUCUCAUGGUUCAUUGAAUCUAUAACACACUGACCCUCUUCUAAAAAACGUAGGUUGCUUCUGAAAAAGGGCUUUUCUCACUGAUCUUUAAUCUUCAAGUAAGUUUGUUUCAUUUCAGAAGGUAUUAAGUUUCAAACUUAUUGUAUUGGGAGGUUGUAUAGUUGUAACCUAAGCAUCUGCAGGUUCCUGGUUCGACACAUUAAAGUAUGGUAUUUUAUUUUGUCACAAGGCAAUUGGUUAUGGGAUCACUUUUGCAACGGUUUGUUGAUGGCGAUGAUGAGUUUCGCAAUAGUAGGUUGAAACUUAUUCCAUCUGUUCCUAAGGUAUCCAUCUUGGCCUUCAUGUAUUAGGACUAUAUUAACGUAUACUUACCCUUUUCUGCAUGGUACACUUCAAUUUGUCCAAAGAAGGCAUGCAUUUAGGUGUAAAUGUAUUGAUGGGUAGUACCUUCAAACUUCAUGUCCUUUUUACCCUCUUGAAUUUGUUUUGCACUUGUUCUUGAUUUUAAGCACUGAAUCAUGCAGGGGUCAUGGAUCGUGCGCCAGAGUGUUGGAAGCACCCCUUGUUCAUUAGGGAAAGCGGUUAAUUG